rnacentral:lncRNA from 1 species
UAUAUAUAUAAAAACAUGGAACUAGGCUACUAUACUAUCGGUAGCACGGAGCGCUCCGUGCUACCAAGUUGUUUUUUAUGAUGCGGUUUUCAAAUCGACGAUCGGCUCCGUUAGACUUGAUCUACAUUAUUGAAAGUAUUUAGAAACUAAAUUUCAUAAUUUUUCGAUAUCAUUUAUCUAUCAAACAAGUAGUCUAAAAUUGAACGGCUGAAAAUAAAAAACUCAUGAAAAAUGAUGAUAAAAGAUUUAAAUUCAAGAUCAGAUAUACUGAUCUUACUCUAAAUAGUGAAAAAAAUUUUCUAUAAAAUUUUCAUCGCAUUUGGAUUGUUUUACACCGUUAAACUCACAAACACACCACAUCGGCCGUUAAAACUGUCAAUUUUGAGAUCUUUUGAUCACUAGUUGAAUGAUAUCGAAAAAAUCUGAAAUUUAGUUUUCAAAUACUUUCAAUAGUGUAGAUCAAGUCUAACGCAGCCGAUCAUUGAUUUGGAAGCCGCAUCAUUGAAAACAACUUGGUAGCACGGAGCGCCCCGUGCUACCGAUAGCAUAGUAGCCGGACUUUAAAAACAUGUAUUUUAAAUUCGAAUCUGUAAAUAAAAUUUUAUUUUGUUUUGGUGAAAUUUUUUUUCCGCUUAGAUUGUCAUAUAAACUGCCUAUUGUAUCAAAUAAAUUUAUUGAAUUAUAAAUUUUAUUAUUAUUUUUAAUAUUUCGAUGCUUUAAAGCCUCAGAAUCAAAAUUUAUUUUGCUAAUGCUUGAUAUAAACAUCAGUGGAAUAUUAUUAAUAGCACAAAGUCAUUAAUGCUAUUAAGUUUUUCAGUCCUUAGAUGAAGCGAUGUACGAUUAGGAUGAGAGUGAUCUUUUAGGCUUGAAUGGGUAGUUAGUUGAACAGUAUAAUCUAACGGGUAAAAAUAAUUAAAAGAGUAGAUCUAACGGCAAAAGAUUUGAUAGUACAAAGUUCUUGGUGCUAUUAAUAGUAUUAUAGUCGGGCUCUCUCUCUCUCUCUCUCUAUGUAUAUAUGUGCGUGUGUUGACACUUUAUUUAUCGACGCUUUCAUAUAUGAUAGUAUACUAUUUUGAAACACUUUUCAGCAUCAGUAAAUACGAGAAAAAUCAUCCUUAAAUAUUAUUAUUUUUUAUAAUGAUCUUAAAUAUCCGCGUUCAUGUGCAUGCAUGAUAUGUGCUAAGAUCGCAUUAAGGAAAGAGGCAACAGAAUGAUAAAUAUGAAUGUUAAAUACAUGUACCGACCAUCUCAACUUGUAAAAAGUUUGGUAGUUGAUAUUUGAGGUCUCAAGUUCGAAUCUUAGUUGAUUUAUAUUUUCAGCUAAAUUUAUUUCUAAAAUAAAAUAAACGAAGCUGGUAGCGUACUACCUAUCUUUCUAGAAAAAAAUGUUAAAUACAUGUAAAAUGACGGCCGGAUGUGAAAAUUGAACUCAAUUAUUUAUCCAAAAUAUGAAUUUAAUUAGGAAUUAGAAAUAUUUUAGAAUUAAUAAUAAUAAUAAUAAUAAUAAUCUAUAUCUCCUAUGUAAAUUUAGUUACAUUUUGAGGCACCGAUAGCAUUGUCUAUCUCUCUAUUACAUUACAUUAAUGCUCUGUCCUUCGCUACUACGUGCCCAGUCCCCUACACACAGCUUUUGAACGCCACUUUGACCACCUCAAAAGUGAAAAGAUUCGGUCGAGAUCCAUAAAGAGGGUUGGUACGUUUCCAGUUGCAGCUUUCGACUUGGCUUAUUCUGAUUCUCAAACCAUGAAAUAAAUACACACAAAAUAAUAUAUAUAUAUAUAUAUAUAUAUAUAUAUAUAUAUAUCUAUAUAUAUAUAGUCCAAUAUAAUUAGGAACCUUGAAAUAUAUAUUGUUUAAAUGGGGUAACUAUAUGUAUCGAAGCUACACAACAUUGGUUGAGAGAGGUGAUGGUGAUUGCUUUUAAACAGUGCCCCGGUGCCCAAGAAGAUGGAUAUAUAUAUAUAUAUAUAUAUAUAUAUAGAGUAGGGCUAGAAUACUUUUACAAGUAUCACCUAAGUGAUACUUGUGUGUUUCUAGCCCUUGGAUGGAGAGAUGGGAGGUUGAGAUGAUGGGGAUAGAUGGUGGUAGGUGGUGGUAGGUGGAAUAGUGUUUGAUCCAAGGGCUAUUUGUAAUCAAAAAGUAGAUCCAAUGGCUAAAAAGGUGAUAGCAACUUGGGGAUGAUACUUGUAAAAGUAUCCUAGAUCAACUCUCUAUAUAUAUAUAUAUAUAGAGUAGGGCUAGAAUAUUUUUACAAGUAUCACUCAAGUGAUACUUGUGUGUUUUAGCCAUUGGAUCUACUUUUUGAUUACUAAUAGUCCUUGGAUCAAACACUAUUCCACCUACCACCACCUACCACCACCUACCACCAUCAUCUCAACCUCACAUCUCUCCAUCCAAGGGCUAAAAACACACAAGUAUCACUUGGAUGAUACUUUUACAAGUAUUCUAGCUCUACUCAUAUAUAUAUAUAUAUAGAGAGAGAGAGAGAGAGAGAGAGAGAGAGAGUUGAGCUAGAAUACUAUCGGUAGCAAACGGACUGCUAUCCAUUUGUUUUUGAUGAUGGAGCCUCCAAAUCGACGAUCAGGUUAAACAUGAUCUAUACCACUUGAAAUAUUUAGAAAUCAAAUUUUAAAUCUUUUUGACAUCAUUGACCUAAUGAUCAAAUAGUUUUAAAAUUUACAAUUUUAAUGAUCGAUAUGAACCAUUUUCUCGUUUAACGGUGUAAAGAUAUCAAAAUCGAUUGAAUUUUGGUUAGAAAAUUUUUUAAACUAUUUAGAACAAGAUCUAUACUCUUGAUCUUGAUUAGAAAAUUCCUAUCAUCACUUUUUAAAGAAUAUUCAUUUUCAGCCAUUCAUUUUGUGUCCACUUGAUGGACAAGAGAACAAUAUCGGAAAAGCAUAAAAUUUGAUUUCUAAAUGCUUCAAGUGGUAUAGAUCAUGUUCAACGGUACCGAUCGUCGAUUUGGAGGCUCCAUCGUCGAAAACAAAUGGGUGGUAACGGAGCGCGUUUGCUACCGAUAACUUUCCAGCUGCUCAACUCUCUCUCUCUCUCUCUCUAUAUAUAUAUAUAUAUGGGUUAAUUUCAUACAGUUUAUUAAAAAUGUAGUGAAUUACAAAUAUAUUUCUAUAAAACUUAAUUUUCAUAUGUUGUCCCUUUAAAAGUCUUAAUAUUUUCAAAUAUAUUCAUCUGAUUUGUUACUGCUAAACUGUUGUUUAUUUUAUCAGUGAAAUGAUUUUUUUUGUUAUCACAAAUAUGUCCUUAAAAAAAAUCAACUAUUAAUUAAAGAGGGAAAAAAAAGUCCUAAAAGUAGGACAUGUUUUAUAAAAAUAUAUUUAUAAUUCACUAUAUUUGUAGAGAUCUGUAUAAAAUUAACCUAUAUAUGUAUAGAGAGAGAGAGAUAGGCUGGAAUACUAUUGAUAGCAAAAUGCUCUUUUAGCUAUCAAGUUUUUAACCUUUGGAUAAUAAAUUAUAGGGUCAGAAUGAUAUUUGUCCCUUAGGGUUGAGUAGUCUCCCUAGGGUUGAGUGGUUCUCGCUGAGUUAUAAUAUUUAAUCCAAUAAUUAAAAAUGAUGAAAAAAAUUAAUUCAAAAGUUAAAAAUUUGAUAGCAAAAAAAAUUUUUUGCUAUCAAUAGCCCACCUCUCUCUCUCUCUCUCUCUCUCUCUCUCUCUCUCUCUCUAUAUAUAUAUAUAUAUAUAUAUAUAUAUAUAUAUAUAUAUAUGUGUGUGUGUGUGUGUUUGUGUGUGUGAGAGAGAGAUUUGUACUGCGUCAACUCAGGACAUUUCAUGUCAAUGCCUCCUCAUGAGGAAAAAUUCUAGAAUGCAACGGGUAUAUUAGUGACGUGGCGUAACAAACCAAUCAAAUUAAUCCUUUUAAGAAUAUAUGUCCCAUCAUGAUUGUAAAAAAGUAUUUUUAUUGUACUUUUGUUUAAAAAGAAGGAAUGUGAUUGGCUUGUUAUUGAUGACGUGGUGCAAGUGUGACAGUGUAGAAUUCCUCCCUCAUGAGAGAAACACGACACUUCUUCACAACAGUGCCUCAUCAGCUUUCCAGUGCAUGCCCACUAACUCUCCAGUAAACAAAGGAGCAAUUUUAUAUAUAUAUAUAUAUAUAUAUAUAUAUCCAUACCUAACACAUAUAUAGCUUAAUUAAUUUCUUGUUUUCUAUAAGUUAGAUAUAGUUAAACAAUUUAAUCAAAUAAAAAUAUACAAAACUUAUGUGAACUAUCAACUAGUCUGAAUUGACUAUCUAAUUUUUUAAAAUUUUAAAUUUUACUUUAAAUCUCUUAAUUAAUUUAUUUGAUUAGAGUCGGUCGACGAUAUUUUGAUAUUAAAAUUUAAGCUAAUUAUUUACUUUAUUAUGAAGUAUACAAACUAAAUUUAUAAAAAAAAUGUCUUAUUAAGGUAUCAAAUAAAGAACAAUGUUGGAUGGUAAAAUCAAAAUUUUAAAAAGUUGGACAGCCAACUUAAAAUAAUCUAUAGUUCAUAUAAUUAAAGUUUGCAUAUUUUUAAUUAUCCCAUUUAAUAUUUUAUUAGAAUUAGUCCUAAAUUCUUAGUAGCUCCAACUCAAAACCUAAUGUGGGAGAUAGAGAAUACCGUCCAAUAAUGCAUUGUUAAGUAGUGAUAGUAACUAUUUCAGAGUCUUUUUUUUUUUUAUUGGAUCGAUCUUUUGAAUUCCAAUAUUUGCGUGUAAUAAUUAGUUGAGUAAACUAGUUUUAUUCGAUUUCAGAUACCACCAAGCUAAAUCAUUUACAAACAAUCACGUAUUGAAGAAUGAAUUAUAAAAAAUAAAAAUUUUAUGGGGUGCAUUCUUAGGUGUCUGUAACAUAAAUUAGUACAAACUGCAAAGAUUUAGUAUGUAAAGCAAAAAUCUAGAAAAGCUUCAUUGAUUAAUUGUUGUAUAAGAUGACCCAUCACUUCCUCUCUACACUCAUCUCUCCAUUCCCCCUUUCUCUCUCUCUCUCUCUCUCUCUCUCUCUCUCUCUCUCUCUCUCUCUCUCCAUGGCUCCUACUUCAAAGCUCAUAGUUAUCUUCGUCCUCUUCUCCCUUCUCCUCCUUUUGGUUCAUGGGUCCCCAUCCAUGAAAGAAGAAGAAAAAGAAGAAGAAGGAGGAGGAGGAGAUGGUGGAGGAGCUACAAUGGAGAGUGAGGAGCUAAUGGGUCUUUUUGAAGUUAUGGGGGACCUCUUAGAAGACCCCACAUGGGCUGAGCUCCACCCACACCCUUGCACAGAUACUCCAUGGCCUGGGAUCCAGUGUGAGUUGAGCCAAACCCCACUAACCCAACCAAAGCAAGAAGAAGAAGAAGAAGAAGAAGAAGGAGAAGAAGAAGAAGUGCAAAAUGGUAAUUUCCUCCAUGUGACCAAGCUCCACAUUGGCCCUGAUGUUGCCUCCCCUCCUUGCAAACCCUUUGCUAAGCUCUCCACCUCACUCCUCAAACUCCCUUAUCUCAAAACCUUCUCUUUGUUCAGUUGCUUCCUCUCCCCCACUGAGGUUUCCCUCCCUCCCUUUCUCUUCACCAACACUUCAAUUUUGGAGCAGUUGGUUAUCAAGUCCAACCCAGGUUUGAGUGGAAGCAUCCCACCAAGCUUAGCCAUGGUGAGAAACUUGAGAGUGCUUAGCCUCUCACAAAACAACCUCCAUGGGGCCAUUCCAAAGGAGCUUGGUGCACUGAAGAGGUUGGAGCAAUUGGAGCUGAGUUACAACCACCUAACAGGUCAAAUCCCUCUAGAGUUUGGUGGGUUGACAAGUUUGACCAUCUUUGACCUCAGUUGGAAUGAGUUGGAAGGUCAAAUCCCUUGGUCUUUGGGUCAACUCCAAUCCCUUCAAAAAGUUGAUCUCAGCUUCAACAAGCUCUCUGGGACAAUGCCCAUUGAUUUGGGUAAGUUGGAGAGGUUGGUUUUGUUGGAUUUGAGCCAUAACAUGCUCACAGGGCCAAUCCCAGAGACUUUGUCGAGUUUAAAGGAGUUGGAGUACCUACUAAUGGUGGACAACCCUAUAAACACAACCAUGCCUUUGUUUAUUGGGGAUUUAAACAAGUUGAUUGUGUUGGGUCUAUCAGGGUGUGGCCUGUUAGGGCCAAUACCCACAAACUUGGGCUCUUUGUGUAACCUCACUGCUCUAUCUUUGGAUAGAAACAAACUCAAUGGGUCAAUCCCCACAAGUUUGGGUGCACUUCCACAGUUGGGUCAACUUAACUUGAGCCAAAACCAGCUUACUGGGGAGAUAAGCUUCUCUAGUGAGUUUGUGAACAAGCUUGGGAGAAGAUUGGAUGUUAGGGAUAACAAGGAUCUGUGCAUAGAUUUGAACAAGUAUAAGAAGAACAUUUCUUUCUAUUUUGAAGCUCCACCUUGUGCAUUGGACUCUUCUUCUAAUAACAAGCCUAGUAGUAGUAACAGGUCAUGGGUUGAUGAAGAGGGUGGAGUGAGCCCUGCUGUUUUGGAGUCCAAGCCAUUUUCUAGUAGCAGUAAGGGAGGAGAGUUUUGCUUGUUAGGGUUUGGGAUGUUAAGUUCUCUAACUUUGGGUUUUUGUAUUUUUGUAUUAUUUAGUUUGAGGGGGUUUUAGUGAUUAUAUAUAUAUAUAUAUAUGGAACUGUUAAAUUUACUGUAUAUGGAGCAAUUAUGUUGUAUUAUUUUGAGCAUUUUGCUUCUAGUUCCUGUCUCAAUGAAGUGCCUUUUAUUUCAUACAAGGUGCACAUGAACAAGUAGGACAUAAUACGAAUAUUUUUUAUGUAGAAAAAUCCUCCACAUGUGUACUUUUGCAUGGUUCAAUAAGAUUCACGUGAUAUAAUGUUUAAGGUAGAGUAAAAUUUACAUUUAAAUAACAAAUUAGGGCUUGUUUAGAAUAAUCUUUUUUUUUUCUUUUUUUUUUUUGUGUGGCUCUUUAGUUACUUUCCCACGCCAAUAGAAAUCCGUAUAUAUAAGACAAAAUCCAAACAAAAUAUAAUUUUUUAAAAAAUCCUUAUGUAAAAAUCCAUCUAUUCUCAAAAUAAGACAAAAAACAUGAUACUAUAGUAAAAGAAAAUAAAAAAUAAAGAUAUAUAAAAUUUACCUGGGUUAUAUUUUGAUUUGACUAUUAAAAUUUUGAUUUUAGUAUAACCAACCUUUCAAUAUGGUUGAUUAAGAUUUGAUGACUCCUUGAAUAUUAAAUUUAAGAUAAUUACUUAUUUUAACGAUUAGCUAUAAAUAUUAUAUAAAAUAUACUAACUAAAUUCGUAAAAAUCGACAAAACAUUCAAAUUUAAAAAUUAAAAGUCACUAAUUGGCUCAAAUCAAAUAAAUCAAAAGAUCAGGUAGUAAAAUAAAUUUUUUUUGAAAGAUUAGGUAAUUGGAUCCAAAGGGUGAUAGUUGAGGUAAGUUUUACACAUUUUAACAAAAAAAAUAUAUUUAAGCAAUGCGGUUAAAAAAAUCUUUAUUAAAACAUUUAAUUAGAACUCCAAAACAAUUACAUUAUAUAAUGGAACACAACAUGAUCGAUGCUUACGCGUUAAUUAAUUAUUAUAUAUUUUUACAUCAUAAUAAUUAAUUAUUUACGGUUAAAGGUUUUUUCACGGAAUGUGGAGGAGACUGAAAUUAUAGUCAAACCAUAAAUAUCUAUUUUUAUUAUGUAAUUUUUCAUACAUUAAAAAUUGACUUUAUACUCGAUGGUCCGUGACUAAAUAAAUUACAAGAGAAAAAAUAAAAAGUAAUAAAAACUUAACUGCUGGAAUUUUAUUUUUUUUUCAUAGAGUAGUAUGAAAAUUUAGCAUAAUAAUAAAAAAUAUAGAACGCAUCUGAAUUAUAAAUUAUUUUAAUUUGACAAUACAACUUAAUAAAAUUUUAAUUUUGUUAUUUAAUAUUUUAAUUUAUUUGAUUCAAAUUAGUCACUAAUUAAUAUUAUGACUUCAAAAUUAAAGUUAAUUAAUUGUUUUAAUAAAUUUAUAGUUGAAAAAGUCAUAGUAGUAUCAAUCGAUUCGAACCAAAUAAAUUAAAUUUUGAUGUAAAUUAAAAUUUUAAAAUAAUAAAUAAUGUAUCCAAAAUAAUGCAUAGUGGUGGAGGUCCGACGUUUCACGACAGAUCAAUAGUAUUCUAGUCAAUCAAGAUAUAUAAUUAUUAAAAUUUAAAAAUUAUAAUAAAAAAUAUUAAAAAAAUUCAUAUAGUAUUUUAUGCAUUAUAAAAAGUAUUUUUUCAUUAAUAUUUUUUAACUUUCAAUAUUUAUUUAGUUAAAGUAUUCUAAAAAUUUUACUUAAAAUUUUGAUCAAACUUAGUAGCUUUAGUAGUUAUUUUAUAUAUAAAGUUUUUAAUUAAAAAGUUCAAAUUGAAGGACUUAUUCUAAACUAUUAUAUAUAUCUGGUGUAUAUUAACACCUGGUGAAAAAUAUUAUUAUAUAUACCCGAUGUAUAUUAACAAACUGUCAACCAUAACUUAUAUUAAAGAGUUAAUAUUUAACAUUUAAUUAAAUAUAUCUUAGUUACAAAGUUUAAUAAAUUAAAUAUAUUCACUCAAUGAAAUUUCAAAAUCUCUAUUCAAGCUUUAAAAUAUGUUGUGCAUAUUUUUAUAUACACUAAGGGCUUGUUUGGUUCAUCCAUUUUGGAUAUGGAAUGAGAAUCGGUUUGAUCAAAUCCAGUUAAUUUUGUUUGGUUCGCAGGAAUCGGUUUGGGAUUCAUAUUCCAGACUGGAAUGGGAAUGGCUCAUAAGCCUUCAACUUGAAUCCGGUCUCCUAGCCCGGAUUGAGAUUUUAUUCCCGAAGCCCACUAAGUUCCCGAGACCCAUGCAACCAUCUCACUCUCCUCUCCUGUAUACAUACGAUCUCUUCACGCACGCCUCCCUCAUAAAAAAAAAAAAACCUAUCCUCUCUCAAAACCCUAUCCCUAAUCCACGUCAAUAAAAGUUUUUAAAAAUAAAUUUGAUAUUUUUUUGAAAAAAUUAUUAGAGAAUAGUAUUAUAUUUUUCUUAUAUUUUAAAUAAUAUAAAAUUAUAUUUGAGAGUAAAAUUAGUAUUAUGGCAUUCUAUAAUUUUUUAGUUUAUACGAAUCAAACAAUGGAAUGUGAAUAAUUCAUUCCAAUUUUCAAUCCACAAAUGAACCAAACGUCUUGGGGGAGUGAACCAAUCCAAUUACCAUUCCAAUUCAUUCCCAUUCCAUUAUCCAUUUCAAUUCCACCCUUAAACCAAACAAGCCCUAAGUGUAGAGAAUGUUUAAGAGAGUACACUAAUAAUUUCUAAAAAAGAGAAAAUUUUUUUGCUUGCAUCUGAUGUAUACUAAUAUUUUAUACACCCGCAAAAGUAUAUUAGAUAAUUAAUGAAAUAUCUAAUAACCAGUAUUAACGAUUUUUGUAAUAUGAUAGAAUAGCUAAAUUAUCAAAUUAUAUAUCUUAUAGAUUUUAAAAUAUUAAUAGUUAAAAAAUAGAUUUAGUGUAUAUGAUAUUUUAGUAGACCGGAUGCAUGCGAUAUAUAUUGUUGAAGUGGAGAAGGUAAAGAGAGUAGGACACCUAUCAUUCCCAUGACUUUUGAAGUGACCCAACUCUUAAAUUAUAUAUCUAACUAGUGAAGUUAGUCGCGCAUUGCGGCGAGCUAAUGCUGUAGAAAAUAAAAUAUCGACAAAAUUAAAAUUUUAAUUAUUUUAAAUUUGUCAGGGGAUAUUAUUAAAUACAAAUAGAAAAUGUAAAAUAGAUAUGUACAAAUGUAGCAAGAAGCAGUAUAGAGUUAUUACUUUAUACGCAUUUUGAUUACGCUGCCGAGAUCCGAGAGGCGAUUCCCAUUCUUCCCAUCGCCUCCACACCCACCGCUUCUUCCUCCUCAUCGCCAUCGCAAUUUUCAGAACCUUAAUAGUAAAAUCUAAUUAUACUGUUCAAUUCUGCCCCGAGAGUGUAAAUUUGGAACGAAUCGAUGUCAACGUUCACAAGAACCAAAACCGGAACAAUAUUAGACUACUCUGUUGCGUCCUAACAGUAUAAAUUUUCCACGAGUACUUUUUCUCAUUCAAUCGAACAAAAAAUAAAAGCUAAUUAUAUUGUUCCAUUCUGCCCUGAGAGUGUAAAUUUGGAACGAAUCGAUGUCAACCUUCACAAGAACCAAAACCGGAACAACAAUAGACUACUCUGAUGCGCCCUAACAGUAUAACUUUGUAACGAGUUCUUUUUCUCAUUUAAUCGAACAAAGAGUAAAAGCAAAUUAUAUUAUUCUUAUACCCCGAGAUUGUAAAUUUGUAACGAAUCGAUGUCAAAGUUCAUUAGAACCAAACCCGGAACAACAUUAGACUACUCAGUUGCGCCCUAACAGUAUAAAUUUACAACUAGUACUUUUUCUCAUUCAAUCGAACAGAUUUAAAAAAUAGAAAAAAAAUUAAGAAAAAUUAAAAAAAAAUGAAUCUGUUUUGUACAUCAAAAAAAGUAAAAAAAUAUGAUAAAAAAUAAUAUGAAAAGAUUUUAUUUUACUCUUUUUUAAAAAUAAUUUAUUUAAAUAAAAAUAGAUUAUGUAAAUAUAUUAAUUAGGAAUUUUUGGGCCGUGUCAGAGUUGGUGUUCGGCCCGUUAAAUAAGGUCGGCUUCGGCUUCGUCCCGUCCGCGGCUUCCUCUAGAGAGAGAGGGAGACCAAAAAAACAAAGAGAGAGAGAGAGAGAGAGAGAGAGAGAGAGAGAGGGGAUAUGGCGACGAAUUCGCCACCACCAGGUUCGUGAUCUCCUUCCUCUCAAUCCGAACCCUAGAAACUUCCUUUCAAUUCCGUGGGUUUUGGGCCCUCUGAACGAUUUGUUAGUGUAAGAAUCGAUCGAUUAGGGUUUCGAUUAGGGAGCGAGUUCUCUGUUGUUGGACAUGGGCAGAGCCGCAAAAUCGCCGCAGAGUAACUAUUAGGGUUAGCUGGAUUUGGAUCGACGCUUUUGAGCCGCGGUUUUGUAAUCUUCCGUGUCUUGCUUUCGAUUGGGGAACAACAUUUGUAGAGAUUUGAGUUUAAUUUGAUCUUUUAGACGGGGGAAAGAACACUGAAAUUUGAGUUUAGUUAGCUCAAAUUGAACGCAGAAGCUCGUGCAAGUCGAUUGUUUGGAAACAUUAGUAGUUACUGUGCUUUCAACCGACUUUUGAUGAUUUGAAAUGAUUUCAACAAGUGUAAGCAAAUCAGGUGUUCGGAAAAAUCGGCGUGGUAGAAUGUGCUUUAGGUUGCUGAUUUGAGUCAAACUGCUGUGAUUAAAUUGCUGUUUGAGUUCCUUGAAACCAAUCAUAUCAAUAUCCUCCCAUGCAUGUUGUAAUUUUGCGACCAGCGAUGAUUUACUGGUCAGGUUUGGUCUUCCUAAAUGAUAAUUCAGUAGUCUCUCUUGUUUAUACAAAUGGCAGAUUUAGACAGCAAUUAGCUUGCCGUGUGUUAGAAACUAUCCGAGUGUUAUAGUUUGUUUGCACAUUCAUGUGUUAUUUCCCUCGGACUAUUAAUCGUUCCCUAUUCUUGGGCUUCAUUGCGAUUUAAUCAUUUUAUACCCCGCGUGCUUCUAUCCAUUUUAGGCAUUCCAAGCUCAGUGAAUGUUAUGCCCUGCAGGUAAUACACUAUUCAAACCCCCGUCUUCUGGCAGCACUAGUGAUGUUGUUGAAGCCUCUGGAACCGCAAAACCCGGAGAAAUUGUUCCAACUACAGAGAGAAGUGUCUCGAAUGUAAACAACACUGUCGUGAGACCUGUGCCGCCAAGGCCUUGGCAGCAAAACUAUGGAAAUACAUAUGGAGGUAAUUUCUUAAAUGGCUUAAAUGCAAAAUAUCAAACCUCGAAAAUAUUGCGAUUUGCACUUUGUUCCCUGAAAAGAGCUAAAAAAACUACAUGUAAUCCCCACAAUUUUUAGACUGUUACCACUUAAAAUCGGGUUAUAGCACUGAAAUAGGUCUUAUGGAUACGUUCGUUCAUAUCUAAAUUUUUCCUGCAAUUCUUGGACGGAAAAUAUAACAAGGGAGUGAACUUUCAACAGUCUAUAUGGUAAAUGCUGUGGGUCAAGUCAAACGUAUGUUUUACUUUUCGUAGGGGCAAAGCUGCAAAGGGUGAAGUCGCAAAUUUAUGAUACUUUCAAGAGUGUCUUCUGCAUUUAACACUUCUCAAAUUGAGAUAUUUAAGUAUGUAACCCUGCAAAGUUAUCUAUUGCAUGUAUAUUCCUGCAAAACCUGUCAUUUCAUACAUGCCCUUUAGUAGCUUAAUUUUUUACAAAUAUAUUGUUGUUCUUAGCAUCUUUCUUUGAAGAAAUCAUUUGCUGAUGCAAAGACAACUCCACUCUAUGAAUCAGAUGAUUCCUCAAUUUAGUAUAAGAUUAUUUUUGAUAGAAACAUAUUUGACCUAAGUAUAUAUUUAUUUUAUUUGAUGAUUUUUCAAGAUAUUUAUGUAAAAUCCUCUCUAAUAUUUAGAUCCUCUUUACAUUCUAGCACCACUUGCAGGUUAUGGGGGUUAUGGAUCUGGCAUGUAUGGUUCUGGCGGAUACGGAGGAGGAUCAUAUGGCAGUGGGCUCUAUGGGAGUAGCAUGUAUUCAGGGUACGGGGGUUUAUACGGGAACACUGGAAUGUAUAGCGGGGGCAUGUACAACAGUGGGUUUGGAGGUCCCAUGGGUGGUUAUGGGAUGGGCAUGGGUGGUCCCUACAAUAAUCAGGAUCCUAAUAAUCCAGGCCCUCCAUCGCCCCCAGGCUUUUGGAUGUCCUUCCUACGUGUGGUAAGAUGAUAUUCUCCUGUUAUCACUCUACUCUGUUGUUCUUCUUUUGAUUUUAUUUUUUAGAUUUUUGAGUUUUCUGCUGCUGAUUCCAUCAAUGACUUCUAAGUUAGCAUUAAUGGUCAAGCCUAAUACAUUGUAAGAGAAAUGUACUGUAGCCCUCUGAAGUAUCAUGCUAUAACGGAUGACAGUCCAUAUUUUCACAAGUUGGAAAAUUACUAGGGGCUUCAACCUACAACCUAUUCCCUUUUUUCGUCGAUUUUCUUUUGAGGUUGGCAGGUGGCUGCCAUGUGACGUUUUAGAGUUAUGUUUUACCCUUCUUCCUUUGAACGACUAGAUGAGUUUAGGUGCAUUUGAAUAAAUUAUUUAUAUUUGACUGAUGGCUGUCACAACUGAUGGCAACAAUGGUCGAUGAUUGAUUGAAAAUGAUCGAUUGUUCGCGGGAUUCUUUUUUCCCCUUGAAAUUUUGAAAGCUCAGGUGGCCAUCUAUAGAAGUGCAAUAGUUGAUGGGAUCUCCUAUUAUUCCCAACAAUAUUGCUGUUUUUUUUUUUAAAUUUUUUUUUCUGGCAUACGAUUGCAUUUCCUUGUCCUUCAAGGUGUGAAUGUAUGAUUGCUAGGUAUUCUCUUAUUCUUAUGGAUGAUGUCGAGCUGUUUUCACCUUUUUUGCUGCUGCAUUUUUUAGAUCGAUUGUGCAUCUUUAGAGUGCUGUGUCUGACCAUAUUGCAUUCAGCUACAAGUAUCUAGAAGUCAUCAGUUGCUGUUGUUAAGUAAAUCUCAAAGAUCCCUGUUAACAUUUUUAAGAUUCUUUAUUUUUGUUUUUGAGUUUAUCUUUCCAUAUUUUUCGUGCCAUUUUAAUUUAUCUAUGGUGUUGGUUACAGAUGCAUGGUGUUGUUAAUUUCUUUGGCCGAAUUGCUAUGCUUAUAGACCAGAACACCCAAGCAUUUCACAUGUUUAUGUCUGCUCUUCUACAGGUACUCUUUCCAGCUUCCUUGUUUUCCUACUUUUUCAUUACAUCAUGAUUUUUUCUCCUAACUUGAAACAUUUGGGGUUAUGCUCGGCUAAUUGGAGCUUUUGAAAAAGUGCUGUUCGAGUGGAACUGUUCAAGCAACUAUUGUUUUUUUUUUGGGGGGUUAAAAUCUCCUCAGCUGCUUCUUGCUGCAGCAAAACCAGCAGCUCUAAAUUUUCGCCUCAGUUUUUGCUAGGCCAAGCUUAUUUAUUCUUUCUAUCACAGCAAAAGCUUUUUUUUCUUCGUGUUACCUGAAUUCUCGGUUUUCGGAGGCCUGUACCUUUUGGAUUAAAACUUUUCGGAAGCCAGGCUGAACAUGCAUCGCUAACUGCUAGACGUUCUUACUCAUGCAGCUUUUCGAUCGUUCUGGUUUACUAUACGGUGAGCUCGCAAGAUUUGUUUUACGCAUAUUAGGGGUGAAGACAAAGCCCGGGAAGGCUCAUGUUCCGGGGCCCGGUGAAGUCCCAGCUUUCGUGGGACAAGGCGGUCGCUUUAUCGAGGCACCGAAAGACAAUGGCGGUUCGUGGGACAAUGUUUGGGGUGGUGAUGUUAAGAGAGAGAGCUAAAUGCAGGAAUAGUUCGUCCUCUUUUCUGCCCUUGAUCAGAAGAGAGAAGUUCUGCUCGGAUCUCAUAUGCAUGCAUAACUGUUGUUAUGAGACGGAGCCAGUUACGGAGGGAAGAAAAUGCAUACAUGUUUUAUCUUUGACAAUCUCAAAUACUUGAUGUAUGUUUCAUAAAUCUCUACGCACUAGAUUGCUUGGGUAAGGGCUAUUACUUUGAUUAAUAACUUAAAAUCUCAAUAAGAAAUGUCACGACGUCUCAUUUUACUCCUCUUUCUGCAAGAAGAUUGUAAAAUUGUUCUGUCAUUUUUAGUUGAAAACAUAAUAACAUAUGUUCAUAGCUUUUUAAGUUGAUAUUGUCCACAUGAAUUUUUUGCCCCCUCCCCCAAAAAAAAAACAAAGAUCUUGUUUGAGUUCUUUGCACACAAGUGAUAACUUUAGGGCCUAAGUUUAAAUAUAUAUAUAAGAUAAUACUGGGGCUGUUUAUUUCCUCGGUGAUGUAUGUACCAUUUAAUACUUUUCUCCUUUUUAAAAUUUUAUUGUGUAAUCAUUCAUCUUCUCUUUAAUCUUUUUCUCCUCUCAUGUGUUGAUGAUUGGAGACUUUUUAUUGUGGUGGUGUAAUGGUGUUGGGUACUUCUUUUUUUUGUAUUUUUUUUUGGAAUUUUUGGGAUGUGGAGUGGAUUUAGAUGACGUUUGUGGAUGAGCAAGCAGUUGUUAGAGAAAAGCCAUUUUUCCACCUCAGCCUCCAAAAGCUCAUCCAAAACAAAAACCACCCAAAAAAAUAUAAAAACUUCCACAUCCAUGUUACCUUUCUUUGUCUUUUGUGUGAAAAUGUAUGCAGAGCCCCUCACCUAUAGAAUAUUUUGAACUAGAUCCAAAAAUCUUUUUGUUCGGAUAUGAGAACCCCUUCCACGAUCGGCUAUUUUGAAAAUGACCCGUAAACACUUCGUAACUUAUUAUUAUUUUGAUUUUAUUUUUUUGGUCAUUUUAGGAAAGAUCUUUAUCAAAAUUAAUAACCUCAUUAACUAUCAAGCGUUUGAACAAAAUUUCUACCAAUUAAAUAAUAGUUGAACCAUUAUACUGAAUGUACUGAUUAAUUUGAUGCAUUUAAAGUUACGGAGCAUCUCCGUACAUAUUUAUUUUUUAAAAAAUAUCUCAGCCUUUAUUUGCAUUGAUUUGAGUUAUUUUAGUGAGUUAACUUGAAUCUUUUUUUUCAAAUUUCAAGUUAAUUUAUUUUAUUUGCUAAAUAAUAUUUAUUUUAUUAAUAAUUAGUUGAGCAAUUAAUCUUAAUAAUAUUUUUUUUUAAUUCGAUUGACUUAAAUAACGCAAACCAAAACAAAUCAAUAACAGUCCUCGAAGGUUUUAAGGCGCGUAUUUCAGAAACGCCAUUAGUUGUGGGAUCUCCUUGCAAUUUUACCUUGUCUUCAUGUACGACCCUCUCUCUCUCUCUCCUCUCUCCUCUCUCCAACAAACCACCACCAUCUCACAUUCCCAAACGCAUAAAUCACUUUAUCCACCCCCACUCUCUCCUCACUUCUCCUUCUCCAAGAAAUCAGGGUAUCAUUCUCAUACUAUUAUUUUUUUUUUUAAUUUUUUCUCUUAAUUAUGAUCCUCUUCUUUCUCUUUAUUCAAUUUGGUUAUUGAUUUUCUAUUAAAAUUAUUUCUGAGUCAUUUUUAUCCGAUCGAUCUGUUAACAAACACGGUACGUCAGACAGGCAGAUUGACGCAUAGAUUAAAUUUUUGUACUGUAAGUCAUGCACGUGAGAGAAAGUGUUAAGAUUAUUUUCGCACGAUUUUCUUUUUUUUUUAACAAUUCCCAUCUGGGUUUUGGUCAUUUAAUGCUGCAGCAUGCAUGCAUGCAUGCAGCUGAGUAAUUUUCAUGUUGUUGUGUCACCCUGAAAUUAGCUUUAUUCUAUUUAUUAAUCAUCUAGCUUUUCAGAAUUUCCUGUAGAGCAUUUGGGAUUGUGGGAUAAUACAUAGCUUCAUCAACCAACAUGGAGGUCACCAAUGUUAUGGAGUAUGAGGCCAUAGCCAAGCAGAAGUUGCCCAAGAUGGUCUUUGACUACUAUGCCUCUGGUGCUGAGGACCAGUGGACUCUCAAGGAGAACAGGGAGGCUUUUUCAAGGAUUCUGUAAGCUCCUCAUCUUCUUAUUCAACACCUUAUCUUACAUAUGUACAACUUACUGACACGCCGUUAUCUGAUAGCUUUGGUUUUUAACCGGGAGCGGUAUGUUUGUCAUAGUAUCAGAGCAAGAUGUUUUGUGUUUCUCUUGAAAGAUAAAAGAAUCUUUUUAGGAUCCUAAUUUUGUGUAAUUUUUUUCCCAUUGUAGUCAAAAUCCGUUUGUAUGUAGGAGAUCAGAUUAUUUCAUAUGGUAUCAGAGUAAAAGAUUCUGUUUUUUAAACAUUUUUAGGAUCUCCUUUUCAAAUAAAGAAAAAGAAUCUUUUAAGGGUCAGAGUAGGAGAUCUUUUAUUUAGGCAUUAUCGGGCUCGUAGUGUCAGGUAAAAAGUUCGCGCAUUUGGCUUGUGGUCGAAAUCAGCUGCGUGUGAGAAAAAGUGUUAGAUAUAAAAUAGUCAAACGCUGUUCUCUAGUAAGUUAAGCUUUUACAGAAAAAGUGCUUAGUUCCUGCCUUUGAUUGUAUUUGGUGCUGCUUCUGCUUCCCAUGGACUGCCUUUUUUGUGCUUUCUCUUUUGGGUUCUUCGCCUUUUCGUUUGAUGGAUAAGUUGAACAAACUGAUUCCUCUGCUUAAAAGUUGCUUACUUUACCAAUAGAAGCUACAUGAAUCUUCUUUGGCAACUGAGUAUUAGAUUCUUGUAAAUAUGAAUGCGAAAUGUUCGUCAUUAUUCCUAUAAGAACUGCACUUGUAAUUUACCAGACACAAAUACAAAUCUUGCUCUCGUUCUUUGGAGUGUUCCUUAAGAGAAUCUCGUUUCUAACUUCUACAAAAAGCAUAAGAAUUGCUACAUAUCUUGUCCUUUGUCAUGUAUCUCCUAACAAUUUAUUUCUCUUUGCCUGAAAUAUACUUUUAGAUUUUCUCAUUCUUUAGCCAUAUCCUUUACGGUUUCGGCCGUGAAGUUUGGCCGUUGCUUUGUAGAUGUGGUGGAUGCAUGUUUCUAGUUGACCACAAUUCCUCUUUACUUCCUAGUGGUGAAAUUGUUCACUCCUGGGGAUUUAGCUUUUUGCCUGUGUAUAGCUUGGUGCAAAUUUUAGUUGCUGUUUAUGACGUAGCUAAUUCAAAUAAAACAUGUGGUUCUUUUUCUUUCUUUUUGUUUUUUGGUGGAAAGGUAAAGCACAUUUUUUCUAUUGUGGUUUUGGUUACUCAAUUAGUUCUUUUAAGUUCUUGUGAAGCCACUGAGACCAAGAAAAUAUCAGGCGCUAUGUGGUCGGUCCUGGAGAAAAAUAUUAUACUUAUUAAUUCAUCGAGUUUUGACCAGGUUUCGCCCGCGCAUUCUCAUAGAUGUUUCCAAAAUUGACAUGACCACGACCGUUUUGGGAUUCAAGAUUUCGAUGCCGAUUAUGAUUGCUCCUACUGCCAUGCAGAAAAUGGCCCACCCCGAUGGUAUGUUAAAUGUUCCAACAUGUAUUUGUAGCCCAAUUCAACUUGGUUUAUCAGAAUAUCCGACUCUUAUCCUGUAAUCACAAAUCAAAUUGUAGAACUUUGAUCUUACUUUAUGUUGAUUGCUAAAGGUUAGGUAGAUUUCAGAAUUUUUUUUGACCCCCCUUAUGCUUCCAACGAGAAGUGUUAGACCAUAUUAACUUGAUCAAGCCUUUUAUUUUUGCCUCAGGGGAGUAUGCAACUGCAAGAGCAGCAUCAGCAGCUAACACUAUUAUGGUUCGUCACCAUUAUCCUAUCUCAUGUUUCCUAUGGCUUAAUAUUUUGAAGUUUCGCUGUUUCACCAACGUGAGCUAUUAAUAAACAUAUGCAAACUUCGCUGAGUGGUUUUUUUUUAAAAAAGUACCUUAUUCUUCACUGCUUAUUAUAGACCUCUUUUGCAAGAAUAGCAUUGAGGACCCAAUGGAAUUUUAGCUCUCACAAGCACAUUUUUGUGUGAGUGUACAGAUAUCCAUUUUGGAUUUUUUUUUUUUUUUGGGUGUUAUCUGCAUACUUCUAAAUUGGCUUGCUGAAGCGCUUUUCUCUACUCCCUACGAUGUCGCAUAUUAUGAUUUUCAAAAUUCAGUCGCUUUAGGAUGAUUCUGUGUUAGCACUGCAAUAGUCCAUUAGUUGCUGGAAUUUGCUAAUUGAAGGGUGUUCCACAUCUAAAUCUCUUAAGAUUCUUUUCCCAGUAUCUUUUUGCAGUUUUAGCUUUUGAAGUACUUACUAUCGGUUCCUGUUUCCUUUCUAGACACUCUCAUCAUGGGCUACUUCCAGUGUUGAAGAGGUUGCCUCCACCGGGCCAGGAAUUCGCUUCUUCCAGCUAUAUGUAAGUAUAUUUUUGCAUUCAUUUAAGUACUUCUUUGGGUAUAUCUAUGAAACCACUUUCCAUGUGAAUUUAUAUAAUCAUCACUCAUUGUUUAAUUUACAUCUUGUUAGGUCUACAAAGACCGGAAUGUAGUCGCGCAGCUGGUUAGAAGAGCCGAAAGGGCGGGGUUCAAAGCAAUAGCUCUUACUGUGGAUACUCCAAGACUUGGUCGCAGAGAAGCGGACAUUAAGAACAGGUAUAUAUGUACUCUUGCAUGCAAUGACUCCAUUUCUCUCAGAGCGUCUAUCAGAAGGUAUCUGCUUUUGUAUUUAAGUGCGUGGAUGAAUGGCUGCUUAAUGCGUGAUGCCUUUCGUUAGGUUAAUGAUUUCCAAAUCCCCUCAAUAUGAUUCUUCUCUUUUGCUUCUUUUUUAGAAGUAAAUUUUUUUUUUUCUUUAUACCACAGUUACAUGGCUCAAUUCGGUGAAAAAGACAUGGUUCUUUUCAGUAUAUUAUCCAUGAUUUGAAUCAAAAGAAUUCUUCGAGUUCAGUUAUGCUGUUCUUGGUUACAUGCUAAUUCGACCACCACUUUUAGUUGAGAUGUUACUGCAUUGUAUUUUCUUUAGUAUUUUUUUUUUUUUUUCAGAGAUUUGAACCUCUAAAUGAGUUGUGUCACACAGAUUUGUUUUACCACCAUUUUUGACCCUGAAGAAUUUUGAGGGUUUGGACCUCGGAAAGAUGGAUAAAGUAAGUAUUUAUUGUAAAUACAAUUUGAUCCUUUCUCAUCCCUUCUUACGUUUUUAUAUAUUUAUUUUGUGUACAGAGUAAUGACUCUGGGUUGGCGUCCUAUGUAGCUGGCCAAAUCGAUCGCUCGUUGAGCUGGAAGGUAUGUUAACUUAUUUACUCACCACGCGCGAUAGUGUUGCACUAAAUACCUUUCAUGUAUUUAUCGUAAACUAUUGCCACAACAAAUAUAAAAGCAAGCUUUUAUAUUACAACACUCUUACUCACUUAUGAAGGGAUUGUCGGUUAUGCUGUUCACAUAGAAUGAUUGUUUUGGAUUUGGCAGGACGUGAAGUGGUUGCAGACGAUCACUUCCAUGCCGAUUUUAGUCAAAGGGGUUCUCACGGCGGAGGACGGUAAGAAUCUCAUUUUGGUUUUCCUUCUUUGCCGAAUCAAUUUCCUCCGUGACUUCAUCUUAAUCCAUGAAUUUGCAGCUAGGCUGGCCGUACAAUCUGGUGCCGCUGGCAUUAUUGUGUCCAACCAUGGAGCUCGUCAGCUCGACUACGUUCCUGCUACCAUCAGUGCUCUAGAAGAGGCAAGCUUCUCUCAACAUGUGUUGUAUGAUUUCGUUUUGAUUACGGCUUGGUUUUGAAAGUAAAAUGGCAUUGAUGUUUUGUUUGGAAAAACUGCGUGUUUUUUCUGAGAUUUAAAUGUUGGACUUGCGAUUUGUUACUGAUGUGUGGUGGGAUAUUCAGGUUGUGAAAGCUGCUCAGGGACGAAUUCCUGUUUUUCUCGAUGGCGGUGUUCGUCGUGGGACCGAUGUAUUCAAGGCUCUAGCUUUGGGAGCUUCUGGCGUAUUUGUAAGUAGAAAUUAGAAUGCCUUAAUUCAGUAGUUUAUUCAAAAAUCCCCAUAAAAUCAAUGCAAGAACAUUAUGACCAUUAUUGAUCAGAUUUUCAGUUUUAGCAAUCUAGCUGCCUUGAAGCUCUUUUUCUGAAAAUUGAAGGAGGAUGCCUCAUGAAUGUUUUUUAGCUUUCAACUGUAACAAUAAUGCUGAAGUUGGCACUCUUUUUAGACAGUAGACUGAAAGAAAGGAUUCCUUGCGACGUAAAGCAACCUUCAGGAUAAAUUGUUAAGACUGAAACUCUGAGAAUGUAGCUGAAACCGGGAUCAAAUUCUGCGGACAAAAUUUGUAAUCUACUGUGUUAACUAGGAUUGCUGAUCAUAUACUGCGCAUUAUAAGGAUCAAUUUCGCUAUAAAUUUAUAGAUUGGGAGGCCUGUGGUGUUCUCUUUGGCUGCCGAAGGCGAGGCCGGUGUGAGAAAGGUCCUCCAGAUGCUUCGCGACGAGUUCGAGCUCACCAUGGCGUUAAGCGGAUGCACCUCGCUCAAAGAUAUCACUCGCAACCACAUUAUCACCGAGUCCGACAAGUACCGCACCGUAUCCAGGUUAUAAUUAAGCCACCAAAAUAACCACCAUUCAUUCCUCUGUAACAAAAGAGCUACAUAUAAUCUCUUGGUUAUGAAUGGACUUUAAUUAUUCGAGUGAAGGAAAUUGAGUGGAUUCCAGGGACCCUAUCUACAAGUUUCAACUGAUGACAAUGGAACAUACUUUUAUUAACUGAUUGGCAUCAGUCAUGAAAUUUGAUGUAUAUUCUUCUGAUUACAUAUUGAAAUGCAUAAGUUAAUGUCAGCUUCUGUUGAAAUAUGAUGCUUAAUUUUGUAUUUUAAGAUUUACAUAUAUUUCUCUUUCGAAUUGUCUAUUUACCUUGGAGUGUUUUUGGUUGUUUGCACUUACUACAUGCAAACUUAAACAUUUUUGUUUGCUUUGCUGUAAUUACAGCUACAUGCUGUAGUUUGACUUGUGAUCAAAAGACUCAAAUUGCUACAUCGUGAACUACGUCCAAAUCUGACGUAGUUGGAGAUGCAGUACUUGAAGAGUGUAACUUUACCUGCUCUGCUCGCUUUUUAAAUAAAAAGAGUAACUUUUUAUUUUUGAGGGGGUAAUCCUAAUCAUAUCAUAUAUAAUGUAAUGAAAUCUAUAACAUAAUUCUCAAUUACGAGCAACCAAAUAAAGUUUUUUAAUUGCAUCACUUUUCGUGUUCAUAUUGCUACACGAGUUAAAUGCAGAUAUACCUACCAUAUCUUCAACUGCACGCAUCUUUAAUAGUAACUAGUGUAAUGACCCGCGCUUCGCGGCGGGAGGUCAUCUUUAAUAGUAACUAGUGUAAUGACCCACGCUUCGCGGCGGGAGGUCGUAACAUUAAGAGCUAAUAAUAUGACUGUAAUUAUAUUUAUUUAUUACGAAACAUACAGAUAUACAUAACAUUCACAUUAUGUAAGAUAACUAAAUAUAUACUAUAGAUUAUCUAAUAUGAUGUAAUGUCUUUGAUAAUGCAAAUAUAAUUGAUAAAACAGUUCUUAGAUCAUUAUGGCCUAGCGGUUCCACUUGAUUUCUUGCGGGUAUGAAUCAUAUAUAUAUAUAUAUAUAUAGUCCGGCUAUGGUGCUUGUAAAAGCACCAAGCACUUUGUGCUUGUAAAUUUUUUACCGUUAGAUCUAUGCCUUUGAUCAUUUUUACCCGUUAGAUUAUACUAUUCAACCAACAACCCACUCAACCCUAGGGGGCUCACAUCAUCCUAACCACGCAUUCCUUAAUCCAAGGGCCGAAAUCUUACAAGCACCAAAGACUUGGUACUUUUAAAAGUAUAGGAGCUCAAAUAUAUAUAUAUAUAUAUAUAUAUAUAUAUAUAUAUAUAUAUAUAUAUAUAUAUAUAUAUAUAUAUAUAUAUAUAUAUAUAUAUAAUAUUUUAAAAAUAUUAAUACUUACAAACGUGGCUUUUUCGCUACAGCAGAUGUUUCAAUAGGCAAAUCACUAUCGUUCCUUGACAAAAUACUGCAAGUCAAUAAUUUUUUUUUUUGAACAGGCAGAAUAUUAAUUAUUAUAUUUUUUUUCCCACAGACAGAACAUCUUGAUUGGCUUUCGGUAGGACUAUAUUCGCCAAUAGUAUUUUCCACUUGAGCACUAUUUUUAACAGGUAUAAUAAGUUGAUUUUCAGAAGUGGCCGUACUAUUAAAUUCCUUUGCAAUAUGAUUAUUCUAAAUCUCCUGUUUUGAUUCCAAGUAUACUAUAAAUUAUUUGUAAAUUGUCUUUUACUUUGCUAACUCCAAUAAAAAUAGUAUCUCACGCACAACAUAAACUUUUCUCUUAUAAAAUUUUUCAUACUACACAGCAUAUUUCUUGCCCUCUUGCUUUUUUUCUUAACUUUCUCUAUAUAUAGCAAUAUUGUUUAACAUCAUACACAGGGUUCAUGAAACAAAAAAUUGCAUAGUACAUAGAAUAUUUUUUGUACUUUUGCUAUCUUUCUUAUUAUUACAAUGCAUGCAUCUUCCCCCCCAACUCUUUCUACUCAUAGCCCAUGUGAGUCCAUGCAUGUCACUUGAACAUAGCCCAUGUGGGUCCAUGUGAGGGAGAGAACAUGUGAGAGAGAAAGAAAAUCCACCAUGUGGUUCGACGGAGAAACGACAUUUGGUUUCAAACUUCAGUAUAGAGUUUAAUGCUUAGACUCCACAUCAACUAGAGAUUAUUUUGGGUUGGAUCUAGAAAUAUUGGCAAAGUCAAUUAGUGGUGCUUGUCACCAGUCCUAAAAGUCAAAAAUAAUUAAAUCCUCCAAAACCAUGUUUCUUUUGUUGACAUAUCUUUUGGAAAGUUUUUUUUGAGAAAUAGGUAGCAAUAUCUUUUGGAAAGUUAUGUAUGUGACAUCCACAUUAAGCUGGUGUUCAAUUUCUAUUCUCUAAAAAUUCUGUAGCAGCACUUCUUUACCAGUUUUGGAAUAUGUUGUGUCAUAGAAACUGUAAAUUUGAAAAAUAUUUCGAAAACUUUAAAAAGCCCAAAUUUUUCUACAAAUUUCGUACUGAUUUGACAACUCAAUUAGAAUACUAUUAAUAGUAUAUGACUUGUAAUUACUAUCCAUUUUUUUUUACCAUCGGAUCAUAUUACUAUUCCACCAAACCCUCACUAAAUCCUGCAUACGCAAUGGUUAAAAAGUGGAUAUUAAAUACUAUUCAUGUACUAUUAACUCCUGAUUUGGGAUAAUUAACUUCAAAAAUUUCUCUCCACUGUGGAAAAGUAAUAAUUAAAUUAAUAGUAACAAACAAACCGACCGUUCCUAGCAUAUGGUGAAGUAUUUGAUUGUUGGUAUUCGAGAUUCCAAAUUCCAAGCCUAGUUGCUUAAUAUUUCUACCUGAGUUCAUUUCUUAAACAAAUCUCAAGAUUAUUUUAUCACAAGAAGCUGUAAUGAGUAUUUGGAUUUGCAAGCUCAAAGUUUUAGUUGAAAACUUCUACUUACGGCUACAAUAAAAGAUUAUUAGAGAGGUUUCGACCAAAAAAAAAAAAAAAAGAAAGGUAAAUUAUUAAUUAAUGGUUUUUAUAUUUUCGACUAAGUUUGUUUGGUAACAGUUCUUCUACAGAAGCUUCAAUGUACGUAGCUUAUCAAGCCCUAAGUUGCAAGUGUCAACACCAAACAUUGAUUACUCUUCCACUAACCCAACAUUAAUUGGAAGCAUAUGUAUGAAAUUUCCCAUUUGGAACAUCUUAGAAUGAAAGAUGUCAUAUAUUUCACAUGUUCAACGUAUUUGGGAUAUGUGGAAUUAGGUAACAUUAUCAGUAUACUUCGCCCCAUUCUUGAAUCUUAGCCAGUUAGAUCCACAUGCAUAAAGAAAGGAAAAAAUGCACUCUAUAUAGAAAUUAAGGAGACUCUUUUUUGGAAAGUUUAAACCAAUAUAGUUUUUAAAAAUUAAGAAAUAUUCUUUAGAUUUCUAGAUAAAUUCUAAGAUUGUUUUCUACUAUUUGGAUCUUGUUGGGUAACAAUGGUGCAUAUAUAGUAAAGUUAGUACUAAAACUCUUUUAUUCGCAAAGUUUCUAAAUUCGAUUCGUAUAUAUUUGCAUCUAUUAUUUUGUUAUUCUUUUUUUAUUACCUCGUUAGAUAUUAUUAUCUCAUCACACAAUGUAAGCAAAUUCUAAAUUGUUUUCUAUUAGAUCGAAUCGACUUUUGGGUAACACUAUCAACUCUUUUUGGUUAGGACGAAUUUUGUUUGUAGUUUAUUUUCUUUUAAUUUUCCUCCUUUUUUCUUCUACUUUGGCGUGUAAAGGGUAGGGUUCUUCAACUGUUUAGUAAUUAAGUGCACGCAUUAUACUUUUUCUAAAGUUUAGGGUGAUAUAAUACAUGGUAUUAAAUUUGGACACAACACACCACCUAACAUAUAUACAAUAUUGCACACGUGAAUGGCAAAGGCCAAUUAGUUUAGUGGUUCAACGUGUUUUGGACCAAACCACUCAAUUACUUAUUCUUUUCCACAACAAUUAAUUCCACCUUUUUGAUAUUUAUAUUUAUUUCUACUUUUUGGAAAAUUAGAGGCACAUUUUAUUAGUUAGCUUUCAUUUUCUUGAUUAGAAAGAGACACGAGAUCAUAUCUGAGUGAUAUGUUUUUUUUUUUUUUUUUCUAAUUUAUUUUAUUUUAUUUUUUCUCAAGAAAACUAAUUGUAUACUAUUCUAAUUAAUUAAGAAGGGCAUUUAAGAAUCAUAUAUAAAUUGAUUGUAACUGUGGUUUAACAAGUAAAUUGUUAAUUACCAAUAGCAAGUAAAUUUUCACCAAAUGAGAUCUUUUAAUUCAAUCUCACAAAUCAUAUAAGUAAUAGUCCCAAACAAUUGGAAUUAAUAAAAUUAGAAUAAUGGAGUAAUAAUAGGAUCAUUUUGAAGCCAAUAAUAGAGCAUAUAAAUAAAGGGACCGGCCAAGGAGUUACCGAGCACAUAUCGAACCUACACGGUACACAAGCGCAGCUAAAAUAAGAUCUUUUGUAGAAAAGAAUGUGUAUAAGAAUACAUAAUUUAUACAGUUCGGCCAACAAUAUGUCAACUUAGCAACGUUCACGGAUGAGACCUUCUUAAUGCGUUCUCUGGUUAAUCCACAUACUACAACAAAAAUGAUAUAUAGCGACACCUUUAAAUAUAGGUAUAGGUCAAAAAAUAUUGUUGGCUAAAUUACCGACACUUUUUAAAAGUGUUGCUAUAUGUGAGAUCGCCUUAAUAUUUGGCACAUACUUUUCUAGCGACUUGUGGCAGAGAGACACGUAGCGAUCGUAGCUCUCUACGGUCUCUACGAGAUUCUCGUGGCCGAACUCCAGCCGUCGAAACUCUACAUCGUCGGCUGUAGCGGCGGAGGAGGAGAAGAGGAGAUGGUAAUUUUUUUUUUUCCUUUUUUCUAUUUCUAAUCGGGCCGAGUAGACUGGGUGGGGUUGGCUGAGUAGAUGAACUUUUUGUUUUUGAUUGGAUUUAGCUUUAUAUUUAGUUCUUAGUAGAUUUUUUUAAAAAAAUUUGAUAUAAAUGAGACACUUACACAAAAGUGUCCUAAAAUGUGUCUCUAUAACCUAAUUUCGUCAUGUGUUUCUAUAACUUAAUUCUGUUAUAGUGACAACAUAAAAGUCUUUAACUUUUUCACCAUAAUAUUGAUUUGAAAUAUGGUUUUACAUAAAUCCAACGAUAAAAUUCUCUAAAAAGUGCAUCCAAACAUUGCAAGUGGGGAAAAAAGAAAACUUUGUUACUUCAAAACAAAAUAUUUUGUCAAAAAUACUAUGUUUUUACAAAGUUUCCAAACAACCCCUAAUUACAUACGAUAUUUUAGGAUACUAACUAAUGCCUGACUCUAUUAAUUUCUAGUAUAUAUUCAUCAAAUCACAAUCAGCUAAAACAAGUAUCUAAACAACCCAAAAAUAAUCAAAAAAAAGAAAAAGGAGGGGGAAAAAAAAAUCUAAGCAACAUUGUUAUCUAUGGUUAUAGGGAGAGAUUGCAUUUAUUCUUGUUUUUCUCUUCUGAAGAAACCGUUGCAGCGACCGCUUCAUCGAAAGCCCCGAAUUCGAUAACUGUGAAUUUUGCAGAUUCGGAGCCAGAUUUUUUCUUUGCUGUAGCUGUGAUUGUUGUUGGUAUUGUUGAAUUUGGUUGCAGUUGCUUUUGCUGAUAUUUCUAUUUUCUUUUUCCUCCAUUUCUCGUCUCGCCAUCGAUAUAAUAGCUCGCGCCUGUUCAAAAAAAGAAAAAAAAAGAAAGAACAAAACCAUUAAUAUAAAUAAAAAGUAGAAAUUACUAUAGAUUGUCAUCUGAAUUGUAAAAAAUUUAAAUAAACUAUGUAAAAUAAAACGAUGAAUUCAAUCUCACGAGAAUCAAAUGAAAUCAAUGAUUCAAAUGGUAUAGGGUGUCGAAGGUAAAAUACUUUUAAACUAUUAGAGUAAUUGAUUGAUUCGCACGGCAACUUUUUAUGUGAUCUUAGGUUUUCUUGAUUUGAUUAAUUGAAAUAUUUAGGGUGUGUUUGGUUCCAUGUAAAAUUUUAAUCAUCAAAAGAAAUUUUCAGAGGAAAAAAAGUUUUACACUCUUUAAUUAAUGUUUAGUUUGUAGAAAAAAAUAUUAGUUUUUUUAUUACGGUUGUUUGAUUGAAAGGCAAAAAAAUAUAAAUAAAUAAAAAAUUAAUAUAUGUAUUUUUUUUCUUAUUUUAUAUAUUAUCUGAUCCGCGUGUUUUUUAUACCAAUUUUUGCUUUCCGCGGACGCAUGAUGGAAAACGAAAACGGGAUUUUUAUCCGGAGAAUCUAUAAAAAAUUUUUAAUUUUUUUUUUUUUUUUUACAAGCAAGCAGAUAUUGGAAAAAAAAUUUUCAAUAAAAAAAUUUCGAAGUGAUUUUACAGUAAACCAAGAACACUCUUAGGGAAUUUAGAUUUUUUUUUUCAAGUUUACAUUAGUUUUUAAAGUUUACAAUUUUAGGUGGAUCUUGAGUAGAAAACAAGUUGGACAAGAGCUCUAACAAUUUCAAACUUUAAUAUAUAACAAAAAAAUCAAACACAUGUCAUGCACUAAUAAUUAAAAUUAGUAAAUUGAAGCGUGUUUUCUACGUGAUGUGUUGACUCGUUCUAGUCAAGGUCAAAAACAUACAACUCGGGCCUUUUUAUUAUUUUUUUUUUUUUGGAGGUGAUAAAGAAAGAAGGUGGAGAGUGGUCGGAAUAUGUCCACGUUGGCAGGUUUACUAAUUCUUUAAUUAAUCACUAAGAAAACUUCAAAAUCAGCCAUUGGCCAAUCGCCAACCGCCACCUGUCCUUAUUCUAUUUAUCCUUUUACUUAGUAUGCACCUUGUAGACAAUUUUUUUUUUUUAGAAAAAAAAAGAAUACGCGAUUUACAAAAAAAAAAAAAAAAUUUUGAUGAAUAAGAUAUUCUCCAAGUUUCACAUGAAAUGUAUUAAUGUGUUACAUAUAGAUUAAUUUGUACGGUACAGAUCAACAUAUUAAUAGAUAUAAUAGUACUAUAGAUACCUCAAACACUGUGGAUUCAAUAUUCUCCCACAAUUAUUGAUGAGCAUUUAUAAUAUUUCAUUAGUUAGAUCCCUACAUGAAUCCCCUAAAUAAACAUCCCAAUACAGUGUUCAAAAGGUUUAAAUGUGCUAUACAAAGGAUUAAGUGAGGAUUUUUUUUUCCCCUUUUUCUUUAUUUUCCAAUUAUAUGUGUGGCAACACAAGAUAUAUAUAUAUAUAUAUAUAUAUAUAUAUAUAUAUAAAGAUAUAUAUAUAUAUAUAUAUAUAUAUAUAUAUAUAAAACAAAUAUUGAAAAAAAAAGAGAGAAGUAAACAUAUAUAGCUAGCUGAAACUGGAUGGAUGGGCAAACCUGAAUCUCCGUCACGUCGCAGACGCAAAUCUGGCCGUCGUAGAAGAUCGUGAUCUUAUUCUCCGCCCGCUGCUGCUGCUGUUGCUGCUGCUGCUGCUGCUGCUGCUGCUGCUGCGGCAGCGACGACUGCCGAUAUCCGACUUUGUUUUCGCGAGACCAUCUCUUCUCCCUACAUGAUUUCAAUAUGCGUAACCUCAUUAGAAACAAAUCAAAAUUUUACACUGGGCAUUAGCAAUUAAAGGAAAUAAGAGAUUGAAGCGCAUGACAUACCUGCUAGUUUUGACACAGUUGUUAUCGUUGUUGUCGCUGCUGCCGCUGCCGCUGCCGAGUCGGAGGCUGAGCUCCGGAAUAUCGUGAUCCGAUAUCCCUCCCAUUCUUUCUUUCUUUCUUUCUCCUCCUUGUUCUUAUUGGAAUGUUGGUUGAGAAUUGGUAAUGGAGAUAUGAGGAAUUUGAAAGAAUGAGAAUGUAUUUAUAUUUAUAUAUACAAUAUCGAUAUGCGUUGUAUGUGAAAGACGCGGGAGACAGCGCGGCAAAGCAACGUGGAGAACGCGGUCAUCAUUUGCAAUUUUUUUUCUUUUUUUUUGGGGGAGGUUUUUGUCGGCAUGAAUGGCACGUGGAUCACUAGAAUAAGUAAUUAAUGUCUGUAUUCGGUGUAUCCGUACAUAUCGUGCACUACUUUUUCUUUCCCAUAAGAGAAAAAAAAUAUUGUAGGGCGAAAAAAGAAAGGAUAUUUAAUUUAGUUUGUUCGGCGUGAAAGAGAAUAAAAGAAGAAAGCAAAAGAUAAAAGUACAUAAAAAAAUAAAUUAUGUUGUUCGGCCAUUAUAUAUACUUUCUCUUAUUUAUCACAUCAAAUUUAAAAUAUAGAUCGAAAAAAAAAAAAAAAAAAUAAAAAAUAUUUACUGUUUAAAAAAUUUAAGACAUAUCUUACGUAUUAAUUAAUUGUAUUAAGAAAGAAACCCACUAUUAUAAGGCUCUAGGGUUGUGAAAAGCUUUCUGAAAUAUACUUGGUUUCAGAUGCUUUAAUUUCAACUAUCCUAUUAUUUGUAAAAAAAAUUAUUUUUAUUAAAUAAUUAGUUUCAAAUAUACAUGUGAUGGAGAUAUUGCUCUAUGAAAGUGGUAAAGGGGGCACGUAUUACUUAUAUUACAGUUCUGUGCGUCGAAAAAUAUUAUAUGUAAAAUUAUCCGUAAGGCUAACUCGCGAUGAGAUGAAUUCCAGGCUUCCAGCCGCUCGAUAUUGAUUGCCGAGAUUCAUCCAGAUAGAGAUGGGCUACGGGAUGCGGACGGUCGAGGUCUAAUAGGCUACGGAUAGGGAGUUGUAUAGCGCUUAUUACAGAAAUAUUCUGUGCACAGGAUUAUAUCUAAUAUGCGUCGUGGAUCACGUGUAGGGUGCACCAGGCGCAGGUAAUAUUUUCUUUUUGAGCAGAUGGGGAUAGACCCCAGUUGGACUGUGGUGGCUGCCGCACAUUUUCUUUUCUUUUUUAUUUUUAUUUUUUUUUUCUGGGUUAAAAGGGGGAUCAUCACACAUGAUAAAUGUUGCCUCACGUUUUUUUUUUUUUAAUAUUUUUAUUUUUUAAAACGUAGAAAACUUAUAUGAAUUAUUAAUUAUUUUUAGUUGGCUAUUUAAUUUUUUUAAAUUUUAUUUUAUUAUUUAUUUAUUUUAUUUAUCUGAUUUGAAUCAGUUAGCGACACUUUGAUUUUAAAAUUUGAGUUCGUCAUCUAUUUUUAUAUAUUUAGUUAGUCUACUUUAUGUAAUUUUCUUAAAUCUAAAUUUGCUAAAGUAAUUAGAUUAUAUUUAACAUUAAAAUAUCGUUGACUAAUUCAAAUAAAAUAAACAAAAAAAUUAAAUAAUAAAAUUAUAAUUUUGAAAGGCUGAGUAGCGAAUUUAAAAAAAUAGUUUAUAAUUUACAUAAGUUUUUUACGCUUUUUUUUUCUUUUUUUUUUGAUAAUUGUUGCUUCGCUAUGGAAGCUAAAAAGAUGUAUUUUAAGUUUUAACCGCGGGAACAAACUAACCAAUCAGGGAAGAGACAUAUAUUUAGACAAGCACAACUUUAAAUUAGAGCAUCUACUAUUAACUUUUAUUUAUUUAUUUUUUUCUUUAGGGCGUCACGUUUGAAAUCUAAGGUUAUUGUGGUCAACAAUCACACUUUUCUUAAUUUAUUACUUAAUUAAUUAUAUUUUCACCUCUUCAAAUCUUAAAAAGUCAACAUUUGUAUGAGGUGGGUUAUAAAAAAAAAAAAAGCUUUUCUCUCAAAUUUUUUUUUUGAAGUCCUCCAUAUAUACUGAUUUAAUUUUAAAUUAUUAAGGUUUUGAAGGCACGAUGAUUUAAUUGAUCAGCUUUUCCCAAAUUAAUAAUUACUUAAUUGGUUGAUUAUAUCUGGUGAAUUAAUCAUAAUGAUCAAGAGGUUUAGUUAAGAUCACUGGUCAUUAUUGAAUUUAUCUUCUAAGUUUCACUUUCUCGGGCCUCUAAUUUUCUCUUUUUUUUUUCAUUAUUUUAUGUUGUUGUUGCAAUUGAGUCAAAUUGUUAGAGAUCGAUUUAUAUGUCAAUGAGGUUACUUUGCUAAAACUCUUCUGAUUUUUCUAAUAAAAAAAAAAUUAACAUGACAAUCAAUAUAUAUAUAUAGUUGUAUAGUUGUCACUUCAUUUCAUUAUAAAGAAACGAUGUGGCUGCUCACUAAAUUGCUGUAUCGUCUGAAAAAACAUCGCCACAGACAAAAAUCGUUAGAACGCUUUCUACUGAAAUUUUAUUUCUAUUUCCUUAGCUGACUCAUCUUGCAUUUGUCUAGUCACAAUUUUGGCAUUAUUUUGUGCAUGUUUGUAGAUUUUUUCUGUGCACAAAAAAAAUGUCACCAUUCAAUAUUUGUGAUCUAAAGAUGUAUAAGGUGAGAUCACCUGAUUAAUCAAAAAUAAAUAAAUGAGAAAAAGAUAACUUGAGAUGCCAUGUGGUAUAAUUAGAUGACCCUAAGCUACCGUUUGGUUCGGGGUUAAGGAAAAACUAGUUAUUCCAGAAAUAUGGUUAAAUUUAGGGUUAAGGUGGGGUUAGAGUAUUUUUGUGUUUGGUUGGGGGGUUGGAGUUAGUCCAGGAUAGUGAAAAAUAGUGUUUGGUUGGAGUAGGUGGGAUAAGAAGGAUAGUGGGUUAUUAUGAAUAGAAAAUAGUGUUUGGUUGGGGUUUGGUGGGGUUAGGUGGGGUUAGCUAAUCCGGGAUAACCCAUUUAAGAUGGGGUUAGCUAACCCCACCCAUUUUUAGAAGUGUUUGGGGAUAAAAUAGGGAAGUGUUUGGGGAUAAAAUGGGGGUUAAGGGUUAUUCCACCCCUUAACCCCUAACCAAACGGAGGCUAAAACUAUUAUUUGUCGUAAAAAUUAACAUUUUUUACUAAAACUAAAAAAUGUAUGUUUGGGUGCCGCCACCUACUGGAAUAAAAUAAAAUAAAAUAAAAUAAAAGGGCAAUUGCUUUUAUGCCCUUAUGAAGUUCUCGAUUUUCAUAUUUAUCCAUCUUACAAGGAUAAUAAAAAAAAAGGAUAAUUGCCUAUAUACCCCUCAAAAUUUGAAAAAUAUCUUAUUUAUUCAUUUUUUUUUUCUUUCCAAUAUACCCCUUAUAUGUUCCUCCGUUAUUUCAAAAUACCCAUGCAGUUACCACCCGUUAAGUUAACUUGGGUUAGACGCGAGUUAAAUAUCUACCACAGUUAAAAAAAAUUAAAAUGCCACUUUUCCCCUUAGCUUAAGGGCAAAUAAGAAAAUAUUGGUGAUGGUAGAAGAGUAUAUUUGAAAAGAUCAAAAAGCAAAAUAUUUUUUGUGCCCCUAACUUAAGGGCAAAUAAAAAAAGUCGAUGAUGGUAGAAGGAUAAAUUUGAAAAUGGCAAAAUAGUAAUUUAAUAGAGAUAACAGAGGUCAUUAACAUAUUUUAACUCUAAGGUAUAUUGGAAAUAGGUUAAAACGUAAAAAGGAUAUUUUCAAUAUUAGCCUUUUAAGAGAGGUAAAUCAUAAAGUCAGGAACUUUUCAGAAAUAUAUAAGCAAUUGCUUCUAAAAAAAUUAUCCUUUUUAAUUUUUACUAUUCUAAAAAUAUCCUUAUAAAAUUUGAAACUCUUCGAAAUAUAACCCUAAAGUUAGACUUUAUUAGUGCAACAUUAAAAAAAAGGUUAUUUCCUGUGAAAUAACUAUUUUGCUUAUUUAAAUAUAUAUAUUAUAUUAUUUUGCUUACAUUUUUAUUUGCCUUUAAAAGGUGCUCCUACCUUUUCAUUUAUCCUUAAAAUAAUUUUCUAUUUAUUCUAUUUAUUCUUGCAAAAUCAAUUUGAAUAAUAAAAAAAUUAUAAAAAUAUUUUACAGAGGUCAUAAAAUAUUUUGUAAGUUUGGAACGAUAAGCAGCCAGUUAUGAAUUGAGGCCACAAGUCAUUGAUGCUUGGAUACGGAGGUAAUAAAAUAUCUUGUAAGUUUCCUGUGAAUUGAGGUCUCGUUCGUAUACAUCUUCUCUCCGUUUCCCGCCUCUAGUGAGUUACAAAUAGAGUUAGAAAAGAUCAUAAUUUUUGAUGAUUCUAUCAUACAUGAUUGAGUUGCAAAAACUUCUUGAUAGGUAUUCUACAUUUGAACUGAAUUCUUUCUGGUUAAAAAAUCUCUUUCUAGUUACUCCGAAACAAUUAGGAGAUUUUCUGAAAGAAAUAUAAGUUCUGCUUCUGACGGCAGCAUGUCAUUGGAUGGUGGUCCCGCUUAUAGGGUCAAAUCGAUAAGUUCUAAGAAAAAAAAUUUGAAUAUCAAUCUCAUCGAUCUCAUAAGUAUUAUAUCAAAUCCCAUCAAUCGAAUCACUUUUUUCGAGAAAUACGAGACAUCUAAGUCGUACAAGUAAAGAUAUCUAUUCAUUGAUAAGAAAAAAGAAAAAAAAACAUGAACAGUAAUUGAAUUGAUAAUAAAAUAGAAUCUUAGAUUGUGAACAGUGAUUCGAUUGAUGAUAGAGAAAGAAGAUUCUUCGUUCAGUUCUCUACCUUAAGAUAAAAAAACGAACUGAUCUCAACGAAUGUGGGUGAAAUAGCAUAUAUUGCGGAGCGAAAUUGGUCAAAAAAAAAAAAUAAAUCUAACGGUCGAAAGCAUCCCAGAAUAAAAGUAUAAGGUGGGGGCCACCACCGGUUUAAUUUGCGGCGGCGUUCGGCCGUCUGCUGUGGGAAAUCGAACCAGCGCCGAGAAAAAGAGAGAGAAAUCGCCGCUGCCGUGCGGCGCACGGAAGUCAAAGACGGCGUGUGUUGCAUGCCCAUAUAAUAGUAAACACUACGGCGCAUUGUCGCUUUUUUUUUUUUUUUUUUUUUUUUUUNAUUUUUAUUUGCCUUUAAAAGGUGCUCCUACCUUUUCAUUUAUCCUUACAAUAAUUUUCUAUUUAUUCUAUUUAUUCUUGCAAAAUCAAUUUGAAUAAUAAAAAAAUUAUAAAAAUAUUUUACAGAGGUCAUAAAAUAUUUUGUAAGUUUGGAACGAUAAGCAGCCAGUUAUGAAUUAAGGUCACAAGUCAUUGAUGCUUGGAUACGGAGGUAAUAAAAUAUCUUGUAAGUUUCCUGUGAAUUGAGGUCUCGUUCGUAUACAUCUUCUUUUCGUUUCCCGCCUCUAGCGAGUUACAAACAGAGUUAGAAAAGAUCAAAAUCUUUGAUGAUUCUAUCAUACAUGAUUGAGUUGCAAAAACUUCUUGAUAGGUAUUCUACAUUUGAACUGAAUUUUUUAUGGUUAAAAAAUCUCUUUCUAGUUACUCUGAAACAAUUAGGAGAUUCUCUGAAAGAAAUACGGGGUUCUGCUUCUGGUGGCAACAUGCUAUUGGGUGGUGGUCCCGCUUAUGGGGUCAAAUCAAUACGUUCUAAGAAGAAAUAUUUGAAUAUCAAUCUCAUCGAUCUCAUAAGUAUUAUAUCAAAUCCCAUCAAUCGAAUCACUUUUUUCGAAAAAUACGAGACAUCUAAGUCGUACAAGUAAAGAUAUCUAUUCAUUGAUAAGAAAAAGAAAAAACGUGAACGGUGAUUGGAUUGAUGAUAAAAUAGAAUCCUGGGUCGCGAACAGUGAUUCGAUUGAUGAUAGAGAAAGAAGAUUUUUCGUUCAGUUCUCUACCUUAACGAUGAAAAAAUGAACUGAUCUAAUUCUAUUGAGUCUGACUCAUAAUGAUCAUUUAUCAAAGAAUGACUCUGGUUANUAAAUCUAACGGUGGGAAGCAUCCCAGAAUAAAAGUAUAAGGUGGGGGCCACCACCGGUUUAAUUUGCGGCGGCGUUCGGCCGUCUGCUGUGGGAAAUCGAACCACCGCCCAGAAAAAGAGAGAGGAAUCGCCGCUGCCGUGCGGCGCACCGAAGUCAAAGACGGCGUGUGUUGCAUGCAUGCCCAUAUAAUAAUAAACACUACGCCGCAUUGUCGCUUUUUUUUUUUUUUUUUCGAUUUUGAUCCUCCUCGAUGGGAACGAUAAAAACGUGGUGUUUUUCUCUACACGUAAUCCUUUUCCACGACUAUUUCCCAUUAAAAAUGAGUCGCGUCCCAGUCGAGGAAAAAGAAAAAAAAAAAAAAAAAUUGGUGGGGCACAGUCUCUAGUACAAGACCGUUCUAUCUAUUGUUCAUACGGCUAUGUACUUUUAUGCGAAAUACAUCCGUACAAACCUGCGUUCAGAAAAAGUGUAGAACAGUUAUAUUAUUUCUCUAUGCUAGAUGUAUUUAGGAGUUGUUUGCUUUCAAGUAGUGUAAUUAUAAUACAGUACUUGUAAUUAUACACAGAUUCAAAUUCAACGACUGCAGUUAAAAUUAUAUAGAGAGGUCCAACUAUAGCGGUCAGAAAUAUGACUAAAUUAGCCACAUUAAACAAAAAGAUAAGUUUGACAUCCUCAUCAAUUUUUAAACAAUUUUUUUUGAAAUAAAAAUAGCAAGCUAUCCGGCUCAUGAAAAGAAAAAAUUUCGUUACUAUAUUAGAGAUAAUUUCACCCCCAUAUAUUUACAUAAAUAUUUGAGAUUUUUAUUGGGCAAAAUAAACCGAGAGUCUCUGCGUUGUUUUCGUUCGACAAGUUCAUUGAUCUUCUUUUAUGGGGUCAGAAUAAAUCUACUUUUACUUAAAAGUUGGAUUUGGUGGAAGAUAAUCUAGAAUUAACCGUACCACGCCUAGAAUAGAAACACCGUGAUUUCUAAAAAAAACGACCAGAAUUAGUCUUAGUACUAGUACUAACAACCUUCUCCAAGACAAAAAAACCAAGUUUUUAUACUUUUAAUUAAAUAUUUGACUUUAAAUAUAAUGUUUUUAUGCUGAUUCUUGAAAAAUAUUUGAAUUUAAAUAAGCUAACAAGUUAUGAUAGAAGAGUAAAAUUGUUAUUUUAUAAGAGAAAUUAUGUUUUUCUUUUUUCAUUUUCCGGACAUUUUAUGAACUACCCAAAACGUUUCACCCUUGUUUGGUAUGAUUAGAUACCAAUCCAAUCCAAUCCAAUCCAAUCCAAUCCAACUAUCAAUUUUUAUCAAAAUAUAUCAUUAAAAUAUUUUUACUAUAUUUCCCUCGAAAUCAUUAUAAUACUUGUGAUAUAUCUAAUGAUCUUUUUGACCUUAAUGUGCAAUGGAACUGAUCUACUACCUAUCAAACAUGAAAUAGCUAUUAUGUAGAAGACAUUUAGUAAGCUGUUUUUCUAGUUCAGUCUACAUGUCGAAAGAUUAUUUGGCCUAACUUCUGCAACGGCUUCUCUACGGAGAAAAGCAAUGGCCAAGCCGCGGCUGAAAGCCAAAAAAAAGGUUUCUGUAACCUUUGCGAUUCAGACGAAAGUUACUCAAAAGAUUCAACGAAAAACUGCUAGUGCCUUAGGGCUUACUGUUUUUCGAAUCAACACUACUGAAGCUCCAACCAAGCCAGAUAUGCAUCGUCGUAGUUCAGAACAACAACCAACCAUAUGCGCAGAGUCCAAUUUGGGUGGCCCAGAUUGGUUCGCACGGUGUGUCUGAUCCUUCCAACUUUUGAAUAAGUGCUAUUUGACUAGAAUUGUUCGAAGCACAGUCAGCAUCCGACGGAAAAGAUAGCUAAAAGAAAGAGGUUGUCAUAGUGCCAGCAAAAUAUUUUCAUUUGACAAGUAAUGAAUGAGCUUAAAAGGAAAAUGCAUCGAAAAAUAUGGAAGACAAAUUGAUUAUUCAUGCAAUGAAUAGCACAUUACAAAAAUGAAAUAGGGGCUACCUGUGUAAUCCCGAGAUAGCAUCAUGACCAUGGCCAUUGCGCAUCUCUCCACACACACCACCGUUUUUUGUCACCCUCAGUGCUUGUGCUAUUUGAAUUGUUCAAAUUUUUAUUGCAGCUGAGCUCCUGAUCACGGAGUAAAGCUUCGGCCCGGUAGUUUGGGUUGCGAUACUUGGGAUGGCCUAAAAACUUGACGUUUUUCAACCAGAGUCUUAGGGCCUGAACCAAUGAAAAGAGCAAGAAGAUCAGAAUCUUUAGUAGAUGAAAAAGCUACAGAAACAUUAAGAAUGACUGUUAAAGAUUAAAAGCACAUACAUGUCAUUUAUUACAGAGAGUUCACGGAAAAAGCACUCGCUUAUUUUUGCCACAUUUCAUUAAUUUCCCAUUCGUUGGAUGGCCAUAACAAGCUUUAGCUACUGAAAAAUCAAGCUCAUAUAUUUAAUGAAAACUUAGUCGAGGUAAAUACACUGCUGCUGAUUCGAAAAUAUAAGAAACCCCACCCCUUAAGUAACUAUAAACUCCGUGCUUCUGACAUUAGAAUCAUCUGAAAGAAUCUAAUUUUACUGGUUAGAAAAUGUAUCAUAUGAUUUCAAGUCAUUUUACUUGUCAAAAAUUUAAGAAUAACAAGUGGUAAGAGCAUAAGGCCAGAAUAUUCCAAAACCAAAACGAUUCUAAAAAUGCUUCCAUGCCAUAUUACCUAACAUAGAUCAAGUGUAAGGGUACAAUCACCAUGAUUCUACUUGAAGAUUGCUACUCAAUGGAACAAUGAAUUAGUCAGAAAAGAUUGGUUGACUGCUCCUAGUUAAUAGGCAACUUCUUUUCAGACUUCGCUAUAACUAAAAUCUGGAGUUUCGAAUCAUCUCCGCUUCGCUCUGAAAUUUCUUCUUCCUUUUCACCUUAUUGACCAGUGCAUCAAAAAGAUAUAACCGCUUCUUUUUUUAACAGUACAUAAGUAGAAAUCACCAUGCUUACGUGCACACAACCAUGAAAAAGCAAGAAUAAGCAGCCAAGAAACAAAAUCACUUCACCUCCCAGUAUAUCCACAUUGCAACCUUAUGCGGCAUUAACCAGAAGUAUUUUGCCAGAGUAACUGAAUUUGUGGAAUGGCAUAUUUCUUUGGCACGUAAAGUAGCAGUAAAAUAAUUCCCAAGUGUGGGAUGUUGAACCGAAAUUACAACAGAAAGAUCCUCGCCUGGUUCAUCCGCAUGGAUACUCCAAUUUCCUUGCAUAUCCUACAAUGUACUAGAAAAUAGACAACUAAGUGAAACAUGAUGGCGAGAGAAAUUAACAAGAAAAUAGGUUAAGAAUUUGAGCUAUGGUAGGUAGGAAUUAUUAAAUAUAAGGCUGAGGAACAGUCAUAAAAUGGACUACAAAAAAGUGAAUACCAAAUAGUUGAAUAUAAAAAAUAUAAAAGCACCAUCCUCUAAUAACUUAAAUUUUUAGAGGUUAACGGUAUUUCGUAGUAUUUAAUAUGGUACCAGAGAAGGUCCUGAAUUUGAGUUAUGUUAGGCUCCUAACAUUAUUUAACUUCCUCCCAUUUAAUUAAGUCCAUGGACUAAUUUAAGCUUUUUGAAGAAUAACAGUUGUUUCCUACUACUUAAUACAAAUUAAGGGCCCUGUGCAACUAAAUUAAAAAUGUCACCAUUGUUCGGUAAUUAAUUUGAAAGAGGUAUCAUGAUCUUCAUGCCACUUAAUCCUACAUUAACCCUUGCGCCACCAAUGUUAUGCAGCUGCCAAUGCACACUAUCACGACUUUCACCUCAAUUUGUCAAGAAUAAUGAAGAAGGCUAUUCGAAGAGCAGUGACAAGGAAUUUAGAACUGUAGGCAAAACAGGAUACAAUUCUACAAAGUAGUUUGCAUACUACUAAACUUUUCUAAUUAUUUUUCCCAUAACAUGUUAAGCCUCAAAUCACCUGAGUGUCAACAAUUACUUCAUUAUCCAAAAAUAUUUUCGAUUAAAAUUGGCAUCAUAAACAGAAGAACGGUAACACUGAAAUCAACACAAACUACCAAUACUUAUUGAACUACAAACUCUUCUCUUGUUAACAACAUACCAUGAAUGGACUAACAUGCAGGGGUUUCGCCACCAGAUCAGAGCCUGGCCGAAAUGUAAAGAACACCUUCUCUCCCCACGGAGUGUUCGUCACCUAAAUUCAAAUCACAAAAACCAUUUUUCGUGAUCUUUAAUGUCAAUCCUUUUUUUAAGUUAGAAAAGAAGAAGAUGAUCAUUCAAAAACCAUUCACCUCGGCAAUGCACAUCUUGAGGAGAAUAGAACACCGCCGCGCAUCUCCUCUUCCUCCUCCAUCUUCCUUCUCUUCUUCCAAAUCAUAGCAAUAGUAGAUGCUCAGAGGAUUCUGCUCAUAACCUACGCUCUCCGGUAUCGUCAAAAGAUACCUAUAUAAACCCAAACCUUCACUAUCAGCUAUGAGAACAAAAAAAAAAAAAAAGGUAAAAUGUCAACAGCUAAACAAUAUGAGCAAACUUUUUCUUUUUUUUUUCUUAUUGGCAUUUUUCUAGAUUUAAGUAAUUUUAGUAGAUCGAAUGGAUAAUAUUAUUGAAAUGUAUGGUUUUGUUGCAUAUUGGUCACAAAUUAGUAACAAUUCAUACUAUCGAAUUUGGCCAAAUCGCUUACUAAUCCAUAAAAUCUUACUUCAAUAGAGUAAAAUUACUCAAAUAAAGUUGAGGGAUCUCCAAUGUACAUACAUGAAAAGAGAGCUCUAAUCAUCAAACGAGGAGAAGAGGAAGGAGGAAGGGGAGAGGGAGAGAGAGGGGGGAGGGGCGAUACACAGGUCCAUUGGAGCCCGCGACCUCGCGAGCGCGAUCGGGGUGGAGGUGCGAGUAAGAGGAGGAGACGACGCCGGGGGCGUGGUCGAGGUCGACGAGGGCGUAGCGGACGGGGUAGUCGAAGGCGUGGGCGACGGGUCGGCGCCGCUCGUGGCGCACGCGGCCCUCGUAGAGCCGGAUCCGCUGCGGCGGCGGCGGCGGCGAGAGCUCCUCGGCGGCGCCGCCCUCGUCGGCGGCGGCGGAGGAGAGGUUGGGGAGGAGGAGGGAGACAAGGGAUCGGAGGGAGAGGGCGAGGGAGAAGAGGGAGGAGGUGGCGACGGUGGAGGCGAUGGAGAAGAGGAGGUAGAGCGCCUCCAUUGUUAUCCUCUCCCUCUUCUUCUUCGUCCUCCUCACCAGCGUCGUCUUCGUAUCCGUGUGUGUGGUAUGAAGAGACGCACGAGCCACACGUAAUUGGGCGGUCCAUGGAUGACGUGGUGCAGUAGGUCCAGUGCAGAUGCGUACAUCAUGCUGCGAAACGAAGAAGAUAGAUGCGCGUCUAGUGUAGUUGGGCGGUCCGCGGAUGACGUGGUGAACUUGGUCCACGAAAAGUAAUUUCGUAUAUAAACUAUAAAGCACAUGUACUCUAGUUAGUCAUACUAGGAGGAGGAAGUGUAGUGUGCCGUACUUACACCAUAUCAAUAAUGACAAAUUAAUCAUAUUUCUUAUUUAAAAAAAAUAUAAUAAAAAUAUUUUAUUUUAUAAUCAUGAUGUUGUGGUAUAUUAAUCCCAAAAAAUUUAUUUGAUUGAUGAAUAACGUCACGUCACUAAUAUAACUGGUACAUUCUAUAAUUUUUUAUUUUACAGUCUCAUGCACAAAAAAAAAAUUUGUACAUGAAACCGUCCCGAUAAAUAUCUCAGCCAUAAAGUAUGUUUCAACUAUUGGUUACUUUUUUUACCGACCGUUCCUAACGCAAGUGACAACGAAUUUGGUGGUUGGUAUCAGAGAUUCUGAAUUCGAAUUGUAGUUGAUUAAUUCACAUUGUCAGCUAAAUUUAUUUCUAAAUGAAAUAAACGAAGCGGGUAGUAGAUACAAAUCAACUGCUCAAGGAUUAGUUAUUUGUAAUUUUUCGUGCUAUAUAUAAAGUAUUUAUUGAUGGAAUAUUUUUUUUUUUUAAAAAAAGCCUAUGAACAAUUAGAUAUAUUUCAUAUUAAGGGUUACAUUGUCCUCCAAAAGGUUAAGUGAUCAAAUAUAUCCUUAUAAAUUUGCUUAUUUGUUCAUAUCAAUUAGCUAUGAUUAAACUAGUUAAGCAAAUUUAACCAGUAGAUUCUAACAGCAGAUUCAAAUAUAAAUAUCAGCACUUGAACUUUGAAGGAAUAUACUCUCACAAUUUGAUGUAUUUAUAGAAAGUUGUAUGCAAUUAAUAAUCCUACAUACAAUAGAACUUGACACAAAUUACUAACCGAUUUAAGACAAGAAGAAAGGGUUUCAAUGUAAGUUACUAAACUUUUAACUAUUUUUAAGAUUUACCAAAUUUUUAGUACUAAACAAAUUGGUCAUCAAAUCAUUACCAAUUAAUCUGGCGCAAACUCAGUUUUCGCAAUCUCCGUAAAAAGCUAUACGGCCUGAAAAACUACGAAACCAAAAACAAAAAUAGGCCCAAUAUCGUCGUCAAGCCCAGAUUUUUUAUACCGAGCGCACAGUAGUAAUAAUUUACAAAUCCUCUCAGUAAAGCAAUGAACGUCAAAUUCGAACACCGCCGCACAUAUAUAUGUAAUUACUGCUAUUAAUUCCUAUGCAGGUGCUCAACAAUUUCAUCAUUGAGUUAUUUGAAGCUGUAAGGAUCUUUUAAGGGCACCAGAUGAUACUAUAUUGUGGGUCAAGCGGAGAAAGUUAAAAUUUAAUAACAACGGUCUAUAAUGCAUCUGAUAUUACAUUAACUAUUUUAACGAGCCAGCUCCCGUUGUAAACGGAACGCGCAAACUGUGGACUUGCAACAGAAGUUCACUUAUCAGUUCUCACACCUGACGUACACCAAAACUGUAAGAAGGUCCCUACUUGGUGCAGCAGGUCAGAAGUUAAUUUGGCAGGAUUCCAGAAAGCUAUUAUUGUACGACAAGAGAUCUGGAGGUACAGGGCCAAUUUUAUUCAUUUCAUCAACUUUAAAACUUUUUACGGGUUAGCAGGACACUGUUAUGAUCACUAGUUGGUAAGUAUAUCUUUCUUUUAAAUAAUGUAUUUGAGAUUGAAAGUAUUGAUGGUGUUCAUAUGAUUUAUUUAAAGUGAUUUUUAGAAGCACAAAGAAAAAAGAAAAGAAGAGUUACAUGACUGACAGAAUCUUUACGUUCAAAUAUUUCAUCCAAUUUUACAAAAAUUUAUGAAUUUUUUUUUAAAAAUAUUUUAUAAAUUAUUGUUCUAUUAAAAAAUAUGUAUACUUAUUCACAUGUGUUUAUGCCGCAUUGUACGGUUAAUCAUGGAAAGUUAAAUAUGUUAUUGUUAAAAUCGAAACGACGAAAAAUAGAUCCAGAAAAUAAAUUAAUGCAAGAAAAGAAAAGAUAAGGAAAGAACACACCGAUAUUUACGUGGUUCGGCCAACGGCCUACGUCCACGGGCGAAGACGGAGCAAAUAAUUUAUUAAUGUCGAAAAGGCGAAGUACAAAGAAGAUCUCUCGAAGAAACCCGGAAACCAAAGUAAAUAUAUAUUCGACGCGCGUUACCAUAUACGGCAUCUUCUUAGCACGUCCUGACAAUAUAUCUUGGCUCGGCUCACCAAAACAAGAAAGUACGGCACCAUGCACAUUGGCUGAUGGUGUUGCUGCCACCGUACACCAUCACAAGCCACUUAAUUAAUUAGUGCAUCACAACUCCUCCGCGGAAGCAAGCAACCUCAACUUUAAUUAAUUAGCAUGGCAUCAUAAGGCCAGCUCCUUGACCGUACAGAACCAAGAACUCUCAAGCUUAAUUCGAGUCGCGACUUCUUAAUUUUUGGUUGCGGCGUCAUUAACUUGGCCGUAGCAUGUAUAUAUAAUACAUGUCUCCUAAUUAGAGUCUAAUUCUAAUUCAAUUAGAAUUACACUCCUAAUUAAAAUCCAUAUAUGCCAAAUUAAAUCUAAAUAAUAUCUAAUCCCAAUUAGAUUAGGAUUUAACUCCAAUUUAGAUAACUACAAAUCUAAACCAAAUAUAACAGUUAUCUUAUAUAAAUAUUUGGUUACCUUAAUUUCAUUAUAUCUUUUCUUUUAUAGAAUAAUAGACAUUCCUUAUAUUAUUGUAUACUAUAAUUCAUUAUUUACCAUGUAUUUGCUUGACCUCUCUUUAUACAAAGAGGUAUUUUGUAAUUUAUAAAAUCAAAGAGAAAUUAUAUUUCUUCUCCAAUUAUCUUUUGUUUCAUGGUUUCAGAGCGUGACUAGCUUGAUCACUAGCUUGAUCUACAAAAGCUGGUCGUCACAAGCUCACCGUAGGUAUCUCCCUAUCUAGUUCUGUCAUCAUAUCCGCACCUCCAUCGAUGCCGCCUGUACUGCCUACACAGUUUCCUACACCGACUAUUGCUAAUUAGCUCGAUGUUAAACUCUCUGAGCCUAAUUAUCGUGCAUGGUCGGUGUCCAUUCAACUCUUGUUUGAUGCUCUCGAUCUAACUAGACAUAUUGAUGAUGCUGGUCCACCAACCGAUGAUUCUAAACUCAAAGACUAGCUUGUUGCUGAUCGACGUGCUUGUGGAAUUAUUUCUACAUCAGUAAACAUAGACAUUCGGAUGCAGCUUAUCAAUCUGUCCACCGCUCACCAAAUGUUGUCUCUUUUUCGGCAGAUGUAUGAGCAAUCCAGCUAUGCUAUACUGAGUUUCAAGAGAUCUCCAUGGUGCACCAAGGUGAGUGUAGUAUUCAAGAGUUUUACAGUUUUAUGCAGGCUCGUUGACAUCAACUAGCGACCAUGGAUGAACCCAUGUGUCGCACUUGCUUAGCUUGUCAGUAUACUGUCAAGCAAAAGCAGGUGCGUGAUCAACAAUGAUUGUUCUAGUUUCUUAUGCACCUAUGACCUGAGUUUGAAGUGUUACAUGACCAACUACUCCAUCGAACUCCUUUUCUUACUAUUGAUGUAGCUUUCGUGGACUUGAUUGCCGAAGAGACACGUCUUCGAGUUUUGAGUUCCUCUGUUUCUGUAAUGCCUAAUAUUCUUGCUGCUCAUGGUCCUGCUACUCCACCUCCUAUGCCGGCGCCUACUUCUCAUCAUCAACCAUCUUCUAAUUACAUCCCAAAUCUUGGUACUAGAAAAGACAAGCGGAGCAUUCAUUGUCGUUAUUGUCAUCUUUGGGGCCACUUAAUUCAAGAUUGCCGUUAAAAGAAAUAGGUAGAUCAGCAUUUGCGAUCCUCUUAUGGUAUGCCUACUGUUGCAUCUGCUCCUUCUAUUCCUCUGGUCAACAAUGCGUUAUCUACAGAGCAGCAACCUUCGACUAUUCAAUUGAGUCUUCCUCAACUAUUGCAGAUGUUUCAGCAAUCCCAAUUAACACCAUCUACUUCGUUAGGACAGUCCUUUGUCUUUCCGUCUACGCCAUCAAGCUUUGGUAUGACUGAUCUUGGAGGUACUUUGGAGCAUUCCUUGAUUUUAGAUUCAGUCGCAUCAUUUCAUAUAACACCACAUGUUUUUUUAGUUUCUUCACCUUCUCAAUUUAAUUCACCUUCACAUAUUUUUACUGUUGAUGGUACCUCUCUUUCUGUCAAUCAUAGUGGCACUAUUUCACCUAAAAUUGAUACUUCAAGAUGCUUUAUUAUUCCCUCUAUCAUACAUAUAUCACGACUCUCUCUUAAUUUAUUAUUUAUUAGCCAAAUUACUAAUCAUAACUGCACAGUGACCUUUGAUUCAUCUUAUUGUCAUGUGCAGGAUCGUCGGACCGGGACUUUGAUUGGACAGGACCAUAGACGUGACGGUCUGUAUUAUAUGGACUAUUUGUACCUUCCUUCUAAAAUUAACUAUGCGAAUAUUGCUACAACUCCAACUUCCAAUCUUCGGCAUCGUUGUCUCGGUCAUAUCUCUUUUGAUAAGUUUAGUGUUUUAGUUCGUCGUGGUGGAUUAGGCUCUGUUUUUAAUUCUUAAUCUAUUUCUUGCAUUGGAUGCAAACUUGCUAAACCUUCCAUUAAACCUUUUCUUGUUAGCAAUUCCGUUUCAAGUGCACUAUUUGAUCUUAUUCACUUUGAUAUUUGGGGACCGGCACCUAUAUCAACCCGUGUUGGAAAUAAAUAUUAUGUUAUUUUCAUUGAUGAUUACUCAUGUUUUACCUGGAUUUAUUUUAUACAUAACAAAUCUGAACCUUUUCAAUUGUAUCAAAAUUUCUCUAACAUGUUUCAAACUCAAUUUGGUGUCACUAUUAAAACUUCUUGCUCUGAUUCUGGUGGUGAGUGUCUUUCGAAUGAAUUUCGUCAAACUUUUUGCUAAAUAUGGUACUUUGCCGCAACUUUCUUGUCCUUAUACGCCUUAAUAGAGUGGUGUUGCUGAGUGUAAAUAUCGACAUGUCCUUGAAACUGCUCGCUCUCUUCUAAUUGAUGGGCCUGUGCCUAAACAAUUUUGGGCUGAUGCUAUUUCUUUCACAAUUUAUUUGAUUAAUAUUAUGCCCUUUGGUAUGUUCUCUGGCAUUUCCCCUAGUGAGAGAUUGUAUGCUAAUUCACCAUCUUACUCAUUUUGCAUGUUUUUGGAUGUACUUGCGUUGUUCUCCUGCCCCUGCAUAAACAAGCCAAACUAACUCAAAAAUCCUCUAUUAAUUUGUGUUUUCUUAGGACAUAGUAUUUAGCAUAAAGGAUACAAAUGUUAUGAUCCUACUGCUCGUUGUAUGCGAAUCUCUCGAAAUGUCAUUUUUCUUGAACAAUUACCAUAUUAUGCUCAAUCCAAGUUAAGUGUUGAUCCCUUUGUCGUUUUAUCACCUUCUGUUGUUGAUCUUUCCUUCCUUGUUAUUCUUCCUCGGCCACCACAUUUUCUCCUGAAGAGCCCCAACCUAUUGACUCUGAGCCUACUACGUCUUCAUCUUCUGCAGAACUUCCUAUAAUACCGGUACCUCAUGACGUACGACCCACCAGUUACUGUUCCAUUCGACGAUUUGACGACGGCUGAGCGUCACUAUCCAUUGUGUACUAAUCACCCCGCGAAAUGUUUUGGUUGUCUUACCUCUCCUUCCUUUUCUCCACGAUAUCAUACUUUUCUUGUGGCUAUUUCUAAUAUCCAAGAACCACGUACGUACUGUCAAGCCGUCUCCAUUCCUGAAUGGCGGGACCCAAUGACCAUAGAACUUACUGCUCUUCAUCGUACUGGUAUUUGGGAACUAGUUCCCCUCCCGCCUGGCAAGACUCUGAUUUGUUGUAAGUCAAUAUAUAAAGUCAAGACAAAUUCUGAUGGUUCAAUUGAUCGCUAUAAGACUCGUUUAGUUGCUCGAGGGUUCUCUCAAGAAUAUGGCAUUGAAUAUGAGGAGAUGUUUGUCCCUAUUGCUAAGAUGAUCUCUGUUCAUGUCCUUAUUGCUAUUGCUGCUUCUCGUAGUUGACCUCUUUACUAACUUGAUGUUAAAAAUGCCUUCUUACAUGGCAAUCUUUAUGAAGAAGUUUAUAUGCAACCACCUCUUGGUCUUUCCCAUCCAUCCAGUCAUGUUUGUCGACUUCGAAAAGGCUUUAUACGGUCUUAAAUAAACUCCUUGAGCUUGGUUUGAAAAAUUUCAGUCUGCUAUUAUUUCUUUUGUAUUUCAUCAAAGAAAAAAAUGAUUGUCUUAUUUAUUCACACUUUUGCUCAUGGGCUCACUGCCUUACUAUUGUAAGUUGAUGAUAUGAUAAUUACCAAUGAUAAUCUUGAUUGUAUUUAUUCUGUUAAAUCCUAUCUUCAGCAAUAAUUAGACAUGAAAGAUCUUGGCCCUCUUCGAUAUUUUUUGAGAAUUGAAGUGGCUUAUAAUGUUCGAGGAUAUAUAUUGUCUCAACAAAAAUACAUUGCUGACUUGAUAUCUCGUGCUAGGCUCACCGACAUCGACACUGUGCAUACUCCUAUGCAGCUCCACCAAAAACUAACAAAUAUGGGCGAACCUUUCACUAAUCCUACCCGUUAUCGUGAGCUAGUUGGUGCGUUAGUAUAUCUCACUAUAUCUCACCCAGAUAUUGCUUAUGCGGUCCAUAUUGUUAGCCAAUUUAUGCAAGCACCUACUUCUGUUCACUAUGCUGCUCUUUUACGCAUCUUGUGCUAUUUGCGAGAAAGUAUUAGUCAAAGUUUAGUAUUUUCUUCCUUUUCCAAGCCUCAACUUCAUGCCUAUUGUGAUACUGAUUGGGUUGGAGAUCCUACUGAUCGUCAGUCUACGACUGGCUAUUGUAUUUUCUUUGGAGAUUCUCUAAUUUCCUGGCCGUCAAAGAAAUAUGAUAUUGUUGCCAAAUCUAGUACAAAAGCUGAAUAUCGUGCUACGUCCUUUGCCGCCGCAGAAAUUUUAUGGCUUCGUGGACUCCUCGGUGACCUAGGUGUCCAGUGCUGUACUUCAAUACCUUUAUAUUGUGACAAUCAAAGUGCGAUCAAAAUUAUGAAUAAUCUUGUCUUUUAUGAACGUACUAAACAUAUCGAAAUUGAUUGUCAGUUUGUGCACUAUCAUUAUAUUAAUGGAACAAUAUCUUUGCCAUUCGUUCCCUCUGCUCAACAACUUGCCCUUUUUUUUUACCAAAUCUCAAACUAUUCAACGUCAUCAAUACCUUCUAUCUAAACUCUCAGUAUUUAUUCCACCUUGAGCUUGCGGCGGGGGUUACCUUAUAUAAAUAUUUGGUUACCUAAUUUUCAUUGUAUCUUUCUUUUUAUAGGAUAAUAGACAUUCCUUAUAUUAUUGUAUUCUAUAAUUCAUAUAUGAUUUACUAUGUAUUCGCUUGACUUCUAUUAUAUAAAGAGGUCUUUUGUAAUUUAUAAAAUCAGAUUCUUCUCCAAUUAUCUUUUGUUUCAAAAUAUAGUAUCUAAAUCGAUUUAUCGACUGUGUUUGAGAUAAUAUUGCAUGCAUCCAAUGCAACAUAUGAUAGUACACAAUAAUCUUAUUUCAAUUAUUUUUAUUUUUUUGUAAAUAUAAUUUGAAAUAAAAAAAAAUUAAAUUAUUGGCCAAUAGUGAGCCAAGUAUAAAACAUGACAAAGAUAAUGACCUGCACUGUGCACGACCCACAUGGUGCAAUAAUUGCUCGGAACAUUAAUUCGAUGCAUAUGCUCUGAACUGCAAACAAAACUACUUAAUUACUUUCAAAGCUUCUGCGAUUACGUGCUCAAACUACGUGACACAUAAUAUUUAAAUCCUUUUAUUUUAAUUUAUUAUAAUUUUUAGCUUGAAUUUUAAGAAUUAUUAUAAUUAAAUUUCACACUUCAAUUUAGUUAACUAAAUUUUAAUACAUCGUUGAUAUAAAAGCCUUAUGUCAUCUUAGAUAACAUUAGCACUACGCCAUUUCUACAUCAGCCAGAGAUCAAUAUUUAGCCAACUAAAUUCAGUUAUAGAACUUGAUUGCAAUAGUUCUGAAGUUUCCGUGAUUAUAGUUUGAGGGCCAAAUGCGUAAUUUAUCUUACAUGCCACUAUCAGUGCUAGAAUGAGAAAGUCUUGUACACGAAAGAGACUGGUAAAUUACUCGGUGAUGGUUCAAUUCCAUUCGCUCAUCUCACUUUUAAUUUUACUAAUUUCGCUGUAAGAUAUAUAGAACCUUUGACUCUAGAUCAAGAUAAGGGAAUACUUUUUUUCUUAGAGAUAUAUAGGCAGCAUGCUAUCUGUUUCGUAUAUUUUAUUUAAAAAUAAAUUUAGUUGGAAAUUCGAAUCAAUUAGAAUUCGAAUUUGAGACCUCAAAUAUCAACCACUAAAUUUUUUAUCACUUGCGUUAGAAACGAUGGAUGGAAAUACUUUUUUUUUUUUUUGAGAGAGAGAUAGGUAGCACACUACCCGUCUCGUUUAUUUCAUUUAGAAAUAAAUUUAGCUAGAAAUAUGAAUCAACUAGGAUUCGAACUUGGGUCUCGGAUAUCAACCACUAAAUUUUUUGCCAUUUGCUCUAGGAAUGACCAAUUUUUUUUUUUUAUUUUUGUGAGCGUAGACUUUAGUUAAGCCGCACAAUCUACUAAAAUAGAUAUAUAUAUAUAUAAUAAUUAAAAAAAGAGUUGUACAAUAUUACAAAGUAGCACAAAGGAUGCCAAAUAUAGAACGUACUAGGGGGAUACCCUAAGCAUUCGCCCUUUCCAAAAGAAACUCUGUGCAGGCGCACUGCAGGGGAGCAUUGAUGUAACAACCCCCAAAAAGGAGCAUGCAUCAGCGACUCGGCGACACCCCCACCACCGGGCACUACCCAACACCUGCAAAGCACAAAAGGGGACUCGCCAUCACAUGCAUUUGUCCUCAUCCUCCUCGUCCUCCUCCUCCUCGCCCCCAGAUCCAAAUCUAUCUCCCACACAAGCAACUAAUCAUACAACAGAACCCCCUCUCCUCCCCAUCCCCACCAAACCAAAAAACAAAACAAAACAAAAAAACAAACAAAAGGAAAACAACUUAGCUAGCUUAUAUAUUAUUAGAGUCUUAAUGUGAGAUCGAGCUCGGGCUCAUCCUCACUACUAUUUUGUUGGUGUUGGUGUUGGUUUUGGCGUGGUGGUGGGAGGGAUGGGUCGACGUUGGAGUGGUGGGGGUGGUGGUGGUGGUGGUGGGAGCCGCGUUGCCAGUUGAGGAGAUCGAAGAGCUCGUCGGGGCCGACGGGGGGGUCGGCGGCGGCGGACAUUGCGCGGUUGGAGCUGACGGAGGCGAGCAGCGGCAGGUGGGCGGCGAAGCGGGCGGUGCCGCCGGCGGCGGCGUAGGAGCUGUUGGCGUAGCCCCAGAAGCACGAGCUGCCGCCGUCGUACGCGGGCGGCGCCGAUCGGCACGAAUGGGAGGCGAGCUGGAAGGCGGUCGGCCCGGCCGUCGGGUAUGCAGGAGGGAGGUAGAGGUCGAGGUCGGACUGCAGGCCGCCGACGCUCCUCUCCUUCUUGUGCGCGUUCUGGUGUCCCCCCAGCGCCUGCGAUUUCAGGAACUUCUUGUUGCAGAACAGGCAGGGGAACAGCUUCACGUCCGCCCCGCGAUGAUCCUCCUUCUCCUCCUCCGCCGCUGUCGGAGAGCCCGCAGCAGACAAGGCGAGAGAGAGGCUGGGGGCGGAAGGUGGUGCUGGUGCUGGUGGUGGUUCCAUUUUUCUGGGUUUAGGGUUUCUAUUAUUAGCAACUCUAUGUAUUUAUGUGCGCGAAUAUACUUUGCAGGAGGAGUGAUUUACUAGUUUUCUGGACAGCGUAUAUAAUUGUUUUAUUAUUUCCCUGCUCUUCGUUGUCAAGAAGCAUUUAGGCCUCAUCUACAGUAGGAAAAUUUUAAGGGGGGGACCAUUCAUUCCAGCAGCUGCGGGACCAUAUAAGAGUGUAUUCUACAGAUCUAUUUGUUCCAACCCAAGCAGAUUUGAUUUCUUUGGAUUGAAUCAAAUUUAUUUUUGGCUGAGUUAGAUUUCAGAUAAAGAAUUUACUGUAUCUUCGCCGUUUGUUUCUACAGCUAUAGAAGUUGAGUUUUACCGGCUCUACUGUUUGUUCCGCACCGCAGAAAGUGAAUAACGUAAUAAAUAAUAAAUUAUAAAAUUAUUUUAUUUUCUGUAUUCUUGAUAAACUUACCUCUACUCUACUGUGAUAUUCUUCUCUCUCAUUUAACUUAAUAAAUAAUAAAUUAUAAAAAAUUAAUAAGUAAUAUAAUUAUAUUUCUAUACAAUUAUAAAAAUAAAAUUUAAAAUAAUUUUAUUAUUUUUUUGUAUAUAAAUGAUAAUAAUACAACAAAUAAAAUUCUGAAGUUAAAAAAUAAUUAACAUUUAAUAAAUUAAUUUCAUCGUUUAAAAUUUAAACGUGCAAAUUAAAUAAAAAGUAUAUUGAAACUUAACUAACCAAACUUCAUCAUAUUUUAAACAUACAAUCUAAAUAAAAAAUUAAUCACUACCAUAAUUAAAUAUGUUUGAAUAGAAUAUAAUUAGAAAGAGAGAGAAAGAGAGAGAGUAACCCUACAAGUCACCAUAAUUAAGUUCUUCACUAAUAUUUUAUAAUUUUUCUCUCUUCUUUCACUUCAUCGGUAUUGACUUCAUCCUAUAGAAGAGUAAAGUCAAUUUCGAUAUUUUGGGUGAACUGGAUAGCGAAAGUGAUCAAUUUUCGCUGAAAAUUAAUUUUUCGCUCCCCACUUACGGUAAAAUAAGCAAGCCCUAAACCGCACAAAAUAUUCUAACCUCAAAAAAAUGAAUUUACAAUUAAUACAGUGAUCGCGCACUACAGGGGUGAUCUCAGUAAACAGAUUAGCCCAAUGCUCGUUGAUGAUUUCUAUUGAUUUAAGGCUUUUGUGCUUCAUAUUCUACUUCUAUCUAUUUCUCCCAGUGACAUGAAAAAAAAAAAGAAAAAAUUUUAAAUACCAUCCUGUGAUUUCACACUUUCUCACUUUAGUAUCAUGUGAUUUAAAGUAUAUCAAUAUAAUAUCCUGUGAUUUUAUUUUUUUAUUAUCGUUUUUAUUAAUUUUUUCAUUAAAUUAGUGGCAAAAUUAAAACUAAAGGGUGCUAAAGUGAAUAUUCGAUAAAUAUAGGUAGAGUAUCUGAAGUUCUUUUUGUAUAUAAUUCAACGAAAUAUCAACAAAGAAGCUGAUGAAAAGAUAAAAAUAAAAUCAAAGAACACUAACUUAAUACACUUUAAAUCAGAUAAUACUAAAGUAAAAAAGUACGGAAUACAAAAUUGAGAAAGCAUGAAACCAGAAUGAUAGUAUUUAAAGUUUAUCCAAAAAAAAAAAAAAAGUGGUCGGCCUAAAAAUGAUUGAACCUAGCUAUAUAUCGUGCUCAAAAGUAGCUAGUGCGCCGGACACCAGAGGGUGUAAACAGGAUUGGAAGUGCGAAAGGACUGGGGCAUCGCUCAAAAAGAUGGGUGGGAACAGGAGCUACACAUUAUCACCCAUGAUGAGCUUAGGACAUUUGAAUUGGAUGUAUAAAACUUUACCUGAAACUUUAUAAUGAUUAUAUAUAUAUAUUAAUAGUAAAAUGUUCUUUUUGCUAUCAAAAUUUUAACUUUUGAAUGAAAAAUUAUAAGGUCAGAAUGAUAUUAGUCGGUUAGAGUUGAGUGGUCCCCCUAAGAUUGAGUGGUUCUUACUGGGUUAUACUAUUUAAUCCAAUGGUUAGAAAUAAUGAAAAGAGUUGAUCCAAAGGUUAAAAAACUGGUAGCAACAAUGGAAUUUUGCUACUAAUAGUAGCCCAGUCCAACUCUAUAUAUAUAUAUAUAUAUAUAUAUAUAUAUAAUACUAUAUAUAUAAGAGAGAGAGAGAGGAGAGAGAGAGAGAGAGAGAGAGAAGAGAGAGUGUGCGCCACUAUACUUUAUGAGUACAAUCACAUUUACUCAUAAGUUGUUUUCGAUGAUAGAGCUUCCGAAUCGACGAUCCACACCGUUAAACGUUAUCUAGAGCAUUUAAAACGUAUAGAAAUCAAAUUUUAUAAUUUUUCGACAUCAUUACCUUACGAUCAAGUAUCACAAAAUUGUCAAUUUUUAUCGGCCGUAUGAAAUAUUUAGUAGUAUAACAGUGUAAAAAAAUGAAAUCAGUUGAAUUUUGAUAGAAAUUUCCUAUUCACUAACUAAGAUAAAAGAUCAAUAACUCGAUCUUAAAUUGAAGGAUCCGAGUCAUCAUUUUUAGGAUGUUGUUCAUUUUGACGUCAUUUAUACCCAUUUGAUGGACUUUAUAAUGAUUUUGAAAAAUUACGAAACUUAUUUCUAAAAGUUUCAAAUACUCUAGAUCAUGUUUAACAGUUGGAUCGUCAAUUCGAAAAUUACAACAAGAAUAAUAUAUGAGUAAAAGGUAGCCCUACUAUAUAUAAAUAUAUAUAUAUAUAUAUAUAUAUAUAUAUAUAUAUAUAUAUAUAUAUAUAUAUAUAUAUUAUAGUAUAUUAGAGUGGAGCUAGAAUACUCCAAAGCACCAAGUGUGGUGCUUUAGAUUUUUAGCCUUUGGCCGAAGAGAUGGGAGGUUGAGAUGAUGAUGUAGGUGGAAUAAUGUUAUAUAUAUAUAUAUAUAUAUAUAUAUAUGCCAAUUUAUAUAAAAAAUUAACUAAUUUUCGCUUUGUAAAAUAGGCCGUCUUUUUCGAUUUGCAGAUUCAGACGCGAAUUUUCAGCAGCCUGAAAAGGGGCCGGGCUUUAUUAUAUAUAUAUAUUUAUAUUAUUAUAUAUAUUAAUAAUAUAUUAAUAUAUUAUAUAUAUAUAUAUAUAUAUAUAUUUAAUUAUAGAGUGGAGACUGCUACUCAAAGCCAUCGGUGGCUUGCUGUAGAGUUUUUAGGCCCUUGGCUGGGAGCAGCGGAGUUGAGGAUGAUGAGUAGGUAGUGAAAUAUAUUAAUAAUAUAUUAUAGAUUAUGCAUUUAUAUAAAAUUCAAUAAUUUUUCGGGUUUUGGAAUAAAUAGCGUCUUUUUUCGAUAUUUGCAGAUUCGAACGAAGAUUUUCCGUUGACCAAGAGGUGCAUUUAAGAUUCGUCAGGACUGUACGUUAGGAUAUACAUAUCUCACCGAAUACAAAAGAGGCAGAUGUAGAUGAUGGCAUUUUGGUUAGACGGUUGAAAAUCCGGUCCAAUCUGUAAAAUCGAAAAAGAUGAUCCACUUUUGCAAAAGCGCAAAACUAGUAAAUUCUUUAUACAAAUUAGCAUAUAUAUAUAUAUAUAUAUAUAUAUAUAUAUAUUACUUUUUAUAAUAAAAUCUCUACCGGAACAGCUUUUUUUUUUAAGAAAAAAAAAAAAUUGCGGCGUCCUAGACUGAAAAAACAGUCAAUGGAGCUUUUUUUUUAUUUUUUAUUCUGAAGAACAUUACGGGGGUGACAGAGUCAAAAAGCCUGGGUGCACAAUCCCUUUUUUAGUCCUCCUGCAAACACAAGGGCAAUAUGCCAAUGUCCAAUGAGUGAGCGAGAAAGUGUGGGCACGAGAGAGAGAGAGAGAGAGAGAGAGAGAGAUUGAGAGAGAGCAGGUGUUUUUCGUUUGUUUCACUAUAAAAGUGUAUUUGAUUUCAGUAAAAUUAUAAAAAAAUAAAAAAUAAAAAAAUUUAGUUAAAAAAAAUUUGGGUAGAAAAAUAGUUUUAUGUCGCUAGUGUGAGGAGUGGGUGAUUGGUCCACAUUUGGACCACUCAUGUGGUCCACAAAAACCAGGCUUUCUCGUGGACCGCAUUUUUUUUGAGCGGGGCGCGUUUUGGGAGCAAGUUUUCGUUUUCUGCCAGUGGUGGGCGAAAUUCAAAAAGUUGGUUUUUUUCGAGAAUUUGUACAAAAAAAUUGUUGGGAAAGUAAUUUUCGAUAAAUAUUGAGUAAUCAAAUAAGGGAAAACCACUUUUCAAGCAAAUUUUUUUUUUCCAAAUAGUUUUACAGGCAUUCAAAUACACCCUAAGUGGAGAGAAGGAAAGUAAUUUUCGAUAAAUAUUGAUUAUUUUCGCUAUUUGAUUUACCGUAAUGUUAGUACGGUCGAAAGUUCAGGUCAUCCAAAAUAUCAAAAUUUUCGUCGCUCUCGCAUGGGACGAAGUCUAUUCCGCUAGAGUGGAGAAAGGGGAAACAAACACAGUGGAGAACUUAAUUAUAGUGACUUGUUUAGUAUUAUUUUGUGAGAUAGAGAAGGGUAGCACGCUACUUGUUUCAUUCAGUAAGUAAAUGAAUUUAGCUAUAUUGAGUAAAGCAGCUAGGGCCUCAAGAAGACAGAGAGUCAGCACAAAAAAGAAGAAAAAAGAACAAAAAAGAAGAAAACAAAAAAGUCGAGCAGAGUAAAAACAAAAAAAAAAAAGCAUAAAAAACGAAGGGCGUAACAAACGCUGCCCUCACCCAGUUCUACAAAAAUCAGCUCACUUUUUCGCCAGUACUCUAAUACGGUGGGCAGUAGAAAUAGCGUUCAUAUAUAGGUUCUGAAAAAUAGCGUUUUUUCUUUCGUACCAGAUCAUCAACCUGUGACCCUUUCCCUGACAACUCCUCCCAGAUGAUGUUGACGUCCUCAAUGUAGGGGAAGAUGUGGGGGUCGUCGAGAAGCGAAAUCAAGAAGAACUUGCUAACAACACAGUCCACCAGCAAGUGAUCUACUGUCUCUAGAUCAACGGCGCACAGGACACACCUGUUAUUUCCUGACCAUUCCCUUUUGAUAAGAUUAUCCGUAGUUGGUAGUCUUUUUUUUAAGGCUAACCAAAGAAAAAUUUUAACUUUUAUUGGAAUUUUCAGUUUCUAGAUGGCAGGAGUCGCGACAUCUUUGACACCCCCAAUCCUGAUGAGCGAGUACACUGAUUUGACCGUAUAUUUAUUGCCAGAGUUCUAUCUCGAGUGGAUGCCAUUAGGUUGAUCAUUAACUCGAAAGUUAGUGAGAGUGCUCUUCAGCUCCCUAAUACUCCAUCUACUGAGUUGUGUGUUUCUUCUCACUCUCAAAAUCUUUCUCCACCUCCAUCUGGAGGCAGAGAAACAAUCACUCCCUCGCACUUAUUUAAGGUCAAUGCGAGAAUAAAUAUCUAGAAAGUAUGACUUAAGGGGUGCGUCACCACACCAUCUAUCGUUUCAGAAAUCAAUGAGUAGUCCUUCUUCCAGCCCGUAACUCAAGUCUAUUUUGAAAACUUCCUUCAAUUCUAACAUGUUCUUCCACCAUUGCGAGACUGGUCAAAAAGAUUCUACUAUGAAACAGUGGUCGCCUUCUGUUAUAAUAUAAGCCCUUAAUCAACUUAGUCCAUUAUAGUCCCUAUCAGUAAAAAAAUGCCACCACCAUUUAGUUACCAGUGCAUCGUUUAUGGUGGCCAAAUCCUUAACGCUUAAGCCUCUUUCAUUCCAACUAAUGCACACGUUUUUCCAAACAACCAAAUGGACAACCCCUUUAUAGCUCGCCCGUCCGUUCCAAAAAAAAUUCUUGCAUAACGUCUCCACACGUUUUAAAACCCAUUUUGGUGUUUUAAAAUUAGAGAAAAAAUGCAACGACAGGUUAGAAAGAACUAAAUUAACCAAUGUUAAUAUGUCACCUCUCGAAAGAAGUUUAGCCUGCCAACUGUCAAUCCUUCUCUAGAAAUUUUUAAUGACACUUACCCAAUCUUCUUUUUUAAGCUUCCUAAACAUCAAAGGUAGACCCAAGUAUCCAGUAGGUAAUUUCCCAAGUAUCUAGUGACUUGUUUUGAAUUACUCUUUCUUUAAUUAUAUUUCAUCCAAAUAUAUUUAAUUAUGAUUGUUCUUAAUUUUUUAUUUAGAUUGUAUAUUUAAAAUAUGAUGAAGUUUGAUUACUUAAGUUUCAAUAUAUCUUUUAUUUAAUUUUCACAUUUAAAAUACGAUGAAAACUAAGUUGUUAAAUGAUAACAAUUCUUUAACUUAAGAGUUUUAUUUAUUGCAUUAUUAUAAUUUAUAUACAAAAAAUUAAUAUAAUUAUUUUUAAUUUUAUUUUUAUAUGUAUAGAAAUAUAAUUAUAUUAUUUUUUAUUUAUUUUUUUAUAAUUUAUAAUUUAUUAAAUUAUAAAAUAGAUAAUAAUAUCAUGUAGGAGAUAAGUUUAUGAAGGGUACGAGAAUUAAAUAAUUUUCGGUAAAACAAACAGAAAAAACGGAGAACUGUACUUUUUACGUUAUUCACUUUCUGCCAAACAAAGAGUAGAAUUGGCAGAAUUUCAAUUUCACAACUAUACAAACAAGCAGCAAAAGUGAAGUAAUUUUUCACCUGAGCUCUAAUUCAACCUAAAGUUCACUUCACUUGAACUGUACUUAUGUUGGAACUACACCCAAUGGAAUUCGACGAGGUCGGCACGGCGGAGGUCGAAGUUGGGAGUCCAAGCCGUGCCGACGAAACCCGCCGUCCCCUGAAACGGAUUCGCGUGAGCAGGUCGCGUAGGCCCGACAAAAGUCGAGCUCCACAAUUCUGUCCAAACACCUGUAGCUGUAGCAUUGGUUACAAAAACUCGGCCACUUCAACUCCGGCUUCGAUCAAAACAGAUCCACCAAAAGAGAGAGAGAGAGAGAGAGAGAGAGUUUAGCAAGGAGAGUAGAGUGUGGAAGAGACGGAGAAUGUCUUAUGUGGCUGAAAUUAUUGAUUAAUCCAACUAAGAGAAAGGGAUUGAACAUGGCAUCUGAAAAAAAAAAAAAAAAGAAAAAAAAAAAAGUAGUGUCCUACAGUAAAUCCAUUGAAUUUGCCCCCAUGCCAACAGGCAUAGCACAGAGAUUGUCUCUAUAUGGCUAAAUUAUUGAUUAGUCCUAUUAAGAGAGAUUAGGAUCAAACAAGCACCUAGUAAGAAUUCGACACUUGCUCCGAUACAAGUAGGUGUAUCUAGCAAAGGGCACAAUAAAAUAAAAACUGGUUAAACAUUUUUUUUUUUUUUUGAGAGAGAGAUAUGUAGCAUGCUAUUCGUUUCGUUUAUUUCAUUUAGAAAUAAACUUAGCUGAAAAUAUGAAUCAAUUAGGAUUCGAACUUGAAACUUCAGAUACCAACCAUUAAGCCCUUUGCCACUUGUGCUAGGGCCUGUCAGUAAAACUAGUUAAGCAUGUUACCACCAUAAAAUAGUGUUAAUUACCUUACUUGUAUGAAAAAGAUUAAAUCUUUAUUGAGAUGUAAACUUUUAUUGAAAAUGUACGACUGGAUUCAUAAUUGAAAUUUGGAAUUGAAGUUAAAGCCUACUUAAGUAAAAUUCAGUGAAUGAAAAAAAUUAAUUUAAAUUAAAAAGGUUCAAUUAUAAAAAAAAUUUCUGUUAAUACCUGCUUUUUUUUUUUUUUUUUCCUGUCAUUCAAAAACCUUCACUUUGCCCCCUUAAAAAAUUAAAAAUGUUCACUUUGACCCCCGCCGUCAAUGUUCUGUUAGAGUUCUAUUUAUAUCCCAUUUUUAACACCAAAAUUAUUCCUGAAACCCGCUUUCUUCCUCAUCCUUGGCUGCGCCGCCUCGCCCACUGCCGCGGUGCCGCCUCGCCCACCUCUCUAUCCAUACCCCCACACACACGCCCACGUCCGCCUCUGCCGCCUCACCCUCGUCCUCGCCCAUCUCUCCAUCCACGCCACCGUGAAAAAAAUGAGGGACAAUUUGAUCAUUUUAUCACAGCAUAUUUCCCUGUGAACAUUUUUUAUUUUUUAACGGAUAAAGUACAAAUUUUUAAAUGAUAGGAGGCUAAAGUGAAAAAGUAGGUAUUGAUAGGGAGAUUUUCUGUAAUUUGAAUAAAUAGCUUGAAUUCAUAAUUUGAAUAAAUUAUUAAAAAUUGAAGUUCAAGUUGACACUUAAUUUUGCAAACAAACUUAGAUUUACGUCCAAAUAUGAACUUAAAAACUUAAUUCUUGAAUUCAAAUUAACAUUUUCAGCGUACACUUAAAAUUUAAACUUAAAUUUAAAUUUCUAGAGUUCACAAUUAAAGCUAAAAACAUAAAAUUGAAAUUACAAAAAGUUGAAAAUAAAAAUUUAAAAUAGAAAUAAGAAAUCAAAACUAACACCAAACCACCUUACUCCCAACAAACUCAACCUUUACAUGAACUUUUUGCUUUUGAUAACCAUUUCACGUUUCAACCAGCAGGUUGCAAUUUUUUUUUUUUUUUUUUUUUUUAAGUGAGACCUAAAAAAUUUGGAAUGGUUUUUAAAUUCAGUCAUAAGAUUGUACCAAAAUGCUAGACUUUUUUAAACAAUUGAUGUCAACAUUUUAGUUGGUAAUGUAAAUUACAAAUCUAAAUUCAAAAUCCAUAUUUAAAUUAAAAUUUUUUUUUUAAUUUAAAGCAGAAAUAUUUGAAUUUAUGUAAGAUAUAUAUCUAUUUGAGCAUGCUGAGUGAUAUUGGAAAGGCUAAAUAUAUGAAGUAAAUUUGUUUAUUAUUAGCGCACUACAUAGGAGCACUGCUCUAAACAUAUCUAUUGUAUUCCACUGAAUUUGCCUCUUUGUACUGGUGUAAUAUAGAACUUGUCACGCAGGAAUGAAACUCCUGUCUCUCAAUAUCAACGUUUUAUGAUUUUUUUUUUUUUUUUUUGAGAGAUAGGUAGCAUGUUACCCGUUUUGUUUAUUUCAUUUAAAAAUAAAUUUAGCUGAAAAUGUGAAUCAAGUAGGAUUCGAACUUCGGAGCUCAGAUACCAACCAGCAAUCCUUUUGCCACUUGUACUAGGGACGGUCGGUCCUACCAAAUGAAAUUCAAUAUGUAAUCCUAUCUUUACACUAGAACUUCGAAACGUUUUGAAAUCAUACUUUUAAACUAGCCAUUAGUUGCACGCUUGCGGAGGGAGCUGAGCCUAAAAAAGACACAGUUUAUGGCUGCAGGAGUUAUGUACUCCACAAGGGACUCUAGAGAUGUAACAACCUAGUUUCUAAUCUAUGUUAUGAUGGUAAAAUAUCUCAGUGUGAAGCUAUAUAUUGUGGGUUUGAUCCGAAUUGUGCUCGGAAUAACAUAGAAUUUAUGACCUUUCCGUCCUUAGAUAUGUUUGGCGAGAGUUCAGAAGUUGAUUAGAUUUGUCCCAAAAAAUAAAAAUAAAAAUAAAAGACGAAACACUGGGCCCAAUUUCAGUAAAAGCCCAUUAAGGUCCAGGUCAAAGAUAAUGGGCCGGAUUUAGUACACGUAAUUUGAGCAGAGGCUCAGAUCCGACCCAAAAAAAAUUUAAGUAAUGGCCGAGCACGAACUCUUCUUAUUGUUCUUCUUCUUUUUUGUAGUUGUAAAAUAUAAAUGGUCCUACAAAGGCAAAAUAUAAAAAAGUGUGCACAUUGCCCGAAUUUUGGCGCAUUUUGAAUUUUGGCAUCUAAACUUUUUGAAUUUUCCGCUGUUUGACAGUAUAGUUUAUAAAUCUUUUGAUAGAAAGUAAUAAAUUUUAGUAGAAUUUGACAAAGUUUUUUGAAAUAUAUUUAGAUCUCAAAAGAAAUAUAAGAUUAAAAAGCUAAAAUUUAAAAUUUUUAAAUUUCGGGCAUUCAUUUCAAAAUAUACUAUAGUUUAGGUAACGGCUAAGAAUGGUCUUAUUUGCUCACACUUAACAAAUUUCACACUUUACAACAAAUUAGAGCCCUAAGUGUUCUUUGUUUAGCAUUAACAAGGACCUAAUUAAUUAAAAUUAACCAACCACUCCAACCUCAUCUAAAACACAAUAUCCUUAAUAUUAAAAAGAGAUUCUCCUUAUAUCAUAUUUCCUAAUCCAAGUUGCUUGACCUCUUUCCGCCGAAUCGUUGAAGUUAAUCGUUUAUUAAUGUUAAACUAUGGUUGAUCUUUUUCUUCUUUGGGUCUAGAUAGAUUCAUUGAGAAUAUGAUAAGAGGAUGCAUAAUUCAAAAAGAGUAAAGAAAAAAAAAAGAAAAAAGAAAGAAUCCAUGAACAAAUAAAGGCAAGCAUGCAUGGAAAAAAAAAUGAAGAGCAAAAGUCUCUAGCUAUAUUCUACCUAGUGAUGGCUUAAGAGUCAAAUGGUUAGGUCAUAGGAAGGUAAGUUCCACCUAAUUAUAAAACCAAUUAGCAAAUGUAGGAAUAAGAUAGAGCUUAAUUGUUGUUUUAGGAGCUCAUUAAACACUAUAUAGGUAUAUUGGAACUCAUUUGAAAAGUUAAUUUGGAAGCUUACAUUAAUUGUAUAAUUGCAUGUUAAUUUGUUAUCUAAAACAAAAUGGCUUUCUUUUUCUUAAAAGAAAGGGAAAAAAUGAUCUAUGUUCUCAUUUGAUAAUUAAGUAUGCAAUUUGUCUAGAUUUGGUGCCUUUUAUAUGAAACAAUGGAUAUUGGAUUUUCACUUUUUAUAAUAUCUUUUCGCAAGCCAUACAACACCAAAUCAAACCCAUGUUUAACGAAGCAGCGACAUUUGAGAAAGUUUUGUUUAAAUGAUACCAUUAGAGAAGUAUUAAAUUAAACAUUCUUAAUAGUUUUCUUUUAAGGCAAAAUGAACAUCACUACAUUAUUUAAUGCCUACGCUACGACUUUUGUGGCUCACAAGCACUUUACAUAUUUCUCCUAGCCAAGUGCGCUACUGAAUGAACUUGAUAGCGAAAAAUAAAAGUGAGGCCACGCAAAUCCUAGUGCAUUUGUUUAUUAAGACAAUCUAAAACAUUUGAUAUACGUCGAAACAAGUGACAACGCACAAGUUGAAGUAAUUAACGAUCCUAAUGGAAACGAAAGUGCAACAAAUAGCUUUUAAAAACGUAUAUAUAGUGAUCUCUAAUUUGCUUUUUGUAUGACUAAAGUUAAAGGUGUUCACAUGUUCCAGGUUUAAGCCACAUAUAUAGAACAGUACAUAAGUACUAAGUAUAAAAUUGAUACAUUAUUAGGCUUAAAAGCAUAUCUAGACUAAGUCAUUCUUUUGACUUCUCACUUGAUGUACCUAAAAUGAACUGAUCAGUGUGUAGGGAUCAUAAGAUUGAGGUGAUAUUCUAACUAAUCACACCAUUAAUCACCACAUCGACGACUAAUAUACAAAUAAAAUAGGAGGUUAAUGGCUUGGAUUGUGCCGUUUUGGUACGCAUGGCAAAGCACUCUCUUUAACAAAAGCAACGAUUCACGACGCAAACUGAUAAACAUUACUAAGAAAGACUCAAAAUUAGUGCAAGAUAUAUGAAUUUGUAUAACUUGAAAAAAAUAUAGCAUAUUAUCAAACAGAUUAUCCACUUGAGCAUUUACCACAAAAUAUAAAGAUUUCGACGCAAUUUCUAAAUUGCAUUUACGUGAGUAGUACUUAGAGUCCAACUUGCGCUCCAUAUCGUGAUCCCAUGAUUCUUUGUUCUUGAAAUAAAAUAAAUCUAAAAAUAAUAAUAAUAAUAAUAAACAAAACCACAUUAAUUGUUCUAUCCAUUUUGUUUAUUCAUGUGUUUUAUGCGUGCAGUUUCAUGCGUAGAAUCUAAAACGUACUACAGAUUAAUUAUUUCUCCUUAAUUAUUUAUUAUUGACAAUAGUUUAGAGUGCGCGCCUAAGAUGCGAUCAUCAUAAUCUAAGUGACACAUCAUGGUAGUACACAAGGCACGUACACCACAUCCCAAUCAUAUUAAUUAGAAGGUUUGACCCUCAAAAUAAGGAAGAACAUGACAUAGUUAACAUCCUCCUAUGCUUGUUCCUUCUUAGAUUAGGAAGGAGAAAAAUCUAAGGAACUCGACCAAUAGGAAAUAGACAAGUGCCGAAAAGCGAAAAUAAAAUAACCAAAAAAGAAAUCCACAAGUUGAAAUAUUUUAAAUAGGCAAUUACCAGGUGUAUCUUACCUCGCGACGCCACGUGGAUAGUUUCGAUGGUACUAGAACUAAUGCCCAAGGGAAAAAACCAUUAAUGUAAUAAGAAUAAAAAUAAUGAUGCGCGCGUUUCAUAAUGGUACCAUAUACAGUUGAUAAGUUAAUUUUAUAUAUCUUUGAUAACUUAGUUUUAUAUACCUUUUCGCCUAGUUAUAUAUAUAUAUAUAUAUAUAUAUAUAUAUAUAUAUAUAGAGAGAGAGAGAGAGAGAGAGAGAGUUGGACUGUGCUAUUAUUAGUAGCAAAAUUUCAUUGUUGCUACCAGUUUUUUAGCCUUUGGAUCAACUCUUUUUAUUAUUUCUAACCAUUGGAUUAAAUACUAUAACCGAGUGGGGACCACUCAACCCUAGGGGAACCACUCAACUCUAACCGACUAAUAUCAUCCUGAUACUACAAUUUUUUAUCCAAGGGUUAAAAACUUGAUAGCAAAAAGUGUGUUUUACUAUUAAUAAUAUUCCGGCCUAAUUCUCUCUCUCUCUCUCUCUCUCUCUAUAUAUAUAUAUAUACUAAGUUGAGCUGAAAUACUAUAAAUAACAAACGGAUUUCGUUGCUAUCCAUUAAUUUUCGAUGAUAAAGUCUCCAAAUCGAUGAUCAGCACCGUCGAACAUGAUUUAUACUAUUUGAAAUAUCUUGAAAUCAAAUUUUAAAUCUUUCGACAUUAUUGACGUAAUAAUCAAAAGGAUACAAAAAAAUAUAAUUUUAAUAGUCAAUAUGAUGCAUUUUCUAAUUUAAUGGUGUAGAGAUAUCCAAAUUAAUUAAAUUUUAGUUAGAAAAUUUUUUAAACUAUUUAAACUAAGAUCUAUACUUUUGAUCUUGAUUACAAAAUUCCUAUCAUAAAUUUUUAAAGAAUAUUUAUUUUUAACUGUUCAUUUUUGUGUCGAUUUAAUAUCGAAAAAAUAUGAAAUUUAGUUUCUAGAUGCUUCGAGUAGUAUAGAUCAUAUUCAACGUUAUCGAUCGUCGAUUUGAAAGCUACAUCAUCAAAAAAAAUGAAUAACAAAAUUAAAGUCUGUUUGGUACUAAUAGCAUUCCAGCUUAUUUUACGUAUAAAGAAGGCCACUUCAUUUUUGGGCACUUUUUUGAGUUGCCCAUAGUAAACAAAUAAUAAAUGGGAGAUGAGUGAAUUUUAAAAAAAGGUAACACUUGCCCACUAAUGAUUGGCCACUUAAUUAAAAUUAGAAAAUCUAUUGACCUUCCUCUAUCUAUGGGACACGUGAGGGUUUACAAUGCUUUCCAAAAUUAGUAGCGUGGAAAGCAAAAACAUGUAAAAAAAAACUAAAAAUAGUACUAAUAAGUAUACACAAUUACGUGGUAGGAGAGAAUAUGAGAUUUAAUUAUGACUUUGUUGUUCCACAAAUGAUGACUCAGGUGAAGCAAUGCGUGAGGGGUGACAUUCGCAUGGAUUGAAUAAUCAAGGAUGUGUUUACUCUGAUUAACUUAUGCUUAGAUCACAUUUAUUAUUAAUUUCGCUUCGUAGAUCUAAGAAUCUUUCUAUUAGAAGAUAGUAGAAAGACAAAGACAGGCGGAUCUGAAGGCACCGAAUACUGAACUUAAUUUUUAAAACUAAGAACGCUUAAAAUUGAGUCUGAUAUCGUAUUAUGUAUAAGAUCAAUCAUUAGGAAGCGUAUAGUCAAAGUUUAUGUAUAUUUUUGACUUAACAUCUGCGUGUGAUCACUGAUCGAUUGAUUCUCUCCAAAAAUGUUUUUGAAUACGACAUUUGGCAAAUUAGUAAAAAAUUAAAAUGAAAUUUUAGGUUCAAACAACAUUAUUCUUGCUUUUCAAGAUAGAGUUACUUUAGCAAUACAUUUACGAAAGCUCGAUCUAGGAGGUCAAAUUAAUAAAACUUCCGGAAAAAUCAAAUUUUCCUGCGCAAAAGUUAGAGAUAUGAGAUUUGAAUUAGACUUUUUUUAUGCCAAAAAAAAAAACCACUUAAUUUUAAUGUCUUUUCAUGCGAAAACUUCGUACCAAUUUUUGGCCAAAAUUAGGUGAAUGUAUAGUACAUUGGUAGGUACAAUCAAAAUCGAAAUAAUACGAACGAAUCAUUGUAAUAGUAACUAGUUGUAGGCCAAGGGCUUCUAAGAAAAGCGCUUUCCAUUUUUUAAAAAAAAAUUAUUUUUAUUAAGUAUUCUUUUUAGAGAUAGGUAGCACGCUAUCCGCUUCGUUUAUUUUAUUAAAAAAUAAACUUAGUUGGAAAUGUGAAUCAACUAGAAUUCAAACUUGGGUCUCGGAUACCAACCACCAAGCCUUUUGCCACUUGCUCUGAGGACAAGUAGUUUUUUUUUAUUAAGUAUUACGAUUAUAAUUAGUAGUGCUCGUUAAACUUCACUUUCCUAAUGGAGGAACAAUCUAGUACAUGGUCAUACUACACUCGAUGAACGAGUGGAUCGAAAAGCACUUUUAAAUUCGAAGAGAAGUGCUUUUAAAAACUAAUCACACGGAACGUGAGAUGUUAUUAAAGAUGUUAUUAAAGUGAUAUUAAGAACUGCGGCCAAUGUAAGCGUUACACCUCGCCAUGAUCCCUAUAUGCUAUAGUGGCAACCUCUCUCUCUCUCUCUCUCUCUCUCUCUCUCUCUCUCUCUCUCUAUAUAUAUAUAUAUAUAUAUAUGUGUGUGUGUGUGUGUGUGUGUGUGUGUGUCAUUUUUCUAUUAUAUUAAAUAAAUAAAAUAAUGUGUCUUACUGAGACUCGAUAACUACAGCAUUAAAUAGUUAUAAAGUUUAAUGAGUAUAUAUAAUUGAGCAAUGCUUCAAUACUCCGUUGUAAUCUUAGCCGUUUAUUUUUAAUCAAUGAAGGAUUAAGAUUUAUGCAUAAAAAAAGAUGACCUGCUAUUGCACAAGAAGUACCGGUCACCAGGUAUGUGAUUUAGGAGUGUUUUUGGAAAAAAAAGAGCUAAUAUUAAAAAAUUAAAUAACUAAUAUUGGAAAGUUUUGCAUACUACCCUUAAAUCAUGGAGAGAAUAAAUUUUUAAUUAAAUUAUCCAUUUUUAAAGCCGAUUUUAAUAAUAAUUUAUGAUCGCAUUUGAGUCAUAAAUUUAGUAAUUUAUAAUUUAAAAUUAAUUUUCAAACAUCGAAACUUUAUGUUUAAAUAGUUAACAAAAUUUUUUUUUAAGUAUAAUAUAAAUUAAAUCUAAAUUUAUAAUUUAAAUUUGAUCAAUAUUUUUGAAAUUUAAUGUUGUUUUUCAAUAUUGAAUUAACAAUUUCAACUUACUUUAAAAUGUAGAAAUCUUUUAUUUAAAUAAAUAAUAAAAGUUUAUAAAUACACUAUAACUUAAAUUACAAUUUUAAAGAUAGUAACAUUAAUUUUUGAACUUUCAUGUUAGUUUAAUAUUGAAUUGAUAAUUUGAAUUGAAAUGUUUACUCGUUUAAAUAUAAAUUUUUCUUUCUAAAAUUUAAAUUUAAUUUAUACAAUUAUAAAUACAAAGUUUAAACUCAAGUUAAAUUUUGAAUUCGAAUUUAUGAAGAUUUAUCACUUAUGAAAUUAGCCAUUAUCUAAGUUGGUAAGUAACAAAAUUAAAUUAGGAAAUGAAGAUUUGUUGGAUAUUAUCAAAUUUGGUAAUUAGCUAAUGCAUACUUUCAAAUAUUAUCUUUAUGAUUGAUUGGUAACCUGUCCAGCAGGUUACCAUUGUGUAAAAGUCAAUCUUAACCUCAAAAAUUGAAUGGUCGGAUUUAAAUUGGCCGGUGUAUGAAAGUAUUUCUCUAUAUAAUUAAUGAAAAAUUUUUGUUUCAGUAGCAAAUAAUAUUCUCUUUUUUUUUAACUUUACAAUUAAUUAGCAGUUAAUUAGAAUUGAACGAACAACCUCUAGGAGUCUUCGCAUAAUAAAAAUAUUUGAAAUUAUAAAUAAAUCGCAAAAGAAAAAUUAUGAAUUUGAAGUUUCUGGCCGCCAAUUAUGAAUUAUUGAGAAAUAACUUUUUGUUUUAUUUCUUUUUAUUCUACACUUGAUUAAGCUUUUUAAAAUUAGUGUUUUGAUUAUUGGCUUAAUUUGGUAGGAAACUUUUCCAAUAAGUUGUCGGUGUUUGAAUUAAUUAAGUCCAAACUUUUAAUAAGAAUAACCACAUAAAUUAGGAGCCCGAGGGACCUACAAAGGAUCAAAAAGGAGACAAAUUGCACUGCCACGAAUCAAGAUGUGACUAGCUCGGAGUCCGACUUCGUCAACGCGGAGUUGGCUUGACUCUUUUCAAAUAUUAGAGCAUUUUUCAGGAGUUAAAUAUUUUUUUAUUUAAAUUUUAAUGCACCAUUAGUGAAAAUCAAUGGCCUCAAACACACUACGAAAAAAAAAGUUAUCAUUUUUUUUUUUUUUUGGAAAAAAAGUUAUCAUUCAAAAACAAAAUGCAGUGUUGGAGUUAAAAUUGCUAGCGAUAUAUAUAUAUAUAUAUGUAUAUAUAUACAUGUAUAGAGCUAGGCGGGUAUACUAUCGGUAGCACGGAGGCCUCUAUGCUACCGAGUUGUUCUCAAUGAUGCGGCUUCCAAAUCGACGAUCGGCUCCGUUAGACUUGAUUUACACUAUUAAAAGUAUUUGGAAACUAAAUUUCAUAAUUUUUCGACAUCAUUUAUGAGUAUUGGCUUUCUCAUACUCUUAAGUUUUCGGCCAUUGGAUUUAUUUCAUUGAUCAUUUUUAUCAGUUAGAUCAUACUAUUCAACCAACUACCCACUCAACCCUAAUGGACCACUAUCAUUAUAAGUCGGAACCACCAUCAUUCUAACCACACAUCCCAUCAAUCAACGGUUAAAAAUUUAUGAGUACAAGAGGAUCUAUACUCAUAAGAAUAUAGUAGCCCCAGCCUAUAUAUAUAUAUAUAUAUAUAUAUAUAUAAAAGAGAGAGAGAGAGAGAAAACUUGACUUCUAUAUUUUCGAAAGUGCGGAUGCCUCCGCACUUAUAAGUUGUUUUUGAUGAUAAGACAUUCGAUUUGACGAUUGGUUCCGUUAAAUAUAAUCUAUGUUAUUGGAACCGUAUAAAAACCAAAUUUCAUAAUUUUUUGACAUCAUUUACCAAUUGAUCACAGGGUCUCAAAAAUGACUAUUUUAACGGCGACAUAGCAUGUUUUUAAGUUCAAUUGUGUAGAAGUAUCUAAAUUCCAUGAAACUUUAAAUUCUACUAACAUCAAGAAUAAGAACAACACUUCCAAUUUAAAAUUUGAGUCUUUUAUCGCUAUUUUUAUGAGAUUUUUAUUUUCAACCGUUUAUUUUGAGACUAUUCGUUUACUUGGCAAAUAAAGUUCAAAAAUUAUGAAAUUUGUUUUCUAGAUAGUUCCAAUAGUAUAGAUCAUGUUUAACGAAGCCGAUUCCCAAAUCAAAUGUCUCACCAUCGAAAACAACUUACGAACUCGAAGCCUCCGUACUUUCGAAAAUAUAGAAGACAUAUAUAUAUAUAUAUAUAUAAUAUUAGAGAGAGACGGAGAGGAGAGAGAGAGAGAGAGAGAGACGAGAGAGAGAGAGAGAGAGAGAGAGAGAGAGAGAGAGAGAGGUUGAGCUAUGAUACUUUUACAAGUAUCACCAUCAUGGUGCUAUUAGGUUUAAGCCAUUGGAUCUACUUUUUGAUUAUUAAUAGCCUUUGGAAUUAAACACAUAUUCCACCUACCAUCACCUACCACCAUCAUCUCAACCUCACAUCUCUCCAUCCAAGGGCUAAAAACACACAAGUAUCACCCCCAUGAUACUUUUACAAGUAUUCUAGCCCUACUCUAUAUAUAUAUAUAUAUAUAUAUAUAUAUAUAUGGUCCACUAAUUAAAGUGGACUCUUCUAAUUUUUCUUAUUUUCAUGACGCAUAUAUAAUAAGUUAAAAUUUUACAUUAUAUUUAAUAGGUUAAUUUAUUAUACUUUUUAUAUUUACUGUGUAGGUGAAUGAGAGUACUAAAUAUAUUCAAAUUCUGAGCUGUAAUAUGAUAUUUUUAACAAAAUUAUUGCUCAUUAGAAAUUUGGCAAGAUAUUUUUUCCAAAGAAAGUAUUGCUCAUUAAAAAAUUGACACUUUUCGCUUUUACGUUCCACGUCGAUUGUUGAAAACUAGGGCUCCCCACAUUUUUACAAUUCCGUGUACACUUUGGAGCACAAAUGAAUCCAUCUUAGCAUUAUUAUCACUAUUUUUAUUAACAUUUAUAUUAUUUUUUUUAGAAGCAUCAUAUCACAAGGUCGUCUUAAUCUAUGCCCCAGCUAACCAAGAGCUGUAACCACAUUUCAAGUAAAAAGAAAAAUUAAGGAGAGAUGUAACCAUCGACAGCUAAACAAGUUAUAAAUUUCACGCAAAGUAUAUAAAGAAGAUUAAAAAAAACAAAGAAACAAAAUAGAAACACCAUAUAUGUAAGGGGAGAGAAAAAAUAAAUAGAAACAUAUCAUCACUUUAUGUUUCCUAAAUUUUUAAAACAACAAAUUUACCCCUUUAUUUUUCAGAUGUUGUUUGUUUAAUCCUCUGUGAUUGAUUAGUCCUCGGAUCGGAUUAAUUUUUGCUGGAGAUAAAAACUUGGGCUGUAGAAAAGUUAAGUACAAGGACAAGGAUAGUUUUGAUAAAUUUAUAGAGUAGAGGCUACUAUACUUUUAUAAGUGUAGAGCUUUUUGUACUUAUAAAUUAUUUGUAAUUAUGUGGUUUCCGAAUCAACGAUUCAUGCUGUUAAAUAUGAUUUAAAGUAUUUAAAAUUUUUAAAAAUUAAAUUUUGUAAUUUUUUAAAAUUAUAAUAAAAUUCAUCAAACCAGCAUAAAAUGAAUAGUCAAAAUUGUACGACAUCCUAAAAAUGGAUGAUUAAAUUCUUUAAUUUAAGAUCGGAGUUAUUGAACUUUAUUUAGAUAGUGAAUAGAAUUUUUUAUUAAAAAUUCAAUAAAUUUUGAUUCUUUUAUAUUGUUAAACUAGCUAAUAUCCUUAUCUUUUGACUAUAAGAUAAAUGAUGUCAAAAAAUUAUAAAAUUUGAUUUCUAAAAAUUUUAAAUAUUUUAAAUUAUGUUUAAUAGUAUGGAUGGUUGAUUCAGAAGUUUAAUCAUCAAAAACGAUUUAUAAAUAUUAUUGUGAUCGUACUCAUAAGAGUAUAUUUAUUAAGCGUGUCAAGUAGUCAAGGUGACACGUCACGGUCGGAGUGGUAACCAAGAUUUACAUUUCGAUAAAAAUUUAAACAAAAAUUUAAAUUAUAGGCUAUUUUGAUUUGACUAUCCGACCUUUCCAAUUUUGAUUUUUAGCGCUGAACUAUACAAUUUUUGUAAAUAUAAAUUUUUAAAAAUAAAAAAUUAGUUUAUAUUUUAAAGCUAAAAUACCAUUGACUAAUCAAAAUCAAAUAAAGUGAACAAUUGCAAAGUAAAAUCAAAUUUUGGAAGAUCGAAUAUUCAAUUCAAAAUGAUUUAUAUCUCGGAUAAAUUUUGCACAAAUUUAUCUUAUAUUUAUUAUUAUAGGAGUCCGACUACGAUACUAUUGAUAGCAUCAAACACUUAGUUCUAUCACAUUUUCUGUCGUUAGAUUAACUCCUUUAACCAUUUUUCUCUGUUAGAUCAUAUUAUUCAAUCAACCAACCACUCAACCCCAGGGGACUGCUAUCAUCUUAACUGUAUAUCGCUUCAUCUAAGGGCUAAAACUUUAAUCGCACCAAUGACUUAUGCUGUUAAUAGUUGUUAAUAUAGAUUGUAAUAAUGGAUGUGAGAAAAUAACUUGAAAAAUUAAAAUUGAUAUCAUAUGAAUGGUCGUGUCUCUUUGAUAAAUUACUUACGAAAACGUGCAAGCACACACCCGUGCGCUUACACGCUUUAAGCUCACUACAGGGAAGAUUGGGGGAGCAAUCUUCCCUGCCUAUUCUCCUUGGGGAAAGAUAGACCUUUUCAUUUAAUGCAAAGAGAUAUCUCUUUUAUGAAAGAAUAUGUUUUUUCAUUAUUUUUGAAAUAGCGUGUCCUUUUGUGAAAAAAUAUAAUUUUAAAAAUUAUGUCCUUUCAUCGUAACCAUUCACCUCCUAUGAAUAGGAGAUAUUUGAAAACUUGAAGGAUAACACAAUUAAUCUUUCUUCUUUCUAAUUUUUUUAUAUUGAUUAUUAAGAGAGAAGUUUUUAAGGAAAAGUCUUCAAAAAUGAUGUUUGCAGUCUUUCGACGGUUUUGUUGUAUGCUGAAGGUGAUUUACUGGUAACCCGACAGCAUACAUUCGAGUGGGGACAAAUAUCACCUUAAAAUUAUUGAGGAAUAUGAAUGGAGAUCAAAUAAAUUAUGGUUUUGAGGCGUGUAAGUCAUCUCUUUGAUAAAUUAGUUAUGACAAGAUACGCCUUUUCAUUUGACGCAAAGAGAUAUAUCUUUUUACAAAGAGACGCGUUUCUUUACGAAAAGGUGAACCUUUUAUGAAAAAUUAUGUCUUUUCACUAUUUUUCAAAGGACGUGUCCUUUUGUAAAAAAAUAUAACUUUAAAAGUUAUGUGCUUUUAUCAUAACCAUGUACCUCCUAUAAAUAAGAGAUAUUUGAAGGCUUUAAGGGUACGUAAUACAAUUAAUCUUUCUUUUUCCUAAUUUUUUUAUAUUGAUUCUUAAUAGUAAAAUUCUUAAGAGAAAGUUUUCAAAAGUGUUGUUUGCAGUCUUUCGACGAUCUUGUUAUAUUCUGAAGGUGAUUUGCUGGUAAUCUGACAGCAUACAUUCGAGCGAAAAUAAAUAUUAACUUAAAGAAAAUAAACUUAUAUAUUUUAAGAUCAUGAUUUACUUAAUUUUUAUUCAAUAAACUUAUAUAUUUUAAGAUCAUGAUUUACUUAAUUUUUAUUCAUAUUCUCCAAUAAUAAUAUUUUAGCCUGGUUCUAUUAUAGAUAGACAUACUGAUAGCAUUUUUCGUCCAAAAACCAUGAAAAGGGUGAGGGCCUAAAAACCUACCCUACCCGCGUGGCGGCGUGUGGAGUCGUAAGCAGUGACACAUCACGGUCGGAGGGGUAGUGGACAACACUCGGAAUGUGUUCGAACCAUCUCGAGGCACCAGAGCACAACACGCCCAUCACUGCCACAUAAGUCCACGCCACUUAGCUGGUCAACAACCGUACUACAAGAAAUCAUAUGUUACUGACGUACGAUGCUUAACGCAGUUGGUUGAUAUUUUAAACCAUUAAUUAAUAAUAAUUAAUAAAUCGAAUAUUCAUAAUUGAUAAAAAUUUUGAUAAUUGGUAAUUAAGAUUUUGAGUUCGUAACCGAUCGUUGCUAGCGCAAGUGGCAAAUAACUUAAUGGUGGAUAUUCAAAGUCUCAAAUUUAAAAUCUAGUUGCUUUACAUUUUUCGCUAAAUUUAUUUUUUAAAAAUUAAACAAAAUAGAUAAUAUGCUAUUUUUCUCUCUCAAAGAAAAAGAUUUUAAGCUCAAUGUAUAAUUAUUUCAUAUAUUUUUUGCUAAAUUUAGGUAAAUUGCAAGUUUUGGUUCUCAAAUUAUGUGAGGAGCGACAAUUUAGCCUUUAACUUUUAAUUUACUAUAAUUACAUACUUGAAUUUUAGAAUUAUUGCAAUCAAAAUUCACAAUCCAAUUAGCCAACAUUAAUGAGAAAUGGCGUGGCCGUUUUGUUAUUAAUGAUUCCCCAAUAAUUAAUAUCCUGUAUUAUUUUUAUAUUAGUGAUGCAGUAAUAUUUAAUCAACCAAAUUGAAUUAUAAAAUUUGAUUAUAAUAAUUCAAAAGUCAAAACAAAAAUUAUAGCAAUUUUUAAGAAAUAAAUGAAAUGUAUAACAUACUAUCUUUCUCGAGGGCUUAUGGGCUUGUAUAUUAUUAGUAUCAAUGUGUUUAAUGAAUUAAUAUUUAGUUUUACUUGAUUGCUUUAUUAAAUGAUCUUUCCUGGACUAUAAAGACAUGCCUUAAAUUAAAUUAGAGUACACAAAAGUGUAAGAAUUUAUGGACUGCAGAAUCGUAUUUUGCUCAUUUGUGAUUUAUAAUAUAUAGCACUUUAUUAUCAUGCUUAUUAGUAUUUCUAAAAUAAAAUAAACACUACCCUACUGAUGUUUAUUAUGACUUCUCUUUUUAUGAAUAAAAAUUCUAAUCUCUAGAAAAGUUAGAUUCAUUUAAAAUCAUGUUUUCUCACAUUACACUCACUAAGUUUUCUUUUGCUGUUAUUUUUUCACUGGAAUGAUAAUCACACUAAGACUAAUAUUUUCUCACUAAUCUAAUCAUUUUUUUAUUACUUGAAGUUCUAAAAAAUAUUUUUUAAAUAGAUGAGCAUAAGAUUUAUAAUUUACACAGUGUACAAAUCAUAUUUUUCUAAUUUUUUUUAUGAUAUGAUAUAAAGAGUCCAUCUUAGAUGCUUAUGAUAGCAUAUGAAUAUAUAUGUUAUGGAUUUUUGAACUCUCCAGCUAAAUAAUAAAUUCUAUAUAUUUAUUUAAGGAUUUGAAAGUUAGUAAUAUAUACUAUUUAAAAGUUAGUAAUAUAUUAAGGAUUUGAAAGUUAGUAAUAUAUACUUGAGAAAAUAUACAAAUUAUUUUUUUUCAUAUUAUAAUACUAUAUUUUAUAUAAUUAUUUUGUAUUUUGAACUACUAGACAUAUUUUUGUAUCAAAUUAUAAAUAAUGUUCUAUACAAAUUAAACUAUUGAUCGUAUGGUGUUGAGAAUUUCAAACGGCUCGUUUAGGNCUUUCUCUUUUUCUGUUUCUCACCCUAAGUGGCCAAGCCAGAAGCUCUCCAAGUUACCAACUAACAGCAUAUGCCCGCCGUUGACUACCUUGCUAUUAAUUGUAUGCUUGAGAAAAUAUACAGAAUAUUUUUAAAGUAAAAAAUUAUUAUUCAUAUAAAAUUUUAAUUUUAGUUAUAUAUGAUUGGAUAGUUUAAUCCAAUAUUUAUCUAUAUAAUUUAUUUAUUUUUGACUGCAUAAAUGAAAAUAAAUAAUAUGGAGAUUGAAGGCGGAAAAAAAAAACAUGUCAUGCUGAAAAGAUUAGAUAUUCAACUCAUAAAUUUUUUUUCUUCAUAUUAUAAUACUAUAUUUUAUAUAAUUAUUUUGUACUUUGAACUACUAGACAUAUUUUUGUAUCAAAUUAUAGAUAAUGCUCUAUACAAAUUAAACUAUUGAUCUUAUGGUGUUGAGAAUUUCAAACGGCUCGUUUAGGACUCGAGCUCGCUUGACUCGAAAUUAGGCUCGCUAAUUUCAAUUCAAGCUUGAGCUUAAAUUUAGACUCGAAAUUAAUUUUAAACCGAAUUUGAGCCGAAAUAAGCUGGUUCGAGCUCGGCUCGUUUCCGCUCCUACCUAUUCCGCCACGUGUGCUUCUCCAAGAUGGCGAGGUGGACUACCCCAUUCAAACCGCCCCACUCUCUCUCUCUCUCUCUCUCUCCCCACUUCCGCACCCUAUAAAUUCCCGCUCCUCCCCCACACCAUUCCCCUUCAAGGCUUCAACUCAGAAGCGCUUCUCCCAACAGCAGCUGCUCCUUCCACUACCCGACAAAACCAAAUUCAACACAAGGAGGAGGAGGAGUAAAUUUGCUCCCACCAACCCCCUUCCCCUCUCACUCUCUCUCUCUCUCUCUAGCGCCCUUUUCCACUUCCACUCCUUUUUAAAUAAAUCAAUCAUACAUAGUCACUGCAAGUAACUAUAGGGAAAAGAAUAAAGAUAUCUAUGGCUACUGCUGUUUCCAACAGCGCCAUUUCACCACCAACUACCAAANGGCGCUUCUCCCAACAGCAGCUGCUCCUUCCACUACCCGACAAAACCAAAUUCAACACAAGGAGGAGUAAAUUUGCUCCCACCAACCCCCUACCCCUCUCACUCUCUCUCUCUCUCUCUCUCUAGCGCCCUUUUCCACUUCGACUCCUUUUCAAAUAAAUCAAUCAUACAUAGUCACUGCAAGUAACUAUAGGGAAAAGAAUAAGGAUAUCUAUGGCUACUGCUGUUUCCAACAGCGCCAUUUCACCACCAAGUACCAAAACUCGCAAAUCGAAUAUUCUCCUCCUCCUCGGCCCCAGCCGGCCCAAUUCCGUCCAAUUUCCAAAGAAUUCGCUCAGUCGUGCGGCUGCGGCCGUCCGCUGCUCUGCCUCCUCUCGCUCCCUCGUUUCCGCCGCCAACACCGAUACCGAUACCGAUACCGAUACGGCGAGUGGCGCUUACUAUCCCCCUUCUUCUUCUUCUUCUUACGUCGACGCCGAUGAAGAGUCGUCAGCGCCAAUCUUGACGAACAGAAGCAAUGACAAUCUCGACGAGUGCAGAGGUCGCAGGUUCCAUCCCCCAAAAUGGAACGCGCUGCAGCGGGCUGCGGCCGCCGCAUUGGACGCGGCGGAGGGGGCGCUGAUCUCCGGGCUGCUGGAGCGGCCGCGCCCGCUGCCGAAGACGGCCGACCCGGCGGUGCAGAUUUGCGGGAACUUCGCGCCGGUGGGGGAGCAGCCGCCGCGCCGCGACCUGCCGGUGGCGGGGCGCAUCCCGCCCUUCCUGAACGGCGUCUACGCGCGCAACGGCGCGAACCCGCUGCUCCCGCCGGCGGCGGGGCACCACCUCUUCGACGGCGACGGCAUGGUCCACGCCGUGCGCCUCCGCCACGGCGCCGCCGCGUCCUACGCGUGCCGCCACACCGAGACCGCGCGGCUCGCGCAGGAGCAGGCGGCCGGGCGCCCGCUGUUCCCGAAAGCCAUCGGCGAGCUGCACGGCCACUCCGGCCUCGCCCGCCUCCUCCUCUUCCGCGCGCGCGCCCUGCUCGGCCUCGUCGACCCCUCCCGCGGCUGCGGCGUCGCCAACGCCGGGCUCGCCUUCUUCGACUCCCGCCUCCUCGCCAUGUCCGAGGACGACCUCCCCUACCACGUCCGAAUCACCGCCGCCGGCGAUCUCGAGACCGUCGGGAGGUACGACUUCUCCGGGCAGCUCAGCUCCCCCAUGAUCGCCCACCCCAAGCUCGACCCCGUCUCCGGCGAGCUCUUCGCCCUCAGCUACAGCAUCCUCGCCGAGCCCUACCUCAAGUACUUCCGCUUCUCCCCCGACGGGGUCAAGUCCCCCGACGUCGACAUCCCCCUCGACCAGCCCACCAUGAUGCACGACUUCGCCAUCACGCACAACUUCAUCGUCGUGCCCGACCAGCAGGUCGUGUUCCGCCUCCCGGAGAUGAUCCGUGGCGGAUCGCCGGUCGUCUACGACCGCUCCAAAACCCCGCGGUUCGGCGUCCUGCCCAAGCACGCCGCCGACGCCUCGCAGAUGCGGUGGGUCGACGUGCCGGACUGCUUCUGCUUCCAUCUGUGGAACGCGUGGGAGGAGCCGGCGGCCGGCGAGGUGGUGGUGAUCGGCUCCUGCAUGACGCCGCCCGACGCCGUGUUCAACGACUCCGGGGAGAGCCUGAAAAGCGCGCUGACGGAAAUUCGGCUGAAUCUACGCACGGGAAAGUCCAGCCGCCGGCACAUCCAGAGCCCCCAGGACCAGAUGAACCUGGAGGCCGGAAUGGUCAACAAGCACCGCCUCGGCAGAAAGACCCGGUUCGCCUACCUGGCCAUCGCCGAGCCCUGGCCCAAGGUGUCCGGCUUCGCCAAGGUCGACCUGCUCACCGGAAAGACCGUCAACUAUCUCUACGGAGAGGGGCGCUUCGGCGGGGAGCCCUGCUUCGUGCCCAGGGACGCCGCCGCCCCGCGGGAGGACGACGGCUACGUGCUGUCCUUCGUGCACGACGAGCGCGCCGGCGUGUCCGAGCUCGUCAUCGUCAAUGCUGCCGACAUGCGGCUCGAGGCCACCGUCAAGCUCCCGUCGCGCGUCCCCUACGGGUUCCACGGCACAUUCAUCGACGCCAAGGACUUGGCGUCGCAGGCCUAAUAAGCCAGCCUCGCCAUAGACAGAGCUAAUUUUAUUAUUGACAGUCAGACAGGUAGACAGAUUUACUAAAUCUAGUCUCUAUCCACUCGGCUGGUUUUAUAAGAUUUAGUAUAUCUGAUCUGUCUAUGGCUCAGUCAAUACCGCUGUUUAUUCCGACCUACGACCUUUUUGCAGGGCAGGGUACACCAAUAGGGGGCCUCCCCUGUUUCUUGGUUUCAGUUGGAUUUUUCCGUUUCUUUUUUUGCAUUUUACCCCUUGCUAUUUGGGGUUUUUACAAUUAUAGCAGUCAUAUGGUUUUGUCUUUUGCUUUUCUUUUUCUUUUUUUUUUUUUUUUUUUUUGUAUUUCAGGAGACGAGUUUGAUACGGACCAUGAUAGAUGGUUUUUGUAUUUACAUUUAUUUUUCCAUCUAUCGUUGGCUUUCUUCUUCUUCUUUUAUUUUCCUUUUUUUUUUUUUGUUUUCUGUGUCGUGUGUAAUGAAGUGUAGGGGGCCCAUCCCCGAAGCUUCUCUUUUUUCUUCUGAUACUACUCAGAAUAACAAGUUACUAUUAUUAUUUUACAUUACAUAAUUCUUAUGUAUGAUGGUGCCCAUUUUUUCCUCUUCUUUUCUAAGUUCGUGUGAAGUGCUUCCUCUCCAACACCUAAACAGAGUGAAUAGAGUUUGGGCUUCUGUGAAGGACUUGAAACAUUUUAUUGUUUUUCCUAAUAAUCAAAUAUCCUAGUUGAUUCACAUUUCUAGCUAAAUUUAUUUCUAAAUAAAAUAAACAAAACGGGUAGCAUGCUACCUAUCUCUCUCAAAAAAAAUAAUCAAAUAUUCCAAGAAUCCAUGGUAAAUUGUUCAAAAGGGAAUAUAUUUGAUCACUGAACUCAAAUAAGUAAGCACUUGAAGAGGCAACUAAUAAACAGGGCAAAGUGAUAAUAUCAAAUUACUACACAAACUAAUUAAGUGCACCAAUGAAGAUUGCGAUGUAGGCACCAGCAUGUUCUUCUUUGGGAGUUCGAGACCCAUGUGGGUAAGAUGAUUAUAUCAUAUCCUUUUACCCUCUUAUAAUUGUUCGAAGUGAGACAAUUCGUGUAUUAUGGGAUUAUUCAUAUAUGAACUCUUAUCCUUUUUCUCUUUUUCUAUGUGAAUCAUUCAACUCUUCUCUCUUUUCUCGUAUGUUACUCUCUUACCAAUGCAGUGAAUCACUUUUCGGCUCUUCUUCAUAAUUUACUACGAACUCACUCUUCUGAGACUUUGCACUUUAACCCACACCACUAGAAAAUUUUAUGAGUCCAUGCAUCUAAUCUUGUGCCUCUCGGGCCCGACUAUGGGCUUUAACUUAUGCUACCCAAAAAAAAAAAUAAAUAAAUAAAUCAUAGCCUGUGCGCCAAACCGUCGUAACUCAAUCAUGUUCAUAAGAGCUACUAACUUGAUUGCACUACACAAUUUAGACAAAUAGCCUAGAAUCAUCAAAUUAUCGGCUUUAAUAAUACUGGUUAGCCAGUCCUGAAUCCAGCCAAAUCCACAUGAGUGCAAAAAUAUGAUAUAUACAAUGGAGCUCAUUCAAUUUAAAAACUUAAGCUUAUUGGAUCUGAGCUCACCAGUGUGUAUCAACUAUUUUACUUGCUUAUAAUUAUCUGAUAUAGGACUAUUUAUACUUUUGCACUUAUUACAAACAUUUAUACUUGUAAGCUUACUAUGUUGAGAUUGUCCCACACUUUACACAGUGACAUGGCUUUAUAAAGUAACAAUUCCAUUAGUAAACCUUUGGGAUUUGAGAAUAUUUGAAAGAAUUUGUGAAAAUUAAGAAGGAUAUUUUGGUCAACUAGGAGUAUAUUAGAUAUUUGUGAAUUUUUAAAGGGUAUAAUAUAUAUUAUCCUCUCUUUUUUUCUAUUGUGUCUUGUUAUUACAGAUUUAUUGCCCCUUGAAGUUAUGUUGUUUACUGGUUGAGGCUUCUCCUCUUGGCCUCAAGUUGCUGAAAAACAUUGUAAGAGUCAAUUAACAACUUAAGGAUUUGAUUUUUGCGAAUGUGCGAAAAGUUUACGAGGUGUUAACGCAUCACAUAUUUGGCUGCAAUACGACAGUGGGCCUGUUUAGCUCCGCUUUUGCAGCAUCACGACACGAGUUUAACACUAGGUUGAUGUAAACGGCUAUGACAGCCCGCAAUUGCGAAAAACGUACCGUCCUGCAGGAGCAUCUCAGUCGAUGCUUGUGGGCACAGCACUGCAGGGUGUUCCGCAAAUGAAGUGCACUCUAAAUGGAAGAAAAGGACAUGUCUCACUUCACUACGAAGUGGAGCCACGUGAAAUCGCGGCUUUCGGGAUGCCAAAGUUCAAUCGAAACUAAGGACUUCAACUAGUGGAAGUCGAAGCAUGGAAGCGAGACGCAUUUUAGCCCCAUCAUCACAAAAUCGUCACGAUCGAACUAACACAACUUGCAAAUUGUUGUCCCCCAACUUGUUCGACGGGAACAAACAAGCCAUCACAUAAGAGCGCUCUUCUGACGUCAAACUGCCAUCCAACUAAUAUCCAGUCAAUCAGUAUUCUAUUUUAUUAGCAACACAAUGUAACUUGAUUCUAUCCGUAAACACGUUCACCGGUCCUUUUUCGAGCACCCAAAAAGGCACUCCUGGGUUAGUGCAAACACAUAUAGCAUCCAUUAACAUAGCUUCAAGGGACCAAGGCACAAUAUAAUAAUUAAUAAAUAAGAUAUUAUCCACUGUGCUCUACAUAUCUAUUGAAAUGAAGGUCAACUUCCCACACUAAUUUUCCUUUUCUUCAACUAUUAACUAAGCAUCAUGGCCAAACACUACUUGUGAGCCCUUUCACUCAUCAUUUUGACUUUUGCUGAAGAUGAAUUGCAGUUCCAUUCACUUCCCUACUUGCAUUAUUCAAUCCACAUCAAGCUUGCCAAGUUGGGAAAAUGCAGGUCUAUUCUCGGAAAAUGCGAAGUCGACUCAAAGGUAACAUCAAUUUGAUGCAUCUUAGUUAGACCUAUUGGAACACAGCUUACAUCGUAACUCAUUUUCGUGUUUGAAAUUUUAGAAAGUAAAUUAACCGGCGAGUAAUUGCGAUAUGUAUAAAACUGACAUAUUACAACAUUUAGGAUACGAAACCUUAUCCGUGUCGAAAAUUAUAUACUAUUUUUGAGAAUGUACUUACAGGUUAUAACCUUAUACGAUCAUGCAGGUGCAUGUAGAGUAAUUUUUAUGAUAAAGUGUAACGAUUGCUAGUACUAAUGACUUGUUAGACUCAAACUAUUGGUCCUAAAUACUUAAAUUCAGUUAUUAUUAAUAAAAUAAUGAGUUUUUACAUGUUUGUAGUCAUCAAAUCAAAUUUUCUAGCCAUUCCUUAAGCUAAAAUUAUCAGAAAAUAUAGGAUUCACUUUACAAUUUUGACUGACAAACCGAUUUUAAAUUUCAAAUUUAAUGAUCUAACUCAUUUUACACUAAAAACUAUUGGGCCUAAACAACCAGCCCGAAAACCUUAAGCCCAAUUUUGCUAAUAAAGUUUCUUAUCCUCGUAUAUCCAAUCAAAAUUUCUUUUUCACCCGAUAUAAAAAUAUAGGAAACAAGGUAAUAAAUUUUGGGUGUGCAUAUGAGUCCUACCAAAAAGAGUUGUUCAAGAGAAUAUUUGGAUAUAUACAUUGGAACUUUGCAUAAAGUUUUUCCCAAAAAAAUACUUUGCCUUAAAUUAAGAUAAAUUAGUACUUAGCUGCAAGACAACAGGUAAUAAAUGGGUAAAGCAUAGUUAAAAAAAGAAAAAUAAAACCAAGAAAUCCAUUUGGCCAUUCCUUUAAAAGAAAAAAAAAUAUUAUAUUUUAUAUAAUUUUAUGCGCAGAAUUUUUAUGUACACAAAUUAUUGAACUGCUCAUUAGGGGUGGAAACGAGCCGAGCUCGAGCGAGCUUACCUCGGCUCAAAUUCGGCUUGAAAUUUAUUUCGAGCUUAAAUUUAAGCUCAAGCUUGGAUUGAAAUUAAUUCGAGCCGAGCUCGAGCGAGUCUAAUUUCGAAUCGAGCGAGCUCGAGCCCUAAACGAGCCGCUUGAAAUUCUCAACAUCAUACGAUCAAUAGUUUAAUUUGUAUAGAACAUUAUCUAUAAUUUGAUACAAAAAUAUGUCUAAUAGUUAUAAGCACAAAAUAAUUAUAUAAAAUAUAGUAUUAUAAUAUGAAAAUAAUAAUUUAUGAGUUAAAUAUCUAAUCUUUUCAGCCUCACAUGUCUUUUCUUCCGCCUUCAAUCUCCAUAUUAUUCAUUUUCAUUUAUGCAGUCAAAAAUAAAUAAAUUAUAUAGAUAAAUAUUGGAUUAAACCUCAACAUAUAUAAACAAAAUUUAAAAUUUUAUACUAGAUAAUAUAUUUUUUUAGCUUAAAUAUUCUAUAAUAUUUCUCAAGCAUACAAUUAAUAGCAAGGUAGCCAACGGGCAAAUAUAUGCUGUUACUUGGUAACUUUGAGGGCUUUUGGCUGGCCGCUUAGGGUGAGAGACAGGAAAAAGAGAAAGAGAGAAAGCAAAUUGAAAAUUUAGGGUUCUGUGAAAGAAAGAAAGAAAAAUUUAUAAAUUUAGUGAAAUUUAGCUCUUAUUUGUCUAUUGCUUUUUUUUAUGCGGCAAAGUAACUAAACUCAGAACUUAUUCCUCAGCUAUAUAUAUUAAAUAUAUUAUAUUUACUAUAUUUUUAAUAUAUAUAUAUAUUUAAUAUACUUAUAUAUUAUAUAUUAUAAUAUAUAGUGUAAACUACUAUGUAUUUUAAAAUAUAGAGGAUUUGAGUUUAAUUUUGACCUCUUGAAUUAAGAAUUGUAAUGAUUGGGAUGAUUGCGAUUCCCCCAGAUUAAUAAUAUCCCUAGUAUUAUAUUCAAAAAAUUAGUAUAAAGGGCAUUGAUCUAAGAAUCAAAAAAUGAAAACACCAUAUCCUCUAUACUUUCGAUAGCCAAUAUAGAUAGCAUAUUACUAUAUAUAUAUAGUAUAUAUAUAUAAUAUAUAUAGUAAUAUAUAUAUAUUAAUAUCAAUGAUAUUGAGUAUUUUCGAGCUUUUCGAGCCUAAUUCGAACGAGCCGAGUAAUACUCAAGUUCGGCUUGAAAUGAAUUUCGAGCCUUUUUUUUGUUCAAGCUCGGCUCAUUUAGUUUCGAGUCGAGCUCGAGCGAGCCAAAUAUCGAGUCGAACGCGAGUCGAACGCGAGCCGGCUCGCUCAUUUGCCAGCCCUACUGCUCAUAGCAGUAUCAAUUCGAACCGUCCAUAUUGAGUUAUCUAAAUUUAUUCUGUUACGGAUGAAUACUGAAAUGAGUCAUGUGGAGAGCCUAGAAUUAUAUAUUAAUAUCAAAGAAAAUAAAAUAAAUAAAUUAUAAGCUUAAAUCCAUAUUGUGGACCACGUAACAGUAAUAUGGACAUGAGAGCCCAAAAUUUAAGGUAGAAUUUAUUGAAGCAGAAGAUCUUGUGGGCCAUGUGUCACGUGGACACGUGGAGCCCACGGUCCCUUUCACAUUGGUGCACGAGCACCAAAAAUUAAUGCGGUGAACUUUAAAUAUCGUGCUAGGCAAAACAAUGUAAGUGUUUGGAAAAUUUCGUGAAUAGCCUUGAUUCUCAUUGGAUUAGUGAAUUAUCUCGUCCAAUGGGACGAGAUUCUUAUCCUUGUAGAGCAUUUUUACUUAGAUAAAUAUAGCACAAAUAUUUAUGGGGCCAAAGAGAAAAAGACCUCAAAUUUUUUUAAUUUAAGAAAUAGGUAACAUGCUAUCCGGUUUAUUUAUUUCUUUUAUAAAUAAACUUAACUGAAAAUGUGAAUCAAUUAGGAUUCGAACUUAGGACCUCAGGUACCAACCAAGCCCUUUGCCGCUUGCGUUAGGAACGGUCGGUAAAAAGUCCUCAAAUAUUGGAUCAUAUAAUAUAUAUAUAUAUAUAUAUAUAUAUAUAGUUGAGCUAGAAUACUAUCGGUAGCAAACGGGCUCCGUUACCACCCAUUUGUUUUCGAUGAUGGAGCCUCCAAAUCGAUGAUCGGAAUGUUGAAUAUGAUCUAUACCACUUGAAGUAUUUAGAAAUCAAAUUUCAUGCUUUUUUGAUAUUGUUCUCUUGUCCAUCAAGUGAGCGUUAAAAUGAACGGCUGAAAAUAAAUAUCCUCUGAAAAGUGAUGAUAGGAAUUUUGUAAUUAAGAUCGAAAGUAUAGAUCAUAUUCUAAAUAGUUUAAAGAAUUUUCUAACCAAAAUUCUAUUGAUUUGGAUAACUUUACACCGUUAAACGAGAAAACGCCUUAUAUCUACCAUUAAAAUUAUAAAUUUAAAACCCUUUGAUCAUUAGGCCAAUGAUAUCGAAAUGAUUUGAAAUUUGGUUUCUACAUACUUCAAGUGGUAUAGAUCAUGUUCAACAGUGCCGAUCGUCAAUUUAAAAGCUCCAUCAUAAAAAACAAAUGGGUGGCAACGGAGCUAGAUUGCUACCGAUAGCAUUCCAGCUCAACUCUCUCUCUCUCUCUCUCUAUAUAUAUAUAUAUAUAGAGAGAGAGAGAGAGAGAGAGAGAGAGAGAGAGAGAGAGAGAGAGAGAGUAGAGCUAUUAUGCUAUCGGAAGCAUAGAGGAUCUGGUGCUUUCGGAUUUUUAGGUCUUAGAUCAAUCCCUUUCGUCAUUUCUAACUUUUAGAUUAAUACUAUUACCCUGUGGGGACCACUCAAUUCUAAGAGUACUAUUUAACCCUAGGGGAGACCGUAAUCAUUCCAACCGUCUAAUUUUUAAUCUAAGGGUCAAAAAGUCGAAAAUAUCAAAUUUUCUAUACUUUCAAUAGCACGGUAGCUCCACACUAUAUAUAUAUAAAGUAUUUUAUUAGUUUCUUAAUUUGCGCCUAUUAUAAUUAUCAUUUUGCUCAUGAAUUGCAUCACUUUAAUAAAGAUCUCUCUUUCUUCUCUUUUUUUUGAGAGAGAGAUAGGUAGCACGUUACCUGCUUCGUUUAUUUCAUUAAGAAAUAAACUUAGUUGGAAAUGUGAAUCAACUAGAAUUCGAACUUGUGAUCUCGGAUAUCAACCACCACCCUUUUUGCCACUUACUCUAGGAACGGUCAGUAAUAAAAAUCUCUCUUAUCAACAAGUUAGUUAGAACUUAGAAGUAAUAGAAUAUACAAGUUGGCAUAAUCCAUUUAGGGCCUGUUUGUUUGUCUGGAACUAUGACUGUGGCGAAGUCUCCAGUUUUCAGAGUCGCUUCAAUCUGCUGAACCUGAGUCCCAAACUUUCAGAACCAUGCAGGUGAAGUGUCGCUUCGAUAAGUUCCAAACACAAACAAAGCUCAAAUUACCAGAAAAAUGGUUCUUUUAUAAAUCUAUAUUUUUUAAAAUUUUCCUAAUGUGCUGAAGGAUCUUGACAGUUAGCAGAAUAUGUUAACUGAAAUAAAUGGAAAAAAAAAUUAAAUAAGACCAAGAAUGUCUUGAAAAGGAAAAUUGAAAAAAAAGAAAUAAAAAAAGAACUUAAUUAGGCUUUUAGCAUUGAUACAGUAUGAAGUAAUCAUUUUCCUCUAAAACUCCUAUUGAACCAUGUAAUGGUUUUCUAUUUUUUUUAAGUAAAAUUUCGUAAGCAUUUUCAUGAGAAGAAAAAUAACAAUUGACGGCCCCAAAUUAUGAUUCCAUCAGACAAAUUUUUCGAUUUGACUAGCAUUCUCCGUUGUAUCCUUGCCUACCAUUAUAUUUCACUCUUCACAAAUCUUAAAGCGCUGUGGCGUAAAUUCAAUAGUAGAACGAGAAGCGUCUUCAAAGGUCGAUCUUAUGUAAACUUUCUCUAUCCCAAUACAUAAAAAAAUAACAAAAAACAAAAAAACAAAAAAAAAAAAAUAGUAGAAUACAUAUCUUAUAAGACAAAAUGGGAAUGAUUCCGUCCAACAAAUUUUUCUAUUUGACUAGCCUUUCCCGUUGUAUAUGUCCUUACACAUAUCUUUCCCUUUGCGUGCUCUGUAGAGUAAAAUUCGAAAGUAUGUUGGAAAAUAUUCUAUUUGUUUUCGUACGUAAUAUUGCAUUCCGCGUCGGUUAUGAUAAAUUUUCUGCGAUCCCAUUGGAGAAUGCAGAAGCAUAUCCCUAUAUAUUUUUUUCUCAACUUCAUUUUAUUUAAUAAUAUUAGAUAAAUCUCAAUACCAAACUAAGCCUUAAAAGAUUGAUCUUAUAUAAUCUUACUCUAUCCCGAUGGCCGAUACUGAGGGGAAAAAAAAACAAAAAUUAGUAUUGUAUAAGACAAACUGGGUAUGGACACUCCUAGCCAAUCAUAAACAAAGAUUGAGUGCUAUGGGAACAUGCAUGCAUGCUACUUAGCCGGAAAAGAGGAAUCAUUGGAUUUGGUCUAACUCUUUUUGUGUCCAAGUUCAACUAUUGCUCGGAGUUGAUUUUGUGCGAGUCCCAAAGUCCCACCGCCGCGUAGUCGAAAGUUUAAAAUGCAAGGGAAAAGAAUAAAACACGAGUACUCUUUCGUUCUCGGAGGAGUUAAGAGAAUUUAUUAAAGCAUGCAUAAACACAAAAUCUAUUAUUAUUAUUAUUAUUAUUGUUGUUGUUGUCGUCGUCGUUGUUUUGAAGCUACUAAUAGGUUACAGAGUAGAGUUACUACGCUAUCGAAAGUAUAGUAAAUUUGAUAUUUUCGACUUUUUAAUCCUUAAAUCAACCUCUUUGAUCAUUUCUAAUUUUUGAAUUAAUACUAUUAUUUUGUGAGGACCAUUCAACCGUAAGGAUACUACUUAAUUCUAGAAUAGACCGCAAUCAUUCUAAUCGUACAAUUCUUAAUCUUAGAAUCAAAAAGUCGAAAAUAUCAAACCCUCUGUAUUUCUGAUAGCAUAGUAAUUCUACACUAGGUUACCCGCAUGUACUCUUAGAUAGGUAGUAAAACUCUUUAUUAGCAGCUCUAAUGUAAAAUUUAAUUAAAUUAACUAUACAUUGACUGAUAUUGAUCGAUCCGAUAAUUUAAAUAUUCGUCCUUUUUUUUUCCAACUAGAAUUGAUGAUUAAUUAUGAAUUGGACCAAGAAAAUAGGUAUUCAUGGAGAAUACAAUUAAAGCUUUGUGUCGUCAUUAACUCUCAAUAACCAUAUUUUUGUACUAACUAGCUUUCACUGUGUAGCUCUAAUCAAAUAAAAUAGAAAUUACACAAAAUAUCAAAUCCUUAAUAAAAAUUUCACCCUGGGCAUAUUUGUCUCUCUCUCUCUUGUUUUUUUUCUUCUUCUUCUUUUUUUUCCCCUUGUUUUCUUUUCUUUGACACUUCACACCUACAUUAAGUUAUUUUUUAAUGAAUAAAAGUACUUGCCCGGUUAGUUAGUGCGGCUUCCAUUUUCGCUGCACUGAGUUUUGGAUUCUGCACGUCAUUCUUCAGGCCAAUCUUGUCUGCCAACUUGCAUCACUGCUUACGUCUCUUCUGCCACAAUUUAAAUUAUCAUUCUUAUUUAUUUUUAUAUUAUUAUUUUAUAUUAAAAUAUAAAAUAAAAUUUUUACGAAACUUAACUUAGCCAACACAGUAUGCUAUGAUCUCAGGCAUCAACCGCGAAGUCUUUUAUUACUUACGUCAGGGACGAUCAAUUAUAUACGUUCGAUUUUUGUUAGUGAAAAGAAAUAUUAUUAGAAUUGCCUCACUUAAUUUGUGUAAUUAGGUCGCACUUUAUAGAGUCCAGGAAUAAAUUAGCAUUUGACCAGGUUCACACCGAAUUUGAGCUACUAAUUUUUAAUUAGUUAACUAAUUUAUUAAUCACUAAUUAUAUCCAUUUUCAACUCUUCAAAUCAUGAACCCAUAUAUACAAAUUAAUAAUAGCUAGAUAAUUUGCCUCGUGCUGAUUUUUUGAUUAAUUUAGCCUUGCUUUAGUUAAUGGGGAAUUAAGUUGUUUUUCCAAAAUGUUUUAGUACUAAUGGAAGAGUGAGAAUGGCCACUUAAUUCCUUCCAAUAUUAUUGCCAGUAAAGUGUUAUAUAUAAAAAUAUAUAAAUACCGUUCUCUAACAGUUUAAUCUCUAGAGUACAAUGAUUAUUUCAUAUAAUAUUAAAGUAGGAGAUUCUGAAUUUGAGUCACGCCAUACUCUUAGUAUUAUUAAUUUUUUCCUAUUUAAUUUAAACUUGAUGGAGAAUGUUAAAUAUAAAAAUUAUAAAUAUCGUUUUCUAACAAUUUAAACUUUUAGAAGUAUAUUUAACAAAAAGUAAUCAAAGUUAACAUCCCUAAAUACAGGAAUUAACUAUUACUAGUGAAGAGAGCAAAAGAUAAAAUGUCAUAUGAAAAAGAGAAACGGUUGAAGGAAGAGAAGAGGUCGGUUCAAAAAAAGCAAAAAAGAUAUAAAAAAUCUAAAAAAAUGAGGGCUUGCCAUGUCAUCAUUUUUAUUGGAAAUUCAUAUAGAGUUAUAAAAGUUCAUUAUAUAUAUAUAUAUAUAUUGGCAUAUUAUUUAAUGUGAUUAUCUUGGGAUACUUGUGAUUUGUGUUAAUACUUUUUUCAAACAGCAAGUUAAUAACUUUUAAAAGUAACUAUAUAUAUAUAUUACAAAAUAUGUUCAAUAAUGAGUAUAUUUAUUCGAUAAUUAAAAAAAUAUCGAAUAAAGUUCACAAAAUAUUCAGACUUUCUCUUUAAUCGUGGCAUUGACUCAGAUAUUUUCACGUCCAGCAGGGCCCCACAAAUUUAAAUAGUUUGCCUACCACAUGAAAUAAACGAAGCGGGUAGUGUGCUAGCUAUCUCUCUCAAAAAAAAAAAAAGAAAAAAAGAACUAUGCGCAAUUCCCUAGGGCAAAGUGGCAAAGUGUUUCCUCAUAUACCUUUGUUCAAUUUAAUUUCUCUUAUAAAUGUUGCCACUUUUUUAUUAUUUUUUUUAAGAAUAAACUUCAAAUAUCAUCCUAUAAUUUUACAUUUUUUUAUUUUAGUAAUCUGUGAUUUAAAGUUUAUCAGUUUAGUAUCCUAUAGUUUCAUUAUUCUCUUUUCGUCAACCUUUUCGUUAAUUUUUCGUUAAAUCAUAUACAAAAAACUUCAGAUACUCUACCUAUAGUUUUCCGAAUAUUCAUUUUAGUAUCUUUUACUUUUAACUUUGUCACUGAUUUAACCAAAAAAAAAUAGUGGACGGGAAUGAUAAAAAUAAAUAAAAUAAAAUCAUAGGGUACGAAAGUAAUACACUUUAAACAUAUUAAAGUAAAAAAGUGCGAAACCACAUAAGUAGUAUUGAGUUGAGCUAGAAUACUUGUAAAAGUAUUAUGUGGGUGGUGCUUUUGAGUUUUUAGCCAUUGGAUGGAGAGAUGUGAGGUUGAGAUGAUGGUGAUAGGUGGUGGUAGGUGGUGGUAGGUGGAAUAGUGUUUGAUCUAAGGGCUAUUAAUAAUCAAGGAGUAGAUCCAAUGUCUAAAAACCUAAUAGCAUCAUAGAGGUAAUACUUGUAAAAGUAUUCUAGCUCAAUUCAGUGGUAUUUAAAGUUUUUCGUUUUUUUUUAUUUAAAUAUUUUCUUACUUACCCCACCUCUUAUUAAAAAAAAAAAAAAACAAAAACAACUACACAUUUGUUGCCACACCUAUAAACUGCUUUAGAUGGUCCCUUUUUUUAACUUACUAUUAUUAUAUAUUAAACUAAAUGCACUAAUUUUUCAUAAGAUUUUAUGCUAAAAGAGUGUUACUAUUGUUCAUCUAAAGCUUGUUGUGUGCGUGUGUGUGUGUGUGUUUUUUUUUUUUUUUUUUUUUUUAAAUUUUUUAUGGCAGACGAUUUGUAUGUUUAAAUUUUAGGGAAAACUUCAAAAAAUCCCCCUAUAGUUUCACACUUUUUCAUUUUAGUACCCUAUGGUUUAAAGCGUAUCAAGUUAGUACCCUAUGGUUUCUCACUUUAUCACUUUAGUACCCUGUGGUUUAAAGUGUAUCAAUUAGUACUCUGUGGUUUUAUUUUUGUAUCAAGUUAGUACCAUGUGAUUUUUAAACCACAGGGUACUAAAGUGAUAAAGUACGAAACCACAUAGUACAAACUUGAUACACUUUAAACCACAUGGUACUAAAGUGAAAAAAUGCAAAACCACAGGUACUAACUUGAUACACUUUAAACCACAUAGUACUAAAGUGAGAAAAAGUGAAACCACAAGGGGGGUAUUUGAAGUUUUCUCUAAAUUUUAAUUACAUAGUAUAAAUUAUUACGUAUAAAAUUAUAUGUAAUAUAACUGUCAUGAAAAAUUUUUUUAAAAAAAAUAUUUUUAUAUAGCUCUCUGUAAAUAUAUCGAAUAACAGAUAUAUUCCUAUAAAGUUUAAUUUUUUAUAUCUAUGCUUAAAAAAUUCUAACGAUUUCAAAUCUACCAUGAUGCUAGUGUCAAUUAUAAAAAUAUAGUUAGCCGUAGGUGAAAUAUUCAACCUUGAUUAGUCAUGCAUGAAGCAAAUUGAACUUUUCACUCCUGUGAUUUAUACCUUUUUCUCUCAAUCAAACCAUAGCAAUGAAAACCCUUCUUCUUCCUCGCCAUCUUUUUCUUUAUCUCCCUCUCUCUCAUUCAAGCUAGUUUCAAAUUCGUAACUAGAAUUUAUCUAUCCUCAUUCCUUUACGAUGUGUAUUACUUUGCUCCAUGUUGAACACCGAAGAAUAAGUAUUAAAUGGGUAAAAAUCAUAAAAGGAGUAAAAGAAGAGGUAGAGAAGGGGUUGUAGCAAUGAUGAAUUGGAUUAGUUUUUUAUAAAGAAAAAAAUGACUAUUGAAGAUUUUUUCGAACGAUAUCUUAGAAAGAUCGUAACAAUUAAGACUUUUGGAGGAAUAUAUUUGUGAUAAUAAAAUUGACAUUUUACUUAUCUUCUAUUAAAAAAUAAACAGUAAGCUAAUGCUAAUAAAUUAGAGAAAUAAAUGUAAAAAAAAAAAUCAGAAAAAUAAAUAUAAAUAUCACUUGAUUAUUUUAAAAAUAAAUUUAAACUUUUAAAAUUUAUAAAAAUAUAUUCAUUAUUGGCCAAUUUGCAUAAAAAUUCUAUUAGUUUUCAGCGUUUGCAAAAGUAGGUCGUCCUUUUAAAUUUUGCAGAUUCGUGCCGAAUUUUUAGAAAGCUGACUAAAAUACCCUUAUUCCCUUUUCUCUCUUCUCUUUUUUUUUCUCGUUCUUUUUUUUUCUCUCCGAAGAGGGUGAUGGAGGCAUUUAUUUGAAUACAUUAUAACUUUUGUAGAGAUAACUUAUGAAAGUUGAACUUUGUAUGAAUAUAUCUGCUAUUCAUCAUGUUUGUGGGGACCUGUAUGAAAUUAACCCUAAAAAUUUAUAUGCAAAAAUUUUUCUAAUUUAAAUUUUUAUGACGAGAGAAAGAGAAGGUUGGAUCGGAAAAGAUGGGCCCCAUCCCUAACCCUACAACCAAGUGCCCAAAUUAAAUAAAAGAAUAGUGCCGACACAUAGGAAGUGAGCCGAGAAUUCAUAUAUUAACAUAGAUAAUAAUAAUAAUAAUCAUAAUUUCUCCCAUAAAUUUUGGGAGCUUGAUUUUUUUUUAUCUUCAUUAUUUUUUUAUUUGCAUUCCAGAUGCUUCAUUCUUUUUUAUUUAAUUACUAACAAUUAUAAAAUAUUUACUAGGUCAAAAUCACACCUUACCAUGCACGUGGAAAGAUUUUCGUGAAUCAUGUCCACCAACCACAUCAGUCCUCAACUAUAUAAGAGCCAUGGCAAAGGGGAAUUCAUGCUAUUUCCAUUUCUUCACAUCCGACCCAAACUGCUGUCAGUCCCGGUCGAAUCAGACAGAUCCACAUGGGACAAGUGGUCGGCCUUAAAAGGAGUCCUCCUGCCGCCCGCUUAAUUCUAGUGAACCACUGUUAUUCUAAUCGCACGUAUUUUUAUUCAAAGAUUAGAAAUUUAAUAGCAUUAAUGACUUGGUGCUAUUAAUAACAUUCCAGCCAAAUUCUAUAUAUAGUCCUGUUGGGAUACUAUCGAUAGCACCAAGUGUUUGGUACUACCGAGUUUUCUAUCAUUAGAUUUCUCUUUUUUAUUAUUUUUAACCGUUAGAUCAUACUAUUCAACUAGCCAUCCACUCAAUCCUAGGAGAUCACAUCAUCCUACCCGUAUGUAUUUUCAUCCAAAGGUUAGAAACCUAAUAACACCAAUGACUUGGUGCUAUUAAUAGUAUUAAUUCCAGCCAAAUUCUCUCUCUCUCUCUCUCUCUCUCUCUCUCUCUAUAUAUCUAUAUAUAUAUAUAUAUAUAUAAAGAGAGAGAAAGUAGAGCUGCUAUGCUAUUGGAAGUAUAGAGGAUCCAGUGCUUCUGACUUUUUGGUCUAUAGAUUAACCUCUUUAAUCAUUUCUAACUUUUGGAUUAAUACUAUUACCUUGUGGGGACUACUUAACCCUAAGAGUACCACUCAAUCCUUGGGGGACCGUAAUCAUCCAAACCGUACAAUUAUUGAUCCAAUGGUUAAAAAAUCGAAAGUAUCAAAUCUUUUAUGCUUCCAAUAGUAUAGUAGCACUACAAUAUAUAUAUAUAUAUAUAUAUAUAUAUAUAGAGAGAGAGAGAGAGAGAGAGAGAGAGUUGAGCUAAAAUACUAUCAAUAGCAAAUAGGCUUCUUUGCCACUCAUUUGUUUUCGAUGAUAGAGCCUCCAAAUCGAUGAUCGGCACCGUUGAACAUGAUUUAUACCACUUGAAGUGUUUAGAAAUCAAAUUUUAAAUCUUUUCGACAUCAUUUGCCUAAUGAUCAAAGGGUUUCAAACUUUGUAAUUUUAAUGGUCGAUAUGAGGCGUUUUCUCAUUUAACGGCGUAAAGAUAUUCAAAUCAAUUGAAUUUUUGUUAGAAAAGUUUUUAAACUAUUUAAAACAAGAUCUAUACUCUUGAUCUUAAUUACAAGACUCAUAUUAUCAUUUUUUUAAAAAUAUUCAUUUUCAACCGUUCAUUUUUGUGUCCACGCGAUGGAUUAGAGAAUAAUAUCGAAAAUGUAUGAAAUUUGAUUUCUAUACAUUUCAAGUGGUAUAAAUCAUAUUCAACAGUGUCGAUCGUCGAUUUGGAGGCUCCAUCAUCGAAAACAAAUUGGUGGCAACGGAGCCCGUUUGCUAUCGAUAGUAUUCUAGCUCAACUCUCUCUCUCUAUAUAUAUAGAGUCCGGCUAUGAUGCUUGUGAAAGCACCAAGCACUUGGUGCUUGUAAAUUUUUUACCGUUAGGUCUCUACCUUUGAUAAUUUUUACCUGUUAAAUUAUACUAUUCAACCAACCACCCACUCAACCCUAGGGGGCCUACAUCAUCCUAACCACACAUUCCUUAAUCCAAGAGCCAAAAACUUACAAGCACCAAUGACUUAAUACUUUUAAAAGCAUAGGAGCUCAAUUAUAUAUAUAUAUAUAUAUAUANUAUAUAUAGUUGAGUUAUAAUACUAUCGGUAAGAAACAGACUCCAUUGCCACCUAUUUAUUUUUGAUGAUGGCGCCUCUAAAUUAAUGAUCAUGACCAUUGAACAUGAUCUAUAUUUUUUAAGUAUUUAGAAAUCAAAUUUUAUGUCUUUUCGAUAUUAUAUAUUCUCAUGUCCAUUAAGUAGAUACAAAAAUAAAUGGCUGAAAAUGAAUCACUUUUAAAAAGUGAUGAUAAAAGUCUUAUAAUCCAGAUUAAGAGUAUAGAUCUUCUUCUAAAUAGUUUAAAUUUUUUUUUAACCAAAAUUCAAUUGAUUUGGAUAUUUUUACGCCGUUAAACAAGAAAACGUCUUAUAUCAACCAUAAAUUACAAAUUUUGAAGCUCUUUGAUCAUUAGGCUAGUGAUGUCGAAAAGAUUUGAAAUUUGAUUUCUAAAUAUUUUAAGUACUAUAGAUCAUGUUCAACAGUGCUGAUCGUCGAUUUGAAGGCUCUAUCAUCGAAAAUAAAAUGGGUGACAACAGAGCCCGUCUGCUACCGAUAGCAUUCCGACUCAACUCUCUCUCUCUUUCUCUCUCUCUAUAUGUGUAUAUAAAUUUCCAUCAUAUUUUUCAAUAUGUAAACUAAAUAAAACAGUAAUUACUAUGACAAUUAAAUAUAUUUUUAAUAUAACUGUCAUUAUUCAUUAUAUUAUUUUAUCGUAAUUGACUUCGUCUUAGUCUGUUUUUAAUAACUCGAAUUUCGACUAUAUUUUAAUUACGGCAACUCGAAUAGCAAUUAUUAUCAUUUACGACUGAAAACAAUUUAGCCCUAUCUGUUUUUAACCCAAAUGAAUAAGUCCUUGAAGUAUUUUCAUAAUUUUUUAAAAAAAUAUAUAUUAAGAUGGUAAUAAUUAAAGUAAGAGUUAAAAUAAAUUUGCACACCGAUUACGGCCUGAACGCGGUCGAGAGGACAAUUUUUCUUUAAAUCCUUUGCGAACAGUUCGGUGCCACGUGUCCAUUCUACAACCGUUGGGUCAAUGUCGACGCGUGCGCCGACACGUGGCGUCGGCGCACGAAUCGAGGAAAUGUCCCCGCAGGGUCUCGCACGUGCUUGUUCGCACGUGUUACCCAACUCCACCAUUCACAAUUUCUUUGGACGCGUAUUCAAAUACAGAUAAUAUAAAUAUAUAUAUCUGACGCUAAAUUUUUAUUUAACUAUAUUUAUUUAAAACGAAUUAAAAUUUAAAUAUUAUUUAAAUAAUAAUACAUAAUAAAAUAUUUUUAUAUAAAUUAAAAUUAGCACAAUAAAAUAUAAAAUAACUAAAUUAUGAAUGUAAAAUUUUGGAUAAAAUUAUUAGAUUCUUGAAUAACUGUGUUAGAUAUGUGGAUAAAACUAUUUUGAAUAUCAAUCAUUAAAUUUUUAGACAACUGUGCUAAAUACGACGGGUAAAACCCACAGUUUUCGAGAACACAAAGGCGCGAUCUACUAAUUACACUUUGAAAGCCCUUGUAAUUAAUUAAGUUGUACCGCUCCACCAGCAUAGCUCCUUCUUUUUUUUAUUUUUUUGAGAAAAAGGUAGCACGCUACCCGCUUCAUUCAUUAAAAUGAUGAACUCAGUUAUAGGUGUGAGGCAACACGGCCUCGGGGUGAGGGCGAAAAAGGUAGCAUAGCUCCUUUUUUAAUUAUUAUUACUACACCUAUUUAAUUUCAUUUAGACACUUCGAGAAAUAGGUUUUAUUUAUUAUUGCUACCACACCUAUUUAUUUUUUUAUAAACUUAUUAUAUCAUUUAGGCACUUCUAGAAGUAGGUGGAUUGCUUCUAACAAUUUUUUAUUUUAUCACGUAAUAAUUAAUUAAACAAAGUGCUGAAUUUGAGGACUAGGAUAAGAGACAGUUCACCGCAUACAAGCUUUUAUAGAAACGAAUAUAGAACUAGGCUAGAAUACUAUCAAUAGCACCAAGCUAUUGGUGCUAUUAGUUUUUCGGUCCUUAGAUGAAAAAAUAUACGGUUAAAAUGAUGCGAGUUCUCUAGGGUUGAGUGAGUUAUUUAUUUAAUAGUAUAAUUUAACGAAUAAAAAUAGUCAAAGAGUUAAAUCUAACGGCGAAAAAUUUGAUAGCACCAAACGCUUAGUGCUAUCGAUAGUAUUCUAGGCAGACUCACUAACAUAAUGUAUGUUACAAACAUGCAAUUAAUUAAUUCAUUGGCGUAUUUCACACUACAACAGAAUUAGAUUAUAGGGACACAUGUUUGGGACACUUUUGUCUAAGUGUCCCAUUUAUGUCAAAAUUUUAAAAAACAUCUAUUAAUGUCUAAAUAUAAAGCCGAAUCCAACAAAAAAUAAAAUGUUACUAUACUCAACCUACCCAACCCAGCCCAUUUGGUCCGAUUCCAAAUAGAAAAGAAAAAAAAAAAAAUCGAUUACCAUCUCCCCAUCUUCCCUCACUUAAUCCAUUGAAAUUCUAGAAGAAGGGCCCUUCCCUCUCGUUCUCCUCCGCCACCGCAGCCAACGAGAUAGAGUUCUGACACUACAACAAAACAUGCCUUUAGUGGCAAUUAAAUAGUGGCCAUUAUGAAAUGGCUGUUAUUGAUUUAAUAUCUAAUUAUAUUUUCGCAAUAAUUUUUAAAUUAUAAAUCAAAUAGGAACCCCAAUAUGAACCAAUCCCGAUCCCACCGGAUUGUAACCCAAUCCCACCCCUCUCCUUCCUUGCGUGGAUCCUCCUCCCUCUCUACCAACAUCGCCUUCUCCUCCACCUCUCUCCAAUGGCGCCGCUCCCUCAAGCUCCAAACCCUACCCCGCAGGUCUCCUCCUUCCUUCUCCCUCCUCCACCGUAGGAGCUUACGAUCCUCUUCCUUCUCUGCUCCUCAGGAGGGAGUGCCCUAACACCGAGUGCGGGGCGGGGACGUUCAUCGCCAACCACUUCGAUCGCCAUUACUGCGGCAACCACGAACUCUUCUUCUUCGACUCUCCUCUCAACUGCUUCUACACAAAGGGGUCGCCUGAGGUAAAAGCUUAGGGUUUCUAAGCCAUCCUCUCUAUCACCUUUUUUUUUUUGUUGCAAAAUUUGUUGAGAUUUUGUUCCUUUGAUAUGCUCUAUAGGAUCAGAUCGAAGAUUAGGUUUCAAUAUUUCAUAAGGUGUUUGUUUCUUUUAAUGCUAUUGAAUCAUGAGGCAUAGAGAUGGGAUUUUUGUAUUGGGUUUGGAUGAAGUGUAUGUGUAGCCCCUGAAUCGUGAUAAUUUUGUGACUUGGUCGCUGUAAUUUUCACUUGAAUAUUGUAGACAACGCUGCCUUUCAAUUUCAUUUAAAAGAAAAAAUGAAAUAAGUGAAUCAUUUUACAAAUGGAGGUAAUUUUUUCAUUUUGUAACUAAAAUCAAGCAUUUUUUUUUUAAAGUUGGGGAUUGAGGGUCCUAAAGUGCAAGAUAUGUGAAAUUUCAUGGACUAAAAUGUUUGAUUAUAGGGAGCAAGCUGAUCUCUGAGCAUUUUACAGUAAGAUAUUUUAUGAUUGCAGUUUCUAAAUAAUUUUGUUUGUAUGCAUUCCUCUCAGAAUUAGUGUCUGAGUGGAAAUUAUUUACCUCUUUUUUGAGUAAAUGGUUGAGAUUACUUGCUUGUAUUUUUGCGACCAGAUCAGUAUUCAACACUAACUAGUUAAGGUUUUCUAAACUUGGGUUUACUUUUAGCUAUUUUUUUUUGUUUAUUGCUCAAUACGGUGAAAUUGGAGAAUGAAUAUUCAACCAGCCUUAUUUAGUCUUUGUUUGGUCGAAGUCGUCAUCUUUGUUUUCAAAGAUAAGAGAGCUAUUUGUGUAUAUUUCUCGUCUUUUAUCUAGUAGUCCUUGUUGCUUAUGAUUAGCUUUGUUUUUUUUGUUUCUCAUGUUUUCUACUUUUCAUAGUCCUAUUCUGUUUAUUUAUAGAUCACAAAAAAAAAAGAUGGUGAAUGUUGUUGCUGUUCUAGGUAGCAAUGAGGGUGUCAAAGGCACAAUCAACUUCACCCAGGAAGGAGAUGGUAAAUAUAAUACCUAAUCUCAAGUUCAUUUUCGUUGUACUAUUUACAAAAUUUGACUUAGACUAUUGCUUCAUAUGCCACUUCGUUUUUCUUUUUCCCCUUGUUUCAUUGAUUUAGGUCCAACAACUGUGAUUGGGAUGAUCGGGAGCAUAUCUGGCCUCAAACUGGGGCUAUAUGGCUUCCAUGUCUAGGCACUUAUUGGUGACACUAUCUGAUUUGUGGAGGUGAUAUUUAGUUGUCUAUUUAUAGUGUUUUUUAUAAGUAUCUUUUUUUCUAAGGUAAACUAAUUUUUGUUUGGUUGUUCUAUUGUUCUGCUUGAUUUACUAGUGGUUUAUGUGUUGUAAUAUUGUUCUACUUGAUUCGGCGGUAUAGUGUUGUCAUUUAUUCACAUUGCUUUGAUUCGAGAAGAAAUAAUUUUAGGGAACACUUUUGUAUGUGUUUUUUUUCCCUCUGUGACAUAGACAAAUUUUGUCAUGUUUAGAGAAUAAAAUUGUGAUGCAUUACCUGGACAGUGUUCUAGGAGUAGGAACUAAGCCUCUUAUAUUGAUUGCACAUAGGUAUAUCACCUGCUUAGUACGCCUCACUUUUACAAUAGACUUUUUAGCCUCAAACUUCUAGGGAGAGAAGAUGAUUCAGAGGAACAAGUCCGUGAGUCCUAACCAUCACGUGAUUCAUAGACCCACGUCCAUCCCAACUAUACUGUGAUCACAUACACAUUUUUGAACUUGUAACCGAGUUCAAGAUAAAAUUUUGAGAGAUUUCAAACUUCAAAUUAGUUGCUUGGAUUCUUUGUGAAGAGUUGAACUUGGGGAGUGCUUCAAUUCAGUGACCUGGUAGGUUUUGAUUGCUGAAAUGGUGAAUAGUGCUGGAUGUGGCAAUUCUUGAAUUAGAUGGAAUUUACCUUGCUUAAUCUAGUUAGCUGAGCUUUUGCUGGGUUUUGGGUGAUCUUAACUUCAUCUUUUUCUAGUAAGAAUCUUAUUCGGGUUGAAUCGAAGGUUAGUUUAGAGAGAAUUUCAGAUUUUACUUGAGUUCCAAUCAAUUUAACCUCAUGUGGAAUUCUGAUUUUUUAAUCCAAUAUCCACCUCUUUUAGCUGAGAAGUAUUGGUGUGAUUUUGGAUGUUUUCAUGGUAGAUGAGUUAUGGAUCGACCUUUGAACUCUCCCUCACACCCCUCUCCUUGUUGCUCUCUUGCUGGUUGGUUUUCUGCGGAGCACGCAAUCAACAACAGCUAUAACAAUCAGCCGACAGCAGCAACAUCAGCAUGCUGGCAGCAUUGAGUCGAGAAUUGGGAGCUAAAUUGGAUAUGAUUCGAUGCUCCAUUUUCGAAAUUGAGCUCUUAUAUUUGUGUGGGGAGAAGUUGAGAAUCAUCUUGUACCUUCCUUGAGCUGGAUUUGCAGGUUAAUAGCUCUGAUUUUUAUGUUGAUCGAAGGUGAUGCAUAAUGCUGAUUUUUGACCCAACUUCAUAUUUGAAUAAAAUUCGUUUGAAUUUCUUCUAGGAACUGAGUUUGGAAGGAUUGGAAGCGAUCUCAACUUCAUCCUUUUGUGGUUAGAAUCUUGUUUGGACCAAUUUGGAGGUAAAAUGAGUAAGAAUUUUAGUUUUCUUUGAGGUUGAAAAUCGGAAAACUGAUUUUGGCAUUCUUCGCAUUUUUGACUUUUAAUCACUUUUGCAUGGUAAUUUUGUAGUGAUCAAGUGAGUUUUCUGGUGGAUUAAAAUCCUGGGAACACACUUUAGAGUAUGUUGGUGUUCCUCAUUCCCUUGGUUAUCCCGUGGAUUAGCCCUUGGAGCGGAGACAGCAGCAAGUAUUUUUGGCAAUUAGUUUUGAUUUGGACCUUAUUGCUACGAUUUGAUGCUUCUAGGGUGUUUUUGAAGUACAGAGGAACAUGGGAAUUAUGUUUCAACUAUUGGUUUGAGGUGAGUAAUACUAAAUUUUAGUUUUUUUCGAACUGAAUCGACAUUGAUGGAUUCUUCUUAAUCCACGGUACAAAUCCCACGAUUUCUACAUUGCAGGAGACACGAACAUGGGAAUUAAGUUUCAACUAUUGGUUUGAGGUGAGUAAUACUAAAUUUCAGUUUCUUUCGAACUGAAUCGACAUUGAUAGAUUCUUUUUUUUAGUAUAUAUAAACUAAGCAAAUGAUGAAAAGUAAUAAGGGAAGAGUGAAAAUGCUGUCCAUGCAUGAAAAAUGCAACCAAAAACACCAUGUACGCACUUUCAAGGAGCUUUUGCUGGCAGCCACCUGAGUAUCCAGAGGUCUUUCCGGUCCACCGUCAACCUUAGACGUGUCCUAUCUCUGUCACGGCCUUUUCAUACUGGGAAUGGUGUUUUCUUUUUUUCUUUUUUUUUUUUGUUUUCUUUGAGGUCGAGCUUGGAAUGGACUUAAACAGUAAAUUACCGUGUUUUGACUAGUGUGAAACAGGCAGCUUCUAUCGAGCUGAUGCUCUCGUUGACAAAAAAGUGGAAAUUCUCCGAUCUUUUUCAGGACGGGUUGACUAAUGUGAACGAGCAAACAAUUGUACUAACAUUCGUAGACGCAUCCUUCCUCGCCAUUUGCACAAAAGAGCUCAACAAGUGUUUUAAUUAGAUCGACAUCCACAGAUGACGAACCCGUGGGAGCGUCGUAUCACAGUUAAGAAGUAACAACAUAUCACCUUUUUUUUAACUUUCUUUUUUUUUUUCCGCCCUCCUCGAGACCUCAGAUGUUUCAUCCCCGUAACUAAAUUCAUAAUUUCAAUAAAUAAAGCGAGUAAAAUAUUAGCAUCAUAAACACUAAUGGCGUCAACACUCGGAUUGUAGAUGAUAACACUGUUAAAUUUGUAACUGGAUCUUCCAAGGAACUUCAUGAGAAACUUGGCAAAUAAUAUGGAAGUGAAUGCGAGGCAUGAAAGUAUUAGGAGUGCGUCUUUUUUCAAAGAAAACUAAAUGCACACUAUAUCUCUGUUUUUGGAAUCUUUUUUGCCUAACUAUAUUUUUUGCUUUGAUCUGAUGAACUUGGUGUUUAAUACUGAACGGAGUGUAUACAGUUCAGAUUCCGCCUUUUUUUUUUUAAUGCAUUUAUGCAGGAAAGCUAAUAACUUAGCAUUGAUCUUAUUUGAUGCUGUAGUUUGUGAUCCAGUCAUGGGAGAUGAAGGAAAGCUAUAUGUUCCACAAGAGUUGGUAUCUGUGCAUCGAGAAAAGGUGAGCCUCAGACCACUUGAUCUACAUUUUACGGCACAUUACCAUCGUUUUCUAGCAUUUUAUAAAUUUGUUUUAUGUCCUGUAGUUUAUUCAGAGAUAAUGGCUUGGAGUCAUGUUUAAUACUCUUUGUUCUUAAUUUUCUUUAUAUGAUGUUAUAUUUUUGACAAGUCUGUGAUGUUUGAUCUACAUGUUUAAUAUUUUUUUCCUUUUUCGUUUUUGUUAAUUAAUGUAAGGUCGUUCCUGUUGCUUCUAUGCUUACUCCAAAUCAAUUUGAAGCUGAACUACUGAUUGGAUUGAGGUAGGUAUGCGUUUAGUUUGAAGAAUAACAUUUAUUUUACAUUGGCAUCAGGAGCAUCUGACCAGAGUCCAUAUAAUACUAUUUAUAUCUAAUUUUUUUUCUUUAGGAGCGUCUGAUCACUUUGUAAUCAUAUUUAUGUACGAAAAUGCUUCACAGGUUGUUGUUAGAAGAGUCAUAUCCUGGUGUGCUACUUUUUGAUUUUUGAACCCGGAAUUGUAUUUAAUAUAUUGUGAUUUAGUAUAGGAUUAAAAGAGUUAGUUAUUUUGUUAAGUUUAACUAAAAUCACUGUUUGUGGAGGAAUUAUGUAUAGCUUCAAUGUAGUAGAAUUUUGAUGCUUGCAAUUUGAUAAUAAUUACUUGAUUGCUAUUGUCAUGACUCUAUAUUGACAUCUUCAUGUUUUAUUAGAGUAGUUGCAUCUGGUUUGUAGGUCUGUUGCAUCCAACAUGCAAAUAUGAAUCAUGUUAAAUCUGAGCUAAUUCUACUCAUAUGACAGUUACUUCAUUGAAUCUUAUUAUAUAGUUGCUAGUUCAAUUUGCCAUCCUAGAUAUCUAGUACUAAGAUUACUGGUCAUUUUCUAUUCAAUCGAUUAUUUGGUAACAUGUAUCAAAACUAGUUGUAAAUUCAUGCCAUUACUUAUCUGGAUUGGCUGAUAACUAUGAAAAUGCCGCUUUGGUAUGGUAAUGAGAACUCAUAUCCUUGCUUACUAACCGUAGCUUCGUAUUUACCAUCCUUAUUAUCCAACUAAAGACGUUAACCCAUUUAAUUUCAUGUUUUCGCUGAAGGAUAAACACUAAGAGCUGAAUGAUAGCUCAACAUAAGCAAGGGAGGUUCCAAAUGUUAUGAACUUUAUGAGCUGAAUGAUAGCUCCGAUUCUCGACCCGGCGAUCCCCAUAUCUCCCUUGCUAUCGCCCAUGACCUACUCGGCCCCGCGAGGACGAUCCUCGACGAUCCGAUCCGAGCCCUCAGCGGUGCCGCUUCUCGAUUCCUCUUCUCAAUUUGGUGCUCCGAUCCAUUGGUAAGAGUUCUCAAUCUCAAAUCAUUAGUUUCGUACUCGAAUCCUCAGUUAUCUCAAAUCAUUAGUUGUAGGAAUGAUUAGACGAUUUAGAUGUUUCAUACUUUCUUAUCCUUUAUUUAUUUGCAAAUUUGGACUUAUUCAGAAAUCUGCAUUGGUUUAGAAAUCCUACUAUAUCUGCAUGUCUAUUUUGUUUUUUCUUGGGAUUUCAUUAAAUUCUUUUAAAUAAGGUAAAUGCUUAUGGGGUUGUGGGCUUAGAGCUUAGGGUUUAGGAUAUUUGGGUCGUAUUAUAAAUGCUUUAGCUACACCUAUUGAUGGGAGGGGAAAUUUCAGCUUCUAAAUCUUGGUUAAUGCCCCCUCAAAUAGGGCUUAUUGCUAUUGAUUCUAUAUACGUAGAUGAAUAAAUAUGUAUCAUACUCUAGACUAUUAACGAAUAUCUAUCCCGAUCCUUCUCUAUUAAUUAUUGGUUUACACACCAUUUGUCUUUCCGCCAGCGGCUUAUGUAGUGGUCAGCCAAAGCCUCACAGCAUCUAGUAGUCUUGCCCCGACUUGAUACCCUAGCAUCUAAAUAGGGGCUCUUCCUUAAUUUACUUGUGCUUGGAUAAUGAAGGAGCAUAUAUGAGCAUGAAUCUUUUUACUACACUAAAAAAAAAGAUGUAGGUUAUGCUGCUUUAACUUUGUUCUUUUGUAUCUUGAUACAUUUUCUUUUCAGUAGCUUUUCUACCUUUGUUUAAUGAUCUUAAUCUUUUUUUUUUUUUGUUUAAUGCAUUUCGUAGUGCAGAUACCAAUUUUCACUUUGUUGGGUGGCAAACUUUUACUGAACUCUUAAUUCAACUUCGGUCGCACUUUGUUGGGUGGCAAACUUUUACUGAACUCUUAAUUCAACUUAGGUCGCACUGUCUAUAUAUUUUAUUAGGUAACUUCAUAAUUUUUUGAAUCAAGUCUAGAUUUAGCCUAUAGCCUGAAAUCUUUUUUGCUGUUCUCAUAUUCAUUUUCAGAUGUGCUUGUCUACUUAAUUAAAGUGCUAUUAUUACAAAAUGAAAAGAAAAGAUAGACCAAAUCAGUACAACCUAACUUUUAUAUUUUUCAGAAAUUUGAUAUGAUGAUUUUUAUUUGGUAAUUUCGGACACUGAUUUUAUGACUUUUUUUUUGUUGAUCCAGAACAGCUGGAGCUGCGGAAAUUGAAGUGGGAAGCAAGAAUUUCAAACAUGCGGUGUUUGUUAUUUUUUAGCUACAUUUUGAACAAGUAUUUUUUGUUAGAACUUAUGUUUGAAAUUUAAUUUGAAUACUGAGAUUGUAAUUUGAGAGUUGAGACUAUUUGUUAUACAAAUUAUUAAUGCUUUUUGGUUACUAAUAUUUUUUAAUAUUUCAAUUCAUUGUAGUAUUUAGUUGUUAAUCAAGUAUUUUAAUAUUAAUUUAAUUGCCGCUAUAAGCUUUAUUAAUCAAUCAUUUAGUAUGUUUUUUGCGGCAAUUAUAAUUAAUUGUAGCGGCAUUUAUAAUAGUUGUUAUUGUAUAUUAUUUAGCGGCAUUUAUAAUAGUUGUUAUUGCAUACUAUUUAGCGGCAUUUAUAAUAGUCGUUAUUGUAUAAUAUUUAGCGGCAUUUAUUUGGAUUUUUACCAACCGCCGGAAUAAAUGCCGCUAAAACUUUUAGCGACCCUGCCAAUAGCGGCAAUUGUUAAAAUUGCCACAAAAUAUUUUAGCGGCAAUUGUAAUUGCCGCUAAUUUAAAAAAUAAUCGCCGCUAAAAUAUAAUUUUGUUGUAGUGUGACUAUUGCUAGAUGCUUAAAUAAGUGUUGCUAAAUUAGCAAGACUUUUGUAGGUUAUAGCGACACUCUUUAACUGUCACUAUAUACCUAGCGACCCCACAUAUAGCAACACUUUUUAAAAGUGUUGGUAAUUUAGCCAGCAACACUUUUUUUUACCUAUACCGAUAUUUAAAAGUGUCGCUAUAGACCGUUUUUGUUGUAGUGUCAUGAGCAUAUUAACAACUAACACAAACAUAUGCAUAGAAGUGCUUAAGCAGUUAAUUAGAAAUGUCAGUAGAUGACUGAAACAUAUGCAUCGAUAAGCUUACCAAUUAAUUGUUUAUUUAGUUUCUCAUAUCCACAAACAAGACAUACUAAUUAGUUGUCGGAAAAGAAGCUAUGAAAAGGAAAUAUUGUUUGAGUGAUCAAAAGUAUAUGUGAGAGUUCCAAAAGUUAAUGUUUAAUGCACAGAAAAUGUGCAGUGGCUCUGCGAUGUAGUUGAACGUUAAAUCAUGCAUGGUGGUACUUCGCAGCAACGUAGGGGCACUUCGAAGGGGUAAGAGAAUAUGUAGAUGCUAUCGUUUUAAAGAGGCGAUAAGGUUCGUUUGAUUAUCCAACCGUUUUACGUGCAUGCAUGCGUGCGUGCGUGAGUAUUGACGAAGGAUCUAGUAAAAUGUGUCGAUCAGCAAGGGAUUCAUUGUACGUUCCACACCACGACCUUUCCAAUCAAAUUAUUACAGCUCCAACAAACUAAUCUGACAUGUUAACGUUCAUAAACUAUUUUUUAUCAAAUUGAUCUUUUAACUCUGCAUCACUCGAUUGGUUUUAGAGGUGUUGAGGUUGUAUUCAAACACCUUCAAAGUGUUUUAAUAUGAGCGUAUCGAGCAAUUUGAUUUAGGACUAGCCAUUGCUAGAAACAGAAAAAAAAUUGUUUGUCCUUUGUUUUGUUAUGGUAUCUCUUUUAUAAGUACAAUAUUGAUAUGAUAUUUAUAAUUUAACUAAUUUAAAAAUUGCAUGCUAAGCUAUAAGUAGGUAAAUCAUUUCUAGUACUACGUGAUCGAGCUAAUAAAUAUAUAUACAAUAAAGAAGAUGUGAUUAUUGAGGCAAUUGAAUUGAAAUAGUUAGUUUUUAUGAUUGAAUAAUAAUAAGUUGAGAUGGUUAGUUGUUGCACUCAACAUCAUGCAUGGGCUUUACGUCGUCGUUUUACGUGCCACACGGUUCCAUCUAAAAUUGCGUGCACAUUUUAUUUUUAAUUUUAUUCUUUACCUUUUUUUUUUUUUUACUGUAGUAACUUCUCUCAAAAAAUACAAAAAAAAAACAGAGAGGAAAACUUAGCUAAUAUUUUUGUACACUACCCUACGUCACCCGUUUACAGGUUGGCCCCGUCUACAUGAUAGCCUCAUCGCGUACGUAAUUUGAGCCACACAUAGUUCACUAUAAAAUGAAAAAAUUAAAGGGAAUUUUAAAAAAAAAAAUUCAUUGACCAUAAGUUUUAAUUUAAUUGACACGCGUCGCUAGCUAGUUUGAAGGUUAAAUUUGACAUUUUUUUAUUAGAAUAUUUGAGCGCGAUAUAAAGAUUGUUGGCUUAAAUAAACCAGCAUUUUGUUCUGUGCAGGGAGGCUAAGUAGACUGAGUCACGUUCGAAAUGGCGCGAGGUUGGGUUGGACGAAGUCAUGUUUGAAGUGGCGUAAGUUUAGGGGGACCGAGCCAUAAUCGAGACUCGUAGGCGUUGUAUCUAUACGCUUUAAUUAAGUGAAUUAGUUGCAUAGCUCGAGCUUUUGGGAUUAACGAUUAGCGCCAACGAUCCGACAUCUUUUGGGAUUAACGAUUAGCGCCAACGAUCCGACAAAGAUGUCUGCGGUUGAUGAUUCAAUUGAAUAGCGUGACGGCUAAAAAGUUAAAGUAAAAAUAAAUUUGGAAGAAAAAAACAUAUUUGCUUAUUUAUAAGGUUUAAUUAGUCAUUAAUUAGAUGUAAGAAGACACAUGCAUUUUUAUAUUAAUCCAAAAGAAGGAAUAAAUUUGCAUAUUUUAAGUAUUUCGAGGAAUAGGUAUGAUAUAUUUAAAUUUGCAGGGAUAAAUUGAUAUAAACAAAUUUCUUUUAGAGAGCUUUUGUGAGCACAUAAAAAUAUUAGUGAUUUGGAAGUAAUUGCUUGCGCUGAUGCAUUUGUGAGUUUAUUCAUCUUAAUUUCAUCCACUCAUCAUUGAUCCCAUCUAAUAUUGUCAAAUUCAAAAUAUCCAUUGCAACAUCCAAUAUAUGAAUAAAUGUGCAAGCAUCGAUAUAUAUAUAUAUAUAUAUAUUGUUUAACUAAUAUUUAGCGAAAAACAUAAUUAGCGACCAUAAUAUUAUUGAAAAAAUUAUGACCUAAAACUAGCUAAAAAAAUAUUUUUUCAAUCAAAAUGUCUUUUUUAGAGAUAUUUUUGGGUAAACCAAAUAUUUUUAGUAAUGUUUUUUGCAUAAAAUACGGAGAAUCGUUUUUUAUGAAAAAGAGUUUUUGAAUAAAAAAUAAUUUUAUAGGAUAUGAUGCUUGGUUCAUAGAAAAAGAAAAUCAGUUUCCAUACCAUAUUUAUUUACCUUGUCCCGAAAAAUAGAAAAAAUAAUAUAUAUAUAUAUAUAUAUAUAUAUAUAUAUAUAUAUAUAUAUAUAUAUAUAUAUAUAUAUAUAUAUAUAUAUAUAUGAGUUAUUUAGAUAAAUUAUUUAGUUUAUUUUAUCUAAACAUAUUAUUUAAGUAUUAUAGGAUAAAUAAUAACAAGAAAUCAAAUAUAUUUUAAAAUAAUAUGAGAUUAUAAGUAGAGAUUAUAAGUAUGCAAUUAUAUGUAGAGAGCAAUUACUCUGUUUUUUUAUUAUCUAAUAAUAAAAUAAUAUAUAAUAUAUUAUUUAUACAAUGUAGUUUAUGCAUUCGGUCAAUGAGGUUAUACUACUUUAAGCUCAUGGACCACGUCAAAAUUCCUAAUGUGGACUUGGGACGCGGCUAUUUUUCUUUUCUCUUUCAUAAAGAGAAAGAUAGCAUGCAUGCCAUUUAUUUCGUUUAAGUCCUUAAACUUUUAUACUGUAAUUUUUGAGGGGAGAAAUAUUUAUUUUUUAUUUUUUUUGGGUAGAAAAUGAAAACUCUUUCUUUUCAAAAUAUCUGUAAGGUUAUUUUAGAGGGAAAAUUUUUUAUUGGCAAUCAAAUCAAAUGAUUGAAAAAUUAUUUUUUCUAGUCAAAAAUUAUUUUGGGCUCACUUUUACACUUCCCUAGUUCAACACAAGUGGAUAUUCAACCUUCAACCACCGGAGGUUGAUCCACAGCUUGACGAACAUCGAAUCGGUCUAAACCGAAGUACGUACUAAAUUUCAGCCCAGCUCUGACCAAUGUUUGUUCAUUGUGGUGCAAUUUCAGUCCCAAUGGGGCGAAGAACUUUUCGGGCUUUUUACUCUUUUAGCCCCAAUUUGGAAAGGGUGAAUCUUGGGCCAAAGCCUAUAUAACUAGGCGCAGCCCACUCCCAUCCUAGCAUAUACAGGCUCAAAGCGUAUUUGGAUGCACGAGUAUUUUGUUCAGUGUAUCUCUUUAUUUAAUAAAGAAAUAAUCGGUAGAAAGAUAAUCACUACAUAAACAAGAGCUAAAAGAUGAAGAUAUUUCGCAGAAAUUUGGACUCGUACCCACACAAAAUCAAGCAUCAACCAAAUACAAACUAGCAUGCGUAUCAACUAAUGAUCCAUCAUAUGCUGCAGAAAGAUUUAGAUGUCCAAGUCUAAGUCUCAGGCAAACAAGAGCUGUAAAAGAUCCAAAGCGCAGGAGAAUUUGAGUAUAGGGUACAUAAUGUCGCUUACAUACGCGAUGAGUGGAAACAAGAGAUAUUUCAAUAACAAUUAAGAAGCUAAAAGAGUAAAUGGUCUCACCAAAUUCAAAUUUCACUAUUACUCGACACCCUUCCACGAUUUGGAGAUGAAUAGCAUCCUUAUAGACCAAGAAAAGUUUGAGAGGCCACUUCAACUUUCAAAACUGCACAUAAUCCAGAAAUGCAUAUGAACUAUAUUCAGAGCUAAUGGCCACAACAAAAGACUACCAACUGAAUUUGCUAAUCUGAAAUAUUUCAUGCGGAAUAGUGUUUGGAAAUGUGAAUCAACUAGGAUUCGAACUUGGGUCUCGGGUACCAACCACCAAGUCCUUUGCCACUUGCUCUAGGGACAGUCGGUUUUCAUGCGGAAUAGUUGAUUAACGAAAACAGGCAGAUAAAAAGGAACAAAAUUCAUGUGAACAGCAAGAAGAAUGCAGAGUUCUUCUAAAUGAUCAGAGAGGAUGGGACAGCAUAACGAUUGGAAAGAAAAUGAACAAAAAGCUAAACCAGAUAUCAAAUUACAAUUACCUCAGCGCUAUUAACGGUCACCAAAGCAAUCUCAUGGACAUAAUUGCUUCUUACGAAGUAAACAUAAUACUGAGGUACGAUGUUCGACAGUUAUAAAAUUGCACUGUAGGAUCUUCAUUUCACGAGUAAUACCCGAAUCAUACACUGCAAUAACAGGUUUUCACACUGACCCCACAGACAAGUGCUGUAUUGUGUUAUGCAACUUUAAACACUCUCCUUUUGGAAUUCAAACCAGCAGAAAUGCUGAGAAAACAAAAAAUACUGUUAAUAUUAAGAAUGGCAAAUUACUUUAGCUGCCUGAAAAUAAUUUGUGUUAAGAAUGGCAGUUGGUAGUCAAUACAUUUAAAGUGAUUUGUCCAAAAACAAAUACAUCAUAAUUGCCUGAAAAAUACAGUUAAAGUAAAUUGAACAAACUUUGUCAUUAUUUCAGUCAAAUAAAUUUUCUUAAUAAUCUUCAAUCAACUGAAAGUCAAAUAGCUUGAAUAAUCCUAAAUAUAUCCGAGCACUGAAAGAAAGAGGGACAUUUGAGCCAUUUGCAUUUAAUUGAAACAAUUACAAAGUUCAUAAAGUUUAUUUUAAUGUUUCAAAGUUCGGGCAGUGAUAUAUGCAAUCAAGCAAAAUGUUCAGGGGAGCUAAUCAAGUACUCACAUGCUUCAUAUUCAUCCUUCUAAUCAAACAUCAAUUAAUGGAUUAUAGAAAACAAUUCCAGAUCAAACCCGAUCCUCAAAAUUACAUAUAGCACGAUUCAUCAAGCUUAUAAAACGGGAUUUUGAUUCAAACGAAAAGCAAAGCAAACACCAUGCACUUCAGUUAUAUAAUACCAGGCCCAAAUCACCAAAUCUAUGCUUUUAAAAAAAAAAAAAAAACACGGAGAGUAGGAGCCCGCACAGAUCAACAUCGCAUGGAGGCGAAGGGAUCCCCAAAAUUACACAUAGCACGAUUCAUCAAACUUAUAUAUAUAUAUAUAUAUAUUAUAUGAUCCAAUAUUUGAGGACUUUUUACCGACCGUUCCUAACGCAAGCGGCAAAGGGCUUGGUUGGUACCUGAGGUCCUAAGUUCGAAUCCUAAUUGAUUCACAUUUUCAGUUAAGUUUAUUUAUAAAAGAAAUAAAUAAACCGGAUAGCAUGUUACCUAUUUCUUAAAUUAAAAAAAUUUGAGGUCUUUUUCUCUUUGGCCCCAUAAAUAUUUGUGCUAUAUUUAUCUAAGUAAAAAUGCUCUACAAGGAUAAGAAUCUCGUCCCAUUGGACGAGAUAAUUCACUAAUCCAAUGAGAAUCAAGGCUAUUCACGAAAUUUUCCAAACACUUACAUUGUUUUGCCUAGCACGAUAUUUAAAGUUCACCGCAUUAAUUUUUGGUGCUCGUGCACCAAUGUGAAAGGGACCGUGGGCUCCACGUGUCCACGUGACACAUGGCCCACAAGAUCUUCUGCUUCAAUAAAUUCUACCUUAAAUUUUGGGCUCUCAUGUCCAUAUUACUGUUACGUGGUCCACAAUAUGGAUUUAAGCUUAUAAUUUAUUUAUUUUAUUUUCUUUGAUAUUAAUAUAUAAUUCUAGGCUCUCCACAUGACUCAUUUCAGUAUUCAUCCGUAACAGAAUAAAUUUAGAUAACUCAAUAUGGACGGUUCGAAUUGAUACUGCUAUGAGCAGUAGGGCUGGCAAAUGAGCGAGCCGGCUCGCGUUCGACUCGCGUUCGACUCGAUAUUUGGNGGGAGAGGUCGUACGGAUCAACAUCGCGGCGAUGGCGGAGGGAUCGGGGGAGGAGAUUUAGGCACCCUUGGCGGCGGCGGCGGCGGAGGGAUCGGAGGAGGAGGAGGAGGGGGGAGAAGGGGCGCGGAGUGGGGCGACGAGGGAGGCGUCGGGGUCGAAGUUAGGGUUGAGGGAGCGGUCGAUUGCGUCGCGGCCCUUGUCGAGGCAGGGCUUGCACGCGAUCUCGAUGGUGAUCCACCCCAGGAUCACCGCCGCGAUCGCCACCACCGCGGUCACGAUGGCCCCCAUACCAAUCGACGGUCCAGAUCCCUCGAUCUCGAUCACGAUCACGAUCACGAUCACGAUCACGAUCACGAGGAGGCCCCCCUCUCUCUCUCUCGUUUCUCGCUCUAGCUCUAUUGGUUUAUCAGUGUUCGAGGAGAUCUGCGCCGCUGCGCGGGACACGGGGAAGCGCUUUGCCGUCCGAGGAGAAAGACGAACUAUUGCCUGGACCCGGUUCACCAUGUCAUCCGCGGACAAUUAUAAUUGUGGAAAUUCAUAUUCCGGACUACAUGAUCUCAGAACUUUUUUUUCCAAAAAAAAGAUGAUAAUAUUUCUCCCGAAGUUGGAUUCCCACAUGGAUCUAUCUCGAAUGAAAUAGGGACUGAAAAGUAUUUCUCCUUAUUAAGAAUGGAGUGGUGUUGAUACAUCUUAUAAAAUUUUCCAUCCUAACUUUAGUAUAUAUAUUAUGAUAUAUAUUUUUAACUAUAAAAAUAUACAGAAUUUAUCGUAAAGCUACCAUACUAUCAAAUGUAUAGAGAAUCUAAUGCUUUCGAUUUUUUAGCCAUUAAAUCAGCCUCAUUAAUCAUUUCUAAUCUUUGGAUUAAUACUAUUAUUCUGUGAAGACCAUUCAAUCCUACCGAUACUACUCAAUCCUAAGGGGGACCAUAAUCAUCUCAAACGUACAAUUCUUAAUCCAAGAGUGAAAAAUUCGAAAGUAUCAAAUUCUUUAUACUUUCGAUAGCGUAGUAGCUCUAUAUCAGAAUCUACCUAAACUAUGGAUCGAGCUACACAGUCUUUCAAAAUUAUAAUUUUAAUAUCAAACCUAUCAAUUUAUUUAAUUUGAAUCAGUCAACAUCACUUGAACUUUACAAGUCUAGUUAGUAUAUAUUUUUUUUAGUUCUCGCAAUCAUAAAUUUAUUAAAAUAAAUAAUAAGUUUAAAAUUUUAAGUUAAUGAUGACGGACUCAAAUCAAAUAAAUUAAAAUAUUGGAUAGUAAAAUCAUAUUAUUUAGAUGAUUUAUAGAAUAGAGCUACUAUACUUUUAAAAGUAUAAGAGAGUUUGUGCUUCCAACUAUUUAGCUUUUGAUCAACCCUUUUGACCAUUUUUGGCAUUUGAAUUAAUAUUAUUAUUUUAGAGGACCAUUCAACUCUAAGAAAAACUACUAUCAUUUCAAUCAUAUAAUUCUUAGUCCAAAGGUCAAGAAGUCAAAAAUACUAACUUCAUUAUACUUUCGAUAGUACAGUAACUCUCCAUAUGAUUUAUAUUUUAACACAUACGUAAAAAAAAAAAAAAAAAAAAAAAAAAACUGAACUGAACAAAAAAAAAAGGUGCGGCUCAUGGCGACGUGGUAAACUAAACCCAGGAAAUAUUUUCUGCAGGGCUGACACGUGGACCUGACAUGUGGGCCCCAAGUGUCUGUCUCGUAAAAGCGUCUCCUCUUCCCCCUCUUCGCCCCCCUCCCGUUAGAGAGAAAAAGUAAAGAGCGAGCGAGAGAGAGAGAGAGAGAGAGAGAGAGAGAGUCUCACACAAGUACCUUAAACCCAAUCCAAACCCUCCUCCCCCAAAACCCCUACCUUUCGCCAUGCCACUACCUCUCCUCGGGCGAUCAUGGCGAUCGCCCCUAUUCUCCUCACCCGUGCGAACCCUAGCAUUCUCCCUCGUCCAUCGAUCGACCUACGUCGACGUCGCCAUGAAGUGGAAGAAGGACCCCUUCUACGACUCCAUCGGCGUCCUCGCUCGCUCCAGGGAUCUCAAGCCCCUCGUCUCCCUCAAAAGCAUCAUCGCCCGCGCCCCCUCCGACGCCGGGAUCCCCGUCUCCGCCGUCUCCAAGCGCGGCCGCGCCCUCGAGACCUCCGGCCGCCGCGUCGCCUCCUUCCUCCGCCGCUACCCCGCCGUGUUCGACGAGUACACCGGCCCCAACUACAACCUCCCCUGGUUCAGGCUCACCCGAGAAGCCGUCGACCUCGACCGCGAGGAGCGCGCCGUCUAUGACGCCCGAAAGCCCGAGAUCGUCGACCGGCUCCGGAGAUUGAUCCUCAUGUCGAGGGAUCGCCAAUUGCCGUUCAGAAUUGUGCAGGGGAUGCUGUGGUAUUUGGGCUUGCCCGAAGAUUUCCUCGAAGACCCCAACAACAUCUCUAAUGGCAGCUUCGGGGUAGUCGAAAUCGGAGACGGGGAGAAAGGAUUGAGCGUUGUCGGUGGUGGAGAUGAGCCAGUGUUUUCGGCGCUCCAGCGGAACGCACUGAGGCAAUUUGGCGGUUCUGCGGAUUCGCCUCCUAAGGAAGUUGCUUUCCCACUAUUCCCCUCUAAAGGCCUCCGGUUGAAGAGAAAGAUCGCGCAUUGGUUGGACGAAUUCCAGAAGCUUCCGUACGUCUCUCCGUAUGAGGAUUUUUCUCAUUUGGAUCCGAGCAGUGAUAUCUCGGAGAAGCGGGCGGCGGGAGUUCUUCACGAACUUCUUAGUUUGUUUGUCGAUAAUUCGGCGGAGAGGCGGCGGCUUCUCUGCCUCAGGAAGCACUUGGGGCUGUCGCAGAAGUUCCACAAGGUGUUCGAGCGGCAUCCCCAUGUGUUCUACCUGCUAUUGAAGAGCAAGACCUGCUUUGUUGUUCUAAAAGAAGCUUAUUUUGCCGGUUCGGACACCGCAUUGGAGAAGCACCCGAUGCUUGCGAUAAGGAAGAAGUAUGUUAAGCUGAUGGAUAAAUCGGACGCUAUUCUGAGAAGCCGUCGGAGUAGGAAACCUGUGGAAGAUGCUGCCGAGGGAAGUUAAGUUGCUGCUAUUGAUUCGAUGGAGGAUUCUGAUGGGUUUAGCAGAGGACCAUUAGAACUUGAGCGGAAGUCGGAAGAUUGGAGACAUGUUUGAAGCUGAAAUUGGCAGACUGCUUGGGGUUUGUUGAAUAGUUGAGAAGAAAUUCAUCAUUGUGCACAGAGAAGCUGGAAAGAUACAGGCAUUCACUUGAAUUGUGUUAAGAGGAGGCUAACUCGAGUUUCCGUGGCCAAUUUUGGUGCCAUAUAGUAAAGUCGCCGUAAUAUGCAGCAGACCAUUUGAAUUGCCACCUUGAGAUUGUGCAAGUCCGGUUAUAAAGGUAAAAAAGUUUCCUAUUUAGUUAAAGACCUGGCGAAAACCUUGUUAUAUCAACCGUACAUUCUGUCUACUGAUCUUUACCGUCAAAUUGAGCUAAGAACAAAGAGAUGGAAUUUUGAUUACUGUUUCGUGAUUUGCUAUUUGGAACUGAGAACUCCCUUUAGUAUGAUCGAAGUUUGCUUCUUCAACCUUGUUCAGCAAGUAGUAAAUGCCAAUCUAAAACUAGGAGCACAAUUUUCAUGUUAUUCUGAAGUUUGUUUCUCAGAAAUAGAGCUAAAAGCAAAAGUUGGUGAUUUAUUUGACAUCUACCUCUACCAAUAUCUGAGGAAUGACUGAAAUCUUCUGGAAAAGAGGUACCAUGCAGACUCCAAUUGUAAUGUGUGGUUUUAGCAAAAUAGCACAUAGCAUUGAUGUCUUAGCCGAGAUUGGUAAUUUCUUACUCAUGCUGAUUUUCUGCUUCCAUUUAACUAUGUCUGAUGUAAUUCUGUCGGACUCAAGAUUAGUUUCUUGUGCUGUUAGUUUUUUAGGUCUUAAUUGCGCGCUCUUGAUGGGCCAACCUGAUCCAAUAAGUUGAGCAGUUCUUGGUGAUUCUUGGUACUGCCGACAACUGCAGCAAGGAGUUAAAAGAAACACCUUUUGAAGAAGAACAGUGAAGAGGAAAAUUCUGGGAAUUGAUCUUCUUCUGUUCUCUCUCCCAUUAACACUGCUUACACAAAAGCAAAAGAACUCCCUCUCUCUUUGAUCAAGGUGAUUUGGCAUUUAAGUUGUGGAAGAACUGAAAAGUGUGUGCGCUUUCCAAUUUGCGAUCGCACAUUUGACUUGCUUGUGAUUCUAUAUUUGGUGGCUCGAAGAAUGUCUUAUUCUUCACGCUUCUAAGGCUAGUUCAUUCAUAUCCGUAAUUGUUAUCAUUCGACAUGUACAAAAUGGUGUACUUCUAGCGAAUAAAUUUUGGGAAAUCUUACACUUUGCGGCCCAUGUGUGAAAGAUUUCGAUGAAGUAAAUGAGGGAUUUAACAUUAGAUUUAUGUGCCCAUGAUCCUGGAACUAAGCUGCAUUUAUUAUCCAUUUACUUAAUCAUGCAUUAUCUUCUCAUUAUUAUCUUCCUGUGUCUAGGACCCUGCAUUAUCCAUUGUGUUGGGGAAAUUUAUCUAAUGAAGAAAUUAUUCUCAAGUUGCAGCACUAAAGAACAGAGUACUCGCGCAGAAUUUUUUAUUUUUAAUUUUGAGUCCCUCUAUUUGCUGAUUUUGUGUGGUUGGAGAAGGUUGCAAUAGAUUUUCAGAUAAUUAUUUCAGGUUGAUGAUCAUACAUCCAAAUAUCUCAAUCCCUUUUCCAAGUAUAAGGUUUGGUAUGGAGUUGAUUUCAGGUUGCAGAAGCUUUACUACCAAAGUUUUUAUUUGAGCUGCUUCCUCAAUGUGUAGCUUGUACUUUUUAGAGGAGACGCUAGUAAACUGUGCGCUUAUUUGGCGUGGUCUAAAUUGCACUCUAGGUCCUCCAUGUAUGAAGCGUGGCAUUUUUGGAUUUUAUACUUUAAUUUGUUAUAAGUUUUUGCUUUAAUUUUUAAAAGAUAGUGAUGUGGCAUUUUUUAAUAUUAUUGUAUUAUCAAUCAGAAUACUGUUAUAUUACUGCGACAUAUUUAUUAGUUAGUCAAUAAAAUUAGGUUUUGAUUGCAAUAACUUGAAUGUUUGAAUCAUACAUUAUUACAACAAAUUAAAGUUUAAAGAAUAAAAUAUUAUUCCCUGCAUAGUCUGAGGACCCAAAGUGUAAUUUAGCCUAAUAAAAUAUUUUUAAUUUUCAACCCAAAAGAAAAAAAAUUGGUGGGAAAAAUUGAAUUGAGUUUCCAUGCCACAACAUUAGACUGUCCGAAUCUACCGUUACUACAGCAGGAAACUAUCGAAGAAGAGAACAUACUGCUUCUUUGAACAGCAUGAUUUACUAACAUUUACAGUAAGAAACUUUUGAUCACUUUUUGAUUCUACUUUCAAUUACCGUCGCCAUAAUAGAUCUUCCGUUGAAGCAAAAAAGUCUAAAAUUUCUUUUACAGCGAAAAAUAAAACUAGAUUUUGGUGUUCAAAACAAAAAAAAAAAAAUAUUUUUGAAUAGUAAUGGUCAAAUAAUAUUUUAUCAAAUAAUGCUGUAUAUUUUGGACAUAAAACUUUUCUAAGCACAAAACUAUUUAGCAAAAAUCAACCAGAAUCAUCAAGAAUGGCCAAGUGAUUGAUUAUGUCUCGAUUAUAAGCUGUAAAAUUAUCCACACGAAAAUCCUGGGUUACUGAGUCGUAGAACAUUCUCUCCCACCAAUACAAGUAAAGAUGUCCACACGUACAACUACAAACCGUAGAAUGAAGAGAAAACUUCAAAAAUUCCCUUUGUGGUUUCAAUUUUUUUCACUUUAGUACCCCGUGGUUUAAAAUGUAUCAAGUUAGUACCCUGUGGUUUCUCACUUUAUCACUUUAGUACCCUGUGGUUUAAAGUGUAUCAAGUUAGUACCCUGUGGUUUUGCACUUUAUCACUUUAGUACCAUGUGGUUUCACACUUUAUCACUUUAGUACCCUGUGAUUUAAAUCACAGGGUACUAACUUAAUAAACUUUAAACCACAGGGUACUAAAAUGAAAAAGUAUGAAACCACAGGGAGAGUUUUUGAAGUUUCCCUAGAAUAAAUGAAUGAUUGGCCACAAGCGUGUAACGAGCUAACAAAAUCUAGGCCGACUCAACCUAUCCCAGCUAGGCGCGACUCGACCCGACCGACCCGACUCGAGCCGAACCCAUUGCCCUUUUCCCGACCCAUCAUCCUCCUAUCCUCCUCCAAUAAAUAUGUAACCCGAUCAAAAUCGAGCUCCUCUCUCCUUCUCUCUCUCUCUCUCUCUCUCUCUCCUUCGCCCUCCUCUUCGAUCUCCUUCCCCGAUUCCAACCCUUCUCCCUUAUUCCUCUCAACCCUAACUCCCUCCCCCUUGUUCUCCUCGCCAUGCUCUUCUCUUCCCUGAUCAAUUCAUGACUCACGCGAAGCGGCCCUUCUCCUGUAGCAGCACCGCCGCCGCCGCUCACGGCCCCAGCUCCGCCGGAGUCGCCGGAACCCCGCCUUCCUCCUCCUCCUCCUCCUUGUCCCCGCCCAUGAAGAAGACUAAGCCCCAGCCACCGCCCUCCUCCUCCGCCGAGAAGAACGGCCUCGACGCGGAGGCCGAGCCCGCGGCCGCGGCCACCACUGGCGUCGCCGCCAAUCUCUUUAGGAAGAAGGCGACGCCGCCCCAGCCCUCAGCGAAGAAACAGCUUCGCAUCAAGAUCACGAAAGGUGCCAUCUUUUGCUUGUUCUCGUGUAUUGAGAAUUGUUCUUCUGUCGAUCUUGGAAUGAGCUUGUCUUAGUUGUUUCGCACUUGAAUAAGUCCUGUCUCAGUUGAUAUUCUCUGAUUCUUUCCUUUGUUUGAUUGUUAAGAUAGUUCAAUCCUGAGAAGCAUCUGUCUUGGAGCAGUUUGUGCUAUGCUAGGGUCAGCUCGCAAAGAUUUGAUAGUAAUACUGUGAAAUUGUUGCACUAGUGCAGUGUACUCAAAUUUGAUCUUGUUAUCUCUGUUGGUAAAUGCACUAGGAGAUAAGAUUACUGAUAUGGAUAAUCUUGUAAAGGCGACUUGGUUGUAGCCAAGGAAGAUCAUAGGAUAGGAAUGAGGCAAAUUGAAGCAAUGCAGUAGUAUUGUCUCUCAUGAAAUGACAUAUUAUAUUAGUGAUUUUGCAUUUGCAAUUGUACAAAGCUACUAAAACUUUCUAGUGCUAGCAAUAGUCGAUCUUUAACACAGAGUAGUUCAUUAAAUCUGUUUAGGAAGAUCACUCUUGGUGCCAUCCAUAGGUUCCAUCUUAAGAAUAGGCAUGCAGCAAUACUCCAUUAGAUUAAAUGUGACAAAGAUUCACAAAUUCUAAGUGAUGGAGUGUGCAGGCGGGUGGCGUAAUGCUUGCAGCCCAUAUUAAUUUUUUUGCUUCUUUUUUUCUUUCUUCUUUUUAAAGAGAAGAUGCCAUUUUGCAUCCUUCCUGGAUGCAUCUUAAGCUAACCAAAAAUGCUAAGAUAAGGAAGUUUGUUCACUAGCGUAUCCAAUCACAUAGAACUUGUGUCCAGAAAACAGAAAAAAGGGCAGCAGUACCAGUGAGGUCUUAGUUUCCCGCAUUCUCUAUUUUGCACUCUGUAACUAACUGAAUAGAAAAGGAGCUAUGAGAUUAGCUGUGAUCCAACGUUCUUUCAUAUUUCAAUUAAGAAAGUAAAUAAUCAAGAUAAUAUGAUCCCAGAUCGUGUGAUUGAGUUAUUAACUCCAAUAAUAAGAUAGUUUCUUUUGUACUGCCGUCGUUUUUGACUUUAUGUAGCUAGGGAAUUAGUCAUUAAUUCUAAGUAUUGCACUCUAUUUGCUUGCAAGCUUCUAAGUUGUAAUAUUUGUAAAUGUGUUUGCAUGCCUGAAAAUGUUUUGAGUAUUGUAAACGCACAAAAAAUUAUAUUAGGAUAGAUUUAGGAUCAAUGUCAAAUGUAGCUUACGAGAAUUGCUGGGAAUCUGUGUUUGGGUUAUUUGUUUAUGUUAUUUUGCUUGUUCAUUAAAAUUUAAAUGCUUUUAUCGUUUUCUUUUAAGAAACUUAUUUGGUCUUAUAUUUUGUGAGUUUGACAUCAAUUGUGUUAUGGUCUAUUGUAGGUCAGCCAAAAUUGCCAACCAAUUUUGAAGAUGAUACAUGGGCUAAAUUGAAGGCUGCUAUUUCAGCUAUUUUCUUGAAGCAGCCACUUUCUUGUGACACUGAAAAGCUUUAUCAGGUGCUUUUCAGUCCCAACUAUCUUGAUAUAUCUAACUGUUUAUCACUUUUCGAGUUGAGACUAGAUACUUCAAGUAAAAUGACUUUAUCUUAUCACAGCGUAAAUCUAUUUGUUUCAUUAUAGGCUGUUGGCGAUCUUUGUUUAUACAAAAUGGGGGCAAAUCUUUAUGAACGCAUGCAGAAAGAAUGUGAAGGGCACAUAUCAGCAAAACUAUCAUCAUUGGUUGGACAAAGUCCUGAUUUGGUGGUCUUUUUGUCUCUGGUUGAGAAAUCUUGGCAAGAUUUUUGUGACCAGAUGUUGAUAAUUCGUAGCAUAGCCUUGCUUCUUGAUCGAACAUAUGUGAAGCAUAACCCAAAUACGUGUUCAGUAUGGGACAUGGGGUUGCAGCUGUUUCGUAAACAUCUAUCUCUGUCUGCAGAAGUCGAACACAAAAUUGUUACUGGUCUCUUAAGAUUAAUUGAGAGAGAGAGGUAUGCUGGUGUUCCUAAAUUUCCAGGAAACUAUGUUUGGUGAACAAAAUAUUUUUUGUUAAAUUUACUAUCCAGUAUUGCUUUUGUACAUUUCCUGAUAUAGUCGACUGUGUUGUCUUUUCAUGGCUUUAAUUUUACCUCUUUUUGCUAAUAUACAUGAUAUAGUCAACUGUGUUGUCUUUUCAUGGCUUUAAUUUUACCUCUUUUAGCUAUUAGCAAGAGUAGCUUGCAGUAAUAAUUUAUCUGGGUAUUUGGACAGACUGAUGCUGAUGCAUAUGAAUCACAUAAAGGAUAUGAAUUGUACUCUUAACAAUUUUCAAAAUGAAGUUGGAUAGUUCACUAACUAGAUUUGGUCCCCUUUUUUCUCCCUAUAUACACAGGAUACAUGGAAUUCUGAAACAUUAUGCAAUAGUCUAUAUGUUAUUCAAACUUUCCAAAUUGAAUGUAUUAAUUUGUCCACUAUAGAUAUUUCUAUAUUUUCUGUCUUGUUCUUGAUUAUUAUCUGAAUUAUAAACACUUCAAACCUGUACAACUUAUUUCCAACUCUAUUUCUGCGUAAUAUGGUAGUCAUCAAGUAAUUUUUACUCUUGUACUAUUAUCUGUUGCUUGUUUUCCUUGGCGAGCAGACUUGGUGAUGCUGUUGAUAGAACUCUACUUAGUCAUCUGUUGAAGAUGUUUACAGCUCUUGGAAUUUACACAGAACGAUUUGAGAAGGCCUUUCUUGAAUGUACUUCUGAGUUUUAUGCUACUGAAGGUGCGAAAUAUAUGCAGCAAUCUGAUGUUCCAGACUACUUGAGACAUGUGGAGGUGAUAUGAGUCUUGCCCCUUUUCCUCUUAUCCUUCUCAUUUAUUACCCUCAAAUUCAGCAACUGAAGUGUGAUCCCAGUAUCAUUUACGUCCCUUAGGGUUUCACUCUAAAAUUAGUCCUUGAAGUUUGUUCUGCAUACUAAUUAUGGGCUCACUAAGCCACCAUCUAGAAGAAAUGCCAAGACAACGUCAUCAUUAUAAUUGAAACGUCGGGUCAAGGUGGGUUUUUUCACAAACAGUAGAUUAAUACUCAAUGUUAUGGGAGUCAAACUUUGAGGAUAAAAUUGUUAAAAUUGGAACUCUCAGGAUGUUAUCUAAAUCAAAUUCAAACUUCAAGGAUUUGAUUUUGUAAUUAACCCAGUUAUUUGACAUUUCUGAUGUUGUACAUGUCUGAAGAUUUGCUGAUGCAUAUUGCAGUCAAGGUUACAAGAAGAACAUGAAAGGUGCAUUCUCUACUUGGAAGCCAACACGAGGAAACCCCUCAUAGCGACUGCUGAAAAACAACUACUAGAACGCCAUACAUCGGCAAUACUUGACAAGGUGGAUUACCCACUACUUUUUGCCUCUCUUAUUAUGUUGCAAAAACUUGUCUUAUUUUCUGAUCGCUUAGCUAACAUUUCACUUUUCUCUUUAGGGUUUCACAAUGCUUAUGGAAGCAAAUCGUGUUACAGACCUUCACAGAAUGUAUACCCUUUUUCAGAGGGUUAAUGCUCUUGAGCUGCUAAGGCAAGCUCUUAGUUCAUACAUACGAGGCACAGGUCAGAGUGUUAUCAUGGAUGAAGAGAAAGACAAAGACUUAGUUCCUUAUCUCUUGGAUUUCAAAGCUUCGCUUGAUAUGAUAUGGGAAGAAAGUUUUGCCAAAAAUGAAGCCUUUUCUAAUACUAUAAAAGAUUCUUUUGAGCAUCUUAUAAAUCUUCGUCAGGUUGGUGUAUGCUGGCUAAUUUGCUUUCUUUGUCACUUCUUAUUUGCCCUGCUUUCUAAUACAAAGAUCUAUUUCAUCGAAGGUUACAUUACAUUCAACUGAUGGAAUCGUCUUUAUCUAGAUUCCUAUCAUUUUAGCGCAUUUGUGGAAGGGAGUCAAUUCUUCGUUAUUCUUAGUUUCUCUUUAUCAAUCCAUGUCCUUCUGUUACAUGAACUAUUUAUGAUUGAGAAAUUUUCUUGUAAAAGUAGCAGUGUAGAUCUAAGGCAACCUGUAGACAAUUUGAGCAGGAGUAGGGGUGUAAAACGGGCCGCCCGGCCCGGCCCGGCCCGGCUACUGUAGCAUCCAUGUCGGGCCUGGCUGGCCCGACCUGGCUCUUCGGGCAUGCUAGGCCUCUUUCCUAGGGCCCGACGGCACGACAUGGCACGGUCCGGCCCGAAAUGGGCCUGGCUCGUGCUAGGCCGAGGAGUGGCCGGUGGGUCGGCACGGCACGGCACGGCCAGUUGGGCCAACACAGCCGGAAACCCCAGGCCCAAGGCAAGUUGCCUUGAGCCUGGGGUCUGAUCUCCUGGGGAGAAGGGCUUGGGCCUCCUCCCCAGGAGAUCUCCUACCAAGGUCUGGACCAAAACAAUUUUUGUCCAUUGGACCAAAAACCCAUCUCAAAAUUUUUUUUUUCAAAAAAUAAUACAUAUAUAUAUAUAAUAUAUAUAUAUAAUAUAUAUAAUAUAUAAAAUAAAUUUAAAUAUUUGUUAUUUAAUUAUUUUUAUAAUUUUUAAAUUUUUUAAUCAAAUACAUUUAAAUAAAAAUAAUUUAUUGUUCAUAUUUUUAGAUUAUAUAUAUUUUAAAAAAAAAAUAAAAUAAAAGGGGCGGCCCGGAGCAUGGCUCAGUGCCUUCCAGCCGAGGGGCUGUUCUGGGCCGCGAGGCUAGGGGAGCUCAGGCCCGCACAGCCAGGCCAGGAUUUGAUGUCCGGCCGGCCAGUCCCUCAGCCCGUUUCGGCACAGAAAAAUGUGGGCCGUGCCGGCCCACAUUGCACCCCUUGGCAGGAGUUACAAAUACUUUGUCUGAGGAAAUUAAGGAUAGGUUUUAAUGUGCUUAUAUGAAUGCUGUUUGAAUACAGAAGAAUGUAUAGGUUUCCCAGAGCAGUUGUUCUUAUGCUCGUGAGGUGGUAAACGAUGAAACAAAGGCUUUCUGAUCAACUCUGUUGUUGUUUUUCUUUUUCUUUCCUUUUUUUGUGGGGGAGGGCACAAGAAAUAUGGGUUAUGAGGAUUAAGGAAAUUGGAAGUGAGAUCAGCAAGUAUAAUUGCAGAAUUUUUUGAAACAUAUUUUCACUUCUACAACCUAUGAAACAUUGUGAUGUUGAAAUGAGUUUACUGUUGAUGUUGUUUCUCGAUAUGAUAGUUUACAAUAACACUUUUGGUGCCCCAAGAUACUUGUUUUAUUGGGCCCUCUUUUCCAUGUCAAAACCUUUAUUUAUAAAUUAAAGCAUCAUUCCAUCCCUCAGGGUUGAGUGCUUGUUUUCUUGUACAAUUAGCUUGAACACUGUACAUUGCUGCGGUUUUCUUAGUUUAGUGUAUCUAUUAAUAUAUCUUCCUUUUGAAUAACAGAAUAGACCUGCGGAACUGAUUGCAAAAUUUGUGGACGAGAAGCUCCGUGCUGGAAAUAAAGGUACAUCUGAAGAAGAGUUGGAGGGUACACUAGACAGAGUUUUGGUAUUAUUCAGAUUUAUCCAAGUAAGCUGCUAAAUAAUUGUGUUACCUUAAUUAGAAUUAUGUGCCACUUCAUAGUACUUGUUCAGACAUUACCGCCAUUCAAUGCUUUUAUGGCAUCCUUGUAGUUCUUUGUUGUACUUAUAUUUUUUUGUUGCACUAUACAGGGAAAGGAUGUAUUUGAGGCAUUUUACAAGAAGGAUCUUGCGAAAAGGCUACUGCUUGGAAAGAGUGCAUCUAUUGAUGCUGAAAAAUCAAUGAUUUCAAAAGUAAUUAUUACGUUCUGAUAUUGAAAUUAUAUUAUAUUUGAUGGGUUUUCAUUAAUAUAACACUAACUUCUCUCUCUCUCUCCAGCUUAAAACUGAGUGUGGGAGUCAGUUCACAAAUAAGCUUGAAGGAAUGUUCAAGGUAUGCAAUCUCCUUUCAAGUGCCUUACUGAGACCAAAGCAUACCUGAAGUUGUAUAUGAUCUGAUUGAUGCAAGUUUUGGCUCCUAUUCUUUAUUAAUUCAUUAUAAGAAUUGUUACUUAAUGGUUUCGAAUAAUACUUGUUCUGGUGUUAUUGUAAUGAAACCUUAAUUUUCCUUUUUGAAACAUUUAAAAUCUGUAAUCGUUUGCUGAUACGCAAUAGUAGGCAAAGUGAGACCACAUCCUAAAUUGCCCUUUGGUGUAUCAGGUCUAAUGUUUCUUCAUUAGACACAUUAGCGCGUCCUAUGUGAGCAGUACCAAGAUAAAAUUCAGAUUAAGAGGAUGGCAGACUUUAGAUUUUUCACUAUAUGCGAUGAAAUAUAUUUUUUACCUUUUUCAUCAAAUUUUUCUCUGCUGCCGGGCUAGGACCGUACUGCUCGAGACACUGAAUCAGCACAUCCUAUGUGAGCAGUACCAACAUAAAAUUCAAUGUAACAGUUUUUAUGUCAUUCAAAUUUCUUCUAGCUGAAGAAAACGACAGAACUAGCAGCACCAGAAUUAACUAAUAUGUUUGCAGGUUAAAUGAGCUUUUUUUUUUUUAAAAAAAAAAUACACUAAACAUUUAUGGUAUUGUCAAGAGCUUCUUGAGUAGUUUUACAUAUUCAACCAUCAAUGCAUUAAUUGAGAUGCAAUACAAGGAUUUUGUUUUCCAGUUUCAGAAAAGAACUAAUGGGGAGUUCUAGUUGGAUUACCUUUUUUUAUUUUCCAAGGGUAGCUACUUUUAAGUUUGUGAGAUCGUUGCUUUAAUCAGACAAAUCAGUGGCGGCUAGACUGCUAACUGAAAAGCAGUAUCUUUACAAUCAUAUUUGAACGUCUAGAUAGUUAUUCACUUAUUUUCACACUGCGUUAGUUUUGCAGAGUAAUCAAGUUUCCUGUAUUUACUAUGUCUCCUGUUUCUUUCAACUAGUACAGGCCACACCACAUCACAUAAUUGGGCUCAUUCACUGUCGGAACCUUCAAUGAUUCGUGCAUUGGGAAUAUAACUCUAUACUUCUUACAGUAACAAUAGGUCACAAUGCAUUACAAUGAAAAUUCCAAAUUGUCUAUGAAGCAAAGUGUCUGUCUAUUGACCUACAUGAAUUUGGCAAGCAUUCGUUGUCAUGACCAUCUUUAUGCGUACUUUUAUUAAUCCUUGCUGCUGUUACUUCAGGACAUUGAAUUAUCGAAAGAAAUAAAUGAUUCCUUUAAACAAUCGUCACAAGCCAGGACAAAACUUCCUACUGGUAUUGAGAUGAGUGUUCACGUGCUUACAACCGGGUGGGUAAUAUCUCGUAAACGUUUUAUUCUUCUAAAGUAAGAACUAGACAAUAAUGGUGUUUUAAUUGUUAAGCUAUUGUUUGUGGUCUCUAUGUUUUGCUUGAUGAUUUUCAGAUAUUGGCCAACAUACCCACCCAUGGAUGUUCGGCUUCCUCAUGAACUAAAUGUGUAUCAGGUUAGAUCAUGAAUGCUAUUUCCGGUGAAUUUUGGAACACUCUUGUCCUUCUUCAGAAUUUUCCAACCUGGUUUUAUUUUCUUUUCUCUGCAAUAGGAUAUCUUCAAAGAGUUCUACUUGAGUAAGUAUAGCGGAAGGCGCUUAAUGUGGCAAAAUUCAUUAGGCCACUGUGUUUUAAAAGCAGAGUUCCCGAAAGGUAAAAAAGAAUUGGCCGUGUCACUGUUCCAGGUGGGUUGUAUUCUAUCAUUAACUUAUUCCCGCUAUCCUUUCUAAUUAUUAAUCUCUUAUAUGUUAUGGUUUAUCAAUACGCCAGACUGUGGUUUUGAUGUUGUUCAACGACGCCCAAAAGCUCAGCUUUCAAGACAUUAAGGACUCAACUGGCAUUGAGGAUAAAGAACUGAGAAGGACUUUACAAUCACUUGCAUGUGGCAAAGUUAGAGUACUCCAAAAGGUAAAUCCCUUGCUUCCGGAUUUGUGAUUUGUUAUUGUUUUAGUAGUUCAAUCGGAUUAUUUUCUGGAUAAUCAGAUACCAAAAGGAAGGGAUGUUGAUGAUGAAGAUUCAUUCGUAUUCAAUGAGGAAUUCAGCGCUCCUCUGUAUCGCAUUAAGGUAUGUUUACUCUGUUUAGAUGUAAUGUUGGUAUUUUCUAGUUCAAACCUGGAAAUAACAUGGUUUAUUUUGUUAUCAGGUAAAUGCAAUUCAGAUGAAAGAGACAGUGGAAGAAAACACAAGCACCACCGAAAGAGUCUUCCAGGAUCGUCAGUAUCAGGUUUGUGAGAAAUGCAUGAACUGGCAAAACAUUUACCGGCCAAAUUCACCAUUUCUAUGUACUCUUUAAUUUAUGCAUGAUUAAUACCGAGUCUGACAAGAAUUUUUUUAUUUUUUUUGCUUGGGCGAUCUUUUGGACUUGAGGAUGCUAUGUUCACAGAAGUCACCUUGGUUUUAUUUGGAAUUGAUAAUCCAGAGAGUUGGUUUUUACAUGCAUUCAGAGCUCCCCAUCAAAAUGAUAUGGACGAACUUCAAUUUUGUAGAAAGAGAAAAGAAAUAAGAUUGUCAGAGAAAUUUACUUUGUCAUAUUUUGUAUAAUUUUGAUAUCUGGGAUUAUUUUCCCCUCUUUUUUUGUUAAUUUGCAAGCAGAAAUAUCAGAAAUAUUACUAAAAGGAGUAGAUGUUUUUGUUGUAUCUACUGCAAAAUGUGAAAGAUGCAACAGAGAAAAUAAUAUUUGCCUGCUUCUCUAUGAACAUUAGUAACUAAAAUUUCUGAUUACAGUAAAUGAAAUAAUGUAGGUGUCCUAAUAUUUAGACACAAAUUAGCUGGCCCCAGUAGGAACUUAAGAUAAUUGCAUUUUUAAGUUUCUUAUUCUUUGCCGUUAUUUCUGGUUCAUUUGCAGGUUGAUGCGGCCAUUGUUCGUAUCAUGAAGACAAGAAAAGUUCUAAGCCACACGCUUUUGAUAACCGAGCUAUUUCAGCAGGUAAUGUGCAAAUUAGUCUGCUCAUAUUUUCCCCUCUUCUCUGUUGUCUUCUGCAGGAUUCAUAUCUUGCAUUUUCUCUUUCUUAGCUCAAAUUUCCAAUAAAGCCAGCGGACUUGAAGAAAAGAAUAGAGAGCCUAAUCGACCGAGAGUACCUGGAGCGGGAUAAAAAUAAUCCUCAGAUCUACAACUAUCUUGCUUGAUUACUUGCCUGUUGUGCCUCUUAUUAUAUAUCUUUUUUCCGUGCAAAUUAGCGACUGCGUCGCCUGCUUUAAAAUCUCUGCAUGGGGGGCUGGUUUAGUCAACCUUUUGUUUCCAAAUGUACAGGGAGAUGCGGCGUUUGUUUCGGUCUUUUUUUGUCCCUGUGAUCAUCAACAUACUAGUGUAAAAUAUCAGUUCCACUUUUUUUUCUUUUUUCUUUUUUCCUUUUUUCCUUUUUUCAGAAAAAUUCGUCAUGGAACUACAAAACAACAUUGCUCACAAAGGAAUGAGGUCUUUAAUCUAAGUUAUUCUUCUCGUAGUAUCUAAUGUGCAAGUCUCUGCUGUUGAUGAAGAUGAAAAUAAGUGCUUUUCUCAUUCUUCUGUAUGGAUUAACCAUUAGGUUUAUAGCUUUUUUUCUGUUUUGCUUCAUUCAACGAAGUUAACAAGCAUAUCAUGCCCUGUAAAAGGACUUUUUCAUUUGAUGAAACUGCAUUUACUGGUCGGAAAGUAGGAACUAUAAAAUAACUAUUUUACUCCAAGAGAAAGAUGUUUUAUAUUUUUUGCAUUAAAAGGGAAUCAAGAUUGUAAAAUUGUGUGGGUUCUAUUUAGAAAUUUUCAAAUCAUAUGCAGAAUUCUCAAAUAAUGUAUAAAGUUGUCAAUGAACUAAUAGUUCUGACUGUCAUAUGCAUUCUCGAAAUGGCUGUUGAAAUCUCCAAACUGCAUAAAAUGAAAUCCAAAAUUUACAUAAAUUGUUUCAAAUCCGGGGCCAAAACUAGGGCCAAACAACAGCCUACUCGUCAUCGUGUUCCUAUCUUGUAUUCUAUGGCUCCUCGAUCUCCAAAUUGCAAUAAGUAGCCCAAUAAAAGAGCAGGGAAAAAAAAAAACACACACAUACAAUAGUGACACCGAUACAAUUUUUAUAAUAAUAAAAUCCAAAGGAGGCAGGGUAAUAGAUGAUUCGAGCCGCAACCCCGACCCUCUUCCACCGAUCUCCCCCUCCACCUCCCCUUCCUUCCUCAUCUACCCUCUCCGUCUCCCUCGCCAUGGCCACGCACGACAAAACCCGCACGCCGCCGCCGGCAUCGACCUCCUCCGCCGAGCCGGAGCGGAGCGGAGGCGGGAGCGGGGCGCCGCGGCGCGUGUGGUGUGCGGCGGCGGCGUGAUCGGGGCGUGCACGGCGUACUUCCUCUCCCAGAAGGCGGCGCCGAGGUCGCGGUGACGGUGGUGGAGCGCUCCUCCCCCGCCUGCGGCCGCGUCCGGCAAGGCCGGGGGCUUCCUCGCCCUCGACUCGGUGCGACUCCGCCCCUUCCGCCUCCUGCGCCGCCUCCGCCCCUCACACCGCUCCCUCUCCUGCCUCCCGACGGCCCCUCUCCUACGGCUACCCCCCUCCACACCUCUCCCUCCCCCUCCUCUCCCCCUGCCCUCCUCGCCCCUCCCCCUCCCCUCACUGUUUUUCUCCCCUCCUGGAUAGACGGCGCCGCCGCCGCGGGCCCCCCGCGGACGCUCGGGACGCCGGAGACCACGGCGCAGGUGCACCCGCGCCUCUUCACCGCCGCGCUCCUCGCCGCGUCCGGGGCCGAGGUCGUCGUCGCCGAGGCCGAGCGCGUCGUGGUGGCGGACGAGGGCCGCGCCGUGGGCGUCGCCCUCCGCGGGAGGGACGACCCCAUCCCCGCCGACGCCGUGGUGCUCGCUCUCGGGCCUUGGACGGCGCGCCUGGGGCUCGUCGCCUCGCUCUUCGACGUGUCCGGGAUCAAGGCGCACAGCAUCGUGCUGCGCCCCAAGGAUCCCUCCGCCGUUACCCCGCACGCGCUCUUCCUCAGCUACCGCCCGGAGCCCGGCGCCAAGCUCCUGGACCCCGAGGUUUACCCUCGACCCACAGGUAAUGAAUCAGUGGCCUUUUGCAGUAUAAUUACUGGUAGUUAAAAGCCGUUUGGAAGUAGCGUUUCCUGGAUGUCAGUGCAUGCUCAAGUAAAAGUACAAUGAUAUUUAUAUUUAUAUUUGCUCUUUGGUCGGUUACAUUUAGAUUACUGUUUAUUUUUUAAUAAUAAACGAUGAGUGAAAUGAUAAUUUUGUCAUCACAAAUAUGUCUCUUUAAAAAACUUAACUGUUAGAAUUAUGCAGAAAUAUCCGUCUAAAAAUUUUCAACAAUCAUCUUCUUUCUUCUACCAUCACAAAUAAUAUAAGAGCAGUAAAAAUGUCAAUUUAUCUUCUUUACUAAUUUGGAUUAAAUAUUUUACCUAUGGUUAACUAUAUUUUUCUAACAGAUCCUAAUAGUAGGGAUAUAUUUGAACAACGUUAGGAGCUUUGAAAGAAUAAAUAGGAAAGUUGAACUUUGUAGGAAUAUAUCUGCUAUUCGAUAUGUUUAUAAAGAGUUGUAUGCAAUUAAUCCUUUUAACUUCCCAUCAAAACGAAAACUAAGUAUAUUUUUAUUUGUAAAACGCCGGGUUGUUUGUUUCUUUGUUCCGAUACUAGAGAAAUUGCUUCGCAGGAGAGCUAAAGAUGUUGAAAUUACUGUGUUGAUUGCAGUUUUUAGUUGAGAAUGUAAAAAUCAUGUGAAGUUAGACCAUUACUAGUGAGGACAGUUAAGAAAAUUCAGUAACUAAACUCUUAUUUUCGAACAUUAUGCUUAAUAUGCUAUGUGAUCCUCUCAAUUUAACAUAUGUCAUACUAGCAAUGAGAACUAAAUAUGGGAAUCAUACCAUACACUUGAGAGUCCCUGAAAUUCACAACAGGAGAAGUGUACAUUUGCGGGAUGUCGAAGGACGCAGAGGUCCCUGACAACCCUGAGGAGAUCGUCGGGGAGAGUGAGUCGAUCGAGAUGCUACACAAGAUAGCGGGGAUGGUUUCGAGCCAUCUAAAGAAGGGGGAGACCGCGGAGGUGGUCGCCGAGCAGGCCUGCUUCCUGCCCUGCACUGAAGACGGGUUGCCAGUCAUCGGCGAGAUCCCGGGCGUGAAGAACUGCUACGUCGCGACGGGGCACAGCUGCUGGGGCAUUCUCAAUGGCCCCGCGACCGGAGCCGCCUUGGCGGAGCUCAUAUUGGAAGGGCGAUCCACCACCGUCGAUCUCAAGUCAUUCAGUCCUUCCAGAUUCCUAAGGAAAAAAAGAACCAUUGUGUGACAAAAAUUGUAUGAAUUUGAAGGGUUUGAUCGGCUUGCUUGAUGGUAUCAAGUACAUGUGUUCGUUUGAUGUAAUAUAUUUUGAUUAGUAAUUGAGGAUAAAAUGGUUGUUUAUGUUAGAUCUCUACAUCUUUACCAUGUUUAUGUUCAACCCUGACGUGUUACAACCAAUAAUAUGCUGCUGAUGUAGUUUUUGUUAUUGUGUAUUUUUUUUUUGGUUUUUACUUUUUGCUUUUUAAAGCAUAUUUGAUCCAAAAGCAUGAGAACUCAAGGUACUGUAGAAACAAAUCUCAUUUAAAUUUUGAAUAAUAACUUUUUCUACUGGUAAUUUGAAAACUAUUUAAUAUUUUGUACAAUAAAAAUUUGAAACGAACAUAGGGGGUGUUUGGCCUAGUUUUUAAAAAACGUUUUUGAGUUGAAAAGUGAUUUUCGGCUCAAUAAAAAGUUUGGCAACCUCACUUUUAAAAUAUGAUUUUAUUUUUUAGAAUCAGAAAACUGAUUUUGAAGGCUCAUAAUCAUAAGUAGAAAAAAACUGCUUCUCAAAAUUUGAUUCUGAUUUUGGACUCAAACUUCAAAUUUUUAUUUUAAUUUUAAAUUCAAUAUUUAAAUUUAAUUUUAAUUUUAAAUUUUAAUUUCCAGAUUUAUUUUUGAAUUUUUAAAUUUUAACUUUCAAAUUUUAAAUUGUGUAAAAUAGAUUUGAAACUUUAAAUUUUAAAUUUUAAAUUUUAAUUUUAAAUUUCAAAUCUCAAAUUUCAAAUUCUCAGAUAAUUCAAAUUAAUUGACAUUUCAGAUUUUAAAAUUUAAAUUUAAAUUUUUAAAAUUUUAAAUUAUAAUUUUAAUCUUCAAAUUAUAAGCUUCAAUUUUUUAAAAUUUAAAUUUAAAUUUUAAAUAUUCAAAUUUUAAAUUUCAUAAUUAUUUAAUUUUUAAUUUUAAAUUUAUAUUAUUUAAACUUUGAAAUUUAAAAUUUAAAUAUAUUUUUAAAUUUUAAUUUAUAUUUUAAAUUUCAUAAUUAUUUUAAAUUUUAAAUUUUUAUUUAAACUUUGAAAUUUAAAAUUUAAAUAUAUUUUUAAAUUUAAAUUUCAUAAUUAUUUUAAUUUUAAAUUUUAAUUUUAAAUUUAAAUUUUAAAUUUAAAUUUUAAAAUUUUAAAUUUUAAAUUUUAAAUUUUAAAUUAAAUAUUUUUAAAUAAUAAUUAUUUUAUAUUUAAAUUUCAUUAUAUUUAUAUUUUUUUAAUUUAAAUUUAUUUUAAAUUUUAAAUUCUAAAUUUAAAAUUUAGAUUUAAAUUUUAAAUUUUAAAUUUAAUUUAAAAUUUAAUUUUAAUUUAAUUUAUAUAUUUUUAAAUAUACUAAAAUUUUAUAUUUGAAUUUCAUAUUAUAUACAUUUUUUAAUUAUAUUUAUAUUUAAAAAUUUUAAAUUUCAUAAUUAUUUUAAAUUUUAAAAUUUCAAAUUUAAAAUUUGAAAUAUUAAAAUAUCAAAUUUAAAAUUUUGUACAAUUUUGAAAUUUAAAAAAUUUUAAUUUUAAUUCAAAUUUAAAUUUAGAUUUUAAAUUAUUUUAAAAUAAAAUUUAAUAAAAAUAUUAAUUCAUGCAAACAUCAAAAAAAAUUUACCAAACAGUUUUUCAAAAUAACUUCAGAAAAAUCAUUUUUAUCUAAACUCAGCGAAACGCUUUACAGCUUUUAACCAAAAUCACUUUUCCAAAUCAAAAUCACUUUUUCAGCCAUCACUUUUUUAAAAGUUAGGCAAGACAGGCCCUUAUUCUUCAACUUUGGGACGCAUUUACUUGUGUGCAAACAGCAAUUUCGCAUGGCACGAGCCGCUUCUUCGCCGCGUGAGACAGUGCGUCGAGUCACUCGCGGUCGAACCUGAACCGGCCGGUUCAAUUACCCAGUCGACUCGGCUCAUCGAACCGGUCUGGGUUCAUUAUAUUUCGAUAGAGAUAGAGAAUUACGGUAGAGAAGGGUGAGGAUUGAGUUACAAAAGAGAGAGAGAGAGAGAGAGAGAGAGAGAGAGAGAGAAGGGAUGGAGGUUAGAAGUAGAUAAGGGGAAAAAGGGGUUGGGGAAGAGAAGAGAAAUAGUGGAGAAGAAGAGGAUAAUUGGGGAAGAAGAUAGAUGUUAAUUCAUUUCAUUCAUGUCCCUAACUUGCAUUACAUUUUGGUAUAUAUAGUCUCAACAACUUGUACUGAAUUGAAAUAAAACUAUCCUACGAGGGCUUAACAGCAAUUUUGUUAAAAAAAAAAGGGAGCUGUGGGCCUUCUGGGUUGAAUUCAGACGGUUUCUGGGCCUCGUCUGGGCUUGGCAGGUCCAAAGCUCUCUGGUAGCGGUAAGUGGAUGUCAGUUUCCUUCUUAAUCGCAUUAUCCUCCGCCCGGCGGAUAUCGGGUCCGCCUUUUACACCCGAUCCAGGAACUGGGUCGCCCGAUCCACUAGUAAAUGGUAAGCGGGCGCCGGUUCGUUCUUCUCCACACCAUCCGCAACCCGGCGGAUAGUGGGAUCGCCUUUUCCCCCCGAUCCGGGGUUCGCAGCUCCGACCCGCCAGCUCUCUUCUUCGCCUCCAAAUACCAAGAUCGGUCGGACCUCCUCCUCCAACCUCGAUCCUCCCAUUCCCCUUCAGCUCCGACGAUGCCCUAGCCCGUCGCCUCGCCGGAGUUCCGCCGGACCGCCUCUCGCCAGACUUCUCCGUCAAGCUCGCCUUCCUCAACCUGCUGCCGCCGCUUAUCUCGCCUAUAUUUUUUGUAAAGCUGCCAUUUUUACUGCCUCCCCUGUUAAUUACUAUUGCUUAUUCUCCCAGGUUGUUACAUUUAGUCGCUGGAUCUAGGAUCGGUAAUUGCUUUACUCAAUUCUUUUUUUUUAUUAUUUUGGUAAUUUAGUAGAUCUGAUCAGUGUUUCAGUUUCUUCUUCUUUCUUUGUUGUUCUUACAUCGUUGCUCUCUUGAAUUAUACGCAGUUUGAGCACGUUUUUGCUUGAAUAAUCUUGUAAUUUUCGUUUUCUUAUCAGAUUGAGCGAAUUGGUUUUGAAUUCCGGCUCUAAGAUUGUUUAUGUAGAUGAAAAGGUUUGGUUAUCGUUGGGAGUGUUCUUAGACAUUAGAUCGCAAGCACAUUCCUCCUAAAAUAGAAGGCGAGGAUUCCAGUUAAUUUAUAUAUUAUAAGAUGGAUCCGCUGAAAACUUACUUGGGGAGGCUGGUAUUAGAAGAACUAACUCCGGUGGUCAUGGUUCUCACAACUCCUCUUGUCGAAGAUUCUUGCCGCAAGAACGGGCUCGGUUUCGUCGACAUGCUCCUCCCAUUCUCUGUUUUCAAGAAAUUUGAUGGUUCGGAGAUUCUUUCGUAUUCUUUUUGAAUCUUUGUGAAUUAGCAUAUUCUUGCUUCUUUAUGAAUCGUUGUGAAUUAGCAUAUUCUUGCUAUUAGCUUGAAUUGAUAAUUUUCUUGUUUGUGUUCUCUUUGUGUAGUGCCUGUUCGUACCGUAAAUGACCAACCUUAUAGGUUACAGAUGUUCAAGCUACGAAUGGUUUAUGCUUCUGAUGUGCGGCAACCAAACUACGAGGUGAAGUUGACGUUGAUAGCUAGUUUUUUUUUUCGGUAAUUGUAUGCCUAUCAACUAGUUCCUUCUGCUAAUUUGUUAUUUCUAUGUAAUCUUUUGGAUAGAAAGACGAAUGAUCCUUUCAAGCUUCUAGCUGUUUCUCAGAGUGUUGAUUUUUUGUUUUUUUUUUUACUUGUGUCUCAGAGUGUAAAAAUUUAGAGGAGUAUUGGUAAUCUUUUUCCUUAUUAAUGGUUUUGAUUUUGAACUAUUUAGUGCUGUUUCCAUUGAAUGAGAUCAAAGCUGAGAUAAGCUAAGAUGGACUUUAUGAUGUCUAUAGUGUCAGUGGAAUCAUAAUGCCUUUCAACCUGACUCAAAAAUGAGAAAGUAUCCUAAUAUCCAAUAUCUUGCCCUAAUGCUGCCUUUUUCACCUCUCAUGAUAUAGAAACCCUAGUUGCUAAUUGGAGGCAUUGGGCAGUCUUUGGCCACUCGGUUGCCCACAUAUAAUCUCUUGAAGUGUUCCUCAGUGCUAUUAUGUUUAAACUAUCCCUAUUCACCUUCACUCUUUUUGAGUAUCUGAUUACAUAUUAGGAGCAUUGCUGAUAAAUUGAAAAUAAAAUGGCCCACAUAAUUUUGUAUGAGUUAUUGCUUGUGAAUUUGAUAUUAUUCCUAAGCUGGCUGUAUGGCAGCUUGUACGACUGAUCACUUAUUUCGAAACAGGCUGCAAAAGAGCAUUUGAAGCAGGUUGUUCAUGACUCUGGUGAAAAGGCUCUUUCUGAUUUGCUUUCCGACCCUCCACAACUUGAAACUGUACUUAGCAGUGAGAUGCCGCUCUUCUGGCAAAUUUGACCUUCUGUUGUUCAGCUUUUACGUAUUUUGUAUUAACUGUCUUCUAAAAAUUAAAUCAACAGUGAUACUUUUAUGUAUGUUGUGUUAAGUAUCUUCUAAAAUUAAAUUAAUGGUAAAAGGGAAAAUGGACUGCCUGGCUUAAAAGCAUUUUUGACUUGAAUUUUUAUCUUUCUGUAGUUGCUGCAGCUGUUCUUAUGGGAAUAACUUUGUUACUACUAGACAACCUUACAUGAUCUAGCAAACUAUGUUUGUUUUUGUAUUGGACUAGUCAAGAAUAGUGAGCAAGAUGCAACUAGUUCAUCUUACCUUUGUUUUUAAGUGACAAAAUUUUAAUGUUGAGCGAAUAUACAUUAAUUAGUAUGUUAGGUGAUUUGUUGAAUUGUACAACAAGUGAUCUGAUAUUAAACAGGAUUAGAAAACUUGAGAUGGCUGUACGAUGGGGACAUAUUUGGAAGAUAUGAUGAGGAAUCUUUUCAGUGUCAAAAGCUGAUUUCAAAAGUAAGAAAAAAACGUUGUUUCUUUAUGGCUGUGUGAGGCCAUGAAAUUUGUGUAUUGUGCAAAAAGCAACAGUCUGUUGCUUCUUAAAAUGUUGCCCCACUGCACAAAUUCUAUCAAUCCAUACUUAAUCCCGCCCCAUGUGAGAUCAAAGAUCCAUAUAAGACAUGGUUUCUGAUCUCAUUUUUCCCAGAGUAUCCACAAACUAGGCUAAAAUCUUCUUAAAUCUUCAUGAAUAAAAAAAAAGAGGAUUAGGUAUCCUUGUAUCUUCACAUAAUGCAUGUAUCUGUGGCAAAGUGUUGCAUUUAAAGGUGCAUCUGUAUAUUUAUCCAUGAGCCUUGGAAUGGCACCUUUGAUCCGUAUUUCCUCUCUUUAAUUUAGGUUAAUUUUGUGAAAAAUAACCAGUAAGGUGUUAGAUCUUUGCUAAUAAUGGAUUCCUUAUACCACAUAACUGGCGCUGACUAAUACUUUUUGCAGAUUCAGAAUCUGAUUUAUGCCCACAAUGGAUUCAAACAUUCAAUAAAGAACUUAUACGGACUCUGUCCUUUUCGGAGCAUGAGACUUUUGACCACCCUGUUGCAUGUAAGCUUUGUUUCUAUGGAAAGUGUCCUUAAAUAGAGAAUAGCUUAUUGUUAUUGAACAUCAUGAUAGCUUUUGAUUUGUGCUGAGUUCAUGCACUUGAAUUGUCCUACAGGCCUUUUAGUUGUUUCAUCGAAGGAUGAACAGCCCAUCAAUAAAUUUGUCGAUAUUUUCAACACAAAUCAGUUGCCUUCUCUUCUCAAUGAUGGUCUCAUGGAUCCAAAGAUAUUGAAGCACUAUGUUCUUCUGCAUGAUAAUCAAGAUAGCUCACCAGAGAAGUACUUUUCUUUGCCUUCCAUCAUUUUCUGUAUUGUAUUUGAUCUUUGCCAUCUGAAUACUGCAAUAGACUAGAUGAGCUCAUGAGAGCAUAGAAUUUCCAGGUAUGCCUUAUCUGAGACAUCGAAUCAAUCUCCAUGUUUAUGUACUUUUCUUGGUAAAAGAAAAUUAUAAGCCGUUUCAAAUACUGUGCUAGAAUGGCAUGCCACAGUAUUUAUUGGAAUACAAUGAUCAGGAAAAGACAAUUAGUUGGACCUAAUUAUCUACGCUGAGCCUUCUCUCUUUCUAAGGAUAAGAUCUGAAGCUUCUGUGAUUGAUCCUUAACCAGCAGUGUGGUAGAUGAAAGAAUCAUGCAAAGGAGCAAAUUAGAUCAAGAAUAUGAAGUGAAAUAGAAGAAAGGAAGCAGAGGUUGAACUGAAUGGUGCUGGUUGAUGAUUUGUCAGCAUAUCACUUAGACAUGUUUCUUUCCUGUCAUUGGCUGUAGGCUGCUACGUCAAUUUAGUGUAGCUUGUACCUCUAUGUAAUAACAACUAACCAAUAGCUAGCUAUUGUUCCAACUGACUGCUUGACGGGGCUAAUGAUUGGCUUGUCUCCUUUUGAGAUACUUCUAAAUUUUGUCGAGAGAAGAAAUUUCUAGUUUUUCUGUUUAAAUAUGUUGAGGGUUAGUGAAUUGUCUGAAUUACUCUAAUGUUUUUUUCUGAUUUACUUUGUCAUUACUUCUUUCCGUCUAUGGGUUUAAAAUUGAAGAUUUACUUUAUCUGAAAAGAAAAAAAAUGAAAAAAAAGUAUAAUGAAGACAACAACGUGCAUUGGUGCGUCGGACGGAAGACAUGAAGAAGAGGUGGUGCCAUGAUAUAGAUUAUAGAUGCUAUCAAUUAGUUUUGACCUUCUAGCCAUUACAGGGUAUAAAUUGCAAAUUCACAGAUCAAUAUAGUUAUUUUGUGGAGUUUAUGAACUUAUACCAGGUUUUUUAUGCUUAUGUGUCAUCUAUAUAUUUAUGUAAAUAAAUUUCAGAAAUUUACAUCAUCAAGGGAAAAAGUGGAGGUUCAGUGAAGAAGAUGGUCCAUAAUUGGUCAUCACUUUAAUUUUUCAAUCUUUUGCUGAUAUUAUUUCUCAGUUUCUAUGCAAGUCUGAAUUGCCUUUUGUUCUCUGAAGAUUGAUUAUAAUAGUUUCAUUUCUUUUUUUUUCUACUAAAGGGCAACCCACAUUUUAGCAGAAAUGAGGAACACUUUCGGUCCAAAUGACUGUAAAUUGUUGUGCAUUAAUUCUGCCACAGAAGAUGUUAAUAACAAGGGAUUUUCAUCAGUACCUUAUGUAAGUUGACAAUUGAGGAAACGAGUUAAUCCUUUUGAUUUCUAAAAGUGCUAAAAGUGUUUAGUAAAUAUAUUGUAUAUUUACAUCUCAAUUCUGUACAGAAAACUCAUGGCUUCCUUGGAGAAGACAUUGCCCGGUGCCUUAACUUGGAAGAUCUCAAAUCGGUGAGCGUUCAUCAACCAUCAUUAUAGAUGGUGGGAUGGUACUAACUUUUUUAAUCUAAAUAGUGCUAUAUUAUUGAUAAGCAAGAGAGAGAACUAUUUUUUACUUUCCAAAACACCCUUUUGGCCUUGUACACAAGAGUGACGAUUAAUUUUGUUUUAAUGCGCAUCAAGGAUUUAAGUGUCGUGGUAUGGGACUGUGCUUAGAACUUGUUGGCAUGGUACGACAUAGUGUCGUGCCGUGCCGUGCCAUGCCGAUGUGUGCCUGUCACAAAAAUACCUAUGUGCCGACGCACUAUGACAUGAAAUAUUUAUUUUCUUUGGCACCGAUAUAUUCUAAUUGCUUAUUUUAUAUCUUUAUCAAAUAUUUUGCUCUUUAUAAGAUAAUUACUCACUAUAUUCAAAGAAAAAAGGAUGUUGAGCCGUGCCAUCAGCUUGGUGGUCUUAUAGUGCAGAUAUCUUGUCAGUAUGGUAUGGUAUGGUAUGAUAUGGUGGGCACAGCCCAUGCUGAUGGGCACAUAAAACCUUGAUGCACGUACAUGUGCCUUUACUAGAUAAGCCACUUAUUUUCUCUAAUGAUUAUUUGAUUAGAUAAAGGACUUCAUGCAAGAUCUUAAUUCUAACCAUAUCAUCCCAUUUAUGGAGCAGAAGAUACGCAUCCUCAAUCAGCAGGUAUGUGCUUUCAUUACUCCCUAUUGGUGUAUGCCAGUUGCCAACUUUCUAAAUUCUCUUGGUUUUCUUUAGGUAGCUACAACCAGGAAAGGUUUUAGAAACCAAAUAAAGAACUUGUGGUGGCGAAAAGGAAAAGAUGAUUUGCCUGAAGACCCUAGUGGUUCUACGUAAGAGAUCUAUUGCUGGCAAUAUUGGAUUUACAUUUUCUUUUAACUCCAAAUUUUAUAUACAUUACUGUCUUAAAUUCUUCUUUUUCCCUAUUCCUUCUAACAGGUAUACAUUUAGCUCAAUAGAGACCCAGAUUAGAAUAUUGGGUGAUUAUGCCUUCAUACUGCAAGACUAUGAACUUGCUUUGUCAAAUUACCGGUUACUAUCCACAGACUACAAGCUCGAUAAAGCUUGGAAACGCUAUGCUGGCGUGCAGGUACCUGACUUGAUAAUUCUUUUACAUUAAGAAUACUUUGAAUAUGUUACUGUGGGACAAAACAAACUUAAAAGCAAAUGACAUAUCUCGGGUUGCUAGGGGUUGGCUUAUUUCUUGGGUAAAUGGGACCCUAGACUGGUUUUGUAAGCAAAUUUAGGACGUGACCUGAGGUAGAUCCAACAGCUACUGGUUGUUGGAUAAAUACUGCAUACCUGAUUUUUGCAUAGGGGUGGAACUGGGCCGGGCUUGGGUCGGGUAUUACUAUGCCCAAGCCCGGCCCAAAAAAAAUGUUGGGCUUCGGGUCGGGCUUUUACCCAAUUUUUUUUUAAAAUUGAGGCCCGGCCCAGGCCCAAACCCAAUGCCCAAUACCCAUCGGGCUUUGUGGAGGCCCAUUUUAUGCAUCUAUCAUAUAAUAUAUGAAUACUUUUAUUUGUAUAAAAUUAAAAUAAAAUACCUAUUUUUAGUUUUACCACAUCAAAGAAAUUAAUAUCUAAGAUCAAAUAUAUCAUAAUAUAGAACUAAAUAUUUUGUUAAUAUAUAAUAUAUCCUCAUAUAUAUAAGUACAUAUCAUUAAUAACAAUAUAUACUAUAUCAUUUAUUUCUUUUAAUAGAUAAAUAAUAUAUAUAAUUAAAUAUUUUAUUUUGAUAAUUAAUAUAUCGGGCUUUUGGGUCGGGCUCGGGUCGGGCUUGGACAUGCCCAAAUAGGCCCAAAAUUUUUUCGGGCCUAAAUUUUUAAACCCGGCCCGAACCCAAAGUUGUAUUUUUAAUAUCCAAAGCCCGGCCCAAACAUGGCCCAUCGGGCCGGGCCUUGUUUAGGCCCGGGCCCAGUUCCACCCCUGUUUGCAUGACUACCAGCCUUUUACUCUUUAAAGUCUGUUUUGAUGAGCAGGAUUAAGGUACUGUACAUUCUUAUGCUUUCUUGUUUGUUUCUGUUUAUAAGCACUUCCCUAUUGUCUGUAAUACUAUAGGAGCUUGAACACUUAUUCCUCACUUGUUGGUAAUCUAAUUAAUUCAGUUUUGAAUUGCCUUGUUACUUCUUUGUACUAAUCUCACAGGAAAUGAGUGGACUUUGUUACUUCAUGCUGGAUCAAUCAAGAAAGGAAGCAGAGUACUGCAUGGAAAAUGCUUUCAGUACAUAUUUGGUAUAUACCUCUUUUAGCUCAGUAGAAGUGGCUUUACAUGUUUGUUAAUUUGGGAAAUAUGUUUAGAAAUUGAGAGCAGCUGAGUAGGAGAAAAGGGCAGUAGUUUAUUAUGUAUUAUUUUGUUUUAUUUCCUUUCUUUUUCCUUUUUACAACCUUUUACUGAUGUAUUAAGACCAAGUUCUCGUUGCUUGUCUUUUAUUACACUUCUCAUUUUGCCAAUGUAACUAAAUUGCCUUUUUCAUCCACUUAGAUAACGAUUGAAAAACUAUGUGCAGAGAGUUGGUUCAUCAGGUCAGAGAUAUGCUAGCAGAUGUGGCCUCUGGUGGGCAGAGAUGCUCAAGGCUAGGGCACAAUAUAGGGAGGCAUCCGGUGUUUAUUUCCGUAUUUCGAUCGAGGUAAUUAUAUUAUUUAGAAAGUAUGAUUGGAUGAUCCUUUUUUGUUUGCCAUUGAUCAACCGUUGUUCUUCAGGAACCUUCUUUGCAUGCUGCCGUAAUGCUUGAGCAAGCAGCAGGCUGCUAUUUGUUAUCCAAACCACCUCUAUUGCGGAAGUAUGGGUUCCAUCUCAUUCUAGCUGGCAAUCGCUAUUAUAUCUCUGAUCAGGUGUCUAAUUUUUCUUGCAUAUUUCUCUUAGUAAUUCACAAUGUUAUGAAUGAUAGACAAACUUGUCGUAGAUUUGCCCAUCCUAAGCAUUCUUUGUGUGAUGUGCAGAUAAAACAUGCUAUUCGAGCGUAUAGAAAUGCUCUCUUUGUGUACAGCGAAAAUGCCUGGAGUUACAUAAAUGAUCAUGUUCAUUUUAAUGUCGGAAGGUAUCCUAUCAGUUUUAAAUUUGUAUUUAUCGUAUUUCUGGUUUUCCUUUCAGUUUUACUUUAUUUUCUUGCAUUGUUCAGGUGGUACGGAUUUCUUGGGAUGUUUGAUGUGGCAAUCAACCACAUGUUAGAGGUUCUGGCAUGUGGUCAUCAGUCAUUGGCAACACAAAGCACUUUCCUUAAUGACUUCUUCCAUUUUGUUCAGGUAGUUUAUGAAUAUAUACCCUCCUUUUUUUGUUUUGGUACAGUUUACCUAUUAUACUGACAGUCUGUGACUUUGAGUACCUCAGAGACUGGGAAAGAGUUUUGAUGUAUGUAAGCUUCAACUUCCUGUUAUCAACUUAUUUUCGCUCAAAAUUGUCUAUGAAGAUCAUCGGACUUAUGCAUCUACUGCUGAUGUAAGUUGAUCCAUACUCUACUGCUAUCCUGCUUCUUUUCCUUUUCUUUAUGUUUUAUCCUUUGGAGAUGUCUGAAGAAGUUUUCCAGUUGUUAUUAUUGGUCAUUUAUGUUUAUCAUCAUUGCUUGUUCUUAGGUCUUAUAUAUGAUCUUUUUUUCACAAGUUAUUCUUGAAAUUCAUCCUCAAAGACUUCGAGCCAAGGAUAUUUUCUCAGUUUGUACUGAAGUCUAGUAUUUGCUUUUCAUCACUGAAGUCUAGUGUGCAGUUGAAAAGCACACACAUUAGAUUAUCUAUACAGCAAAACCAUCAUAUAGUAUUUCAAUAUAAUAUCUUUCUCAACUACAGGUAUAGAGAGACUAGCAACUGUUUGAAUCUUUAAAUACACUUUGGCUACAAAUUAAUAUCAAUGGAAAUAUUACUUUUAUUGCAUUUUGUUGCUUCUGUAUAAACCUAUGAUCCUUCUGUACACAUGUUCUGGAUACAGAGAAAGUAACAAGUAUCAGUGUUAAUCUUAACAUUCCAUAGCUUGCAUAUUCUGGGAUGUCUAGAAUUAAGCAUUUGCUUGCUGUUGACUUUUCUUUUAAGCAGGUUGAUGUCACCGAGAGUUUGUGGCAAGCCUUGGAAGAAGAAAUGGUUCCAGUGUCUACUGUCAGGGCCAACUGGCUUGAUUCACAACCAAAAUCCUCCUCCAGAAAAGACGAUGACUUUUCUAUUUGUGUGGCUGGAGGUGGGGUUCAGUAGCUUUCUCAACUGUCCCUUUAAUAGAAAAAUGUAUAAUACUGUUUCCUCUGCAACUUCAUUUGUUGUUAGCCACAAUGUAUCGGUAACCCAAAAGCAUCCUUUCUUAAAAUAGUAAUAUUAGCUUUCUUAUUAAAUUAAGGGUAAACUAGGAAAAGUAGGCACAUUAAAAUGAUUUCUUAUCUCUCUUAUUAUCCAAAUAGAAAUUUCAUUUAAUUGAAUUCAAUGGUUUUUUUCUUUUGGGCUGAAAUCAAUUGAAGUCUAUUCAAAUUUGGGUGAAAUCCCAAGUGUUACUUCAAAGGAGUCCGGCUACUAUACUCUUAUGAGUACGAUCGCCCUCGUACUCAUAAGUUGUUUUCGAUGAUAGAGCUUCCGAAACGACGAUCCACACUGUUAAACGUUAUUUAGAGCAUUUAAAACUGCUAGAAAUUAAAUUUCAUAAUUUUUCGACAUCAUUUACCUUACGAUCAAAAACUCACAAAAUUGACCAUUUUUAACGGCCGGUAUGGGAUACUUGCUAGUUUAAUGGUGGAAAAGAAUCGGAAUAGGUAGAAUUUUUGAUAGAAAAUUCUACUAAGUACCUAGAUAAAGAUCAAUAACUCCGAUCUUAAAUUAAAGAAUCCGAUCAUCCAUUUUUAGGACGUCGUUCGAUUUUGACCAUUCAUUUUAUGCCCGCUUGAUGGACUUUAUUAUGAUUUCGAAAAAUUACGAAAUUUAUUUUCUAGAAGUUUCAAAUACUCUAGAUCAUAUUUAACGGAGUGGAUCGUCGAUUCGGAAGCUCUAUCAUCGAAAACAACUUAUGAGUAUUAAGAGCCCACUACUCAUAAUAGUAUAGUAGCCCUACUCUACUUCAAAGUUCAAAUGAUGGCAUUUGGUUAUCAUAGGAAAUCCGACCAAUUUCUUUGAAAUUUCUUGAAUUCUAUAGCUGUUCUAGACACUGGAUUUGAGAAAACUACAAUUCCAAUUCCUUGAUUUCUAAGGAUUUAAGGAAGCCAAACAGGGUUAAUUCAUUGGCUGAGAUUGAUUCUUGUCUUCUCUUCCACACUGCUUUUUCCAGAAAAAUUGUUAAUGGUGAGAUGUUUCUGUUGGAUCAGAUAUAAAGAAUUGACAAAAAGUUAGCAAAAUGAAUUGACAAUAGUGAGAUGUUUCUGUUGGAGUAGAUAUAAAGAUUUGACAAAAAGUUAGCAAAAGGUUGACAAUAGUGAGGAACUUUUAAAAAUUUUGUCGAUAAAUCUAUAGUGGGUGGCUGUUUUGCAUGUACUGAUGAAGUGUUGAUCUGAUUGAUUGCAGAAGCAGUAAAAGUGGAGGUUGAGCUUAAAAAUCCUUUGCAGAUUUCAAUAUCUGUUUCUUCCAUUUCUCUUAUCUGUGAGCUCUCUGCAAGUUCUGAGGCAUCAACUAUUGGUAUGUUGCUCACCCAUGAAACUUGCAACUAUUUUCGUGUGCUAAUAAAGUUGGUUAAAACCCCAACAAAUUCACGUGUAUUGGGGAAAUAUAUCUGUCAACUAUGCAGACCGAAGUGUGUCAUCUGCUGAAGUUCAAGAAGAUACAAAUUUGAUGAAGACAUCCUUUUGUAGGUAUAUCUAAUUUAGUUUAAUGUUAUUGCAUUCAAGAAUCAUUUGUCUAGAACCUUCUGGAUAAAAAUGGCGCUUGUCAUUGAUCAUUGCAGCGAUCAAAAAGGUGAAAACAGUUCCUUUACUUUAUCAAAGAUUGAUGUCGAAUUAGGAGGAGGUGAAACCAAGAGGGUAAGGUUCCUAGUAACAAGUUCCUAUAUAUUUAUUGUUUCCUUUUCAUGAAUUUUUUUAUGGAUCCUGGGAUUCUACUUUCUAGUAUGUUUCUAGUUGUGGCAUUAAUGCUUGGUUAAUGUUUCAAUUCAUUUGUUAGGUCAAUAAGUCUUAAGUUUCCAGAAUUAUAAUAUUAACAGAUUUAAUUAACUUUUUUGUAUAUGCUGCACCUGAACUGCUUCCUUGAAUUUGAUUUUCCACUUGUAAUAUGCUUGUGAAAAUAUUGUAGAAUGACCUGCCAAAGAAAAAAUAGUAAUGGCAUGAAGCAUGUCAUUGUACAGUAAUAUCGAAAUGAGACAUUGAAGUGUGGCCAUAUUCCAAUUAGUGUCGACUUUUCUAUUUAUGAUACUUAAAAAUAUGGAGAAGAUUGACGUCCAUAACUUCACACUGUGUAUCAAAGUUUGAUUUGUACUGUGAAUAUAGGUGCGACAACCUUUGCCCUGUGAAGCCCAUCAUGCCAGUCGUUUAUGGGCCACAGGCUUCAUUUUGUUUUAGUUACCAAUCUUCAACCACCAAUCAUCUGCCCAGGAAAAACAUUCAAUAGCAUCAAAUAUAAUUUCCAGCACAUGCUUUAAUUCAUAAAGGAAGUAAAAUAUAUGAUAUGUCCUGCUAUGUUUGCAUAUUCACUCAUGGUCGACAUUUAUGUCUCACAGCUCGGUAGCCUCCAUGUUUAUUGGUUGGGAAAGAUUGAGGAGAAUUUUCUUCUAUGUAGCUGUUUUUUCUAAUAGUUAGGCAAUGUUUAUAGCUACUCUGUCUACUGUUGCUCUGUACUUAUCAGAAUUUGAUUUCCCUGAUAUAAUUUAGCCAUUUUCACUGCAUUAAUUUUUCCAUUUUGCUUGUGUUGAUUUUCAGGUACAACUUGAAGUUACUCCGAAAGUGGAAGGUGUUCUAAAAUUAGUUGGGUUGAGGUGGACUCUAUCAGAUUCGGUGGUCGGUUAUCAACACUUUGAGACUGAUGCAAAGAAGAAACACAAGAAAGGGAAGAGAUCAAAGCAUUCUUGGAAGAGUAGCCUGAAUUUAAUUGUGAUAAAGGUCAGUGCCUUCCACUUUCUUAAUCCACUUUUGUUUGAAGAUCUAAGUAGUAACUCCUUUUUUUACAAUUAGGGCAUACCAAAACUUGAGGGACGUGUUGAUGGUUUUCCAACAAAAACAUUUGCGGGUGACUUACGGCUUCUCAUGCUGAGUCUGAGAAACCAUUCAGAAUAUUCUCUGAAGGUCUGAUCAUCAUGAUUUAAUAUUUUUACCCUUUUUUUUGCCUUUACUGUUUUCUAAGUUUGUCUUAGAAGCAAUAUUUAACCAAGCAAUUUUUGUAAAUCAUCUAUGUAAAAGAAAAGUAAAAUUCGCUAUAUUCUUGGUAAAUUGUCGUAAAAAACUAAUAAAAUCUUCCUGAAAUUUGCAGAACAUCAGGAUGAAAGUAAGUCAUCCGAGAUUCUUGAUUCCCGCUAAUUCUGCGGACAUUCAUGAGGAUUUUCCUCAAUGCUUAGAAAAGCAGAGACAAAUGGAAAACAAGGAUGCGUCAGGAAAUGCUAAAAAUUUAUCCAGGAGUGCCUUCUUUUCAUUUCCAAAUGUGAGGAGAAAUUCUGGAAUACGAUCAUUAGUUUCAAUCUUACUACAAAGUUGGUCUAUAAUCUUUUAAAUUUGUUUUCACUUUUUUUAUACAGGAUGUUACUAUUCGAGGCGGCGAAACAUUCUCAUGGCCUCUUUGGUUUCAUUCUGGGUCUUCUGGAAAUAUAUCUCUUUAUAUGUCAAUAUACUAUGAAAUGGAAGGUGGUUCUAGUGACAUGACAUACCGUACACUGCGCAUGAAUUACAAUUUGGAGGUAAUAUUUCUAUUAAAAAAUUCAUGUUUUAUAGGGUACAUUUUCCGGUAUGUUUAAAAGUAAUCACCUAGGUGCAACUUUUUGAACCUAAUGUACUUUUUCAUUGAGAACUGAGAUUUGUUGGAAUAAAUUGACUGAAUGAGUUAUUUUAAUUGCUCUCUGGUGGAUUCAAUGCCUGGUAGAGAAGGUUGUGGAACUCUUGCUGGUACCAGUUCAACUUUUUGAGGAAGUGGGUACCCUAGUUAUUUGCUCCAUAAGCCACUGCGUAAUAAAUUUAGACAGUGGUUCCAUUAUUGAAUGUGUAUGUAUUUUGGCAUUGUGGACUUUUGUGUUGUUCAUUUCAUUCUAGGAAUCUGAGCAAAGAAUGAGAGAUACUGGUGCUUAUUUUUUUGUGUACUCAUACGUGUCACCAAGAAGUUUUCAGUCUUCAUAAAUUUACUGUGGUUAGGUUGCAUAAUUAUCUCUUGGCAUUCUUCAUAACAGCCUCUAUUCUUCGGAGCAAUUGAGUGAUUUAGGCAUGCACAUGGCUUGCCCACAUCUGGCCCUAAUACCAUUUUUUUCUUCACGUAUUCAGUAAUACGAAGUAAUAAAGAUGAAAAAAAAAACAAAGUAAUAAGGGAAUAUAUCCAGUCCUGUUGGCAAAUUUUUUUUGAAAUUGAGCACAACCGGCAGGUCAGACAUAACAUAGAUGCAGCCAUCAGUUGGUAAGUUGAAAGCUAAUUUGGAAAUCACUUGUUUAUAGAUACCUGUAGCUAAUAGUUAAAACUUGAAAAAUUGAAAAGAAAGGAGAAAACAGGAAGGAAAAAAAAUUAUGACUGCUUUUUUGAAUUGGCAAAUCCUUUUGCAGUGUGGUUGGAAUUGACUUUUUCAUGCAGUAGAAAAGAUUGAGGGAAAGAAACUUUGAUUAAGUGUGAGAAAAAUGGUUGAACAAGUGGAUGUAGUUUCUUUUUAUGUACAUACUGAUUGUUUUCUUCAUGAAGUAGAUAAUUAGAUCAUUUUGGAAAGGUAUUCCAUCAACUAUCUUUACCUAUUUCUGUUGCUUGCCGUUAUUGAGUUUAUUUCUUUAUUAAGUGGGCUGUUUUGGUACUAUUUUUCAUGCUAUGAAAGUAUAAUCACCAUUUGGCAGCUUUGUCUUGUUCUCCAAGUAAUGUCCCCUUUAUUUUGACAGGUUUUGCCGUCAUUAGAUAUUUCAUUCCUGAUCAGCCCAUGGCCGUCAAGGUUACAAGAGUAUUUUGUGCGUAUGGACGUUGUUAAUAGAACCAUUUCGGAGACAUUCUUACUGCAUCAAUUGUCAUGUGUUGGCAAUCAGUUGGUGAUAUCAGCAUUACCUUCCUGCAAUUCUAUCUGCUCCAUGCAAGAAAUAUUUGCGGGCCAGACAUUAUCAUGCUUCUUUAAGCUAAAGGUUUGAGAGCAUUUUAUUAAUUCCACUGUUAAACUAAUCUACUUUAAAUAGAUAGUCUCAUGCAGGAAUACAGAAUCUUAUUUGACCAUGUCUUAAAGUAGUUGUCUUGUUGGCCCAUUUCCACAAACUGUUAAAUAUUUGAUUAACAAAUUUUUUUUUGAGGCUAAUACGAAGACAAACCUUCUGAAAAUAGAGCCAUUUGCAUUUUGACCCCCCGGGAUAGAAAAACAUACAUCUAAACCCAAUAAAUGUUUAGACUAUUAUCACUUAACCUCCUUUUGUCACAUUUUACAUUGAAGAAUUGUCAAAUAUUGAAGAAUUGUCAAAAAAUCAUAGAAUGGUUUCGAGGUUCAUAUUUUAAGGCUACAGAGCAGUACGUGAAUGAAAAAUGUGACAGGAAGGGGGUUGAAGUGCUAAAGGUCUAAAUGUUACAUUGCUGAAUGUUGGUUUUUUAUAUUUCAGAAGAGAAACUGUAAUGACGCUAUUUGCAGGGGUUUUCUACAAUUUAACCUUUUCUCAUUUAACACAAUGUUUUCGUUGCUGAUUACAUUUGUGAUGUUGAAUGCCCCGGAUUAUUCUUUUGUUCCUUGUCUUAUGAGCUUGUAUGCGUAUGCCUAUUAGGUCCUAAUGACAGGUGAAAAGAAUGAGGAGUCUGUCCAAGGAAGUGAUAUGCUGUUGUCGUCUGCGAUCAGCAACGAUAUGCUACUAGAUGUAUCAAGGUCACCUUUGUCUGAUUUUCAUUAUCAAGAAAGGUAUCACCAGGGAAAGUUAGUGAAGGUACAGACAUCUCCUUCCAAAUUAGAUAACCGAGGCUUAUUGAUCUCACUAAAUACCUGUAGAACUUAUAUCUGAUGUUGCAUUGUGGAUGCAUGGUAUUUGGACAUUUCUCAGUAGUGGCUUUAGCCUAUCACCACUUAGUUUAGAUCAAUGUUUAAUAUUUCCAUUUCCGGUCCAUUUUUUUCAAUAUCAUCCAUAUAGGGGGGUCCAACUUAUUAUUGAUAUAUGUUAUUAAUUAAUCGUAAAUCAUGUGGCCUCACUCCAGCAAACUUGAAUGUUACUCAUGCAUUUCAUAAAAUUAAGCUGCUCUGCUCUUAAUAAACAUUCCGCUUUGACUGAUUUCAUCGACUCUUUCUGUAUGGUUCAGGGAUAUCAGAGCCUUCUUGAUUUCAUCAUGAUUUCAAAGAUGGUAAGUAGUAACUUGGAUUCAGAGGAAGGACCAAACCAGCUGCUGCUAUCUAACCAUGCAUGCCAUUGCAGGCAAGAGCUUGAAUCUUCUUUAAGCUUUCCUUUUCCUUUUUCUGUUUUGGCUAGAAUGUAUGCUUACCCCGUAACUAUAUAGAUGACUACUGUUUGAUUUAGGCAGAUUCUGUUUUAUUUAAAUUUUCAGUCAACUAAGUACUCUCCCAUCCCAAAGAAUUGGUACGGAGUCAGUUAUAUUCAAAUGGACUCAGACUAAAGUCUACUACUACUAUAGUCGUGGGGUUCAAUCCAAAAGAUAUAGAACUAGACCCAGGACCUUUUCCAAAUCACUCUCUUUUCCUUUUUUUCUUUUUUUUCUCUCAUUUUUGAAGCUUCAAGGGCCUUGUAUUUUUUUUUUUUUUUAAUGUUUUAUUCUUCUCUCAGUAUCAGCAGGACUAGCCCAAUUUGGUGGCUAAUGGAUGGACCUCGAACAAUUUAUCAUGAAUUUUCAAGUUCUUUUUGCGAGAUUGAUCUGCAGUUGACGAUCCACAACUGUUCUAAUAGUCUCGUCUCUAUCCGAGUUGCAACAUUUGACAGCAUGCUAGAGACGACCCAAUCCAGUGAUGCAGUUCAUCUCUCUGAUAAUUCUAACGAUCAGGGAGGAUGGUAUGAUGUUUCUUUAACAAAUGACAUUAAGCUUAUUUCUAAUGUCCAAGGGAGCCGUUCUCAAAAGCGAUUAAGUGAAAGCACUCCCCCUUUUGUUUGGAGCGCAUUAAGUUCCACUCAACUUGCUAUGGAGCCAGCAUCUACAGCCAAACUACCUCUCAAAAUCUUUGUAUUCUCACCUGGAACAUAUAAUUUAUCAAAUUAUGAAUUGCAUUGGAAAAUACAACCACAGGGGGAAGGAAUAACUGAUGAAGUGAAAAAUAAGUCGUCUUCAGGCUUGGGACAAGGGCACCCAUUUUAUCUUACUGUUCUGCAGGCUCCUUAAUGAGACCCUAAAGCUGCUUCAGAUCUUACUUCAAAAUUUUUUCAUAUGGGAGGUUUUGUCUUAUGUGAUUGUUGUAUAUUAUGGGCAAAUAUGACAGGAAAGAGAAAUAUAUCUUCAGCUAUUGGCGAAAUUUUGCUCCCAGGUACAGGUACCAUUAGCUCAGCUUCUUGUGUUAUUUUCAAAGUUAACACCUUGUUUAAUCAGGCAUUAGCUAUUGGUUCAACUAUACUUUAGGUCCCUUUUUUUUUUUUGGUCCGGGGCUCAAUGGGACAGGACUUUUAUUCCGUGUUUGUGCUGAAAAAUAGCCAUAUAACAAUCCACUGUUUAUGUUCUGUAUCUAGCGAUCAUUCCAUCUAAAUUUUUUUUCACAGAAAUCGUGAUAUGUUACCUUCAUUGAAUCAUUGAUCAACUGUGUAGUGCUCACAAAACUGCUAAUGUAAGCGUUAUUGGUGAAGGAUUAAAUUUAUUUGGCCAUUUUUUCUACUUGUGCUGUUGUCUUAUUGACUCAGACGCCGUUGAUGUCGAUUUCAACUGAAUUGUGCAGAUUUGAUCCAGGUAAAGCCUGAAAUGUCAACUGCUUGAUCGAUUAUAUAAUAGUGCAUUCAUUCUAGUUAUAUAUUUUCCUGCUCCAUGCCAAAUGCCUCUAUUGUCAUCCCAUAGUAAGGACAUCAAUUCUGUGGGUUGGGUUCGCAAUCUUACUUGUUGCAAAGGUUGUAGAUUUCCUUUCUCUCAUUGAACGGAUUGAGGGUUUGCCAGUCGCAAAUCCUUGCUGGGGUGAAGAAAUUAAGCAUGUAAGAUCUAUAGCUUGCUUCACUGGGAUGACACUAUUUGCUUGGAUCGUCACCACUCUGGCGAAGCGGAAUUUCUUCAGCACUUCUUGCAUUCUCUGACAGUGCUAAUGACACACUAGAAAAGGCCUCAACUAUAACCAAGAUGCUCUUCAUCAAUCCUCGUACAUCAACUCAAAACUCACAUUGUACAUAAACAGCACCACAGAAAUUAAGAGUUGAUAUAUGCGCUACAACAACAAGACAUUUCUAUUAUACAGAGACUUGCACCCCAGGACCGUUGUGGGAACUCGUAAUAUUUCACCAACACUAGUUACGUCCCCUCGACAGAAAAAUCUAGAUGGCACGAAAGAAUACCCGACUAGCAAUAGAAAAGGCCCUAUCCGCACAAUAUCCAAUUGGGUAAACACAGAAAGACAACAAGCAUAUGCUCAACCUAUCUAACCCAGCAGCUGAAUAUACAAAGAGGCGAAGACUCAGCAGGAACUGAGGCAAACUCCUGAUCAAUGUUUCAGAGGAUUUCUCAAUGCAUUGAAGCAAUUAUAGAUAACGCGAGAGAUUGGUAAGUCGUGUGUUGAUCAGAGUUUUUUCUGCUUCGAAUUUCAUCCUUUCCUGUGAAAAGCUGCUUGUCCUCGCCGAACCCCAUCAGGCACUCGAAUUCUUCAGCUCAUUGAUCUCGCCACGAUCCGUCGUAUAUUAGAGGAUUAAAUUUAAUGCCAUAUAUUCCAACCAGGAGCCUUGAAAAUAACGGAAUAUAUAAACAUAUGAGAAAAACUAUUAUAUCCAGGCAAGAGAACCUCGAUCAUUAGCUACUUGUGGGCGGCCCCUCGUGGGGGUUGGCGGUCUGUUGGCAUUAAGCUCCUGAGAUCACAAAUAAAGAUUGAAUAGAAGAAAAUCAUAUUGAGAAUCCAAAAUGCAAUGCUAAUAGAAAAAAAUUGGUUUUCUUCCACUUGAAUAUAAGAUACUACUAACCUAAAUUCAAUAUAGACAUAAUACUUAAACCUUACUAUAUGUAACUAUUUAAUUUAUACGGGCACUAUAUGUAUGUUCUCAUAAACGAUUGAAGAAUAGCAUCUGCAUUUUAUUUUAGUAAACAUCCGUGUUUAGUUAAGAAGCUAUUGCACCUGCAUCCAUGUAUCCUCAAUUUGACGCUCUGGAGAGGUUUCGGGUGAAGUAAUUGCAGGGGGUAAAGGAUGGAUAAGUUUGGGAACAACCACAAGGUCUCUCCCCAAAACUAGAAUAGCUCCUGCAUUGUUUGCAGUACCUACACACAUUAAAUUAAAUAUACAAAAGAUUGGUGAACAAAAAAGUCAACCAAAAAACAGAAAGAUAAUUUGCUAAGCACUUUGAACAAAAAAAAAAACCUACCACAAUAAUUAGUAGCAGAGAAGAGAGUGAUCAGAUGACCUUGAGCGAAUCGCUCAAAGCCAUCCAUCACACAUUCAUGGGCUCGUACUAUUAGCUGUAGGUCAUUAUUAUUACAAAAUUCCAUAACACGAUCGGGCUGUAGAAAAGUAAAGAGUUUUUAGAAAACAGGUAAGUUGUAUCAUAGAAGUACAACCUGCAAACCAAAUCAAGAAAGAAGACUGACCCCAAAUGUUACCAAGCCCGGACCCCUAGCAUUUGGUCUUAACCCUUCAACACUGUCAUUUUCUGUUGGAUCAGACCUGUGAAGAACGCCAAAAAAAAAAAAAAAGAACAUUGUGCUCCUGAAUUGAAAAGCAAAAGACUAAUGAUGGAAGUGGUAAGAUCGUUUUAAGUAGGGUCUAUGGUUUGAAUUCCUGACCAUAAAAGGUCCAUCAGAACAAUGGAUCCUGCUUCCAUUGUAAUUGGUCUUUGAAGGUUUUCGAUCUGCUCAAUAUGAUUGAUAGAUCGACCGAUGCCACCAUGCAUGCAGAUUAUUUUCUUUUCUAUUAAUGCAGCCAAAGGAAGCCAAUUGAAGAGUCGAUUUAUGCGGUGCCAAGUCCAGAUACCAUCUCGCUCUCCCUGUUCAAACACAGAAUGUAAAAUAUGCGACUUGUUUACACACAAAAACAACAAAAAAGAUAAGAGACUAUAUGAUCACCAUCCGCUCAAUGCACUCAAUCCGGAAGCCAAACAAAGCAUUGAUAUCUGCAGCUUCAUGGUUUCCACGUAUUAAAUGUACAUUAUUAGGAUAUUCAACCUGCAAUAUAACCCCGAUUAUAUGGCUUGGUAAAUUAGAGAUCUAAUUUUCUGUCUAUCAACUUAGAAAUCCCUGCAAGAGUACCUUCAGUGCAAGAAGAAGAGUAAUUGUUUCCAAACUGUGUUGGCCACGAUCAACAUAAUCUCCCAAGAAUAGAUAAUCGAUAUAACUGAAAACAUUAGAGCAAAAUUACUAAACUAGCAAUAAAACUCGGUGAUUAGGAAGUAAUUUAAAAAAAGAGAGCUAUCAUGUAAACUAAUUCCAUUUUCUAGGUAUGAAACUACUAGCCUCACAUUUGAUUUCUUAUUCAAGCAUUUAAAAUUCUUUGGUUCAUGUCAGAAAGCAUGCAUUAGAACUUAAAGACGAGAAGACAGUAUUGUUUCAAAAUUCAACAGGUGAUUUCCAGUUCAACUAAAAUAUACAUGAAUACUUGAAGCUAAUAAAAUCUUUCAAAUAGUUCUUCCGACAUACAAAAUAAACCAAGUGCAUUACUUCCACAAAUAGUAAGAGCAGACUUACGCAAUGUCCCCAGCUGUUGAAGGAGCACCAUACUCAUCAAACAAGCGCAUGAGAUCGCCAAACUGACCAUGGAGAUCACCGAAGAUCUUAAUGGGGGCUUUGAGUUGAAGAACACUUGGCUCGCUUGAAAAUAUUCUUUCAGCACUGUCGCAGAGAUCCGCAAUCUCAUUGCAAUCCAGGAAGAACUGCCUGCGCACGGGGGGCUUCCAUCCACGGGGUUUUAAAAGAUGUGCAAUUACCUGGACUUAGCAUCACAUAUAUCAGAAGUAUGCAAAACAAAUACUUAGUAGUAAAAACUUCAGGUGCUUGUACUUCAUAAUGGCAAUCUUAAACUUUCUAUGUUUCUAAAUAUAAAUUUGUUUCUCUAAAACUGAACUAAAAAUAGAACUAGCAUUAAUUUUUCGAAUCUUUCAAUCUUCCCUGGAAAAGCCAAGACAUGCAAGCUUUGUCAAAUGCAAAAUGAAUGCUUUUUUUACUAUAGCAAUUAAUUCUACCUUUUUAGGCACGGUAUUCAUAGACAUUUGCCUGUCUAGUAACUUUCUGGCUGCUGAUGCACUCUCAGGAGUGCCAUAACUGACCCUUCUUCCUUCAUUUUCAAACUGAUCGAUCGAGAGCUGCCGAACCAUACCACCCAAAGCACCCCCAGUCUCUGCAGCUACAACUACCUGCAUAGUAAAAGUUGUGUUAUUCAAGGUCAAUGGGCUUAGACCACAAAUUUUUCUCGAGGUUUAAGCAGUGGGAUUAAACAAGGUUUGAAGUACCGCUGCCUGGGAAUGUCAUGUUGAACGGUGGCAAUAUGUGGUAUGGCACACGCAAUGUGCCACAGGAAGAACUUUUGAGUGUUUUUAUUUUUUCCUUUAAUCUUGAAAGUCUUUCUUACCAACUUGUAAACAUAAAAUUACAAUUUGGGAGCAUCCCAAUCUCAUUAAAUAGAAGAAAAUAGGGAAAACAGAAAUGACAUUUCAACUUGUGCUAAGGGAAUCAGGGUACUCCUUUGUACAUGCUGAUCAGUGCAUAACAAUCGUGCACAGUUGGCACAUGAAUCCUUGGGAUUAAGCAUAUGAUAGUAUCAACAGAACAAUAUUGACCAAUAAAUAGGUUUUUCAUCAUCUCAUAAGAGACAAUCCCAACAACAGCAGAACAUAAAUUGACAAGGUUCUACUGACCGCUCUGUGGUGAAGCCGAACGCCAGGUGGUGUGGCACUAUUUGAAAGUGUAUUUGAAAGUGAAGGGUCUGGCACUUUAAUCAGGCUUGAGAUUUGUUUUCCACUCGGUGUGGCAUCAGAACUAUGAUCUCUCUCGGGUGUUUGUUCCACUUCACCGUUGAUUUGCCGAGCCUUUGCAGCAGCUAAAGUAGCACUAAUUGCCUCAGCUUCUGCAGCUGAGGCUUCAACAAGAUAUUCCACGCCUUUGCUCACUCUCCUGUACAAAGAUAACACCUAAGUAACAUAGUCAACAAUUCACAUGAUAGCUUACAUUAGAGAAGAAGACCUAUUCAUCUGUUAGUUACAGACAUCCUCCGCGUGAGUUCUGAAUUGAGGAUAUAAUAUAUACAGCAGAAAAGAGUAGUUCCUUGCAAAAGAUACCAUCAAGUUGGGAGUCACCCAAUACAUGAAGUUGGUUUCCUAUUAGAAAAUAUAUUUUUUUUAAUCUGAAGAGGGGCAUUUCUAUCAGUACAAGCAUAUAGAUGAAAGAAAUCAACUUUCCAAAGGAAUAUAUGGAUACUCAGAUUUUGCAGGAAUAUAAUUCAAAAUAAUAGUUUUUCAUAUCAUCUACGUUGGGUUACCUUUGUCCUUGGAGCAUGGCAUUUUCAGUGCUUAUAUCAGCAUACAUAUCUCCAUUAACAGGAGGAGCAACUGGAGUUCCAAGCACAACAGCACUGCCGGGAACGGCUUCAGGACCGGUUUGUCCUUGUCUUUCAUCAGCAUAAGUACUUCUUGCUGGUGAUCUUCCUACCUGUACAUUGGCGGCUGCAGCAGCUGCAGCAGCAUGGGACGCUGCACUUGUGGUUUCAGCAGCAGCCAGAUCCUCAGCAACAAGAAGAUCAUCAAGAAGCACACCUGGUACAGUAUGAUAAACAAACACAGUAUUAGUGUGUAAUAUAGAUAUCACUGAAGCCGAAGCAGCGAGAUAUGGAAAACAUCUGCAGCCCAGAUAUUAAAUCUGCAGCUGUACAAUAGUAGCAGAAAACAGUAUAUGGACAUGAAAUUCCAAGGAUCAAAGAGGAUAUAUGUAAACCCAUUCAUUGUUAAUAUAUGGGUAAAAUUGUAGUCCAAAAAAGAUAGAACACAAAGUCAGAAUCUAGAAAUGAUCACCUUAGAAAAAAAGAUAUGGACACGGGCCAUUUACAGACAAGUCUAUAUAGAAAAAAUCAAUUAAAAUCCUUACCACCACGUAAGCCUCCAUAAAUGUAAAUCUGAUCACCAACUGCAGCAGCUGCAUGUCUACAGCGUCGCGUUAGCUCAACUGAAGCAUCUCCACCAGCUGCAUCAGCACUAUACCGGCCUGUUCUGGGACUCGUAACAACUGAUUUUGUAUCACACCAUACCCCCGCAGCAGUAUCCAGAACUACGAAGAAAGGAGAAAUAAACACAUAAAUCUUUGCAAAGAAAAGAGAGGAUUAAACGACUCAUAACUAAAAAUUCAUGUUCUUCAAUUUUGAUUUGCAGGUGCUAAGUCGAUUAGCUACUGUAAUGAUGGAUAGCUUAGGACAUAUGACAACAUGUUAACUAAAGCAAUAAGAACUAUCUUUAACUAUAUACUGUGUAAGGCAUCACGUGGAAGGGCGACAUGACAGCUCACACCACCCACUUUGGCAGAUUAACAAACUUUUAUAUAUUAACUAAAAAAUUAUUCAAUAGAAUGCAUGGAUGCUUACAAAAACUAUGUGUCGAUGAUGACAAAACUGACUGGUACCAACACCAUAGCGACAUCUUUGAAAACAACUGGCAUAUUAAAAGCAAGGUUUUAAGUGCCCGUCGGCACGAGCCAUAUCCACCAUGCCGUAUCGUGCCAACAAGAUACCGACACGAUACAGACCCCGUGCUGAUGGCACAACUCAAAACCGUCUAUUCUUUAAAUUAGUAAAUAAUUUCCUCAAUAAAGUUCAAAAGAUGUAAUAAAAAGACAUAAUAAAUAGUUAGAAUAUUUUAUUGCUAAAGAAAAUAAAUAUUUCAUGCUAUUAUGUGUCAGCACACAAGAAUUUUUUUGACCGGCACGUAUUGGCACCGUUCGGCACGCACCGUGCUGUACCAUGCCGGCAAGUUUCCGGCAUGAUCCUGUGCCACGGCACUUAAAUCCUUGAUUUAAAGUAAAAGGAAUCUAGUAGACUGUUGCUGUAUAAACAAUAUUUGUACUGUGAUUGGGCCAUUGAAAAGGGAAGCAUUAUUAUCGUACCUGCACAAAAUGUAUUUAUCUUUUAUAUCUUUUUCUGCACUGCAAUCACUUUUGUACUAUAUUGAAGAGAAAAUUUAUAGCAUUCUCUCUUGACAGAUCUAAAAUCCAUUUAGGUCAAAAUGAUAAUAGAAGCUGAUGAGCAUCAGAAAUAGCAUACUGCAUGAAUUCACUUUGCUGAUUGCCUUAACACAGGGAUCUUCGGCUCUAACAGGCCUUCUAAUCAUUUGAAAAGAUUUAACAAAAUUUACCGCUGCAAUAUCGUGUCCUCUAUUGAAAUGUAUCUUUUUGAUAUUAAAAAUUCAAUCUUAAGGGUCUAAAAUAGUCAAUAGCUAUGCCAAAUGACUGAAAUUAGUUAAUACAUGCUAUACUAUGUAACGGCUUAUAAGUACUUUCUACAGCAAAAAUUAAAGAAAUAACUACCUGCAACGCUAGAAGAAUCUUCUACCAUGCGGCCCCCUCCAAGAGCCCCUCCAGAUACAUGAAGUCGUGCAUUGACAAAAACCUGAAAGAAUAAUAUAAGAAAAUCAGUGAUAUUUAUACGACAGAAGUAACAACACUAAGAAGUUAAAUUAGCUCACCGCUGCAUGUUGGUAUCUUGGAGAUGGAGAGACACCAGGAGCAAUAGCCCACUCCCAACGCCCAUCCCUAUGUUUUGCAAGACCAUAUGCACUUGACAGGGGCUACAAGUAUAAAAGAUAACAAAUAAUAGCAAAUCAUUCAUUAAUAUUGAUUUAAACGACAUUACCUGCCAAAGUUAUAUAUGCGCCUAAUUACAUUCUAAUGCGGACAAAGAAUACUAUGCCUACUACAGCAAGUAAUAAACAUAGUUCCUAAUAAUGUGGCAAGAAGCAAAGCAUCUUCAGAUAUAACAUGAAUCGCCUAAUAAUAUGAUGAGAAAAGGAACAUGUCCAACUGCAACAUAAAUGAUUGAUUUUAGAAAUAUUGUAAAAGCACAGCAUUAUUGCAUUUGCUUUUAGCCAACAAAUAUAAUAUAGUAAAAUUAGUUAUUGUCAUGAGGCUUAAGAAAGCUAACAUUCAAAAAAGGUGAAAAGGCAUUAUCCAAGAAACUUGUUAGAUAAAAUAACACGAAGGUAAAGCUCCAAACAUAUUAUUCAAAUUUCAUGUAUGCAAUUAACACUUACAGCAAACAAUAAACCUAUUAUCUGGAGAGAGUCGACAACAUAUUUGGAAGAAAAUCAUGCUUUAUACAAAAUCUUUUGACUCACCACACUGUUUGCAUCCCUCCCGCCACAAAGCAAAAGAAGACCAUCAGAACGUGCACUUGCAGUUGCAUACCUAAACAAACAUAAAUAGAUGUAAGAGUCAAGAAUGGACAAUUUGACAAUUAAAAGAACAACAAUGGCAAAAUUAAAUAACAAAGAUAACGAAAAUCUUGAGGGAUAAAGAAUAUUUUCGUCAUUUUCUUUAUCAAGAAGCUUACAUAAAACACAACAUUCAACUCAGUGCUCAUGCAAAUUAUGGGCAAUGUCAUAAAUGACAUGCACAUGGUAGUGCGCAUGCAAACACAUAUAAAACAACCACGAUAGUUUGUCAGCUUAUCUCACAAAAUCAUAUCAGAUGGCGAACUGGUACAAGGUGCAAAAUCAAUGUUGUAUCCAGGCCAGGUUGAGAUCAAAUUUCUUUCAGUACAAACUAGGUAGCUACACUAAGGAGAAUGUUGAUAGAACUUCAUAUAUUUUAACUUAUCAAGGCAGAACAAAGCUAAAAUUGAUCAUAACUAUUUCACAGAUGAUAUAACUAUGAAGCGCUAGUCAUACCUCACAUAGAGGCAAAGUUGCCCACAGGCAUGUAAAAGGCGACCUUCUGUACAAUUUGGCAUGCUCAAGCAUGAGCAAUAACACAUAUGCUAAGAAAGUUAACUUGUGCAGUACCAUAUAUGCAAAGAAGGUUCAAGCACUCAGAAAAAGAACAGUGGACAAGAGGGUUGAGCAAACUGUCAGACUAUAGGGAAAUCAAGAAUGCUUCUACAAGGAAGCACUAAGAAUGCUUACAGCGAAAAAGAGGGUCAAGCAAUAACACAUAUGCUACACUAAGAAUGCUUUAGGCCCUAGCAUAUGACUUAAGCCUACAACUAUAUAAUAAAGACUCUUGAACCUUCACCAAUAAUUUAAAUAUGAACUUCAGAGUUGUUUAGAAUAACGACCACAGGAAACUGAAACAGAACUAAAAGUUUGGCAUAAAAACUCUACAACGGAAUAAGAAAGAGUUAAUUGCUUUCUACUGCAGAAUUCUGCAGGAUUACAAGAAAUAUAUCAGAAAAGAAGAUACAAAAAGAAAUAGAAAGGAAAGGAAAGGAAAGGAAAGAUAUUUGAAACAUGCAGUGUUGUACGAUAAAGGCACAACAUUCAGUUUUACUCCAGUUUCAAAACUCAAGUCUCCAGAAAUGGAAUCCCCAAAAUUCUUUUCUAAAUAGUUACGUAAGAUACAAACACAAAUUUAUACUCAUUAUAUCAGAUUUUUUUAGCUUUUGAAUCAGGCAUCUAAACUACCAAAAUUAACUCCCAGUCUCAUCAAAUUUCAUCAUUCAACUGCAUAAAAAGUAGAAAGAAACAACUGAGGAGGAAAAAAAAAAUAAAGACUCAUUCACUUGAAAAAUAUUAAAAAGAAAAACAGAAGUUUUGAACACGUACAAUCAGCAUCCCCCCUAUUAUUGGUGCUGAAAAAGACAUCGACAACUCAGCUAUUGCAGCAUGAUCAGCAUGGUGAUCCUAGAGAUCAUGAUCGUUAAAACCCAUUUUUUUCCUUGGAUGUAAGCAUCAAGAUAUUGAAGACUAGUCACUAAGAGGAAUGAACAGACAAAAACAAGUUUUCCCACUAUAACUAUUAAUAGGCUACAAUAAAUAUGGAUUACAACUUACAAGAAGGCAUUGUUGUAAACAAGGCCCCCUGCUACUGUAGGGUCUAGGAGUACAAAAUCUGCCAGCUUAUCCUACUUACAAGGAAGAUUGCUUUCAUGGUUAAUCUGCAAGACCAUAGAGCAUCAAGACAACCUUAACCUCACACCAAAAGGAACACUCGCUAAAUAUGGCUCAAGUUGUAAAACAUAAUAUAAAGCUUCACAUAUGAGUGUAUUGAGUGAACAGGUGAAAUUUGAGUUUCAUUAUGUCAAUAUCUAAUAAGUUCUACACAGUCACGAAGAGAGAUGGCACAUGAUUUGUCUAAAGCGAAAUGCACUCCUUUAAGUAACGAGGAGCAAUAUGUACAGAAAGAAAACUAAUGUCGUCAGACAAAUUCUACAUUCCAACUAAUGUACUCACAUGCAUGGAGGUGGGCCUUCGCCUUCCGGUUCUAGCUUCCGCCACUCGUAAGGUUUAGCAGCAGUGUCAAGUGCCCAAACAUCAGCUAAAGGACGCUUACCUAAGAACAUAGUAAAGAACAAUAAACUAACUAACAUUAAGAGGAAAUACGGGAAACACAAGAAAAAAAAAAAGUUUGUAUGGCACAUUGGAGAACGCUCUGAUAUCUACAGCGUACAAUUGCCUACCAUCAUUCCCACCAAUAGCCAAUAGAAACCUUUGCCCAACUAAAGCCAUCACAUGCCCGUAUCGCGGACCAGGACCUGGUCCUUGUACAACAACCCUGCAUCCGCUCGUAUCAAGUAUCAGCAAAGACACAUUAAAUCAGCAUGUUUCCAAAACAUUAACAUCAAUAAUCACCUAUGCCACCGUGGCCGUUGUUGCGUUAGAUCCAGAACAUGAAGAUCCUCCGCAGAUAAACCAGCAGGGCCAAUACCACCCUGGAUAACAAAUUAACAACAGGAAAACAGGAUAAACUUCAGAUGGAAGACCAUCUUCGAAUUCUUUUCAAUCAAGAAGAUUUACUAAUGAAUCAAAUAUAUUAUUAAAAUCUAACUGAAAAGGUGGAUUCAAAGUACCUGAAUGACUACCAUAGUACCAACAGCAGUUGCAACAUGUGCGGCUCUUGGUGACGGUGGCUCUCCAAGUGGAGUGAGCCUGAAAAGAAGCAUAUUUCCCACAUAAGUUCGGCGCCAUUCGUCAUAAACCGACAUAUACCAACUUCAAUUGCUUAAUGAGAUGAGAGUUACAAACUUUCAAAUAAUCUUACCUCGUCCAUUUACCAGCCAACACAUCAUAACAGUGGACAUCAUUAGUUGCACCCGCUAAACCUACAACCCAAGGAGAAAAUAAUAGUUGAAAGCAAUAACAAUCCCAAAUUCAGAGGUCCAGAACACAACAAGAACAAAAAUCUAAAUUACAUUAACGAGACCACAUAUAAGCUCACAUUUCCAGAUUGCAAAUUCGAGAUAACUACAUAGAGAAUGUUACCAAGGUUUCAACUUGAAAACAAGUCAGAGCUACUACAACCUUCUCCUCGCAAAAUUUAGGGUCUCAGGGAAGAGAUAACAACUGGGAUCAAGAAAAAGAGGUUUUGAUAAAUAGAAAGAACGGGAGAGAAGAAGAGAAGCAUACGGAUGCCCGCGCUACCGGCGGAGGAUGGCGGGGCAGCGGAAUUGCCCUCGAGGGCGGUGGCGCCACCGAAGAGGAUGAGGCGCGGCCCGACGUAGCCCGGCGUGCCCUCCUCCCCCACGGGCGGCACCGCCGUGAGCGUGUGCCCGCACCGGCACCCGGGCCCGUCCUCCUUCUUCUCUAUGAACGCGUUCACCACCUUGUAGGUCGGGGCCGGCCUCGGCCCGGCCACGACCGGCUGCUGCUGCUGCUGCUGCGGCGGCUGCGGCGGCGGCGCCCCGGACGGCGCCGCCGCGGGCGACGUCGACGGGUCCUCGUGGUGGUGGUUCGCGGCUGCGGCGGCGGAGGCCGGAUCGUGGUCGGACUCGGUCGUCAUCGCCGCGUCCACGUCCAUCCUAAGCUGCGGCGGCGGAGAUCGGGGGCGGGGGAUGCCCUAGGAAGCAGCGGAAGCAGGGGGAGCAUUCCUCGGGGGCGGCGACGAGGGCCUCAUCAAACGGAACCCUAACCGCGCGAUUCGCGACGCAAUUCACCUCCUCCGCCACCGAAAUCGACCGAAACCCCAACCCCCGCCCCGCCCCGCACCACGACGGAUCGUCGGAGGAGGAGGAAGACGAAGUGACGAUGAGAGCGAACGCUCCAAGGGGGAUCGCGCAAUCACCUUCGAUCUCUCCUCGAUUUCUCUCUCCCCCCGCAGCUCCGUGAACGAAAUGGGAGAGAAAAAAGAAUAUCGAACGGGAGGAAGAUAUAUAAAUUAAUUAAUUAAUUAAAGAAAUUAAAAAGAGUAGAGAGAGAGAGAGAGAGAGAGAGAGAGAGAUUUUUUUUUUUUUUGGGUGGGUUCGCAAUAUCUAUCUUGUGUUAUGUUAUGAGGCUUUCAACGCGCUUCGCUUCCUCGAAGAAGCGGCCGAGGAAUAAUCCCUAAAAUUUACAAAGAAACCCCCCACAACUUUGAAAUAAAUAAAUUUAGUUAAAAAAUUUAAAAAUUAUAGAGAAUUCAUUGAUAUUUUUCAUCGAAUUUAACGAUUUUAAUUUAAUAAUAAUUAAUAGCUCGAUACCAAAUUUACCAGAAUUUUCGAACUCGACAAGCAAAGGUAAUUUUUGAAGUAUUAAUUAAGAAAAGUAAAAUUAAGGGGCCAAUUUCUAAAUAUCAUAUAGUUGGGGCGGUGUCGGUAAAUUUUGGCCAAAAUCGACAAUCUGAUAGGGAGAGAGCAUGUUUGGUGGUGGGGAGGCGCCGUAUCCGUCCGUUGACAAGAACGGACGGUCGUGAUUGUAUGUGAUUUUGGAAAGUGGGGGAUUUUUUUUGGGGAUUCGUGUCACCGGGGAAGGGGAGUCUAGCUGGCACUGGCGUAACGGGGCGUGGGCCCCACCCGUGGGAGGCAACCGGGUUACCGCCUACAGCCGGUCACCCCCUCAAGUAUUUUUUUUUAUUAUUUAAGAUCUUCCUUAGCUUUCAAGUUUUUGAAAUUAAGCUAUUUUAGUUAAAAAAGAAUUUAAUAAUUAUUAAUAAAUAAAAUUAGAUCAAAUAGCAGUUCCUAAUUAAGAAAGCUAUUAAAAUUGAUCAAAUUUUUUAUUUCGCUAUUGAGGAGUUCAUUAAAAAAAGGGCAAAUUUCAAAUAUCAUUCCUGUAGUUUUGCAUUUUUUUUAUUUUAGUACCCUAUGGUUUAAAGUAUAUCAAUUUUGUACUCUAUGAUUUUAUUUUUCUCUUUUCGUGAGCUCCUCUAUUAAUAUUUUAUUAAAUUAUAUACAAAAAACUUCGGAUACCCCACCUAGGUUUAUCGAAUAUCCACUUUAAUAUCUUUUAAUUUUAACUUGUCACUGAUUUAACAAAAGAAAAAAUUAGUGGAAGGGAUAAUAAAAAAAAGAUGAAAUUACGGAAUACUAAAUCGAUACACUUUGAACCAUAGGAUACCAAGUGACAAAGUGCGAAAUCAUAUGGGUGGUAUUUGAAAUUUUUCCUUAAAAAAUUGUUGAGGGGACUAGUUUAGAAUAACUAUAGUUGAGGGGACCUAUACACAUCUUUACCUUAAUAAUAAUAAUAUAUAUAUAUAUAUAUAUAUAUAUAUAUAGAGAGAGAGAGAGAGAGAGAGAGAGAGAGAGAGAGAGAGAGAGUACGACUCCCCGUGGCUUUGAAAGUACGGAGCCUCCGUAAUUGUAAGUUUGAUUUUUGAUGAUGGAACAUCCAAUUUGACGAUCGGCUCCCGUUAGGCAUAAAUCUAUCAUUGCGGAACUAUUAGAACCAAAUUAUUAUACAUUUUUCGACAUCAAUUUAUACGCGAGGCGAUCACAAGGUAAAAAAUGACUAUUUAAUGGCCGAAUGUGCAAUGUCGUUUAAUUCAACGGUGUAAAAGUACCAAAUUAUAAGUGAACUUAAUAGUAAAAUUCUAUUCUUAACAUCAAGGCGCGUUUGUUCGCAUUAUAAAGAUUACUAAGAAUAAAAGAUAUCCGAGAAAAUCUUAUUACUAUCAUCUAUUACUAAGAAAGUGAAAUUCCUGUGUUUGGUUCACACAGUAAUAUUAAUGUAGGGCACAUUGUUAUUUAAUAUUACAAAAAAUAUACAAAUUAAUAAUUUAUUUAUUAUUUAAUUUAUAAUUUACGCAAAGUUCAACAUCUUUUAGAAAACAAGGGACGAGCGGAGUAAUAAGUUAGAGAAGAGAGGUCCAUAAUUAAAAAAUAGAAAGAAAAAUAUUAGUGUCGACCAAAUUUAGAGGGAAUGGAGAGUUGAAAUUUUAGAAAGAGAGAGAGAGAGUGAAAGGCUUAGUUUAGAGAGAGACAAAAAAAGUUGAAUUUUAGAGAAAAAAUAAGUUAGAGAAGAAUAAAAGUUAGACGUGAAAGAAAAAUAAUAUCAAUAGAUUUACCGACGGUGUAAGAAAAGAAAGAGAUAGACAUAUUUAUAUAUCCCAAUACCUUAAAUAAUGAGAUACCCCCCCCUCAAAGGAAUGAGAUAUUAGUACUUUUGGCAUAAAUCUUAUUCGCCAGUGAACUACAAUAUUACCAACUAAAGAUUAUCUUAGUGCGUUAGCCAAACCCCGUCUAUUUUUUUAUCCCAAUUGGAUUACUAGGAACUUUAAAAGAUAUGUGCGAACGCAAAAGCACCCAAGAGUAAGAACAAUAUUCGAUUUGAAAUUGAGUCAUUAUCAUUAUUUUUAUGAUAUUUUUAUUUUCGCGCCGUUCAUUGUUGAGCUACUCGUUUACUAGGCAAACGAAGUUCAAAAAAUUAUGAAAAUUUGGUUUCUACGAUAGUUUCCAAUAGCGUAGAUCAUGUCUAACGGCAAACCGAUCGCCGAACUCGGACGCUCCCACUCGAUCGAAAACAACUUACAAAGUACGGAGGCUCCCGUACUUCGAAAUGCAUUAGGACCUUAUGCUCUAUAUAUAUAUAGUAUAUAUUACAUAAUAUAUAUAUAUAUAUAUAUAGACUAGUAAGACUAGAAAACUCUGCUAAUAAAUAUCACCCAAAGUGAUACUUGUUUUUUUUAGCCCUUGGAUGGCAGAGAAUGGUUGAGAUGAUGUGGUUAGGUGUGGUGGUGGAAGUAGUUUAAUCCAAGCGACUAUUAUAAAUCAAAAGUAGAUCCAAUGGCUAAAACACACAAGUAUCACUUUGGGUGAUACUUGUAAAAGUUAUUCUAGCCCUACUCUAUAUAUAUAUAUAAUAUAUUAUAUAUAAUAUAUAUAUAUAAUAUAUAUAUAUCUGACUAGGCUGGUAUACUAUCGGUUGUACGGAGGCCUCCGUGCUACCGAGUUGUUUUCAAAGAUGCGGCUUCCAAAUCCACGAUCGGCUCCAUUAGACUUGAUCUACACUAUUAAAAAUAUUUGGAAACUAAAUUUUAUAAUUUUUCGACAUCAUUUGGUUAGUGAUCAAAAUGUCUGAAAAUUGAUAAUUUUAAUGAUAGAUGUGAUGCAUUUGUAAAUCUAAAGAUAUAAAAUAAUCCAAUCAAAUGAAAUUUUUAUAGAAAAUUCUUUUUUACUAUUUAGAGUAAGAUCAGUAUCUCCAAUCUUAAAUUCAAGUCUUCUGUCAUCAUUUUUUAUGAGAUUUUUAUUUUCAACCGUUUAUUUUUAGACUACUUGUCUGAUAGGUAAAUGAUACCGAAAAAUUAUAAAAUUUAGUUUUCAAAUAUUUUUAAUAGUGUAGAUCAAGUCUAACAGAAACGAUCGUCGAUUUGAAAGCGGCAUUAUUGAAAACAACUUGGUAGCCGAUAGUAUACCAGCCUAGCUCUAUAUAUAUCUUUUUUAUUGCAAAUAAAGGAGACUUUGCCUUGAGGUGGACCUUAGAGACUGUUUGAGUGGGGUUGAGUGACAAAGUAUUGUUUAGACCCGGUCCACCAUAUCAGUGGUGGACCCAUUUAGUUGCUUAUCAUAAAACCCAUCUUAGUUUUACUUUUAAUUCAUAAAUAUAAAUUUAAGACAAAAAAAAUGAACAUAUUUGAAAUAUGAGAAAAGAAAUGGUAAAAACAAACUGAAUCAAUCUGAGCUAAAAAAUAUUUUGAUUUUUCACAUAAGUAAUGCCAUCUUGUUGUAUCUGCUAAAGUUUUGAUCUGAAGCAUCAUGAGAACUAAUGCAUAUUAUUAAUUAAUACAUAUUAAGUUGUUACAAUAGAACAAACCAAAUUGAAUUGGAUCAAGUACACUUGGUUUAAUUCGAUUAGUGUUCCAGGUGGUUAUUUCUUGGGAAUGAGGAAACAAAUGAUGGUGAAAGAAUAGAGGGGGUGAGUCAUAGGGUGGACCAGGUCUACCAUGUCACUUAAUAAAGAGCUAUGUAGAUUAUAGGGGCAAUUUCACCACUACCCCUCUUAAAUAUCUAAAUAUCGUAAAUACCCCUAUAAAAUUGAAAAUAUCAUAUAUACCCCUUCAAAUGUAAAAAAUUAUCACAAAUAUCCUUUUUUCUAACGGACGUUAUGNAGGGACGAGGAAGGAGCGACUUCGAAGAAGACGAAGGAACGGGAGCUUCUCUCGCCUCUCUCUCUCUCUCUCUCUCUCUCUCUCUCUCUCUCUCUCUCUCUCUAUAUAUAUAUAUAUAUAUAUAUAUAUAUAUAUAUAUAUAUCGAGCUAGGCCGGUAUACUAUCGGUAGUACAGAGGCCUCCGUGCUACCAAGUUGUUUUCAAUGAUGCGGCUUCCAAAUCGACGAUCGGCUCCAUUAGACUUGAUCUACACUAUUAAAAAUAUUUGGAAACUAAAUUUCAUAAUUUUUCGACAUCAUUUGGUUAGUGAUCAAAAGGUCUGAAAAUUGACAAUUUUAAUGGUAGAUAUGAUGCAUUUGUAAAUCUAAAGGUGUAAAACAAUCCAAAUCAGAUGAAAUUUUUAUAGAAAUUUUUUUUUACUAUUUAGAGUAAGAUCAGUACCUCUGAUCUUAAAUUCAAGUCUUCUAUCAUUAUUUUUUAUGAGAUUCUUAUUUUCAACCGUUCAUUUUUAGACUACUCGUUUGAUAAUCAAAUGAUACCGAAAAAUUAUAAAAUUUAGUUUUCAAAUAUUUUUAAUAGUAUAAAUCAAGUCUAACAGAGACGAUCGUCGAUUUGAAAGCGGCAUCAUUGAAAACAACUUGAUAGCCGAUAGUAUACUAGCCUAGCUCUAUAUAUAUCUUUUUUAUUGCAAAUAAAGGAGACUUUGCCUUGAGGUGGACCUUAGAGACUGUUUGAGUGGGGUUGAGUGACAAAGUAUUGUUUAGACCCGGUCCACCAUAUCAGUGGUGGACCCAUUUAGUUGCUUAUCAUAAAACCCAUCUUAGUUUUGCUUUUAAUUCAUAAAUAUAAAUUUAAGACAAAAAAAAAAUGAACAUAUUUGAAAUAUGAGAAAAGAAAUGGUAAAAACAAACUGAAUCAAUCUGAGCUAAAAAAUAUUUUGAUUUUUCACAUAAGUAAUGCCAUCUUGUUGUAUCUGCUAAAGUUUUGAUCUGAAGCAUCAUAAGAACAAAUACAUAUUAAGUUGUUAUAAUAGAACAAACCAAAUUGAAUUGGAUCAAGUACACUUGGUUUAAUUCGAUUAGUGUUCCAGGUGGUUAUUUCUUCGGAAUGAGGAAACAAAUGAUGGUGAAAGAAUAGAAAGGGGGAGUCAUAGGGUGGACCAGGUCUACCAUGUCACUUAAUAAAAAGCUAUGUAGAUAUAGGGGCAAUUAUCACACUAGACCCUCUUAAAUAUCAUAAAUAUCGUAAAUACCCCUAUAAAAUUGAAAAUAAUAUAUAAACCGCCUUCAAAUGUAAAAAAUUAAUAGCAAUAUGCUUUUUUUCUAACGGACGUUAUGAUUAUGGUUAUAUAAAUGACUAAUUUACCCUCGUUGGGGUGUUCUUUUGACAGCAACUAAUAAAGAAAAAAUUUCAUAAAUACCCUUCAAAUUUUAAAAAUAAUAUUUUUAGUACAAUUAUGGUAGAUAAAAAUAUGUGGAAACAUCAUCUAACCGCACAUCUCUAAUCAAUGGAACACAAAUCUACAACCACUAAUAACUUGAUACUUUUAAAAAUAUAGGAGCUCAAUUAAUAAUUAUAUAUAUUAUUCAAAGCUAGGCCAUGCAAGUGAACUAAUGGUGAGCGGCGUCGUAUACAUGUUAUUUUUUCGUGACAAUAAAAUGUGCAAUUAAAAAACUGUUGCUUGAGUUGGGUCAUAUGAAAAAUACUAAUAUCAAAAAAAAUUUUAUAUCAAAACAUUUUUUGUAUGACUAAUGUGGUUAUUUAAAUAAAAUUCAAAAAAAUUAAAUCUUGAAAUUAAUAUUGAAUAUUACAAUGGAAUAUUGCAUUACAACUAUAUAUAAUUUACAUGCGAAAAAUUAUAACAAGAUUUAAUUAUUACACUUAAUAGACUAUAGAUAUUUAAUUGUAAAAUUUUAAAAAGAAUGUUGAAUUAUUAUGUGAUUGAAAGGUUAAGAAUUGAUCUUGAUCAUGUAAUUAAUCUUAAAUUAUUACACUUAGUUAAAUUAGUAAUUAAUAAGGGUAAAAUGGGUAUUUACAGAAUAUUAGAUGACUUUUUAACGGAAUGUUAAUCUUAAGGGUAUUUGUGAAUAUUUUUAUUUUAUAGAGGGGUAUUGCUGAUAUUUUGUAAUUUAUAGGGGCAUUUAUGAAAUUCCUAUCUCUUAGAAGGGUAUUGAUGAAAUUAUUCCUAGAUUAUAAGAGUUAGCUAGCUUUGUCCACUUUAACUGGAUUGGUCACUUUUCUUUAACCAUUAAAAAGAUACAUUAAUAGAUUACUUGAAAGAUAUUCUUAUAGUGCGAGGGCAUAAGUUUUCGAUUCGAAUUGUGCUUAUUAUGUUAACACAAAUUAUAAUUCUGGCCUGUAUAUAUGCAAAGGAAUUUUUAUAUCCGAUAACUUACGAAUUUAGAGUGAAUUUCAGCAUUUUUCAUGUGGCCUUUUUCUUAAACCACUUUCGUCUAGUUCUUUUAAUUUCGUUUUAUCUGAUUUUCAUCUGAUAUAAAUUAGAUUAUUUCAAAUAAAUUUUGUGAGAUUUUUAUAUUACUACAUUGGGUUUUUCUACUGGUCUGAUAGACAAUUAUUCAUUGGGACGAGAGAGAAGCUGAUAAAGAGAUCCAACCCCUUUGAUUGUUACUAAAAUGGUUGUGGGUUACAUGGAGUAGUUGUAGUUUCAGUGUCCCAAACCUAUUUAUGGUACCAUGCAUUUGGAAUUUAUUAUCGCCUCGUCAUUUUCAUAUGAAAAACGAACUGUUAUGGUUUGAAUUUUAUUUUUAAUAGUGAUUCACUAUUAGUAUGACAUGAAAUGUAAACAUGACAUGUUAAUUCAUUAGUUAAGUAUUUUUUUAAUGAUAAAUUUGGCUUAAAAUUUUAUCCAAAAUCCCCGCACCUGAAACUCGAACUCAUGACCCUCUCCUUGUCAACAAAUUUUGAGUGACAUAGUCCCACCUGACUGAAGAAUAUGACAGACAUAAUAAAAUCAUUCGACCUCAAAAUGUGUGACUUUUAAGAGUUUUAGAUUUUAACCUGUUAGUAUAUAUAUUAGGAGCAGGGCUGCUGAGCUCUUAGGAGCACGGAGGCCUCCGUGCUCCUAAGCUGUUUUCGAUGAUGGAGUUUCCAAAUCGACGAUCGGUUCCGUUAAACUUGAUCUAGCGUAUUUAAGUUUCUAGAAAAUAAUUUUUGUGAUUUUUUGAUAUCAUUUACCUAGCAAUCAAAAGGAUUCAAAAUCAAUAAUUUUUAACGGCUGAAAAUAAAAAUCCUAUAAAAAGUGGUGAUAUAGCACUAAAAUUUUCGAUCAGAAAUAUUAAUUUUGUUGUAGAUAGAAUAAAAAAUUUUGUAUCAAAAUUUCAUUUGAUUUGAAUACUUCUACACCGUUAAACUUGAAAACGGCAGAUAUCAACCAUUAAAAAUUAUGAAUUUUGAAUCCUUUCGAUCACUAGGUAAAUGAUAUAAAAAAAUCGCAAAAGUUAUUUUCUAGAAACUUCAAAUGCGCUAGAUUAAGUCUAACGGAGCCGAUCGUCGAUUCGAAAAUUCCAUCAUCGAAAACGGCUCAAGAGCACGGAGGAGCACAGCAACCCUGCUCUAUAUAUUAGUGAAUUGGAUUAAUUUUGUACAAGUUCAUACAAAUAUAGUGAAUUGCAAAUAUAUUUCUACAAAGUUUCGUUAAAGCACUUUUUAUUUUAUAAGUGAAAUAACUUUUUCGUCAUCACAGAUAUAUCCCUCUAAAAGUUCCAACUGUUAGAGAGUGAUAAAAAGGUUAAAUCAUCUCAUUAACUAACUAUGAUUAAGUAUUUUACCUAUGGUUAAUUAAUUUUUUCUAAUGAAUUUUAACGGCAGGAACAUAUUUGAAAACAUUAGGACUUUUAUAGAGCAACAUAUAAAAGUUGAAUUUUGUAGGAAUAUAUUUGCAAUUCACUAUAUUUAUAGGAACCUAUCUAUACCUAUACAUUAUUUCUCCUAAUUUUUUGCCACGUGGCGAAUUCUCCUUCACUUUUUUCUUCUCUCAUCUAACUUUUUCAUCCAAUGUUUCAUCUUCCUAAACUCCCACCUCUCAAUUAAUGUGUUUACAUAAUAUCAUCUCCAUCCAAUGCUUCAUCUUUCUAACCCCCCACCCAAUGCUUCAUCUUCCUAAUCUCUAUAUCUCUCAAUUAAUAUGUUUACAUGGCUUCAUCUCCAUUUCUCCAUUUUUUUUUUCAUAUUAUUUUUUUUUCUCCCCUCCUAUCUCUCAAUUAAUAUGUUUACAUGAUUUCAUUUCCAUUUCUUCAUAUCUUUUUUUUCAUAUUGUUUUUUUUCUUUUUUUCUUAGCGCACAAAAAGGGCUCAUGUUUUAUAACUUUUUUUAAUUUUUUGUUGUGUGUGGAUUAAAAUUAGGGUUUCGAGGAUCGUGACGGAGCGCUGCAAAAGAAAACGGUGAUGGGUUUGGAGUCAGUGAGAGAGAAGAAGCAGAGGAUGUGGAUACGGGAUUGAUAUGGUCGUGACUAAAGAGGAGCUCGACAUUAGCGGCGAAGGUGAUAUAAAGAUCGGAAUUUGCCUCUCCGAUGAUAGUGCAAUGAAGAUGUGUGUGGGGUAAAAAAAAAUUUAUUGCUUAUUUUAUUAUUAUUACGUGUGAUUUAUUUACCAAAAUUAUAAAUUUUGUUAUAUCAAUACCUAUAUCUAUUUUAUAUUUUAUAUUUGUGUUUAUUUAAGUCCUAUAUCAAAUCAAAAAAUUUAAAUUUUUAUUUUAUUUAUAUUUUAUAUUCUAUAGUAUCAUUUUGCCGCAAUGCGCGGGUAACUUCACUAGUAUGAAAUUAACUCAUGAUAUUAUUAUUUACUUUUUUAUUAAUUAUUCAAUAUAAAUCUUUUCAUAAGUAAACUUUUCAAACCCACACUCCAUUUUUUUCCUAAUCAAAUUAUAUUUUAAUGAUCUCAACCAGGUUUCCAUAUCUUCUUUGUUCAUCCAAUCUUUUUCUCAUCUCUUUUCUCUCGAGCUAGAUUCUAAUUAACCUAGAUGCUUAAUAAUCAAUUAAUUUAAAAAUAUCUGACACAAUAAAGUAUUUUGUGUUACUAAAUUACUACUUAUAGUUGUCAUGAUCCACUUUUGGCCUUUGGGAGAGGUCCUUCCUAAUCUUAGCUCCCAACUUUAAGGCACAAAAGGAUGUGACAAGCCCAUAAUGGGUUACACUUUUCCAACCAUUUGUUUUAGUACUUAAAUUUAAAUAAAAUAAAGUUAAGGGGGAGGUGUGGUGGACACUUGCAAAGGGCCAGUUAACAUGUGGGGGAGGGUGCUUUUGUACUGUUGUUGGGUCUUGGUUUGGCAAAGUCACUCACUCAUAGGAAUGUUCUAAAACUCAUUGGAGCAUUAAUGAGUGCCCUUAGUUGCCAUUUUUUUUUUUUUUUUUUUUUUUUUUGAGUUCCCAACUUUUUGAUCCCUCAUCAUGUUUAGCUCCAAGCCUCCCACUCAAGAUUUACUGGCACGGUACGUAUCGAUGUGUAAUUGACGUAACAUAAUAUAUCGAUAUGCUAUGCUUUGGGAAAAUUUCAUAGAUGCCCCUAUAGGAGAUUGAAAUUUCAUCAAUAGCCCUCUAAAUUUUAAAAUAUCAUGAAUGCCCUUCUAAAUUUAAAAAAAAAUGCAUGAAUACCCCUACAGGUAAAAUUGGUCCUGUCAAAAAUUUAUUUGCAAAAAUGGCCCUACCCCUACCACGCAAGCGCCACGUCAGCGCCACGCGGGCGGGGCAAGAGUUUAAAUUGAACACGGUGAAUGAUUCACCGUGUCCAAUACAAAUAUCAUAUUGGACACGGUAAAUCAUUCACCGUGUUCAAUAAUAAUACAGUCUUAACCAAAAAAUGACUAAGUCCUAGGUAGUUGUAUUGAACACGGUGAAUGAUUUACCGUGUCCAAUACAACUAACUCGGCUUAGCCAAUUUUUGGCUAUGUGGGGAUAUUUGUAUUGGACACUGUGAAUGGUUCAUCGUGUCCAAUACAAAUAUCUUGAACACGGUGAACCAUUCACCGUGUUCAACUUAAACUCCUGCCCCGCCCGCGUGGCGCUGACGUGACGCUUACGUAGCAGGGGCAGGCCAACUUUUACAAAUAAAUUUUUAACAGGGCCAAUUUUAAAAUAAAAUUUUAUCAAGGAGCUAUUUGCAAAAAAAGCCCUUUUAUUUUCAAUAUACUAAGCUAAUUUUUAUACUAUGAAAUAUCUAUGCCUACUUAGGCGUGCUUGGUUUCUCGAAAAUUAUGAACAACUGUUUUUUACCCAAAAAAAAAGUUUUUUUUCAAUACAAAACAUCCUUUCCAUAGUUUUAUUUUUCAAAUAAAAAACUCUAAAGAGGAAAAGAAUUUUCAUAAAAUCUAAAAAAAAUUCUAAAAAAAUUAUUUUUUAAAAAUCAAAAGGGAUGGAAGAUAUAUACUUUUCCCGCUAGAAAGUAAUUUUUUUAAAAAUUUUCUGAGUAACCAAACCGAUAACUUAGCCUUAGCAUCUAUAUGAAGUGACAGUACAUAUAUAAGAUUUAUUUUACUUAUUAUUUAUACUUAUUUUGCAUACAUUUAAAUGUACAUGGUAAUAUCAUUGCAUCAAAUAGGCCCAUUGAUGAUAGUUGUGUGAUUUGGGUCAAUCAGCUGACCACUUCUUGGAUUUAUUUAUACUUGUUUUGCAUACAUUAACAACACACUUCUCUAAUAAUUAUGACAAGGCUUUUAUAGAAUAUUGCAAAUUAUAUUUAGCUAAGAAGAUAGAUACCUCACUAAACAAAUUCAACAUGUUUAGAAGUUAAUAACUCUCCCCGCUUUAAUUUAGUUUUAUAAAUAUGAAUAUGAAUAUGAAGGAGACAUCAAAUUAUGAACUUGCAGAUGCCAUGCACAAGAGUACACACUCCAUGAGCAUAACUGCUAACAUAUUAACUUAUUCUUUUUGUUAAUAAUAAAAAGAAGGAAAAACUUCAAAUACCAUCCAUGUGGUUUCGCACUUUCUCACUUUACUACCCUAUGGUUUAAAAUGUAUCAAUUUAGUACCCUGUGUUUCAUUUUUCUCUUUUUAUUAUCAAUUCCACUAAUUUUUUUUUCGUUAAAUCAAUAAUAAAGUUAAAACUAAAGGAUACUAAAGUGAAUAUUCAAUAAACCUAGAUAGGGUAUCAGAAGUUUUUUGUAUAUAAUUUAACAAAAUAUUAACAAAGAAGCUGACGAAAGAUAAAAAUAAAAUCAUAGGAUACUAAUUUGAUACACUUUAAACUACAUGGUACAAAAGUGAGAAGGUGUGAAACCAUAGGGGCGGUAUUUAAAGUUUACCCUAAAAAGAAUGACUUCGACCAUAAAACAAUAUUCAUGUGUAACUAUAAAUAACAUAACUAGAACUGAAAAUAUUCAGAGCUGUUCAUCUAUGUAAUUAUUUGCAAUCCUUUUCCUUCUUCUAUGUUCAAAUCAAUUUGUGUCCUUCCGAAAUUCAAAUCUAUCACAAGUUCUUUCCUAAUUCAGUAAUUUAACUUCAUGUUAGAAAGGCUAGUUGCUACUUUGAAGGCCUCUUUAUCUCCAUCUUUCCUUAUUGCAUGCAAUGAAUGAGCAUGAAACAAAUAGAGAGAUUUAAACAUAUAAGCAUACGUACAGACAUAAACCAUCAGGAUACUUGUUCUUCGUAUGUCAGCAGGGAACCAAAAUCGUGUUUAAAUUAUGUAGAUUUAAUUCCAAACUAAACAAAUUGAAGAGUAAACUGCUGCUAAAAAUUCAUACCACAUCAUCGUUGAUCGACUCAAAGCAGGAAGUGUGGAUCAGCAGCUUUAACCCUUCUCCGCAAGGUAAAAUCACAAAUAGGCAAAUCUCAAAUACCAGUAGAUCUGCUUCGAUACAAAGAACUGCACAAAUACUUAAUCUGAAGUAUUUGAAGACUUGGCCAUCCAUUCUGUAUCAGUUGGAUCUCUCUCUCUCUCUCUCUCUCUCCCCUCUCUAUUUCUCUGAACUUCCUUGAAAUUACCUCUGAAUAGGCAUGGGUAAAUUAUCUCUCUUUAUAACUAGAUGGAGAAACUGAUCCAUAUUACCAUAGAAGUUCCAACUAUUUCAGUCGUUCUUUCUACCCAUAAAGAAGUGUUCAGUAGCUAGGACUUGAUUGCAAUACACCUUCUUCGACCUCCGCCUGCGUUGCAGAUUCUGGUGAAGGACUAGCUGGCGGCCUCCCCGCAGCAGGGCUUAAGCGAAGUGGCCUUCCUUCGACCUCCUGCACCACGAGCAAGAAAAAUUAUGCCUUAUUCCUAUGUAUUCUAUGACAGAGCAAUAAAAGUUGUCAUCCCAAAAGAUGAUACAAUGCUAUCAGCUAUAUUACACCAUUGAUCAGUAACUUGAAAUCACAGAACUUUAAUUUGUCGCAACUUAUGAACUGAACCUUCAUUUGUGUUACAAUUGGGUCCUGCCUUUAGUGCAGUGUAAUCUUCCUUAAUGGAGAGACGAUGCAACAGUUGACUUAAUGGCCAUGCCAUCUCCAAGGGCCGACGAUUAGGAAAUUCAACAACAGUUAACAGACAUUGAAUUUUAAUGCAUCAACUCCAGCAAAUUAAAAUGCCAUGACUUAAAAUGAACUUCUGCGAUAAAUUCAGACACAAAAAUUGCACUUCCCCCCAAGUAAUCCAAAAACAUCGAUUUGUGAAACAACAGAUUUCUCCAAAUGCUUAAGCUAUAAGUAGAUUUAAAAUUAAACGGAAGGAAAAUUGAGCGAAGCUAGAAAGUCUCAAAAGAGUUGAACUCAGGACCUCCUGUUCUUUUGCCAUGAGAAAAAGACAUAUAUUUCUAACAGAUUAAGCUAUUCGAGAACUAAGAUAAUUAUAUUACAACUAGGUGAAACUAUUCAAGUGUUACUGAACUGUAAAGAAGAGGAAGAAGAAGAGAAUCUAUUGUUACCACUCCAUUCAUGGCCUCAAUAGCAGCCUGGGCUUCUUCAGCCGAAGCAAAGGAAACAAAGCCGAAGCCCCUCGACCUCCCUGUGUCCCUGUCAAAGAUGAUCUUGGCUCCAAGCAGCCCAGGCUGGGACGAAAAGGCUUCCCUAAGGGCCUGAGAGGUUAAACUCCACCCCAAAUUUCCGGCGUAUACCUUGUGAGGGCUGUCAAUGAACCCACGAGCCCCGCUCCUAAUCUUCGGUCCCAUGACUUCCCUCUCCCCUCCCCUCGGCACCUCCGGGAAGUUCACCUUCACAGUCCGCCCUCCCACUUGCUGCACCAAAGAUAUCAGAAUAUGGGACAAAUCAACGAAAGCGGAUCUAACAGGGUUGGUAAUUUCAGACACUAUAUGAUACCACAACCGGAGCACGACCAAACAUGAUACAAAGUUACUGAGAGAAACCCAAAACAGAUGUGAUGCAGACCCGCCUAAAGUGAAAAUUAGACAAAAAUGAAUUGACUACCAACACGAAAACUGACUCAUGAAGCCAAUUUGCCACUCUUAAGCAGAUCAAUGCUGGUACAACACAAAUUGCUCCAUACUCGAAAUGAUAAGAACUAUGCUUUGAAUUAGAAUACUAGUGCUCUGGAUUGAACCAAAUCAUGAUUUCAAUUUACAAUUCAUCCAUUUGAAUUCAGUUAAACAUGAUUCCUUUGCAGCAAGUCCUUCAAAAUUAAUUAAAUAUCAUAGAAUAAUGAUUCUAACAUUGGAUUUCAAAAAAAAAAAGAAAAGAAAAAAUGAUACUAAAUUGAGUAACUAGGGUUAAAAAAAUUUUCUUUAUAAGGAGUGUAUGUAUCUCACUGAUCCAUCAAACAUCCUAAUAGCUUCAUUUGCUUCCUCGACCGUGGCCAUGGUAACGAAUGCAAAUCCCCGGCUCCGAUCGGUGACUCGGUCGUAAAUCACCUAAAAAACACGCUUAAAUUCAUCAAAAAUCUCUACUAAAAUAAUCAAAAUAACUGAGGAGUGAUGAGAACUGGAUUACUUCGACGGUGUCGACGGUGCCGGCCUCGCCGAAGAUUUCGGCGAGCUGAGCCGAGGUCAUGGAGAAGGGGAGGUUGCCAACGUAUAGGCGCCCGCUUUCAUGGGUCGCCGGAGGCGACUUCAGCUCCGAGAAGAGCUCGUCUCCUUCGUCCCCGAGCUCGUCUCCGGCGCCAUCCUCCUCCGAGUACGCGGCGGAGGAGGAGGCGAAGAGGGGGAGGAGGCGAGGCGGAGAGGGGAGGAGGGGAAAGAGGGAGAGGAGGUUUGCAUCGAUGGAGAGGAGCUUCUUGGGUUUGGGGAGAUGGGAAUCGGAGAGAGGGAGAGGGAAAGGGUUGGGGUAGGGUUUGGAGAGGGGGGAACGAGAGGGGAGGGUGAGGAUGGUGUGGAGAAGGGAGCGAAACGCAGCGGUCGCCAUUGGAGCGUAGAGAGAGAGAGAGAGAGCGCGCGCGCGCGAGAGAUAGAGAGAGAGAGAGAGAGGAGAGAGAGAGGGGCGAGGAAGGGGAUAAAGAAGAACCCGCCUAUGGAUCAGUUCUCUCUCGAAUGGAUAAGCUUCGCGAUUCGUGCACCCUUCUCGCUGCACGACUCUUAAAGCAUUGGCAACGGUCCGGAUUCUUUGGGCUUCAAUUAUGCUACGGCCCAUGGAUGUUCGGGCCCGUUCUCACCCUCACAGGAGGAUUCUCUGAGCGUAGGACAGGCAUCGAGAUUCGUGCGUGCGUUCCAGUACACGCACUUUGAAGUAUCAGCAACGGGCCGGAUAGGAGUCGGCUAUCCUGUGUUGACUUAGCUCACCUGGCCUGUUUGAUCAGAUCCCAAAGGAGGCCUAAAUCGGCCCAUCAACAAGUUGAGCUUAUAGCAUUUUUGGCUUUAAGGUACGGCCCAUAAUCGACGUUGUCCGCCGUAGGAUAGGCAACGGCCCGGAUUCUUUCGCCGGCAGUAGGGCUUUAGUAUUUCGGUUCAUAGUCUAUACACCGGGUCCACGGAAAGAGGUUCUCGUGGUUUCAUAGUUUUUUAAAGCAAAGCGGAGAGGGAAUGGCGGCGGCGGAACUCGGCGAGGACGAAGCCGCCUCUCAUCGCACGAUCCUCGAUCGAAAACCCUAAUCUCUUCCUCUUGGUCAGCAAUGGGCGCUUUUGCUUCCUCUCUCUUCCCAUCCUCUUCCUCGGAGCCCCCACAAACCCUACCCUCCGCAAUGGAGUCCCCAUCUCCUCCUCCUCCUCCUCCCCCUCGUCCAAAUCCCGAACCCGAUCAACAAUCCGAAGCUCAAAUCCCCUCGGAGGAACCAAAUCCCUCCUGCGAGGAUGAAGAGAAGCAGGGAGGAGAGGGAGAGGUGGUGGUGGAGGAAGAAGAAGAAGAAGAGGAAGAGGCGGAGUGUGGGUUUUGCUUGUUCAUGAAGGAAGGGGGUUGCAAGGAUCCGUUCAUAGCGUGGGAGGAGUGCGUCAAGGACGCGGAGAACAGCGGCGAGGACGUGGUGGAGAAGUGCGCCAAGGCCACCGUGCUUCUGAAGAAGUGUAUGGACGCCCAUGCCGACUACUACGAGCCCCUGCUCAGGGCGGAGAAGGCCAUGGCCGACGCCGUCGCCAACGAUGCUGAUUCGGAGCGACGCGAAGAGGAGAAGCUCCCGGAACCGGAAAUCGAGAUCGAAAAGUGUGAGGUUAAGCCCCCAAGCUGAGUUUUUUAGUUUGAUUUCGUAUAGAUUUAUGCCUACUUUUGAUAAUGGAUCUUUAGGUAGUAACUAAUGUGACCAAAUUUGUCUUUUUGGUCCAAACCUUUUCUUUUUAAAUUUGGUCGGAAUAAUCAGAUUACUUAGAUGUGGAAAGGGAGAGUUCAUUUUUGUCUCAGAGAAAACAUGACCCCUUCAUACGCGCUACUGAUAUUUUUUUGUUGUUAGAAUGGUAUAUAUAUAUAUACACACAUUCUUAGUAAAGUUGGAUUUUUGAUAUAUAUGUAUAUAUAGUUCACUUUUCUUCAUGAAGUUUCGGUGCUGUGAUCGCCUGAUACGUCGUUGAUCAUGAUCUUUAUGUUUUAUUUUUAAAUGGGCACAACUAGUUCUGUUUUGCUGCGCAAGUAAUACCUCUAUUUGUUUCCUCAUUUCAUAGUUUUGAAGUGUGCUGCAUCUUUUAUUAUUGCUAUUGAUUGCUAAGCUUUGCUUGAAAGUUGAAAUUGAUACUACUGGUGCAUUCUGAUUGUGGUUUGAUAAGGAAAAGAAUAAACAGAUUACUAAGACUAGUAGGAUUCUGUAAAUUGACUUCAUUUUUUUUAAAUGGAGAAUUACUAUGUUAGUUUAUACAUCUUGGACAAUUCCAAUCUCCUUGAAGAUGUGUGAUCAUUUUUAUUAGCUCUUUCUUCCGUUUUUUGCCAUUUUUGGUGCAUUCUUGUUGAUGUGAUUCGAAGUUGGUUCGUGAUUGAGAAACAAAACGGAGCUAUAGGCUAUGGAAGUAAGCUUCUUAGGCACUUUUUUAUCAAGCUGAAAUAAAUUCAGGGCUGCUAAAAUCUAAGUGAACCUGAACUGAUGUAAAAUACGUGACAUAACAAUGCUUAAAAUGCAUGCAUUAUAUUGUAUAAACCCGUAUGGUGGAUUCGAACUUACGUAAAAAUGCCGUUAAUCUAUGGGUUUUCAAAUGAAGCAGAGGAGAAGUAACGCUUGCCAUCAUUUAAUUUAGACAUGAGCUCUUCUUUCAUAUGCAGAUAAUGAACUUAAUUCUAAAUUGGAAUUGGUUUACAAAUCUUCUAGUUCUUCUUUCCUUCUGUUUGUUCUUUCGAUCUUACUGGUAGGUUCAUAAAAAUCAUCAUUCCAUUUAAGGCAGUUUCUUACAAUGGAAAGAUUAUCAGCACAUUUAAAUUGUUUGAUCUGCUCCAUGGUGAAGCUCUCUAGGUUUUACAAAUCGUUAUUCUAAGUCAUGCAGUUUUCAGCUAGCAAAAGAUUAUCGACGACGCACUGAAUGGCUUGAUCUUUUUCUUUGCGAACAAUGUGUAUGGCAUGUUUUAGAUUUUAUAAUCACUAUAUUUUGAGUUCACUACUACCAUUCAACACCUUCAGGGCCUGUUUGUUGUUCUGUUGGUGGUUUUUAUUCAUUUUAACUCAUUGAAGGGAUUUGAGGGGUACCCCUUUGGGCGGAAUAAAGUUGAGUUACGAAAGUAAUUCGGUGAAUUUCAGACUCAGCAGAAGGAGUACGACGUAGUUGGAUACAGAGUAAUUUAUUCCAUUAUAUCUCUUACAGUUUGAAUGCGGUAACCUGAAUUGUUGAUAGAACCUUUAAUUAGAUUCUUAAUUCCGUAAUGAUCAAAGGCCUGUUUGGAUGUAAGAACGAGUUACUGAGGAAUGGCUUGUGUUGGAUAGAGUUUUUCUUUGAUGAUUGCAAAAAAAAGAGUUAUUUUUCUUCAUUAAAAUCUGUUAUAACCAUGAUUUUUCAAGAUUAUUUCUUCCACCAACAAGAUGAUGCACAUACCUCUGAAAGUUAGACUAGUCAUUCCUUUUCAAUUUUUCGACAUCUUUUCAAAGCUUUCAAUAACAAAUUACCGGAUGGUCUAAACAAUCUGGUCUUAACAAUCUGGCUUUUUGCAACCAAGAAUCAAAGUGCUUAGAGCUACUCAUCCUCAAACAGUAUAAAAGUUAAAAAAAAAAAAGGAAUUUACCAAUUAGAAUGCAUCAUCACUGAUAUUAGGUAACAUUUUGAAAUCUCCAAAGCAAAAUUAAACUGCUAAUUAGUUUGCAUAGGAAGUAAAGAUUUAUCAGAACCAAAGAGUUAGAUAGCAUUACUGAGCAACAAUCUACAUAUAGUCUAUAGUUUUAAACAUUCCAAAUAGAAAUUAGUUCCAAAUUCUCCAAUAUUAUGAACCAAACCAUAGUAUUUGGUCCUUAUUCUAAUCAGAAAGUACCAGAAGAAGAUAGGGAGCAAACCCUACUAAUAAUUCUUUUUCCUUACAUAGCACAGAGGAUUUCCACCAUCAAAACUACCCUGAGAUGAUGAGGAAAGCCCUUCAAUGCAGUAAAAAGCCAAGAAUGAGUUGCCUGCGGCCGCAACCUAAAUGAACGAAUGUUAAGGGACAAUACCUUAACCUUUGAACUGGGCUUCUCCAGCUCUUUCUUUAGGUUGCUAGAAGCCAAGGAGGGGCUCUAGAAAAGAAGCAAAAGCACUUCUAGCUUUGUAUACCCAACCCCUCUAGUGCUUCUUUGAUCAAACUUUGAGGAGGCUGCAGCAGUUGUCAGCUGCUGCAGCCCAUUUGUUGGUGAUAAUGUUGUUGUUAUCUCUGUUUAGCUUGUUUUCCGUCGGAUGAAGGAUGGAUGGGGGGAGAUGCUCGAUGAAAUUGAAUUGGUCGACUUCUUCUCGGGCGUAUAAGCUCAAGCUUGAAACUUCCGAUCCUGAUAUGCUCGAGCCGCUGCUUCUGUUGAGACUGUCUGACUGAAGGACUUCAGAGCUUGGAGACGUGGCGGGCCCAAUUUUCGCCUUGCGGUCGGCACCGCCUGGAUUUGGUUCGCCAUUUAGCUUCUUUGUGUUGAGAAACCGACCGCCGGAGCCCCUUGCUCGACGCAUCGCAUGAAGAUGGCGCGACUUGUGAAGAUAGGGCUGAGAGGAGAGAAAUUUGAGCGAUGUAAAGAUGAUAUGGAUUGAUUCUCUACAGUCUUUGUGAGAUUCUCAACAAAUAUUCAUUUGUGUAAGACGACUAAUCUUCGUGAAUUGUUAUUGACAAAGUAGGUGCUUUUGAGCUUGUGAGGAUUCAUCUUAUAUACCAGGGCCGUGUUUAGUUCAACUACUCUAUAAAUAACAACAACUAUUUUCUUAGUCCUAAAUAGCUUCUUUUUUAUUAUUUUCCUUUUUUUUCUUUUUGCUGAAAGAAAGAACCUGCAGCAAGUUCACAUCAUGAUAUUGCGCUACAAAAGUCUCAUGUACAUAUGAAAGGGAACGUACCUUUCUAACUUUGAUCAGCUUGUUCUCCCUCGCGGCCUUAGCGCGAGCUCGGCGUCGACGCAGGAUACCAUGAAACUGCUUCGCAUUCACGUAGAUCGGUUCGUCCGCCGUCAUACUCAGAGGUAAAAGCAUGCGACCAUUCUAAAUUGACAAAGUAAAAGAUGAUCAGAAACUAGAAACAGUCACUUUGAAUGAAUUCUAAGACGCAAAAUUGCACGUUCGGUUUUCAAACUAUAAGAGUGAUUCAAAAGCUAGUUUAAUUGAUUAAGUAUUGACGCAUCGAUAUCAUAAUUUUUGGUGCAUCACUAAUCAAAAUAUUACUAUAGCACUUUUAUUUUAACGAUAUAUCAAGAUUUAAUCAACUAAAGUGGGUUAUAAAACUUGACGGUACCAAUUCUGAAAAUUCGAGCCAGAAAUAAUAAUAAAUUAAAACUUGAGGACCAAACUUGCAAUUCACCCAAUACUAAAAGAAUGGUCAUGACAAUUUAACUUCGGAGUUUAUGAAGAAUUAUUUGGGUAUGGCCAUUGACAAAACCUUAAAACUAGCUACUAACAAGUAAACUCUUCAUCCCCAUCUCUCCUUUUCUUCUCAGCUAGCUAGUUAGUUCCUAUUCAAUUUAUUUUUACCUCAAUUUCGCGAAUCGUAUCUUCGAACAUAAACCGAUUGAACACGUGAAAUUGACCUCAGAAUGCUUCGAGUUCGAAUAAUUUGUCAAAUAUAAAUUGGAAAAGAGUGCAUCACAAGUUUGAAACCAACUGUAACAGCUUAGUUAUGCCAAGUUCAGUAGAAUAAGUUCAUAUAACUCAAAAGUGGUUCCUUUUAUAUUAAUUGAAGAAAUGGUACAGUAGAGAGCUUAGUAUGAUUAAUUAAGAAGUUAAGUGAAUAAAACAAACCAUUGCUUGAGUUCCAUAAGAGGUGUAUAGCCCACAACAUUGAUCAGCAUAAGAAAAACUGGAAUACACCUAUAUAUACAGUAAUAGAAACACAGUAAUUAAUUAUAUGACAGUGCAAGAGUAGCAAUAAUAUUCACAAUUAGAUUGUUUAUGUUUCCUAAAUACUUAAAAUACCCAUAUUGAGGGUUAAAAAAAAAAAAUUCCUACCGUAGAGUGACCGAGCCCGGAGUCAAAAUGGCCUACAUAUUCAGGUAAUGGUGAUUGUAGAGUGAGAUUUUCCAAAGGUUGCGAAAAUUUUGCUCCUUUCUUUUCUGUAUUUAUACUUCCUGAAACAAAACCUACUCAGUGUCCAAUAAUAGUACUGUAACACAAUUUUCUUUUUGAGUAUAGUAUAACACAACAUUAUAUGCAAAGUAUACUUAGAAGCAUAAGAUACAUGCUUAAGUUAAGGGGUAAAAAAAAAAAAAGAAGCCAUGCAAGAGGAGGCACUGCAGGAACUAAGAGGGUUGAAAUGAAGUUAAACUUGAUAGCAUAAUUUUUAACCCAAAAUAGACCAUUAAUUGUCCUUUUUUUCCCUUCUUUUGUUUUUCCCCCUCCUAUUGUGAUGGCAACUUUAAUUUGUGUUACAAUAGACCAAAGACAAUUGUCUUGUUAAGAAAAGCAGAUCUAGCUUGUAUUAUCAAACAAAAUUAACAAGCAACAAAUUUAUUUUUUUCUGUUUGUGUCUAUCUUACAUAAGAGUCUAAUGUUAAAUAAGUUUUUCUAUCUAACUAAAUGCGCAUUUUAGAAAUAAAGAGCUUUUAUUCAAAUAAAUGGUGCCCAAGUAGAAAUCGAUUAUUGGGGCUAAGACAAGUUGAUUACUAUGAAAGUGUUGUAGCACUUCAUGUAUGAUAGAUGUGAAAUUAAGUCACAUGAACUACAACUAAAAUUUACCCCAUUUAUUACAAUGCAAGAAUUUAAACCAUGUAAUUUUUACAGUGGGGAUUCAAUUAACCCAUGACAUCAUGGAAUAUUGAGAGCUUAGAUUGGACAUAAUAUCAUGAUAUCUAAAAGAUCAACCUGAUAGUAAACAAUGCAACAAGCAAGCGAAAGAAAUAGUCUUAAUAUAUGUACAUUUUCACUUUCAUCUUUCUGAUUCUAGCAGUUCUAGUUACAUUUUCCUUUAUUACUUGAGGAAUGGAAACAUCUACUUAAUGAACAAUUAGCAAGCUAUUUCCAAAUCACAAUCACUAUCUAAAGAAUGUGCCUCCAAUACAAUAAAAUCUCAUCUUGUAAUGAGAGUUCCUUGAAUAUUUCUACCAUUACAUUCUCCCAUUUUGUUAAAUAUAAAAAUGUUUAAAACACCGUUCUCUAACAACUUAAGCUUUUAGAGUACAACGGUUGUUUCACAUGGUAUCAGAGCAGGAGGUCCUGAAUUCGAGUCAUACCAGACUCCUAGCAUAUUAAUUUCCUCCCAUUUAAUUCAAGCCCACGUUAUGGGCCGAUUAAAAAGUCUCGAGCCCAAACGUGAGGGGGAGUGUUAAAUAUAAAAAUGUUUAAAACACUGUUCUCUAACAGUUUAAGCUUUUAGAGUAUAACGGUUGUUUCACACAUUUAUCCUUUUUUUUGUUGACCUUAAUUAAGGAAACAUGAUUGUCUUUCAAAAAUAUCAAAAGCAUCCACCCCAAAAUUAUCUUCCAAAACUAGAAAACUGCAAAAACAAAAUAUGUAUGGUCCAUGUAAUCAAAACUUAUAUCUGGGUGGAUAUAUUUUGGUAGGGAACAAACAUAUAAAAGACUCCCACAACUGGCAAAAAGGUUGAGAACAAACACUAGAAAACUAAAUAAAAUAAAAUAAGAACCUCCUAUAUAUAGUGUAGGGAAUUUGUAAUUUAGUAUCUUCAAUAUCGAAGUGUAACACUUUUCUAUGGUACUUAAUUAUUUAGUUUUUCACAAGAGCUAGCAAUGUGUUAAUGGUAUGAUGUCUCCAUGAAAAAGUAAUACAAAACUUGAAAGAAGAGAAAAUUCUAUACUUUUUGAGUAUUACAAGAUAGUAAAUAGUGAAUGAACUAUAUAUACCAAAGGAGCUUUUUGGAUAUUUAUAUACUACCAACAGAGGUUGUAUAAGGAGAUAUUAAUACCUUGAGAUAGUGAGAACUCAGUAGCAUCACCUGUAACUUUCACUGGUAUUGCUGGCCCCAAAUAGCCCUCCUCUCCCAUUGUAUUCUUCUCAUUUAAGGACUUAAAUUGCCCAAAACUUGCCCCAUGGAGUGGUUGAGUUCCAAUCCACCAGGGAAUUGGAUUCCCAUUAUUUUGCAGAUUAAAAGAAACUUGACCAACUCCUUCAUGGACUUUGAAGCUCAUUGUCUCCUGCAAUGUGGUUGCCCCUCUCUAGUGCAAAAGAAGUAAUUAGCUCAAUUGUUAUAUUUCUUUUCUUCUUCUUCUUUUUUAAAAAACUUUUUCUUUAUAUAUAUAUAUAUAUACACACACACUUGAGAAUCCGGCACUUCUAAUCUUUCCGAGUAUAUAUAUAAGUGGCCUCUUUCACCUUCUGCAGAAGAAACUUUAAUAAAAUCUCAAUUGUACCAAAAGAUUAAAAAGUAGAUAAUACUCAAGAAUCUUGAUGAUAUAUUCACAUUAACUUUUCAAUAUACUGAAACCUAAGCGUGGUAACAAUUAAUAACCUUUAGAAAACCAAAAACCAAAAAAAAAAACACAUUAAAAUUCAAACAAAUAGAAGCCAACUUAAUUUACUCUAAACAAGAUAAUAAUGCUAUUUCCUUUCCUCUUUAUUUUCUCGGAUCAAAUUUCAAUGUCUUAUAAGAAAGCCCACAUCAAAAUUGAUUGAAAAAGUAUGUACAGAAACCAUUUAAGACAAAAGAAAAUUGCUUGCUUAAAAUUUUACAAUGAAGAAUUAUUAUAUAAUAGAUAAUACACCCAAAUAUAUACUUCACCUAAAAAGAAUAAGCAAGAAAAAAAAAACAGUAUAAAAUAUGAGAAGGCCAAGAAGAUACAAAUGACACCACUUACAUAAUUUUGAGUAGCAACUUACUACAUAGAGAGAGAGAGAGAGAGAGAGAGAGAGAGAGAGAGAGAGAGAUGUGUUGUGAUGUGUGUAUGUGGGGGUAUAAUAGUGGGCACUAUACUGAGCACGGAGAGGGAGAGAGAGCCAAUAGGAGAAGGUUUUCAUGCAACAAAGCCUUUUGGUAAUAUUUUUAAUGCUCAUUAAUGGCAGGGCUUAUCCACCUCUCAUUACUUUCUAAUUCUUUGUGAUCACCAUUCCCUUCACAUAAUUAAGUGGGGGGUGGUUUAAUAUUAAUGUGCCCCAAGUGGGGAUUAAACUAAUAAAAGAAAGGUUAUGAUUAAGUUGGGGCCAAGUAGAUUAUCAAACAAGGCAACGUAUAUAACGGCCCUCUCCCUCAAAUAGUAAGGCAACGGACUUUUACCUUUUCUUUUUACCGCAUAUAUAUCGAAUCCGACUACAAUGCUAUCAACAGCACCAAGUAAGUGGUGCUAAUAAAUUUUUCAUCGUUAGAUCUAUUUAUACCACAACAGAAUUAGAUUAUAGAGACAUAUUUUUGAAAUACUUUUAUAUAAGUAUCUUAUUUAUGUCAAUUUUUUUAAAAAAAACCUACUAAGUCCUAAUAUAAAACUCAAUCCAAUCAAAAACAAAAAAGUUCAUCUACUCAACCAACCACACCCAGCUCACUCGGCCCGAUUACAAAUAAAAAAUAAAAAAAAGAAAGUGGGUGCCAAAAUACGUGGCGGCUGGAGUUCGGCCGCGAGGAUCUCGCAGGAACCGUAGAGGACUAUGAUCGCCACGUAUCCCUCCGCGACAGGUUGCUGGAGGAGUGGGUGCCAAAUAUCAAGGCGGCCCUAUCUAUAUCGACCCCACAUAUCACAAUACUUUUAAAAAGUGUCGGUAAUUUAGCCAGCAGUAUUUUUUUUUAACCUGUACCGAUAUUUAAAAGUAUCGCUAUACACCGUUUUUGUUGUAAUGCUAUUUGAUCAUUUUUACUCCUUAAAUUAUAUUAUUUUACUCCACUAAAUUUUAGACGACUAUUAUUAUUCUAACUGUACAUUUUUUCAUUAAAGAGUCAAAAAUUUUAUAGCACCAUAAUAACUUGAUGCAUGCUAUUAAUAGUAUAAUAGCCUAAUUCAUAUAAUACUAUUACUGGCGCAUGCAUGUGUAGUACAGUUUAAUGAGUGCAUAUGUGAUGUGUGCCCCGAAAAGAAGGGGGGAGGGGGUUUUGGGUUUGUACUCAUGAGAGAGUUGGAUCACUUUAUGCAACAAUGAUAUGGGUUUGCAAGGGUACGUGGUAGCUAAGUACAAUGUCCAUUUGUACUAAAAAUGUUUGGGAAAUAGUAUAAACAAAUUAAGGUACAUUAUAUAGGUUGAUUCUCAUCAGAUUCAAUGAAUUUAUUUUUUUUAAUUAUAUAAAUUUUUCUGCAAAUUGAUUUAAGCAUAGAGCAUUUACGAAAAUCAAAUAUAUAUAUAUAGGCUAAUGCUACUAUCCUAUUAAUAGGAUAGGAGUACUUGUCUUAUCAAGUUGUUCUUGAUGAUCGAGAUUCCGAAUCGAUGAUCGGAGCCGUUGAAGUUGAUCUAGAGUAUUUGAAAUAUCUAGAAACUAAAUUUCAUAAAUUUUGAUAAUGAUUUACAUAGUGAUCAAAGUGUCGUAAAAUCGACAAUUUUUGACGGACUAUAUGAGCUGUUUGUUUGUUUAACGGUGUAGAGCAAUCCAAAUUGCUUGAAUUUUUGAUAGAAAAUUCUUUAUACUAUUUAAAUAAUGUUUGAUAACUCUGAUUACGAACUGAGAAAGUCUAACCUCUAUUUUAAGAAGGUUAUUUAUUUAUGACCGUUCAUUUUUCAACUCUUAAGAUGAACUUGAUAAUGAUUUUUAAAUAAUACAAAAUUUGAUUUCUAAACAUUUCUAAUUGUGUAGAUCAACUUCAACGGUGCCGAUUAUCAAUUUGAAGUUCUGAUCAUUCAAAUCGACUUGAUAGGAUAAGGGUCCCAAUCCUAUUAAUAGGAUAGUAGCCGGACCCUAUAUAUAUAUAUAUAUAUAUAUAUAUAUAUCAAUUAUAAGUAUUCUCCAAAUAAUAUUUAUGAGUUAGCAUUAUAGAUGUCAAUAUAUAUUUUAAAGAAUUAACCUUUCAUAGUUGGCAUUGCAUUCACAUGCCACAUUUGAAAUUUGGCAAACUAAUCCAUUUACUUAUAUUUGUUACAUACACAGAACUGAUAGGUCAAUAUUACAAUAUCAUUUUAGCUAGGUUGCGUUCAAUUAUACUUGUGACAUUACUCAUUGUCGAGUAAUAAGUGGAAUAUACGUAGUUUUGUUUUUCUUUGUUGAAGUUUUUAUGUUGUCGGCUAAAAAGCUUACAAACACAUUGAAUAUCACAAAAUAAGUGUUAUAUUCUAUGAAAUUUUAAUUUUCUUGUGUGUUUUACAAGCAUAAUUUAAAUGAAAAUAAUUAAGAGUUAAGAAAGUGCCAUUACAAAAAGCAAAAAGUUAACUAAACAAAGUUUGGGAUUCCACCUUUAAUUUCCUGUUCAAGCCAACUCAAAUGGUACAACAACCAUACAAUUAAGCCCCUAGGUUUUCCUUACUUACCUCUUCCUUUUAAUCAUAUCCUUCCAUAAAGAGAAAUUAUUGCCUCCACUGGUCCUCCAUGUACAUCAUUUAUCUUGUUCACAAGUUUACAAAACCAAACAUAUAUAUAUAUAUAUAUAUAUAUAUAUAUAUAUAUAUAUAUAUUCCUAAAUUGGAGAUUUUUGUGGCUCAAUUUCAAAAGUACAAAUUAUUGUUAUCCAAAAGAACAAUAUAAUAAGAAAAACACAUGAACACUUUUUAAUUAUUAAUACUCUCGUUUAUAUACAUAAUGGAUGUACUCUCUCAUGUGGAAUAUCUAGAUAUGCAUUUCAAAAUCUGUCACAUUAGAAGUAGCUUAGAAUUAGCUCUAAAGCAUAUUAUUCAGAUAAAGAUCAGAAAACAGCCCAAAAAUAGUUCUAAUACUUUUUGCGUUAUCAGAUGAUCGCGGUGAUUUUAUUCGCAUAACAAGUUUAGAAAUAAUUUUAACAAUUUUCUUUAUCUACAUUGAGGGAGAUGGUUUUAUUCCAUGGGACUUUUCUUUUCCUGUGCUAUAUAUAUAUAUAUAUAUAUAUAUAUAUAUAUAUAUAUAUAUAUAUAUAUAUAUAUAUAUAUAUAUAUAGGCAAGUACAAAUUAAAAAUAAGAUUUCAAAAGCCCCCUCACUUUUCUUCUACCUACACUACUAACAACAAAAUGCAAGAGGACAAUGUUAGGCCAAAGAUUAAACAAGAAAUAGCAUGGAGGACAGCAUAUAAUUAAGAGGCUCUUGUGCCUAAUUUCAUUGUGCUCCCCCCAUUAUUAAGGGCUAUUUAGUGACUAAAUGUAGGUCCUUAAUUAAUUUUCAUAUCCAAGAGAGUAUUUACCAUGGGCCAAGUAGUGCAUGACAGCUGUCCUUGGGAUAAAAUACAGAAUCUAGCCCUAGCUAGAGGAAACUUUUUAGGGUAAAUUAUACCAUUUUUGCCCAAAUUUUUCCAUCCAUAAAAAAUUCACAAGUUUUAUAUAUUUUUAUAAAAAAAGGAUCACUAUUUUAAAUUUUACAGGUUCGAAUUUUGAGUACACUAAUCAAAAUAUUUUUAUUCAUUUUUAUUUUCCUCUCCAAUUCUCAUCGCCUUAACUGUCUUCGGCGACUGUAAUGAGAGAAACGGUACCUCCUCUUCCUCCACCUAUACCUUUGCUAGUGCCGGCACUGACGUUGGCUCCGAAGAAGAAGGACUCGAAGCGGAGCUAGAAUGCUACUGAUAGUAUGCAAAUAAACUUUAUAAAAAUUAUCAUACGGUAAGGCCUAUAUCAACAUGUAUGACAGUUUUCAUUAGAGUUAAUAAACUUUCGAUAAUAAGGAAUAAAUAGAAAUAACUAAUAAUGAUAAGAAAUUGAAUAGAAAAAAAAAAAGAACAAAAAUGCUGAGGUCUUAAUCGGAUAAGGAUGAACAACUAAUGGUGUAAUUAACUUUUGUUUUCUCAAAUAAAAAAGAAAGAGGGACACUUUUAUUAUAAAAUAAAUAAAUAACUGUGUGAUGAAAUAAACACAAUCGAAAUACAAUUAAUUAAAAGGUCUUUUCAAAAAAUAAAAAAUAAUUAAAACAGGCCAUUUCAAAGUUGAAUCUGAUUCAAUGUCCACAUCAUACAAUGUUAUAUACCCCUCUCUUUCUCUCUCUCUCUCUCUCUCUCUCUCUCUCUCUGGAUUAAGAAUUAAUCAAAAAAGAAAAAAAAGAAAGAAAAAGAUGCUUAAUUAGAAUGAACUUAGUGGUGCUUCAACUUAAUCUGAAAAAAUAUUGUUCACAUUCAAUGGAAAUGAAUAUGUAUAUAUUAGUUUAUUUUCUCCUUAGAAAUUCUUAGUUUUGCUCACUCCACACCUUUUAGGAGAGUGUUUUUUUUUCUUUUUCGGUCCCUGGCUUAAUUGCACUAUUGGCUUUUAAUCAUUAUUGCAGUUGUUUUAAAAAAAGCUUUUUUGUGUUUUUUUUUAAACGAAAUUAGCACAUUAGCACCAACUGUUAUCACAUGAUAAUUUUUGUCCAACUUGAUGAUAAUUUUAUGGCUAAAUUACAGAAAAUUUUUCUGUCAAAACUUGAUUUUUCAUUUUCUCUUCCUGUCAUUUAAAAAUCUAUACUUUGCUCUCUUAUAAAAUAAAAAAUGUUCACUUCACCCUCUGCCGUUAGUGAUCCAUUAGGGUUCCGUUUAUAAAAUAUUAUUAUAUAUUUUUUUAUGCAAAAAAUGCCCUCAGCCUUCUCUCCUGUUGCCAAAAAUGAUGAGAGGCAAAAUAGUCAUUUUGUUAUCACAGUUUACACCGUACUCCCCUCUGACCAUUUUUUAUUUUAUAAGAGGACAAAAUGUAGAUUUUUAAAUGACAGGGAGGAAAAGUGAAAAAUCGAAUUUUGAUAGAAAAAUUUUAUGUAAUUUAGCCUAAUUUUAAUGUCAAGAAUUUAAAUAAAAAUUUGUAAUAAAUUAUAGAAAUUUAAAAUGUUAAAAACUAAAAUGGAAAAUCACAUAAAGUUUGGAUAUCUCAGCAUAACUUCAUACAUUUCUGAAAAGUUAUUUGGUUACAUGCAUCUUAAAAUGAUUACUCUUUUAGUUAGAAAAAUGUAACUAAAAAGAGGACUAAAAAGAGAACAUCUUUUAUAUAUUUUUGCUUCGGCUCACCGAAUUAUCGUAUAAAGCACAGCGCAACUAAAAAAGUGUUAGGUCCUAGGUUCAAAACAAUCUAUAGUUGAGGGGCCUUUGUACACAUUUUCAUCUAGGAAAGAAUUUAAAGGUACAUGGNAUAUAUAAGGGGCAAUUACUUAUAUAUUCCCGAAAAUUUUUCGAUUUUCCGAUUUGCCCCUCUUAGAAGGCUAAUAUUAAAAAUAUCUUUUCUAUGUUCCAACUUAUUUUUGAUAUUCCUCUAACUGAUAUACCUCUAGAGUUAAAAUAUGUUAAUUAACUCUGUUAUUUCUGUAAAAUUACUAUUUUGUCCUUUCAAAUAUAUUCUUUCACCAUCACUGACUUUUUUAUUUGCCCUUAAAGUCAGGGACAUAAAAAGUAUUUUGACUUUUGGUUUUUCCCAAUAUAUCUCUCUAUCGUCACCAAUAUUUCUUAUUUGUCCUUAAGUUAAGCACAAAAUUGGUAUUUUAUUUUUUUUUAAUUGUGAUAGAUAUUUAACUCACGUUUAACCUAAGUUAACUUAACAGGAGAUAACUGCGGAAUAUUUUAUAAUAACGGUAGAAUAUAUGAGGAGUAUUUAAAAAAUAAAAAUAAAAAUAAAUCGAAUAUUUUCAAACUUUUUAAAUAUUCGAUUUAUUUUAAAUUUUGAGAUUUUAAAUUUCAAAGUUAAAAUUUUAAAUUUAGAAAUAUAAAUUUAAAAAUUUAAAAAUUCAAAUUCAAAUAUAAUAAGUGGAUAAUAUCAUUAUUUUUUAUUUACAAAACUCAUUAUCUUUCUUAUUCUAUCUUACCUAACCAAACGUAAUUUUUUUAUUCCCAGGAAUAACCCAAUUUUCAUCCAAACGCAAAAUUGAUUUAAUCCCCGCUUAUACCUCAAUUUAUACUUAUUUUUGAAAUAGCCACUUUUUUUUUAUUCCCGAACCAAACGAUACAUACAUAAUUAUUCCUAUAAAAAAAAAGAAAAAAAAAGAAAAAAAAGGAGAAAGUAUAUGUGCAGAUAAAAAAGGUUGUGCUUAUCCGGCUAUGUAGAGAAAAGAAGAUAGCAUUAAUUUGCGUUGAUUGGAUGGGAGAAAAGAUAGAAGUGAAAGAAAGUUAGAAUUUUUUUUUUUUUUUGGUCUUUUUGAAAUGAAAGAGAUAAUGGCAAAAACAGGUCUUAAUAGAGAAAAUGUACAGAGGCUUAUUUUCCAUGUUUUUCUUUCCACCAAGAAAAUAUCUCUUCUUUUCCCUUCUAUACAUUGAAACAUCCCAAAACUAUAACCAAGGCAAUUUCUAAUUAUGAUUUAAAAAGAGAAAAAUCAAUGCAAUAGUUGAAUAUUAUAUUUAGGCCUAAUUUGGAGAUACAAUAAUGUAAUGCACUUAUUCUGAUCCUAUUGUCAUCAAAUAUUCCGGUCUCAAACUGCGAAAAUUGAGGUUGAUUUUAUAUAAAUUUUGCCUACAAGUAUUGAGUACAAGAAUAAAAUUGACAUUCUAGUUAUAAUAUUAUAAUUAUAAUAAUGUGAUUGUCAACAUUUUGAGUGGCUGAAACAUGCAGCCACAUUUAUCAAACUAUACUUAUCAAAUGCAGCAGUUGCUCAAAAAAAAUAUGAAAAAAAAAAUUAAGAAAAACUUCUUUUUUUUUUUCCCAUAAAAGACUCUUCAAUUUUUUCACUCAGUAUGCUUCUAAAAAAAUAAUUCUUUCAUUUUUUUUUCAGAUUUUAUAAAAACUAGCAUUUUUGUUUCGUAGAGAAAAAAAAAAAAUCUGAAAAACAAUAACACUAAUUUUCAUUAAAUUUUAGAAAAAGACUUUCCAAAAAGCUUUUUUUCAUUUUAACCAAACAGACAAAAACCGAAAAAAAUAAUUUCUACCAAAAAUUUUCUCACAAAUUUUUUUUAUCCACACUUUUUCGCGAAAGCAAACAGUUCCAAAGUCCGAAUAUUAGCACAUAAUUAAUCCAGUAGACAAAAAAAUUCCAAAAAAGAAAGUAAAAUAACGACAUCUAAAACGCCACAAUAACAAAUAAAUUUUAAUAUGGCCGAGCCAUACAUAGAUCCACAGUAAAGUGUCCACCAAAUUUACAGAAACUUUAGCAGCAAAAGAGAUGUAUCUCAACAUGUUAAAAUAUUACAACAGCAUAUUACAUAAGCAGUACUGAUCAGGAAAAAAGAAAAAGAAAAGAAAAAAAAAAAAAACCCAACGAAGCACGCCGAAGACAAAUUAGAAGAACUUGUUGAACUGGCCGGUGAGGGAAUCUCUGAGGUUGGAGUAUAGGCCGUAGAGGGAGUACUGGCGGAGGUUCGACACCUCGUACCAUGAGUGCUUGUCGGUGCCGGAGAACGCAAGCUGUAAGCCUAUGCUGCAAUCGACCGAGCCCCCCUGGCUCUUGCAGCUUGACGUUUUAAUCGCGCAGGUCUGCUUGUUGAGGCAGACGAAAGACGACUGCCCCGAGCAUGAAGAACAGCCGUCCGUUUUCCAGUACAGGUUUUGAAGCGUGCCCUUUUGGAACUCGAGGACCUGAAAUGGGAUUUCCGUUGAAUAAUUGAAUAAAUUGUAGAAUUUGAUUGAAUACAAAGGUGAGAUAUUAUGGCGACGUACCAGAGUGAAGCCGCUCACUGUGUAUGAGCUGUUAGCGACAAACACCGGGAGCGACCUUGCUGCAUACUUUCUACCGGCAAAUGCUACCAUGUAUCCACCAGCAUUGGCCUAGAAAUGUACAAAUUAUAAAGAGUAAUUUCUACGAAAGUGAUUUUAAGAUGUGGAAAAACAAGAUCCCUGAAUAAAUUAGCAAGAUGUUAAGGGAUGAGAUAGUAAUGUAAAAUAGGGGGUUAUUGAUUGGCGAGGUGGUCGAUGGUUUCAGUUCACCCAAUAAGAAGACGAGCAGAUUAGGAUUAUGAUCUAAUACUCCCUCCUAUGAAGAUAGGUCAUACUGCGAAAUAUAUAUCAACAUAUCCCCUCUCUCUCUCCCCUGCUUUUAGUAACUGCCUUCAAUUAGUUCAAAUCAUAUCAUAUUAUAUUAUGACAAUUUUAGUAACCACCUUCAAUAUAACAUCAUAUCAUAUCAUAUUAUAUUAUUUUAUCUAUGACAAAUUUUGAACGUACCAAAAUUUCUCAUAUGUAUUAAUGUACUACAAUAUAAAAUUAGAUUUUAUUUUUUCCAAAAAUAUUUAAUAUUAUUUCAUUAGUUCUUCCAACUUCAAAUUGAAACAUCAUACAAUUUAUUCUUGUAAGUUGUACUGAAGAAUUUGAGUUUGUUUUAUUUAUUUAUUCAAGUUUUAUAUUAGAGAUUAAAUAUUAUCCAAUGUGCAAUGAAAGUGUUUUUAUAAAGAAGCUAAAGACAUGAUCUUACAUUCAAUUCCUAACCAUUCCAUGACAGAAAAUUUUGACUGUAAAUUCCAUGCCCCUCUAAAACUUAAAAGUGGAGGAUAAAGGGAAGAAUAAAUCAGAGAGAACUGUUCUAGGGAAGGAAAAAGAGGAGAAAUGGAAGAAACAGGGUUAGAAUAUCCUAGAAAAAGUAAGACCAAGAAUAUAUGGAAAAACAAAGCCCCAGAUAUACAACUUUCUCUCCACUGAAAUGCUUUACAGGGGACCAACAUAGGGGUCCAUGUAGUGAACUUUCAUGGCAAUAAUAGGAAGCAGGCUGCUGACUGUAUCAAAACAAAGGAGACCUGAAUGAGACUAAGACGCCUAUUAAUUGCGUACCUCCGGAAAAACUGGGAUAAAUGUAGAGAGGUCUUGUUAAAAGGAUUUAAAAGCAAUAAAUAGCAAUUCAAAUUAGAUUUACUAGGUUCUUUUUGACAAAAAAUGAUAGAAAACCAAUUAUAUAAAGUCCAAGGCUGCAGAAAAUAACUCAAACUGGUGAAAAAGGUAAGGACAAUAGCGGCAACAAACGCGAAUGUAUAAUCCUAUUCAUUCCACACUAGAAAUAAAAAUGAUUACCAACUCCCAGAUCUAAUUCAAUUUUCAACCAUCAUAUUACCCUUUUAAUAAUAACCACAAUGGGAUUUCCUUAAUGAAAUAACACAAUUAGGAAUAAUAUAUCAUAGUUCCAAUUGCAAGCUCAAAUCCAGGAUCAGUACACCCUUGUUGCUUCGUAAUGCUACAUGUACUCAAAACUCAAAAGUCAAGAAAUAAAAAGAUGUGACAAUAGUAUCACCUUGAAUGCUGGUCUAGCUCAAAACUAAGAAGACAAAUUCCACAACAGAGUAAAUUAACCUUUUUCGCUUCCAAAUGAUACUAAAUGUCAAAACUCCGAAGAACAAUGAGCUAUAGAAACAAAAAUCUAAGGUAGGCGGACAUACAUUGUUCCUUAGACUCCACAAUUAGAAAUAAAAAUUUAAAAAGGAGGAACUUCAAAGUUUCCAGAAAACAUUGUUUUGCUGAUUCCGAAAUAAAAUUCGAGCAAAAGCUUUAAGGAUUUCAGCAAACAAUUUCCUCGCAAGAUAUUGUAGGAAAUAUGCCAACGAUGGUCUAAAACAGCUAGCUAUAUAUGAGUGAAAGAGGACCGCCGAUCCACUUAGUGAACACCUAUUAGCACAUAGAGCUUAAAACUUUAAACAGAAAUUACAAUGAAUAUGAAAAAUCUUGCUCUAACUCUAUCCAUACAAAAUCUUAAGAUUAGAUCUAAAUGGCCCAAAUGAAAUAUAUUAAGAUUUCAACAACGAUUUCUAGAUUUAUCUAGUAGUCUCCUGCAAAAUUUCUAUUUCAUUAGGAAAGAAAAGGGAAUAGUGAGGUCACUGACGGGCAAAGAGAUAGAAAAUAAGGAAGCGAAAGCAAAAGAAAAAUAGGGAUGAGGUCCACAGGUUCGUUCCUCUCAGUUAUUCUUUUGCAAAAUUCUAGUCCGUCCCCCUUUUUUAUGGUAACUCCAUCUCUUUCUCUUGUCCAGUUCUUGAUUCCAUCAUCUCAAAAUCUACUUAUACCCAAAUCAAAAGGUCAAAAGAAGUAAAGUAACAGCAGAAACCAUACAGAUUCAAAAUUAAAGGGAAACAACAAGGAGGAUGACAUGGAAUCAUACCCGCUCAUAAUUUUAGUUCACUUUGUGUGUAGUUAACCAAAGAAACACCACACAUUAUCGACCUACAUCUUACGACAAACAGCUUACAUACUUCAUUCUUUCUGAAUCAUUUGUUACAAUCCCACUAAACCACAUCCCUAGCAACUCCCAUGGUUACCUACGGUCCCAAAAAACGUCUAUAACAAAAUGCAUUAGCAUCCAUACAUCAUUUUUUUUUUUCCUCUAAUUCAAUAAUCUCCAUUUUUUCCCCUAACCAAACAUACUUCCAAUCAGAUCGACAAGGAAGGAACAAGAAUUCACCACAGAAACAAACAAGAAUUCACCACAGCGCAGAUCCCAAUAGAAGAUUAAGAAAGGAGAUCCACGAACCCUAGAAAGCGACCAUCAAGCACAUUCCCAGUCAUCUUUCACACAACAGAGGUUUACAGAUCAAUGCAUAUAUUAUCCAGAUUAGCUUUUUGAAAUAAAAAGACAUUCCAUCUCUUGCUCUAGUCAAAUUUCUCGAUCCGAUCAUCUCAGAAUCUACUUAUAAUCAGAUCAAAACGUCGAAAAAAAACAAUUUAACAAAAGAAAUCGAAAAAAAAAAGGCAAACAGCGAAGGAACGAGAUCAAAAAACCCUAGAAUCGGACGUCAAUCCAGAGACCUCAUCGGGGCGAAAUCGAAACCCUAGAAUAGAGAAAUCAAAAGGGAGGGGGAGCGAAUGGAAGCCGUACCGGAUCGAAGUUGGAGGUGGUGUUGACGGUGAGGAGGGAGAUCUCGUCGACCUUGGGGCGGAACACGGCGAGCUGGGCGGAGCCGGAGGAGGAGAGGGAGAGGCGGCUGUCGCAGGGGGAGAGCUGCUGCGCCCGGUUGAAGAAGAAGGCGUCGCGGCUCGAGAAGGCGACGCCGAACGUGAACCCGUCCCCCCGCUGGAUCCUCGCGUCGGCGCACGGNGUCGUCGGAGGCAGCAGAGAAGGAGGGAGAAGGAGAGACGGGAAGGGCAGGGAGGAGCGAGAGAGGCGCCGUCGUCGGAAACUGUGGAGGAGAGUCAGAGAAGAAAAGAAAAGAAAAAUGCAAAAAAAAAAAAAGUCACAGCCCGGCCUUAGGGGAAUCGGAGGCGAGGAAAGUGGGGGCAUCGGCGGCGACACCGCUCUGUCUUCGCCGCUCUCUGGGAAGAGAAAGAAAAAAAAAGAACGAGAGAAAAAAAGAGAAAAGAAAAAGGUAUAAGGGCACCUCGGCUCCGUCUUCGCCGCUCUCUGGGAAGAAAAAGAAAAAAGAACGAGAGAAAAAAAGAGGAGAGAGAAAGAGGAAAGAGAAAAAGGUAUAAGGGUAUUUUGGUCAGUUUGCUGAAAAAGCGGACCGAAUCUGUAAAAGCCAAAAAGAUGGCCCGAUUUUGCAAAAGCCCAAAAUAAGUGGAUUUUUUAUGCAAAUUGGCCUAGAAAAUCUACAUACUAGAAAGUGUAGGAUGCAAGAUUUUACACCUAUGAUAUAUGUGUACAGGUAGUUUGCUCUAAAAAUCUUACUAAUUUUAUUUUAUGUUGAUAUUAACUAUAGCCAUUAUUAUUUUAGUUUCAUUUACAAAUAAAUUGGAUAAAAUCUGUAAUUUAAUCAAGCAAGAUGACUAAGAAAAGAAUCCAAAAGUUAAGGAAAAGUUGAUAAAAUAAUAUUUAUUCAUGGUUGAGGGACCAUUUUUGAAUUGAGUGGUUUUGUUACAAAGCAUUAAAUAACAUUACAAUACAAUGUUGGAAACUUGCUUUAAUCCUGGUAAACCAAAUUUCAUCAAUAGAAACAAAAUUUAAAAGCAAAAGACAACAAUGCUAAACACUUAUAUAUAAAUAACAUUCCAAGGUUCACUCACAGACUCAAAAAAAUGGUACUAAGAAAAAAAAAAUAAAUAACAUUACAAUACUCAAAACAACCAGAAUACAGCAACAGAACAAGCUCUCUCUCCCAGUGAAAUUUCAGAAUGUUCAGCCGCGACAAUCCAUACAAUAUAAACACAUAAAAAUGCAAAAUAGCACAACCCCAAGACUAAAAGAUUAGUGAUUUAUACACAGAUAGUUCGAUACUACGAAGGAACAAACGUGUAUCAACCACUAAAUAGUAAUAAAUAUCCUUGAUCAACAGAAGAUGGCUUAUCCGGUUUGUAGUUCGACUCUCUUCGGAGCAGGCUCGAGAGGCUUCACGCCAUUUUUCAAUUCGGAUUUCGGAGUAUCUUUGAUGGGUUUUUGAGGCUGGUGAAGCGCGGACUUGACAGGCUUUCCUGCUUCUAUACCUGUUUGAUAUGAAUUACAUCAGAGAAACCGGUCAGAACCUUUUUACCUGAGAAUUAUUAAUUCGGUAUAAAUUAAAAACAGAAGGUGAAAUGUAGGAAACUAAUUGAGUUACAUGGAAAAUCUAAAAUUAGUUUCUCUUCAUAUACGUGUUAUGCAUGCUACUGAGUGGCAGCUUAAAACGGAACCAUACCUGAAAGAAAACUACAUGAAAAUAUGAAAUACAUGCUUAUCAAAUAUCUCCUUAAGCCGCUGCAAUUGAAGCUUCAAAGCUUUAUUUUAUAUAGCAGGGUUUAAGCCCCCAGACAUGAUAAUGUGCAUUAGUAGUCAUAUCAACUAUCCAGUAGAAAGAGUUGCUCAUGAACCAUAACAUGUGAAAGAACAAUUGCAGCAGACUUGCAACAGGAAGAACUUACAAUGCAUUAAGCAAUUCUAAGGGGACGAGAAUAACUCUACCAGUACAGAGGAUUGAACUUACCGCCUUUUGGCAGGGAUAGUCUUCUUUUAGCUUGUAAAUCUUGUUGUGCGGGCCUCUCUUUUGGAUUGCUAUAUGACCGAGUGCCAGGUUCAGAAGGUCGGGAGAUGGCUUCCUCAGAAAGCUCUUUGGACCGUGGCUUUAGCUUCGAGGUAGAAGACACUAGCACACCUGCAGAACGGCUUGAUGAAGAGCCACUUCCCUCAGAGUGCGACGGGCCCACCUUUUGGUUCAGAACAUUGGAAUGAAGAGUCGAAAUGGGUUUUUUUCCGGGUGUUUUGUACUGCGUCUUAGUUCCACUUCCCUCAGCCUCUUCACUCUCAUGCACCGCCGUUUCGUCUUUAAGAUUUAUGUCGAGGAAUCGGUUCUCCCAUGGACGGACCGCCAUCCAUCUCUCUAGCCAUUUCCAGCCCCAAUUGUUCUUGUCAGGGUCAAACCCUGCAGAGGUAGCCUGCUGCCUGGAACCCGCUUGCCACUGAAAUGAGUAAAACGAAAAACUCUUAAUCAGGGGGGCAAAAAAUCUUAAUCAGUAAGAGCUAAUUCAUACCAAGUUGAAUUCCGAGGUCUAGCAAUCUCCAUUAAGAAUGCACCAAUGAUCCAAACAGACCAAAACUGACACAUUUUUUCUUUUUUGUCAGGUCAAUUCUAUUAACAAUGCUAUUUAAAGAAAAAGCUGAAACAAGGUCUGUCGUAGCAAAAUUAGCAUCAUGUCAACGUAACAAAUCUCAACGCAUCCAAUCUAGUACUAUCCCACGCCAAGUGGUGUUCUUAUUCGAAGUUACCUGAUGAGUUAGAGCAUAUGCCAUGGCUCUCUCACGCUUCGCUGCAGCUUCUUGCCUUUUUAGUAAUUUUGAUUGUAUUUCCUCCACCGAUCCAACACUGUCACACCAGCCUUCCUGCAUUUAAAUGAUACAAUGGGGAACUUACAAGCCACCAGCAGAUUACAUCAAGAAUAGGAUUGUCCCAGGACCCCACUUGGUGGGAUCAUAACUGGGAAAUCACCUUUUAGUGAAAAAGGUCAUAUCCCAAAAUUUAUGACAAAUGGAAGUUAUCGAGGAAUAGUUGCAUUAACGAAAUAGUGAAUGCCACAUGUAGUUAUUUCCAACAUGGAAAAAUAAAUGGCAUUUUAAAUCCUGCUGUAUAUUUAGUACUAGUCUACUAGAAUAAUUAUUAUCAGACUGAUUAAUUAGAUUUCUCAGGGUACUAUGCGUAGGAGUGCUAAUAGGUUUGGUGGAUCCAGAUUACAAUCUGGGAAAGGGUGACAGCAUACAAAAGCAGGCUCACUGUAACUUCGGGCUAGGCCCGACGAAACACAACCAGGCCUUUUUAACCUCACGGUCUUCUACAAGCUAGGCUGUGUUAAGCUCAACAACUAAACAGUUAUCAAGAUCCGAAUCUUUACGGCUAGCUAGACCAGGCAAGUCUGGUCUGGAUGUCCUUCCAUUGUUAGUAUUUUUUUCAUGGAAGUAAAGACUACUGCUUUGUUCCAAAAUGAUCAUGUUUCUUGUACACACAGACUUCUCUCAGAAAUUGCAUGACUUUAAGCAUGAGGAAUUGUUUAGUCACGCUACAUAAAUUUGCCAACUAGUCAACUUUGAGAAGAUUGCAGUCAUGCUGAGAACCAACUAUUAAUAACAAGUAUAGGAAAAGAAAUCUGUGGAGCAUCUCUGCUUUAUUUUCGUCCUCUAUAACAUAUGCAACUGAAAACAUCUAAGAAAAGGUCUUAAUGUUGAUGAUUAAUACUGCUUUAGAUUUAGAGCAACAUUAGUGCAAGUUGUUGGGUAGCUCAACUCACCUCAAUCUCCCGAAUAUGGGCCUCAUGAUCUUGUUCUUGAAUCUUUGCCUCGCCCGACUGACUUUCUAAAGCCAUGCGAACCCUCCUUGCUCUGACACGAGCCUGAACUCUUACCAAAGCUUGCAUACAGCGAAGUGUUACUGCCGCUUGUUUUCUGACGGCAUGACCCCUCACAAGGGCCUGAAGUCUAACCAAUCCUUUUAAAGCUCGUAAAGCUCGUCUAGCCUGAAAAGUCAAUCAAUCAUAAGUAACUGAUUGCAAGAUAUCAAGAACAAUCACACAUUUGGAAUAUAACCAAAAUGCAGAGUGCAGAAGCUCUUUAGCCUAUUCUCACAUGUUUGAUCAGAACCUUUUCAACUAAGCAAAGCAAUCUGCGAGUCAUGAACCAAGUUAGGUAAACACCUUUGAACACAAUAUCCAACUUGGACAAAACGAAGACACUACUAGCUGAUUCUGGUGUUCCACAACUACUCAGCCCUGUAGCAAUGCUAAUGCUAGACAAUAUUUACAUUGUAGUUUAAUAAUUUAUGAGCCACAAUUACCAGCACCUUGGAAACAAAGAUAUUAAGAGCACAUUAUUAAAGGACAUUACACAAUACCAGGAAAGCUCGAAAUGCGGUUUGAAUAACUGUGGCAGCCCAGUUCUCUUUCGCAUCAUGCUCAGUUUGAGAAGACACUGGCAUAAGAAGUGAGGUACUGGGAUUUGAGCUUGAUUGGGCAUCUCCAUUGCCGGUCGAAGAAGUACCAACACUGAACUCAUCCUGACCAGUAGAAUUUUUUCCAUGGUGCAGCAACUGAUCAUCACCAAUGCUAUUCUGCGACAUUAUCAAUUCAUUAGUGAGGAUAAGCAAAUGGAUUAAUACACACGAGGUUACGACGCUGAUGUCAGCUAGCCAUAUCGAGACAAAUUAACAAGGAUGCAGCGACUUAGCAUGAUGUCGUUUUGAUGGAGUCCAGAUCUCUUGAAAUUGCUAUCAUCUCUCUUAAACAAAAAGUGGGCAGCUGGGGACUCCAGAUUGACAGAGAUAGCAAUUGGUGACAAUAUGUGACACAGGAAUCACAAGAUCCAGAAGGGAAAUACAUGAUAGAUAGGAGGAGAGUGAAGGAAAUAUGCUAAUAAUCACAUUUAAGAGUGCAAACCGUUGGUUGGAUCUUAUGUAGAAGAUUGACGUAAGUAGAUGUCAGUACGGCUUCAAGUGUUACUUUAUUACAAGUUUACGUGUCAAAAACUGAUAUCAAGUAAUUUGUCCAGCACAACGAUCAAAAGCAUAUCCAACAUACAAGGUUAACAAUCUAGCUAGGGACAAAUCUCAUACAUGCUCUCCAAGAAUAGCCAAGUUCUUUCAAAAAAGUCUCCAGAAGCUGGCAAACAUCCAGUAAACAUAAUGCACAUAAUAAUUGGAAUCUUAUAACGUGAAUCUAAACAAACAUAACAAUAGAAUAUGACCAAGGAUGAUGAACAAAUUGUUCAAAACAAUAUAUAAAUCUUCAUGGAAUUUGUCUUACUCACAUUUUUAUCCUCUGGAUCCCGUGAUUUCUCAGGUUUUCUCAGACCAACUAAUGACCGAAGCCACUUAGCAGGGAUACCCAUUUCCUGUUACGUAAAAUUUCAGAAGAUCAAUGCCUGCAGCUGCAAAAAGAGAAAAACAGUUAGUAUGAGAGCUCCAAGCGUCACUUUUGUAUGUAAUUAUGCUCGUAAAGGGACGAGAAAACAGUAAAAUGCUGAUCUAGACAACUUGACAUUAAGCAUCAAUAUUUUUCUUCUCCCACUAGAAGGUAGGAUGCACUGAAUUCAAUUAAAGAAAGCUUGAAUUGAACUUCAUUAUGACACUAGCAGUGAAAAAUUGUCUUAUUUAGUUAAGAAAGCUCACUUAGAGAGGUAUAGAGUAAAGUAUAAAAAGUGCACUUUAUCAGUCAAUGAAACUCUCAAUAAGAAUUAUUCAGUAACUAUGCAUUGGACAACCAUGACAUGAGACAAUAAAUCAAAGGCCUGAAUUAAAAUUAUACAUAUAAGUACCAACUAAAACUAAAGAACACAGACAUAACAACUGAUAUUGCUACCCAAAAAAAACAUAUUUUGUUCACUCCACACAGUCGAUUUCGUAAUAACUAACAGUCCGAAUGCUAUGGAUGAGUUAUUGAUGCAAAUUUUUACUAGAUCAACAGCAAUUCGCAGCUUCCGCAAACAUCACCACAAAAAGAAAAGUCACAAAACCUUAAUAACUCUGCUCAAUAACCGCAGAGAGUAUCAUUUACCCUACGAAACAAAGUCAACAACACUGAUCGCAACAAAGCACAAAUUACUCCACCCAAACCCCCAACCAAACACAUUCAAACACAUUCGACUUCAAUCUCCCACACGAAUCAAAGUCAAAACCUUUUUUUUUUUCUUUUUUACCUCAUCAAAUCAAACAUGCAUUGCACGGAUGCUCCAAUCCCGGCGAAGCCGCUUCGAUCCCCCGAUCCGAUCAAAAAAACUCGAAGAAACACUCUAAAAGAAACCCCGAAUUCGAACCAAAUUCGAACUAAAACCCCGCGAAUCCAAAAUUCAAACCAGAUGCUUCAAAUUGAGCUCACAAAAGCGGCGGAUCUGGGAAUCUCCUGUUAGAAAUUAACAAAAAGGGGAUGAGAAAUUCCAAAGGGGAUUCACCUGAGGGAAAGAGAGAGAGAGGCGAGGGGAUAUACCAUUUGCCCCUCUUUUUCUCUCUCCUCACCUCCUCCUCCUCCUCCUCCUCUCUCUCUCUCUCUCUCUCUCUCUCUCUCUCUCUAAAAAAAAGCUCGUUUUCGCUCCCGCUGUAGGAUUCUGAACAAAAGGAAUCGCCUUUUUCUGUAUACGCCCUUUUUCACUGUUGAGAGCUCAGAUGUAAUUAUAUCAAUUUUUUUUUAAGGUAAACUUCAAGUACCACCUCGGGGUUUUGUACUUUCUCAAUUUAGUACUGUAUAGCUUAAAAUGUAUCAAAUUAGUACAUGAGGUUUCAUUUUUUUUUAUCAGCUCCUUCGUUAAUAUUUCGUUAAAUUAUAUACAAAAAACUUUAGAUACCUCAGCUCGAUUUAUCGAACAUUCACUUUAGUAUCCUUUAGUUUUAACUUCCUUACUAAUUUAACGAAAAAAAAAAUAGUUGAAUGAAUAAUAAAAAAAAUAAAAUAAAAUCAUAGAUACUAAAUUAAUACACUUCGAAUUAUAGAAUACUAAGGUGAAAAAGUAUGAAACUAUAGGGUGGUAUUUGAAGUUUGUUCUUUUUUUUUCUCAUUUAGUUACUAUUCUCUCGAGGAUAACUUAAUAAUAACACAAAGCUGAUUACGUGGCAUAUUUUUAUUGGAUUAUUAUUUCACAGCUGUGUUGAAUGUAGUGCCACGUCAUCUGUUCUGUGAGUAGUCAAACUACGCCUCUGAUCGUGAUGCGCGUGGCUUGCACAGAUAGGUUGAAAAUGUAUUGAGACCCCCUUGACUAUAGAGUUCUCCGCGGUAGGCCCUUAAACUUUUUUUUUUAAAAAAAAUUACUUUGUACGUCCUAUUAUUAAAUUUAAUAGUAUUAUUAUCAAAUAAACAUCAUAUUUUUUUAUAAAAAUUAUAAAAUUUAUCUAAACUACAAAUCAUUUUAAUUUAACUAUUUAUUUCUUAAAAAAAUAAUUGAAAUAUUUAUUUAAUUUAAGCCGUUUGAUGAAUAUUUUAACAUAAAACUUAAGAUAAUUAUUUAAUUUAAUAAAUUAAUAAUUAUAUAAUUAUUAACUGACUCAAAUUAAAUACGUUAAAAAGUUGGAUAGCAUACUUAAAAUAUUUAAAAGAUUAAAUAGUUUGUUUAAAAUUGAUGAUAGUUAAGAUAAGUUUUAUAUAUAUAUAUAUAUAUAUAUAGAGUUCGGCUACUAUGCUAUCGGUAGCACGGAGCGCUCCGUGCUACCGAUAGUAUAGUAGCCUAGCUCUAUAUAUAUAUAUAUAUAUAUAUAUAUAUAUUGGCCUAAAAUUUUUAAUUUAAUUGAUCAAAAUCAAAAUCAUAUAAUUUAAAUUUAAAAAUAACAAAAAAAUGUGUAGAAAAACUCAUUUCGAAAUGGCCAAUAGUUGAGGAGGGAUGUUUAUAUACGUAACACUCCCAAAAAAACAAAAAAAAAAAAGCCUUAGUUAAUUAUUAAAAAAAUCAUUAGAUUUCCUAAUUAGGCCGGCCCCACGUGUCAUUAAUUAAAAAAUUAGAAAUUAGGGAAACGGUCCACGUGGUGCGUGGCAGGAUAAUCAUAAAUAAUAAUAAUAAAACUAGUGUAGUAACUCGCGCGAUGCGGCGGGCAAAAUAUAAAACAAACUGAAGAUGUUGAGUGAAAAUUGUGGAAAAAAAUGUUUAGAUAGUAAUAUACUCAUUCACUAUUAUUUUAUAAUAUAAAAUAGAUUCUUAGAAAUAUUCUAAUCCUUGGGAUACAUAUGCCAUGUAUGCUUUUCGUCCCUCAGAAUUGUGUGUAGAAUCCCUAAAAAAUCAAUAUACGUGUCACAACAUAAAUGCCAAUUACAAAAAAAAUUGUAUACUAAGUGAAAUUUGAUGAUAUAAGAUUCAAACAAAAUUUACAUUCGAAUAACCAUCACGCCUGACCUUUUCAAUUCUAAAUCUCGAAGGAAAAGAAUAUCCUAAAUAGCAUGCUGACUUAUGGGAAUGUCGAAACCCAAAUCGAUGGCAAGUUCAGCAUUGCAAGGAAAAUGAUAUUGAAGUCGACAGGAGGUUGAUAAUUCUCGUCCAGAAUACAUGACAAAUUAGAUCCAAUAUAACGUAGCCCUGCAAUAAGACAAAAAUGAAAAGCGAAGUUUCUUAUUCCAUUGAGCAGAACACAAUGUUGAUGAUGUUCUGUUUCUUAAUACCUCAUCUUACAUGCUCUUCACCCACAUUCCAUCGCUUGAGCGCAAGUACACAUGCAUGCCAAUGUGGAAGAUAGAGCAUCUUUCAUCAAAGAGGGAUGAAUGUGGUCAAGUCCCCAGGAUCCAUUAGAAUUUUGAUUUUGUAACAUCCAAUCGACGCACUGAGGGAAGUACGGGGUUUGAGGAGAUCCAGGAGAAGGGACCAUGGCUAUCCAUGCCAUGUCAUACGAAGAAACUGAAUAUUCGACCUUACUUAGCUGCUACCUUAUUCGUUUCUCCGAUUUCCUGGAACACUACAGCCACUUCUAAUAAGAUGCUUAACUCGACCACAAAUUUAUCAUAUGGAGAUUUCAAAAUAAGAUGGGAUCGAUAAAUCUAAUACCAUUACUGAGAGGUUCGCGCUGCUUGCUACUUUCGCAUCAUCCAAAUUUGCUGUAUACGAAAACGAAGCAGUUGGCAAUCAGCAAAAGUCAAAUAAAUGUAACACCAGAGCAAGUGAAAUAUGCAAAUGUCUUUUCGUGAUAAUUCCAACCAAUCUAGUUAGAAGUUGACAUGAUAUAGCUAGAUCUAACGCAUGCUGCAAUUUGAAGAUAAUCCCAUAUUUGGCAUUUAACAUAUUCUCCUAAAAAAAAUAAUACACAUAACUUUAAUUGUCUUAUUGAGACAAAUGUAAAUAAUAUAAUUUAAUGCCACGUUUACUUGUAUAAUAGCAACAGUUGAAUAUCAAUAUUAAAUGCACCAUACUCUCUUAGAAAAGUAUUUCGUAAUCACAAUGGUGGGAAAGCUAAGUUAGUAUAUUUUAAGAAAACUAUACAUGAGAUGCUUCAGUAUUAAAAAUUAGAAUAUUAAAAAAAAAUGUUCUUCAUACUUUUUAAUAUACUUUAAAAUUAUUAAAACUUUUAAUGUAAAUGUGUUUUACUCUCUACAAAAUAACUUAUAGAAUAAAUUUUAAAAGAUCAUUGAAAAGAAAUAUCUAUAUUUGUGAGGAAUAAGGUGAAAAUUCAUUCUGUUCGUCUUGUUGUAAUUGCUCGUUUGGUUGGAUAAUAGACCCUCAUAUGGUUUGAUUGCUUUGUAUCCCAACGUAGUGCAUGUAUAUAAAGAGAAGACUCUCCAUAUAGACAAUAAAUCCUUUAUGUAUGUGACAGGCCUGUUUGUGUUUUGGUUAAGUUUCUACAUCCUCGGAUUUUCAAAAAAAAAAAAAAUAUUGAGCCUUUUUUUUGAGAAAAUCCUUUCCAAUUUGGUAUCGAUUUUUUGUUUUUUUGAACUAAAAACCUAAUAAGGGGCUUUUGUAAAUUUUGGGAUCCACACCGAAUAAGAGAUGUACACGUAGCAUUUUCCUUUCUUUUUUUUUUUGUGGGGGGAGGCAAGCACAUUCUCGCAAAUGCUCUCGAGGCGUGGAUCUUUGGGCAAAAUCUUUUGAUAAUUAAUUUUUUUUAAAAAUUAAAAUUUUAAGUAGUCCAUCUCUUUAAUUGAAGUUGUCUUUGCAUAUAAAUAGAAUCUUAUAGAGCUUCAAAACUCUUAGAGUUGCUCGAAAAUUUGAGAAUGAAAUUAAAAUUCAAAUCAAACUUUCAAAAAUAUCUUUGUUAUUAGACCUUCUUUACAUUGUCAUUUCCAUGAUAAUUGAGCUUGAGUAGUUUUCGUUGCGCUUCUUAUGUCUACAGAGAAAUCGUUUCUCUAUAAAAUCUUAUCCAAUUAUUCAAUUGCCUUCGAAAGUCAAGGCACUUUUGAACUACUUUUUUUGCUUUUGGAGAUUGUAUUUGCUAACUUUCUAUUUGCUUAGGGUCCUAAUCUCAGGAGGAGUACCAAACUUUAUUUGAUUUAGUAAACUUGAACUUGCACUUAAAAGCUUUUGAAUAGAAACAAACUAAUCAUAGAAUGGUUUAUCUAUUCUCAUUAUUUUCUCUCUUUUUAAUUACCAUAUGGAAAAUAUUACCAGUAGAUUGAAGCAGCAUCAGCAGGUGAUGUAGCAGCAGCAGCGGCAGUCUACAACAGCAGCAGAUGACAGCAAUAGUAGUUUGCAAUGUAAAAAUAGGUAAAGCUAAAGAAAAAUAAUUCCUAAUAUAUCUUAAAAUAAAAACGGGUAGUUAAGAAUAGAUUAAACUAAACUAAACUAAUCAAAAGAGAUAAACCAUUAGGGUUAAGGGCAAAUUGAAUCAAACCCUACCACCCCCACACCGACCUGUGUCGUCGCAGCGGAGCUCCUCGCAGGCGGAGCAUCCGGCGACCAUGGUGUCCACCGCCGACGACCCGCUGCCGUCCAUAGCGCGCUACGUCGCCCUCGCCGCCUCCCGGAACGCCCACGUGCUCACAACCACAGGUUGCCCUAGCGCCGCAUCCACCUUCACCUCCACGAUGAACACAGGAGAGAGAGAGAGAAUUAGAGAGAGGAAGAAUAUCCAUACAAAAAUUUUAGAGAUGAGAUGAUCCUUACCGUAAUAGAGAGUAGGUAGAGGGGGAGGAGGAGGAGACGGAGAGGAGGCCUCAUUUUGGGAGCGAGCAUGAACCAAAUCCAUUUUUCAGGCAUUAGGGGGAGCAACCAACAGGAUCGAAGCGACGGAAGGAGUAAUAGACGCUAUCGAAGCGACGGGAUAGCAGGGAUCGAAGCGGCGAGGGGAGAGGGUCGAGAGUCGAAGCGAUGUGGGCAAAGGGAUCGAAGCGGUGAGGGGAGAGGGUCGAGAGUUGAAACGGCAGGGGUAGAUCGAAAAAAGAACCUAUUUAGAAAUAAAACCGAACAUGAAAACCUACAGGUGGGACCCAGGACGGGUCCACGUGUACAACAAAUUAAGAAUAGAUUAAGGAUAAUAUGACACGUGGAUAGGCUAAUACGGGAAUUAAUAGAGGAUAUAUAGAUAAUAAUAAUAUAAUAAUUAUUAAUAAUAGUAAUAUAAUAAAUAACAAGAGAAUAAUGGAUAAUAAGUACGCCAAAGUGGCUACGCAUUUAUGGUUAUACCAAAUAAUAUAUAUAAUUAUUAAUUAAUAUUGUAUUGUUGGGUAUUUAAUACGUAGACUAGAAUUACACGUCAAACCGCGAGAGUCUAACAAUUAAUUCUCUUCGAUUAUUUAAAAUAUUGUACAUAUAAUAUUGUAACUACGUACUUAUAAAAAAUAAAACUUUUGAAAAAUAUAAUAAUUUAUUAAUAUCCUGUUUGUAUUUAAGAUGGCAAAAUAAUAGAUUUUGAGAUAAACUAAACUUUAUAUUUAAUUACUUUUCUUUUACCUCAUGUUCCAUAGCCAUGGAUGUAAUUUUUUUUUUAUUUUGCUAUUUAUUUGACAUAAAGUGAAUAAUGUAAAAAUAGUCGUUAAUAUUUUAUUAUUUUUUACUAUAUUUAUUUAGAAAAAAUAGCAUGCUACUUACUUCAUUUAUAUUUUUUUAUUAAAGAUAAACUUAGCUGGAAAUGUGACAAAAUUAAACUUCGAACUUAGAACAACUAGUAGUAAUUUAUCAAGCGAUUAGCCACCUGCUUUAGGGACCAUCAGUUAAUUUAUUUUUUGUGUAAUUGGCUUUGAUCACUUCGGGAUUGUUCGAAGUCAAUUACGAUAUUUUUAAGAGUUUGAGUUUUGAAUCAAAGUGAUUUUACGGGAUAUCUAACAUCGGAAGUGAAUAUUUACAAUCAAAAAUCACCUCACUUCUCUUCACUUUCGAUGCAAUAAAUGCAACCAUAAUGACUUUAAUGUUAAAAACUAAUUUCUAAUCCAUUUUACAUUCAACUAAAAUAUUUCUUUAGAUCUGCGCUUCAGUAGUAUUUUAGAGCAAUUGCAGUUCAAAAAAUUACUCAACACUUAUUAACAAAUUAAAUAUAUAAGAUCAGUUUUAUGAAUCUUCAAGAAAUAGUUUAUGGUUUAUCAUCAUAGGAAAAUUAGUAAAGGUGUAAUUUUUAGGGGCCUAAUUUGUCAAAUGCAUAAUAGAAAAAAGCUCUUCAUCUCUUCAUUAGAUCAUAUUAUAUUGAAAAAUAAUAUAUAUUAAAGGCUAAAUUACUGAAAACCUUCAUGUAAUAACUUGCUUUUUCACUUUCCCUUCCUGACAUUUAAAAAUCUACACUUUUUUUUCUUGUAAAAUAAAAAAUGUGCACUUCAUUCCCUACCGUUAGGGUUCCAUUAUAAAAUAUUUUUUUAUGCUGAAAAUACCCCUUCGCCCUCUUCUUUGUUGCUUCGCCUCCCUCUGGCUCGCCGCCUCGCCGCCUCGCCUUCCUCCACUGCCUCACCCUCGCCCUCGCCCACAUCCCCUUCGCCCUCCUCCUCCACCUCGCCUUCGCCCUCGUUGCCCUUGCCUACCUCUCCAUCAACACCCAUCUCGAUUUCCUCUCUACUAUCAUCGAAAUCAAGGGGGUGGCGAGGGUGCAGAAAGAGAAGGGGAGCAGAUGGAGAAGGAAAUCGAGAGAAAUCGAGGCCGAUUGAGGGGGAAAUCGCGGCCGAUCGAAGGGGCGGCUGAGGAAGAUGAGGAAGAAGACGAAAAUAGCGAGGGACAAAAUGAUCAUUUUACACACCGUAAUCUUCCUGUGAACAUUUUUCAUUUUACAAUGGGACAAAAUGUAGAUUUUUAAAUGUCAGGAAAGGAAAGUGAAAAAACGGAUUAUUAUAGGAGGGGUUUCUAUAAUUUAGCCUAUAUUAAAUCAAUUCAAACAUUGGACCAACAUAAAUAACUCUUGGAAAUAAUGCAAAAGCCAAUCUUAAUUAGCAUUGUUCUUAGGAUAUGUUUAUGUUAAUGCACGUCAACUUACAAUAUUUUUAUGUAUAAUAGCGCGUCGUGUUUACAACAAAACUAUGAAUAACAUAUGCAAAAUAAAUGGUUGGUGGACUUUUUGUUUUAAUUUUUGUGGUAAACCAUUUGUUUAGUACGGUUUUAUAAAUAUGUUAAAUAUAAUUUGUUCUAAAAGAUAAUAUAUUUAUUUUUUGCUUUUUUUUUUGUUGGAAAAAGAAAAGGACAUGAAAGGAAGGGAGAAAAAAAAUUUGUGCUAAAUUCAAAACAGUUGAACUUACAUUUUCACUAAAACACGUAAUUAAUUAUUAACAUGUAACUCUUAAGUAUAAUAGUUUAAUAAUAGAAUAAAUAUUAGUAAUUCUUAAUUUUUUUUUAAUAGUACAACAUUUUAAAACCAAAGCCCAAUUAGAUAGACACAAUCCACGCUAUCUAAAAAUUUUAUAUAUAAAAAGUUAUAAAAUUUAAAAAUAUAUAUAUUACUAAAGCGCCAGGUAAUAACCUUAAUAUCGGCUAAAAAGUAGGGUCAUAACUCCAUUUGUAAGAGGAAAUAUUCAAAAAAUUUUGAUCUUUUAUAUUUAAAUUUUUUAAUGCUAUUAAAUAUAUCUUAUCAAUUAAAUUUUAAUUUGGGUAAAUUGCAUGUUUGGUUCACAAACUCUAAGGCGGGUGGACACAAUGGUCCUUAGACUUUAUUUUUUUGUAAUAUAUUUGACUCGAAUUUUCAGAUUUGCUACAAUUAAAUUUUAGAACCCAAUUUAGUUAACUAAAUAUUAUUAUAUCGCUAAUAUAGAAGUGAUAUAAUAAUAUUAUGAUUGAUAAUGCGAUAUAAUUAAGAUGUUAUCAGCAUGUAGUGAGCAAAAUUAGGAUGUAGAAAUUAACUAACUUAAUUUUGAAUAUUCGAACAAAAAAUUAUAACAAAUUAAAAUUUGAGGACCAAAAUACCACAAUGGUUAUAGUUUGAGGAUCAAAAUUACAAUUUAUCCUUCUAAUUUUGAGACAUUUAUCACAUGCACCCCGUUCAGGUUAUAAUAGUACAAAGUUCAGGGACCUGCGCGUAGUUUUUGCAACUCAUAAAUUAGCUCGGAACGCUUUCGGCGAGAAAGAUACGCGAAUCUUCUCCGCAGCGUCGAUCUCGUCCGUCCAAUAAGCAGCCGACGGACGAGAUCCGUUCCCGCUCCCAGAAACUCUCAUCAGAGUCUCGACCAUUCGAGAACCUUCCCCGCUCUCUCCCCCCACCAACUAUAAUUUCCGCCUCUCAUUUACGGGAGGCUCCAAAAUCGCAUCUCCAUCUCCACCGCGUCGUCUUCGUCUUCGUCUUCUUCGUUGAGAUCGUGUUCGGAUCGGAGGAUUAGAGUUAGGGUUAGGGUUAGGGUUAGGGUUGGGGUUAGGUUUUCGUCGCCGAGAUGUUCGGGAGGGCGCCGAAGAAGAGCGACAACACGAGGUACUACGAGAUCCUCGGCGUGUCGAAGAACGCGUCGCAGGACGACCUCAAGAAGGCCUAUCGCAAAGCCGCGAUCAAGAACCACCCCGACAAGGGCGGGGAUCCGGAGAAGGUAAGCGAUCUCUGAUGCUGUUCCUCAUCCAGGUUGCCCUACUUUUGCUUUUCUUUUUUUAGCUCAUUGGAUCUUCGAUUAGGUUGUUGAAUUGAUCGAAUUGCUGUUAUUUUUUUAGAUGUUUCUGGUAGAGAAAACGUUUUAUCUUCGUGUGCCACUUUUGCAAGUAUAUGGGGAUUUUAAUUGCCUUGUUAUCUCUCUAUUCACGACGAUUAUAGUUCCGUCGAAUGGAAAUUGAUUUACUUAAAUUUACUAGUUAUGGUUUCAAGUUAGUGGAUUGGCUUGAUUCUAAUUUUUUUUAGCUAUUCAAACCUAGGGGAAUUGAUUGAAUUCAUAGUCCUAUUUUUUUUUGUGUUUGAAUCUUGAAAUUGUGGAGAAAGAAAAGAGAUUUAACAAUUUGAAGGCUCUGAACAACUUAGUUGAAUUAUCUUUUACCUGUUGAUUGCAAUGUUGGGGUGAAGGUUCAAGGAAGAGAAUGUUGUAGAAAGGAGUGGCAUAAGCUAAUUGUGAAUAAAAGGAAUUAGAAGUAUGUAGCUUGUUGGAAAUUCUGCAGUUUAAUUUGUUGAUCAGUUGGCGUGGUCAGAUUCAUCAAUCGGUGGGUUGUUUCUGUAGGGGGAUCUGGCUACGAGGUCAAUCGAUUGUAUGUCGGCCUAGAGUUGCUAAAAGCCUUUGAUUUGUUAUUUAGUUCAAUUUCUUUAAAGCUUUUAUGAAUCCAGGGGCUGUGGAAAUGUUGAUGGAACUUCUCGAAGCUUAAUGAGAAGAAGAAAUCAAACUAGUUGGUGCAGAAUGAGGGGUAGGAAGAAGUUAUGAAAGAACGUAGAGGGAUACAAUGUCAUUGAACAUUCAUUUUAAAUACCGUAUGGCUUAGUAUUGUUAUUUGUACUUGCCUUCUUACAAAAUAUGCAGCCAAAUUCGACCUACAAAUAUUUAAGUUUCUCGAUAAGUUCUUUUAUUUCAACUGAACUUAGUUAAAUGCAUCUUAAUCUGGUCAAGCGAAUUACCUUUGAAGCUGAGUUUAUGUAUUGGAAGUGUCCGAGGAGGAUUGAGAAGGAUUUUUGUUCGAACUCUGGUUUUGCGGUUGGUUGUAAGUGCGUCAUUUGUUAAUGCACCACAACUAGUUCAGUUCUUUGAUGCUGAUGAUGUGUGGGUUAUUUGACGAUGUUGUAUGUCGGUUGACAUAAAUUGUCGAAGGAUAGUUAUAAUUUGUCCUUUAUUAAGUUGGAGCUGAUUAGUAGGACCUGCUUGCUUUCAGUUCAAGGAGUUGGCGCAGGCUUAUGAAGUCCUCAGUGACCCAGAGAAGCGCGAGAUAUAUGAUCAGUAUGGCGAGGAUGCCCUUAAGGAAGGAAUGGGUGCAGGGGGAGGUGUGCACGACCCAUUCGACAUCUUCCAAUCAUUCUUUGGUGGAAGCUCCUUUGGAGGUAUGCAUCAUAUUUAAACAUGAUGAUUAACCUUUUUCUCUGUAGUUCAUCUUUUGCCAUCAAGUUACUGAUCUUUUCCGUUGUUACUGUGGCUACAAAGGUGGUGGAAGCAGCAGAGGCAGAAGGCAAAAGAGAGGAGAAGACGUGAUCCACCCUCUUAAAGUUUCACUUGAGGAGCUGUACAAUGGGACCACAAAGAAGUUCUCCCUUUCCCGAAAUAUCAUUUGCUCCCAGUGCAAUGGGUAAACACCCUACUUUCUACCAUAGUCACAAGUUUGGCAUUUGGAAUGAUUUUAGAAGGGUUGAAAAUUCUGGUUUCGACUAAUAUUCAGUAAAUUAAUAUCAGAUGUUUUGUCAAUGAAAACAUAAAUAUAUAAAGGAACAAUAUAACAUUUGUUAAUUUUCUUAAAUUAUUCCGAAAGGAACUUCAAAAUAUAAUGAAUCAGUCUGUUAAGAAUGAAAAUUCUUCCAAUUUUUUAAACUAGUGGAACAAUAUUUAGCUAAUCAUUCUUUCUGUGAUUUUGGUUGUUAAUAUUCACACGUUAACGCUAGCAGAUAAUUCAUAUAGUAUUGGCUAACCGAACUCUUGUAAAUUAUUCACAAACUUCUCGAAGACCUGGGGAUUGUUGUGACUAUGCUUUCCAUGAAAUGGCCAUUUUCUAACUUGUUAUUGUUCUCUUAACUUUUGCGACAUUGCACUUGGCAGAAAGGGUUCAAAAUCUGGUGCUUCGAUGGAGUGUGGUGCCUGCCAGGGCACAGGCAUGAAGGUCUCGAUCCGCCAGUUGGGGCCUAAUAUGAUUCAACAGAUGCAGCACCCAUGCAAUGAGUGCAAGGGCACGGGUGAGGCCAUCGAUGAGAAUGACCGGUGUCCACAGUGCAAUGGUGAGAAGGUUGUCCAGGAAAAGAAGGUAUUGGACAUCGUGGUUGAGAAGGGGAUGCAGCAUGGCCAGAAGAUCACCUUCCCUGGAGAGGCAGAUGAAGCGGUAUGUUCGAGUUUUUUAUGCAUUGAAAAUCCUGAAUUUGGGCACGUGUGGCACGUUUGGAGCUUACAAAUAAGUGCUGUUUGCUAGACUUGUGCGAAAAAGCACUUGUAUCUUCUCUUUAUUGAACAAUUUUCUCCAACAGCUGUCUGCGGACGCAGAAUUUUUAGAUGGGGAGCUUUUGCUUUCGGAGCUCAAAAGCUCAUUUUGGCUUCUUGCGCCACAAAAGCUCCAAAGUUUUAACCAAAGUUGUUGUUCCAUACCUUUUUAACUUAUUUUGUUUAUUUGGUGCAGCCCGACACAAUCACUGGAGACAUUGUGUUAAUACUCCAGCAGAAGGAUCAUCCCAAGUUCAAGAGAAAGGGCGAUGAUCUCUUUGUUGAGCACACAUUGUCUCUCACCGAGGCUCUAUGUGGGUUCCAGUUUGUUUUGACUCAUUUGGACAAUAGGCAGCUGCUUAUCAAAUCAAAUCCUGGUGAAGUUGUCAAACCAGGUAUGACUUCAGAACAAAAAAAAAAAAAAAGGGAGAUAUUUACAUGUAUGCAUGUGCAGUAUUGUCUUAUCUAUUUACAUCUUUAUGCAACUUAUCUAUUUACGUGCAUCCAUACACAUGCAUAUAUGAAUAGAUUUUCCCUUCAAAAAACUAAUACAACACCAACUUGUUCCGACAACCAAGAGGGUCCUUUUGCCAUCAAAACCACUUUUUUAGGGAUGUAUAAUAUAAAAAUUCAUCUUUUACAAAGGAAGUAGAUGAUUCUGUAGGAUUACAUAUGUAAAAGCUGGAAAGGUUAUAAAUAUGCCUCUUUGAUUCUGUUCAACUUUGUGUAUCUCUGACUUGUCGCUUGGCACCUUAAUUCAGAUCAAUUCAAGGCGAUAAACGACGAGGGCAUGCCAGUCUACCAGAGGCCAUUCAUGAAGGGGAAGCUCUACAUCCACUUCACUGUGGAUUUCCCCGAUUCCUUGACCCUCGACCAGUGCAGAGCCCUCGAGGCCGUGCUCCCGCCAAAGCCUGCGUCCGAGCUGACGGACAUGGAGCUGGACGAGUGUGAGGAGACCACCUUGCACGACGUGAACAUCGAGGAGGAGAUGAGGAGGAAGCAGCAGUCUCAGGCUCAGGAGGCGUACGAUGAGGACGACGACGCCUUUGGCGGGGCCCAGCGUGUACAAUGCGCCCAACAGUAGUCGGGGGUAAUCCCUUUUUUUUUCAUUCCCCUCCUGUUUUCUGGGGUUGCAAUGCUAGGUCGCUUGGUGUGGUGAUUACAGCCAAAACUGACAUUUAUAUUCCAUUUUGAAUGCAAAGAGUCUUGCAUGUAUUCUAUUCUAUCCGAGCUCUUUUGCUUGGACAUUUAUGUAGUAUAUAUAGAAUGGUCGUGCAUGUAACCUUACUUUUUCCCUGUUAUUGAGAAUUCUGCAAGUGUUUAGUAUCAAGAAAGGAUGCGAGACGUUAGAUUUUUAUUUUUAGUUGCUUGUAAUCUGGGAAUCGCACUUUAAUCAGGUUAAAUCAAGAGGUAAAUAGGUGUAAAAAAAGCUGUUUAAAUUAUAUUUGCAGAAAAGUUCGUGAGGAUAUAUUUUUUUCCUUUUUGUCUAGUAUAUUCCCUUCAUAAAAUUCCCUAUGGAUCUGGUCUUUCGAGCAGAACAAAUUUCAAUGUGGUGCUUCUCAUUCAAAUUAUUUAACCUUCUUUUUUUUUUUUNAGAGAAAAAGGAAAGAGAAAAAGGUAUAAGGGUAUUUUGGUCAGUUUGCUGAAAAAGCGGACCGAAUCUGCAAAAGCCAAAAAGAUGGCCCGAUUUUGCAAAAGCCCAAAAUAAGUUGAUUUUUUAUGCAAAUUGGCCUUAAAAUCCGGACUAAAAUUGUUUUAUAUUAAAAUAAAGUUUUUAAAAUUAAGAGGCGGGACGAUGAAUUGUAUGACUUGUCAAAUUGUCUUGUUGACAACUUGUUGGGCCCCUCUCAAACCGUGCGGCCCCACCGUGAAUUAUGACCGUUGCCCGCUUUUGCUUCUACUUGUGUUAAUUAUUGUCCACUACUCCGAGGAUAAAAUAUUGCUUGCAACGUGUCUAUAUUUACAACUUAUGCACCACCCUUAGAAUUUAAUCUGAUAAUAAUUAUUAUAAUAACUAUGGUUUAGAAGAUUUAAUAGGAUCAUGUGUAAAAAAAAGAAUUUACAAGUUUGAAAACCUGGUAUCUGAUAUAUUAAAUUCAGAUUUCAAACCCUUUUUAUUUGAAUUCGGGAAUUGACAUUCUCAAAUCUAAGCUUGAUAUUAUCAGAACAGGUACUUUAUAUCAUGUCAUGAUUUAGAUUUUUUUUCUUGUUAUGAGAUCAUCAAACUUAAGACUAAGACUAAAAAUAUCAAUUCCUGAGAUUUUUUGGGUGUGGUGCACGGUACACCGGGCGCACGCUGAGUCUUUCAUCCUCAGUCUCUCGGACGCGAAGACCUUAUUCUCAAAUUUAAAACCAGUAUAGCCGUUGGCUAAUAAUCCUGAUCGGUACUGGAGCUUCUUACAUAGAAAAAGCAGCAAGCAGGAAAAGAGAGUUCAGAGAAAAAUAACGUCUCUCUUUCCUCCAGAACUGCUUCUGUGGGAAGCUACGCUUCUCUUUCGAAAACUCUCUUUUAGCUUAAAAAAAAAAAAAAAAAAUCAGGGAUGAAGGAAUUCAAAUCAAGAAUCCUGCGGUCGCUCAAAUCGCUGCCAUCGCCUUCUCCGAACUUCGCCAUUCCUGCCUCCGCAUCCCCCAAAUCUUUCCUGCUCCAUCCCUUUCAGCUCAUAAAACAAUUUCACAACGACUAUGACGACGACGAUAAUAACAAGGAGAACAGUCUCCGAGCUGAUGAUCAAAUGAUCUUAUCGGAUCCCCAACCACCCGACGGAGAAGAUGCAGAAGAUGCGAGCACCACCAAACAAGCGCCGUCAUUCCGGCGCCCGAAUCCGCAUUCCCCAACCCUCUUCGACCCGGCCCUUCUCGCCGCGUUCCGGCAGGCGGUGGCCGACUACGAGCGGAAUCGGCCUACAGCCGAAUCCGCAGAGUGCUGCCCUCCGGUGGGAAAACAAUUCGUAACUUUAUACACGACGAGCCUCCGAGGAAUCCGGAAGACGUUCGAGGACUGCAACGCCGUCCGGAUGCUUCUGGAGAAUCUGAAGGUGGUUUUCCACGAGAGGGACGUGUCCAUGGAUUUGGGAUACAAGGAAGAGAUGUGGAGGCUUCUGGAGAGUAGUAAUGUGCCCCCUCCGAGGUUGUUCAUAGGGGGGAGGUACGUCGGCGGCGCCGACGAGGUCGUGGGGCUCCAUGAGCAGGGGAAGCUGCUGCCGCUGCUGCGCCGCGCCCCGCGGAGGCGCGGGGCCGCGGCGUGCGAGGGGUGCGGCGCGAUGAGGUUCGUGGUGUGCGCCGAGUGCGACGGUAGUCGUAAGCUCUACGACGAGGAGAGAUCGGCCGCCGUUCGGUGCCCGAAUUGCAAUGAGAAUGGUCUGGUCCCCUGCCCCUUGUGUAGCUAGCUAGUUCUUCUUUUGUUCUUCCCUUUUUUUUCUCUUUUGUAGAUUAAUUUCCUAUGAAAAUUGUUUAAUUUUGAUUAGUGUAUACUCGUUGAGUUCUUUAUAGCUGUAUUUUUUGUGUGAGGAAUGAUAAUAAACAUUGCACAGGGAAUUUAUUUACUUGGGGCAUUGGAGUAGGAAAAUGAACUGUUUAGAGACGCACUUAAAUUUUAUUACAAUGUAAUCAAAAGUUUCAUGUUAGAGCUAUUUUAAUCUUUAUUUGUCAAGCGCGUGACUAUUGCUUCUCUGAAAAGAGAAGCGAUUACAUGAACUAGACCAAAUGUGCACGACAGCGCAGUAGAACUCAAAUUGUCGCGGAAGGACCAAGAUUUAGAAUAAAGCAGAAGUUCUUAAACUCGACGAAUCGAACUUCUAUAACUCCGCCAUUCAGGAUUUCGCGCCUUCUUUUGCUAUCGUGCAUCGGUCAAUUUAUGUAUUGCCAAAUCCACACAAUUUAUAAUCGUUUAUCUCUUGUUCUAGAGGAUUCGUGGUUCUUGUGUUCUUGGGCAUUGUGGUCUUUUGUAGCCCGAGUAGUCGAGUUCUUGACUCAUUUGAUAGCUAGUUUUUCCGUCGCACAACUUACCGAACAUUCCGUUGUUCAAUAGUUUAUUUAACUGUAGACUGUCAAACAAAUGUUUUCGGCUGCAUGAAAUCUGCUCUAAUCUUCAGUCUUCACAAAUCAUUGAAUGCAAGAAGCCAUGGCAGUUACCAACAUUGCACUCAGGAGUCACUUCCACUUGAAUUCGACAACAUGGUAAGAUGAUCGCUGUUUUGCAAAUGUUUAUUUUGGUUUUAACUUUUCCUUUAAUAUCUCUCGCUUUCGUAAUUUUUCAUUUGGCGAUGUAUCGUCAAGAACAUGAUAGAGACGAGGUGACGAAACGGAUGAAACAGUCAGGUGUUCAGCAACUGAUAUGUAAAACUUGGUUACCACAACCCAAGAUUUACAUACUUUUCUUUGCUUUAUUGCAAUCCUUCUUUAUCUUUGUAAGAUACGCUUCAGAUAUAUGCUCGUAUAACGCUGCCGUACAAAAAUGUUGAGACUCGGUAUAAUAUGACAGUAAAAUGGUGUGCAAUUACUGAUGAUUGUGUGACAACUAAACCAUGUCGACUAAACUGGCGAAUUGGGGAACAAUCAACUGUUUGCAUUUUGUCCUUGAUGCUCUUCGUGUUGCUUGUUCAUUAACUUUUUGUAUUGACUUCGUAGAAGAGAAUCUGAAACUACAAAAUGGAUGUUGGUGGCCGUCGUUCGGUCUAAGCUUUCUGAAGUGCUCGUCUACUCGAGAAGCAGCAGUCGGGCUUUUAGAUGGGCUUUUGGAUCUUGUGGCUUCAACAAGGAAUAGUUGGGGCUUAUAAAUAAGCUCUACUGGGAAAGCACUUUUGAAAAAACUUCAGCUGGUACAAGCAUGUCCACUAAUGAGCAUUUGAUAUUCUGUUAAUAUCUUUUAGUUUAUGAUCAUACAUGUGCAUGAGCUUGGGACUCGAAAGCUUAUGCAGGUUCUGCUACAAGCUGGAUAUUUAUGAUUCUCAUUCAUUUUAAUUUUUUGCGAACUUGUAAAACACUGCAAAUGUUCACAUAUAUACCCAAAAUUAUCUACACAUAUCCUGGCCAAAUCUGAAUUUCCUCUGUCCUCUACAAAAUUAUCCUCUGUAAAAAACUCAAGGGUAUAUCUGUACAGGUAGAUUUUAUAUAGUUAUAUGUGUAAAUAGAUGAUUUUUCAGGUAUAUGUAUAUACUGAAAAACCCGGAGCAGAAAGAUAAGAGCUCCAAUGAUACGACAAAUCUCUGACAAAUUCACGAUGCAAAGACACGCUCAAUUUGAGAUUGUGAUGCUCGUGUAAUCGAUGAUUCAAAUAUGAGAUAUCCUCUAUCCACUAGGCGUAACGCUUUUGACUUCUCUUUCAUUAAUUUCCAUCAUGUUGGUCCUGAAUACUUGUUCAUUUUUUGUUUCUUUCUUUUAGAAGAUCCAACCAGAAUUAAAUUACUAUUUGCCGCAGAGUGGUAGAGUAGGGACCGUUCUAGAUUACAGGAUCUCUCUAGUUUCUAUUUUGGAUUGAAUCAUGUGGUGUGCGUACAGGCCAAGUGCAACAGGUUUUACUUGCGCGAGAUUACGAUGUUGGUGCCCACACUUACAGUACCAAUCCAUGAAUCUGAAUAUUGCAGAUUUAGCAUACUUAUUUACAUCCACAAAAUACCUAUUUUUGUCAUGUGCAUGGUUUUCGCAUUCAGAUAUAUAUAUAUAUGCGUCGUUUAUUCUCACCGAGUAGGCCUGCGUUCGAAGUACAAACAGCAGCAAUAGUGGUGAUGGCGAUUGGCGGCUUUCAUGGCGGCCAAUUCCGCAUUUAAAGGGGGGUCAGAUGCUCCAUCUCUCUCCCUUAUCUUCUAGCUAGUAAGAGUAUAUAAGAUUUAAUACAUAACAAUUCAAUUCAAAGACAAUUUUAAUUAUUUCAGUGGUUUUGCUACUUGAAUUGGUGAUACUUUUUUGCAUGAAAGUAAAGUCACAUUGUUACAUAUAUAAUUACUUAGACAGGUGAAAAUGCUUACAUAAAGGAAUUAAAGAUCUAUAUCAAAAUUUACUGAUCCAUUUCUUCUGAUAAGGAAUUUUAUACCAAGGUAAUGUAUAAUUCUCCCUUGUUCUCUGAAGGUCACAUUGAUCAGACCUAGUAAUUAAUGUGCUUGUUAGGAAAUACUUCAUAUUAUAUAAACUCUUUCUUUCUUUUUUCCAUCUAUUUUGGCUAAGAAAUUGUCAAGUUCGCGGAACAGUAUCUGCUUUUGUACAUAUUGCAAUCAUCGAAUCCAACGUAGUUUUCAUUGAAUGGCUCUCUCUCACUGUAGGCUGACAAUCUUCUUGCCAGCGCACAUGGCGUCUAGCUGUCACAUUUGAUCGUUAGUUAUCCUCAAAACUUGCAUUUUACCCAAUUUGCUGAGAAUUGGAAGUGCAUUAUGCGGGACCAAGUUAUUCGGUAAUUACAUGUGUUCAGUAUGAAGAUUUUCUUUCGAAAUUGCAGAUUAGGAUCUUGACAAUAUACAGUCAUUUUAAGGUCCUCUCAAUCUUGAUUCAUUUAACAUGACUUAGAAUAUGCAGUUGUAGACAUCUUUUCGUACUUUCCAUCAACCGAUCGAAUAUAAACAUAUGUUACUUCAGUAAGCUAAGAACUUGCGAAACAUAAUCCUCAUGUAUUUCCUAUCAAAUCGAUCUCCUCGGAAAUAUUGCAUCAGAGCUAAUUCUAAACUCCUGUCAUUUUGUGAGGUCUUGUGUUACAUUAAUUAUAUUGCAAUUGGUUAAAUCUCCACCUCUUAUCUCGCCUAUCAAUUCCAUGUGCCAAUUAUAUCAAUUAUUCCUGCGAGCGGAGAUGUUAAAUAUAUUGUCGGGCCAUUUUCUAUUACAUUUAUCUUUUGAGAAAUAGUAUUGGAUCCGAUGUUCAUGCGUCCACAAUAUGCAUGCCCAUAAAUUUAUACAACAUUUUCCUGAAUUGAGCUACGAUACGAUACGAUACGAUACGAUACGAUGUAUUAAUAGUAGAUGAAUAACAUUUAUUGUCAACUUUUUAUCUGUUGAAUCCAUAACAGUACCACCACCAAAUAUAAAUCCGAUGCGUCCGAGGGAUAAAAAGUAGAUAAUAAAUACUAUUCUUCUACUAUCAAUUGUAUUCCCUUUUUUAUCAAACAAAUUCCGAGUAGCAACUAAGGACAGGAAAAUGAGGUACAUGUGUAACGCCCCUAAUAGUCCUACAUCGGAUGUGAUACUGAUUUCGAUCAGUUUAUAUGAGGCCUAUAUAUUAGUAAUAAUAACUAGGCUUAAGUAUUUUGGGCCGGUGGUUUGGGUCCAACGAGUUAUUAUUGCUAGCGGGUCGGGUUGUUGCAAUUGAUAUCAGAGCCGAAUACCAGCCGGAAGUUUGAGAACUAAGCAUACACCAACGGGUUUGAUGGGAGCCACCUCUUGAACCCGUAGGAGCCAUCUCUAGAAUCUUACAUCGCCUGGUAAUAGUCAUGAUCUGUCUGUCAGUGAUCUGGUUUGGACCCGACGAGGACGUCAGUUUGUAACGCCCCCAAUAGUUCCACAUCGGAUGGGAUACUGAUUUGCCCAACGAGUUAUUAUUGCUAGCGGGUCCGGUCGUUGCAACAUGUUAGCUAGGCAUGAAAAAAUGAGCAUUAUCUAUUCCAGCUAGACUCAAUUAAGUUUGCUGUUUAAAGUUAAUCUGUGUUGCUGGUCCCUUUCCUUCACCUACAAAUCCAAAAACUAACCAACACCUGAUGGGCCAAAUGGAGAGUUAAUGGCUUGUGGAAAGGACAAGUUAGCAAGAACCUGAGGCUGAGGUUGAGGCCAUGUUUGGUACGGGGACUCCGAACGGGGCUUCCCGGAGUUUCUACAAAAGUACUAUUUGGAUUCAGCUAUUCAGAAACAUGAUCGCGAUACGUCUGUUACGGUCGUAGUACUGAUUGAUGAAAUGCUAUAUAUCUAACUAUAUAUCAAUAUAUAAACCGGUAAAUUUGAUGCUCAUGAUUUCACUUGCAGUGUCCGCUAAAGCAGAAGCUUCAAACUUUUUACUUGUUUGUUUUUUUUUUGAGUAGAUAGAAGGUAAAUUACAAAUAAGUCAAUUUUCUUUGCCAUGUUAUAUCUAUCUACUUAUCCGAGCUAUUCCAUGAAAACGAUGUUACUCUCUUCAUUGUGAAAGAGGUCCCCCCCUCCCAACAAAAAAAAAGAUAUCAAUAUAUAAACCGGUAAAUUUGAUGCUCAUGAUUUCACUUGCAGUGUCCGCUAAAGCAGAAGCUUCAAACUUUUUACUUGUUUGUUUUUUNGGGGGGGGGGGGGGGGGGGGGGGACCUCGAGUGACAGGUGAUGCAUCCCCCGGGGAAAGUGGUGAUUUAAUUUGUGCGCGCGCAUGUGGGUGUUUCAUUGUUGAUUGCUAUAGUUAGUGACAUUUUUUCGCCAGUACUACAAAUUGUUAUUAUUUGAGUCUACUCGUAAAUUUUUUAGUACAUUUUUAUAUAUGCUGUUUCUUAUUCAUCUUCUUUGGCGAAUUAAUUGAAUUAUAAAACAUUACUCUUGCGGAUUGUCGCAAUCAUUAAAUUAAAAUCCUCUACAUCACCACUUGUAAAAUGUUAAUUAUAGGAUGUGUAAGUGAGUUUAGUGUUAUACUUGUAAAAAGUCAGUUGGAGGUUAUACGAAGUGGUACAUACAUUUCAGAACAUAAAUAUUCAGAUGAAUUCAUGUGGAGCUAAUACCAAGUGGGCUAGCUUUAGUUUUCGUGCUAAAACAUUUGAUACAUGAAUAUGUAAGUGCAGUGUGUAACAAUAUACAAUAAUACAAAGGCACUAACUUUGCUUUAAUUUCUCUCGAUAUAUUAUUUGGCCUCUAUGUCGAAUUAAGAAAGAAUCAAGGAUAAAUGACAAACUCAAGUUGUAAGCUCUAUAAUUAAUUUGCAGUGAUGCUUACAAUUACGGCGUAAACAAUGCUUGGACUUGAAGAUCUACUACAAUUAUUAGAUGCAAAUGAUUCCAAGUUUUUGUGAGGAGUGAUUUACUUAACUCUACAACAACUUUUUUUUGUUUGUUUUUUUUUUUUUAGUUGGCCAGCUAGUGAGUAUCAACCGUUUUCUUCAAAUGCUAAAAAAAAAAUUAUAUUUUUAUAUUUAAAACUCACCAUCAUGUUUUGACAUUUUAACAGGUUCAAGACGUGGACUUAAUUAAACGAGACAAAAUUAAAUAACGCUAAGAGUCAGGCGAGACUCAAACUUUGGAUCUCCUGCUCUGAUAUCAUUUAAAAAAAUCAGAAAUAACUGUUAUUCUCCAAUAGUUUAAGCUGAUAAAAAAUGGUGUUAUAUAUUUUUAUUUUAUAUUUAAUAGACUAGUAUUUCUUGCAAGAGUUAGCAAGCUUAUCAAUAAUAUGAGUAAUUGCUGUAUAGGAUAAGUUGAAAUCUAUGAGAAUCAUGACUCUCUCAGGAACUUGGUAAAUCGAAAGUACUUGCAUGCAUAUAUUUGGCCAUGAAGAAUAAAAUAAAAUAAAACAAUAUAAUCGAGUUUAAGUCCUGAAUCUCCUGUUCUUUCCUGUAGCUUUGAUACCAAUAAAUAGAUCUAACAUUUCUAUCAGAUGAGGGACCUUUUUUUUUUUUUUAAACUUAGUCUAAACUAGAAACCAUUAAAAAAAGUUCACUUCUUUAUUAAUUAAAUUAACCAUUCAUUACUGUUGCCAUGUUGUGGACACACAUUGGCCCGUUCAAGAUCAACCCAAUCCACGUGAGAUGUAGAUAAGAAAUUAUCCUAAUUACUUAUAAGGAUUAUAUAUUUUUGAUUGGUGAAGAAAUGUAUUAUCCUUGUGAAUAUAUUAAUAAAUGUUUAAAUCCUAAUGUCUAUAUGAGAAUCAGGAUAUUUUAAAAGAGAUUCUGAUAGGAUACUCCAUUUGAUUUUUUAAAUUCCUCUUUCUAUUUUGCUUCUCUAGGUUCUAUAUGGAAUUUCCACCUAUAUUUAGGGGUUUUGGAAGGUGAAUAAUUAUGGGAGGCUCUAGUAGUCUCCUACGACAAUCUAGCGGAGAGACUUUGACACGACAUAUGAUCAAAGAUUCAGAAGACAGUAAAACGAGUGCAACGAUCUGGACCCGCAGAGUUACACGUUCUUUCGGUGGAACUGUUGCAAGUAUAAUGAAUUUACGACAUUUUAUUUAUACGCUUAGAGUUAUAAUAAUAAUUCUAACAUGGUAAAGAAACUAAGAAAAAAAUAAAUCCCAAGGCAUAUAUUUCAAAUGUUGUAAAUAUCUCAAAUGAAAUACAUUUUCCAAUCUACUGAUUUAAAUAAUUCUAAUCUAAUUAAUAAAAAAAGACUACAAAUUCGGAUCGAAUUAGAAUUCAUGAUCAGUGAGUCGACUAGGAUAUGCAAAUGAUCGUAAUAUACCAGUUUAAAGAGGAAAGUGAAAAAAACAUCAAUUACCAAACCAUUUGGAAAACAAUUGUUCAUUAGCCUUUCUCUAAUUUGAAAAACCCUUAAUAAGGAACUCUUCGUCACCUUUGUAAAUAUCAUUGUAAUAUUUGCAUGUGAUUUUACUUCUCUUUCCGAAAUGAGUUUUAGGUUUUCACACUACAACAGAAUUAGAUUAUAGGAACACAUGUUUGGAACACUUUUGAGUAAGUGUCCCAUUUAUGCUAAAACUUAAAAAAACAUCUACUUAUGCCUAAAUAUAAAGCUCAAUCCAACCAAAAAUAAAAGAUUACUUUACUCAACCCACGACACCCAGUCCAUUUGACCCGAUUACAAACAGAAAAGAAAAAAAAAAAGAAAAAUCAAUUACCAUCUUUUCUUCUCUCUUCACUCAAUCUACUGAAAUUCUAGACGAAGAACCUUUCCUGUCAUCCUCCUCCGCCACGCAGCCAACGAGAUAGAGUUUCGGUGGUUGCUAAAUGCUUAAAUAAGUGUUGGUAAAUUAGCAGCACUCUUUUAGGUUAUAGCGACACUCUUUAACUGUCACUAUAUACCAACACUUUUUAAAAGUGUCGGUAAUUUUAGCUAGCAGCACUUUUUUAACAUGUACCUACAUUUAAAAGUGUCGCUAUAGACCGCUUUUGUUGUAGUGUCAUGAGAGUUCCAAAAAUGGUUGAGGAACCUCACAUGGCUUAGCUUUAGUCCUACAUUUGCCCACAUGAGAGUCCCCCAUCUUGGAUAUCUUGUGCUUCUCAUUUGUCACACUUGGUUUGGAUUUAUUCAGGUGAUAGAGCAAACUUUACAUCCAUGCACGCACAUGUUGUGGCACUGCAAGGUGCAAUACCAAAAUUUUGAUUUGCUCUUUUAAUUUCUUAAUUUUUGUAAUGAGCUAGAUUUGUAACUACUCACUAACUUAAUCAUUUAUUAAGAUUCUAUUGUAUUUAUUAUUACAGAUCGAAUAUAAUUCGAUAGUGCUGUAGUAAUUAACUUAAUCAAAGAAACUUUCUAUUGCUAGUACUGAAAAGAUUAUUACUUUGCAUAUAUAUAUAUAUAUAUAUAUAUAGUUGGACUGGGCUACUAUUAGUAGCAAAAUCUCAUUGUUGCUACCAGUUUUUUAACCUUUGGAUCAACUCUUUUCAUCAUUUCUAACCAUUGGAUUAAAUACUAUAACCCAGUGGGGACUACUCAACCCUAGGGGGACCACUCAACUCUAACUGACUAAUAUCAUCCUAGCCCUACAAUUUUUCAUCCAAGGAUUAAAAACUUGAUAGCAAAAAGAGAAUUUUACUAUUAAUAGUAUUCCAGUCUAAUUUUAUAUAUAUAUAUAUAUAUAGGCUGGAAUACUGAUGCUAUUAGUUUUUUAGUCCUUGGAUUGAGAAAUGUGCGGUUAGGAUGAUGUGGGCCCCCAAGGGUUGAGUGGGUGGUUGGUUGAAUAGUAUAAUUUAACGGGUAAAAAUAAUCAAAGGGAUUAAUCUAACGGCAGAAAACUUGAUAGCACUAAGUGCUUGAUGCUAUUAAUAGCAGAGUAUAUAUAUAUAAAAUAAAAAGAGUUAUUUGAGGGCCUCUUAUUCCAUGAGUAUGUAGAUUAUUUGUAAAUUGUAUUUGAUGUAAUACUAGGAGAUCCACCUAAGCAGUGUACAUGCAUUAACAUUUCCUUGGUUAUCUGCAAGUUUUUUUUAUAUUUUCUUUAUUUUAUGUAGUAUCAUUUAUGCUUUAGGUGCAUUGUUAAAAAUAUGAGUGAUUCUCCUAUACACCACUUUAAUCCUGUCUAUUAAUUUACUAUGGUGAACGGCUAUGAUUUAGCCAGGCAAAACUGGUGACCUGCUAUAUAUUUGUUUCUCGGUAGCGGUUAAUAGUAUUGGAGGCCUCCGUUUGGUUGGGGGUUAAGGGGUGGAAUAACCCCUUAACCCCCAUUUUAUCUCCAAAUACUUCUAAAAAUUGGUAGGGUUAGCUAACCCUACUUCAAAUGGGUUAUUCCGGGUUAGCUAACCUCACCUAACCCCACCAAACCCCAACCAAACAUUAUUUUCUAUUCAUAAUAACUCAUUAUCCUUCUUAUCCCACCUAUUCCAACCAAACACUAUUUUUCACUAUCCUGGACUAACUCCAACCCCCAACCAAAUACAAAAAUACUCUAACCUCACCUUAAUCCUAAACUUAGUUCUAUUCCUGGAAUAAUUAGUUUUUUCUUAACCCGAACCAAACGGUAGCUUAAUUCACUUUAUGCUAUACCUGUGAGAGCAAUUUUGGACUUUUGCCAUUUAUGAGAUUGAGUCUAGCAUUACUAUUGGCGACGCCUCGUACAUGAAAGUUUCCAAUGACCCCUUCAACUAUAAGCAACUAAGAAAGAGCACCCUCAACUUUCAAAUUCUUUUGGAACGAGCCCUUACUUUUAAUUUUAAACAAAGUAGUUUUGUUAAAAAAGAGAUUUUAUUGAAUUUAUAAAAUUUUUUUAUCAAAUUUAAUAAUUUUAAGAAAAAUGAAUUAGAAUAAUUGACAAUUAAUGGAGCUAUUAAAUUUAAUAAAAUUUUAACUAAUAUAACAAGAAUAAUUCAAAUCUAAAAAAUCAAACUAAUAGAGCUAAUAGAGCCAUCGAGAUUCAAAUUAGAUCCAAAUUUAAAAUUUAAAUUUGAUUAAUAUUUUUGAACUUUAAUGUUGUUUCAAUAUUGAAUUAACAAUUUGAAUUUUAUUUUCAAAGAUAGAAAAUUUUUAUUUAAAUAAAAAUAAAAGUUGGGUUUAUAAGCACAGUGUAAUUUAAACUCAAAUUUAAAAUAGAUUAAUAUUUUUGAACUUUUAUGUUACUUUAAUAUUGAAUUAACAAUUUAAAUUUAAAAUUUGUUACUCAUUUAAAAUUUAAUUUAUACUAUAAUAAAUAUAAAUUUAAAACUCAAGUUAAAUUUUAGUUUCGGGGUUAGUUACUUAUAAAAUUAGCUACUAUCUAAUUUGGUAAGUAACAAAAUUAAAUAAGGAGACAAAGUAUUGGAAACUAUUAAUUUGGUAUUUGAUUAACAUUUAUUUUCCAACAUUGUCCUUAUAAUUGAUUUUAAUUGGUAACCUGUUGAGUAGGUUACUAAUGUUUAAAAGUCAAUUAUAUCCUCAAAAAAUAAACGGUUAGAUUUAAAUAAGUCGGUGUAUCGAAGCAUUUCUCUAAAGAUAUAACCCUUACCGGUCCCACGUAUCCGAAAAUUAACAACCAUUUAAUCUUGAGAAAACAAUCAUUAAUAUCCAUCUAAUCACUAUUCUUAGCUCUUCAUUGACAAACUUGGGAUUUGCGAUCCCAAAUAAGAUCGGCUUAAAAUCAUGGAAACCAAGGGUUGUUGUGGGUUUUCAUAAUCCUACUGUGCAAACAUAUAUGGGAUGUGCAUUUGAAAUGAAUGCUCUUACUACAUAUAUCGCAAUCAAUGUAGAAAGAGAUCAAGCUAGUCAUCUGUUCCCUUACCCAAGUAAAAGUAUUUCUAUUUUGACUAUAUUUAUGUAGAUAAUAAGUAAAAACACCUAUUUUACGUCCUAACUGUUCAUCUUUCUUUGUUUUUUCAUUGUUGCAUGAGACAAUGGUACGUAGCAACAUGAAAUUUUCCUGUACGCAGCUUGGCUUUUUUCCUCCUUUCAUUCAUGGUCAUACCUUAUAUAAUGAAUUUCAUUUCUUUUCAUCGGAUCCAGGUCAGGACUAAAGGUCUUGAGCGAGCGAUAAAUUUUAUACUUAACAACAAAACUAGAAUAGUAGAGGAUCAUGCAUGUAGUAAGGGGCUGUGUGAUCAAUAAUGGAUUUACUAGUAUUGUUUUAUCAUGAUGGGCACAAUACAUAGUGAUUUUAGUUCCUUAAAGUUAGGUAUACAUCCUAUCGAAAGAUCCAAACUGUCCAAUUGAAAUGACAUUACAUCGUGGAGGCAUGCUGAAUCACUGACCAAAUUUUGUACCACUUUAGGCACACAUGAGCUAAAGAAAAAAAAAAAAAGAAAGAAAGAAAGAAAGAAAUUAGGAAAAAAGGGCACGAUUGUUGUCACCAUCAUUCCUUUUGCAAACAAUUUAAAUAUUAUUAUUGCUGGAACUCUUUCAUUACUCAGGAGAUAGAAGGAGGUAUCACAUCAAUUUUUCUCGUAAAGAAGGAAAAGUUUCUAAUUACUUAUUUGAUCCCAUAAGUUUGACCUGACGUUCGAUUACAUGGAUCUUUAUAUUUUCAGUUAUAAUUACGUAAUAUCUGUGAAAUAUGACCCGAUUGAAACAAAACUAUGAUUCCAAAAUCCAGAUCAAACCUCAUCAUUUGAGUUGAAAUUAGUGAAACUUCAAAGACUAAAUUUAUACACUUUUUAUUUGAGUGAGAGAAAAGUAGAUAAACUUAGCUGAAAAUGUGAAGUAAUUAAACUUCAAAUUUGAAAUCUUGAGUACCGACCGUGCAUCAAUAUCUUUGCUACUUGCACCGGGGAUGGUCGAUCUCUAAAUUUAUAUGUUUAACCUAACACUUGAGACACAUAUCAGUUAACAUCUAGCAAUUAUUGAUAGCUGAACUGAGGCUCUUCAUUAGUUGAAUGAGGUGCAUAUGCAAGUGCAUGAUGCAUAUAUUUCAAUGAUCCUGUAGAAUUUAAUUCAAGUUUAGAACAAGAAGUAAAGUUUGAAGAAGGUUGAUCAAUUUAUAUGUAUAUAUAUAGAAUUGACAAUUUUAAUAGUCAAUGUGAUGUGCUUGUAAAUUUAACAGUAUAAAACAAUAUAAAUCUGAUAAAAUUUUUAUAAUUUUUUUUUUCAUUAUUUAGAGUAAGACCGGUACCUCUGAUCUUAAAUUUAAGUCUUUUACCAUCAUAUUUUAUGAGAUUUUUAUUUUCAGCCGUUCAUUUUUAGAUUACUCAUUUGAUAGAUAAAUGAUAUCAAAAAAUUAUAAAAUUUAUUUCCAACAGUAUAGAUCAAGUCUAAUAAAAUCGAUCAUCAAUUCGAAAGCUACAUCAUCGAAACAACUUGACAGCACGGAGGCCUCCGUGCUACUGAUAAUAUAGCAACCAGACUUGAUAUAUAUAAAUAUUAUACUACACUAUUGAUUGACCUAGAAAUGACCUAAGGUGUACUGGAUGUAUAUUUUGAUAUUCUUUAUUGAUGGGGUUAAACAUAUACUAGCUAAUUUGGACAAUUAGAAAACAAACAUUAAUGCCUUUGAGUCAAGAGUACUGGACUUGUUUUUCUAAACUGAUCAUCUUUAAUAGGUCAAAAAUAAUUUAAUAAGCUGAAGUGAUGAAUAUUGCACACAGUAAUUCAGCUUAUGGCUGAAAUCCACUUAAGUGACUAGUCUUGCAAUGUACACUUAUUAGAUAUAUCAGGAAUUUUUGAACUGCAAAUUAAUUAAAGUUAGAAAAUCCUGAUCUAUUUUGGUCAAUCCAUUAAAUUAAGAUGAUGCAUGUCUAAUCAUAUUGAGAUUAUUUCUAGUUUCACUAUGCUCUUUAUUUUGUUGAUUUAGUGCAGGGGAUUAGAGAGUACUAGUGUAUAUUUUGAGGCUAAAGUUUUGUGAGAAAGUCAUAUUUUGUAUACCACUUUAAUUAUACUGAAAGUUUUUAUCCGUCUUCAUCCGUGAACGUAAGUCAGUAGCUAAACUAUGUAAAUAUAUAUUAAUUUGUGUAAUUUUUUUCUUCUCUCUUUCUCGAUUCAUUUUUUGUACUUUUUACGCCCAACAAAUUAGAUUUUUUCCAUUUUUGUCAAUGAUGCUAGCUAGUAUAAAAGCAGCGUAUAUAUAGAGGCAAUAAUUUUUGUCCGGUAAAUGCAAUUUCUUUGAUAAAUGUUGUGAAAGAAGAGAGAAACUGAUCAACUAAUUAACGAGGAAUUAAAUUAAAAGAAAUUAAGGAGCGAGUGAUUACUGUAUGCGAAACUUAUCUUUUUAAGGCCUUUUAUCACCAGAUCGGUGGGUUCACUCAUCCCUGUUCAAAGAUCAAUGAAACACCUGAAAUGUAAGUUAAUUUCACUUGAUAAUCUUCCGACAAAUUAUAUUCAGAACGUGGCCACUUUGAUUCAUUAAUUUCAGUGCCAUUUAUAUGUAUAAAACCAAGAUCUAAAAUUGUGGCCAUGAAACAAGUACGACUUACUGAAAGAUUAGGUCAAAAGCUGAAGAAAUUGGACUAUAUAUGCAGUGAAAUUAUUUGAUUUUAUGAUGCUUUGCCUCCCUAGAGGGUCACUCAGUCUAGAACUAUUCUAGUUCUAGACUCGCUCAAACCUGUUAAUCUCUUAAGCUUCGCCAACGUCCAAAAUGUUAUAGCCGAGUUAAGAGAUUUAACCGGCUUACUAUACCUUAUAUACAGAACUAUCCAAAAUCUUGAGGGUGUCACCCCUUAAGCCCUGAUGUACUCGUCAAGCUUAACUGCACUUGCAAAGAUUAGGCGAUGUAAGACUUGUUUCGUUAGCUUCAGCUGACCUUAUGGGAAGCCAUUACACCUACAAUGAUUGUUGACGGAGAAGACGCGCUUUGCCCACCGUAUAACUCCAACUCAGUCGAGACUCAUCUCACACUUCCGACUGAUGAUUGGCUAUGAUACAAACUAUGAUGCCCCGCUUCCUAGAAGGGUCAUCCAUUCUAGAGACCUAUUCUAGUCCUAGGCUCAGUCAACUUCUUUAAUCUCUUUGGUCUAACCAUUGCACAAAAUACUAUAGUCAUAUUAACAAGUUUAGUUUUGCUAUAUCUUAUAUAUAGGAUUAUUCCAAAUCCUGAGGGUGUCACAUUUUAUUACAAAACUAAAUGAAUGAAAACAAAAAUUUAAAGUUAUAACUGUGCCUUCAUUACACUAAAUUUUUACACUAUUUGAAUGGAGAGAAAAGAAAAGAAAAGAAAAAAGUCAGGAGAGAAAACUAUUUUUCUCAUUUGCUUUGAAAUAUUAGGAGAGAGAGGAGAAGAGAAAUAGCUACAGUAAACGUAUCCUUCCAAAACACUGUCAAUUUCUUUUCUCUCAAAAAAUGAAGAGAAAUUAAGUGAGAAACUUUUUUCCCCCUCCCUUCAUUCAAACACUAGAAGAGAAAUUUUUUUAUAUUUUUUUAAUUCUUUCUUCUUUGCUCUCCUACUCUCUUUGCCAAACGAAGCAUAAGAGUGUUUUUAUUAUACAUAUUGUAUUACCAAAUUCUCCAUUACAAUUGAAAUGUUAUAAUAGUCCCUACUCUCAUACUUAAAGCAACAGGUAACGUUAAGCAUGGUUAAAGUGGUUUGAAUUGCCUAAUUAACCUUAUAAUCCUUCUCUUAAACAACACAUAUUAUCCAUUAAUUUCAGUUGCUGCCACAUGGAAACAGUGGAAAAAUCUGUUUUCUUAUUCAGAAAUCUUUUGAACUUUGAUCUUUCCGCUGUCAAGCUUGAUGGAAGAGCUCAUAGGAGAGUAUAUUUCACAAAGAAGUUCAUACAUUAUGGACUCUUCGUUCCUUGCUUUGCAUUGUUACUUCUCUUCAUUUUCUCUCAAUUAAAGAAAAUUCAAGUGUUAUUCAUAAGCUUAAUUAAGUUCUAUGUAAGUUGGAUGGUGAAGAUCCAUGCCGAAUUCAGAGAGAAAAAAAAAAAAGAGACUCUUGUUGAAAUUCUAUCACAUGCAUCUAUUAACAAAGUGUACAUAAUUGUUGCAAAACUUGAAUUAUAACGGAGCUUCGACCAACAAAAUAUAAAGUACGGUAGAUAUAGAAAGUAGAAAUACUCCCAAAAUUCAGUGUAUGUAGUUAAAAUGUAGCUGUCCGAAGUAAGAUGCACAUCUAAUGAACUAGUAAAUGAAUUUGAAAAGCUAUUUUUGGCUCUUGCGGUUUAAAAGAACUGCACUAAUUUUGAAGAACUACAUAUAUANCUGUUAGCUAGUUCGACUUUUUCUCCCAAAAAGAAAAGUUAAUCACUUUACAUUUGGAUUCCCAUUAAAUGAGUAAUUGGGUAACUUCAGAAAAUAGCAUAGUAGGACUUUGGCAUCUCUCUCGGCCAUUAAUGUCUCCUCCCCCACCCCCCACUUGCUGUUAAACACACACGCACACACACACACACACACACAUAGAAAGAGAGAGAGAGAAAGAGAGAGAGGUGUACAGUAGUAGUAGUCUCCACCCACUCAUUCUUUCAAUCAUAACCCUUUCCACCUUCUCCCCCCAUUGCUCCACAAAAACCACCUCUAAAGAACCACUACCAAACUAUUGCCCCACCAUGGUUGUUUUUUGCUUCUUGCUGCUAUCCUUUGACACCUCUUCCAUAUUAUUACCAAAACAAAAGAAAACAAAUUAAGAGAGAGAGGAAAGCUAUAUCCUUCCUUUCUUAUCUUAUAUAUAUAUAUAUAUAAAUAUAUAUAUAUAUAUAUAUAUAUAUAUAUGCCCCAUCACUCUUCAGAUCAUCAUCUCUUCCUUGCUUCUUCUUCUUCUUCUUCUUCCCUUGCUUAUGUACGUAGCGUAGGCUACUUCAUCGGUCCUCAGAUCGGAAAAUGUCGACCCAAAUCGCACCUGAGCAUGUUUGCUAUGUUCACUGCAACUUCUGCAGCACCAUCCUCGCGGUAUCGAUCACUCUCUCUCUCUCUCUCUCUCUCUCUCUCUCUCUCUCUCUCUCUCACACACACACACACACACACACACAGAGCAUAAUCUAUGAUAAAAACCUUAGAGCAUCUGAUUUCAGAUCUAACAAGAACUACAAGAAUUGAGAGCAUUCUCAUAGAAAAAAAGGAAAAAAAAUGAAAAGGAAAAAAAAAAAAAAAAACAAGAAUUACACUCAAGAAAUGAUAUAAAGGUCAUACCUAACCAUUACAUUGGCUAACAGUUCAUAGUUGGCAAUUCCAUUUGAGUGGACUUAGCUAGUUCUGGUUAUGCUUUGGACUCAAAUGCCAAUGUUUUUUGAACUUUACCAAGAGUUUACUAUAUUCGUGAGCUAUUUAAAGGGAAAUAGAUUAUCAAGACCCAUUAAUUUUCAUAUGGUUUGAUGGUACAAUCCACUGUUCCUUUUCUUGAAAUAGAGUAGUUCAUGAAGAGCUCCUUUUUUUAAAAAAAAAAAUACUUUUGUUGCGUUCAUCAAGAGAUUAAGCUCAUUCUUUGCCUUUUUGAGCUGUUAUGCAUAAAUAUUAACCAAUACAAGGUUAAUUUCUAAUCAGAAUGAUUCUACGGUACACUAGCGCUUUAUCCCAAAUUAAACUUCCUCUGAAUCUACUUACUGCAUUCAAAUAUCCCAUGUUUAAGAUUAUAAAAAAAAAUGGCGGAUAAAGAUGGACUUGUUGGAGGCAACCCAAUUUGUUCGCUGGAAUAUUGGUGCAGUGUAUAAUUAAUCACCUAUAAAUUCCUCUUAACUUCUUUCUUCAAGAAUAAGCUAAUGUGAGGUUUUAAUCACAUCUCCAUUUCUAGUUUAUAUAUGUAUGGUUUACCCUACAUGGAUUUCUCCUCUUCAUGUAACUGAGUUUAACUACUUGAGAUGCAUAGCCUCUUAAAUAUAUAUAUAUAUAUAUAUAUAUAUAUAUAUAUAUAUAUAUAUAUAUAUAUAUAUAUAUAUAUAUAUAUAUAUAUAUAUAUAUAUAUAUAUAUCCUGCUGCAAGAGAUCACCACCCAAAAUCUUUUCACUUCUCACUUACUUUUGCCAAGCUGCAAAGGCUGUUCACCAGUAUUUACUUUGUUGUACCAAAGAUCAUACUUUUACCUUUCAAAGAUCCCCCUCUUUUUUUAUUUUUGUUUUAUUUUUUUAAUUGUCUCUUCCUCUCUCUAACUAUAUAUCCACAAAGUGGUUCCGUUUGACAUGUCGUUUUCCUCUCUUUACCUGUUGUUAGUACAUCGUUUUACUUAUUCUUGCAUAACUUAAAUCAGUCAGAAAGAAAAAAAAAAAAAGAAGUCAGAAUAUAUGGAAAAGAAGAGAGGACAAUGAGUUGAAUGUUUCAGGUCAAAAGGAAACGCAUUUUAUUAAGAGAAUCAGUGUUUCUAAUGUUAUUUCAUUUUUCUUUUUUUUUUUCCCUUAAUUUCCUCCUCUUUCAUCUAAGCCCUCUAUUCACAUUUGAAGGAUCUUUUAUCUUUGUUGCUUUAUAGGAGAAUAGGGGAGCAUAGGGAGUCUAUACCUGUUUCCCCUUCAUAGAUAUAGUACUCUNUUCUUUUUUUUUUUUUUUUUUUUUUUUUUUCUGAACAAGAGAUAUUGUCCAUGAUAUAUAUAUUUCCCCUUUCUUCUUUGAGUGGUAUAUAUAUAGUAUCAUACUAUAUACUGUUUCCUAUGUUUGCUCAUUUGGGUUUUUUUAUUCCUACUGGAUGAUUGGUUCUUUCCUUUCACUUGUUUCUUUGUUUUGUUUUUGAAGUAAUUCACUGUUUUUUAUAUUUCUUCAUUUUUUUUUUAUUUUGAAUGAAUAUCUGCAAACUUUUACAAUUUUGUUUUGUUUUUUUCCCCCAUAUUUUUGAUUUUAGAAGACCUUCUCUAUUGAAGUGAACCUUUUAUUCCAGCUGGCUCUUUCAAUCUCCCCUCACCCAUAGUUGUUAAUAGUAGAACUAAGUAAUAUUAGUGAAGCAACUGUUAAAAGUGGAAAUUAACAUUUUCUCCUUUUCUUUUGUUAUUUUUUGAGUCACUUAUAUGGUUUGAUUAUAUUAUAUUUUUAUGUUACGCUUACAUGUAAUUUUCAUUGCAUCCCCCUUCGAUCCUUUUUUUAUUUUGAGUGGAUAUGUAAUUUGGUUCCUUUCUCAUUAUUUACACUUUUUGUUGAAAAACUUUUUAUAAUGUAUGCUCCAAUGCAACAAAGAAAAGUCCGUAAGAAGUGUUAUAUAUCCGUUAUCAAGUUACAUUAAUCUGCAUCUUUGUUCGAUAGAUAGAAGGUGAUGUUCCUAUAUAUUCACAAGGUUUGUUUUGCUUUAAAGCAAAAUGAGCUUAAACUUGUGAACUAUUAACUGUUUUUCUUUACUGUAAAACUAUGUGAAUACCUAUGAAUGAACAAGUUUAUUUCCUCAACAUAUGAUCAAAGUAAACGUCAAAUUUUGGUUAUCAUUUUGGUGCAGGUCAGUGUUCCAUGCAACAGUUUGUUCAACAUUGUAACAGUUCGAUGCGGACAUUGUGGAGUUCUGCUGUCGGUGAAUAUGGGAAAUUUGCUUCAAACGCUCGCUCGUCAAGAUUACCAGGUUCAUAAUAAUAACUUCCUAUCCGAACCCUAUAUAUAUAUAUAUAUAUAUAUAUAUGCUUCUCUAAUACAAAUCAAUGAACAACAUAGUUUACCAUUUAAUCUCCAAGAAUUUAGUUUAGGGUGUUUACAUUGGUAUGAAAAGAACCAUUAACUAAUUUCUAAUAAUAAUUAUAAAAAACCCUUGACCUCUGGAAAAAAUUGAUCCUUUUCGCUCGAAUUUUACAUUUUUGGCAAUUAAAGCCUACAUCCCAAAACAAAGAGAUUUGCUGGAAAAUAGAGAACAUAGGUUAUUUGAAAAUACCAUCUCAUUGUUUUGCUUAAAAAGAGUAAGAAAGGAAAAAAAAAAGAAAAAGAAAAAAAAGUCACUCUAUCAACAUAUUUGGUACGUUUUCAGAUUUCCUGAGGCUGUUGACUUUUAUUGUAUUUCUGAUUCUCCACCCCACCUUUGUACAGUUUAUGUAUGCAUAUGAGUAUAUGUAUUUUUAUCAUGCAUGCAUAUGUGAACAUGCACCUAUACACAUACGCACACAUUGUAGGAGCUAAUCCAAACUUCCUAGCUUCUCUUAUUAAUUGGUUAUUCAAGAGAUAUGCAGUUAAUUAGAGAAGAGAGAGAGAGAGUUAGAUGUCGACUUAUGAUAAUUUAUGUUCAUCAUUUAUGAAGAGAGUGAGAGAUGGAUUAAGUGAUACAACAAAUAUUAGCUAUAUCUCAUGCGAUACGGUGAGUUCCACCAGAAGAACAAAGUUUUUCAUCAUGCAUCUCUAGAUUUAUUAAUUAAUCCGCCAAUUUUUUCUUUUUUUUGAGAGAGAAAAGUAGCAUGAUAUCCACUUCGUUCAGUUUCUUUUUUAAUAAAUAAAUCUAGCUAGAAACGUGAAGCGCCUAGACUUCGAACUUUGAACCUCGAGCAAAACCAUCAAGCGUUUUGCCACUUGCACUAGCUAGGGAUGAUCGGUCUGUUUGUUUAAUAUUUAUCUGUUUGUACUAUAUAUAUAUAUAUAUAUAUAUAUAUAUAUAGUGAUGCUUCCAUGGCAUGACUCAAUAAGGCGCGUGGGAACAAGAAGUUGACACAUAUACAAAUAUUUUCAUCAAUUGUGUGUAAAGAAGUAAUUAAAGAAGUAAAUUUUUUUUUUCUAUAUACCCGGAAGUACAAAAUAGUAGUCUCUAACAAUGUCUUCUUCGUAAUUGGUACUUAAUAUAAAACUACAGAUUCACAACAAAGUACUUCGUGAGAACUGUGGGGAGUACGAGUCAUCUUCCAAAUGCAACAAAACGCCGAUGGCGUACUCCAUGCCAAACAAUCAGCAACAAGUGCAACCAAUGCGCCGUAAGCCUUUUUGAAAUUACUCAAAUUAAGUAGACGCAUCCAAAUUUUGACUAAGUAAAUUUCUUCUUGUUCGAUCAUGUACUUGCUUGACCUUAUUCUUUGCCCUUGCAGCAAAAAGAAAGAUAUUAUAAGCAGAGAGUUUGCAAUUAAAAAAGGAUUCUUUUAAAGUACAUUCCCAUGUAUAAAGAGAAUUCCAUAGUUGCACUAAUUCCUAGGAACAAACUAUUCGAGUUCUCUCAGAAGCAUCCAAAAUGAAUUAGAAACUGAUCAUUAUUGCAGCAAGAAUGUUGCAAUUAAUUAAUUGUUAGGGAUUAUUUUAUUUUUUUUUAUUUUUUUUUGGAGAAAAGGUGGUUUGUUACUGCUUCAUUCAUCAAGGAUGAGAGUGAACUUACCUAUAAAAGACUGAUCAGGCAACUAGGCCUUGGGGUAAACAAAAAGGAGAAAAAUGAAAAGAAGCUAAAAGAAAAGGAGAACAACAACGGAAAAUCAAAACCCAAUAACAUAAGCUUUAUGAGACCACCCGCCACUCUGCCCAGAGAUCCCUAAGCGAUCGAAUCUCAAACAGUAUGUGUGUUAGGUUUACUUUCCUCCUUUGAAAGAUUCUUCUAUUUUGCUUUAGCCAUAUGACUCACCAUGUUGUAGCAAUAGUCGCCAACUCUGACUGCUUUGUAGAAGCCGACUUGGAGCAAGACGGCUCCUAUAGAUUGCCCAUAGGGGAGUACUAGCGAAUGCCAUCGACCGUCAGGACUUUUUGUUUAAAACUAACCACACAAAAAUUUAGCCUUUAGUGCGGUAUAUAUUUUCCACAGUUCAGAGCAGCAUGCCGAUCUACGAGAAAUUCGUGACUUACACUGAUAUCAAACUUUCUUUGAUACUAGUUUGUUAUGACAAAAGUAGAAAAGAUCUAGUUCGUCGGGUAUAAAAAUGCCAAAAGAGAAUCGAGAAAGUGAUCGAGAAGAAAAAAUAAAGCACAUAAACAUUUAUGUGGUUCGGCCACUACAUCUACGGGUGAAGACGUAGUGGAGAUCUUCAUUAUAAUCAAAGUGGUGUACAAUAUAUGCCCGUCUUACAAAAUUCUAAUCCCAAAAAUACAUUAUACUUCUCCUUAUGUGCUGCCCCAGAUCAAUAGAAUAAAAGGUAUGUUUGCUAUAAUGGCUAAAUCCUAACACAACUAGAAAACAAAUCUACUAAGACUAGAAAAAUUCUCAAAAAUAUUAGGCAAAAUUUAAAUUUAACUUAAUAGGAUAAUCAAAACAAAAUAGAUUCUAACCUUGUGGUUCUAAAAUUUGAGACAUAUCUAAUACAGUCUGACUCCAUCCUGAAGGAAUCCAUGUAAGGACUUAAUUGAAAAUUUCUACAAGUGAGACCAUCUCCACUUAAUCUUGUCAUGUCUAGUUGCCUGGACUUAGUUAGAGAGUAGCAGUUUCAAUUCCUAGAUCUCUUCCCUUACCUGCGAUGAAGAAGGAACAUAGCCAAUCAAGAUCAUCUCCCACUACCACCUAUGCUAGUCAUAACAGUCUCUGACCCAACAGUUUUUCUAGGUUAUACCAUUGUAAAUAUACAAAAAGGAAGUCCGAAGCGGAGAGUUCCCACACCAUAUAUCUGACCGUAAGUGAGUACUAUUACCAAAGCCUAUCGAGUAAAUGACACCACAUUUGAAAACUUGUUUAACAGUUAGCACAUCUCUCUACCUAUUAUGACAAAUCCACAAACGGAAAUGAAAAUGGCGAACACGAAAAUAGACAAACCACAAGAAGAUUUAUAUGGAAAACUAUUUGCUGGGAAAAAGAGAAUACAAAGUUUAGAGUACAAUCAAUCUAUUGCCUCUAGGGCGAAACGAAGAAACAAAUUCUUAACGGGCUUCGGAUCCAAUCUAAUCCGUACCGCAAGGGGUGGAGCCCCCUGCACCCUCUGGCAAAUGUCAGUGGUGGGCUAUGGGUUCAAGCCGAUUGGCCCGAGCCCUUCGUUACCUACCACAGACAUUCAUUUUUUUUUUCACAACUUAUUAUUCAAAUUAGUCGCACUGCGAAAUUGUCGACAAGUCGGAGUUCCAAAACUGAAGUCGAUUAUUAAUUUCAAGGCACAUCUAACACUACCACUAUGAAAAGGGUCUCAAGGUACGUAGCUCCCUCCUUGAGCGAUCACUUCUUCUGUAGUACAGUAUACUGAUAAGGUGUUCUGAUAAGAAUCGCCACCACCAUUUUGCUAGCAGAGCUAUAUUCAGGUUUGUCAUAUCUCUAAUCCUAACACCAUCUUUCUUUUUGCUCCUCCCCAUAGUCUUCCAUUUCACCACGCACUAUCUUUCGCACACUGAUUUCUUGCCUUUCUAGAAAAAAGCUCUCCUAAUUAAGGGGGCCUCAAUGCAUUUUAGUACUCACUUCGGAGUUGUAAAAACUGAAAGAGAGCAUAGCGGAAGAUUAGUAAUCACUACAUUCACUAGGAACUAGUUUGCCCCCUUGGGGAAGGAGUUUGGUCUGCCACUCGCCUAUUCUAUUCUCAAUCUUUUGAAGCAUCAGACACCAGUUGUCCCCUAUAAGUUGUCUGUCGAAGAGGGUUGAUCCAACAUAACACAUCGGGAGGGUCCCACACCCGUAUCCCAAUAAUCUAGCUUACCCAUCCCUUUUUGCAAGGUUGUUUCCCAGAUUGAAUAGUUCAAACUUAUCCAUAUUAAUCUUUAGUCUAGAGGACAGUCGAAAAGGCGCCAAAUUACUUUGAGAUUCCUCAUCUGUCUUCUUUUCGCCUAGCAGAAGAAGAUUGUAUUGUCCACAUACUGAAUUAACUCUACCUUACUCUCCACAGUCUGCCCCAAACUACUCAAGAGGGUAUUUCACACCACACUAGUAGUUAUUCUUGCCAAUCUCUCAACUACUACUAGGAAAAGAUAGAGGGAGGAAAAGAUAGAGAAAGGGAGGAUCACCUUGACAUAGACCCCUCUUCACAGUGAUCCACUUAGUGGGGUGCCCUAUAAUGACCCGACCCGCUAACAACAAUAACUCAUUUGGCCCAAAUCACAGGCCUAUCCGAUAUGGAACUAUUGGGGUGUUACAAACUCCCCCUGUUUAGAUCCUGACAUCCUCGUCGGAUCCAAAUCAGAUCACAGACAGACAGACCAGACCAUGAUCAAAAUUACCAGGCGAUGUGAGAUUUUAGAGGUGACUCCUACAGGUUCAAGAGGUGGCUCCCACCAAGUGUAGUACUUUGCCCCGUAUAACACUUAGCUCUCACACUUCCAAUUGGUAUUCGGCUCUGAUACCAGUGUAACGACCCGACCUGCUAGCAAUAAUAACUCGUUAGGCCCAAACAACUGGCCCAAAAUACUUAAGCGCAAUUAUUAUUACUAGCGUGUAUGCCUCAUAUAAACUGAUCGGAAUCAGUAUCCCAUCCGAUGUAGGACUAUUGGGGUGUUACAUGCCCAUUUACUAUUAUUGCUAUUUUGGCAUUAGAGAUACAUUGUACUACUUAGUCGCGCCACCUAGAGCUUGCUCCUAGCCAGGUCAAGAUCCUCAUGAGGAACACCCAGUUAACCUUGUCGUAUGCCUUAAUUCUAAAAAUAAAUUUUAAUAUCAACACCUUCGUCCGCUCUUUUAGCGCAUUACCUCACUAACCCAUUAGCAGUCACAAAUGAAUCCAGAAUUAGUUGCCUUUUUAGAAAAACCGGAUUGAGAAGGUGAAUAAUCUCUUUCAUCACUCCCUCAAGCCUAUUAAUGAUAACUUUUGAGAUGAUCUUUUGCGCUUCAUUGAUAUGGCUAAUAGGCCGGAAGUAAUUCGCUGCGAUAAAAUUUCCUUUCAGAUAAUACCAACUUUCAAAAUUAGUCUAACCAUAUCCAAUGCUACCGACAUUAUUCUUAGAAAGUUCUGCAAUUCAUUUUUAACUCCUUGAUUUUAACAUUUUAUCUUCAAGAAAAGUAGGAUAAAUAGAUAAUGAUAAGUGAGCCAGUGAUCUGAUAAUUUCAUACUUUGCCAUUUCUUGAUCACUUGCUCCUUUCUCUCUGACCAGCUCCGGAGAAAAGACAACGUGUUCCCUCAGCAUAUAACAGGUUUAUCAAGUAAGUUCUUCAAAUUUGUUUACUUGCUUAUUUGUCUUAAACUUUUCGUUGCGUCUUACUACCACUUUACUCGUAUUGGACAUCAUUUAAUGAUACCAUCAUGUUGUUCUCUCAUUGUCGUUGUUUUGUAUGGAUUGUCCUUCUCUCAAUUAUAGGGAGGAAAUCCAAAGGAUAAAGGCUAACAAUCCAGAAAUUAGCCACAGGGAAGCAUUCAGUGCUGCGGCGAAGAAUGUAAGUAAUAGUUAAUCUAUACUUUCAUAAAAAACCAUGACCUCCAUAUAUUAUACAACUUAGCUAUAAAUCCCCAAACAAAUGUACACUAUAAUUCUUACAAAUGCUGACAUUUAUUUUUUCCUAUGUUUGAGAAAACUUGGAAUUCCCUAUUUAUACUAAGAAAAAAUUGCAAAAUGAAAUAUUUAUAGUUCUCAUAAUUGUCAUAAUGAUAACAAGGUGAAUUGUUUUUAUUUUUGAAAUAUUGUUGCUUCCAUUUCAAUUAGUAUUUGAAAUUGUUUUCCUAGAACAUUUGCUAUAACGUAUCGAGUUUUGUCGGUUCAAUUGAUAUGGAAAAUCACAAUUCAGACUUUCCGAUGCAAUAUUAAGAAUUAGUUGCACUCUUUCUAUUCUGACCUGUCGAGCGCAAUCUCUAUACAUUUAAGGUUAGUUAGUUCUUAUAUUUGUUGAUGGAUUUAGUAGUGCAUUGAGGAAUGUAAGUACUAAUUAAUCUAUACUUCUAUAGAAAACCAAGACUUAAUAUAUUUUGGAACUAACUAUAAAUCUUCAAACAAAUAAUCACAAUAAUGCCAACAAAUUCUAACAUUUUUCUCUUUGUACUUUUGAGAAAACACAGAAUUCCCUAUUUAUACUAAGCAAUUCCCUAAUUCAUGAAAUACUAACACUUAUUAGUCCCGUCAUAAUGAUGAAAAGGUCGAUUCUUUUUGUUCUUGAUAUCUGGCAUUUCAGUAAUUAGUAUUUGAAAUUGUUGUCCUAGCUAGAUCAUUUGCUAUAUUUAUGAUGUAUCUAGGUGGAAUGUCCAUAAUUUAAACUGAAUUGGUUGUCCUAUUAAUUUNCAAAUAAUCACAAUAAUGCCAACAAAUUCUAACAUUUUUCUCUUUGUACUUUUGAGAAAACACAGAAUUCCCUAUUUAUACUAAGCAAUUCCCUAAUUUAAACUGAAUUGGUUGUCCUAUUAAUUUCUAUUAGUUUUAGCUUCUGGAACGAUUGUUAACACUAACAACAUACAAAAGUAAGUUGUGAUUGUUACCAUAUAUAUAUAUUACAUACCAUAUAUAUAUAUUAUAUAUGUUACUAUAUAAUAUAUAUAUAUAUAUAUACUACUAUUUAUAUUAUAUAUGUUACUAUGUAUAUUACUUGCUUAUUAGGAUAGUAAACCAUAUAUAUAUUAUAUAUAGUAACAUAUAUAAAUAUGGUUUAUUAGGAUAGUAAACCAUAUAUAUAUUAUAUAUAGUAACAUAUAUAACUAUGUAUAUUACUUGCUUAUUAGGAUAGUAAACCAUAUAUAUAUUAUAUAUAGUAACAUAUAUAAAUAUGGUUUAUUAGUAUAUAUAUAUGGUUUAUUAGGAUAGUAAACCAUAUAUAUAUUAUAUAGUAACAUAUAUGUGGUAACAGUGAUAAAUUCACAACUUUGUCAACAACCAAUAACCUGCCAUUGAUGGAAGUUAAUACAUCUCUUGUAUGCAUUUCAUAGUCACCCUAUAAGCUCAACCUUCAAUGCUCAACCAUGUUAUCUAGUGCCCUUUUAGCAUUGUCGAGGUUUCUAAAAUCUCCUCCCUGGCCUUUAGUAUUGUCUAGCUGUGCAGGGUAGCCAAGUAUUGAGCAACUCCCAAUUCAGGAGGAUGGAAAGCUCCAAAACUAACUCGUUAUACAUCUAUAGCAUCAUUACAUACUCAAUAGCAUGAUUAAAAUAUUAUAAAAUUGUAACGGGAACCGUCAUGUUAUUAUGUACUAACAACUUGUCGGCUCCUAUUAAAAAUGCUUAAGGUAUCGUUUGGUUCGAAUAUAAGUAAGAACUAUCUAUUAUAAGAAUAGGUAUAAGUUCAGGUAUAAGCAAGAACUAGACCAAUUUUGCGUUUGGAUAAAAAUUGGAUUGUUUCCGGGAAUAAGAAAAAUAACGUUUGGAUAGAUGAGAUAGAAUAAGAAAGAUAGUGAAUAAUUAUAAAUAAAAAUAAUAAGAUAGUGAAUAAUUAUAAAUAAAAAUAAUAAUAUUAUCCCUCUCAUUAUAUUUGAAUUUGAAUUGUUAAAUUUUACAAUUAUAUUUUUAAAUUUAAAUUUUUAAAAUUUAAAUUUCAAAAUUUGAAAUUAAAAUCUUAAAUUUUAAAAUCUCAAUUUUUAAAUUCAAAAUUUUAAAUUUUAAAUUUCAAACUUUAAAUUUAAGAUCAAAUUUAAAUUUGAAAACAUAAAAUAUAAAAUUUAAAUUUAAAAAUUCAAAAUAUCAAAUUUAAAAUUUUGAAUUUAAAAUUAUAAACUUUUAUUGUGAGAUUACAAAUUAUAAAUUUUAAAAUUUUAAAAUAUGAAUAGGGGUGGGAACAAUUAAUAAAAAUAAUUUAUUAUAAUAAAUUUAUAAAUUUGAUAAAAAAUAAUUUUUUCAAUAAUUUUUUAAAUUUUUUAUUAUUAAUAAAUUUAUAAUUUUUUUAAAAUUCUACAUAAACUUAAAUUUAAUAAAAAUAAUUUAUUAUAAUAUUUAAAUAUUAUUUAUUAUAAAAUUUAUUAUAAUAUUUAAAAAUAAAUAAUAUGUAUUAAUAUAAUAUAAUUAAUAAUUUUAUAAUAAAAAUAAUAAUAUUAUAGUAUUAAUAUAUAACAUAUUAUAUUUAUAUAUAAUUUAGUUUUAAUUCAAUUUAUAAUUUUAAUAAAGUUUAAAACUAAACAUUGGAAUAGCACUAUUAUACUAAAAUGGUGGUAUAGUAUAUCUCAAGCUAUUCCGGAAUAACCUAAGAUAGCAAGCUUUGACCAGGAUAAAAUAUCCCGACAAAAAAUCAUCUCAUUUGACAGAAUAGCCCCGCUUAUACUCCGAACAAAAGGGGCCUAAGAGUAAGUUACUAGUAUUAAGAAGCUUAGCCCAUAUGUACCCAAAUAUUAACCAUUUUUAAUCCAGUAUUUGACUAUUGAAGUGUUACAAGCUUUUUUGUUUAGAUCUUGACGUCCUUGUCAGGUGCAACCACACACAUAGCUCAAAAUUAGUAAGCAAUGUGAGUUCAAAAGACCAUACUAUCCAUGCUGUAGACUUUGUCUUGCUAAGUAUUUAAUUUUCACACUUUUGACUGACAACUACCAUGACACAAUAUGAAAUGACUUGGUCCAUAAGAACUAUAGCAAUUUGUUUGGUCUAGACCACCGGUUCAAAAUACGUAAAUCAUUAGUAUUAAUAGGGAUCUUAAAAUUUAUAUCUGAAAACAAUCAUUUUUCUAUCUAAUAUAUAACUUGCUUAGUCGAUCUCAUAACUGUCAUAUACUUGUCAAUGAAAUGCAGCUAUAUAUGCAUGCCAGUGAGUAGACAUUAAUUUGUAGAAUUCGUCUGUACGUAGCAUUAAUUGAAGAGUACAUCAAAAAUUAACAGCCUACAUUGAUUUGAAACGAUAUCAAAAUCAUGUACUAUCUUCUACCAUUACUCUUAUAGUCUUAUUCAACUGCAGAGUUUCACAUGUCACACUUCAAAACUAGCUGUGCUACACAUUCUUCUUAUAUGCUAAAACUGGAUAGCUAAAGAUAAGGAAUUAAUCAUUAUCUAUACAUAGGAUAUUGUUUAGUGGCCUAGCAGCUUUUCUUUUGGCUUGCAAUUUCACUGCUUCAAUUUUCUCAUUUCUCAUCUCAAUCAUUAAAACUUGAACUAAUAAUUCAUGUGAAUAACUUAUUAAAUUUCCUAGUUAUACUUUCCUUGUUAUUGCUUCUUAAUUAAUAGCUCCCAUUAGAUGAUAAAAGAUGCACACCUUGAUCAACCCUAUAGAAUUAUACUCAAAGAAGAAAAAGAAAAGGUAAGGAAAAUAAAAGGAAAAGAAAAGAUCAACCUUAAGAAAUCUCUCUCUCUCUCUCUCUCUCUCUCUCUCUCUCAAAAAAAAAAAAAAAAAAAAAAAAAAAAAAAAAAAACAACCCUUAUGGAAUCAGUUGUUGACUCAGUAGCUCUAGAGAAUAUUGAAAUACAACUUCCUUAAUUAUAUUUUCUUGCAUGUAAUCUUCAUAGAAUUAACUUCACUACAAUUCUUCUAAUUUUAUGUUGUUCGUUUGUCGACGUGCAGUGGGCGCAUUUUCCUCGCAUACAUUUCGGGCUGACCCUUGAUGGAGCUAACCCAGAGAAGAGGGACGAAGAGAUCACUAUGCCAGGGCCACAAAAAGCUCAAGGUUUCUAUUAAGUAGAGUUUCAUUGCGAGUAUUUAGAUGCUAUAUAUAUGUUAAUUCUCUAUUGAACUUGUGAUCUACAAGUCAAGGUAUAAACUACUAUGUGCUAAGAAGAUCUUGCGGACCUUCUCUAGAUUCGUAAUCGUCUGUGUAAUGAGAAAAUGACUAUUCGCGCUUGUGAUUUGAUGUCAUAUAAUUAAUUAAUUAAUAUUCGAUCACCGAGUUAGGUGAUGUAUUAAUCUUGUGCAAAUAUUAUAUAUUUAUAGCUAGUUUACUUUGCAUGUCAUUUAUAUUAUGUAACCAACUGGAUAUACAUAUAUAUAUAUAGUAGCCUGUGAUAUUAAUUGAGUUGCUUCUAGAGAAGUUAGAGACCUUAAUUCUAACCCCUUUUUUAGUUAGUAUCUACUUAUCAUUAUGAGUCGUUCGACAUUUUCGAAAAUUAAAUGGCAUAGAUAUUUUUAAUUAGCUAUAUAGUUGUUGUUGUUGGUGGUGGUGGUGGUUUCUUUUUAUUAUUUUGAGACAAGUAGGAGCUGAACAUCAAAGUUCUAAUAGGAACUGAUGCUUUAUGGUACGAUCACAUAGCCACAUUUUUAUAAUUAAUCCAAGUAUGCUUGCACAAAAAAAAUGUCAUUAAUGAUGAAAAGUGAACAAUUAGUAAACAAGCUCCGUAAGAUCAAAGAAUAAGAUGGAACAAACCAGUUAAUUAUUGGAUCUACAACAUAUAAUUUUUUUUAAAAAAGAUGAUAUAUAUAUAUAUAUACAACCAGCUGCAGAAACAAAGAACACAAUCGAAUAUUGCAUGUGAACAAACAGAAAGAACCAUAAUUUUCAUUUGGCAGGUAUUACUAAAUAUUUCUAGUAAAUAUAUAAACUCACAUUCUUUAUUAUCUUGAGAGAGAAAGAGAGAGUAACCAAAUGUGAAUAUUAUCAAAUAUUGAGCGCGGAGAAUGGUAGUAAAAUGUUCCACAUGAAUGAGAGAGAGAGAGAGAGAGAGAGAGAGAGAGAGAGAGAGAGAUACUUGUUGUGAGCGGUGAUGAACUGUCGCUUUCCACAGUGAUUCAGAAUGUGUAAGGUGUUGGAAAUCACAAGAGACUCUCUCUCUCUCUCUCUCUCUCUCUUUCUCUUUCUCUCUCUAUCUACCUCUCUCUUCUGUGAUCACUUUUUUGCUACUGCGUUUAUCUUUUUCCAUGUUCUCCUUGAAAAAAACGUAAAAAAAAAAGAAGAAAAAUUAUCUUUUUUUCCCAAUCACUACUCAUCCUCUCCCGCGAUAUAUACUCGAGCCAAGGGGCCGGGUUCUUUGGUUCAGGGUGGUUCUCUCCGACAACUAGCCACACCCUGUCCGACGUGGCGACCCACCAUUGGCCACCAUGACAUAUAGAAUCUAGCGUGGGCCCCCCAUGGAGAUCUCUUCGUGCUUUCGCUAAAUAUGGUCCAAUUAAUCCCCAUUACACAUCUCUCUCUCUCUCUCUCUCUCUCUAAAUAUGGUCCAAUUAAUCCCCAUAACACAUCUCUCUCUCUACGAUAUAUAUAUAUACUAUAAUAUUAUAGAUAUUUUAUAUACAUCUAAUAUAUUGUUUCAUAUAACUCUUCGUACGUAUUAACCGUAUCGCCUUCACUAACUCGCACGCGGCCCAACCCCGCCGUUGUAGUCGAAGCUGUCGUUCCCGCACCGCUGCCAUCCGAGGAGAUCCGCAAUAUCUCAAAAUACCCGAGGUGUCUAAAAAGAGUUUUGCCAAAACGAAAAGUAAAAAUAAUAAUAAUAAGGCAAACGGACGCGUGCGGAAUUACGUGCUUACAUGGAUCACGUUCGCCUCCUCUACUUUACGGCCCCAAACUUCGCGCCUUCUCAUAGUCACUGCCGCUCCGCGCUAAAUAUAUAUAUAUAAUACUAAAUAAGUAUAAUAUAUAUAUAUAUAAUUAUAAAGUUUUUUUAAAAAAAUUAAUUGUUAGAUUUGAUACGUGGCUUAUAAAUUAAUUAUAUCUAUCAAUUAGGAUCUUUCUAUUAAUUAAAUAUAAGAGUACAUUUGUAAGCACACAUAAUAAAAUACAACAUCCUCAUCCAAAGAACCUAAAUUUCACCAAGUCUUAUUACUCUUUUUUUUAAAAGAAAACCCCUAUAAUAAUUGUCAUAACACUAGCUAGGAUGGAGUGUUGCACAAAGAGAGAUACAACUCAAAAUGGUUUUUAUAUAUAUAUAGUUCGGCUGUUAUACUCUUAUGAAUAUGAUCGUUCUCGUACUCAUAAGUCGUUUUUUAUGAUAGAGCUUCCGAAUUGACGAUCUAUGUCGUUAAACAUUAUCUAGAAAAUUUAAAACUUCUAGAAAUCAAAUUUCAUAACUUUUCGACAUUAUUUACCUUACGAUUAAAAGGUCACAAAAUUGACAAUUUUUAACGGCCGGUAUGGAAUACUUGUUACUUUAACAGUGUAAAAGAAUUGGAAUAGAUUGAACUUUUUACAAAAAAAAUUUUUCACUAUCUAGAUAAAGAUCAAUUACUGCGAUCUUAAAUUGAAGGAUCCGAUCAUCCAUUUUUAGGAUAUCGUUUGAUUUUGAUCAUUCAUUUUAUACCUACUUAAUAGACUUUAUUAUGAUUUUGAAAAUUUACUAAAUUUAUUUUUUAAAAGUUUCAAAUGCUCUAGAUCAUAUUUAACGGAAUGGAUCGUUGAUUCGGAAACUCUAUCAUCAAAAAUAACUUAUGAGUACGAAGGGCUCUAUAUUCAUAAGAGUAUAGUAAUCCUACUCCCUCUCUCUCUCUCUCUCUAUAUAUAUAUAUAGACUUAGCAUUUCCCACAAGCAUACUCUAUCAUGCAUGUAUUCAUGUGCAUUAGUAAAAGCGCAGCAACCAAGUUUCACCGUCCCGUGUACAGGGUACGUGACUGCGUUCUAACCGAGAAGCUUAGCAGUUUACAGUACUGUUGUUGCAGCUCAAUUUUAUUUUAGCUUUUUGGUAAGGGUCAUGAGAGAGUGGGUGGAGUUUAUAAGUGGAUAGCUAUAUAUAAAGAGAGAGAGAGAGAGAGAGAGAGAGAGAGAGAGAAAAAGGGUGCUGAGAUAUAUAGUUACUCUACUAGUAGUCUAGUACCUCCUCGGGGGUUUCUUAAAUUAGAUUGGGAUUAUAAAAAAAUUGUGUUACUUGCGAUGAGAAAGUAUGAUCAGAAAAUAUCUUUCGUAUCUAAUAUUGUAUUCCGCAUAUAUAAUAAUAAAUCGGUUACGAUAUAUUUUUACGGUUUCACCGAAAAAUACAGAUUAUAUCCCUAUUUAUAUAUAUACUUUUAUCUCAACUCUAUUUUAUUUAUUAGUGUCAGAUGUGUCUUAAUACUAAGCAAGCUCUUGCAAGUUUUGUAAAUUUUUUUUUGCUUCUGCUAAUUAAAAAUGGUAUUUAUUAAUUCACUUUAGCCAUUAGAAUUGUCAUUUGGCUGUCGAGUUAAAUGACUUUUCUCGUAAUUAUAUCAACGAAGCAUCAUAUAAUUCGUAAAGUGUUGUAGAAUAUGUAAGUGGGUGUAGCAUUACUCAUUCAAAUAUAUAUAUAUGCACUUAUAUAGAUAAGUAUUGAUGUUUAGUUUAUUCCUUAGUUAUUUCUUGCCUGAUUAAUCUUUUGCUUUACAUAAUACAUAAUAAAUUAGUUUUUUGAAUAACUUCCAUUGUUUUAUAUUUAUUUGAUGGCCAAUUUGCAUAAAAAAUCCACUAGUUUUGCGCUUUUGCAAAAGUGGGCCACUUUUUUCGAUUUUGCAGAUUCGGACCGAAUUUUUAGCAAACUGACCAAAAUACCCUUAUUAUUUUUUCUCUUUCCUCUUUCUCUUUUUUUUUUCUCUCGUUCAUUUUUUGAAGAGGCAGCGGAGGCAGAGGCAGAAACGAAAACGACCCGCCUCGCCUCUCACCCUCAUGCUCUCGCCCUCGCCCUUGCCCGCGCCCACCCCACACCUUUCUCGCCUCCGACCCCGUCGAGGCCGCGCCGCGACUCUUUUUUUUUUUUUUCCNNNNNNNNNNNNNNNNNNNNNNNNNUCCCAACUCUCCUCCACCGUUCUUCGACGGAUGACCCUCUCUCCACCCUUUUCCGCCCUUCUCGUUCUCUACUUCUCUCUCACUCUCAGCCGCCUCUGACGACGACGCUAUUCUGUCAGCCGACACGACACCGUGGAGUCUUUGCGGGCGCGUACCGCUCGGAGCGAGAGGUCUUAGUGGGCUAAUGGCGUCUGCCGACACCAGUGCGGUCAGUAGGAGGGGGAUGAUAAAAAAAAUUUUUAUAGAGAACAAACAGAAAAAAAAAAUAAAGAUAAAAGAUUAACAAAAAAAGUAAAGAUGACAGAUAAUAAUCUAGCAGCGCUUUAAAAAUAACAAUUGCGUAGCUGUUUUUAAAAGAACGCUGCACUAUUAUGCGAUAAAGUUUUGCGAUACUUAGAUAUAAACUGCAGCUUUAGAUGAAAUGUAUUUACUCUUUAACGAAGAAUUACAUCUUUGGAGAGUAUAUAUUUACAACUGUUUCUCCCCCUCUUAGUGCACUCUUUCAGAUUAAACUGCAUUCAUUACGAUAAAAAUUUGCGAUCCUUAAAGAAAGUUGCACUCUUGGAAGAGAUUAUUGUACACUAUUUCUCGUCUUGUUUGCCACUCUUUGAGAUGUAACUGCACCGCCUUUAAAUGAGAUUAUUUAUAAUAUUCCUUAUUGUUACACUAUUUUCUCUUGUACAUUGUUGCUUAUCAUUAAAAUGCAUCCUUUAAGAGAAGAACAAUAUUAAUAAGAAAGAAAUAGUGAAUAGAGAAAAAAUAAUGCUAACAGAGGAGAAACAAGGUUAUAAAUUAUCUCUGGAAAGGGGCUAGCCGUUUUACAUCUGCAAAGUGAGUGCAAGGAAGAGAAAAAGUAAUGUAAAUAUCUCUCAAAGAAGUACAACUUUCGUUUAAAGCAGUUGUAAUUUUAUAUCUCAAUGGCAUGUAUAAUAUAUCUGAAAGAGUGCAAGUAAGAGCGGAGAAAAUAGCUGUAAUAUUCAAAGAGUGUUAGUUGUUGUUAAAGAGAUAAUUUUAUUUAAGGUGCAGUCAGUUAUAUCUUAGAGGAUAGUGCAACUGGAUAGUGUUCAUAAUAGCGCCGUGCAACGGUUGUGCAUUUUUUUCGAUUUUCCUUUUAUUUGGAAUGCGUCAAAAUAGGUUUAGAAGAGAUGUGCGUAACUGAAUUAAACAAGUUUUGAAAAUGUGUUUUGUAUUGUGUUGUUCAUUUAUCGGAUAGGCUUUUGGUUAUUGUACUCACUUCGUCAGUGUUAUGUCAUUGAGGUUCACUAUCAUCGGUGACAUCAUGUGGGGAACUCUCCGCUUCGCGGAUUUUUAUGUUGUUAUGAUUUAAUGGUUUUAUAACUAGAAAAACUGUUGGGGUCAGAGGAUGUAUGAUAGAUAGGUUGUGUGGUGAGUUAUCUUGAUUGCUAUGUUCUUCUCAUCCAUUUUGGGGGUAUUUUGGAAGAGAUCUAGGAAUUGAAACUGUUAUUAAUAGGCAGGUUCUAUAUAAAUUAAGUGGAGAUGGGUCUUGUAUUUUAGAAAAAUUUUCAAUUAAGUCCUAUAGAUGCUUUGUUAUUCGCUUCUGUGAUGAGUCAGACUGUAUUAGGAUAUGUCUCAAAAUGUUGUGACACGGAGGUGUGUUUAUUGUGAUUUAUUGAAUCUCUAAUAUUUAAGGUUUAAUUUAUUUCUAUUAUAUUUCUUUGGUUAUAUUCUUAUUGUAAUGUAGUUAGAUUUGUUUAGUUUGUGUUUAGGAAUUUAGCUUUUUGUUUAGCAAAAUACGUUUGUUAUUUCUAUGUUUUAUGCGGGUGGGCGUGUAUACAUUUUGUAACUAAGUGUUUUCUGGUGAUCGAUUCAUGGGCGUAGUAAGUUUAAUGUUUUAAGUAUAAUGUGUCCACCCCUCUUCUGCAUAGCGGUCACAGCGCACGCUAGAACCCCCUCCGCUUAACUCGUUAUGAUUUUGAUUGGCAUUAGAAUUUAGAUAAGAAGGGAUAUAUUUAACACCGGUUUGAUUAUAAUGAAGAUCUCCACUACCGUCUCACGCGUAGAAGUGUAGUCGGUGCCGCAGCGACCGAACACAUAAAUGUUUAUCUUCAGCUCGUUUAUUUUUUCUUCUGGUGCCGAGUACUUUCUCGAUUCUCUUUUGAUAUAGUUUGUCAUAUACGGCCCGAAUAAAACGCGAAGAUAUGAUCGUUUUAAUACUUUGUUUCAUAACAAAUAGCUAUCAAAGAAGAGUUUGAUAUCAGAUUGGUCGUCGUCGGAAGCGACAGAAACAGAGUGUAAGUCCACGAGGGUAUCUCGAGGGAUAAGUAAUCGGGCAUGCUUGGACUCUGAAUGUAGAGAAAUAGAUAAUACAGCAAGUGAAAGGCUGUGCAUUAUUGAGUUGUAGUUAGAUGUUUAGAACGACAAAAAGUCACUGAGUGAUCGGGGUCGUGGUGUUAGAGACGGUGAUCAGGAGAGAUGGCUCUCUGGAUAUGAUGGCAAAAAAAAAAAAACAAUAAUGUCCAAUGGAAUCGCGACAAUCUAUAGGAGCCGUUUGCUCCAAGUGGCUUCUACAAAGACUCAGAGUUGCGACUAUUGCCUACAACAUGUUGAGUCUAUGUCUAAGUAACAAAAUAGAAGAAUCUUUCAAGGAGGAAAGUAAACCUAAAAACAUACUGUUGAAAUUCGAGAUCGCUUAGGAAUAUCUGAGGCAGCAGUGGCGGUUGGUUCUAAAGCUAUAUGUUAUUGGUUUUGAUUUUCCGUUGUUGUUCUCUCUUUAGCUUCUUUUCAUUUUUCUCUUUUUGUUUAACCAGCUAGUUGCCUGCAUCAGUCUUUUAUAGUAAGUUCACUCUAUCUUGUCAAUAGAUAAGCGUAAAACCAUUGGAUCUCCAAAAAAAAGAUAAAAAAAUUAAAUAUUCCAUAACAAUAUUAAUUGAACAUUCUGCUCGAAUGAUCGUUUCUAUUCAUUUUGGAAUGCUUCUGAGAAAUCUAUAUUGUUUGUGUUUCUAGGAUUAGUUGCAAUUUAUGGAAUUUCUUUAUACAUAGAGAGGUACUUUAAAAGAUCUUUUUUAUUGAAACUCUCUGCUGUAAUACUUUCAUUUUUGCUCUGCAAGGGGAAAGUAAUAAGUUCAGCAGUACAUGAUCGAAAAGAAGAAAUUUACUGAUCAAAAUUUGGCUGUCUACUUAAUUUGAGUAUUUCAAAAGGCUUUGGCGAUGGUUAUUGUUGCUGACCUGUCGUUUUUUGCUUUUUUUUUUUUUUUUCCUCUCCAACUCUCCUCCACCGUCUUCGACGAUGACGCCUCUCUCACCCUUUCCCGCCCUUCUCGUCCUCUACCUCUCUCUCCUCCUCAGCCGCCUCCGACGACGACGCAUCUUCGCCGACACCGACACCGUGGAGGUCUUUGCGGCGCUACAGCCUCGGAGCGAGAGGUCCUUAGUGGCGGCGUCGCCGACACCGUGGCCGUUAGUAGAGGGGGAUGAUAAAAAAAAAUUUAUAGAAGAAACAAGAAAAAAAAAAUAAAGAUAAAAAAUUAAAAAAAAGUAAAGAUGAAGAUAAAAUUGCACCUUUAAAAUAAAAUUGUACUGUUUUAAAAGAACGCUGCACUAUUAUGGAUAGAAGUUGCACUACUUAAGAUAUAAACUGCAGCUUUAAGAUGAAAAUUAUACUCUUUAAACAAGAAUUACACUCUUUGGAAGAUAUAUAUUUACACUGUUUCUCCUCUUAUUGCACUCUUUCAGAUGUAAACUGCAUUCAUUAAGAUAAAAAUUGCACUCCUUAAACGAAAGUUGCACUCUUUGAGAGAUAUUUACACUAUUUCUCGUCUUGUUGCACUCUUUGAGAUGUAAACUGCACCCCUUUAAGAGAUAUUUAUAAUAUUUCUCCUAUUGUUACACUAUUUUUUCUCUUGUUACAUUGUUGCUUAUCAUAAACUGCAUCCUUUAAGAGAAGAAACAAUAUAAUAAGAAAAGAAAUAGUGCAAUAAGAGAAAAAAUAAUGCAACAAGAGGAGAAACAGUAUAAAUAUCUCUGAAAGGGGUGCAGUUUACAUCUCAAAGAGUGCAAGAAGAGAAAAAAUAAUGUAAAUAUCUCUCAAAGAGUACAACUUUCGUUUAAAGAGUGUAAUUUUUAUCUCAAUGGAUGUAGUUUAUAUCUGAAAGAGUGCAAUAAGAGGAGAAAUAGUGUAAAUAUCUUCCAAAGAGUGUUAUUUUUGUUUAAAGAGUAUAAUUUUUAUCUUAAGGCUGCAGUUAUAUCUUAAGUAGUGCAACUUAUGUUCAUAAUAGUGCAACGUUCUUUUAACAGUGUAAUUUUAUUUUCAUCUUUCUUUUUCUAUAAUUUUUUAACUUUAUUUUUUUUGUUGCUUCUUCUAUAAUUUUUUUUGUUCACCCCUCUCUGCCAGCGGUCACGGCACCGCUAAGAACCCCCCCGCUCCGAGAUUGCAGUGCCGCAGCGACCUCCACGGUGCCAGUGUCGGCAUAAGCGAAGAUGCGUCGUCGUCGGAAGCGACAGAAGAGGAGGGAGAGGGAGAGGACGAAAAGGGCGAGGAAGGGCGAGAGAGGCNAAAAAAAAAAGGAGAGAGAAAAAAUAAUAAGGGUAUUUUGAUCAGUUUGCUGAAAAUUCGGACUGAAUCUGGAAAAUUAAAAAAGACAGCCCAGUUUUAUAAAAGCUCAAAAUUUAUGAAUUUGAUAGAUGAAAUUUUUUAAGAUAAAUAAUUAUUUCGUAUGCAGUCUCAUGAAUCUACCACAUAUUUCGAAACAGUAUAACAAUGAAUUCAAUUUAAUAUAGAAAUGAAUUGAAUGGAAACAUUAUGAACCUAAAAUGUAAGGGGUUUUUUUUUUUUUUUUGUAAUUUAGCUCUAUAUAGCUAAUCCUAUCUAAUCUUGUGACGUUUCAUGGGUGCGUGUAUUGUCACCUCUGUCCAUAAAAGAUCUGAAACGUCACAUCGUGUUCUUUUGUUUGCUUUAAAUCUUUCUACGUAAAACAGGGCCUCUGCACAGGCCAAUAAACACAGAUACAAACAUAAAUACAAUAAAUACAAUGAGAGAGAGAGAGAGCAUAGGUGCAAUAUUAUUUUAUUAUAUCUAUAUGGUUUCUUAAUUUUCUGAAGCCCUAUUUGUUGUGUUUCAGCUGCUUUUUGCCUACAAAAUCUGAAGCGUCACGUCAUGUCUUUGUAGCAUGAAAAUAAUAAACGUAUAAAAUUAUAAUGCUAUACAACACAAUAUACUAUUUCUCCUUGUCGUUUUGUUCUGUGAAUUGAAUGUUCCUGUGUGUGUUUUGUGUUUCACAUAUGCCGGAAAGGAAGGGAGGUGGAAACACUGAAACACUGAUCAUGACCAACUCAAUUCCAAAGCAACAUCAAAGAGUCUCUCUCUCUCUCUCUCUCUCUCUCUCUCUCUCAUGACCAACUCAAUUCCAAAGCAACAUCAAAGAGUCUCUCUCUCUCUCUCUCUCUCUCUCUCUCUCUCUCUCUAGAUCUCUUAGAUCUCUUUGUAUGCAUUAAAUACCAUUCAUUUCAUUGGGUCCAUAUGAACAAUAUAUAUAGGCACCUAUACACCUAUUUAUUUAUAGUGUAUAAAUCUUAUAUUUUAUUCAUCCAAAAAUUACAUACUAUAUGCCCAAUUAUUUUAUCAACUAUCUUUUUAAUAGUAAAGUUUUUUUAAAAAAUCGUAAACUUUAGAGAUAAAGGGUGUAAGAUGUAUAUCCAUAUGUAGUGUAGUAUAGGUUGUAUUUAAUUUUCAUGGUCACGUAGCUAGCAUCCACUGAAAAGCAAAGGCCUUUAUGUUGAAGAACUAGAUCUGGCAUUUGGCAAUCCAGCUUCUUGUUCGCCAGUCACCUCAUUUUCGGCUCCAAAAUGAGCUCGAGAUAGAUCGUUCGUUUAAUAAACAAGCCAACACUAGCUGAAUUUUUCAGCUCGAAAUAUUAACGAGCUGAACAGACGUGAGCAGGGUCAGCUUGCUUGUGUUCAUCUCAACGUAGCUUGAUAUAUAUAUAUAUAUAUAUAUAUAUAUAUAUAUAUAUAUAUAUAUGAACUGAGUUGCAAUGAUUCUAAAAGCACCAGAAAUUUUUUAGCCCUUGAAUCUAUAUUUUUGGUUAUUGGAUCAAAAGUCAACAAUGAUAGUUACUUAUAACCAAAUCUUACACUUUAUUCAUCCAAAAAUUACGUACUAUAUGCUCACUUGUCUUAUCAACUAUUUUUUUAAUAGUAAAAAAUUUAUUAAAAAAUUGUAAAAUCUCGAGAUAGGGGGUGAAAGAUGUAUAUCCAUAUAUAGCGUGCAGAAUAGGUUGUAUUUAAAAACAAAGGCCUUUGUGUUGAAGAACCUUGAGAUAUUUUCCAUUAUUCAUUUUCCAAUUUUCAAUAUCAGAGUUUUGAUGAGCUAGGAUUAGCAACGGUGUCAUAUUUAUCAAACUAUAUUUUUACUUACUCUUUUCACCUGAUUCGGUCCUAUUUCAUUGAUAAUUCUUUUUUAUUUAAUUUUACGAAUUUAGAGUUAAAAAAAUGAAUAUUUAACUGAUCAGAUGUGUGUGUGUAUGUGUGUGUGUUAACCACCAAAUAAUAAUUAAUCAAACAGAUGAAAUAAUUGUUAACUAUCACUACCAUCACAUUAGCAUUUGUUUGUGCUGUUCCAAAUCCUAGAAUUCUAACUAAUUAUAAUUAAUUCUAAUUAAUCCAUUGUUUGGUACCUUGAGUUUAUGAGAACAUUUGGCUGGGAUUUCCAAUAAUAAAUUAAAAUGAGAGUUAUUCAAUUCCCAUGAUUUUAGUUCGGAUUUAGUGAGAAUUUAUUCGCUAGCUAGUUAUUAGAUAUUAUCAAUAAUUUUAAUUAUAGUCUAGUAUUUUCCUUACUAUAUAUGUAGCUGAGAAUAGAAUGAAAAAAGUUAAUCACAUUGAAAUGAAUUCUCAUGUGAAAAAGAAUUCCUUCGAACUCCGGUUUAACCCAAACAACAAAAUUAAUUCUAAAUAAAUUCAACUGAAUUCUUCGCAUCUAAAUUCCAUUGAACUCUAUUUCGGUUUGGGUAGAUGAGAUUAAACUCUCUAAAACUAAACUAGUUUGAAACUCGACAACUUGACAAUGACUUGUUUCGCCAUACUUUUCUGUCCAUUUUCAGCUUCAAUUAUCCAGAAUAGUUUGCAAGCAGAAAAGCCCUAGGCUUUUUGAUAUAUCGGACGGCUGCUGCGAUUUUGAGCCCCAAAAACAGAAGUUCCAAUUUAUAGUUGCUAAUUUUGUUUGCAAAGAGGAAGUACUGGGGAGAAAUUCAAAUUAUAGUACUCCUGUACCCCCACUAUAUCAUGAAAAAUUCUAAAAUGCAACAGUCAUACUAGUGGUGCCCCCAACCCAAGGACGGUGAGGGGGGGGGGGGGNGAUCAAGAUUAAUAAUUCUAAUAUUGAAUUUAAAAAUCCUAUUCUUUAUCAGGGAUGAAGUCAGAAAUUAAGAUUCGGAAGGAGGGGGGCGGGCAAAAAAAAAAAAAAAAAAAAAAAAAAAAAUCGACCUCAAAUAGUAAGAAAAAGAUUUUGUCAGGUUCACUGGUCAUCAUCUAUUGCUAAUAACAGCAGCGACAAUAUGCUCAAGAAAGAACAAGACUAUAAAAACCAAAGGAAAAGGGCCCAGGGGUUCGGAAAAAGAUUAGGACACAAGUUUUAUUUAAAAAAAAAAAUCAAUUUAGCCCCCCCUAAAACUAAAAUUUGUAAUAUUUUAAUUUUUUCCUAUAAAGGACAUAUAUAAUUUUUAAAAGUUGAGGGAGGUCGUGGCCACUGUGAGCCUCACUAUGGCUUCGUCCCUGCCACAACCAAUCACAAAGCUUUCCUGGAGUUCACCCAUCCCAUCAUAAUUUUUUAAAAAAAUAUUUUUAUUACGCUUCUCUAUCAAAGGGAAAGAUGUGACUGGCUGGAGAUAGAUGAUGUGUUGUAAGUGUUAUACAGUAGACUGCAGGUAUAUGGAUAAUCCCACAUGAAAUAACUAGCAGUGGAGUAUGAGGUGGCAUAGACUAUUGGGCCUCAUCUGUAUGCUCGAAGCUUCGGGUCCGAUGGAGACGUUAGACAUGUAACAUACUAAACUCAUGCAGGCCUUGGGCCAGGCUGGAUCUUCUGAACAAAACGAGCCCAUUGAUUUAAAAUACACCUACUAAGAAACUGAAUCUCCAAUAAGCCUAGUUUCAGAGUCACUAUCUGUUUAUAUAUAAUCAGUAAAAAACUGUGAUUCUGAUGCAGUGGAAUAAGCUAAGAAUGAGUGAGAAUUCAAGUAAAAACCCAGUGAGCUAGAAAUUAUGAUUUCCCAAAAUGGACCAACACAGACAAAUUAUGCAAUCAUAUUCUCUUAUGUAUUAACAAACCAUUCUUUCAGCUUAAACAGUUGCGGGUAAGAGAUCAAUCACAGUUUGCAUACACGAUCAAAUCGACUGAGCAUGGAAGCAUUUGAAAGGCUCCCGAAUCUCACAAUGGAGCUAGUGAAAAUAUGUUUGUCCGAUACAAUUAAUGGUGGAUGACGAACACUACUCACUAGCAAGACGAUACUGAAAUUCCAAUGCAAAGAACCGUGAUUAGAAAUUCGAAAAGCUCGUUACAGUUCUCUUUUCCCAACAAGCGGCAUUUGUGCGGAGUCACGCAGACAAGAUUACAAUGAAGAAGACAUUGUUCUAUGGUACAUCAUAAAGAGUAAAAGCACACCAGCAAAACAAAAGCGCCCGUCCCGUCACGCCCGCUACUAUAAAUUUUAACUAAUAAUACAUUCCAGAGCUACAAAAAUAGUUGUAACACAAAGCCUCGAGACAACAAUUAGAGACAGAGCAGCUUACAUCUCAGUCCCAUUUAUAGCUGUAUUUGCCUUGGUCAAACACAACAUAAGAGCGUCGCUUCAGUGUUACAGCGAAAGCUUUAUCUCAAGUGCGCUGGCGGUAUCGAUAUGAAUCACGGUUGCAACCUCUGUCCCAGAGGUAAACCUCAUUACAUCUCAUCCACUAAGAUGCUCUUUUCAUCAGAAGAUUCGGCACGAUUAUGUGGUAAAAAGAGAAAAAUAUAUCUCCUUCAAAUAUAUAACCAUAAGAAGAAUAUCAAGAAUUCUCCAGCAAAGCCGUGUAGUUCGCGACAUAAACAACUACUUUUUCCGCAGCUUAUUCCGAUUAAUUUUAACAAUCCGCCUGCCGGAUUUGUCACCGCCCCCACUUCCCAAAGAAAAGCUGCUACCUCCUUGAAACUCUAAAUUACCACCAGGUUGGAAGGGAGAAGGGUUUUGAGGAAGAGAAUUCUGUUGGUUGCCACCAAAUUGGAAAAUGGGAGCUCCACCUGACGGGAUUGGUGAAGCACUGAAAACCGGAGCGGCAGGUGCACCAGUAGGCUGCCCGAAUGUUGGGACCAUAGAGACUGCGGCAGAUGGGGCAGUAGUGUCGUCAGUCAUGCUGUCUUCCACAUUCAUCUGAUCAUUGUUCCCGGGAGAUCCUGAAAAGAAUCCUGUAACUGGGCUUGGCGUACCGAAUAAAGGUCGUGCAGGAGAUGAGUUUGCUGUAGCACUUGCCGAGGUGAAUGAGAAAGCUGGUCCAGUUUGCGUGUUGAAUGCAAAGGGUGAAGUGCUUGGAGAAGAAGAUGGUUGUCCAAAUACGAAGGGGGAAGUGCUUGAAGAAGAAGCUGGCAGUCCAAAUGGAAAGGAUGAAGUGCUUGAAGAAGAAGCCGGCUGCCCAAAAGUAAACCCUGUGGAUGCGGAUGAAGUUGAACCAAAGGUGGUAUUAAAAGUUGAAGGUGUUGAUGGGGUCGAAGAAGAACUGAAUAAAGUUGAUGAUACUGGGAUAGAAGAAGAGGUGGAGGACGAGCUAGAAGGAGAAGAGCUAGAAGCAAAACAAAAGCCGGGGCCUGAACUGAAAGGUUUAGAAACCAUGAAGGAAGAACCGGAGGGAGCAGCUGUAGUAGCUGAAAAAGAGAAUCCAGAGCUCGCACUAGAAGGUUUGGAAGCAGUAGCUGUUGAUCCAAAUUGUGAAUCUCCGAGACUAGUUUGGGAACUUCCAAAUGUGAAUGUCGGAGCUGACGAAGUGAAGGAACUGAAAUGACUUGAUGAGCUCUGAGACGGCUGUUGGGUAAUGCUUCCAGAUUGAGCUGGCUGAGUUCCUAAGUCUGCUCCAGCUUUGUUGCCGAAAUUUAAACCAGCUUGAGAACUGCUCUGGCUUGGUGCGCUUUGGGACAGCUGCUGGGUACUGCUUCCAGUUUGAGUUGAUUGAGUUCCAAAGGCUGCUCCAGCUAUGCUGCCAAAAGUAAAACCUGUUUGAGAACUGCUAGUUGCGACUGAUGAACUCAAGCCAGCAGAUUGAGCCGAAGUACUGAACCCAACAAUGCUGUUUCCUGUGGCGGUAAACGGCAACGAUGGAGCAGAAGAAGAUUGAGCAACACUCGAGCUCGAAAACAGAUUAGAUGGUUUUGAAUCACUCAAACUCCCUGUACUUGAAAAUGCGGAAGUUGUUGCUAGGGGCGAGGAACUAAUCGAUGAGCUUGAUAAAGCAGAUGAAGUGACCGGUUCUGGCAAACUGCUGUUUGAAACUACAGGAGUUGCACCCACAGUGGUGACGUUAGCUGUGUCACUGAAUUUUUCUGAUGGUUGAGCUGAUAUUUGGGAACCAAUUGAGAUAGCAGACCCAAAACCAAAUGAGGGGGCGGUGGGAAAUACUGGAGCUGCAGAUGAGGAAAAUAGGUUGCUGGAGGUAGCUGAGCUGGUGGAGAAAACUGAAGCGACGGGCCCCUCUGAAGGAGCAGCAGCUGGGGCAGCAGGAAACAAGAAUUUCGGUGCAGAUGAAUGCAACAAGCCAUUGCUCAAGCUUGGAGAGGAGAAAGGUGAGGGUGCAGCCGACGAAGCAGCAGUUUCAGGUACAUUCAAUGACUCACUUGCUUUCCGCUUCACAUCACCUUUCUCUGUCUUCAAAUUGUCAAAUAUAGAGGUCUCGGUGACACUGCUGAAUAACAAUAAGAAAAUUACAUAAUUUAGUAACUCAGUAACAGGAAAAUAGUGCACUUACUAACAGUCAGAUAAUAAUGCAAUGCGCAAUGUGUAAAAUCACAAACAGUAAGUGGCCCAAAAUGAUGACUACGGCACCAGAUUUAAAAAUUUGAGAUGCAAAAAUGCUUUCCCUAAAAUUGAAGAAGAAAUAUUUCAAUGGUCACAGUAGACAAUCAGAAGAGAUAGCCUUCAGUGAAAGAUCCAGAGCUUUUGGAAAUAGGCAUUGUUAAAUGUAAUAAAAGAUCCAAGGGAGAGAUUAUGACACAGAGAAAGCCAUCUUCUUUAUUUCUAAUACAAAAAGAUUUCAUCAAAAGGCCAAUUCUUUGUUUUCGCUGCAAAUGAGAAGAACAAUUCCAAUAUAUAGUCACUGAAAUUUACUAUAAAAAUUGCAGCUAUAACAAUUAAAAACUGUCUCCGAAGAAGAGUAGCAUAAAAUUCUCAAGAGGUCUCCAUUAAUUAAAACAAUGCAAAACCAAAAUUUUGCUACAACUAUGAGCCAAUAUAUACUGUAAUAAACUAACAGUUGUCGCCCUGACCUUGUACCAACUUCUACACCAGCACUUGUAGAUGUGGAUGGCAAUGCAGGUGUCGGGGAUUUCUUCAACCCAAAAGAGAAAAUGGGAGCAGCUUUUUGUUCCUUCUCUCUAGCUGAUAUCUCGGGUGAUGGUGCUGCCAUAGUUGGUGUAGGAGGUUGCUCUAAAUGAUUAGUAGGAGCAGGCAAAACAGAGAAUGUAAAACUAGUGCUGUUAUUGACGAUCCCACGGCCUGCUGGAGCCUUCUUCUCAGCCUCACUGGACGAAACAAAAUCAGAGGAAAGUGUGCUUUUGGCUGCAGAAAUCAGAGGCCUCUCUGUACCGGCUGCUUCAAAAUUCAAAAACUUCUGGUCUGAUGUUUUCGACUCAACUUUCUGUUCUAAUGUCUUUGACUCAGUUUUGUCCACUACAUUGUUCACCGGAGCCUCCACAGCAUUACCACUAUCAUCAUCAAUCUCAGACGAGUCCUUUAAAGCAAAAAUGGAGAAUAUCAUUAUUAUGUACAAAAAUAAAAUCAUUAAAAAUGUGGAUGAGUUGUUUUACAAGACUAUAAAGCAAAAACAUAGCUUGGAGGCUUUCUAUAUACAGACUGGGAAAAUCCAAAGUUUCUGAAAGUUACAAUUUAAAAAAAUGCUUAAGAGAGGCAUUUUAUAGGGUUAUAUAUGUACCCCCCAGCUCACUCCAUAGCUGGGAGGUUUUCUAUGUACAGACCAGAAAAAUCCGAAGUCUCUGGAAGUUACAAUUUAAAAAAUGCUCGAGACAGGCAUUUUAUAGGGUUAUAUAUGUCCCUCCCCUCCCCCUCCCUCCCCCCCUCUAUAUAUAUAUGAGUCCAACUAUGGUGCUUUUAAAAACACCAAACACUUGAUGCUCGUAAGUUUCCCGCCGUUAGAUCUACCCAUUUGACCAAUUCCACUCCUUAGAUCAUGCUAUUCCACCAACCACCCACUCAACCCUGGAGGACCACUAUUAUCCUAACCCUCCAAAUCUUCAUCCAACGGCCAAAAAUUUAUAAGCACCAACAACUUGGUACUCUUAAAAGCAUAAGAGCUAAAUUCUAUAUAUAUAUAUAUAUAUAUAGAGAGAGAGAGAGAGAGAGAGAGAGAGAGAGAGUCCGGGCACGGUACCUUUAAAAGCAUCAAGUACUUGGUGCUUUUAAGUUUUCCGCCGUUAGAUAUACCCUUUGACUAUUCCCACCCAUUAGAUCAUACUAUUCAACCAACCACCCACUCAACCCUAGGAGACCACUAUCAUCUUAAUUGCACAUCCCUUAAUUCAAGGGCCGAAAACCUACAAGCACCAACGAAUUGGUACUUUUAAAAGCAUAGGAGUUCAAUUCUAUAUAUAUAUAUAUAUAUAUAUAUAUAUAUAUAUAUACACACACACACACAAGCCAUAAGAGUGUAAUGCCUACUUACCUCAGAAAUAACCAUUUGAAAGCCCGGCUUUCCCCUUGUAGAAACGGCAGCAGAAUGUGAAAUCUCACCAACAUUAGAUGUCGCAUUCCGGACAAAUGUGAAAGCAGGAGCACUACCAACUUGAGAAGUUGAUUUAAUUCCCAAUAGAGGGCCAUUUAAAAGAUCAUCUUCUUUAAGCCUCUCUUGUUUUCCAGAAAGAGGAGAGCCACCAGUGGCAUCCAUAUCCCAACUGCUACGAAGGUUUAAUUUAGAAGUUGAUUCAACUUUUGCAACCUUUAUUUCACUUGAUUUCUCUUUCGGCGAAGGUGCUAAUUUGUCAAGCUCCUUCAGUAUUUUCAUGGCCAUUGUAGCUGACUGGGGUGGUAUAGGAGGAAUACCGUCAUCAAGUAUUCUAUUAUCCUUAUCUUCUUUAUUCUCAAAGUCUGUGGUAUAAUCCAAUUUAGACACGCCAGAAGGCUUUUCUAUGGUCCCAGAACCAUUAAUAACUUCAUUCUCAAGUGUGCCUGAGCUACUAGGAAGAAGAUUGCCAUGAUGAAUUGUACGAGAAUCUUUUGAUGGAGACAUCAUAUUUGAUUUCUGACGAAUUCUGCGUAUAGGACCAACAGAUCCGAUUUCAUCAUCCAAAACAGAACUUCUUCGCUUCAAAACCUGCAAGAGGAAAUAAAAGCCACAACGUUUAAAAUUAACUUGAAUGACGAUAACCAAAAAAAAAAAAAGAAAAGAAAUUGAGUAAACGAAUAUUCUGCCAAUCGCACAAAAUGAUUGGAUAAACAGAAUAGUGGAUGAAGAAUGAGUUACCUGUGUGCCGGCUGAAUACAUACUCUUUGUUGGCGUCUGAUGAGAUGAUGAGGGGAGAGCAUACACAUCGUUAGAAGAACUGGCACCCUAUAUUACAACACAACAACAUCAAAGCAUUCAGUCCAAACCUAUCUCUUUUUUUUUUCUGAAAAACAGAUUUAAUAGGCAGGAAGGUUCCAUAAAACAACAUACUAGACAUAUGAACUGGCAGGAGGAAAUACAGCUUACAGAAAACAUGUUUGCAUAUAUAUUUUUGCAAACUAGAGAAUCGCAUAAAAAUGCCUGUAAAGUAGGUAGUUGCAACGGCGCCCUAAAAACCUUUUUACUGGCAUUCAUGCAACUAUCUGGGCUAUAUAUUUAAAAAAACAUUUUUGAAAAAAAUACCCCAGCAGGGGCACGUGUGCACACAUGGAAGGCACAAAUACCAACUUUGCAGGGGUAUUUAUGACAAUUUGUGUAUAUACAUAAGGGAGCCCUAUGGCCGCACCUAACCAAAUCUGCUGCAUAAGGAUGAAUUUUAUUAAAGUCAUCCAGUCAGAUUAAGCAGUUAAAUACCUUAAAAUAUGGAGAACGGGACAUUCUGUAAAUUGCUGAUCUCCUAUGAAGUCUUGGAGUGAUAUAUCCAUUCUCAUUUAGUCCUGGUAGUGCGGGAGCACGCAAAGUUGAUCUUGGAGCAACUGAUGCUAGAGGUGUCUUUGUUCCAUAUACUGCGUUACUAGAUGUUGCUUUAUCCUCCAACAAGACAUGACUCCGCAUGCUAAAAUUAGAAGGGGAUCCUUUUGAAGACCUGGAAACCAUAUAUGCUUUUGCAAGUUCUGCGGGCGAAGCAGAUUCCUCCUUGGGAAUCUGCAGUGUCAUUAAGUACACUAUUUGAGCAUAGAAAAGAAAAGGAUUUGGAUGCUAACUUAAAAAUUAACAUCAUAUUGACAAAAAGGAAAGAAUAGAAAGAAAAAGUAUAUAUAUUGACAAAAAAAUUUGAAUGCUAAUCCUUCCCAAUUGAAAUCAGUAUCACAACAUCCCUAUUGAUAAUCCAUGUCUUUGGAUGUGAUCGCGACUAUUUAAAAUAUCUAGAAUCUAAAAUCACAGCUUCAGGAUGUCCUCUUUUACUUGAACAUUGAAAGAUAAAAUAAAUUGAAUAAGCUUCCCAGCUAGAAUGGCACUCUUCUAUUAGAUAAUCAGAUCUGUUUCUUUUCAUCAAGAUAUUUACUUAUCUAGCAAAAUUUCUGUCAAUCUUGAUUUUUCUAACAGGAUAAUCAAACACCUUUAAAAUUGUCAAAUUUGUUUGAACCGAAGGUAGAGUAUGAAUUCUUAUUUUCUACAUAUCUUACAGAUCUGAAGUGGUCUAGAUCAUCUUAACCAGCAAUGAUUUCUAUAAAAAUGCCUCAAUAUCAAAUAUGCAUUUUGACUAAGGGGCUGUCUUGUUUGGCAUAAAACUACGGAAAACAGUUUUUCAUGGAAAGAGGUUUUCAAUGGAAAAAUAAUUUUACAGUCAAUGAUGUUUUGUUCGUUGGAAAAGAAAAAAAGUUUUCAUACCAUACUUGGUUUGCCAGAAAAGAAAAUACAAACUUAAAAAUAAAUUGUACAUUAUACAUUAUAAAAUAUGGAUUUUCUAAAUAAAUUGUUUAUUAUAUAUUAUGAAAAAUAUGGUGUUUAGUUAUUAUAGGACAUAAAAAUAUUACAAUAUAUUAUAAUAAUAAAUAAAAUAAAUUUUAAAAUAAUAUAAUAGGAUAAGAAUACAAUAUUAUAUGAGAGAAAAUUAAUGUGUAUUUUAUAUUAUCUAAUAAUAAAAUAUUAUAAGAUUAUACAUAUAAUCUAAACCAUAUAGUUUAUGCAUGCAGUCCAUGAGGUUACGCUUUUUUGAGUGAAAAUGAAAACUGUCCAUUUAUGGGAAAACUGUAAAAUUAUAUUUUCAAGCACCAAACGAUUGGAAAAUUAUUUUUCAAGUUGAAACCUAUUUUCGGCUCACUUUUAUGACCAACUAAACACCCCAAUAGAGGGACGGAAGUCCAAACCAUUAAACUUUAUCCUAGAUCUAUGCAUUCUAAUAUCUUUAGAUAAGAUUAUAAACAUGCAAGAGUUAUGUAGAUUUCAAUAGAAGAAACUGCAUUAAAACCAAAAUGGACAUUCAACAGAUAAGUAGAGUAACUACAACACAGCCACAUACCAGCAUCAACAAAGUAUCACGAUUUCAAAAAUUUACAAAGUUUAUAAUAUCUAUGAAGUAACCAGAAUUUUGAAUACAAAGAUUUGUGAUAUCAUAUUAAAAUUUGAAGAUUAAUCUACUUACAGUUCCACCGGCUGCAGGAUUUAAGGCAACACCGUGUGAUCGGAAGCUUCCUAAUCCAAGUUCAAUUUUGGAAACAUUUAAUUCCUCCUUUUUGUCAUUAUUGACUGCUAGCUUUGACGCAUCUGGUUCAAUAGUUCUCGAACGCAAUAAUUCUGUCAAAUGGUCAAACUCAGCCCUGUACAAAGAAAAUAUGUCGUCAAGGUAAGUUAUAUCAAUAGACAAGAUAACCUACAAAAUAAGAUAGCCAAAGUUCAUAAAAGGAUAAAUAAAUGAGAUCAGCUGUAAAACACAGAGAAAGAGUCCAAUUCAAUAAAAAGGCCAUCAACAAAACAUGCAAUAGAAAAGCAUCAGAAAUACCCAAAAAUACUUUCUACAAGCAUUUGCAUGGAUGAAAAGGCAUUAAGCACUAAGAAACAAAUGAUGGAAGUAUAUGCUAGCAGUAGCAAAAAGAAAUAAGUGAUGUAAAAACCUAUUUCUUUUUUAAGUUAUCAACAUCCAUUUGCAAGUAUUCCUUACACUAGAACUGUUUUAAAUCAGACAAAAUAUUAUCACUUGAAAUAUUCAAUUAAGGUGAAUCAAUAAAAUCAGCUGAGAGAGGAGAAUACAAAAGACUUGAACAGCAUCCCUAACAUUGUAUGAUUGCCAAAUUUGUAAUGAUUGUCACAACCCAGAAAAUCUGAGAUUCAUGGAACAUACAAAACUUCUCUAGAAAUCUCAUCCCUUCUCUUCAUUCUCUUAACUAAAUGGCACGCUUCAUGAUAUACUUACAUUCACAUAGGCAAUAUCAGAUAUAGUAAAAUAGGCCCUCUAAUAAUAAAGCAGUAUAAACCUAUACAUAUUGCUUUUAACGUCUAAAAAGUUAUUCAGAAUAAUAUAUUGCAGAUACUUUCCUGGUGAAUGUCUUCUGCUUCAAUAAUUUUUCAAGUUCAGACAAACUCUUGUCACCCGAGUUGUUUGUUAGGUUAUUUCCCUCCCCAAUUUGAUUAUCCAAAGUUUGCAGUGAUGGAUUCUGCAUGUCACAAACAAAAAGAGGAGUCAGAGGAGAAACAUUAAGCGGAUAUCUAAUAAAAGAUAGAGUGUCUGUAGCAGCGUAAAUAGAGCAUGCAAUUACUGAUUUCUAAAUACCAAGAACAGAACAUAAAGCUAUAAACUAGGAAAGCAAAACAACUACAAGAAAUAGAAUGGAUGCUAAAUAUAUAUUAGUAAGUACAACAGCCAGGAGAAAUUGCACUAAACAAAUCUGACCGUAGGCCUAGAGACUCUUCUAGGCCAAACAGAAUGCUGAUAACAAAACAUGAGAAGCUAAGUGGCUACAAAUAACCACUCAAGCCAUUAAUAGAUUUCAAUAGACCUACUAGCUUGAAAAGAAGCCAAUCCAAAAAAAAUUGUAGAUAACCUCAUUCAAAGCCUUUUCUCAACAUUACAUGUUGGCGUCUUUUAACCAAAUACAUCACUUUUAAGGAUUAUCGUGCUACUGAAAUUCCUAAUAUAUUAUCAAGCAUAAGAUAAGCUAUAACAAAUGUAGAUCAAUUAAUUCAGCACGAUAACUAACAGCAUAUGCAAAGAAUAUAAAGUAGAAAAUUAGAUAAAAGGAUCUAUAUCUAGCAUAACAUAAAUUCAAACACAAUAACCAUAAAAUGACUGCAAGGAAUAGACUGCUCCUUACAACGGAUGUAACUUCAGGAACCUCUUCUCUGGAUUGAACAUUUCCACCUGUAUAUGAAAUGAAGCAGUCAAGAUAUGAUUAACGGAAAAAAAAUAUAGAUAUUGCCUUGGCAGUAAAAAGCUAGAUAGAAAAUAGAACAAAGUUGUGGAAUAUACAGAACAAGAACAACAGCAAAGUAAUCCUUUAUCUUCAUUGAACCCUAUCCUGGUUAAUGAAAUGCAUACCAUUAAUUAUCCAGAAAAAAUAGCAUAACUAUUUAUCAAGUAGCGGAACAUGUAAGCAAGAUUCAUUGAAAAUUGAAAACUCUUCACUAAAACACUCUUCCAAAAUAUCGGCAGAUUUGUCCUCCUCUAUUUCAUGACCAAAUCUCAUAAAGUUCGAGUGUUGCAAACUAAAUUGAUUGGCAACACAUAGAACUUCGCUAGACAAAGAUUUGAAGAACUAUGAAUAUGGAAAAUACGACAUUGAAAAAUAAGAAUCUUGUAGCGAGCCGACCCACUAGCAAUAAUAAUUCGUUGGAUCCAAACCACUGGCUCAAAAUGCAUAAGCCCAGUUAUUAUUAGUAUAGUCCCCGAUCCUUAUAUACCCAAUUAUAAUCAUUUUCAAUCCAAUGUGGAACUAUUGGGGAGUUAUAUACUCCCCCCCCAUUGAGUCCCUGGCGUCCAAUCACAUACAUAUAUAAGAAUUACCAGACAAUAUGAGAUUCUAGAGGUAGUUCUUCUUUAUUCUUGAUUCUUAAAGGGGAAAAAUAAAAAACAAGAAGGGGGAAGAAAAAGUGAAAUGGGAGAUGAGAACCAGUUUUCAUAGCCUGGUCUCAGACAGCACACUAAAUUGCAUGACCAAUUCAGUGGGAAAUGCAACCAGAGAAAUGAGAUAAUAUCACGCCACAUCAUUAACAAAUAUUGCAGUCAUGCCUACUGCCAUAAAGUUACGAGUUAAAACUGAUGUUAACUUCUCUCCCUGUAAAAACAUAAGUCCAUCUGGAAAAUAAACCAGGAAAAGGUUCGAAUCCCGAACUUCCUACUAGUUAGAGGUUGAUAAAUUUUAUCAACAAAAGCGUUGGAAAAAUAUUCGGUCCAUAUUAGAACCAGAACUUGCUCAACAGGAUAAAAAUUGCAAUAUUCUGCCCUAAUCUGUCGAUUGUGUUAAUGAAUGUCAAACAGUUAGAAUGCAGAUAAAGAUCAUACAUUUGAACAUCCUGUUGAUCAACAAACUGUAUGUAGUUCACAGCAACAAGCUUAAAAUGCAUACAAGCAACAUUAACUUACAUCAUAAUGGUAGGAUAUUGGUAAAGAAGUUAGUCGAUAAUAAUCAAUUUCAAUUAGGUAUUUUUCCUCAAGUUCUAACCGAUUGAAUACACCAGGGAAUGAGAAAUCGUUUACCAACUCUACAUCGAUGGAGUUUUAUAGUGCAGCACAAAAGAAAACACAAAAACUCGAUAGCUAUCAACAAAAAAUGAGCUUGCAAACUACCAACCCAUUUCAUAAAAAAGCGGGGAGGAAAAACUCGAUAACUAGAAUAGAGAAGCCCACAACCACAACCUAGUUCAUAAGAAAGCGGGGAGGAAAAAACUGUAAGUUAGCCAAACAAGCCAAAAGGUACUCAUUUGUUUGCCCCAAAGUUGGAAUUUUUCAGGUGAUUAGGAGAUUAAUUCUCAAAUUCCGAAGCAAAUAAGUAGCACUUCGAGCUAGCUAAGGAGCACAUCAAAUCCACUUCUAAGUAUACACAAUACAGGAUAUCUGAGGCUAGUUUAAACACCAUUACUCAAAACAUAACAAAGACGCACACCAUCACAAAAACCCUAACGAGCCCCAAAACCCUAAUCAGCCCCAAAAGGCGGAAGCGCCGGGAACUGCUUGCGGAAGACGGAGGAGAAGAGCUUCGAGGCGCUCCCGGCGAUGAGGCGCGACGCGGGAUCGACGAGCUUCGAGAGCCAUCCACUCGUCCUCCCCGCCUCCGAAGCGCCCUUGACGCCGCGCGCCGCCGCAGCCGCCGCCGAAGGCCUAUCGUACGGCGUCGCCGCCGCCGCGGCCCGAAGCGGGCGCCGCCGUAUCUUCCCCCCGAUCCCACCUCCCUCGUAGGACCCCGUCGCCAUUGAUGGAACCAACGAAGCAGAGAGAGAGAGAGAGAGAGAGAGAAGGGGGGAGGGGGAUUUGAGAGGAGAGGGGGUGGGGGAAAGGAAAAUAAAAGGUCGGGUUUUUAGGGUUCGCUCGCGACGAUAGAGAGUUGAGGCGGCGGGUGUGGGGGGGGGAGGGAUGGAGAGGAGGGGCUCGAUGGGGCCCACCUUUGUCGCCGUCGUUUAUUUUCCUUUGCCUCGCGUAUAUAUCUACGUAUUCAACUCUUUUUUUAUAAAUUCAAAUUUGGUUAAAUUAAAUUUUAGGUCCUCGCACUACAUAUAUUCGAAUUUUACUUUAUUUUAAUUUUUUACUUACAAUUUUUUUAGAUCAUUGUAAAUAAAUUUUACUGUAUUAUUUAGUUUACUGAAUAAUGACGUUUGGCAUAUAAAAUUGUGUUAUAAUUAAUAAUAUAAUAAUAAUAAAAUGUUACAUUGCUAUCACAUUUAGCCAACUAAAUGUAAACUACGAUAACCUAAAAACUUCGAGCCAAAAAAAUAAUAAUAAUUUAAAUUUUAAGAAAAUUAAAUUGUCACUCGUCUUAUAGUUUAAAGAUCAAAAUUGUAAUUUAGCCUUUAAAUUUAUGGUUUGGUUUCGCGAGUGUAGAAAAAAAAUUAAAACGAAAAUAUGUAGAUAUUUUCUUCUUUAUUUUUUAAUUAGAGUGCAGAAAUUAUAUUAUAAUUAAAUUAUUAUGACUUUGAUGGUAUAAAUUUUUACUAUACGUAACACAAUCUCGCGAAAGGCUAAUAUUUUCUAAUUGGUAGAAUUAUAAAGUGCAAGUAUACUCAACAUUAAUUAAAAUUAAAAGGGAAAACUUCAAAAAUUCCCCUGUGGUUUUCUAUUUUUUCAUUUAGUAUCAUGUGGUUUAAAAUGUAUCAAGUUAGUACCUUGUGGUUUCGCACUUUCUUAUUUUAAUACCCUGUGGUUUAAAGUGUAUCAAGUUAGUACCCUGUGGUUUUAUUUUUGUAUCAAAUUAGUACCCUGUGGUUUUAUUUUUAUAUCAAGUUAGUACUUUGUGGUUUUUAAAUCACAGAAUACUAAAGUGAGAAAGUGCGAAACCAGAGGAUACUAACUUAAUACACUUUAAACUUCAGGUUACUAAAGUGAGAAAGUACAAAACCAUAGGGUACUAACUUGAUACACUUUAAAUCACAGGUUACUCAAGUGAGAAAAAGUGAAAUCACAAUUGGGAUAUUGGAAGUUUUUUUUAAAAUUAAAUUAAUUGAUACGACAUUUGAAGGGCGAGAUAGGACAAACUUAAAAGAUUAGAAUUAAUUAAAACAUUGUGCAUGAAGUUGACAUCAGAUCAAGCUUUAAGGAUUAACUAAAUAAAUGAAUUAUUACAACUACACCUAUAAUAUGGUCAGCCUCACUUUUCCUUUUGGUACUAUAUAUAUAUAUAUAUAUAUAUAUAGAGUCCGGCUAUUAUGCUAUUAAUAGCACGAAGCACUUGGUACUACCAAGUUUUCUGCCGUUAGAUCUAUCCUUUUGAUCAUUUUCACUCGUUAGAUUAUACUAUUCAACCAACCACACACUCAACCCUAGGGGGCCCAUAUCAUCCUAACCACCCAUCGCUUAAUCCAAUGGCCAAAAAUUUGGUAGCACCAAUAACUUGGUGCUAUUAAUAGCAUAGUAGCCUAGUUCUAUAUAUAUAUAUAUAUAUAUAUAUAUAUAGAGUGAGGUUACUAUGCUAUCGGAAGCACGGAGCGUUCCGUGCUUCCAGCUCGUUGAUAUAUAUAUAUAUAUAGAACUAGGCUACUAUGCUAUCGGAAGAACGGAGCGUUCCGUGCUUCCAGCUCGUUUUCAAUAUUGCGACUUUCGAAUCGUCAAUCGGCUCCGUUAAACUUGAUCUAGAGUAUUUGAAGUACCUAAAAAAUGAAUUUUAUGAUUUUACGAUAUCAUUUGCCUAGUGAACGAAGUGGCUCAAAAUCAACGGCUGAAAAUAAAAAUCUUACAAAAUGUAAAAAUAUGACAUUAAAAUUUUAAAUCAAAUAUACUGAUCUUGUUUUAUAUAGUAUAAAGAAUUUUCUAUCAAAAUUUCACGUGAUUUGGAUAUUUUUACACCGUUAAACUUGCAAACGGCUCACUACGGCCAUUGAAAUUUGUUGAUUUUGAGCUCAUUCGAUCACUAGGCAAAUGAUAUCGAAAAAUAAUAAAAUUUAUUUUCUAGGUACUCUAAAUACUCAAGAUCAAGUUUAACGAAGCCGAUCGACGAUUCAAAAGUCGCAACAUCGAAAACGAGCUAGAAGCACGGAAGGCUCCGUGCUUCCGAUAGCAUAGUUGCCUCUCUCUCUCUCUCUCUCUCUCUCUCUCUCUCUCUCUCUCUAUAUAUAUAUAUAUAUAUAUAUAUAGGAUAAAUUUUAAUUUUGUUCAAUUAUGAUUUAACUUAUUUUGACUCAUCAAUAUGUCAUUUCAAAAGUUAAAUUAAUUAUUUUAUUUUAUUUUACCAAAAAAAAUAUGCAGCCAAAUAAAAUAUUAAAGUAAAUAUUGUAAAAAAAUUAUAGAAUGAUAUUAUAUUUGAUGAUAGAUUCUUAUAGUAAAAUAAAAAUAAAAUAAUAAAGUAGUUAAAGUGUAACUUUUUAAAUUAUUGAAUAGUUAAAAAAAAAAAGGUAAAAUAUAUAAUCAUUAAGUAUAAACUUUUGAACCUCAGAAUAAUAAAAUAAAAAUAUACUAAAUUAUAAUAAAAAAAUAUUUUUUUUUUUUACUAUGGCUAAAUUUUGCUUGAAAUAAUUUGAUAUUUUAUUCACUAAAUUGAGGCGACGAGCCACGACACUUGUGGGGUGGUCUACACUAUCAUUUUUUCAUCGAAUAAACUCAUGUAAAAGCGCACAAAAUUGAUAAAAUAAUAAUAAAAAUAGUGCGAUGGAUAAAUUGAAUUGUUUCAUCAGAGUUUUUAUAUAUUAAUUUUUUUGUUUAAUUUGAUGAUAUGGAUCGAAAGAAAUUAUACAAAACCAAUCUCGCGAAACCUUAUAAAAUUAUGAAAAAUCUAAUGAAAAGUAAGGCCAAUUUGCAUAAAAAAUCCACUUAUUUUGGGCUUUUGCAAAACCGGGCCAUCUUUUUCGUUUUGCAGAUUCGGUCCACUUUUUCAGCAAACGGACCAAAAUACCCUUUUUACUUUUUCUCUUUCCUCUUUCUCUUUCCUCUUCGUUUCUCUCGUUCUUUUUUUUUCUCGCCGGCAGAGCGGAGGCGGAAACGGUCCGUCUCGCCUCUCACCCUCAUUCUCUAGCCCUCGCCCUCGCCCUCGCCCUCGCCCUUGCCCUCGUCCACGCACCCCCCACCUUCCUCGCCUCCAACCCCGCUAAGGCCGCGCCACGACUUUUUUUUUUUUUCUUUUUUCUUUCUUUUUUCCGACCUUCUCCACGCGUCUCGCGACGACGAUGGCUCUCUCGCAUUCUCGUCGCUUCACCGCCUUCUCAUCUCUCCCUCUGCCCUCAUAUCUCUGGGCCGGUCCGCAGAUGCAUUUUCGCCGCGCCCGAGUUCGACACCGGUAGAGGUCACUGCGGCGCUACAGGCCGAGCGGGGGUCCUUAUCGGUGUCGUCAGCCGGCAACCGUGGCUGUUGGCAUAGAAGGCCGACAAAAAAAAUUAUAGAAAAAACAGACAAAAAAAAAAUAAAGAAAAAAAUUAAUAUAAAAAGAAGAUGAACAUCCAAUUGUAUCGUUAACUGCAAAAAAAUAUAUAAGUGCACUAUUUAAGAUGUAAAUGCGCUUUAAAAUGAAAACUAUACUCUUUAAACAAAAUUACACUCUUUGAGAAUAUUUACACUCGUUUCUCUUUCCUUAUACAUCUUUCAGAUGUAAACUUGAACCAUUAAGAUGAAAGUUACACUCUAUUAAAACAAAAGUGCAGCUGGUUUCUCUCUCUUGUUGCACACCAUUUUUCUUCUUGUUAAGCUAUUUUUUAUCUUAAUGCACCCUCUUUAAGAGAUAUUUAUACUGUUUCUCCUCUGUUGCAACAUUUUUGUGUAAAAUAAGAGGAGAAAUAGUCAACAAGAGGAGAAACAGUGCAAGAAGAGAAAACGCACUGCGUUUUAAAGAGUAUAUAUUAUACUGUUUCUUCUCUUAUUGUACCAUUUUUGUGUAAACAAGAGGAGAAAUAAGUGCAAAAGAGGAGAAACUGCCACUGUUUUAAAGAUAUAUCUACUGUUUCUUCUCUUGGUUGGCAUCUGUUUCUCCUCUGUGCACUCAUUUUUUUUGUGUAAACCAAUAGGCAGAAAAUAGUGCAACAAGAGAGAAACUAAUCAAUUAAAGGAGAAAACGCACCUUUAAGAGCUAUUUAUACCUGUUUCUGUCUCAUCUUGUUUGCACGUUUUUCUCUGUUGCACCCAUUCUGUGUAAUAAAAAGAGAAAUAGUGCAAACAACAGAGAAACAGUGCUAACAGAGGAGAAACAGUAUAAAUAUCACUUAAAAAAGAUGCAGUUUAAGAUAAAAUUAGUAUCGUAAUGUUUCGUUAAAGAGUAUAAUUUGGUUUAUCUUAAAGCAAGGCAGUUUAACAUUUAAAUAGAUGCAACUAUAUUUUUUGUAAUUAACGAUGUAGGAUCAUUUCAAUCCUCUUUUUUUUUUUUUAUAUAAUUUGUUAUCUUUGUUUUUUUUUUCUGUUUUUUUCUAAUAAUUUUUUUGAUCAGCUUACUCUGCUCAAGCUCCACGCGCCGGUGACGGCGCCGGUGACACCGCCGCUAAGGACCCCCCGCUCCGAGAACUAGUAGGCGGCCCGCAGUGAACUCUACGGUGGUCGACGUCGGCGCCGCGAAGAAUAAAUCGUCGUCGAGGCGGCAGAAAAUAAGGGAAGGAAGAUGAGAAGGCGGGGAAGGGCGAGAGCCGUCGGCGUCGAGAAGAAAAGAAAAGAAAAGAAAAAGCAAAAAAAAAAAAGUCGCGGCGCGGCCUAACGGGGUCGAGUGAGGAAGUGGGGUGCAGGACCGAGGCAAGGGCGUAGGCGAGAGCAUGAGUGGUGAGAGGCGAGACGAUCGUUUCUGCCUUCCGCUCCGCUUCCCUACCGGCGAAAAAAAAAAAGAACGAGAGAAACGAAGAAGAGAGAGAAAGAGGAAAGAGAAAAAGUAAUAAGGGUAUUUUGAUCAGUUUGCUGAAAAAGCGGACCGAAUCUGCAAAAAUGAAAAAGGUGGCCCGAUUUUGCAAAAGUUCAAAAUAAGUGAAUUUUUUAUGCAAAUUGGCCGAAAAGUAAUGUACUAAUUUUAUUUUAAAUUUAUAAGAUAUCAAACAAAAUUAUGUGCAUGUAUAUAAUAAUAUAAUAUUAUUAUUUUGUUUUGUACUACAAAAGCCCACGUUGUUCACAAGAAUGCUUUGAUGCGACAGCAAUGAUUUUGUCCGUUUGAAAACCGGUGGCAAAUUGUACUAACUUGCCGACUUCUAUCCUUGUGGUAUUAUAAAAUUAUAAAAUAGAUAUAGCUUUAAAAAAAAAAAAGAGAAAAAAAGGGAGACCAUGAAAUAAGUCCAUUUAACUUUUGUUUAAUUUACACUGGUCGUAAAUGCGCAGUUGGCUAAUAAUCUGAUAGUUAGUAUCCGAAAUCUCACUUUCGAAACUAAGUUAGUUUGUUUUAUUAUCUGAGUUUAUUUCUAAAAAAUAGAUAAACUUCUAUCUUUCUCUGAAACAAAAAAGUUUAAUUUGCACCUUCUCGCCUAAAUUAAGAAAAUCCCAUAAACUCUUAGAGAUUAAUUACCUUUUUUCGCACUUUAUGGGCCUCUUUUAAUGUUGUUUGCAUUUAAGGUCUCUAGAAUUAACUUUUCAAGGUCUCCUACUUAGUUGUUAUAUAUGCAGAGAUUAGAUCAAUUGCUUCAUAAUGUUUCCUACAACAAAGAGACCUUCACUUAAGGGCUUUAUUAGCUACUAAUCUCCUUUUCCUAUUAUUUAGAUUUCAAUUUAUGGUUUGAGUUUAUGAUCUUGAUGUGAUAUGUUGGUUAAGACCAUCAAUCAAUUGGCAUAUGAGGUAAAAAUGGAGGUUAAUGGUAAGUAGAAAUAAUUUUGAGAGUAACACAACCAAAUCAAUUGCUUCUGCAUGUUUAGUACAAAUUUGGAAGCUUCAAAUGGGGGCUUUAUUUUCCAAAUUUUCUACUAUUAAUUUGCAUUAUUGAGCUUGUUUAUGUGCUUAAAAUUGUUUGGUAAUGUAGGCUUCUUUGUCAUUUAAAUCUUCAAAAAAUCCUUAGCAAACUUAGCUCUACACUACAGGAUCGGUCAGUUAAGUUUGUUUUCGCCAAAUUUACAGUUUCAAACUAACUGAAAGAUGAUAGCGGCGGAAAGGGGUAAUAUCUGAUAUGCCCUUCAAAACUUCAAAAAUAUCUUAUUUAUUUUUGGAGGACCAAAAUACACUUACUGAUUUUAAAACUUUUAUUCAAAUAGUCAUAUUUCCUCUCGGAUUUACUAAUAGAAUUAAAUUUUUGAAGGAUAUUUUGAAAUUUUGAGGAUAAAUUUAAAAUUUUUGAUUAGUAGUAAAGAAUAAAUAAGCAAAAGCCUCAAGUCUAAAUUACUCUUUCUGUUGCUGUCUUUGUCAACUUCUCUUGUUGGCUUUCUGAGCCUUUCUCCAGCUUGUUUUAGAAAAAGGAAACAUAGUGGACACUUUGACACAGCACACUGUCCACCAACACUGGCGCAUAUUCACUUUGAUUAUUUUUUAUUUUAUUUGUAUUUUUUCUUAAGAAAAAAAUAAUAUGCUACUCGUUUAGUUCAUAUUAAAAAUAUAAAAUAAUUAGAUUUUGAACUUGAAAUUUCAAAUACCAACCAUCAAAUUCUUUGUUACAUAUGCUUAGGGCGGUCUAUCAGAUUCAGUUGAUUGUGGGGAGCGAAAAUGGUAGGGUUUGGAGAAAAAAGGGAAAAAAAAUCCUUACUCUGGUGUAUUUGGAGUGCAAGGAAGCUAUCUCCUCGGACCGAAUUGAAGCUCACUUCUGCAUUUUAUACCUUCAUUCGUCGCAGUAGGAAGUCAAUUUCGGCAAAUUGAGCAGCUUCAGGGUACUCCGAUUUCAGAGCGCGAGUCUCCAAAGUGAAAAACUCAUGAACAAGACAUGAAGUAUCAGAGGGAGCAGGACAGAUUACUUGCAAACUGCAGCUGCACUGAUAUACAUCACUCAUUCACAAUACCUAUUUGUGAUUGUUAGUAGAAAAUGAAUAUAACCUUGAUACUGAGUUUCCCCCAGUAGCAACUCCAUUGGCGGAACUGCAUUCAUCAACUCGCCAAAUUAAAAACACCGGUGAAAAAGGGAUUUCCGUAAACAAGCAGACGUAGCAACUACACAACGAAAUAACCGAGAUACCGGCGUGUGGAGAGGAAAAAGAAUCGUUGCAAAGAAAGUGUUGUUCAUUCAAUUUGACACGCCAAAAUGAACUGUGAAGACGAACAAACAAAAAACAACGCUGUACACAACCACAGUAGUAUGUUUACAGGCUCUAGUAUGAACAAUUUAACGCACAACGCUCGCUCGAUGUUCCCCGCAGUACUUAUUCAUUAACUGAAGAAUAUCUGAGGCAAACAUUUCCGCCGCCCUUCUAGGUACUCCACAGUUUUUCCUACUGGCAGCUAGCGAGACGGGAACGCUGGCCAAUGGCGCCUAACAUCUGGCAUGUUGCCUCCAUCAACUUCCCUGAAUUAAGCAAAAUAAAGCAAUAAGUAUAUUACUUCCGAUAUUUGGAAUGCAUGGCGAAAGAAAUUCGAAACAUUCCAUUAAAAGUAAAAUGUCAAUAGUUGGAAAACAAAGUGAUGAGAUGCUGAGUUACUAGAGAUAGGCAUGGUCAUCACAACCAGCUAGAUUUUAUGCUACAGCAAUGAUCAAAUAACAUUAUCUAGAUGCCAAUGCUCCUUAUGAUAGUCCUAAAUACUAACUUGUCUGCUGGAAAGUUUGGAGUUGUGUAACUCAAAAGAAAAGGACAAAUAUCAACCUGUAAUGGCACAGUGGUAGCUAUAUAUACUUAUUUAGAUAAACCAGGAAAGGAGCAACUCAUAAUGACAAAAAUUUCGUGGAUAAGCAGGUACAAUGUCCUGCCAACCAUUCAUCAGUUAAAAGUAACAUAAAAAAAAUGUUGUCACUACAAAGUGACUUGAAUCUAAAUGCAUGACUUAUUUCUGAAAAUUGAAGUUUCUGGCUGUUAGUUGUGGUCUUAUUACCUAAAUCAUUGAACCAUAGUAGUAAGGUGUUAUGUACUACUUCCAAUUUUUCUAGCAACAUGAGGCCUUAAUCUUCCAAUAUCUCUCCUCGAGCACUUUUAUGAGGCAUUUCCAGAAAAAUUCAUAUCUUCAAAUAUAUUUUGAUUUUAUACGAAAGAUGUUACCUCCUAACGGCAACGCUUGCACCACUUGAGACUAAGUGGGUGCUCGGCAAGAGCCAUCUCUUUUAUCCAUUCUCUAUAUUUUGUGGCAAUUAUUGCCUCAAUCUGAAGUGUAUUUCAAUUAUAUGUUGCCUGCGCUAUUUCUAAGAGUGGAGUGUCAGUACGUAAAAUUGUGGAUACCAUGUUUCCUGCCCUGUUUAGCGAUUGUGUAGUGUAGUUACUAAAACCAAUCAGGUUGAAAAUCCCUUCUCUACUCAGCCCUCCUGGUCCAAUGGCUCCUCGUUGGUAGCUCUCAGUCUCGCCGCAAUCCAAACCUCAGAAUUUGCAUUACUUCUCCCUCUCCCCUCCAGUCUUAAGUCUUAACUCAUGUCAUUGCUUUCAUCACCAGCUUAUUCUCCUCCAGUUUUAAUUUUAUGCCAUUUCCUUCAACACCAGUUUCUUCCUGAGAUUACAGUUGUCUUGUUGUAGCGACAGAGGGAAACUUUAGGAAAACUGCUUCCGUCAAAAUUUCAGUACCCAUUUUCAAACCAUCAAAAUCUCUUCACGAGAUUUUCAAUCGAACAAAGAAUUAAAGAAAACACCGUCCUUGCAAAGGAGAUUUGCCUCAUCCACUAAAGCUUUUGAAGAGUUGGAAGCAAAACAUUCGAUUUAUGAACCUGAAAGGCGUUUAAACAGGCCAUCACCACAUGAAAAGAGGAUUAUCUACAGCUUGACGGUGCUUGCUAGACAUCAGUUAUGAUUGUGCCUCUGGAGUCAAGCUCUACAUCUGUUUUUCCUGUCUAUUCCUAAUUUCCUAUGCUCUACAUAUUCCCUUCCUAGAUAUCUUCAUACCAAAGAGCUAAGCAAACUAUAAACAUAUAACAUAGUUUAUAGCUUUCCUUUCCUCCAUACCACAUGGUUCAUGUAUCCACCCUAAAUUACUAUGCGCGUCGAGAUCUUAAUCUACUAAAGAAGAUCAUAAGCUCUUUCCUCACUUCCCCCACAGAAAGUAAGUCAGAUUUUAGAGUAGAACAAAGUUAGGCCUACUCCUUUUAUCCUUGUAGUAAAGGAAAGAUUAUCAACAUAGAAGGUUGUUGAGUUAUCAACAUAGAAGGUUGUUGAGUUAUCAAUUUGCAGGUUUUGCACCUUCGUGCACACUAUCUAAAAUUAAAAAGUCUAAAAUAAAAGGAAAGGGACCUCCCAACAUAAGCCCACCGACGAUGCUUACAUAUUCCCCCCAUCACCAACCAAAAUCCACGUCACAAUCGCAUCAGGUUUUCACCGCAACUACGUCUAAAAUCUAUUAAAAUUUUCAGAAAAAUUAAUCCUGAGAGAAUUUCAAUGAAAGAAUCAAACUGCAUUAUUUCUAUAAUUGGAAAAAAAAGAGAGAGAAGAAAUUAAGGUAAAUUUAGCUCCAAGAAGAGCCACAUUACCUCUCCUCAGCUUCGCGUUGGCCGUGGGCGGCUUCCUCGCCGCUGGGGCAACAGCAGCGGCCGCGGGCACCGGCUCUUCCGGCGGGAACAGCACGGCGUCGAUCCCCUGGACGGAGAUCCGCCCAUCGGUGUAGAUGUCGGGAUCAAACAGAUACGCCGAUCCCUCGCCCUGGCCGAACUUCACCGAGCCGUCGGCCUCCCUGGCCACGACCUUGUGCGGCAGCCGCAGGGUGUCGUAGCGCACCUUCCCGAACCUCCGCACGGCGUUGUACAUGCUCUCCUCGGUCUGGUACUCCGGGAUCAAGUGGUAGUACACGAUCUGCUCCGGGGCCCCGGGCUCGCUGAGCUGAUCCGUGGUGAGCCGCGCCAUGGCCUCGUCGUUCGGGGCGAGCACGGUGAGGACGUAGCCCUCGGAGACCAAGCGACCCAUCUCGGUGGCGAGGGAGGUGAGGUUCACCAAAAUGUCGGCCAAUUCGUUGUAUCCGCCGUAGAGGAGGAGGGUUUGGAUGAAGUCCUUGACCUGGCUCUCGCCGUCGAACCAGUGCUUGCCCGAUCCGGGGCCCGGGGCGGGGGCAGGGGCGAGGGCGGGGCCGGGGGCGAGGGCGUCGUAGAUGGGGAGGAUCGGGGGGGAUCCGGGGGGGACGGAGGGAGGGGGCUUCUUGAGGCGGUGGGUGCGGGGGUCGACCUCGGGGGCGCCGGUGGGGAGCACGGCCGAGAUCACGGCGAGGCUGCGGCGGCGGUUGAAGCCCUCCUGGACGGAGCGGGGGACGAGGAGGCGCUCGAUCCCGUGGAUGACGCCGUCGGGGCGGACGAUCGCGUCCGGGUGGAGCACGGCGGCGCCGCCGACGCGCAUGGCGGAUCCGGGGGAGAGGGAGAGGUGGAGGGGUUCCCCGGAGAGGGUGGGGAGGGGGAGCGGGGAGGAGGAUCGGGGCCAGGAGAGGGAGCCGACGCGGGCGGGGAGGACGUGGAAGAGGAUUAGGGUUUGCAGGGACGGGAGAUUCCGGGGCUCGAGGAGGAAGCGCUUGAACUCGGGGUCGAUCCCGCGGUCGAGGGCGUCGUUGCGGGGGGCGAAGACGGUGAGGUUGUGGCGCCCCACCGCGUCCUCUAGGGUUUGCAACAGGAGGGCCUUCUCCACCAGCUCCGCGAGCUCCGUGUAGUGCGAGUCGAGGAGGGCGACGAGCACGGAGUUGGAGUUGAUGCCUCCUCCACCGGACGAGGGCAAUGUGGGGCGGGGACGGGCGCCAGGGUUUNCUCUCUCUCUCUCUCUCUCUCUCUCUCUCUGUAAAGAAUCUAAGCCUCUUCUCUCUCCUCUCUCCUCUCUCCUCUCUCUCUCUCUCUUCUCUCUCUAGGGACUCUAGUAGGAGUAUUGGGAAGUGGGAAUUAAGUAGAGCUUUUUUUUUUCUUUUUUUUUUGGGGGGGGGACCUUUCCCUUUGCGUUAACACUUAACACUUAAUGGGAGAGAGAGAGAGAGAGCUUUAGUGAGGAAACAGCGAGGGCGGUAGGGGGGAGGGGAUGAGGACACGUGGCGGAACGAGAGGGCGCAGAGACAGGCUGGCGGGGUGGGGACCACUUUAAGCGAACGCGGGAUCCUGACUCGUUGCGUUACAGAUCUCGUGAGCCAGCCCUAGUUACGAAAUGACGAUUUUGACCCUGCGAAUUGCGCCGAUUUGCCGAGAACGAGACAAAUCAAUUCAAAAGUGGGGGCAAAAUGGUAAAUUCGGUAGCCCGAGAGUAGGCGAUCGGAGUAACAACUAACCAGGGGUCUGUCACUUUUGCUGGGGAAAAUAAUUACCCUGCACCUGGUGUACGGGCACAUCUCACACACACCGCACUGUAGAACUUUACAGCGCGCGAGUUUUAAAAUUAAAAUCUAACUCAAUGAAUAUAUUCUCUGAGCGUUAAAACUCAAAAAACAUAGAACGGAUUAUAAUAUAAUAAAAAUUAAACCGAUAAAUCGUCUGAAGUGUAAUUUUAUACUAAUAUUGAUGAAAAUAAAAAAUAACUGAAAUAAAUACCACUUAACACUUCGAUUGAAUCUCUCCGGUUUCAUAUUUCACCUAAUUUCCACUCUGAACACAUGUUGUCAAUAAAAACAAACACUCUCUAAUGAUCCAAAAUAAUAAAUUUUAUACGCCAAUUUAAUUAUAAAAAUAAAUAAAAAUUCCUUUUAUAUCUCCAAUUAUAGAAGUUAUGUAGGAAAGCCACUGAUGCACCGGGUGCAGGUAACAGUUUGUAAGUUUGUUGAGAGGGUGUUCUUACAGUGCGUUUAAAGUCAAAGCAAGAAAAAAAAAAAAUUUUUUUUUUUUCAAGUAGCAUUUCAUUUUUUAUAUAAAAAGUGUGCCUAGUCCUUUAUUCAAUAAAAUUUCAUUUAAAAAAUAUUUUAUUUAUUUGUAUAUAUAAUCAUACAAAUAUAUUGUUCAAAGAGUAUCUAAUUCGACUGAGAAACUAUACAAUUUAAUUUGUUUUUAUCCCAACUACUACUGAUUCCCAUAUUAGAAUAGAAAAUGCUAUGCUACACCAAAGUGGAGUGUAUAUUUAGUAUUGUUCGCGAACUUUAUUUCAAAAGAAAAUAAGUAGGUCCUUACUUAGAUUUUUUUUGUUAUUUUAUUGAUUAGUUUGUAAUUUUUGUAAUGUGUUUCAGCGAGAUAAAAAAAUUUACUUUUAACAAAUUAAAGAAAAAAAUUACUUGCUAAUUUUUUUUUAUUUACCCCCACGGUGUUUUGAGUUUUAUAAAUUAUAAAUAAUUUAUUAUUAAAUGGCUUCAAUAAGAUAGGUAAACAUGUCCGUGGACCGGAUCGGAUCUGGGUAAUUAAUAUACUGUACCCAUACCCUAAAAAAAAAUGAUUACAAAAAAAAAUAUAUACCCUACCCAUUUAACUUCGGGUCGGGUCCGGAUCUGGGUACUAAAGUUACUAAUAUACUCAUCGGGUCUAUUUGAGCGAGUCUGGGUAGUGACUUCCCGUAUACUACCCGUUCAAGACUGGAUAUGGAUCGGGUCUAGAUCGGGUACGGAUAUCCGUAUAAAUAUAUUUGUUUUAUAAACUUUAUUAAAUAGUCAAUAGACAAACUAUAAAGCCCACCAUAAAAAAAUUCGCAUUCUAAUUAAUAAGUUAUACCGUCCAAUAAAAUUCAUUCAAAAGAAAUAUUGUCGCUGAUGAUGAUGAUGACACUGAUGAUGAUGACAAUGAAAUAUUGUUGGCGGAAAUGAAAUAAAAAAAAAGUAGUAGAAAACAAAGAGUAAAAAAAUUAGAAAAAAGUAAUGAGUAAAAGAGACGGUUAGGAUUUCAUUAGGAUGAAAAUACGUAGUGACUCAUCAUCUAUAAGUCAUAUUAAAAUUGAUCCUUCAACUUCAAAAGUUUAUUUUUUUUUUAUUUACUAUCGGAUAUUUUAUCGGGUCCGGGUCCGGAUCCGGAUUUGAAAACUAUUCCGGACCCUACCCAUUUAAAAGUUAGGUUCGGGUCGGGUCGAAAUCGGGUAUGGGUAUAAAAUAUCCGGACCCAUACCCGAAAUUUUAAUGGGUAAUUUUUUUUAUCCGUAUACUAUUCAUUUUUUAUCGGGUCCGGUUCGGGUCCGGGUAGGGUCCGGAUCGGGUAUGGAAUAUCGGAUAUUUUGGACACCUUUAAAGAUAGGAUUGAGUUUGAUUAAUUAAUAACAACAAAAUUGCAAGCUAGACUUUGACUUAAUAAUUGCAGUCACUAUUGUUAAAUGCAAUGGGUCAAGAACAGCUAAAGAAACAAUAAAUAAAUAAAUUUAAGGUUCCCCCACACAAUCCACUUAGACUUAAAGAAGCCUAACGAAUCUGAUUGAAGCUUCUAGCCUCCACAAUAAAAUAAAAUAAAAUAAAAUAUAUAUAAUAUUUUUUUAAAAAAAACCUAAAUCACUUAGUUUUGAAUAUUCCAAUUAUAUACCAUAUUUUGUAGAACUUUCCCCUAGUGUUACAAGGAGAAACUCGAUCGGUGAUUAUUUCUAACGUCAAAGGGCUUAGGGCUUGUUUAUUUUUGUGGACGUCGAAGAUUGAACUGGUGACUCCGAGAAGAUCGUUUGCAUGAUUUAUUUUGAGACCAAAGCUAUAAAAUUAUUCGAACUCCUAUUCAUAAUUGUAUGGAGAUCAGUCUGUCAGCUUCAGUAAGAUGGAAGGCGAAGUCGUGUUUGUAAAAUUCAGUUAUUCGUUCUACGACUUUCUGCUUCACAAUAGCUCCUUAAGUAGCUCAUUUGGAUUUUUCAGAAAAACCAAGAAGUUCUCUACUUUGGGUUUGUUGCUUUUGAUGCCAAACCUCUCACUUCUCAUGAGCAUCAUACAAAAAAAUAGGCCUUAUUAAAAGUUUUUAUCCAUUAAUAGCAGGUGUGUUGUUAACAAAACUUGAAGUUUCUUGAUCAAAAUAUUAAUCCAUUAUCAAUCAUUCUUUAAGAGAAGAGAGAGAGAGAGAGAGAGAAUGCGCGCAAAAACUAUACAGAGAGCUAAAUCACUUGUAGAUGAAGUCCAACUAUUCACAAUAUCAUAUAAAACCAAUUUGUAGUAUUUUGGCUUUUGAAGCAAAAGCGUUAGAUGUUAUAAUCUUAUAAUAAUCGCAAACCACUCAUUUUGUCUAUCUUUUUUUCUUUCUUUCUUUUUUCCUUCUCUAUCUGUGGUUAUUACAGAAGAAUAUUAAUUUGGUACUCUUAUUGGUAGGGUUGAUUUUUAUUUUUUAAUUUUUUUUUUGGGUGACCUCUACAUCCCAAGAUUUGCAUGUAGCACCAACCCUUCUGACCAACAAUAAAAGCAUGUGGUUUUAUAGUCAAACAGAUGGGGUGGAGAUCUUCAACAACCCCUUAAGUAAUCUAAAUAAAUUCUAUAAUAAUUCCUUUUUUAACUUUUUAAGGAGAUGACAUAAAUUUGUAGCAAUUUUUCGCUAAUGAGUCAAUUUGGUUUGGGUCCGUCCCCGAUUAAUUCACAUUUGAUUCAAAUUUGAUAAGUUUAAAAUAAGCAGAUUCAAUCAUAUAUCGAUAUGUUUGAGUAUCGAGCAGCAUAAAUAUAUGAAGGUGAAAGUCGAGAUUGAUAGGAUAUAAUCUCAACCUAAAGAUUAAAUAGGGAAAAUUACAAUAGGUGGUAUAUGUUGAACAUAUGUACAUACUACCUAGUUGACUUUUAAAGCACCAAAUUAUGUAUUUUGUACCAAAAUGUCAACUCGGGUCCAUAGCUCAGUGGUAGAGCAAUUGACUGCAGAUCAAUAGGUCACCGGUUCGAACCCGGUUGGGCCCUAAAAUAUAUAUUUAUAUUUUUGACUUUUUUAGGAUUAAGCUAAACUUGUGUUAGAACACGAGUGCGAGUGCCUAACUUCAAUUCAAAAUUUACUUUUAGGUCCUCAAAGUUUUAAAUUCGAGAUCUGAAAUCUCAAUGUCUCUCAUUUUAGAACCUGUCUUAUUGUAAAAAUUAUUGCAUCUAAACUUAAAAUUUUAAGUUUGAGAUAUUGAGACCGCACAUUUUAAACAACACUUUGUUUUACUCCCUAAACUUAAAACAAUGUUACCUUUUCGAUUUUAUCUCAAGAUUAAAAAAAUUAUUUAUUUUACUGUGCUUUCAGAUAUCGAAAGAGAAAGUAUUUAGUGAAUCAGAGACGUGCGAUAACACUUUUCGAAAUAAAGUUCAAAGGAUGGAUGGAACGAAAAUUUUGGAUCCAAUUUCAUUCAAUCCCAAAAAAUUUGUGUGGAAUUUGAUAAAUCCCAUUUCAGCACCAAUUCAAUAAUCCUAGCCUCUCGUUCUAACUCUAAUACCGCACCAAAUCAUCAUUCUCUUAUCACUAUCCAAUCAUCUAAUCCCCAAUUUGGCCAUUCAUCUGAGUUCGCAGGAUAAAGUNNNNNNNNNNNNNNNNNNNNNNNNAAUAAUAAUAAUAAUAAUAGAAUAUAAUUACGAGUAAUAUAAUAAUUCUACAUAUUAAAUUGACACUGUAAAAAAAAAAAAAAAAUCACACACAACAUAAAAAAAUUUUACACCGAGACAAAGGACUUGGUGGUUAACAUCCGAGACCCAAGUUCGAAUCCUAGUUGAUUCACAUUUCUAGUUAAGUUUAUUUCUAAAUAAAAUAAACAAAGCGGAUAGCGUGAUACCUAUCUCUAAAAAAAAAAAAAGAAAAAACAUAAAAGAAUUUUACUGAACGUUGUCAUUCCUGCAUGGAGCAAUGGCCACCGAAAAGAAUGUCCCCCUCAUUUUGAUGAAACAGAUGAACUAACAUGAACAAAUAAUUUUGAUGUACAACAAAUUGUCAGGCAGUACAGAAAUCACACAAAAGUAAGCCGCAAGAGAAAAGAAUAGAGCUACUGCUCAAUUUAAGAGUUGGAGAAUUACCAAAACUGUUCUUAAACUGGGUGGCUUACCCUUUUAAGGCGAAUCUAAAUUAUUACAAGAACUCUUUAAGUCUUUUUCCGUCACUUUUAAGUUUGGUUACACAAAUUUAAAAUAUAGCAGGUACGAGCGAUAUCAAUCAAAGACAACCUUUCCUUGAUUAAGCGCGACCAGAAAUGCGGCUCGUAGGAAUUUAGUUUGAUAGGCACCAUUCACCAAGAACAGUUAUAGGUUAUAACUUUACAAUUAAGUGCUUCAUAUCCAGAAAUUAUGGCAAGCCACAGCGCGGAUUUGUCAAGUGGAAGUGGCGAGAGCAAGUUGCGCAGGUGAUCAUCCGCCGAUAAAACCUAGCCGAUGAAGGAUGAACGCAAGGACCAACAUCACGAUGGCGAGGAUCAAACCCGGUCGGCCCAAAACCCAGUUCUUCGUCUUCUUCACGGUUUCGACUCCCCGUUGUGCCUUUUCCGCCCACCUUAGCUGAGGGGAAAAAAGAAGAAAAAUAUAGGUAAGAAUGGCUGAGAGAAAGAAAUAUGUAAUACUAGUGACAGCGCUUUGCAUAAAACUUAGGUUGGAUCCAGAUUUAGAUAGAAAUCAGGGGGUUAAAAAUACAAGAUUAUUAAAUAGAUUGCUUUUGACACAAACCAAAAAGAAGAAAUAUAAGGAUCGAUUCUAUGGUUAUAAUUCAAAUCAUGUAUACUUUACCAGUUAUGACAAACAGAGUUUUGAUGACACUGAGCAGAAGAAAGAAGCAAAACUGCUUAUGGAAUUACUCAAAUAGUCAGAGCAAAUUGAAUAAGAAAAGGUCAUAAAUUUGUUUCCUUACCAUCCUAUCCAAGUCAGCCGGAGACAAUGCUGACAUGGCUUGUUGAGCUUUUGCAGCGUCCUCCUUUGACAUCUUCAUACCAAAUUGUUCACUCAUGUUUGCCAUCAUAUCCGGGCUCAUAUUCUUCAUCAUACUUGCAAACAUCUAUCAGUUUACAUUAAAAAAAAAAUUCAGUAAGUAGAUUUCCAGUUGCAGAACCCAGCUUGAGUAGCAAAAAAUAACUUUAGAAACAAAAUUAAUGCAAUCAAUAACUUCCAAACCUGCCGCAUUGCUGGAUCUUUCAUGGAAUUCCUCAUGGUUUCUUGUAAAUCAGCUGCUGAAGUCGAAGUGCUUGAUGAUGAUUCACCCAUUCUUUGACUAAACAGCGAUUCAUCAGAAAUAUUAUCCCUACUAUCAUAUGGUCCUGCGGAAGGGCUUUCAGAAGAAGAAGCCAGUGACUGAGAAGCACUCUCUGAUCUUUGGGGGGCAUUUACACCCAAAGAAGAAGCCAUUUUAAGCAUCUUCUGAAGCUCAUCAGGGGACAUCUUACUGAUUGUAUUGGAUGCCAUCUUGACCAUUUCAGGUGUCAUUUCAGGGAUAUUGUUUCCCAAUUUAGGACCAUACGGGCCUUUUUCUUUUAAGGACGAAGCAACCUGAAACAUUUGCUGAAGCUCUUCGGGCUUCAUCGUGCUAAGCAUGUCUUGGGCUGUUUUGACGAGAUCAGGUGACAUUCCUUGCAUGCCCAGUUGUGCCAGAGUAUCGGGAUUUGCAUUGGAGACAUAAUUUUGGAAUGACCUGGAAAACAAUUAAUUAUAAAAGACAAUUUCUGUGUACUGACUCUUGUUACAUAAACAUUAAGUUAGUACGAGCAUAUCAUAGAAGCUCUAUGCCUUGGCCCUUGAUGGUCAGAGUAUCCAAGAUACAGAGCGAGAAAACUUUUCUGUUGCAAUAUAAAUGUUGAAACAGAUAAGUAGUAUCAAUAGAGAGUGAAUGAGAAAACUUGUAUUGUGAGCAAGUUGAGAAAAGCAGCUAUCCGUGAUCAGACAAACAGUAGCUAACAAAAGAAUGUUAAAAUGGAUAAGCAUUGUUGUUGCAAAACAUUGAACAUUAAAAAAAAAGUAUCGAAAAAAAUUUGGAUUCGCAACUACAAAUGUAAGUAGUAGGCAUCAAAAAGAAAAAAAAAAAACUAAUCUAUGGGAAAAAAAUUACAGUUGGAGGGACAAAACCAGAUUACAGUAUGAUCACAACAAACUUGGGAUCCACAACAGCUCUAAAGUUGACAAAGGACAAUAGCUCUAUGUGAGGUUCAGCAGUGGAAAUUCAUCUGGUAGAACGAGAGAUCUUGAAUACAUGCCAUUGUUGUUGUGAAUAAAAUUAGUGAUGACAGUCGAGCAUUCAAUUAAUCAUUGAAGUAUAGAUAUUAUUUCUUAUUUUUACAGUUCACUGAACCCUACCAAAUGAUUCAUGCGAGUAAAAAAUGGCUCAAAUCAUCAACUAGCAAUAACAGCUAGUAGUCCACAGUUAUCACAUCUUUACAGCCGCAAGAAUAUAUGCUCAUAUGAUGAUUUAAAUGCGCUCAAACAAACCUGAUAGCAGAGGGAUCAUCUCUGAAGCUAUUCAAAUGCUCUGAGAAAACAGGAGUAUCAGGUGACGAGCUGCUUGCACUAGAGCUCUCUGCAGAUUCAACAGCCUGUGUAACAGAAUACUCCUCCACAGACGAACCUUCAUGACAUCUUGAUGGUGCUGAUACUUCGUCUUCCACUAUCUCUUCAAUAACCACACCUUAUGAAUAGAUUGGAAUAGUCAGUAAAUACAGCAAAAACACCAAUAUCCUUAACCUAGAGGGUGUGGCCCACUUCACAAAAGAAAUCUGUUAUGCAAAUUCAUAUAAAUUCAGGUAAGAAUCAUAGUGCAUAUAAAACAGAUAAAUGAAUUUCUAAACUUGUGAUUUCCUUUAUCCAACCUUUCAUCAUUGAUCUAGUACGUCAUUCUCAGAUUGAGUUAAAACUUAAUUAUUUCAGUAAAAAAAAAAAGUAAUAGAAUACAGCAACUAAAAAUUCCAUUAGGUUGCAAAAUAUUCCAUCAGAAAAGUUACAAAUGCCCUUAAUUUUUGAUAGAGAGGUAGUGGAAGAAAAAAUAAUGAAAGGUUAUACAAGGAAAAGAACUUUUCGAGUUCAGGUAUACAUACAUUUCAUUAUUUCAAAAUGCGAUACAGUUCAGACAGUGACUACAUGUCGUUACUAAACAUCAUUAUUAUUAUUAUUUAUUUACAUUAAAAGAGGGAAAGGGACAACUGCAUCACCUUGAGAUGUGCUCCUAUUUUUACCUUCCCUCAUCAGUUUUUCGUUGGCAUCUCUGCAUCAGUUAGAAUUCUCUAUUAGCCCCGUAGCAUUGUACUAUAAGAAAUAUGAUUCCCCCUUUUCUCCACAAAAAUAAUAUGAAAAUCUUUGAAAAAGAAAGUUCUUACCUAAAAGCAUCAGCAAUUGUUUCAUCAUCAGGAGAAAUUUCAUGACUCUUUUUUAAGUCAGCAACAGCAGCCUGAAUGUAUUGCAGUAUUAAUAUGAUUAGGUAAACAACUCUUGUGACAAAUAGAAAGAAAAACUCCACGCGAAGAACUUGCUCUGAGUAAAGAAACUCAUUUACAAUCAGUUGCUCUAACAUUGCUCUAACAUUGAUCUUUAUAUGCUUACCUCUAACUUUCCUAAUUCUUUAUAUGCUUGACCUCUGCGAUAAAGAGCUUUGAUAUUCUCCAAGUCAUAGGCCAGGACCUGUUAUUGAACAGCCUCAUUUGCACAGGAUAACAAAAAAAGGGUAGUACUUCGCCAGAACAUAAAUAGAGAUUAUAGAUUAUAUAUUUGGUAUUAUAUAUUAUAAAUUAUAAAUUCUAGAUAGGAAUAACAUAGGGUAUAAUUGGAAAUAGCUCAAACUAUUACAUUAUACAUGUACAAGGGUAUGCAGUAAAUAGAUAACUUUAUAUGAAUAUCCAUAUUAAAGAAUAAGACUAAAGUGAUAAAUGUAAAAGCAAACAUGCACACGCGCUUAACUAUACGAACACAAAUGUACACUACAUUUGAAUAGGAAAGGAGAGAAAUGAUUAAAACUGAAAGUUUAUAUAUACCUCUGAACCUUCCUUGAUGCAUUCCUCGAACUGCCUAGUUUUUAGGUAACAAGACAUUAGGUUAAGAGAGCAUUGCAGCUGGAGCAUCUGUCCUGACGAUGGGGGGAUGCUUUUCAAGUUGUUUUUUGCCUGGUUAUGGGAAGUUAUUAGUAAAUGAGUAGCUGACACAAUUCAAAUGUGAUACAGGGGACAAAGAUAGAAUCAAUAAAUUAGGCCAGGCAACUGCAAACAUACAAGCAUGUACUUUUCAGCAGCAUCUUCAUAUUGACCUCGGCUAUGAAGCUCAUUGCCCUGAGAUAAUACAGAAGCAGAAAUAAGGCCAGCAGUGGGAAAUACAACAGAUGUCUCUAUAUACAAUCUCUGCUCAUUUUCCAUAGGAUAUUGCCACAGAGCCGUAAAAAAACAUAAUUGGUGAAAGGAAUUAAACCUGCUGCUUCAGCAUUUUGGCCCCAUUUAGCUCAUAAGAGAUCUGGGCGUCUGCAUGGGCCUUCAUUGCUGCUAUCUCCUCAGGUUUAGCCUUAGAGAUUUUCUCGCUUAUCUCAACCAUAUCCUCUGGUCUGGUAUGUUUUAACUGUUCGGCAGCACGUUUGACGUCUUCUGUCCUCAAAUUUUUCAUACCCUCUGUUGCUAAUCUUAGAAGCUCAGGGUUGGACAUCAUCUGCAAAACAACCCUAUGUCAGACUGACCACACAUAGAGUUACAUGUACUCUACGAAUAGUUCGCACCAACUUACAAAUAAAUAGAAUGAUGGUAUGAUAACCUCUACAUGUAGAAUUUACACAAAAGAAUAUAUAUAAUUUUUUUUUCAAAAAAAAAAACAGCGAUCUCCUGACUUCUAUUGUUUUCCAUCUAAUAGUGGGAAUGCAAUGGGAAGGCAAAUAGGAUGGAUCGGGGUUGAAAGCUGCAAAAUUUUCCAAAUGUUCGGUCCAACAAAACAGCCCUAAUAGUGAGAAAAUUCAGCCCAACGGGCUGGCCCAUUGAUAUCCCUGCUGAAAAAUAGGGUCAUAUGAAAAUUAUUUGGAACUUGAACCAAAUUGCAAUGAUAGCCAAGAGUGGAGAAAAUGUAUAAGCAGAAUUUAGGGUUUAUACAGUUUGACAAUCAUAUACAACAAAUAUAGAGUACCUUUUGCAAACCAUUUUUUUUAAUCUAUUUCUAUGCUAUUUUACACAAGUCAAAGACAAAUGGAAGAAAAUUUGCAGCAAAUUCAGAAUAAGUCUAGAAACACAUUUCAUGUAAUUGGUGCAUAAUAACAGAUCAAACAAAAGCCAACCAAUCCUCACAUCCAUCAAUUAGGAUGAAUUACAACCUAUACAAAGAAACGAUAAAGAAUCCAAAUUAACAAUCUUCGUAUGCACAAGAAGUAACACAAAUAUUUCAUUGACAAGGAAACAAACUUAAUGUAGCCUAAAUCUAUUUCCCUGUAACUUAUGUCAUGAUUCUUUCAUCCAUAUUAACCACCAUAAGAAUAUUCUUUUAUCCCUGUAACUCAUGUUUUUAGGCAGAUAAAGAGGUCAAAUCUUGUUGUACCAUCUCCGAAUCUACUCAAAUUUAGGAAGGUUCCAGUUGUAUACAAAGCUAGAUAAAGGACUAAGGAUAAAAGCAACAUGAAUCUCGUUCAGAAAUCAAAAUCAAACACAAAAACAUGAACGAAAAAAGGCCUAAUUUUCCAAGAAUUGGACAUAAUUGCUUCUACAAUUCACAAAAAUAGCAUCGACACGAUACGGAUCUUAAAAAAGCGACCAAAGGCGAGGGGGAAUCGACCUGUUGCUGGAUCUUGGCGAGCUCCUCGGGGGGGAUCCGACUCAUCUGCUCCUGCGCGAGCCUCAUCAACUCGGGAUCCAUCAUGCCGUUGUACAUCUCGCUCGCUCGAACCCCUCUCGAUCCCCUUCGGAAACCCCUCUUUUUCUCGAUCCAAUGGGAGAGGAAAAAAGGAGAAUAGAGAUCAAAAAUGGCGAAAGCUUUCGCCUUUACGCGACAACGCGAGAUCGAAUUAGGGUUUGCUUAGCUAAUUUUGGAGGAUGGGAGAGAUCGAACUCGAAGGGGCGCUGCUGUAUUUAGCAUUCACGAGAGAGAGAGAGAGAGAGAGAGAGAGAGGCGAAAAUAGUGGAAAGCGAAUACGGAUCAAAUGCUAAAUACUCGUAUUUUUCUUGUAUGCCAAAUUUUAUCAUACUUGUUUAAAAUAAAUUAAAUUUAGUAUAAAUUAAAUUUGUAUUUAAAUGUUUAUUUAAAUAAUAAUUUCUAAAUAUAUAUAAAUAUGCAAUUAAAAAUUCACAUUUACACUAUCUUAUUCAAUAAUAUUUAAUAUUUUAAUAAAUAUAAAAUAUAAUUUUAAUAUAAAAUCUGUAGUAAAAUAAAUAAAUAAAAAGGAUUAAAAGAAAUCACCAGAGAGAAAAAAAAAGCGAAGUCUGUGUGAAAUGACGAAAAUGCCCUUGUAGUUUGGUUGACUCGGUCUGAUUUGUCGGUUGGGCCCACGCCGGGAACCGCCGUGGGAUAUUGAGCCCAGAAGGUUCCGACCAUGGUCUUUUUUUUUUUUUUUUGAAGAAGACAUGCGUGUACGUAGUAACUACGUACGUAGGAUGUAAAACGGGUGGCACGUCGGCCGCAUGGCCCGACACAGCAACGGGCCAGGCUACAGCACGGCACGAAUACUGUAGCACUUGUGCAGACUCGGCCGAAAUAUUUGGGUCGUGAUGGGCCUAUCUCUUGCGGCCCAACGGCCCGGCAUUGCACGGCGAGAAGCAGCCAUAGGCCAUGACGGGCAUAGGAGAGACGGGCGGCUCGGCAUGACACGGCACGGUCCGUUUGGGCUGUGCCAGUUGGGCUAGCAUAGUCCGAACCCUAAGGCUUCGUUUGGUUCGGGGUUAUUCUAGGGAUAGGAUUAAGUUCAGGGUUAAGGUUGGGUUAGAGUAAUUUUGUGUUUGGUUGAAAAUUGGAUUUAGUCCAGAUAUAAGGAAAAUAGUAUUUGAUUGGAGUAAAUGGAAUAAGGAGUAGUUUUGGUUUAAUGGACCAAACAGUUUUGGUCCAUAGGCAAAAACCCAUAUGAAUUCUUUUUUAUUUCAAAAAAAUAAUACAAAUUCAUUUUUUAAAAAAAAUUCAAAAUUUUGUUAUUUUAUAAUUAUUUUUAUAGAUUUUAAAUUUUUUAAUCAAAAUAUCAAUUUAAAUAUAAUUGUUUAUGUUUUUAAAUUUUAUAUAAGAUAUUUUAAAAACUUAAAAAGUAAAAAUUUUAAGGGGCCGGCCCAGUACAGUCAGCGCGCUCCCAGCCAAAGGGCCGUGCCUGGCUGGAGGCUAGAUACCUUGGGCCUGGCCCGACCCGGCCCGAAUUUGAAAUCAGGCCAGGCCGAGCCGACCCCUUGCCCGUUUAGGCCGGCACGGCCACAUUGAAACCUUUGACUGCAAUCUCAGGAUUAGGGAUGUCAAUAGGUAUGGAUAUCCGAAAUUUUAUCCAAACCCGAACCCGAAUGAAACGGAUAUAUCCGAUGGAUAUGGAUAUGGAUUUGGAUAUGGAUAUAAAAAAUAAAAACCCGACGGAUAUGGAUUCGGAUAUGGAUUUUGAUUGUACCCGAUCCGAACCCGAACCCGACCCGAACCCGAAUUUAUUUUGUAUUAUAUAUAAUAUAUAUAUAAAAAUUUGAUGUUAUAUUUGAAUUUGUAUUUUAAAAAUUUAAAUUUAAUAUAAUAUAUUUUGAAAUAUUGAAAAAAGAAAUAAUUGUUUCGGGUUCGAAUUUUCGGAUUCAGGUUCGGGUUCGGGUUCGGGUAUCGGAUUUUUGGUCGGGUUCGGGUUUGGAUAUGUAUUUUUAAAAUCCGUCGGAUUCGGGUUCUGGUUUGGAGUCGGGUUCGGGCUCGGGUUUUUAAAAAUCCGCCCCGAAUCCGACCCGUUGACAUCUCUACUCAGGAUGCAUACAAGGAUCUUCACAAACAAGAUAUCCAUUUGAUCAAAGGUGUAAGGGUGGUUCGAAUAGUUUAAGAAGUGGAAGAGGUUCAGUGAGAAAAACUUACAAAUGUUAGGCAUUGCAUGUUAUAGUCUAAAAUAAUUUUGAGAGAAUACAUCAGGUACUUUGAUCUUUAUCAAAUACAACUGAAGCAAAAGUAAGAAUAAUUCACUGAUAUACAUAUAUAUAUAUAUACACACACACAAAAAGUUUAUCUCAACAUAAGAAAUAAUAACCAUUUCGUUAUGAUCAAAUAAAUCUGUUUGGUACUACCAACACAAAUUAUGCUUACAUGCAUGACAACAAAACUACAAAAGCCAGGUAAGCAAUUAAGCCAGGUGAAGGUCACAAGGAUAAUGAAAAAGGAAGGGUGGUGUUAUUUACAGAACCAUUUUUACUGUUAAAAAAGAAAUUUAGUAAACCGAAUUACUAAUAACUGACUGAAUUUGACCAAAUUCAAUGAAUCAUAUGCAUCAAUGGCUCUAUUGAUAACACUACCAGAAAAGUAUAUUUGUCUCCUGCUCAGAGGUUAUCCUCAUCAUCUCCGGGAUAGAUAAAAAGAGAAAAAUAAUAAAUUUAAUCUUACCUAACAAUACAUUCAUGUACAUCAGGAAGAUGACUGGGAUUCACGGUGCCCUGUGAGGAACAUUAGAAAUACAAUUUAGCUGGAAGGAAUGGAUCUCAAGAAUUAGGCAUCAAGAAAUAAAUAGGGUAAAAUGCAUGGAUGGUCCAUGUACUAUCCCAAUAACGUGAGUUGCUCCCUACACUUUCACUAAAAAAAGUUGGUACAUGAACUUAAACAUGUAUUGCACUUAGCACGUAGCUUCAUAUAAAAUAAUGUCUUAACCUUGCACAGUCUCACCUAUAAAAUGAUUCGCUUAUUUCAGUUUACUUGAAAUAAGAUUAAAAGAUCAUUGCAUAAUAAAGUCUGAUUUUCUUUACCGUUCAGGGACUAAAGUGUAACAUGUACGUAAGAUUAAGGACUAAUGUGCUUAGUAAAUAAUGUACGGACCAAGAUGCAUUAUUGGGAUAGUACAGGGACUGCACAUACAUUUUAUAUGGACCAAAUAUAUAUUACACACUUCUGAAUGCCAAAUAUCAUUUAUCAAAGCGGACAAAAAGAUUUAUUACUCACUACCUUUUGACCCACUUUUGGAACUCCGAUGAUAACGUAAAAGGCACCCAAUAGCUCUGAACAAGUUCCAAAUCUAAUCGAUACUGUCGCAUCCCAUAAGGUUAUCAACAUAUGCAACUACUCUGAAGUAGCAAUCUGCUCCUGUUACCUAAUAUAGUUGCGAUGCCAAGAUGAAUAUAUGCAACUGUAGAAGCAAACAAAGUUGAUGAUAAGCCACAGUCAUACUAUUUGACUGAUGAAUCUUUCAUGAAUGUGAAUAUGUGUGUGUGUGUUUUUUUUUUUUUUGAGAAAAAAGUAGCAUGCUACUGCUUCAUUCAUUUAGGAAAUGAACUAGACUACAGACUGAGGCAACCGGGCCUCGGGGGAAAAAAAAAAAAAAAGCUAACUACCACAAAAACUGUCCCAGGCCACCUUGAGCGAUCGAAUCUUGGAUGAUAGGUAACCCAACGAGUGUUUAGAGUUCUCAAAAAUACGACUGUUCCGUUCCAACCAUAUGACCCACCACGAGGUGGCGAUCGUCACUAAUUCCUUCUUGCCUAUGUGUAUAUGUGUUAGUUCCCUAACUUUAGAAAAAAACCAAUCUGACCCCAGAACUCUGUAUUACCAGUUAACUUACUAGUAUCAUCCCCAUCUAGCAAAUGUAUUAGUAAAUACAUCUCUGCUUUUGCUGAUGUGGACAGUUAAAACAUAACGAGGUUGGUGAAACAAAAGAUAAUCAAUACACAUGCAAUUAAUUUUUUAGCUUAUGAACCAAAAACAUAGUAAACAAGAUUUCAUUUGGAAGGAAGGGAUGAAACUGGUACUUCUAAAACUUGGGGACUUGAUUGGUAAAAAAAGAGCCAAGUAACCAAAUUGGCAGUUACAUGAAGGUAGAACUAACUAAUUAUUACUCCCACAACAAAGGGAGGACAAGGAAAGGAAAAUAUACCUACUCACCGUUAGCCCAGCUUCAGUGCCUCUCUGAGACCAAAGCUACAAUUACCUCCUUGCAGAUUUCUUUUGCCGAAAACAGCAUUACCCUUGUGCAUCAUCGCCACAAACUCAUUGUAGUCGAUCCUUCCAUCCUGAAGAGAAAAGGAAGAAACAAAAAGAGUUACUUUCAUGCUUUCUCAAAAAAUAAACAGCAAAACUCAAAAACCUUACCUUAACAAUAGUACCUUUGAGAUGGCUAUUUGAACUUCAAAAUAUUUAGAUUUUACUGCUGAAUCUUAGGAGUAUGAUUGAUUAUAGUUCCUUUGUUAAAAACUCAAUCGUAAUUGUAAUUUUGUUAUUGAAUAUUACAUAAUUGGAUGGAAUAUUUUGUCAUUUGUCAAAAAUAUUCUACAACAUUUUGAUGGAAACUGCUAGGUCUUGGGAUUCUCUUUAAUUUAAAAUGUUGAAAAAGUUGGUUCGUCAAAUAAACAAUUCUUAAAGCCAGGUCCAUUUCAACAUGCCGCAUGUGUUAAAACGAAAGAAGAAAAAAGGUUACAUCAUGUAAAAGGAUAACAUUUCUUGCAGAGUAAAUGGAUUUACAUUAUCCUGGUCUAUUUCUCGAAUGAUCUCUUCAAGACGAGUGUCUUCUAUACCAAACUCCUCACAGGCCUUUUGGAGCUCAUCUGGAGUUAUGUAACCACUGCCAUCUUUAUCAAAAUAUGAGAAAGCCGCAAAGAGGUUAUCUUCCCUCUCAAUUUUGUUUAUAUGCAGGGUUGCAGCUAGGAACUCGCCAUAAUCAAUAGUGCCACUGUUGUCAAUAUCUGCCUGAAAUUUACAUCAAAAGUAAUCAAGUAAUUUGCCAUUAGCAAAUAAAAGUAGAGCAGCCACAUUUUUUUAGAAACAGAAGUGUUAGAAGUCGGAACUUGCAAUGUGAAGUAAAUUUAAGUGCUACUAAUUUGGAAGUAACCAGAAUAGAAUUAAUGGUAAUUUCUCAAAAUAUAAACGCAAGUGACGAUUAAUCAGUUGGUUCUUAUGUCAAAUUUUGUAAACUUUAAGUUCAUCAAAGAGUUCUGCAAUGUCCAAGAAUUUACAAAACAAUAAAGAGUAAUUGCCAAGUGUCUUCAAUAACUCCCGUACAAGAUAGGAUUAUUGUACCAAAUUAAACAAUGGUAAACUCUAUGAUUAAAAUACUUACAGCUUCCAUUAGAGCUGAAAUUUCAGACUCCUUCAGAUUUGCACCAACUCUUUCCAAACCAGCCCUUAGUUCCUCUAGUGUGAUUUGGCCACUGUUAUCUGCAUCAAUCAUCUUGAACAUCUCUUUCAGGCCAGCAAUUUCUUCUUCAGACAAGCUCUCAGCAAUGACCUAGACAUGUGUAUCAGUUUCACAAAUUGUCAAGCACGUUGUAUGCCUGAGUUUUUGCUUUACAUUUGGAAGUCAUGAACACCUCACCCUUUUCUUGUGAAAAAGAUCAAUUAUAAAGGCAAAUAUAAAUGAACAUAGGACAAUCAACUCGAGAAAUAGAACUUCUCUAACAUUCCCUUUGUAUUAAAGUGACAAAUUUUCAAAAUAUGUAGCGAAUCACAUGAAUAUCACUUGUAAAGUAUUAAGUAGUCAAAAAGAUGCAACAUUAAGCAAUGCCAGAUCUACACCAAGAGGAGGUGCAAAUCACAUUUGAGCAGCAGUUUUUAAAUUCCAUAUAAGAUAUGUUGCUAGUUGGUAAGUGGAGUCAAGAAAACACUAAAAACUAUGAAAUGUACAAUCACUAAGAUGACCUCAAACAAUAGGCCAAGCUCUAAAGUUGAUACUAGGGUAUUAUAUUUUGAGAUAAAAUUGACAAAAUUUAUACUAAUACCUACCUUUAGGGCCAUUUUCUUGAGCUUAUUCAUCGCAGAAAAUUGUUUUAAGCGAGUCAAGACAGCAGAAUCCAGAGGCUUGUCUGGAGCUACACCAUCAACACAUACCCAGGGGUGGCCUAUUAAAAAACAAGAGGACAAUCAUCAGAAAUAGCUAAUUAAAACAAGACGGAAUCUUCCCAAGAUUCCAAAUAAAGCUAACUGCAUCUUCAAAAAGGUUAUAAGCAUCAGAUUGUAUUAAUGGCUAAUCAAAUGAUUUUGAUUAUUGAAAAUAAAAGCCACGAAGGUUCUUUCUCCCUGAUAAAGAUUUAGUGACUGCUACACAAUAACAAUUUUUGGGUACUCCCUUGCUUACUGUACCAGUUUUUGCACUGUGUGGAGAUCAAACUUUUGAGAAGAAGGUUGUACAGAUUUUUAACAGUUAAUUAACACAAUUUUUUUCAACAAAAUCACUACUUACAUAAAACUUCAUGGGCAGUCAAACGCUUUCUGAGGUCUCGCACAAGCAUUCUUCUGACCAAAUCCUUUGCACUCUCUGAGAUACUAGGCCAGGGUUCCGAUGAAAAGUCGAGCUCACCUUUCAGAACCUGUUCAAAAAUUCCUUGCUCUGUUUCUGUACUGGGAUAAAGAAAGCAGAGUUAAAAAGUAGAAAAUUUGGAGUUUAAUCAACCAACUGCAUUGAAAUAUGUCUGCAGUCAAGUAGCAGAAAAUCUUAGUAUCCUAACCAUCCCAAAAUGGAGGAACCCCACUCAAUAGGAUAUAAAUGAUUACUCCAGCACUCCAGACAUCAGCCUCAGGACCAUAAUGUUUCCGUAGAACUUCAGGUGCCACAUAAUAAGGGCUACCAACAACAUCUGUAAGUGUCUCCCCUAAACAAAAAAGUUUUAAAAAAACAGAUGAUGAGUACAGAUAACUCACAUAAGGAAAAUAUUAUGACAGUGUAGAUAAUACCGAUGAGACGAUUCAAAGGAUGGUAAUAAUGUAAAAUAGGAUGAGUAUCUUUGCUACAUUAGUUGGUGCCAAGAAGUUUCAGAACACUCUUGUGUAAAGCAAGAAAAUUCUAAAACCAGGGUUCUGGACAUUUGCAAGUAAUGAAGUUCAAACUUUUCAAGAAACAUAUUGUUUCAUUGUAAUCAUAAAAACGCUCCACCUGAUGGAGGUAUCGAUUCUAAGCAAAUUUUAAUUGGUGAAGUGUUGGUGUAUAAAUAGAUCUUAGAAUGGGGAAUUAACAUUAUUAAAAUGUAAGGUCAUUAAACAUGUCCUCGUCAUCAUCCAAACCUUUCGCCAGCACAUCAAGUUCGAAAUGUAACGUAAUAAAAAAUUUUGCAAACUCAACCAUGUUUGAUGUCAAAUCGUUGCUCCUAAUAGAUACACAGUCAAGUUAACAGGAAAAAAAAAAAGAAAACAAAGAGCCGAUUAAUCACCAUCAUAACUUGGAUAAGAAAACCAUCUAGUGUCCACCAUUUCCCUUCUCUUUGCCUAAAAACAAAAGUCUAUCCAAUAAAAACCUACAACCCUCAAAGUUUUCCUUUUAAUCAAUUCAAAUGCAAUGCAAAUUAGAAAAAGAAAGUUAACUCUCAUGAUCUUAAAUCUUUGCACUACAAUAUUUUGUGGGUAACAAAAUUAGCAAUCACUAAGCAAAAUCUAAUUAAACAACAACCUAAUCUACGGAACGCAAGUAAAAUUCACAACAUUCUCAAGCUAAAAGGCGAGAAUAACAUAUUAUUCAAGCGAUGUUGAUAUUACUAUCCAAAUUCAAAGUGAUGUUAAUACUACUAUCCAAAAUGAUCAGCAUAAAAGCAUUUUACCUGGCUUGAAGAAUAUAGACAACCCGAAAUCGAUGGUCUUAAGAGGCGAAUCCUCGUCCUUGCUAACAAAUAGGAAAUUCUCGGGCUUCAGAUCGCGAUGCAUGACUCCUAACGAAUGGCAAGCUUCGACGACCCCGACGAUCACCCUCGCGAGCUUUGCGGCCGCCUUCUCCGAGUAGUGGCCCCUCUGGAUGAUCCGGUCGAAGAGCUCCCCCCCGGCGCAGAGCUCCAUGACGAGAUGCACGGCCACGGCGUCCUCGUAGGCGCCGACGAUGGAGAUCACGUUGGGGUGCCCAGCGAGGUGGUGCAUGAUCUGGAUCUCCCUCCGCACGUCCUCGACGUCCUCGUCGGCCACGAGCUUCCUCUUGGCGAUCGACUUGCACGCGAAUUGCUUCCCCGUGGCCUUUUCCGUGCACAAGUAGGUGGUCCCGAACUGGCCCUGGCCGAGCUUGCGCCCUAGGGUGUAGAGAUCCUUCACGUUCUCGGUCUUGCGCUGGAGCACGGAUCCCGCGAGGACCCCCGCGCUCGCGACUCGGUUGAUGUGGGGGGGCUUCUUCGGGGCGGGGAGCGGACGGGGCGGCUCCUCCGCCUGGGGCGGUGGUGCCGCCGGGAGCGGCAGGGCACAGCGGCGGAGACCGAUUGGAAGAAGCCGUGUCGGGCGCCGCCGCCGGGGCCGGGGGCGGGGCCGAGAGAGUUCCCCAUGGGCGGCGAGGGGGCGGGGGGAAAGCUCAGGAUCGCGGCGAGGGAGGGGGCAUUUUUGGAGAUCGAUGGAACCCUAGGGAUCGGCGGAGACGAUGACGAGGAUGCGGAGGAGAGGCGCACGAGAGGUGUUCGAGAUUCGGAUCCAACGAAGGAGAGGAAGAGCUCCGACGCGGGGGGCGGGGGGGGCGAUGUGAUGCGACGCGAUGAGGAGCGCUCGGACGCGGCAUCUCCAACCGAGCGGUAGAUAAAUUUUAUUUUGCACGGAGACCCCCUCAACUAAAUAUAAUUCUACAAUAACCCUCUCAACUUUUAAAUAUUUUUUUUCCUUCUUUUCUUGACAAUUUUUCACCUUUUAGCUCUCCUGUUUGAAAAUUUUUAGUUAGCUAAGUUAAAAAUUUUGACAAAUUUAAUAAAUAUUUAUACACUAAUUAUAUUUGUUAUAGAAUAACAUAAAACAUUAUUAAUUAAUAAAAGUUAAAGCAUUAAAAAAUUUAUUUAAUUAAAAAAUAAAAAGGGCACUCGGAUCAGCGUGUACGGUCGAUCAAGGAGACAUAUAUUGUUGAAGCGUUGGCCGUUGAGCGCGAAGUUUAAAGCAGGCGGGGCCCAUUUUAACGAAGCUGUUGUGAUCGGUUAUCACGCGGACACGUGUUCCCUUCCCGCCCAUGGAAGCUUUGCGUGCAAUUGCCGUUACAAAAAUGCUAGGGAAAACUUCAAAUACCCCCCUGUAGUUUCGCACUUUCUCACUUUAGUACUUUAUGAUUUAAAGUUUAACAAGUUAGUAAGUAGUGGUUUCGCACUUUCUCACUUUAGUACCAUGUGGUUUAUUAAAUUAUACACAAAAACUUCAGAUAUUCUACCUAGGUUUAUCGAAUAUUCAUUUUAGUACCUUUUAGGUUUUAACUUUGUCAUUGAUUUAACGAAAAAAAUACCUCGAAAUGGAUAAUAAAAAGAGAAAAAUGAAACCACAUGAUACUAACUUGAUACAAAAAUGAAACUAUAGGGUACUAACUUGAUACACUUUAAACUACAGAAUACUAAAGUGAAAAAGUGCGAAACCACAGGGGGAUUUUGAAGUUUUCCCAAAAUGCUAAUGCUAAUGCUACUGACAUAAUUAAGGGUUUGCACACGAUUUGAUCACAAACCGAUAAUCAAACCGAACCAAACUAACCUAAACUAUUUGAUUCGAUUUAUAUAUAAUUUUUUUUUAUUCGGUUCGAUUUUUAAGUUUACUAAAAUUUAAUUUUAGAUUCCGAUUCAAUUUGAACAUAUUGUUCAAGCAAACGGAAUCUAAAACCAAAUAAGUAUAUUUGUUAGGGUAAUCUUUAGAUACCAUCCGUGUAGUUUCACACUUUCUCACUUUAGUACUCUGUGGUUUAAAGUGUAUCAAUUUAGCAUUAUGUGAUUUUAUUUUUCUCUUUUCGCUAGCUUCUCCAUUAAUAUUUCGUUAAAUUAUAUACAAAAGGUUUCAGAUACCUCACAUAGGUUUAUCGAAUAUUCACAUUAAUACAUUUUAGUUUUAAUUCUGUCGUUGAUUUAACAGAAAAAAAUUAGUGUAGGAAAAGUAAAAAGAGAAAAAUAAAAUCACGAGGUACUAAAUUGAUACAUUUUAAAACACAGGGUACUAAUUAAAAUAAAAAAGUACGAAACUACAAAGGUGGUAUUUGAAGUUCUUUCUUUUUUUUAUGCUUGCAUCAAUACAGUUUGGAAAAUUCUAAGUUUGCAAUUAAAUUUUUGAUGUGUGAUUUCAAAAUGAUUCAAUUUUGAACCUUAACUUAUAAAUUAAUUUCAUAAGAAAAUUUUAAAAAACUGGAAAUUAAUUGCAAAACAGAAACAAAACUGAACCAAAAAUGCAAUUAAUUCGGUUUGGUUUUGAUGGGUUCUCACUAUAAAUAGGUUUGGUUCAGUUAUAAAUUUGUUCAAAAUCAAAAAAUUCGAUCAAUUUGAGAUAUGCUUUUACAACCAAACCAAAUCAAAUCGAUUACACCCCUAGCUACUGUACACAUUUUCUAGGAGCGUAUAUUUUAUGCUCGAAGAUCUAAGGAUUGACAAAAUUUUUAAAAUUUGAAUAAAAUAAAAAAAUUUGAUCAGAUAAGUAAGUUAAUAAGAGUUACACUUAUGAAUUAGAAUAUAUGGGUAGCAUUGUUCUUAUAUGUAGAAUUUUGCCGUACUCACUCACAAUUACGUAAAAAUAAAAUCAUAAUAUCUAUGUGAUUUAAAUGAUUAUCAUAAGAUUUACGAAUAUAAUUCAAUAAUUCGAGAAUAUGAUUCAGGAGGCACAACAUCCGCUGUUUAUAGACAGUGGAGGGUGUUAGAAUUUGGUUAGAUUUGUAGUUGAAUCCUAAUUAGAUAAAAAUUAAUAUUUAAAUCUAUUGAAGAUAAAUUAAGAUUUAAAUAUUAAUUAGAGUAUAAAUCUAACUAGAUUAGAAUAAAUAUUUAAAUCUAUUGGAGAUAAACAAAUAUAGAUUUAAAUAUUUAUUGGAGUAGGAAUCCUAAUUAUACUAGGAUUUGGAUAGCUUUUGAUGUAAGGCUGUAAGCUAUAAAUAUAGCAUAUGUGCUAUUGUUUCGGUGGUGGUGGUGGUAUGGAUUAGCCACACCCAUAUGGCAUGGCCAAUAUGGUCAUGAUUUUGGUUGCACCUAGUGCAUGGGUGCAAGAGAACGUGUGCGGCUUUCGUAGCCGUGGGUUAUUGGUAUACCUUGUGCACGGAUGCACAGGAUGAAAGAGAUGUCUUCUAGGAGUAUAGAAGACGAGAGAAGGGUAGGGGAGAUUCAGAGAGAGGGCUCGGGUUGUAGCUACUCUGUGCAGAAGAGGAGUCAGGUGUAAUAUUCUCUUAUUUAAUAAAUCUUAUUUUACCUGCAUAUUUUUCUCUUUUAUGAUUGUAUCAGCAUCUGCUGAGGAGACAGGUUUAUGGUAAAAACCCGAUUCGACGCUUCCGUUGCGGAAUUCCAACAAUCGAUACCGGAUCCACAACAGUCGGUAUCGGAGCGGGUUGCGGAUUCACGAGAUCCGAUACCAGGGCGAGUACCGGAUUCCCAACAGAGGACGUACUGACGAUCUGGAGUAAAUUGACCAGAAAUAUUAGGUCGGGGGAGAUUCUGUAGGAUUUGAUUACUGUAGCAGUAUAUUGGUGGCUAGUCUGGAAGGAAAGAAAUAAUGCAAUUUUUAAAAACUACUACGCCGACCCUCUCUUCGUAGUCGGACGUAUUGAGGAGUCGAUAAGAGAGUGGAGGGACUUCUGUUGAGCUUAGUUAUCUAUCGAUUAUUUUUAUUGUUAUUUUUUUUCUUCUUUUUUAAGUUAUUUUUUUCCUUCUCGAGGUCAUGUUGCCUCACUGUUUGUAGCCAAGUUCAUUUUCGAAAUGAAUGAAGUGGGUAGUGUGCUACAUUUUUCUCAAUUUUUUUUUCUUUUUCUAUAUAUUACGUUGGAGUUUCUUGUUCCCCCGCAUAAACUUUGUGAUUUUUUGUCUUUUUUAAAUAUAUAUUUCUAACAAAAUUUUUAAUUAAAUAUAGUGUAAAUUUAAAUUAACAUUUGGAUUUGCACCAUUUAAUUAUUAGCUAAUAAUUAAGUGUUUUAAAUUCAAAUGUGAGAUAGUAAAAUCGAAUGAAAAUUAUUAUUUUAAUAUAGAUAAGUUUGAGAGUCAGAUCAAAGUGAGUUGUAGUGCAGUAAAUUUCGUACCUUUUUUUAUUUUAUGUUAUUUUUAUAGAGAAGGAUAUAUCAUGUAUUUUUCUUUAAAUUACAUACAAGCAACUUAAAUAUUGCUCAAUUUAAAUGAUUUGGGCUUAAUCCUUUUUUUCUUUUUUUUUCUUUUUUGUGUUUUACUUUCAAGAGCAAUGCUGCUAUGCACCGAACAAAUCUCAAUCAUUAAAAUUCUUUAAAUGGACGGUAACGAAUUAGCGAUAGACCUAUUAAAAAAUGGUGACCGGCACUUGGGGGUAUAGGUACCGGUCACCACUUUAAUAAGGGCAAAGUUGACCCCUUCCUAGGACUACUCCCAUCCUAGCACGCUUAACUCUCUUAACCUCUUGGGCCUUGCCACCACCCAAAAUGCUUAAGCCGGGUUAAGAGUUUAGCCCUAUUAUAUCCUAUAGUAAGUAGGAUUAUCGGCGGUCUUUGCACGAAGUCUCGGCAGUCGUCCGCCUCCCUUUAAGCGCUCCUGGGACGUCCUCCGGCAGGCGUCAGACGGGCACAACUACCGAGGAGCGAGGUAGACUUAUCUCAGCGAGCACCGAUCAUCCAGUAACCCUGGCUGCCAGCCGAGACUGACGAUCUCACUAUGGGACCUGUCGGGUGGUAAUGGGGGAACAUAGCUAUCUGAUACGCAAUCGGCGCGCUGCCAUGCAGCUUCUCCCAGGGGGUCACCGCAUACCUAGGACUACUGACCCAUCCGUAACACGCUUUGGAACUGCUCACUUGAACCUCGUGGGGGCCGGGAGGAUUGCAUAACCCAUAACGGAACAAAAUGCAAGCCAGGAUUAAGAAAUUUAGCCCUAAUUAAUAAUCAUAAGAGUAUUGCAAAUAAAGAUUAUUUUAGGUAAAACUUCAUAACCUAUAAACAUGCAUCAUAUAUUUGUAAUUUAAAAAAUAUUCCUCACUCUAUCUCACUUCUUAUUCCCCAAUAAUUCAUUCUUUGUAUUAUUAUUCUAUCCUAAAUAUAAACCUCAUAGUCUUUAUUAAAAAAACAUAGAUUAAUAUAAUUCAUAUACGAUAAAAAAAUCGAAUACGAAAGAUAAAAUACGAAUAAAAAUUCGUAUGCUGGUCUUAAUAAUUUUAAGUAUCGUAUAAAAAAAUACGAGUAUAAAAAUUAGAUAUUCGCUGCAAUAAUUCAGAUACCGAUUAUACGAAAAUUACAUUUUAUCAUUUAAAAAUUACGGAAUAAAAAAUUCUUUAUUUAAUUAAAUUUUUAGAUUUAUGCUAUUAUCGAUCAAUAAUAAUACUUUAUAUUUUUUUUUUUUAUACAUUCUUAAAAAUAUAAAAAUAUGAAAUUGGCAUAUAUACUUAUUCACUAUAUAUAUUAUAUAUAACCUACAAGGCACAGCACACCAACAACACACACGACACAAAAAGGGGACGAUCUGGUAGCGACUGGCUCCCACGUUGAGCCUCCCAGCUCCACACAUUCGGCGGCCGAGGCUGAUGUGCAGGCCUCAUGGACCGCGAAUUUUUCCUACACAUGCCGCGAUUUCUCUUACCCUGCGCGCCUCCUCGCUUCGUCCCUUUUUGCUUUAGAAUCAUUUAGUUUAAAUAGUUAAAACUAAAUUUUAUUUUUUUAACUAUAAUAUAAACUAAAUCUAAUUUAAAAUUAAUUAACAAUAUUUUUAAACUUUAAAUGUUGUUUUUACUAUCAAAUGCAACAAUUUGAAUUUAAUUUUAAAAAUAAAAGCCUUUAAUUUAAAUAAAAAAUAAAAGUUAUGUUUAUAAAUACAACAUAAUUUAUAGUUUAAAUUAAAUUAAUAUAUUUGAAAUUUCCUGUCAUUUUAAUAUAUCAAAUUAACAAUUUGAAUUGAAAUAUACUAUUCAUUUGAACAUAAAUUUUUUCAUUCUGAAAAUAAAAAUAAAAAUUAAAAUUGAAUUUAAUGUACACAAUUAUAAAGUUUAAGCUCAAAUUGAAUUUUAAAUUCAAUUUAUAAAGGUUUAUUACUUAUCAAAUUAGCACUAUCUAAUUUGGUAAGUAACAAAAUUAAACAAGGAAACAAAUAUUUGUAUAAGGUUGAUCAAAUUUGGUAAUUAGUUUGUAUUUUUUUUUCCAUAUUAUCCUUAUGAAUGGUAACCUAUUGAGCAUGUAACCACUAUGCAAAAGUCAAUAUCGCCCUUAAAAUAUGAACGGUUAGAUUUAUUUUAUUUGGUGUAUUGAAGCAUUCCUCUACUUUAAAACACAAAUCUUUUGGGGGUUGAAAUAAAAGAUAUAAAGUUUUUGAUUCUCAGUUUAAUCAAACUCAAAUUUGAUAGUUUAUUUUAAAAUUUUACUUUUAAUAAUUACCAUGAAAAUAUAUAAAAAGAAAUUAAACUUAUAUUUUAUAUUGAUUAUUACAUAUAUAUAUAUAUAUAUAUAGCGUUGGCUACGUACGUAAGGUGCCUCUCUUAUUCAACAAAGGAGGACUCUGUGGAGACUAAGCCUUUGAAUAAGGACCAAGAUGUCAAAACUUAAGACAAAAUAAACAAAAAUAUAGUUUAGUACUUAAUAGUAGGAGUAAUAUUAUUAAUCAAUUUUAAAAACUAAUUAGAUUAACCGGAACGCCACAUACAUAUAGAAUCGAUAUUCAAAUUCUAGUAUGAUUGAAAAUAAUAAAUUCUAAUAUAUCUAUAAACCUAAGCCGAUCAAAAAUAACAAAAUAACCGGACUAAAAAUAAGAAAAUAAAAUUUUUUCUAAAUAUAGCCUAAAAAUGCAUAAACAAAGGCCUAUACAGUUAAAUUUGGUUCCAAACACGGACAGAGCCAUUUUGCUAUUUUGCUGUUUGAGAUAUAGAUAUCGAAAAGCAUUUUCUGAAUUUAAGUAGCACGUUAAAAAUAAGCAUCCGAACGAAAAAUUAUAACUGUUUAAAAAUUUAUCGCGGGGAUCAUAAAAAUUAUCAAGUUGAACGAAAUUUUUGGCAUGACUUUGUUGAGACACGUUUUUCCAUAAACUCUGCAAAAAAAAAAAAGCAUUUGUGUUUUGUUUUUUUUGUUUUUUCUUUGAAAGAGAUAGGUAGCACGCUACCCGCUUCGUUUAUUUCAUUUAAAAAUAAACUUAGCUAGAAAUGAGAAUCAACUAGUAUUCGAACUUGGGUCUCGGUUACUAAUUUAAUUAGUUUUUCUGCUUUACUAUUUUACAUUGAAAAGUACUAAUAAAUGGCCAAUGAGUUCCACGUAAACUAAACAAUUACCUACAAAUUUGACCCCUUUAAUUAUUAACUAUUUUUCCCCCCCCUCUUUGACCACACUGAACCUUUGACCCGUUACCUUCCUCGUUUCCAUAAGCUACAAGCCAAUUCCACAAAGUCAAACAUCCAUGAGCCGCAGUUGACCAACGACCGCUGACUUUCUCACCACCUUUUUUACACACACAUGACAUAAAUGUGUUGUGUGUGCGUGUGUAUAUAUAUAUACAUCCAAUAGAACAGUACUACACAUUGAUCUCAUUAAUGUCAACACCCCAAAACAACAACAUUGACACCAUGCCUUCAACUAAGAGAGAGCUCAAUGGCCUGAGACCCCCAACACUCAAUGUGAAUAAGACCUCAUGGGAGAUAAAGAAGCCCGCGGCGACCGACCGCCGCCCCCAGCUGCACUGCCAGCGCCGGCGCCAGCGCCAGUUCCAGCCGCUGCACCCUCCUCCGGUGGUCAUGUAUGUGCACACGCCCAAGAUCGUCCACGCCGCGCCGCACGAGUUCAGGGCGCUGGUGCAGCGACUUACGGGAAAUUCGCCGUCCUCCUCCGAUCCCUCCCCUCCUCCUGAGACCGGAGCGAGGCGAGGAGAUUGCGGUGCGGGUUGUGAUGGUAGCGAUCCUCUGAUACUUACGCUGGGUCAGCGUUCGGGUGCGGGAGAUGCGGUUCCGUCGCCGGUUUCGCCGGGGCUCUUCUCGUGCUCUCCAAACACAGUUCAAACGUUUCAGGGGUUUAGUUCUUUGUUAUAGCUCAAGUAUACAUGCAUGCAGUGACUCCAUUUAAUUUGUAGAUAAUAAGUGUUUCAAAUUAAGAGUAGUACUAGAGAUCAUAAAGCUGAUCAUGCAUGCUUUUGAACUGCCUCAGUUUUGUGGUUAAUUAAUUAAUAAGUGAAUUUCUGUAUGAUCGAUUAAUUGUUCUCAAUAAUGCAAAUUUCCUCAGCGUAGGUGGAUAAGUAUGUGCCUUAGUUUUGUGGUUAAUUAAUAAGUGAGUUUAUGGUUGAUUAAUUGUUCUCUAUAAUGCAAAAAUUCUCAGUGUAGGUGCUAAGUUACUCGGUAUAUAUAUAAAGAGAGAGAGUAGAGUUCGGCUACUGUGUUAUCAAUAGCACCAAGCAUUUGGUGUUAUCAAAUUUUUUUGCUGUUAAAUCUAUUUCUUUAAUCAUUCGCACUCAUUGGAUCAUACUAUAACCAAGCAUCCACCCAAUCUUAGGAGAUCACUAUCAUCCUAAUCGCACAUCCCUUAAUCUAAUGGCUGAUAACCUAAUAACACCAAUGACUUGGUGCUAUUAAUAAUAUAGUUGUCUAAUAUAUAUAUAUAUAUAUAUAUAUAUAUAGAUCGAAUUGAGCUAAAAUAUUAUCAAUAGCAAACAUGCUUCGUUGUUACCAAUUUAUUUUCGAUGUUGAAUUAAGCUUCCGAAUCAACAAUCGGCGCUAUUGAGCAUGAUCUAGAAAACUAGAAGUACCUAGCUAAAAAUCAAAUUUUAUUCUAUAUUGUUUUCUUGUACAUUAAUAAGUGGAUACAAAAAUGAACCGCUUAAAAUAAAUAUCCUUAAAAAAAUAAUGACAAUAUUUGUAUAAUCGAAAUUAAGAGUAUAGAUAUUGUUUUAAAUAGUUUAAAGGAUUCUCUUACUGAAAUUCAAUUAAUUUAGAUUUUUUUACACCGUUAAACAAGCAAGCGCCUCAUACCGACAAUUAAAAUUAUAAAAUUUUAUAAUCUUUAAAUCAUUAGGUCAAUGACGUCAAAAAAUUUAAAAUUUAAUUUUUAAAUAAUGUAAAUAGUAUAGAUCAUGUUCGUCGAUUUGAAUGCUCCAUCAUCGAAAAUAAAUCGAUAACGACAUAGUCCGUUCGUUAUGGUUAUAAUAUUGUAGCCCAACUCUCUCUCUCUCUCUCUCUAUAGAUAUAUAGAGUAGAGUUGCUGUGCUAGUACAGCAACUCUUGUGCUCCUAAAUUUCUAAUCAUUCAUCAAUUUGAUAGAUGGUUAGGGACCUAGGAUGAAAGAGAGAAGAAAAAUUAGAAAGAAAUUUAAAGAAAAGAAAAAUUGGAAUAUCUAUUUUUUUUUUUUCUAAUUUCUCACCAUUUAUCAAAAUGGACGGAUGGUUAGCAACUUAGGAGCAUAAGGGCUGUUGUGCUCCAAUAGUAUAGUAGCCCUACUCUCUCUCUAUAUAUAUUAUAUGAGUCCAGCUAUCAUGCUAUUAAUAGCACAAAGCGUUUGAUGUUACAAAGUUUUUUGCCGUUAGAUCUACCAUUUUAAACAUUUUUACUCAUUAAAUCAUAAUAUUUAACCAACCAUAUACUCAAAUUUAGAGGAUCACUAUCAUCCUAAUUGCACGUUCCUUCCUCCAAAGGCCAAUAACCAAAUAUCACCGACCGCUUGGUGCUAUUAAUAAUAGGGCUUUUUUUGCAAAUAGCCCCCUGACAAAUUUUAUUUGCAAAAAUAGCCCCGUCUAAAAAUUAUUUGCAAAAAUGGCCCUGCCCCUGCCACGCCAGCGCCAUGUCAGCGCCACGCGGGUAGGGCGGGCCCAGGUGUUUAAGUUGAACACGGUGAACCAUUCACCGUGUUCAAUAUAAAAUUUUUAUAUUGGACACGGUGAAUGGUUCACCGUGUCCAAUACAAAUACCCCAACAAUGACUAAGUUGGAGGUAUUUGUAUUAGACACGGUGAACCAUUCACCGUGUCCAAUUGUUUGUAUUGGACACGGUGAAUGGUUUACCGUGUCCAAUACAAAUAUUUCGAUCUUAGCUAUUUUGUAUUGGACACGGUGAAUCAUUCACCGUGUCCAAUACAAAAACUUUGUAUUGAAUACGAUGAAUGGUUCACCGUGUUCAACUUAACCAUCUGGCCCAGCCUCGCCCGCGUGGCGGUGACGUGGCGCUUGCGUGGCGGGGUCAGGGCCAUUUUUGCAAAUAAAUUUUUGACAGGGCCAAUUUAAAAAAAAAAAUUUGUAAGGGGGCUAUUUGCAAAAAAAGCCCUUAAUAAUAGUAUAAUAAUAGCCUACUUCUAUAUUAUUAAAAAAAUAAUGUUUAUGAUAAUUUCAUUAAACUAUAUAAAUCACUGUAUUCGCGGUGGGAAUAAGAUAGUUUUGGGGACGCCGCAUCAUCGCCCCCACGAUCCCACCCCAAAAAACCCUUUUCCGCUCACCUCCCGGUGAGUUGCUCGUAGUUCACCGUCGUGGUGAGAUCACCUCCGGUGAGCUUACCCCGCCCCGAUCUCCACCGACCCUUCCCCUCUACGUAGCGAUCGCGGUUUCGUUCACCUCCCCCAACGCCGAAGCUCGCUAUUUUAUUAUUGCUAUUGUUGUUACUACUCUCCUCUCACGCACCGGUAAGGUUCUUCACCUCCCCUAAUUGUUUAUUCCUCGCUGUAAUUUCUCCUUUUUCCGCCCCCCUUUCCCUCCCAAUUCGGGGUUUGAAUUCGUCCACCGGGGAGAAUUGCGCGGUUUGGUCAAUUUUGAGGAGGAUCUGAUCGAUUUUGAGGUCGAAUUUUGGGGGUUUUGAGGGAAUUUGAGGGCGUGGAGAGGCGACACAGUGUUCGGAGGCGAUGGGUGCAGCAAUUGGUGCCAUUGAUGCCGAUUUUGUGAUGAAAAUCUUGUUUUUGUUCGUUGGAUUAGGUUCCUUGGGCCUAAUUAGGGCUUACGUUGUGAUUUUGUUUCUUACAAUGCUAAGUUUUGAGAGGACACUAUGGGUGCAACUAUCCGUGCGAUUGAUGCCGAUUUUGUGAUAAAAAUCUUGCUUUUGUUCGUGGGACUAAGCUUCUUUGGCCAAAUUAGGGUUUAUGUUGGCAUUUGUUGCUCAUAAUGUUGCUUUUGGUAGCUCCUACGUGCAGUUACACGCUUCUAUCUUUUACCUUUUUUCAGUAAUUUGGAGCUUUUUUUUGGCAUGUUUGAAAUAUUGGGAAGCGUUAUUUCUAUGUAACAUUAGUGUUAAUGUGUUCAAAAUUGCAACCUUUCGCCCUUCAUUGCUCCUCAUGGAAUUUUAUUUCAUGUAUAAGUUAGUGUGGAUUAUAUAUUGGUGGCUUUAUUUUGGAUUUUGGUCGCUUUGAGAUUGAAUAUGAUUAAUAUGAUGAUAGAAGUUGCCUAUUACUAUAGAAAUACAUUAAAUCCUAUAUUGAUUUUUUCAUAUUUAAGAUUAGCUAUUAUACUGUCGGAAGGGUUGGCCCUUUAACGCUAAUUCUUGCCAAUUAAAUAUUAUACAUAUAUAUGGCGCAGAUUUCAAUCUGCUUAUCCAUGGAGAGUGCGAGGAGCGAGAACGACGACUAUAUAACCGACUAUGUGCAAUGCCUUAUGUCAUUGGACGGCAAUGCUCGCAAUAGCGAGAAUGAGAACACUGUCCUUUCGGGCUCUCCCCCUGCUGAAGGGGAGCCUGCAAAUACUACCAUUGCUAUAACUGAUCAGUCCGAGAUAAAAGAAGUAGCUUCUAUAACCACUGGUAGUGCUAAGGAGCCUGAGGUCGGUAUGGAAUUCGAAUCUGAUGAAGCCGCGAAAACUUUCUAUAAUGAAUAUGCAAGGCGCUUGGGGUUCCCAUUUCGAGUCGGACGGUCUCGGCGUUCCAAAGGAGUUGAGGAGGUGCUCAUUAUGAAGAGGUUUGUUUGUUCGAAGGAAGGUGUUUAUAGAAAGAAAACUUCUGGUGAGUGCACGAGGAAGCGCGAAAGGAUCUCAAUGAGAGAAGGUUGCAAAGCCAUGAUGGAAGUAGUUAGGGAUUCCAACCGUUGGGUUAUUUCCAAGCUCGAGAAGAAUCAUAAUCAUCAUCUAGGUACUUGUAGUCGAGUAGGUUAUCUUCGUGCUCGAGGUUUUAUUGAUAAUUCAGAUAAGGCCACUAUAGUGGCCUCUGAUGCGAUGGCCCUUUUUCGACAAAAUGCCUUUGGGGAAGGAGGAGAUGCGCAGGGCCUGCUUGACUACUUCAAGAAGAUGCAAGCCGAAAACCCUAAUUUCUUUUAUGCAAUACAGGUUGAAAACAACAGUUGCGUGACCAAUGCCUUUUGGGCCGAUGCAAGGGCUAGAACAGCUUACCGCUAUUUCGGUGAUGCUGUUACAUUUGACACGACAUACAAGAAAAAUAAGUACAUGAUGCCGUUCGUCACUUUCUCUGGAGUCAAUCAUCACCUCCAACCUGUUAUUUUUGGGUGCGCUUUACUUGUAGAUGAGACCGAGUUCUCUUUUAUAUGGUUGUUUGAGACUUGGUUAGCUGCAAUGGGUGGUCAGGCUCCUUGUUCAUUAGUUUCCGAUCAGAAUCGGGCAAUGGCAGCGGCAAUUGCUAAGGUGUUUCCAAAUACGUGUCAUCGGUUUUGCAAGUGGCUUAUUUUGAGUAGAAGCAAGCAGAAAUUAGCCCAUGUGUAUUCAGCACACCCUACUUUGAGGGCCGAAUUGGAAAGAUGUGUAAUUGAGUCUGAGACCAUUCAAUCAUUUGAAACAACUUGGGCUUCGAUAAUUGAUGAGUAUGAUCUGAGGAAGAAUACGUGGCUUCAAGCAUUAUUUAAUAUUCGUCAAAAGUGGAUCCCUUUGUAUUUAAAAGACACAUUUUUUGCAGAAGUUUCUCCAACGCAGAAGCUAGAAACCAUGAAUGACUUCUACAAGAAGCACUUUAAUACCAAGACAUCAUUAAAAAUCUUCCUUACUCAGUUUGAUUUGGCCAUGGCGAGCCGAUACGAGGAUGAGGCUAAUGCAGACUUUGAUAUGCUUUGCAGCAGACCAACUUUGAAAACCGCUUCAUUAAUAGAAAAACAAGCGGCAUCUAUCUACACAAAAGCUGUAUUUGAUAAAUUUCAGGAGGAAUUUGUUCAGUCUUUAGGUUAUAGCAUUCAUAAAAUCAAGGAUGGCACUAUUGGGAAGUUCAGCGUUACAAGAGAUGAGGAUUCGCUUGAUACAUUCUUUGUCUCUUAUAACUCUGCUAAAAAGACAGCAAACUGUAGCUGCAAGAAUUUUGAAUUUUCGGGGAUUUUAUGCCGCCAUAUUUUGGGGGUCCUCUUAAUAGUCGAUCCACGUGUGCUCCCUGGAGAGUGCUUCUUGAAACGGUGGGCAAGGAACGCCAAAGAUGGAAUUAGUUCUGAUGAAAACAAUUCUCUCCCUCAGGAUUGGCAAGAAUCAAUAACCUCACGAUAUGGUGACCUAUGUCAUGAUGCAAUUAGAUGUGCUGAGAGAGGUGCAGCUUCACUUGAGGUGUACAAAGCAGCAAAAGAUGUGUUAGCAAAGGCUUAUGCAGAAAUUGUGGCCUCCGAGAAAAAUCCUGAUAGUGGAGCCCAAAGGGGUGCAAUCAAUAUUAAUGAGGAGAUUACAAUAGACGAAGCGAUGAACCACCAGUCCUUGCAAGAUCCAGAGCGAAAGGUAUGUGAACUUUUAUAAGGUAAUGUAUCUUUAUCUAUGCUCGUUGUGCAUUGCUGGCCCUGUGUGUGCCUCAUUGGCUCGGCUAGCUGGUUUUAUUUUCAUAUGUAGGGCGAUGGACCUAUCAUGUCUUAAUUUGUAUAGUUGUGAUAAAUACGUACUUUGUUAUGCUACAAUCUUUUACAUAUCACAUAUUAUCUGCUCCUAAUCGUCAGUUUCGUGCUUUCAUUACCAUUUGUUUGACAUUAAGGGGGUGUUUGGUUUGCUGUAAAAGUAGUCUGAAAAUUAAUUUUCAGUUGAAAAACAUUUUUCUGAUGUUUGGUUCUCUGUAAAAAAAUUUUCUCCGAAAGUUUUUUUUACGGAUUCCGUGAAAAUUUGGGGUUUUCGUUCUCCGCUCCGCAAGAGCGGAAAACGAAAAGCUACAGUGGAAAAUGGCGGGGUUCAUAGGACUUUUUAUGCGCGGUCCACGAGGUGAGCUUCACCUCGUGNUCGUGUGUGUAUAUAUAUAUUUUAUAUAUAAAAGAGAGAGAGGGGAUAAAGAAUUAUUAUAUAUAGAUUUAUUUAUAAAUAUAUAAUAAUUUAUUUUAUAAUAUUAACUAUAUAUUAUUAUUAUAUAUUUAUUAUAUAAUAUAUUUUAAAUAUAUAUUUCUUUUAUAAAUAUAAAUUAUAAUAAUUAAAUAUAUUAUAAUAAUUAUUAUAUAUUAAUAAUAUAUAAUAUAUAUAAUUAGAGAAAAUAUAUAAUAAUUAUAAUAUAUUAAUAAUAUAUAUAACAAAAAAUAUAUUAAAUAAUUUUUCAUCUACUUUUCUUUUUCUUUCAACCAAACAACUGUCAAGGAAAACUACUUUUCUUUUCCUACAAACCAAACACAAAUGACGUAAAAUUUUUUUCCACCGAAAACUUUUUUCCACCGUAAAUUUUUUUUCCACAGUUUUACGUGGAACCAAACACACCCUAAGUGAAUGCAGUAAUAUAACAUUAUUCAACCUUGGUGCCUAUGACUUGUGAGAGAUAUCGGACGAGCUUUUGACCUACAUUACUUACCUAAGCAUUCCUAGUAAUCAAGACAUCAAUUUACUUCCAACUUCUUGUUGUAAAGAUCUUUGCCAGACUACCGUAUCCAUUAUCUGCUCACCUUUUCACAAGUAGUAAGUAGAAGCAGUUGCAGUAAUUUUUUUUUUUCUUUGUAAAAAAUGCUGAACACUUUUUGCCAAUGCCUAGCUUCCAUCUACAUUCUGACAAAACCAUUAAAUUCCUGCAAAAUCAUCUACUUAUAUAUCUUCCCUCUACAUUCUGAAUUUUCAUAUAUAUACUCUUCUAUGCACUUUCUUACAUUAAUGUCCUUAUCUUAAUUCAAUCUAUGGGGAGAAAUCGGCUAUCUACUAGGAAAUUAUAAUUACAUAAAGAGGACCAGUUUUGUGAAUACAAGGGUGUAAAGAAAUUCAGUUUGUGCAGAUCAUAUACUAAAUUUAGAAUUUGCAUAGAUACUUGUAUAAAAAGAUAAUUUUACCAGGGUAUAUUUGUAAACAAAUUAUGUUCUGAUAAAUUCUAAUGCAAUAUAUUGGGUAUUUCGUGUGCCUUUGCAGGUGACAAAUUUACUUGGCCAGUUGCUUGGUUCCACGUGGUCGCCAGUGUGAAUAGUUUGUUCUCAUCUCUCUCUCUCUCUCUUUACUUCUUUUUUCUUUUUUUUUUCUGAAUGGGUUUCUUAUCUCUCAUGGGUGGUAAAAUUACUACUAUCUCUUUGUUAGACACUAAGUUUUUGAUGAGCCAUCCAUUUGUGGCCUCUGUUGAUUGGUGAAGAACAGAAUAUGGAAGGAAGUAGAUAAUAUAUAUGGUACCAAAACGAACCUGUCAGGGGGUACUUACUAACCCGGACAAACUUGAAGGUGAUGUAAUACUUUACGUGAUUGCUUUCAUUGUAAUUUCUAGUCAUCAUCAGUGUAAAUUCUUUAGGUUUUGCUUUGCUAGACGAAACCGAUGUAACAUAUGGUUCCAUCAUUUUGAAAGUACUAAUUUAAAUUAGUUAUGUCAAACUGACCUGUGUAGUAUACAAGGCAUGGUUUCAAUCGAUCAAUAUGGUUGUGACAUUAUAGAUAUGCAAAUCUUGAAAAGUUGUUAUGUAGCAAGGUUUUCUGCGUGUUUAAGUUAUCUUUCUUCAAUUCUUACUCAAUUUUUUUUUUUUUUAGUUUGGUUCCUAUUUGCCUUUUUGUUUAUUCAUAAAAUUUAGGAACAAAGCAUGUAAAAAGCAUCCGCAAAUAGAGAUAUACUGUUCCGUCAUGCCCUAGAAGUUAUCUGGUAUCUUUAGAGAUCCUACUUUAAGUGGGGAGAGCUUUUUGGCGAAAGAAAUCGAAGGCCAGAAGAGCACUGAAAUUAACUUCUUGGUUAUUGUUAACUUUAUAGGAGAAGAACACCUUUUUCGUAAGAACAGCAUAUGUGAGAGACUUCAUCAUUUGUAUCGCUCUAAUUAGAAAAUUCUUAUUGGAAAUCAAUGCGUUAUAUCGUUGGCUUUCCAUCCUCAUAUUUGUUUAGCUUUGUAAUUCCUAAAAGAGAUUAAUGUUCUGAGUUUAUUGUAUCCUUGUCCAUCUUAUUUGUAUCAGUAACAGUUUUCCCUGACUAUACAAUAUAAGCUGCUGUUGCUUUUUGCCUUUGGUUCUUAUCUUAUUUUUCUGGAUAUUUCAACUAGGCUUCAUGUUUGACUAUGACUAUGAAGGAAUUAUUAGUUAAAAACUUUUUGAUAUAUCCUAACCAUACUCCUCUAAAAAUAAAGAGAUUACAAUAAAAACUUUUUUAGCUUUUGCCUAUUUACCCAUGCUGGUAAACGAGAAGUAAAAAAAAAGUAAAUAAAAAGACAAAAAGUAGAACAAAAAUAGCACAAAUCAAAUCAAUCAACACGGCCUUUUUAUACACAAAACUCAAAUCAAAUUAUAUCAAGCUCAGAAUCAACAAAUCAGUGUUGUCUUGGCAUCUAUACAAGUCUGUCUAUACAACUCACUCCUGCACAUCACCAUGAGAAACAGCUCUCCAAUCCUGACUAAAAACACAGAGAAGAGAAGAGGAGAAAAAUUACAAAUCAAAGAUGAUCUCACCCCAAAAUCCACAAACACAACAACUGCCCUGCAUCUUCUGUAACAGAAUCAAGAAUAGGAGGAAAUCAGCUUCGCAGUCGCGUGUCGGUCACCCUUGUGGUCUCGAGAGCAAUCUCCACUGGCUCAUUCUAGGGGACUUGUCCAAAAGUAGCAGUAACCCAACAUUGUAAUUUGAUAAGCCCAGUGUAUAUCUGAUGAUAGAAUUGAUGCAAUCCCAAUUAUCAAGAUCGUCUAUAUUAGCGAACAUAGAUUAGAGCAGAAUCACAAGUAAAACUGGUUGACGGUAAUGUACCUGCUUCGAGAAGCUUUCCUUCUCCAACAGAACAGCGAGCAUAUCCACUGCAGGGAUAACAAAUCAGAAAACAUUACUUCUUAUUCAGAAGAACUUGCAAAUCAUGAAGACAUGGCAAACAGCUCAAAAGGAAUAGCCGGCCGCGAAAGGAAUACUAGAUUCCCUGAUGUAGCAGGACACAGAAACUAACAGAUUUGAAACAAUUGUAGGCCACUCUAUCAACUCUUAACGCAACACACAAAUGGAAUGGAAAUUUAGGAGAGAGUGAUUUUACUUCUUUAGCAUCAAAUCUUAGAAUUAGCCGCAGUAUUUCUAGUGCAAAUAAACUAGAAAGUAAAUGUGAGCUGAUCAACAAUUCACAACAGUCACAAAGCAAGCUAAUCACAACAAAAUCAGAAUUAUACUGAGGAUCCUCAUAUUAGGAGAGCAAUAAAGACCAUAUGAAUUAAGUUCUAAACAAAACAACAUAAGACAGAGUGAUAAUUUUCACAUGAUUACUAUUCUAAUCAUUAACACACAUUCAUAUACCAACACUAGAUUAUCUCCUAAUGGUUCAGAUUUUUUGAGAGGAGAAAAUUUCAUCCUAUUACUCACAUAUUCUAAUAUUGAUCUCUAAUCUAUAGCUAAGAUGCAUGGCUAUAGACCUUGUUCAUCAAACGCAAUAUCAACUUUCUAAAUUCGGGCUACAAUCUAACACCAAGCAAAAAUUUCAUUAUAAACAUUCCGUGUCCACAAACAAGUAUAAAAAAACAACCAAAACACUACACAAAUCAACUAAGAAAACAACAAUGGUAAUCUUAAUCUAAGUAAAGAUCAUUAAUUUGUUGAAAGGAAAGCCCAAAAAAACUACCUUAAAAAUGGCGAUAAUGGAGAAGGUGUCAACGGGCGAUCUCCUCCGCUUGGCGACCAUGCUCGUCCUCUCCAUGGCGAACUCCUUGCAGAGGCGCUGCGCGAUCUCCCGCACCAGCGCGAGCCGCGCCAUCUCCGCCCCCAUCCCCACCAUCGCCCGCCUCAUCGCCUCCCCUUCCGCCUCCAACGCCUCCACUCUCGCGCUCAGCUUCUUCACCUCCACCCUCUCCCCCGCGCCGCUCCCUCCGUCCCCCGAAACCCUAACGCUCGGCGCCCCGUACACCGCGUCGAUGGUGUACACCCUAUCGCCGUCGUCGUCGUCGUCCCAUUUGCCGUCGCCGUCCGAGGGGGUCGGGAUCUCCGCGGUGCACGAGGGGAGCUCCUCCGCAUCGAUCGGCUCCGCCGCGCCCUUCUCCGAGCGCUGCGGCGAUCGGGGGGACUCGACGAGGGGGUAGGGCUCGCGGAGCUCCCCCGACCCACGGAGAUCGUCGUCGUCGUCGUCAUCCUCCUCCUCGCGAUCGGAUUCGCCAUGGUCGACAAUGGCGACGGGGCCAUCAUCGUCGUCGUCGUCAUCGAGGGGGAUGCGGUGGCGUCGGAGGAGGUCGCGGUAGGUUUCAAUGGCGAGCUCCCGCCGCGCGAGCUCCUCCUCGAGAUCCCUCGCGAAGCUCCUGAAGCGGCGCGCCUCCGCCUCCGCCGCCUCCUUCUCCCGCUCCAGCCGCUGCGUCCUCUCCAUCGCCUCCUCCAAAGCCCUCGCCGUCGCAUCAUCAUCGUCUCCGACCGUGUCGGACUCUAAUCUCGCAAUUCUCGAUUCCGAGAUCGGAUCCUGCGCGUCGCAUCCACCGCAAUCGUCGUCGUCGUCGUCGUCGUCCUCGGGCCGGGCGAGGAGAUCUUCGAGGGAGAGGAUCUGGGCGUGGAGGUGCUGGAUCUGCUCCUCGGCGAAUCGCUUCGACUGCCGCGCCUCCAUCGCCAGCUCCGCCUUCUCCUGCUGCAGCCGCAGGAUCAUCGACAUCGUCUCGCUCGCCGCCGUCGACGCCGCGCUCUGCUCCUGCUCCAGCUCCGCCCACAGCUCCUGAAUUGUCUCCUCCUGCAUCCGCACCUUCUCCCGCAGCUCCUCCGCCGCCGCCGCAUCCUCGCUCUCCACCUCCGCAUCGAGCUUCCGCUUCACCGCUCGCCGCCACGCCGGUGGGCCGCGGUAGCAGCAGAAGGGGCAAGCGCACGGGCACAGUGCUGCCGCCGCCGCCUCCUCCGCCGCCAUUGAAGAUCGAGAAUUCAAUAGAAUUCAGGUACUACUAUUCUCUUCUUCUUGUUCUUAUUCUCAUUUUUGGUAAUUUAGGAUAAAUAAGCAAUUUGGAAUUAUGUAGAAAAAUUAAUUAAACUGAGCUUAUUGAGAAGUGGAUGGAACAGUCGAAAUGGAUAAAUUAAUCCUGAAGAAUAAAACGACUUAUUCUCCAGGCGGAAUAAUAAAAUUAUUAUUCUGGCUAUUAAAAAAAAGGGGAUUGGAUUCGGGUUAGGAGUUUUUACGUAGCGGGAAACCAACCGCUGCUGUGACCGUUGGUUGCGUCGAAAUCCGUGAAAAAGAUAUCUAUUCAUGGGCUAAAACUCGCUGGGAAUGGGAAAUAUGGAAUAAGAUAAAGAAUAGAGUGUGAGAAUAGUAGUUUACAGAGAAUAGAGUUGCAGAACAAAUUAGUUGUUCUGGGCCUUUUUUAAGUGUUGUUUAUAAAAGAAACUUAGGUUUAGUUUGAUAUUAAAGUCCAGCUGACGCUAUUAGAUAAAAUAGAGUUGGGAUAAAAGUAUAUAUGGAUAUGCUUCUGCGUUUUUAGAUGGAACCGUAGAAAAUAUAUUAUAACCGACUCAUCGUGAUAUGCGAAACGUAAUAUUAUGUACGAAAACAAAUCGAGUAUUUUUUCAUCGUACUUUUUCACCGCACAUAACGCAAUCUUUUCGCAAUCUUUUCGCAAUCUCAAACAAAGCCUAACUAAUAAUUAAACUAUGGCCUUAGCACCAAUCUUCCCUAGCUCAAGUGACAGAGAGCUUGAUGGUGGGUACUCGAGAUUCCAAGUUCGAAUCCUAGUUGAUUUAUAUUUCUAGCAAAAUUUAUUUCUAAAAAAAAUAAACGAAACAGAUAACAUAUAUACUACUUUUUCUCUCCCAAAAAAAAAAAACUAUGGCUUUAGCAAAGUAUCAGAGGAAUCUUCACUGCUCAUCAUCGGCGAGAUGAGUUUGCAUCAUUCAAUACGAAGGGAUUCAUUUCGCUGCUAAUGAGCGGCGGAAUCAACCCAGUGUGUAGUAGAUUUCUCUAUUGUAGGGAAGCGGCACUCGAGCGUUGGUGCCGUUAUUAAAAAUAUUAUUUGAUAUUGACAGAUAGAUAGAUUAUUUUACUAUAGUAGAUUAGUUAGCAUCAAUUUACUAUUCAAGGAGGGGUGUUGACCUGAUUUAGUGAAUUUGAUUUGAUUUUUAGUGAAAGUGAGUAUGUUAGUACGAAUAGUGGGGGAAUGCCCGUAAAAAUAUCACUACUCACUUGCUUCCAAUUUUUGUAGUGUUUGAAUGUCUAGGGUUUAGAAAUAAUUGAUGGAACAGUAGUAGAUCUAAGGAUGAAGCAUUUUAACUCAACUCACUUUAGUAUAACUUCACAUUUAGAUUAACUACUUGAUCUCAGCCCCACUUUUCUGAGGAUGAGUAGGGUAAAAUCUACAUAUAGUCCUCAUACUAUCCUGUUAUUGCCAUAGUUUUUUUUUUUUUUUUUUUUUUUUUUUUUUUUUCUGCACUACUCAUUUAAAUACUUUGAUGUUUGGCAAUUGCAGGAAUUGAAAAUUAUUUUGCGUGAAUGGAGUGAAAAUUGUGAGCUAGCCCUUAAAACAAUAUAUUAUUUAAGCACUAUAGUCUUUGGAUUUUUGUUUAAUGUAUUAUAAUUUGAUCUCUAAUAGCUUUAGAAGAAGGUGAUAUUUUCCUGUCGAAGACCCUUUUGACCCUAUUUUUAAAUACGAUAGAACACAAAAAUAGUCAUUUUAGAGGGGCAAGCCACCUAGAUAACAAAAUGUUUUUUUUUUUUUGCCCUUUUUACCUUUUUUUCACUAUUUUUUAUUACAAUUAUAUCUUUUAUUUAAACUGUCCACUGUUAAAAAAAUCGUCUUAGUUUACCAAAAAAAAAAAAGAGGCUUAAUGCUUCUUCGGAGGGGAGAUCACGUUGAUGAUUUCUCCAAAAGCUCUAUUUUAAAAAGUGAACAAAUCAACUUUUUUUUGUUUAAAUGAAGGAAAAGGGUGUGGGAUGAGAUCAUACACAGCUAACUAUUAAUCCUCUAAUUUAUUGCACACUCCUAUUUUAUAGUACUCGUGGAUUUGACACAAAUAAAUAUCUCUUUUCCCAAACAAUUUGUUGUUCAAUAUAUAUAUAUAUAUAUAUAUAUAUAUAGAGAGAGAGAGAGAGAGAGAGAGAGAGAGAGAGAGAGAGAGAGAGAGAGCUAGUCUCCUAUAUUAUCUAUAGUACCGAGACUCUGGUGCUAUAGUCUCGUUUUCAAUCUUAGAGUGUUCAAAUCAACGAUCCACACAGUUAAAACUGAUCUAGAGUAUUUAAAGUUUUUAGAAAUAAAAUUUUAUAUUUUUUCGACAUAGUUUACUUCAUGAUCAAACCAUCUCAAAAUUGUCACUUUUCAAAGGCUACUAUGGCGAGUUUGGAGUUUGACGGCGUAGAAGAAUCUAAAUUUCUUGAAAUUUUGAUAGAAAAUACUUUAAACUAUCUAGAUUAAGGUUAACAUUCUUGAUCUUGAAUUUAAAAGUCUUAUGCUCAAAUUUUAAAGAUUAUUCAAUUUUCACCGUCUAUUUUGACAUAAUUUAUUUACUAAGUAAAUGAUGUCGAAAAAAACUAAAAUUUUAUUCCUAAAAACUUCAUAUACCCUAGAUCAUAUUUAACGGUGUGGAUCAUUAAUUUGAACACCCUAAGAUCGAAAACAAGACUGUAGUACCGGAGCUCCGGUACUAUAGAUAGUAUAGUAACCUAAUUUUAUAUAUAUAUAUAUAUAUAUAGAAUCCAGCUAUGGUGCUUGUAAAAGCACUAAGCACUAUCAUCAUAACCGCACAACUCUUAAUCUAAGGACUACAAACCUAUAAUUUAUUGCAGACUCCUAUUUUAUAGUACUCGUGGAUUUGACACAAAUAAAUAUCUCUUUUCCCAAACAAUUUGUUGUCCAAAAUAUAUAUAUAUAUAUAUAUAUAUAUAUAUAUAUAUAUAUAUAUAUAUCCACGUAAUUAACUACACCUGGGCAUCAUCAUCAUCAUCAUCAUCAUCAUUACAAAGUAAAUGUAUAAUCACAUCCAGUUACGUACACCAAGAGAUUAAUUAAAAAGCACAGGAACUACAAUUCAGCAUCUAUGAUCAAAUCAAUUAAUUACAUUAUUAUAUUGUUAAUGACCUAAGUUUGAUCCAAUAAGAGACUUCAUUGAAGGAGUGAAGAACAGGUGAUUCAUAUAUUUUUUCUCUCUUAAUUUUCAUAUAGCUAAGUCUGAUUAAACCAAGAGAAUCGAAUAUUAUCAGAUGCUAACUCUAUGCUUAUUGGAUUGCCCCGUGCCAAAGUAAUCCGCAAAUUAGCAGAGGAAGUCUUCUCAAUCGUUGGACGAGAUCCUUUAAUUGAGGUCAUUUUUUUUUUNUUUAAAAGUUUCAAAUGCUUUAGAUCAUAUUUAACCGAGUGGAUUGUCGAUUCGGAAGCCUCAUCAUUAAAAACAAUUUAUGAGUACGAAGGGCUCAAUACUCAUAAGAGUAUAGUAACCCCUCUCUCUCUCUCUCUCUCUCUCUCUCUCUAUAUAUAUAUAUAUAUAUAGAGUUCGGCUACUAUACUUUUAUAAGUACGAUCGCCCUCGUACUCAUAAGUUGUUUUCGAUGAUAGAGUUUCCGAAUCGACGAUCCAUAUCGUUAAACAUUAUUUAGAAUAUUUAAAACUUAGAAAUCAAAUUUCAUAAUUUUUCGACCUCAUUUACCUCACGAUAAAAAAUUCACAAAAUUGACAAUUUUUAACGGCCGAUAUGGAAUACUUGCUAGUUUAACGGUGUAAAAGAAUUGGAAUAGGUUGAAUUUUUGAUAGAGUCAAAAAUUUUAUUCACUACCUAUAUAAAGAUCAAUAACUCCGAUCUUAAAUUGAAGUAUCCGAUCAUCCAUUUUUAGGAUGUCUUUUGAUUUUGACCAUUCAUUUUAUGUCCGUUUGAUGGACUUUAUUGUGAUUUUGAAAAAUUACAAAAUUUAUUUUUUAAAAGUUUCAAAUGCUUUAGAUCAUAUUUAACCGAGUGGAUUGUCGAUUCGGAAGCCUCAUCAUUAAAAACAAUUUAUGAGUACGAAGGGCUCAAUACUCAUAAGAGUAUAGUAACCCUACUCUCUCUCUCUCUCUCUCUCUCUCUCUAUAUAUAUAUAUAUAUAUAUAAGAUUUUGUAAUAUAAAAAUAUCUAAUGCAUAUGAUUUGUUACCUAUAUCAAGCUCAAAAACUCUGCCUCAGGUUAGUGUUUAGAAUUUAUUGAGCUCACCAAAACUGCAUAAUUAAGUUUGACCAGGUGGUAAAUAAUAAUAUAUACUCUCCUAAGUGUGGAAUUAUAAAGGGUGACACAGGUGGAUUAUACACACUGGAGCUUGUUCUCUCGGAGGUAAUUCUCCUUUUCCACAGUGUGGGUUCUUUAUUACCAUAAAAAAGAUCUUCUAAGGCUUGAAAUUUAAUUCAGAAUUUUUUUUACUAUAAUAGUAUAAUAUUUAUUUAAAAUAGUAUUACUUUGUCUGAACAAAAUAUAUAGUAUUUAAGGUGUUUAAAUCAUUUUUUAUAAAAAAAAAAUAUACAGAGUUAGAGGGAGGGGUUUAUAGAUUUGGGUUCAAUUUUAGUUUACCCUAAAACUAUAUAGGAAUGUGGUUGUUUUGUUGUAUUUUUUGGAAAUUCCAUAAAAGCCAUCUAAGCAACUUUUUUUUCUUGAAAAAAUGUAAUACUAAUUAAAAUACUCUAAAUUUAAAAAAUUCCUUACUUUUAUACGUGUAUGAGGAGUUAAUUUGAAUACAAAUUGUUCUUGAAAUGGUAACAUGUUUUGUAAUUAAAAAGAAACAGCUUUUUAAUUGAGAGGGUUAAGAAACUCGGAUUUUGCAGGAAUGUGUAGGCAAAAAAGUGGAUUUUCCAAAUAUGCAUACAAAAAUGAAAGCUUGAAAAACUAAAGUAGAGAGAAAAAGGUCAAAAAAAAGAUAAUUAGGUGAACUGCAACACAGGCCUUAACUACUUAUUUAACUUUCCUUUCAUUGUUGGCAACAUCUUUUUUCUUUUUUUUUGGGGGGGUGGGUAAAUUGCACGUUUGGUCUACAAGAUGGAAUUGGUCCUCAAAAUUUAAUUUAUUAUAAUUUUUAGUUCGAAUUCUCAAAAUUAUAACCUAAUUUAGUUUGACUAAAUUUUGACGCAUCAUUGAUACAAAAGCGAUGCAACAUGUUAAUUAUUAACGCAUCAUCAAUCGCAAUACUUUUAAAUCAGUUCUGCAUUAAUAAUUUAUCAAUAUUUUGUCGACUAAUAUAGAUUGUGUGACUUAAUUUUAAUAAUUUUGAAAGUUCGAACUAGAAAUCACAAUAAUCUUAAAAGUUUGAGGGCCAAAGUGUCAAUUUUACUUCUUCUUUUUUUUGAAGUACUAGUAACAAUUGAUAGUGAUAUUAUUUUCCAAGGUGGAUUACUUAAGCUACCUAAUUAAAAAUAUUUUUGAGUUAUUCGUUCAAAAAGAAAUAUUUAAGAUAAAAUAGGGACCCAACAAAGCAAUCAUGGAGCAAAUAAUCAAACGUACCUCCAUAAAUUGGCCUGAGCCCACUUAUGUGUCAGCUUUUAAAGCCUUUAAUUUGGACUCUCCACUGUAAAGGACCAAAGAGAGUGGUGCCUUUUAUCUGUAUAUGUACUUUAAAUAUGAGAGAAAAUUUUGAUAAGAAAAACCACAUAGGAGAUAGUUUAAGAGGGGGUUUAGUAGAGACCCUCUAUCUAACUUAGUACUUUUAAACUGGACAAUCAAAGUUAAUUUGUAAAUUUUUAAAGAGGUACUUUGUGAGAGGAUAGGAAUCCAAAGAGUAGUUUGCGAUACUAGAUACUAACAAAAAGAAUUAACUUAGAUAAUAGAUUAUUUUUUGUGUGAAUGAAUUGAAUCAGGUAAAGACCUUGGAUCUACAUAAACCUGAUGAACUAAAAGAGAAAGAUAACAUACUACUUGCUUUGUCAUUUCUAUUUUUUAAGGUCCAAAUGUGACGGUUUCGAUUUGAAUCACAUAUCAGGCCGGCAACGUUGAUAAUUAUUAGGGUCUUUAUUCCUCUCAUGCAAUGAGCUCAGCUUAGGGUCUGGUUGUUAAUUUGGAGCCAAGGCCUAAGAAUCCACUUGACUUUACAGAAACUUAAGAUUGCGCCUCCCUCAAACAAUAUAGGUUCUCGCGACAUUCAUCUGAAGUUAUGAGUAUCCAAUGCUAGAUUGAAUCUAGGAUUGUUCAGAUCUGAGCAACCUCGCAUAUAAUGUAAGAUUAUUUCGUGUACAGAAUAUUUUUGCACACGAAUUAUAAUAUGCACCUAGUAUCUGUUCCAAAUGAACACUAGUCAUAGUGUGGAAGUUACAACUCUCAGGUACUUAUUGAAAUACAAAUAUCCCUUCAAUUUUCCCAACAAUGGAAGGACACAGUCCACCUCACAACCCAAUCCGAACCCGGCUCAGCUGGACCGGGCGCAACACUCCUCGACGAACCGCUUGACCCUCCGCAUGAGCUCGUCGGAUGGUUGGGACCAGGGGUCGAUGGUGAAGAACCCGUGCUGCUGCCCCUCGAACUCGACGAGCUCGACCGGCUUCCCCAUCCGGCUCAGCCGAGCCGCGUAGUCCGCCCCCCGGUCCCUCAACAGAUCCUUCCCCCCGACCACGACCAGCACGGGCUCGAACUCGACCGGCUCGAGGCUCGGGCUCUCCGGCCCGAACGGGUUCACCGUCGGGUGGUCCAAACCGAACCCGGCCGGGAGCGCGAGGCGCCAGUAGCGGUCGUUCAGGUCCCGGUUCAGGAACGCGUCGGCCGGGCACUCCGACUCGGACCGGGUCGGCUGGGCUCCGCCGAAGAAGGGCAUGAGGAGGACGUACCCGACGACGCGGACCGGGCUCAGCUCGGCCCGGGCGGCGGGGGAGCCGAACCGGACGGCGAGGUGGUGGGCGAUGUUCCCUCCAGCGGAGUCGCCGGAGACGACGACGCGGGCUAGGUCGGCGCCGGAGGAGGCGAGCCAGGGGUCGUCGUCGGCGGAGCGGAGCCAGGCGAGGGCGGCGGCGGCGUCGAGGAGGGCGGCGGGGAGGGGGUCUUCGGGGGCGAGGCGGUAGUCGGGGGCGACGACGAGGGCGCCGAGGGCGGAGGCGAGGCGGAGGCAGUAGUUCUGGCAGUUGGGCCAGGUGCGGGAGCCGAUGCAGAAGCCGCCGCCGUGGAAGUAGAAGAAGACGGGGAGCUUGGCCCCCGCGGGGCGGCAGCGGGGCUUGUAGAGGCGGAGGUGGAGGCCGUGGCCGGGGUCGAAGAGCGCGUCGCGCCACUCCACGGAUCCGUCGUCGCGGACGGGGACGGGGAAGCUGGGGCCCGGGGAGCGGGAGACGGACCCGUCGCUGUACACGCGGAGCACGCCGCGGCACUCCUCGACCACGCGGGGAGUGGGGGAGGAGUCGUCGUCGGCGGCCAUGGCGAUGGAGAGGGUUAGGGUUAGGGUUAGGGUUAGGGUUUAUAGGAAGUGGGACUGGUGGAGUGAUGUGGAGAGUGACGUUGCGUUAGGUUUGGUGUUACUCGUAUGGUUGGCGAUGUGGUUUCUACUUUCUACAAUUCUGCUUGGAAUGUUGCAUCAGAAACGGACGAAACGGAUGACGACGGAGCCGGCCAUUUGUGGUUGCGUUCGGCAUGAUUAGCGUAGGACGUGGGCUCGGCGAUCCUUACGUACGUUUCUUCUGCUCCUUCCUUUUCUAAUUGAGGAAAAAUUUUUAAUUAAUAGCUUUCCCUGACACAAGCGUUACAUUUUUUUUUUAUUACAUUAUUACACUUUGUUUCCUCUGAUUUAGUAUGAAUGAGCUGGACUAAUUCUAUAAAUACUAAUUUUUUUUUUAACUUUAAUUUUUUUUACCUUUAAAUUAAUUUUUUUAAAAAUACUACUAGCUUUUGAAUCGAUACUAUUUCUGAGAACAGCUUUUCUAUUCUCACCAAGCUUUGCAAAACAGUAUCUUUCAUACGAACAUCAAACAUAGAGAGAAACAACAAACAUAGGAGGUUAAAAUUAUGGAAAGAGCUCUUUCAUACGAGUAUCUUCAAAAGCUUUCUUAAAAAUCGCCAUUGCGGAGAACAUAGUAUGUGAUGCAGGACAAUUUGGUCCACCUCACUGUUAAAUGCGCUAAUGCAUUGACGUCACUUUCUUUUUUCUUUUUUUUUCUUUUUUUUUUUUUGAGAGAGAGAUAGGCAGCGUGUUAUCCGCUUCGUUUAUUUCAUUUAGAAGAAAAGUUAGCUGAAAAUGUUAAUCAAUUAUGAUUCGAAAUCGGGACCUUGGAUACCUACCAUCAAGUCUUUGACGACACUUUUUUGUUACUGUGUAAGGCUUAGUUUGGUAUUGAGGCCUAUUUAACGUUAUUAGAUAAAAUAGAGUUGAAGAAAAAGUAUAUAGGGAUAUGUUUUUCCGUUUUUCGGUAGAACUGCAGAAAAUAUAUCGUAAUCGACUCAUCGCAAUAUGCGGAACGUAAUAUUACGUACAGAAAGUAACAAGGUAUUUUUCCAACGUACUUUCUCACCGCACGUAACGCAAUCUCCCCGUAAUUCCAAACGAAGCGUAUCUGGAUUCUGGAGCAUUACUCUGAGGGCUCAUUUACGAUGGAUGUAUCAUCUAUACACACUCUUGAAACUUAAUAAAAGGAAAAGAUCAGCUCUCCACGUUAUGACCCGCGUAAUGGCGAAUCACAGAAAGGCCCACGAACCGGACCACGUUUGGACCGGGACAAUCAUAUCUAGGCCGAACCGGGCCCUUAGCAACCUCAUUUCCUUUAGCAUGCUUGGGCUCUUAUAUAAAUAUAUAUGUCCAAGUAAAAAGCCCACGAAUCCGAGCCCAAUUUCAUCCCUUAUCCAGCGAACGGUCCCAUCCACUCUCGCCUCAUCGUUCCUCCCAUUCCGCGAUAAUAAACCCUCCCAUUUUCAUCAACCUUUUUUUUAGGGUUUAUCUCCAAAAACCCAAGAAACCCUAGCUAAUGGCGUUCGCCGGUCCAUCAUCUCUCCUCUCAUCUCGCUCCAUGUGUAGUAGAUUAAAUCCGCUCUUGUUCUCCCCACGAGCUCGUCGAAUUAGGGCGCCGCCUCCGCGCUGGAAUCAUCGUCGUCUCCAUCGAAAUUUCUUCUCAGGUACAUGUUUAAUUAAUCGUUGUUUGUGAUCGCCCUUUAAAAUAUUUUUUAACAUUUUUCUUAUUUUGAUCAGUUAUGGCGUCGGAAAAUGAAGUGUUCACCUCUCCGGAGAUGGCGAAGUCGUUCGAUUUCGGAGCGGAGGAACGGAUAUAUAAGUGGUAAUUAGUUACUGGAUCUUUCUUGGACUUGUUUCACGUCCAUUCACACUGUUUUCUGAUUUGAAAAAAAAAAAGGGUUUAUAUAAAUUUCAAGCAACAGGUGGAAAAGAAGUUUAAAACUUGGAUUCUUGAUCCUUGAAACUAAAGUUUGAGGACCACAUUGUACAAAAUUGGAUGCUUGAGGAUCGAUCUAGCUUUAAUUUGGACAAAGAACGGGUGCAACUGAUACAUUGUAAACCGAAUUCAAGUUAGGAGUUUUGCUCUUUUCUCUGUUACCAGGGUAUUCUUAUAGUAGGAAAUAGGCAUAAAUCAUCCUGUUUUCGACACAUCACUUGGGGCGGUAACUUCCUUCUUGUUUGGAAUCCUACAAAAUAUACAAAAUUAUAUGUGUAUCCGUGAGAAAUUCAGAUAUAUAUGCUAUUACGUGCGCUUAUGUUUGCAUACAUUGUAUAUGCAUUUGUUUUCUUUGCCUGCAAAAUGCUUGGAUGACUGCAUGUACCUGUAAAUUUUCAGAUCCUCAUUAUGUUUUUUCAAUCGCUAUUACACGACAUGCAGCCAAUUGGUUCCUAGAUUUGUACAACAAAUUUGCCCCAUUUGGUUACCUCUCUCUCUCUCUCUCUCUCUCUCUCUCUCUCUCUCUCUCUCUCACUUCAGAUAUAUGUUAUGUUUGAUGUUUUCUUUUUUAAAUAUUGGAUGAUUACUUGCAGCCAUUCUUUGAUUGGCAUACAUUAUUUCAUGAUUAUAGAUGCCCCUUUUAGGUGGGAGUCUCAAGGUUUUUUCAAGCCUAGCUUUGAUCGCGGAGGAGAUCCUUUUGUGAUUCCAAUGCCACCUCCAAAUGUUACUGGAUCACUGCAUAUGGGGCAUGCAAUGUUUGUUACCCUCGAGGUAGAGAAAUACUAAUUUUGAGCUAGUUUCAUUGAGUGAGACAUGAUGGGGCUUUAAUUGAUUUAACUCAAGAUUUUUUUCAUGUUGGUUGACCAUUUUCCAGUUAGCAUUUAUUAUUGUUGGGUGAAAAAUCUAUGAAGACUCCAACAACUGUAGUACAUUGUGAAAUAGACCCCUCAACUAGUUUCGCCUUUAUUGAUGUCCCCUCACCUUUUGAUUUUUUUUGAUUUAAGGUAUUUUCAUCAAUUAAUUUGGGUAUUUGUUGAACUAAAUGGUGAUUCUAUAAAAUUAAUUGUUCUGAAUAACUUUUAUUUCUAGCCAAAUUGCUUUUUUUAUUUUCUAAUUGUUAAUGGCUAAUAGCUAUCAGAACUACUAAAUUUGCUGAACUGCCCAUUCAAUCUAGGAAAGAUAUUGCAAAUCAAUACAAUUAAAAGUAGAGCCUAGAGGGUGGGUGUUGAUAAAAAAGAAAAAGCGAGUUGAAGGAUCUGUUUCAAAAUGGCCUAUAAUUGAGGGGUCUCCAUACAUUUUACUGUAAAUGUAGAAGUCAUUUAGUAGAUUUAUGAUGGAGUCAUCAUGAUAAAGUAUGAGAUAUAUCUUUUCUACUUCGUUCUCCUAUAUGCAUUUUGCUUAAUAUAGAGAUUACAAUUCCUGUUGUCAUGCACAUGUUUCUUUUCUCUUUUGUUGAAUAUGAAGCUUAUGGAUGUCAAUAGGUAGGAAUAUCUGAUGUUUUAUGCAGUAUCAAACCCAAAUGCGGUUGUUUCCUUGAUAUUGCCAUGUUAGUUUAGUGAAGCCCUAUUUAUAUUCUCAAAUUGAUGUCUGAUGUUAGUUUUGAUUACGACUAUUUUCUUAACUUGUUUUUCUUUUAUUAGGAUAUAAUGGUGAGGUACUUCCGGAUGAAAGGAAGGCCUGCACUUUGGGUUCCUGGAACUGAUCAUGCUGGUAUUGCAACUCAGGUUAGUUAUGUGAACAUCCCAAAGACGUGGUUUUAACUUGAAGUAUGUAAUUGGUUGUCUUUGGCCUACUUUUUUUAUGGUUUUCCUAUCUUAUUUGUCUAUAUGCUUUAGGUUUCAGUUUCUAUGACAGGAUUUUAUUAUAUAGAUGUUGAUUGCUGAAAUAUGGAAUCCAUUUCUCAGCUUGUGGUUUAACAUUCACUAAUUUAUUCUCUUCUUUGAUGUGAAACAUUUCUUAAUAUUCUCUUAUCACUUACUUUGUGCAAUAAAAUGAGUAUUUGCCCUCGUGUAUUUAGUUGGUUGUGGAAAGAAUGCUUGCAUCAGAAGGAAUCAAAAGGACUGAGCUAAGUAGGGAGGAAUUCACAAAGAGAGUUUGGGAGUGGAAAGAGAAGUAAGUCUGUCCUCUGAAACUUGAUGAGUUAAAAUUGAUUAUUUUCUCCUGCUUUUCUGUUUAACUCCAAUUUUCAGAAAAAUAUUUCUUGUCUUUCAGGUACGGGGGAACAAUCACUAAUCAAAUAAGGAGAUUGGGGGCAUCUUGUGAUUGGAGUAGGGAACAUUUCACCCUCGAUGAGCAGCUAAGUCGUAAGACAGUUAUCUAUGUAUCUGUGCAGAUGAAAAGUUGUAGUACUUAUGUCAUUAAAUUGGCUUCAUUUUCUGAGUAGGUUAAAAUGUUAAAUUUUUGUCUUUUAAAUCUACUUUGAUUUGUAAUUAUAUUUUAUAUAUGUUAUUGCAUCUGUUGCGUCGGAACACUUACUGAAAUUCUGAAAUACAUAUAAUUUUUCCUUUCUUCUGAAUUUGUCUAGAUCUAUACUUGCAGGUGCGGUCGUUGAGGCAUUUGUUAGGCUUCAUGAGAAAGGGCUUAUUUACCAAGGUAUGCAGAGUCUAUUUCUAGUCCAAUAAUACUCCAAUAUAAUUUUUGUAUUGUUAUUACGUGGAGUAAAUUGGCUGUUAGCUAUUCUUUGAGCAACUUAUUCCCCCUUCUUUUGGUUCUUUGAUUUUUCUUGUUAAUUUUUGGCUCAAAAUUUUUGUUAGCUACACCCCUGAACUAUUCUUGAACAGGGGAUUCAAACAAUUUGUUGAGAGAUUACUUUGAACCUCUAGCAAGAUGCAUUCUGGCGCCAAAGAUGUAGCUUUUUUAGGCGAUUAAGGGGUUCAGGGAUAAUUUCUAUUGUGAUUUUGUCACUAUUAAGUAAAACUGAAAAAUAGAAACUAUUCGGAAGUCUUCUUUAGGUUGCUAGUUACACCUGUUGAAACACUGUAAGGGAUUUUACAGGAGAUCAGGUGGCACCAUGUGUAUACCAUUACUCUACUUCUAAAGUUAUCUGUGUAUGGCAGAUACCAAGUCAAAAUGCUACUUAACCUAUAAGGAUGAUAGGUGCAAUACGGUUAUAUGGUGCUUUGGGUCCUUUACAGGUUGUUUAAAUAUCGUCCUCCUUUCACUCUGUAUUUACUAAAGUUUGGAAUGCUUUGAAAGUGAAACUGUUAGUUACAAAUUAUGUAUAUCUCUCGUUGUUACAUAAGGUUUAUUUCAAGAUGAUUGCUGUGAUUUAGUUUACAAGGGGCUUUUACAUCUAAUAUCUUACACGUACUACUUAUUUAGUUUUACUGCUACUUUUACAAUAUCUGUUUCCUUUAUGUGUGGUGUAUUGCAAGUAGUUAAUAGGUUUUGUUCGUAUUGUGUGAGUCCUAUAUGAUUAUGCUGUAACAGUUCAACAUACUUUGCAGUGCUUGUUUCCUUGCUGUCUAUUCUAUUGCCAGUCACUUAAUUUAUUCUGAAAUUUCUAGCUUCAUGUAUUGAAGCAGUUUGGGCUUUCAACAUUUCUUACAUUUGGAGAAUACAGCGUUAACAUGCCAUUGUUUCUCUUUUUGGAAAAUUUUUCUAGUUUUUGCUUGGUCGAUCUGCUUGUUAUAAUCUUUUUUUUUCCCUCAGGAUCUUACAUGGUCAAUUGGUCCCCGAGCUUGCAAACUGCGGUCUCUGACUUGGUACGAACAUAUUGUUUUGGGAGAAUACAUAUUCUUGCUUCUAUGUGUUAACUACAUGUACUUAUUCUGCAAGUGGGUAUUCUAAUGGUAAACAACAAUCUGGUUUCAGAAUCCUUAUAAAUUGGGAAGUCCGGGUAAAAUUAGAUAUAUAUAUAUAUAUAUAUAUAUAUAUAUUUUAUUCUUGCUGGGUGGGGAAAAUGCAUGUCUGAAAGUUAGAACUGUUUCUUUUCUAGAGUUCGAUAAAUUUUUUAAUUAUGUUUAUUGCAUCAAGUCUGAUAACACAGCUUGAAACUUGACGUGCAUCUUUGUAUGCAUUUCAGGAAGUUGAAUACUUCGAAGAGCCUGGCACUUUGUAUUAUAUUAAGUAUCGUGUUGCAGGUGGUUCACGGUAAUUUACUAGUACCCUAACCUUCAUAGUUAAGAGAUUUUAAUUGGUUACUUCUUUGGUGGUUUUGGUAAAGACAGGAAAAUUUAUCUACCAGUUGUAUAAAGUUUAUAGUUGGCAUGCUGAUUCUUAUUAGCCUUUGAAUUGCUUUAUCUUGUAACAUGGCUUUAGCGUCUUAGUUCUAGUGCAGAAAUGGUUUUUAUCUUGUCAUUUAAUUACCGAACCCAAAGGUAAUCCUUAAUUAAUAGUAUAUACUCAGCUUCUUUCUUAUUGGUUAUCUAUUGUCACGGUGCUUGUAAUAAAAGUUAUGCACAUAAUAUCUUUGAUACUUGGAUUCGCAUAGCUUUAAAUAACAUAUUAUGUGAAUUGUGUAUUUGCUAUGGCCUUGCUGUUAGUUAAUUUAUAUGUUGUUUUUGUUCCAUAGGAAUGAUUUUAUGACAAUAGCAACCACUCGUCCAGAGACAUUAUUUGGUGAUACUGCAAUUGCUGUUAAUCCUGAGGUAAGAGGAUAACUUGGUUGCACAAUGAAGUUUUGACAUGCAUUUUUAAAUGGUAUGCCAUAACAAUAUGAAACAUAGAUUUGUUGUUCUUUGGUCAAAAACCAAUUUACAGUAUAAAUGUGUACAUAUAUUGCAAUGAUGAGUGUCUAGUACCGAGGUCAGCUAACUAUUUUACCUAGAUAAUCAAACAUUCCAUUGUGCAAAAUACCGGAGACCAGACUGUUUUGUUUUUUUGUCUCAUUUUUUAAAAUUUGCAGUGUCAGCUGCCACUAUUAUUUUCUUGUUACUUUUUUAUCGCUACUUUAAUUACCUGUAAUGCUUUUGGCCAUGCAGGAUGAGCGUUACUCUAAGUACGUUGGUAGACUGGCAAUUGUACCCUUGACAUUUGGCAGAUUGGUUCCUAUUAUUUCUGAUAGAGUAAGACUCUUAUCUUAACUCUAUCUUGCUGAUUUUGACAACGUGGAAUGCUAUUAUUGCUUGUGAUCAUUUUUUGCCAUCUUUUUCGGUUGUGCCUUUGCAUGUCAUAAGAGUAUUAUACUCCUACAUGCUCUCACUUGCACUUUGUGUAUUUGGUUGAUGCACAUGGUCAUAGUAUGUAACCCUUCUACUUGUGCCUUUGACGUACUUUUGAUUAUCUGCUGUAUGUCAGAAAAAGAACUUGGUCCAAAAUUCAACAGUGCACAAACUUUGCUCUAAGGUUGAUUACUCAUUUACUACACCUAGGAAAUAAUUCAUUGUAGGAGGAGUAGCUCAAGGAACUACGCCCAUGAGAGAUGCAAAAGCACCUUAAGGUGAUCAGGGAUGCAUCCGCUAAAUUUUGGUUUCAAGGUCAUGCGACAUUUUGUUCUGGCAUAAGAAAGCUUUACAGGAAAAGCUACUAUGUUUUGUGCAUCUUAUACUGUUUUUAGUUGGCAACUGAAAGAUGUAUGUAUUUGUCGUGAUAUGUAUUGAUGUGGACUCAGAGAGCAGCUCUCAGUGUUUGGUUCUUGUAUAUUUCUUUAACCUUCUAGUUUUAACAUUUAAUCCUUUGAAUUGCAUUUUCCAGUACGUCGAUAAAGACUUUGGUACUGGGGUUUUGAAGAUUAGCCCUGGGCAUGAUCACAAUGAUUAUCAUAUUGCUAGAAAGCUUGGUCUGCCUAUACUCAAUGUUAUGAACAAAGAUGGCACAUUGAAUGAGGUGGCUGGAUUAUACAGGUUAGGUCUUUUUAGGAAUUAGCUUCUCUUUGGUUUGAUGGUUACACUUUAUCAUUUCAUUUGUAGUAAGUAAAUUGCCUUUUGUUGUUUAUUGAUUUUGUUGUUAGUGGCCUUGAUCGGUUUGAGGCUCGAAAGAAAGUAUGGUCUGAUCUUCUAGAGACUGGUUUGGCAGUGAAAGAGGAGCCUCAUACUUUGCGAGUUCCCAGAUCCCAGCGUGGUGGUGAAGUGUGAUGAACUUUCCUCUGUUAUUUAUAGUCAAAUAUUUUUAGUGUAGCACAAGUAUUCACGCAUAUUUAUUUUCUGAUAAAAGGUCAUAGAACCGCUGGUGAGUAAGCAGUGGUUUGUUACCAUGGAGCCUUUAGCUGAGAAGGCUCUUCAUGCAGUUGAACAGGGACACCUAACCAUUCUUCCUGAUAGAUUUGAAAAGGUAAUUAACCAUUAUUUCUCAUGGCAAAAUUAUUUAUGAAUACUGGCACCACAUGCCCAGCCAGGAAUGUGUUGCCAAUAUUUAACUACUUAGCCUCAGAGAGUAUUCCGUGUUUAUAUUCAAAAUGAUAUUUACAUAGUUAAGAUUUAUUCUCUCACGCUUGCGUUCUUCUACUGCUGGUUCUUUACUGUAGAUAUAUAAACACUGGUUGACAAACAUUAAAGAUUGGUGCAUAAGUAGGCAAUUAUGGUGGGGGCACCGAAUACCAGUUUGGUACAUAGUGGGCAAGGACUGUGAAGAGGAUUAUAUUGUUGCAAGAAGUCCAGAGGAAGCACUUGUAAAGGCUCAGGAGAAGUAUGGAAAGUCGGUAGAAAUAUAUCAAGAUCCUGAUGUUCUUGAUACUUGGUUUUCCAGGUUGGUCUUCAUUGAGUAGUGUGUUAUGUAGUUUAGCAUUACAGAUAUCUUUGGUUUUGCAUUAUACUUUCUGUUCACAUGUUGAUCUUUCUGUUUAACUAACAUCUGUUCCUGAAUGUUCAAUUGUUACAACAAGCUUUCUUUUCAGAAUUUUCUAGAAAAGCUAAUGAAUGUGAUAGACAUGCUAUUGAUUUAUUCUUAUAAUCGUGCUACAGUGCAUUGUGGCCUUUUAGCACUCUUGGAUGGCCAGAUUUAUCUAGUGAGGAUUUCAAGAAGUUCUAUCCAGCAACCAUUCUUGAGACUGGGUAUGUUCCUUCAUCCGAUUCACUCUUUAGGCCUAAUUUGGUCAUGCAUUUCCAAAAUUACUCAAUUUUGUAUUUUAGAAGGUCCAAAAAAUCUAAAAAACACUUUCAAUCUUCCCUUCGUUUAUCCUAUAAAAUUGCGGUGGCAAUCGCCACCGGAGAAGAAUGUUGAAAGCGCUUUUGGAUUUUUUGGACCUUUCAAAUAUGAAAAUGGGUGCUUUUGGAAACGCAGUUACCAAACUAGGCCUUAGUAUCUGUUCAAAUUUAUUUUUUGGGAAGUUGUUGGUAAUUCUGGAAUGUAUAGAUCUCAUAUGUCUUGGUAGCCAUUGAAAGUGCUUUUGGAUCUUUUGGACAUUUCAAAAAUGAAAAUUGGUGCUUUUGGAAAUGCAAUUACCAAACUACGGCUUAGUAUCUGUUCAAAUUUAUUUUUGGGAAGUUGUUGGUAAUGCUGGAAUAUAUAGACCUCAUAUGUCAUGGUAGUCAUUAAAAGUCGACGGUGGAUUCUGUGCAUCUCUUCUCUUCUUCCUUGUUUUUUUUUUUCCGUACCUGAAUUUACCAUUUUAGUUCAAUCCUGCAUGUAUAGAAUAUCCCUCGUUCACAUUUGACUCUUUCUAGGUUGCAUGAAUGCAAAUUGUAAACAAUCAACUGUACCUGCUGAGCAGUUUGACAGCUAUCAUGUGUCAACUAACCGCUUGCCUGGUUUUUCUUUGGUCAAUCAUUUGAAUCUAACUACUAGAAGGUUAAUCAUUAACGUCAAGCUGACACGAAACUGACAAAUAUUGCUAUUUGUAACUUAUAUCGCUGUCAUCUGAGUUGGUUCUGUAAAUGAUCUUUUGAUUUAAUCUGUCAUAUUCCUUAUGCUUUCAUUAAGUUGGGCUAUUUGCUGAGUUUGGUAUGCUCACACCUCAUGGUUAUCAUCUUUUUACUUCAAAUAUGUAUGAUGCGUACAGAGUUGGCCUAAUAAAUUACGUCUACACACAUGUAGGAGCAGCCCUUCUGGUGUAUCCAUAUGAGAUCAGAGUAGGUGGGUCAAGGCCCUACAAGGUACCCACUAGUUAGGAGUACCCUCCCACCAGAAAAAAAAGAGUGCAGUUUGGUUAUUCAACCAGAAAUGCUUAGUUGAUGAGAUCUUUUACUGUAUCUUUUAUAUCAAAACACUCUGAUGGAAGCCAUGUAGAAUCACAUUCUUAUAAAGUACGAAAUGCAGAGCAAGUCUGCGCAUCAUCCUGUAAGAUUCAAUAGGCAAUUGAGUAUCAGUUGUUUCUUGCAGAUAUGUGGGGCUUGAUUUAGAAAAUUUAGCAGGUGCCGUGGUGAAUAGUAGUGAAUAGCUGAACAAGAGCAUUAAUCUUCCUUGGUUGCAUUUUCUUCAGAUGAAUGAAAACCGAUCUCUCUAUUGUUUUGUGUUCUUGCUUUCCUUUAUUCUCUACGUGUAAAAGUUGUGUUUCUGUGUGUAUAAAUUUGUCAAAUGACCGCAUUUUUUGUGUUGUAUUUGGACAGUCAUGACAUUCUAUUUUUCUGGGUGGCUCGAAUGGUGAUGAUGGGGAUCGAGUUCACAGGAACUGUUCCUUUUUCCUAUGUUUAUCUGCAUGGCCUUAUACGGGACUCACAAGUGAGUACAGCUACCCUUAAUGCCGUGUGUUGUCAACUAACAAAUAUCAUUUCUGAAAAUUGAUAAGCUUAUGCCUUAAUAGGCAAUUUAUUUAUUACUUCCGACGUAUUACAUUUCAUUUCUUGUAAAAUUACCUUGGCUAGUUUUGUCCGCAAAACCUUAACAUUGACAAUCAUAUGUUCUCAAAAAAUUUUAUUUGUCCUUCUAUUGUAAUUUACUUCAUAGGGACGAAAAAUGUCAAAGACGUUGGGUAAUGUCAUAGAUCCAUUGGAUACCAUUAAGGAGUAUGGCACUGAUGCGUUGCGUUUCACUCUUUCAUUGGGUACAGCUGGACAGGUGUGCUUAGCUAUCUGUUAUUCGUGUGCGGAACAAAUUAUUCAAUUUAUUCCUGCCAGUAACUAGUUUUAUCUUUUCAGGACCUUCAUCUUCAAUUUAGUCCUGCCAGUAACUAGUUUUAUCUUUUCAGGACCUUAAUCUUUCCAUGGAGAGACUAACUUCAAACAAGGCUUUCACUAACAAACUAUGGAAUGCGGGCAAGUUUGUGUUACAAAAUCUGCCUGAUAAAAGUGAUGCCACUGCAUGGGAACCCCUAUUAGCAAAUAAGGUUGUACUUGCAUCUAAUAUGCGGUCUGUAGCUCUUGCAUGCUAGGUUUUCAAAGGCAUCAAGCUCUGGUAUUUGUUGUUGUAUUGUUCCACUGAAACUGCUGUAAAUUUUGUUUUCAUUGCUUAAUAUUAUACUAGUCACGAUGUAAAGGAACUCUAUUAGAAGCGAGUCUUUUUGUGAUGAAUUUCAUUCUCCUGGACAUGAGAGAUCUUUUAAUAUUAUUAACUUACCAUUGCGUUGUUCCAAUUUCAUUAAACUAUUUCCGGUUUAUUGAAAUCCAAGCAACACUAUAUCCUCUGAUUUUCAAUCAAUGUUUAGUACCCUCAUCAAGUUUUAUUCUUGCAUUGCUCUCUAUUUUGUGUAUCUGGUCUUUUACUAAUUUCAGCAUCAUCUGUUCAGUUUGAUACGGAGGCAUUGCUCGCUAAACUACCUUUACCAGAAUGCUGGGUGGUGAGUUUGCUACAUUUGUGUAUUCUUUCUCACUGUUUUCCUGAUCUAUUGAAGAAACAAGCUUACUUCUAGGUAUCAGAACUUCAUGAGCUCAUUGACAAUGUCAGCACAAGCUAUGACAAGUUUUUCUUUGGAGAUGCUGGUAGGGAGAUCUAUGAUUUUUUCUGGGGAGACUUUGCUGAUUGGUAAGGAGAUAAGAAUGAUUUGUAGUUAUUGAUGCUAGUUUUAUGUGAUUGUCGGAUCUUUCUUUAAUAUCUAGUCUCAGCUUUUGACAAUGCAUUAGUACUUGGGAUAUAAACGAAAGCCUCUCAUAUUUUCAUCGAUCAUUCUUGUAGAAAAAUUAACUACAUUGUGUAUGUUUCUCACUUGUAGAUUGUAAUCUAACAAAUUUAACCAGUUGUUAUAUUUGCCCUGUUUCUGAUUUUAUUUUAUUUUUUUAAAUAGUCUAUGCUUGUUAAUUUCUAGCUUUAUAUUGGUUUGACUGCCCCACCUUUAAUCAGGGAUUUUUUUUUCCCUGGCAUCGAUCAGGUAUAUUGAAGCUAGCAAAACUCGUUUCUACCACUCUGGGAAUCAGUCGCUUGCUUGCAUUGCACAAGGCGUUCUGUUAUAUGUAUUUGAAAACAUAUUGAAGUUGCUGCAUCCUUUUAUGCCAUUUGUCACCGAAGAAUUAUGGCAGGUAUUGAAACCUACAUGUUAGAGGUGAAACUUUAUAAGUUGGUUAAUGGUUUUUUGAUAACAAGAUUGUCUACCAUAUUUCUUGAAUAAGUGCUCACAAAUCAUUGAAGUUAGUUUGCUUUUUGUUUAUGUAGCUGCAACUGAAUUCAAAUCUGUUCCUUUUUUAUUUCGUCAAAAACAAUGCAUCACCAUUUAGCUCAAGCUCUUCAAUCGUGUGGUGGGCGGUUGGAGUGAACCCCCCAACUGCCUAUUCAGGUGGACUACCUAAUAGCUUAAAGCCUUGAGCAGAUUGCCUAGUGGAAUGCAAUUCAAAGUGUAGCACUUUGCUCCCCCUUUUUUCUGUUUUAGUCUCUGUAGGGACCUUGCAUUGAAAAGGGUAGCAAAGUGCUUCAUGUUAUAAAACAUAGGGUGAAAAAAUUGUAGUUCUUUUCUACCUUCUUAACAGUAGGUUUGCAUCAAACACUACACUGCAGUGUAGUCACCAUACGAUAGUACACUGCAAAUGCGCUGUACCCGAGUGGGGCUUUUUGAUGUUUUUUAAAAGGAUUAAAACAAAUAAUGUGCCUAACAUGCCAUGAGCACUAUCAACCACAGUACAAAAGGAAUGCCCAAUAUCAUUAACCACAACGUCUGUAUAUCAGUUCAUGUUAGUUUCUGGAAUUAUCAUUAAUUUUAAUAUUCUAGUUUUAUGGACUCAUCUGAUUUUUUUGCCUCUUUUUUUUUCUUUUUGGGUAUGUGUGGUUUUGUAGUCAUUACCAUAUAGAAAAAAGGCUCUUAUUGUGUCCCACUGGCCAGAGACUUCAUUUCCAAGGGACAUCAAAUCCAUCAGAAGAUUUCAGAAUUUGCAGUCAUUGGUGAACUUGGCAAUUCUAUAUUUAUAAUUGCUAUAUUGAACUUCCAUUUCAAGGAUUUUGGUUCCUUCCAUAUUCUAACUGCGACUACGAAUGAUAGGUGAGAGCGAUCAGGAAUGCACGAGCAGAAUACUCUGUUGAGCCAGCUAAGCGCAUAUCCGCUUCUAUUGUUGCGAAUGCAGAUGUUCUUGAUUACAUAUCUGUAAGUAGCCAUUUUUUAGGAUUAAGGCUGUAGUAUUUUCCUUUGACUCUGAGCUUAGUUGUCUGAGCUAAGUUAGUAAGUCAUUUUACUAUUUGAAAAUCUUUAUGAUGUUGAAUUUAUGAAAACUGUGCAUUUUCCAGCGUGGUGGAAUAUAUGCAAUUUGAUGCUCCAGUACUAUAUUUUAUUUAUGGAUAGUUCAAACCUAUGUUAGUAAAUUCGCAAAUUAUUCGCGAAUUAUUCGCGAAUUUUUGAAGAAACGAAUUAAACGACCGAAUUUGUAUUUUUCCCAAAAAUUCGGAAAAAAACACGAAUUUUUGAUAAAAAAUACUUAUUCGCGUAUUAUACGCGGGCCGAAUUAUUCGGAGCCGAAAAAACGCGGCCCGCGUGCGCCCCGCGCUGCGCGAGCUCUCACGAGGCCCGCCCGCCUUGAGCACCCUCGAGCGCCUCGAGCGCCUGCGCGCGCUCACGGCUGGCGGGCCUCGCGGGCCGGCUAGCCCAAAACAGAAAAAAACCUUACCCAAAAAUAGAAAAAAAAAACUCUUUUCAAAUUUUUUACUUAAUUAAUUUAAUUUUGUAGCUAUUUAUUCUUAUAUUCUGAAGAAAUAUGAAUAUUUAUGCUAAUAACAUAAAUCUUGAGAGAAAAAAAACUUAAUUUAAUAGCCGAAUUUUUUAUCCUGAAUUUUUAAUUGAUGAACGUAUAAUAUCCGUAUAAAUCACGUAUCCGAAUAAUUGACGAUUCCGUUUUUUAGCCGUAUUUUUUAACGAAUUUAAAAAUUAGAAAAAUUUUAUCCGAAUUAUACCCGUACCGAAUUUUUGCCAAAUCCGAAUUAACUAACUAUGGUUCAAACUAGGGAUGUCAAUGGGUACGGAUACCUGAAAUUUUAUCUGAACCCGAACCCGAACGGAGCAUAUUUAUCCGAUGCUAAACAGAUAUGGUUUUGGAUAUGGAUAUCAAAAACAAAAACCCGACAGAUAUGGAUUCGGAUAUGGAUUUUGACUGUAUGAGACCCGAACCCGAACCCAACCCGAACCAGAAUUUAUUUUACGUUAGAUAUAAUAUGUAUAUAAAAUUUGAUGUUAUAUUUGAAUUUUUAUUUUAAAAAUUUAGAUCUAAUGUAAUAUAUUUUAAAAUAUUGAAAAGAGAAUUAUUUCGGGUUCGGAUUUUCGGGUUCGGGUUCCGGAUUUUUGGUUGGAUUCGGGUUUGGAUAUGGAUUUUUAAAAUCUUUCGGGGUCAGGUUCGGGUUUCGGGUUUGGAAUUGGGUUUGGGUUCGGGUUUUUGAAAAUCCGCCCCGAAUCCGACCCGCUGACCUCCCUAGUUCAAACUGUAGGGAAUAUGUAUACUUGUAUAUAUACGUGCUGCGAAUCAAUCCAUGUAUACAAUUGUUCACAUUUCAUAGACAUUAGUAGGUUGAUAAAUUAACACACAUAUGCAUGAUGGCUUUACGUUUCAAAUUUGGUGCAUACGAGUAAUGCGUGCGUUUUGUUUUACUAAAAUCUGUAAGCGCAACAUAACUCAUCUGUGCUGCAUACAAUAUCUUAUGACAUCUUUCUACUGUUAACUUCCUACAGAAUGAAAAGCAAGUCUUGGCUUUAUUAUCCAGGCUUGAUCUACAGAAUGUGCAUUUCACAGAAUCUCCUCCUGGUAUGUUACUAGUAUUGUUGGUUUAAUUCUCUAAUGUAUCUCAUUUUCCCAUAAGAAAAGAGAAUAGAAUACCUGUUGUUAACAUGCAGAACAAUUUGCCUUAAUCUUAUCAGAUUAUGCAAACCAAUCUGUGCACCUGGUGGCUGAUGAGGGCUUAGAGGCUUAUCUCCCUCUCGCUGACAUGGUGGAUGUAUCUGCUGAACUUGAGCGGCUUUCUAAGCGUCUCUCUAAGAUGCAAACAGAAUAUGAUACUCUUGUUGCUCGCCUCAAAUCUCCCAAUGUAUGCAAACUUUCUAUAAUCCUUUUUCUACAUUAUGGCUCAAACGACCUGUUCAUCACCAAAGCUGUUACAUUAUAAUCUAAGGGGCCAAGAAAUUACUUGAAGGUAGUAUUAAAGGGUUGGGGUAUUACCAGAGGUUUAGUGCAUUGUAUAAUAAGAUGGCAAUGCUCCGCCAUUUGCCCGAAGGGAGCAAAUGGAAUAAGGGCAGCCUGAUUCCCCCUUUUCCAGGAUAGGUACGAGAAGCCGGCAUUAAUGACUCCAAGUUGGCUGGCGUGCCUCUUGCUUGCACAGCUGGGGAGGCCAAUAUUACAAACUAGGAUAACUCAAGUUUGAUGGUUGUUUUGUUGGGUAAUUAUAACAUAAAAUUUGAAUUUAACACGUCUGGAGAUCCAAAAGAGGCCCUAAAAGGAUAAUAUGCAUUAAAAUUCUCCUUAAUACCUUUGCAAAUUCAUCCAUAUCGACAGUCGUUAUCCUACUGUGGACGCAUACCUGUUAUUCAGUAAUGUACUCACAUUUCUUUUCUUUUUAGCUAUGCAUUUACACUUUAGUCCGUUGGGCUGCAGUUCAUAGAAAAAGCACCAAAGGAGGUGGUUCGUGGAGUCCAGGAAAAGGCGAGUGAAGCAGAAGAGAAGAUCUCUCUCACUAAGAACCGGCUUGCUUUUCUCCAAUCGACAGUUUCUUCAUCAUGAUAGUUCGCAAUAUCAAAAGUUUAUAUCUUUCCUAUCUCUCGUAUGAAUCUGGUGAUUGCUUUGUUUCUCAACUUCUAUUUUUUAAUCCUACUUGAUCCGCCUUGCGAUCUAAAUAUGGCUUAUUUUGGCAGGAAACAUUUAUGAUAUGAAGCAGCUGAUGCAGAAUGGGUGGCAUUUGAAGGAUUUAUAUUCAUCCUUCAUGCUUCAUGGUAAGUCCCUUGUUCUCAAUGCCCAUUGAUGUCUCCGAAUAAUUUGUCGAUUAAAUUAUGUAGAUUCCAAAUUAUUUGCCGAAUAACAAGCUGGUUAUUUAAUUUAUUAGGUUGUGCAUUUUUCCGCCAAUAUAAUUGAAGGUGUUAUAGAUAAGUGACAUAGUUAUCAUCCUGUAAUAGUAUAUAAUUGCGCUUUGUGGUCCGCAAAGCAGUCUCAGUUUUGUUCCAGUUUAUGUCAGUUCGUGCCUGUGUUAUUUUGAUGUGUUCUAUUUUACUGGAAGAAUUGACUGACUCCAACAUCCCGGCUAUAUCUUGUAUGUAUUCAUUCUGUGAGUUGUUUUCUUGCUUUAAUCAUGCAAUUUUCUGUAUGUGCGCGUUCAUCCUGGUUUCCUUAUUACUAGUGGGAUCGGGCACGUACUAUAGAAAUGCUACUUGUAAAUCUGAAAAAUGGGUGUAAUUCGUAUGGUAUCAAUUGAAGGAGUCGCCAAGCACAUCAACAAACUAAUUAUGAAAACAUUGAGCGCCUUUUGAUUUGGGCCGACCAAAAUUCCCAACCUCAAGCGUCGCUACGAUUAAUAUACCCUACUCUUCACAGCCUAAGCUGUUAGUGAAAUUGGUUUCGAAAUAAAAAAGACUAAGAAACCCACAGAUUAGACAUCGGGGUUAGCGAAUCAUAAACAGCUGGCUAAUAAGUAUUAUUCCCCACAGAUAAUAGUCAAAAUAAACUGAACUCUAAUGAAUUCGAAUGAACCGUGCCAUCAAAAGCAAUCUAAAAUUCCAUUAGAAUUUUAGCCAAUACAUCUCAAAAUUGUCUCAACUGCAGAGAUGCUAGCACUAGCAAUCUAAAAUUCCAGUAGAAUUUUCGUCAAUGCCUCGUAAUAAGAUAUGAUCAGACCACCCCCAUUAUCACAUAAUAUGAGGCAGACAAGUCUCGCGAAGCCAAUAUAUCAAGACAGGUGCACUUUUGUUUCUUUUACAAACCUCAAGAAAGAGUCGGAAAUCCAGUGAAAAGAGAACCAACCAUUUUAUACAGCAACUCUCUCGCUAUCAAAAAUAUAGGGAAAAAGAGGACUAGCAAGAUCGGAAUAAACAUAGAGAGAAAGGCCCCACCAAAAAAGGGGAAAAAAAAGCAUCAGCUAUACCCACUAUAAAUCACCCUAACUGGAAAACUCUUCUUAUGUACUGAAAUACAGCGGCACUCUUCUGAACAGCAGUGCCGUUGAUCAGAUAAAACACAUAAAUAGAGAACAAAAAAAAAGAAAGAAAAAAAAAAACUUAAGCCGGUACAUAUGGUGUCGAUUGUUGAAUCGCCAAAUCACCUCGUAGCUGCUAUUUGUUACAUAUCUGAUGUUUCGUACCUCAUUUUCCCUUCGUAUGAGGUGAUGACAACAUCAGCUUGCCGAUGUUAUUCUCUAGUUGUAUAUUUUCACAGGCUUCUCAAGUGUAUGGCGGUUCUGCGGGCAAAGAAAGCACUUAAAAACUAAUGGGAUAAAAUACGCAACCUAUAAGGAAGCUAUGAUUUCAAGAGGAGGAUAAAAAAAAAGAAAAAAAAGAAAAAGAAAAAAAAAAGCUUCAAACCAUCCACAUGCAAAUUAAUCCCAGGCCAGCAACCAAGCAAUUAAACUCUAAAUAGAUAUGGCAACUACCAGGCAGAAAUUUACUUUUAAGUACCUGAUUAGCAGUGUAAGCCCUUUUUGGAGUGGUGUCUGCAUGCUCCAUUCCGAGAUACUGUUCCCACGCUCCAUAAAUACUCCUCUAAUAAAAUCCAACAGAGAAGAAUAAGUAACACGGAAUUUGAUUCUAGAGAUAAACUUUAAAGAUUACUUCCACACCUGAAAUCGAGCUGACACAACGUCUGAAUCUUGAAGGUAGUCAGGGCGACCAAGUGAAACAUACGCAAAUUUCCACUGUCCAGAGAAAAAACAACAUUGUUAGAUCUUGUAGUACACUGAAGUAUGAUUUGAUUCAAAUUCAGCGUGAGUUCCUCUGCAAAAAUUUCCUUCUUACUCGGCUAAAAUCAAGCAAACUUCACAUUUCUCCUCUUAUUUCCAAUUAUUAAUAUGCAUAGUAAUUCAACAAAACAUUGAUCGCAGUUUUGAUACGGGUCCCCAGUCUGGCCUCAUUAAUUUCGGAACAAGUAGAACUUACAAGAACCAUAGUUGAGAGAUCGAUUAAAGCAGAGAAACUCCUGCGUUUAAAUGAAACACAAUGUAGGGUACUUUUCACAACAACAAUUAGGGCAUUCAUUUGAUGCAGGACUGUACAGAGUUCCCUGCCUGAUGCUUCACCACUCUCAAUCUCAUGACACCUGUUGGAUGUGCAGCCUUGAAAUUCAUCCUACUUAAUUUUUCUUUGUAAACCAACAAACCUGACCAGGGUUGCAUUUAGCUCAAAUUUGAUCAGUCCGUGAUUGAUUAUAACACCAGCACUCAAUCUGAGGUCAGACAUAAUAUGAAUUGUCCGAGAAGCAAGUUGCUCAAAGAAAUGCAGUGUGAUAAUAUUUCACGUGAAAAAUCAAAACCAAUCAUCCCUUAGAUCAAGCUCAUGUACUGGUCAAAAAUCAGUAAACUUUCAUCCUAUAAUGCCUAUUUGCACCUAAUCAAGGGAAAAACAGAUCAAGAUCAAAAUUGAACUCGGCUCUGACUUGAUUGGGGAAGGAUAAAGACCUGAUGACUGAGUGGUUUUGAACUACUUGGAUCUGCCUCAUAACAGACUUGUAGGCUCAUAUACAAUUCAGAACAAAGAGUUGAUCUCGUGCAUAUCUCAUGCAUAUUCCCAAAUGGCAAACAUAGAUGCCUUCAAACAAUUUUCGCUCAAUCAGUUUGAGUGGGUUAUUGGCAUUUUAAUUGGACCGUCCUAAUAACCUACGAAUAAAUUAAUCUAUAUGUAUUUCUUACUCGCCAUCUCACAAAGUGUAGCGAACUACUAAAAGAUCACAGAUGAUAAUGGUGAGGUUAUGUAAGAGCGAUUAGACAAGCAAGAACAGAGUAGAAUAAAAUUCAAUGUUAUGUUAAUUAUCCUUGAGUAGAAGAAAAUAUGCAUUGCCUUGUAUCAUGACAACAACUACAACGGAAUAACUAAGUUACCAACAGCUAAAAGUACCUUGGAGAACUCCUCAUCUGGAAUCUGCAGUUUCUUCUGGAUGCGUACUUUGACCUCAGACAAGGUUUCACUUUCAUGAAUAACUAAGAAGAAAGGAUCCCCAAAGUUUUGAACCUGCUGUACAAAAUGCGAGUUAUAUAUUUAAACUAGUGUGAUAGGGUUCACUGGUAGAAUUAUAUGUCUAGACAACAAGCCACUAAGAUAUACAACUUGUGAAAAGAAAAUAACAAAAAAAAAAUACAGCAAAGAUAUUUGUAACAAAACAAAGGCGAAGUCAAAUCAUUCAUUCAUUACAAAGAAUAAACAUCUCACAGUGCUAGAAAACACUCAAAUAGUUAUUAAUAUUGCUGACACAAUCUCUUCACAAGCAAUUUGAGUAAAACACAUUAUUUUUAAGACUUUAGAAUGAUGGGUCAGGAAACUAUACAGGCUGCUGUUCCACGUGAUUUUUGGUAGCAUUUCAGCAUCCAGCAAAUUGAUUUUCUCAGUUCUGUAUAAAAUGCAACUCUCAUUCAAAUGACAAAGUGAUCCAGUAAAAAGAGUUUAGAAAGGAAUUCCAAGUUUCUUUCUGAAAUGUGAAAUAAAGGUAUGUUUUCCGCUUCGACCGAUGGUACUGAUAUUACUGGAACAAUACAUGCUCCAUUGUGUUGACAAAGGUGGCAUAGAAAUUAUUUAAAUUCAAAUAUGAAUAUUUUUUCCAUCACAAAGUGAAAAUAGCCAGAAACAUUUAAUAGUCUCCCAUUACUAUUACCAUCUGGUUCUGCGGGUCUUUUAUGAAAUGAUACACAUGAAUCAAGCGAUCAUGUUGACCGAUAUUUUUCUCUUCUUCUGGAAUCUGAAAAGGAAAAUGAUCAAAAGGCCAUUAGAAACAGGCUAACUUAAUCCAUAGCAAAUUGCAACAUAAGUUUGGUUGGGGAUGAAUAAACCUUAUUUACUGCCAGAUAAUUCUCAGAAUUACUGAGGCAAAACAAAAUUCUCAAAAAAGGGGGGGAAAAAAGGUCUUUUAUGAUGUUGUGCUAAGAAUGACAUACCUCCUCCACACGCAACGUCCAGUAGUGAUCAUUAAUAGUUUCUAUCUUUUCAUUAGGUGGAAAGACCUGCAAUAUUCAUAUAUCAAAGGAACAUUCAAGCUACUGAUUUAUUAGUGUUGAUAUAAAAGCCUAAAAACAACCGGUUAUAUCACUUCAUGGGGAGCUUCAACCAGGGCAAAAAAACAAAGAAUAAUAAGAUUUCAAAGAGAGAAUAUUUUUUCUAGAUCAGCUAAAUAACCAAUACUUAGGUGAAUGAACUAGCUGACAAUAUGCAUUUAGUUUCUUCAACAUUAACUCGGUGCGCAUGUUUGUUCCAACAGAAGAUUCAAAAGGAAAUACUUUUUAUUUUAUGAGCUUAAAAAACAAGAAGUACCUUAUAGAUCUUGUGAUUGAAGACCUCGAGUAAUCGUAGCUCAGCAGUUGGAUGAGACAACUCAACCUGCUGAAUAACAUGGGCAUACAAGAGAUAAUCAUCAGAUCCAAUGAUGGUGGUUCAAUGCCAAUCAGCAUGACUAUUAGGACUAAAGAUAGAACAUAUAAAGGAACCUUCAUUGAUUAAGGGAAAAAGGAUUUGUCGUGUAAAAGUAAUUCACCUUUGUUUUCAGGUCAUUGAGCACAUCGCCAACAGUGCUAUUUUUUGGCAGUCUCAUGGAAUGAAUGGACACCUGAAACAUAUAAAUUAUAUUAAUCCAGUAAGUUGUAACAAACUUAGUAAAACGACAACAGUCGAUCGUACACAAACCUCAUCCUUUGUAGCAUGAUGAAAUGCAACUUUCAAUGUUUUUAAGCCUUGCAACUCCGGCAGUGGAAUAUCCAGUACUUCAUAGUACAAUAUAUCAGAAGUCUGAUCCACGUGAAAUCAUUAUUUUGUUAAACUGUAUCAGUGUUCAAAUGAAAUGCCCAAACAAAUCUACUUAAAAACGAGGGGACGCCUAGAUAUAUACUCCUGCAAAACUACCUUUUUACAGGUAUGUCCCUGUAAAAUUUGAAUUUUCAUAUAAACCUUUUAGAAAACUAAUUUCUUUACUAAUAUACACUUGUAUUUACAAUAAAAAUCACCUUUAAGAAACAUUCUCUAAGAGACAACUAAAUUUUGCCCAGAAAAUUGGAUGUCUCCCCAAUUAUACGUUAUUUUGGAAGAAACUGCACUUUUGCGGGUAAAUGUGAAAAUUCAGAUUUUGUGGGUGCAUACCGAAUGUGCAGGGUAUAUAUUGCUUUGAUAUAUGGAAGAAAAAGCCCGAGAGAUAAUUGACCUGGUUGUAAUAAAGCAGCAUGUCUGAAAGAUGAUCUACACCUCUGUACUUGAUGGGUUGAGGUUUAGGCUGCUGAGAAUAGCAGUUGUGAGGUGUUAGCCGAAUUUUUGAUGGGUCGUCAACGCCAAGGUGAUGAGCAACUUUGUCAACAACAUCAUCAUAGGUGGAAAGCUUUGACCUUUAGUGUGGAAAGGAGAAAUAAUUAGAAUAAUUUUAAAUGGCAAAAGAAAGCAUAUAUAAUGAACAAACAUUCCUAAAUCGUUAUAACACUAACAGCUCUAAACAAAAAGCAUCCUCCUUAGGCUUCUCCAGUGAUCGGAAGCGGACAACCUAUAAUCACCACAGAAAAAAUUGAGUUAAAGCAGCUUAUUCGUACUGGAGAACUGUAAAAAGGUAUAGAAGAAUAUCCAGUAUGAAACCCAAAGAUCGUAUAUGUGGCAGAUAUAUAGUAGAGUAGACUUGUAAUAUUGUUCGAAUAGGGUCUCUCAGUUAUUUAAAAUAUACAAAUGACUACUAAAUAAAGUAAUUGAUAAAAAUACAAUUUGAAUACUCACUUACAGAACAUACAUCUCCUAAUAAACCAUUAACAAGAUUAGGAUUAGGAGAAAAAAAAAAGAGGUAAAAAAUGCACUUCUAUUGCAUCAUUAGAUAUAUAGAAAAAUGGGCAAAGAUAGAAACAUGACAAUGAUAUUUCAGCAAAUCAAACAUUGGUCAUCUGAUUUUAAGCUAAACAAGCAACAAUUAGUUUUUGACCAAAUUGCAGGGAUUAGUUUUUCACAAUGUUUACAAAACACAAGAGGUGAUAAAGAAGCAAUGUCGACAUGAUCACUUGUGUUUAAUCCAACAUUUUCCAAAAAUGUUUACUUUGUAGUAUUUUGAAAAUUUGUCCUCUUGCUACUUAACAACUUACAAUUAACAACUUCAAAGCAAACUAUUCCUACAACAAGCACCAAAAAUGUUGGAUCAACUAUACAACAUGCAUCGCAUAGGUUGUAUUGAAAAUACAAUUUAUCCCCAAAAAGCUCUUUCGAUUCUUUUCUUAUAAAAUUACUGAUAUUUUUUGACAAAACAACUUUAAAACUGGGUUAAGUCGUUGGCAAUUAAAACAUGACAACCCAUCCAGAAAAGUGAAAACAGCAACCCUGGGGUGAAUGAGCUAUAGUAUAAAGUAGGAAAAUAAGCACCUGCCGAUUCCGCACAUACUGCAAAAAGGAUGGAACACUAGGAUAUUGAUAUUGAUCUUCAUUUUCAGGUCUUGGAGAUUUUUGAAAGCAAAUAAUGUCCCCAUCUUCAAGCUGCAAGUAGAAGCCGGAUAACCCAAGGGUAAACAAAUCACAACAGCAGAAAUACUGAUAAAUAUUAAUUUUAUUUAACAGAAGAACAUACCUGACUAGCUCGAAAGUUCUGCCUCUUGUCAAUGUGUUCACACAUCACAUGUGGUUCAAACUUAAUUUCCUAUACAUAUCAAAGAAGAAAGAGCUUCAAAAACCUAUAUAAAAUACAGUCAGCAACCACAUUAAUUCAAGCAAGUAGUUUGCACAAUCUGAGAGCUAACCUCAAAGAGUUCAAUAUCAUCCUCUAAAGGAAAACCAGCCAUUUCAUUUAGUUUUGAUGUAAUUUCAAACGGUUUCCCUGAAGCCUUCACAAAAAGCCUUCCCACAUAUCUACUCAAAUAAAGAUCCAAAAGUUUAGGACAGUGAAAGACUACCAAAAAGCAAGCGAACAAAAAUAAGUUGGCAAUACAAGAAAACAACAAGUACCUCAGCUCUGCUUUUUCAGGAUCAUAAAGCUUGAAAAAAAGCAAUAUAUCAUCCUUCGACUUUUCCGGUAAAGGAAGAGGACGAAAUUCCUAUAUUUCACAUGGAGCACAACAGCAAUGAUACACGUGAGGCAUAUGAAGAAGUGUUCAGUAAAGAUAGAAAACAAAAACAAGUAUAAAGAAGAACUAAUACCGGUCCAAGCUCGACCUCUAGGAACAGCUUCAGUUCGGAAUUAAAUGCUCUGUUUGUUACGUCCCUUAGCUGUCCAACCUACAAAACCUUGCCUACUUAGUAUCUAAGCAGGAAAACAAUUUAAAACUUACAAAAAGAACACACUGACAGAACUGAAGAUAGAACAGAAGUGACAUUGAAUGUGCUAUCCCAGGAAAGAAACAGGAAUAGUCAAGAAGAAUACACAUCAGGAAACUACGCCAUAAGUUGCAACUCUAUAGAGAUUCAUCAAUGCCCAAACAAAAUGAGAGACAGAAUCAACUAACACCCUGGCCACAUCACAUAAUCAUAUAAACUGAAGACGGUUAGGUUAAGAAAUUUAAGCUGACAUCUGAAAAUCCUCAUAGAACAACUUCAUUUCACUACAAAAUGCCUAUAAUAAGAAAAUGAGGAAAAGAGAAGUGACUCAUAAACGUAUCACAGAAUCAUCAUUUAUUUGACAUUACAUACAAACACAUAUCUUAAGCAACUGAAAUAGUGAAAUGUCAGCCGACACAUCAACACAGAAAAAUUUGCAAAACAAUAACUAUGACCAGUACAUGAUCAUGUAUCUACACCUAAACAUUCUGAAACUAGUAAAAUCUACACUCUGAAUCAAUAAACAAAAGAGUUGUGCUAAAACUAUAACUGCAACUUUUAGGCAAAUCCAAAUCAGCUAAAUUGCUUUAGAAAUUAAGUAAUUCUACAAUGAUUGAUGUAUAUGUGCAGGAAUAUGAUAAUGAUGAUGAUACAUCCAAAAACCCUUUUGACCAUUAAACAAUAUUAAAAUAUGAAGAUGACCAAUAAUAUGCUCAGAUGAUCUCGGUGUGUACACAUCUUGUUGACCAUGCUGCAUGGGGAUACAUGAAUGAAAAGAGUUACGUACAAUUGGCCACCCCGACCACAACAAACAUCCACAAAUGUAUUGAAAAAAAGGAAGAGCAGGAUUCAAUCCUAUGCUGAAGGGCUUAUUCCAGUUCUCAAAUAUGGAACAAUGUACAUCGGGCUUCGAGGAAUAUUUACUUACAGAUUGUGCUUCCUCCUGAGGUGUCAAUGGCCGAUUGGGACGGUAUGUAUGAUUUUGCCGCUUGGCCCAGAGCCAAUAGCGUUGAAACUGCACAGGGACACCAAUCUCUUUUGCGACCUCCUCCUGUGAAUAACUUCAUUAAAAAGACUACUACAAGGUGAAUAAGUUGGAUAUUGAUAUUAUAACUUGUGAUGUUAUGAUUGAAAACUGACAAGAUACUAUAUCAACCACUUUGUGAUUGGUAAAGGCACCAAAAUCUGGUAUGUUAGAGGCUAGAGAAUAAAGUUAUGUACACCAAAAAGAGUCAAGAGAUCCUUAGUGUAAGGACUACAGUCUACAGAGAGGCAGAAGACUUCUUUCCCACAAGCCUAAUAGUCAUUAUAAAAGAACUAACAUAACAGUUACCAGUUCAAACUGUUUCUAUGGCAACAAUGUUUAUCUAUCGAAGAAUUUAGAAAGGAUUUGUAGUAAAAUCCAUUGCAAGUUCAUAAGAAAGAUGAGAUCAACAAAUUCUAACAUUUUAUUCCACUUAAAUUUCUAGCGUUAUGCACCUUUGAUGUUGCCGCUCUAGUUUUCAGCACAUGUGAGAGUGAUGCAUCUUAAAAUUUUGUUCCCUGGCAAAAACUGAAAUUCUGAAAUUUCUGCUUUCUUAUUCUUAAUGAAUCAAAUAUGUAUCAAGACACAUUUAGCAUUGCUGUUGGGGCUACCGAGCAGCCCGUCACUGUAACAAGUCCUUUUAUAACUAUUGUCCACGCCGCAAACAUACAAAAACUAUGCUCACUGCAACACUAGGCUCAGUGCUUUUACCCAUUGCUGCGCAGCAUGUUCCACUAUAGGACAAACGGGCACUUACUCUCAAAACAACGCAGAGAGAGCUGAAGAAAAAUGUAAAGUUUUAUUAAACUGCUCCAGGAACCAAAAGAAACCAACCUUUAAAUCCAAGUAAUCAUGACCUUCAAUCUGAAGCCUUACAAUUGUUACUAUGUUACUUGGUGUCACCACAAAAGCAGGUUGUUAAUCAACAUAUGUUGCAAUCACAAUAGCUUCAACUAAGAGGAAGAGGGGAAAUACAAGAAGGGAAAGAAGAUAACUAUAAAAGAAAUCUGCAGUCUACCCAUUAUUUCUUAAUCGAGUGAAUCUAGUGCUCUUCAAACUACUACUAGCGAUCAACCCAUGUGAUGCAGCAGGAAUGUGUGAUGCUACCAGGACUUGCAUAAAAGUAUAACAUAAGAGUUGAUCGACUUAAUAAUUAUAAUAUUUUGAUAAGUGUUAUUAUUUUUGCAUAUGAUAACUAUUUUAAAAUCAAUUUUAAACAACUAUUUUAAACAAACUUAAAUAUGAAAAUGAUAUGUAAUCGUUGUUAGGGAGUUUCUGCUCUAUCUAAGUUCACAUUGCUCAAGAAUCUGACAGCCUUUAAAAUAUAUUCGACCUAUUAGCUUAAGCAUGUAAAUUUGAUUGAGUUCUAAAUAUCAAUUGUUAACUAUACAAGAAGAAAUCAAUUUGAAACUGAAUACUGGAGAAUUUACUAAGAAUAAGAUGGAAGUAUAACACUUCACUGAAUAUAAUGCAUAAUAAACUGCAGUCUAUGUUGAUGAAUUUUACCUUGAAAUGGCUAAAAGGCAACUGUUUCUGGACACGGAAGCUCCGAACUUUAUCAUAGUCCACAAGAUCAAAAAAAAUCUCUCUUCCAAUCUGUGCUGUCAAAUCCUCAUCACGGGCUACCUGAAUGAAUCAGAAUCUUGUUCAAGUAAUGUACAAAAGAGGGAAAAUUAGAAGCCAAAAAUAACCGCCACAAAGUGAUUAUGAAGAAAUCACAUGGAACACCUUUAUGAUGGUGUAGAGGUGUGCCUCAGCUUUCUCUUUUUUUUUCUGUUCCUUCUCUUCUUGUUCUUUCUUGAAUCUUAUCUGGAAAACAGAAUGGAGAAAUCACUUCUAUGUGACUACAGAACCACCUAAUCAGCAGAAAUUUAGUGGAUAUCUUACUAGUAUAUGUUCGGCUAUAUCUUUCUCAUCCACGUUGCAUAUUAUUUUCUCCUUGUCACUCUCACGAAUAUAAACGAGCAUAUAUGCAUUUGAAUACUUUGUAAACUUGAAUGGAGUAUUAUUAAAGCCAGGAUUAUUCGGAGAUAACUGUCACAAACAAGUAGAGUAGUCAAAAUAUAUAAGGUAAACAUGAGCAAAAAGGGCCAAUAUUAUAAAUUUAUACUCCAAAAGGCUAUGUAUAGACCUCCUCUUCGCCACCAUACUGUUCCUCCAAUGCGGUUUUCAUACUUUCUUUUGUUACAUGCUCAUCGUCAAACUUGAACCUGACAAGUAGACAAUAUUUUACAACAAUCAUGUAGAAAGUAGUUGACACAAUAACUGACUGCUGACCAUUUACAGCAUAGGACAAGAUAGCCACUUUUAAUCAAACUGACGACUGAUGAUGAAGUCCACAUUGGAAUCAAAGGAAAAAAUCUUGACAAGAUUGUAAGAGCUGAAGUCAGGAAUGUGUAAUGUGUAUUUGGAAAGAACCAACUUAAUUCAAUGCAGGAUGAAUUUCAGAAUCAGAAAAAGUCAAAAUCACAGAAAGUACACUUGAACUCACUUUGUUCAUGCUGCACAAAUUUUAAAAUCAGCAGGAUGAGUUUUCACAAUAGAUACAUGCAAGCUACUUACCACUGAUCAGAAAGAGUAGGUCGAAUAAAAGCAUAAUAAUGUCCACCGUGCACUCCACCACUAUGUACAAGAACACUGCAUAAAAUGAUAAUAUAAGAGAGGUCACAAUAACGUAUAAUACAACAUUAACUUAAGAGGAUCAAUGAGCAUCACUAAACAGUUCAUUGCACAAUAUAAUAUAAUUUACAUCAGAAUCUACAGUAGAUAAAAGAUCAGACUAUAUUUGCUUUAAAACAACUUUUUCGUGUGUCAAUCUGAUACCAUAUAUUUCAGUUCCUUUCGUGUAUCAAUCUGAUAUCAUAUAUUUCCAUUCAAAUCUUAUCCAAGUAAUUCUGCUUUGGAAGAAUAAGGUUUCUCUUGCAUUGAACUUGUUCAUAAAACGUCAAUAAAAUUCACUUGCAUGACACAAAUGCAACAAACAAACAAAUACAAGGUAGAGUUUAAUAACAUUUUCAACCGUUCAUGACAUAUUUAAUACAAAAUUAACCAUGAAAAGCCAGUUUGGUUUAUACGUAUUGCACUCAUUAUGUUCAGAAAAGUAACAAUAGUAGUCCUUUCACUUCUUGAUAAAACAUAUCAUCAAUGUACGGAAUUUGUCUUUCAUGUCAAUUAUAUACAUAUUGUACCACUUGAUCAUAAUGCUAACUAUAUCUUAUCAACGAUUGCAGAAAUGCUGUUUACCUCUAAACGUAUAAAGAGCCCAUUAUCUGAACUGCCUAGGUGAUUUUAGAACAAUGAACAAUCUAAAACGAAAUAAUUAGAUUUCUCUUGUAUAUAAAGAAAAAAAAAUCCUUGAAUCUGAUUUACAAGUAAUAGAUUCAAUAAUAAGGUACAUUUAAACGGGGAUUUUAGUAAUCUAGUCUCCUUCAAAAAUUUUAUUUUAAAAUUAGAUCUGUUAAAAUUUUAUUUGUAAAUAUAGUCUCCGUUAGAUUUGUAAGUGGUAAAAGCGGUGAGUGAUUCACCGCAUUCGUCAAAUUUUUUAUGGAGAGAGAAAGCGGUGAAUGAUUCACCGCUUUUAAAAAGAAUAUACAAAAAAAGAAUGAGACAGAAUGAAAGGAAAAAAUAAUAAAAGCGGUAAAUGAUUCACCGCAUUUAAAAUAACUUUUAGUUUUAAGUAGAGUUAUGAAAGCGGUGAAUGAUUCACCGCAUUUAUAAAUCUAUUUUUAUAAUUAUUUUUUUGAGAAGAUUAUUUUUAUAAUUAUAAAUAUUGAUAGGAUUAUAUAUAAAAAAAAUUCCAUUUAAACAGCAAGACAUGAAACUUGAUGGAGACGGAUAUUAUCAUUAACAAUAUGCUUGCCAGCAAAAAAAACAGAUUGACAUUUCAGUUAAAAUCAACUUGUUGUUCGUAAGAGCUAGCAACCAUGUAGUCUGGCAAAGAAAAUGUUUAGUAAUAAAUGGACAACUCCAAUAAUCACGUCAAACAAAUUAUAUGAAUGGCACAGUACUACCUAUGAAGAGUAUAAACAUUGCGAACUCUCCUGUCUGCUUCUGGAGAAAGGUACUUUCCAUUGUCUCUGUCAAGGUCUAACUGAAGUGGGAACUCAUAUCGAUCAUUUAUCUACAGUUAGCAAAAGUAAGAUUAUAUAAAUUAAAAGAGAAGUACUCAAUCAAGAAAGCAGAAAACCAUAAAGACAAUGUAUAUGCAGGGGAAAAAAAAAAGUUGUUGACACCUCAGACACAUGAGUCCCAAAGAAAUCUGUCAGUUUAUUUACGAUAUCUAGCAUAUCCGGCGAUCAGAAAGCCCUUGUCCGACAGACCUAAUAGUCACCAAACAAAAUCUACAAUUGAUAGGCCAAUAGAAGUAAACAGUCAAUUCUCAAAGAACACAAUGCAAAUGCAUGUCCUGUGGACUAUGGCUGCAUUUGGGUGGGGGUGGGGUUCAAGGGGUAAAACCCAUAAAUGUUACUAAAGAAUAUGGCAAGGUAAAAUCUGUGAUGAUAAAAAGUAACACAAUAGAAGCAACAGGAAGCUAAGAUCAUGAGUUGCAUCUAUUCCUCUUCUAGUUCAGCAACUACUCUUCAGCAAUUGGUAAUUGAAGCAAAAUAGAGAAAACCCUAACCCUAAGUAAAUAUGUGCUCCAAACAGACACAAAAUGGAAUAACCACACAAAAAAGAAAAAAAGUGGAGCACUGUAGAAACACAAACCUUCACCAUCAUAUCCCGCAGGAAAUCAUACUCGAAGCGUUUUAGCUGAAGUUGCAAAACAGGGGGGAAAUCAAGAAAAAGAACACCUUUCUUAGCAUCCUGAAAUAUCAAAAUUACACAUUAAAAUAAUCACCUUUGUACAAAUAAUUACAAAGAAAAGAAGUUAACUUUCUUUUGAAAGCAAGGUAGAAGUAAACCAAUUUCUCUGUAUCCUGGUAGAUGUACUGCAUCAAAACCAUUCAUUAUGUUAUUCUUAUUAACUGAAAUUAUUCAUAAUACUAGUUCAUACUUCCAGUUCUCUGAGGCAUAAUUUCAAACUUAUAUUCCUUCAUAUACCCUAAGAUUGUGUGAUAUGGGUGAUAAUACAGUUACUAGAUCUUCAAGCAAUGAUUUCCAUGAGAGCUGUCAAAAAAAAUUUCGACAACAAAACAUAUGCAGCCAUGCAUGAACCUACAAACCAAGAUACGGACAUAUAGGAAGGUUUAAGUAGAAAGAAAUAAGAGACUCAAUAUCAUGUCUUUAUAAAUAGAUACAUGGGCAACCAGGGUUUGAUGAAACCCAGGCCCAUAGGAAAUUAGAGUAAAAAAAAAGGCCUGUCAGUAAUCAUAUCUGCUUAAGGUAUAUUGCCAUGUUACACCAAGUAGUCGCCGGGAACACUUGAUGGGAUAAGUAUGAUGUAAGCAUGUUGACCAAUUAAGAAUUCAUUAUUCACAGUACAAACGUAGGCAUCCGAAGUAUGGACAGAGUUCAAGAAAAGCAUAUGUCAAAUUUAAAGUUGACCAGCUUUACACCGGAAGUAACAAGCUCAAAAGGAAUGUGGGCACAUUUUUCAUUCGCAAAUUCAGCAAGCAACAGAGUCUAAAAGUAUGAACAAAGAGACCAAAAAGCUGGACCCACCUUUUAAUUGUGAAAAGAACAAAAGAGCUUAAAACAAAUAAAGAUCAUUAUACAGUAAUGACGUAUUAGCAGCCAAAUACUGCAUUAAAGAUGUCACAUAUUAUCUCUGCUAGCUAGAAUGAUAAAGCUGCAGAAGGAAAAUGCCAACAUAAAUCUAAAAACAAAAAAUAAUUACUAAAAGAACAACAUUAGCCCAAGAAGGAACUAACCUGCAAACCAUGCUGUUCUGCAUGAUACUUGUUAUCACCUUCUAGCUUCUCCUCUUCAACGUACUUAUCAAAUGAUGCAUAAAUAUCCCGACAGCCUUUAACAUCCAGCUGAAGGUCUGCACAAAACUCAAUCAAGAUAAAGUUAAGCUGGGAUACGAGAGCAGUGCAUUGGAAGUUUUGUAUUGUCAUCCCUUAUCACUUACCAUAGAAGGAUUCCUUCCUGGUAGAUUUAAAAUCUACAUUUAAGCACUCAAUAUAACUAAUCUGAUGCCCUUCAAAUAAAUGUUGUAUCGUGCCUUCCACAACAGUUCCCUGAGUCAAUGUUAGACAGUGUGAUUCAACGAGGCCAGGCGAACAUCAUAAAGUGAGGUAAAUACCUAACAAAUACCAAACCUUCAUCUUGUCUUCCAAUUUCUCACACAGAACUCUAUUUAAUUCUUGCACAUCAUGCUGCAUAAAAGAGUCGUACGUAUCCCAUCCGAAAGAUUUAGUGAGCUCCUUUGUAGCUACACUACUCUCACUAUACUGAAGCUUAUAAAACAGACUCUGUAGAGCCAAAGGAAUGCUCGCAGAAGGCAUAUCAUUUUCUGUUGUGGGCAUAUGAUAAACUGCCUGGAAUAUGAAAUAUUCCCAAUUAGCACUAUCUCCACAUCUUGCAAAGAAACAGAAAUAAAGGAGAGAUUUGGAAUAAUACCUUUCUGAAAUACGGAAUAUGGUACAAAGUCUGAAGAAGAGAGUUCAUGUAGCAGGUGGCUCCUUGAUUCUUCAGACCAACAUAGCCUGUCUCUUUUUUUGAGUCAUAAUUUGUAUAAUCAAUAAUCCUACGUACGGCAACCUCAGCUUCCACGAUACAUGUAUCAUUCAUGAGAUAUCCUCUGUUUGGGUUAUAGAGUUCACACAAAGGCAUAAACGAGGUGAAACCCCAAUCACUCUCUCGUGCAUUAAAUAGAUGUUGUGCUUCUGCAGAGGACAAGAUCCAGGUUAAGCAUGCCAGAGAAAUAAAAGGAUCACGAAGUCUAGUGAUUUGUGCCGCCAAAUGUUUUGUGCAAAAAGACCUCUAUACAUGUUAACAUAACAUCUUACAAAACUACAAGCAUUGCAACAAGCAGAAGAUCGUUCAAGAAUAGAUGACAACUCGGCCAUUAAAUUUCAUGCAAAGACCUUUGCCUACAACAGAAUAGUGAGUGCGGAAGGUACAGUCAAGGCAAUCAACUUGAAUAGACGUGCAAAAUAUCAUGGUGCUUGAGAGAACUGGAAAACGAUUCCUUCGAUUAAUAUAGAUAUCGAACUCAAUAUCUGUGCUCAUUAUUCUUAGCAUAUUGGAAGAAUGCCAGAAGAAGAACUAAAGCGACCAGACCAUUUAAACAAGACAUAAUGUACUAUUGUCUUAAUUAUAGCACUUUCCUUCUCACAUGCCAUCAGAAAGAAGGUCAUGGGAAGGCAUUUAGUUAUCUACUUAAUCAAGCAGUGAACUUGAAGCAUAAAUAAGAUCUUUUUUUUUUUUGGCCUAAGAAAAACAUAGAGAGCACGUGUGAAAAACCUACAAUUACCCAUUUAGGCAGCAAAAAGUAUCAUACCUUUUCUUACUGUAUGCUUGUUGUUGAUUUGAUUAAUUACAGAAAGGCUAAAUUGUGCGUAUCUACUCCAUCCAUAGGGCAAGAGAGCUGAAUCAGCGACAUCCAAGUACAAGGAAAGAUUGUCUACAUUAUUUCCUUUCGGAAAGACCAAAAUUCGCCUACAAAAACAAACGGAAGGCACGGAUCAUUUAUUAGCAUUAAUGCCCUAACUAGGCAUCCUAACUCUUGUGCUGAAAAAGCCUGUAGAAAAUGGAGUGGAGAUCUACUCACCACUUAUAGCCCCCGACAAUAAAGACCUCAGAAUAGUGCUUUCUAAUGCCCAACCUGGAAAAAUUCUCGACUGUCCAUGAAAACCUGUAGGUUGAAGGCUCAUCUGUUUGCUGAUUUUCUGCUGUAAUAGCUGUCUCCGUCGGUGCAACUGGCAUAACAACACAAUAAACUAUAAGAAAUCCACAAAACUCAAGAACUAUAAAAACAGAAAAAUCUUAAUCGCCUGCAUCAUAACUCCUAUAAAGCUACAAACAUAGCGACGAAAACCUCUGUUCUACUAUAAUUUACAAUACAAUAUGCAUCCCUAGAUUCAUCGAGACUUCCAGUAAACAGCUGAGAAUAAGAAGCAAGAAGCAUCAUUCACAAUUCAUGGAAAAAAAAAUCCCCACCUUCCAUUGGCUCGGUUCCUUCGGUGAUAUCCGGAUGCGGGACUAACAUCUCCUCAUCCUCCUGCUGCAAAAUCCAAGGCACAAAUCACAUAAUCAGAUCAAGAAACCCCAAACCUUGGUGAUCGGAACCAAAACCCUAGAAAACCCCGACAUCUCAUCCAACGCAGCAACUAGGGCCUAGAGCAUACGCACGCCUACAGAAACUAACACGAAUCGCGAGGAACCAAGAGGAUCAUCGAAUGGGGGGUUUACGGAUUGGUUCCGCGAGCGAAGUGAGAAGAAUCGGGGAUCGGGAAGCGGAGACAGUAAUGGCGAGCGGGGAGGAGCGCGCUUACUUCGAGGGCGGGGGGGGUCAUCAUAGUCAUGGAGGAGGGGCGGCGGCGGCGGCGGCGGUGGAGGGGGCGACGGAGGCGAUGGCGGAGGAGGCGAUCCGCGGCGGAGGAUCGCCGGAGACGGAGCGGGGAGAGGAGAAUUAGGGUGGCGGAGAAGGGAAAGGAGAAGAAGAGGGAGAGGGAGACGAGAAGAGAGAGAGAGAGAGAGAGGAGCGAGAGAGCUCGUGGAAAGGUCUCGGGGGUUUUAGUUUACUAACGUGCGGGGGCAUUCCGGGAAUUCCGAAAAAUAGCCCUCCGUAGAGAAUGUGGCGAACCGUGCGAUGACUGGUUUGGACACGUGGCUCUCAUCUGUAGCGUAGAAUUUUUUUCCCCUUGAGAAUAUAUCCUAACUGUUUAAAAAAAAUAAAUACUGCCCUAAUCAUAGCAUAUUUAUUAGGAUUUUUUUACAAAAUAAUCCUAUAACAUUUUAUAUAAUCUUACCAAAUUUAUAUAUUUGAAACUAAACACGGUAAAUCGUUCACUGUAUUCAUUAAGGGUUAAUAAAUUACCGUCUUUCUUUUUUUUUGAGAAAAAAGUAGCAUGCUACCCACUUCGUUUAUUUCAUUUAAAAAUAAACUUAGCUAGAAAUGUGAAUUAACUAGGAUUCGAACUUGGGUCUCGGAUACCAACCACCAAGCUUUUUUGCCACUUGUGUUAGAGACAGUUAGUAGUUUACCGUCUUUAUUGGAAUUGUACGUGGAUUAUAUGAGAAAUAAGUAAAAAUGUGGUUGUUAGAUGGAAAAUAGUAAAAAGUUAGGUUGUUAGGAUUAUACGUGGAUUAUUUGAAUUUUUAUUUGAUUGUUAGCAUUGUGUGAAUACAUUAUUAGGAUUUUUAAGUUGUUAAGAUUAUAUUGAUUUGUAGAAAUUUUUAUGUGGUUGUUAAGAUCAUAUAUGUGAUAUAGAAAAAAACAAUAAAUAAGCUGUCGAGGAAGGAUUCACAAGUGAGGUUGUUAGAUGAAAAAUAGGAAAAAAAUGAGGCUCCUAGUAUUACACGUGAAGUAUUAGAAUUCUUAUUUGAUUGUUAGGACUAGGGAGGUCAACAGGCCGAAUUCAGGGCGGAUUUUUAAAAACCCGAACCCGAACCUGACUCCAAACCGGAAACUCGAACCCAAUGGAUUUCAAAAAUCCAUAUCGAAACCCGAAUCCAAUCAAAAACCUGAAACCCGAAUCCACUUAGCAUCGAAUAAAUUUGCUCAGUUCGGUUUGGGUUCGGAUAAAAUUUCGAGUAACCGUAUUAAUACAUGCCUAGUUAGGAUUAUGUAGAUAGAUUAUUAGGAUUUUCGGAUUGUUAAGAUUAUAUGUGAUUUAUUGAAAUUUUUAUGUAAUUAUUAAGAUAAAAGAAAAUAAGCAAGAUACGGUAAAUGAUUCAUUGCUUUUGUGGAAUAACCAUCUUUAAAAGAAAAUUCCAACUAAUUCCAACGCGGCUCUUGCAUAGUAAAAAAAGAGUUAAUUUGCCAAAAAAAAUUUCAUAGGGUUAGUUACCCAAUUAGGAAAUUUUAUUGGAUUGUUUUGAAAAAAAGUCCUAUCUAGUACUAGUUUUUCUCUUUUUUUUUUGGGCGAACUUUAAUUUGCUUUUACUUCCGUAAAAAAUAUAAAAUUUACAUAAAUUAUAGACAAAUUUAAUUUGACUAUUUUAUUUUUCAAAAUUUUAAUUUUACUGUUUAAUUUUUUAAUGUAUUUGAUUUAAAUCACCCAACAACACUUUAAUCUUUGGUUACGAAACAUUUACAAAUAUAGGCCUCGUCUUAUUAUAAGAAGUAUAGCAUUCAACAUUGCUACAAUGAAUUGAUAACUCAUGUUUCUAAAGGAGCAAGAUAAUGGAAUGUUCACUUUGUAACGUCAAAACAUCACAUAAACUAUAUACCUUAGGGGAUCAGUAUCAGUCCAAUCCUAUAAUUUUUCAUCUAAAAGUUAAAAAAAGAGAUAGUAUCCACAGCCGGAUACUAAUAAGCGUAUUCCAGCCCAACACACACACACACACUCUCUCGCUCUACAUAUAUACACACACUUUAGAUCAUGGAAACAUCCUAAGCACCCUUGCUCCAUGGUUUUAUCAGAGCCACGACGAUGAUCGCGACAAUCAUAAGAAGUACUAGUAUGGCUAUGCACAUCCACUUGCGAGAAUUCUUUUGUAGCUUCUUUGCCUUCUGGAGAGAUACCGUCCCGGAUUGCACAUGGUCAACAGCACUCGAAACCUUUAAAAGUAAUCAAAUAUGAAAAAUUCAAAUAAGGAAAAUCAGAAGUUCAUUCCACAAAUGUGAGAAAAAAACAAAAAAACAAAAGGUGACUGAAAGAAAAUUUGGCGGCCGCAACGACUCAUAGCGAGGACUCUCUGGUUCUUACAUGAGAUUCAAUGUUAUCCAGCAUGUCUCCUUGAGCUUCAAUCAACACAGCCAUAUCAAGAAAUAUCUACAUCAGGCUGGAAAGUAUGAUUAAUGAAGAUCUACUGUACAAAGUUCUAAAAGUAUCCAACAUAUUAAUUUUAUUGUUACAACAUCGCAAGUUAACUUAAGCACGCACUUUAAGAAGGAUAAAAGCAAGGCAGCACAAAGAUCCUCGGAAGGUAAAGCCGUGGCUUGUGGAUGAUGAUGAUCGGGCGUGAAGGGAAUGUAGUUUGGUUGCCCAAAGCAUGCUUAGAUCUAAAAGCACUCGGGUAAACAUGUGCUUAUUAACUCAGACCAUUUGUUUUCCCCAGAUAUAAUAUCUAAUAAUGCAGAUCGUAGAAAGGGGAUAAUGAAAUGAAAAUCAGGCGCGAUAUUUGUGUGUUAAUUGUUAAAAACAAUAAUGCUUUUGUUUGCACUGUGCGUGCUAAGCAACCACAGACGCCAAUACGCAUAGCACGUGAGCAAACUAUACAAAAGAGAAAGACGAAAUAGUCACACAUAAUGUGCCUGUACUUCACGAUGCCGGAGAAGUUAUAGCAUCUAAUUGUUUCAUUCAAAUUCAGUAGUGGAGGGGUCAAGUGAACUCUGGGACUCAACUAACAUAGAGAGGAUCAUAGCUCCUAAAGAACAACAAAACAUUGAAUGUCAAUAAAAGGAGUUCAGAAAAAUUCCUUCAUACUCCCAUCAGAUUUUGAGUGGUGGAUAUUUUUUUUUACCUUUUUUGUUUGACAUUUUUUUUGAAGCUCUGAACAAAAGACUAACCUGCUGCAACUCAAGAAGUUUCCUCUCUAAUUCCCUAACGGUGUCAUGACGCUCCUGUAUUUCGGACAGGGUGUCCAUUACCUGCACUGGGCAGAGAAGGCGUCACUUUUCCAUUAUAAAUGUAUGCUUUGAGGAUCAAAACAAAAGCAGUAGAUUAUGGAAUCAGAUGCAAAUGGAAUCUAUAACCAAAUAAUAUAGACAAACUUGGCCACGCCCUGGUGCUUGAAUGGCAUCUUUAAGUAUUUGUUCACUUUUUCCAGUUUCGAUUAAUCGGUCAAUUGUCUGCAGAACCAGAAGUUACUAGACAAUAUUAAUCACUAACAAGAACUUCAUUAGAGUUCUGCCCAAUGGCGUAUACGCAGAGCAUGAUUUUUACCUCUUCAUCAGCACGAGUACCGGUUACUGUUGAUGGCACAUACAGAGGGAAAAAAUAAAUAUUGUUAAGCUACAAACAAGGAGAAAUGCUGUGACAGGAAAGAAACGAGAAUUCUUCAAUUUUGUGACAGGAACAAACCUGUAAAUACCCUUCUUUCAACAACUUCUCGGUAUUCUUGCUGGAUUGCCUCCCUUAGAGACUGCAGAACAAUUGAAACAAGUAACAAAAAUAUGUAAUAAAUUUUGUAAGCAAAAUAAAUGAAAUGUUUUUGUUCUAUUUUCUGUUUCUUGCCAUCCUUCAGGCGGGACUAAAGUGCACCGCAAAGUACUUCUGCCCCUUGCCUAUUUCUCAAAUUUCUUAAAUUACUCCUAGUCAUUUAUCGCUAAGCCCUUUCUCCUCCACUGUCUUUUGAAGGCCAGUUUGUUUUGGUGAAAAUGGAGUCGUGGAAGUUGUAUUCACUAUUUAGUCAACUCCAUUGUCCUAUUAACUAAAAGUAAAUCAGGAUAUCCAAAUGUAAUUUCCAUCAGUUGUCCUAUUUCUCAAGUUUAACUUCAGAUUGUAAUGACAUUUGUAAUGAAAUAAUAAAAGCUACUUAAACAAAUUGAACAAAAGUUAUUCUACAUCUCAAUUGACAUUUAUACAAUUUGAUAGUAUACAAAAUUAUCAGCAGCUUAUUACUGGAAUAUUAUGAUCAAAAUGUGUUUGCCUAAGAGAUAAUCAAAGAAUAUCAACUUCCCUUCAUAUGUUGCUCUUUUACCUCUUCAAAUCAUCGUCAAUUUUAAUUAUUUUUUUUUGGUUUUUAAAGAUAAGUUUUUCUUUAGAUAGCAUCCUCCUAAUAAUACAAACUCAAUCUAGAAGUAUUCAACAGAUGUACAAAGCAGGCAUAACAAAAAUAACAACACCAACAUGCCUUCAUUUCCCAAUAGAAGGACUUUUGAUAAGCAAAGCCUUUUGUUCAUGAUGUGGAAUGAAGACGCUACCUGAAAGUCAUCCAUCCGCUCUUUCAGUUUCUUUUUCAAUGCUCUGUAGUAGCAAAGCGCACUUGACUGAUGAGAAAGUGAUGUUAGAAGGCUACUAAUUAGAGGAAAAUAAAUUAAUUCAAAUCAGAAUUAUUACACCGUAGAAGCAGUUCUUGAUCGAUCUACGCCUGACCCCUUACCACAUCCUGGCUUUUGUCUGUUUGCUAGAUUCUGUUCAAAUGUAGCAAGAGCAAAGUCAGUAAGUUUGAACAUGAAAUUUGCAGCAACAAUCUGAACAAUCUUGAACAAGGUUUAAAGUGCCGUGGCACGAGGGCAUGCCGCUGUUUGCCUGGCACAGUACGGCACCGGCACGCUUGCGUGCCGACACAUGGUACGCAUGCGUGCCGAUGGAUACGCAUGACCUUCUAAGGGCACGCUUUGGCACAGAUUUAUUUUAGUUUUUUUUGUUUCAAUAAAUUCUUAUAAUAUUAUUUUAAAAGAUUUAAUAAAAUGAUUAUGAAUAUUUGCUAUGUAUAGCUUACUAUAGUAACUAUACUCAUCAAUUAACAUACAUGUAAGCUUUUUUGUAUGUAAAGUACAAUUAUACCUGAUGCAGAAUAGAAAUUUUUACAGGUUAGAAUUUUUAAAAUGCAAAGACAUCUUUUUUUUUUUUUUUCUUUUGACCAUAUUACAGUCUUUCUUUUAUAAAAUACAAAAAAAUUAUUUUAAAAUUAUUUUAAAAAAUUAUUUUUUAAUUAAUUUUUUCAAAAAAUUAGUAGAUCUAUCAAAAAAAUUAAGUGAUAAAUUAUAUGACAAAUAAAUUAAAUAAAUUUAAGUAUCAAUUAAUUUAAUUUAACAUAUAAUUUUAUCAGUAUUUUCAAUCUUUUAAUGCAAAAAUAAAAUUUUAUGUUUGAUGUGCCUUAAAAUUUGUUUGUUGAGUUCAAUUUUGUUUCCCUAAUUUGGCAAAAGUUUCGCGGUGCGACAAAUUUUGAUAAAAUAAUUUGUGAAGAAAAAAUGGAUGUUUAUGGUGGAAGUGGAGGGAUUGGAUAUGUAAAUUAAAAAUUUGCCCUAUAUUGAUACACAAAAAAAAUUAAAUUAUAAUUUUUUUGACUUGCCUAACAAAUAGAUCUUCGAUUUGUAAUAUUUUUUGGGGGUUGUACAGUACCCAGAAUGCUUUGGGUACCCCAAAAAAUAAAACAAAAAGAAAAAAACAAAAAGCAAAAAAAAAAAAAAAAAUGCCGGCACUGUGCUGCGGCACGCAUCGCCGUGCCGCUCUGUCUCGUGCGGCACGGCCGCGCGUGCCGCGCCACGGAGAGGGGGUCCGAGACCCCCCCUGUACCGUACCCCUUUCUUGGUGGCACGGUACGUGCCGCACCGGCAUGGUGCGUCACGGCCGGCACUUGUAUCCUUAAUCUUGAAGACGGAAGAGGAGAAAAAAUUUUAGCUGUCAUGCUCAAAAGAAUAUGAAAUCAACCAGCAUGUUAAUUAUCCUUCAGCCGCCGCUAAUCAACCCUUAUGUGACGUGAGAAAAGGUAAAAGAAAGGCUGCUUCAACGAAAAGGGAAAUGCCAAGUCCAAGAUAUUCAUUUUAUUAAAGUACGGUACGGAAUCAAGGAAAGAACUUGGACAUGAUUAAGUUUCAUGAGGAUUUAUUAUUGGAAUAGAGUCUUGGGGAAAAAGAACUCAAGGAGCAUAAGAUUCAAAUUUUUAGAAUGAGAAGAAACGAAAUGACAAGGAUAUGCAGAUCAAUGGUCGCUACUAUUGGCACACCCACAUUUUUGUUUUCCAACAAAUUCAGCAGAGGGGUUCACAUUGAAGUAGCUCAGCUUCUAUUGCCUGUUGUACUGGUAAAAGCCUGAACAUAACAUUGAGGAAGAAAAGAGCGUACAUCUUUGUCCAUUUCUUCGAUCUUUGACUUUGCCAGACGAGCAAUUCUACUUACUUCGUCGAUAUCUUUCUUCAUCCGCUGCUUGAUUUCUAAAAUCGAAAGUAUGCAUGAUUGCAAAGUUUAUUAUAAAAUAAUUACUCAUACAAAUAUAUAAAUAAGACACUUGAAAAAAAAGGAUAGUUGUGAAAUUUAUUCUAAAAUAUUUACUAGUAUACAAAUAAAGGAAUAUGACAAAUGAAAAACACAACUAAAACAAACAACUAAAAAAAAGACGUAAAAAACACAUAACUGGAAACAAUCAAAUAUACUUGCCUCUUAUAGCAACUGCCAUGGUGACCAGCUUUGAGUCCUCAUGUGCAUUCUAAUAGCAUAUAAAGCAUGUUAGUUUCAAAAGUUGCAGUUAGAUGAGCACUCAGAUACUGGUAAAACAACAGUAAGAAUUUAACAUUGUUGCUUAAGCAAUGUUAAGUAAUUUGUAUGAUAAGAUCAAUCGUGCACUCUUCUCGCUCCAACAAUAACAUGGAAAACUUCGAAUUGAACACAAAGAGAAACACACCUGAAGUUUCUUUAACAGCUUAGACAGCUUAUCUAUGUGUUUCUCGAUUUCUUGAACCUGACAUCAAAAAGAAAGAACAUAACAUGGUUGCAAAUUUGAAAAUUGAGGGUAAAUACACUACGGAAUCACUUAACAAGGCGAUAUCAGGUAAUGUUAUACUGAUUGAUACCUGUUUGAAGAAACCUUCUAAUCCUAGUUCUGCAGGGUUCUUUGGAGCCUGAGAUCCUAAUUCAAUGUCAUCAUUUCUUGAGGUCUGACCUCGGAGGAUCUCAAGAGAAUCCUGUCCAGAAAAAUGUUCGACAAUAUAAGAAGAAAAAAGAUUCACGAAGAAGAAAUUUAAAAUUCAAAAUUAUAUGGCACUAAAAAAGAGCAAAUUUUUGCUUUUUGUUUUUUAAUGUUAUCUUCAAAAAGAUUGAGAAUCUAAUUAUUCCCAUCUUUAACAGUAUACCACUUUAAAUUAACAAAAGAAACCUUGCCAAUUGAAAAAGUAGCUAACAAUCCAUGCUUUUAACUCACAUUCUCAUCUGACAUAAGGAACCAAAUUAUUUAUGAUGACGAUGUUUAGAUGCUAAAAAUUGAAAGCAAGUCAAAAGACCUAAGAUUAAAAAAAAAAAAGAUACCAAAAAUUUUAAAAAUGGGAAUCUGUUGCUCCCAGCCACAUUAAUAACAAUAUGAUUUUUCCAGCUCCGUACUAAAUAUUUCUCGGUUUCUUCAAGAAAUCGAGACACUUCUUCAUUUGCUCUUAUACUAUCCAAUUCACUAAAUUAAACCUCUACAAUGAAAUGCUUCAAUCUUAAACAUUGAAGCCUGAGUGCAAUGAGCCAUACGUUUCACAACAUCAACAGCAUUAUAUCCUUCUAAACACCGGUAAUCUCUCAUAUAAACAACAUCAACAGCAACAAAAACCCCAAUCACCUGAUAUCUCGAGCUGUCCCACCAUAAUCCGAUCGAAAACAAGCACAAAUCACAGCCAAAACCAGGAGAAACUAAACGAAAGCGAAUUAAACGAGAAUUUGUAUAGGGAUGAAGAUACCGUGAGUAGAUUAUGCAUCUCGAGACCAGCUAGGAACCGAGGAGGGAGGCGAGGAUCGAGCGCAUGAGAGCUUCAACAACGAAGCUUAGAGCUCGAAUCCCGCAAUGUGAUCGAAUCGAACGCGCUUGAGAAGAGAUCGACGAGGGUUCGUUCUUCGAGCGCGAGUGAUCGAUCGAUCGAUCGACAGGGAGGGAGGAGGGUUUUGUUUUUAACUGAUUUUAUUUUUAAAAAAUAGAAAAUUUCAAAUUCAGAAGUGAAUUUAUCAAAUUCAAAUAAAAUUUACUCAGUUUUUUAGUAAAUAAAACAAGGCCAAUUUACUAGCUAUUAGAUUUGAUGAAAUUUUUUGACUUAAACAAAAAUAUAAAAUCUCAAAUAAAAAAUUUAAAUAAUUUGAGAGAAUUUUAAUUUAAAAAUAUAAAAAAUUGAGAGGUCGAUUUCAAAAUCCCCUAUAGCUGAGGGGGAAUUUUACCUAAUUAAUAAAACGCUGUGGGGCGCGGGAAAGCGAGAUGUGGUGGGUCCGGGGUGGUCCGAGCUGGUGCACAAAGUCCAUCGAGUGUAGCUCCCCAUGUAGGCUUCGUAGCGUAUGGACCGGGUCUACAAGGAAGCUGCUCCACAUUGGACCAUGUCUACCACGUCAUCCGGGAUUGGGCCAAUCUUAUUCUCUGUCACGUGGAAAAUAAAGAAGUUGAUCAUUUUUUAUUUUUGUCCUAAAUUAGGCUCUCUUUUUUUUUCUCGUUCUUUAAGUUUUAAUUUAUUAUAAUUUUUAGCUUAAAUUUUUUAAAUUAUUAUAAUCAAAUCUUAUAGCAUAAAUUAAUUAAUCGAAUAGUAAUACUUUGCUAAUAUAAAAAAUAAUUAAUAAUACGAUAAUGAAUAAAAUACUAUAUUAUUAUCAUAUUAGCGACAUAUCAGUAUUCAACGAGCCUGCAAAUUAAACUUAAGAUUUAAUUUUUACUAAUUUAAAAAGUGUAGAUUAGAAAUUAUAAUAAAUCAAUAUUUUAGGACCAAAAAUAUUGUUGACUUUAGAGAUUGAGGAUCAAAGGUGUAAUUUAGCCAUUAUUGCUUUUUAAAUAAUAGAUUUUAUUCUUAGAACUAUUCAAAAAUCGAAAGGUCGAUAUUGCACUAAUAAAAACGUGAAGGAAGUUCAAAUAUUGAAUCUUAUUGAACGAUAUCUAAAAUAUUUUUUUUAUAUAUUAUAACUCAAAUUGGUAAUCACUAACAUAAAUAGCCAUUAUUUUUUUUUUGAGAAAAAUACGAGAGUUUCCUUGUAGACCCGGUCCAUGGGCUAGGUAACGUCCAUCGAGCUCCACUCGAUGAAAGUGGUGCACCAGCUCGGACUCCCACCCACCACAUGUCGCUCUCCCGGGCCCCACCACAUUUUAUUAAUUAGGUAAAAAUCCUCCUCUCAUUGCACAUCCCUCUCUCAUUACUCACUUUAAUAGGCUUAAGUUUGGUAAAUGUGUUUAUUAAAAUUAUUAUUUUUAUUCUAUACAAAGUUUAAAAAAGUUAAAAAUAUUUUUAUUUCUAUUUGUUCUGUAUAUUAUAAAGUUGCGAUUUCUCGAUAUCAUUUACCUAGUAUAUUAAAAGGACUCAACAUCAACAGAUGCAAUUAAAAAUCUCAUAAAAAGUCAUGAUAUAGCACUAAAAUUCUCAAUCAGAGAUUUGAUCUUACUGUAGAUAGUAUACAAAAUUUUCUAACAAAAUUUUAUUUAAUUUGAAUACUUCUACACUAUUAAACUUACAAAUUACACACAUCAACUAUUAAAAAUUAUUGAUUUUAAAUCCUUCGAUCACUAGGUAAAUGAUAUUGAAAAUCUGUAAAAUUUAUUUUUUAAAUACUUCAAAUACGCCAGAUCAAAUCUAACGGAGCUGAUCGCCGAUUUGAAAGUUUCAUCAUAAAAAAUGACUUAGAUUUUCGUACUCCUAAUAACACAGAAGUCUUGCUCCCAGAUUAUGAACUCAAAAAUGUUGAGAUCGAUAUUUCCACUGAUAUCAAUCUUCUCUUUCAAUUUUUCACCAAUUUUUCUUCUCUCUCUCAUCCUAACCAUCUAUCAAAAUUAAUUAAUAGUUAGAAGGUUAUGAGCAUAAGAGCUGCUAUGCUUCUAAUAGCAUAGUAACUCUAAUAUAUAUAUAUAUAUAUAUAGCUUUAAAAUAAUUAGAUAGUUAAGAUUUAAACUUACCUCUAACUAUAUUUUGAAAUUAAAUUUGAAUUAUUAUCCCAACAAAAAUGUCUAACUCUUAUAAAUCACUUGAGCAUCAUGCAAAAGUUUUCGAAAAAUAGAGCAAGUGGCAAAGGGCUUGACGGUUGAUACCUGAGACUCAAAUUCGAAUCCUAGUUGAUUCACAUUUCUAACUAAGUUUAUUUCUAAAUUAAAUAAACGAAGCGGGUAGCGUGCUACCUAUCUCUCAAAAAAAAAAGAAAAAUAAGCAGUAAUAACACAGAACUAAAGUUUGAUUUUUUAUUGCUGCUUAGAAAUUGGUGAUGCAACCAAGCUGAAAAGCACAUGGCAUAGGAUGCAUAUUGUGUCUAAACUUUGGAUUAUGUUUGUUUGCAUCUAAGUGGGCUCCUUUAUCUAUAACAAAUAAAAAUAAAAUAUAAGACAAAUUGUACUUGUUUACAUUAUUAUGAGUGCAUGGUUAUGCUUGAGUUUGAUACAAUUGUUUGGGGACUAAAAUGAAAAAAAUAAGAUUGAACAAACAAAUCUAAAAAGAUUGCUUAUACCUGGUUUUACAGAUGAAUUGGAUGAAAUUUCUAAUUUUUUCUUUUGGGUUAAUACUAAUUAAUUUUAAAAGAUUGAAAAUUGAGGAGCCCUUAGCUCUCGUUUGGUAUUAAGGGUUAUCAAAUGUUAUUGGACCAAAAAAGAAAAAAAGAAAAAAAGCCCAUCGAGAUAUAGUUUUGUAAUUUCUAUUGGAUUGUAAAAAUUAUAUCACAUCACAUCUUUGCUUGAAACAAAUAAAAUAUUUUUUCUAUCACACAUGUUCGUAGGACCUAAAACAUUUUUAUGGUAGUCUCAAACAAUUAUUGCAUGUUAAUAAUUCACUCUAUUAUUAGACGAAAUUAUAAAUUUUUUCAGCUUCCAUUUUCAUAUAUUAUACUGAUAUCGAUUGAUUGAACCACUACGGCCAAAUAUCCCAAAAUAAAAAAAAAGAUAAAGAUAAAAACAUAAAGAACUUAUUUGAAAUAUGGGCCAUUUUGAAUUAGCUAUCCAUCCCGCCUUUUCAAAAUUUUAAUUUUACUUUCGAACCUUGCGAUUUGUUUGAUUGGAGUCGGUUAAACGUAUUUUAACUUCAAAACUUAGGCUAAUUAUUUGCUUUAAUAAAUUUAUAGUUGCGAGAAGACGAAAAAUAUUUUUUAUUAUCAUUUUUUCAUCCAUCUUUUUUUAUUAUCAUGCUUCUUCUCUCGCCUUCUGCCAUAGACGUUGCUCACGUCCCAACGUGCUCUUCCUCUCUGUUCUCCGCAAAACCUGCGAUACUCGGGUUGCUGUCGUUAUCCACGAUCACGCCGUCCGUCGUAGUCUCAUCUCCGUGAUCUGUUUUAUAUCCGAACCGGUGUUGAUAGAGGUGUAGAUGAGAUAAAAAAAGAGAAGGGCAACAUCUACGUGGAGACGGUAGAGAAAAAGAAAAACAAAGAGAGAGAAACGACAAAGAAGAGAGAGAGAGAGAGAGAGAGAGAGAGAGAGAGAGAGGAAGAAGGAUAGUUUGUUUAGUUUAAAAAAUCAAACUGAAUCUAUAAAAUCUAAAAUAAUUAUUUUUGCAAAUAUUUAAAAUUAGUGGAGUUUUAUGCAAAUUAUCUUUGCAAGAAUUGUAUGAAAUAUAAUAAUUAAAUUUGUAAAAAUAAAUUAUGCUUUCAAAUUUUGAAGGCAAAAUUAUUGUUGCCUGAUUCAAAUCAAAUAAAUUAAAAUAUUAGAUAUUUAAAAAUAAAAUUAUUUUUUUAAAAAAAAUUAGUUCAGCAAAAUUAAGAUGGUUCAAAGUUUGAAUAGUGUAUCAAAAUAAAUUCCAAUUAGAUAAGUUUUGUAUGAUUAUAUUAAUAAGAAUAAUAUUUAAUAUACUCCUGGUUGAUCAAAAAUGGCCUUAUCGAUUUCUAAAAAUCUCUUUAAAUAUUUCCAAACAUCUAAAAUUUACUAAUAAAAAUAAAAAUAAAAAUUUAAAAAUAUUUUAAUAAAUUUAAAAAUAAACUUAAAAAUUUUAAAUAAUAGUCGUAAAUAAAUAAGCAAAAAACCUCCUUAUAUUUUAUUUAGCGUAAACUUCAAACACCAUCUAUGUGGUUUCACACUCUCUCAUUUUAGUGCCUUGUGGUUUAAAGUGUAUCAAGUUAGUGUCUUGUGUUUCAUUUUUAUCUUUUCGCCAGCUUUUCCGUUAAUAUUUUGUUAAGUUACAUACAAAAAAACUUCGGAUACCCAACCUAGGUUUAUCGAAUAUUCACUUUAGUACUUUUAUUUUUAACUUUGUCACUGAUUUAACAAAAAAAAGUUAGUACUUUUAAUUUUAACUUUGUCACUAAUUUAACAAAAAAAAGUUAGUGAAAUCAAUAAUAAAAAGAUAAAAAUAAAAUCAUGGUAUACUAAAUUGAUGCACUUUAAACUAUAGAAUACUAAAGUGAGAAGUGUGAAACUAUAGAGGUAGUAUUUGAAGUUUUUUCUAUAUUUUAUCUAUAGGAGUUGAGCUAGAAUCCUAUCGGUAGUAAACGAGCCGUUUUACUACCGAUUUGUUUUUGAUGAUAGAACUUCCAAAUUGGCGAUCGGCUCCGUUGAACAUGAUCUAUACCACUUGAAGUGUUUAGAAAUCAAAUUUCAAAUCUUUUCGACAUCAUUUGCCUAAUGAUCAAAGGGUUUCAAAAUUUGUAAUUUUAAUGGUCGACAAGAGGCGUUUUCUCGUUUAACGGCGUAAAGAUAUCCAAAUCAAUUGAAUUUUUGACAUCAUUUGCCUAAUGAUCAAAGGGUUUCAAAAUUUGUAAUUUUAAUGGUCGACAAGAGGCGUUUUCUCGUUUAACGGCGUAAAGAUAUCCAAAUCAAUUGAAUUUUUAUUAGAAAAUUCUUUAAACUAUUUAAAACAAGACUCCUAUCAUCAUUUUUUAAAGAGUAUUCAUUUUCAGUCAUUCAUUUUUCUGUUCACUUGAUAGAUAAAAGAACAAUAUCGAAAGUGCGUGAAAUUUGAUUUCAAGAUAGUUUAAAUAGUUUAGAUCAUAUUUAACGGAGCCGAUCGUCAAUUUGGAAGGUUUAUCAUCAAAAAUAAAUCGGUAAUAAAACGGCCCAUUUACUGCCACCGGUAGUAUUCUAGCUCAACUCUUAUUUAUAGUUAUAUAUUAUUUACAUUGGGUAAGAUGUAGAUGAGAUGAAUUGAACCACGCACCGACAAAGAAGAUGGAUGCGGUGGGGAUGACGUUUCCCCCGCAACACACGCGGCUCCUCCUCUCGAUCUCUCGAAGCUCCCAUUCGAAUCCAAAGCAACUCCUCUCCCCCUUUCGCUCUCCCAUUCCCAAAUCCCCAAUUAUUUUUUUUUUCAGAAAUUAAUUAUUUAAUUUCAAAUUGGUUACUCAAUUAUUAAUUAUUAACAAUGAACGAUCCCUUCCUUCGUGUAUAAAGAGCGAGAGAGAUCGUAGCAGCAGCAGCAGCAGCAGCAGCAGCAGCAUAGAAGGAGAGCCCGUUCCAUUGAGAUUUGGUUAAGGUUUGAUCUUCGAAUCCUCUCCUGCUCCUAUCGAGUUCAUUUAAUUUAAUUUAAUUUAAUGUGUUUCCCUCUCUCUCUCUCUCUCUCUCUCUCUCUCUCCUUAGUUUUUCAUCAUCUAAUUGGGAGUUUAAUGUUUUAGGUUUAUGGUUUUUUUUUUUGAAAUUUAUUAUGAUUUUAUUUAUUGUUGGGGAAAAAAAAAAAGAAAGAUGAAAUUGCAUAGAACCAAUCUGACACGACCAAUCUAAUUUUUAGAAUUUUUUUUGUGUACCUCUAAACUGUCAAUUCGUUUGAUUUGAGUUAUUUAAUGGCGGCAUGACGGAAUCCGCACCAAAAUUGAUCAGAUAGUUCAAUCUCGGUUUUUACUGUCUAAUAAAUUUAAAGAUAAAAAAAGUACACAAUUUAUGCGAAUUAUGAAUCAUUUUGAAUCAGUGGUGAAAUCUUUUAAAAUUUUAAUUUUACUAUUUAAUCUUUAAAUUUGUUUGGCCUGAGUCAAUCAACGGCACUUCAUAUUAAUGAGUUCAUUCGUAGUAUCUAAAAUUCUAAAUUGUAUGGGUUGUGUGUUCUCUUUAUCUAGGGAUUUUUUUUUUUUGAAGUACUUUUGGUUACCCGCCUGAUUAGAAGGCUUGCUUCAGCAAAGACCAUUUGAUAGGAAAAUAUUGUGCCGAAUCUUACACUUGUAGCAUUGUUUAAUUGCUCGUUAGCGGCACCGACCGCAGCCAGCACAGUUGGCUAAGAACUUAAUAGUCGAUAUUGGAGGUCCCAAGUUCGUAGCUCAUUUGCUUCAUAUUUUUAGCUAAGUUUAUUUUCAAUGUAUACUAUUUAGCUAGAAUAGGCCAUAAUGUGAUGAUUAUAAUGACUUUAUUUGAAAUGUUUUGUACAAAUUUUAAUAAAUUUGAUUGUUAUUAAAUGUGUAAGAUCUUGCUAUUAUUAUGGACUAUCCAAUUUUUACAUGUAAAAACUACCUUUAACUUUUUUGUUAAUCGCAGGACAUUCGAGUGCACCGACUAUAGUUUUAGUAUGGAGAAGCAAAAGGAGUCUUCUGCUAGUGUAGAUCGAACGGAGUUAGAAAAGGAAGAGAAUGUGUCAAAGGCUGAAUUUCAUCUUAAGGUUAAGAGUAAAGAAAAGGCGCCAGAAGUGCCGGAAGAGAAGAAAGAUACCGAAAUUGAAAUGAAGGCAAAAUCUGUUGAAAAGAAGAAAUCCAAGGACGACAACAUUGAAGACGAUGCAGAGUCCAAGAGUGAGGGAAAGAAGGAGAAGAAAGAAAAAGAUAAGAAAGAGAAAAACAACGAGGAUGAGGAUAACGAGGAGGAUGAAGAGGAUGACGAUGCGAAUGAAAAAAAAGAGAAGAAGAAGAAGAAAAGUAAGGAGUCGAAGGAUAAAGAGAAGGAAAAGAAAAGGAAAGACAAAGGUGGAGACGUCGGAGAAAAGGAGGUAAAGGAAAAGUCUAAGAAGAGUGAUGAUGAGAAGAAACACAUUGAUGAUGAUAAGGAGAGUAAAGAAAAGAAGAAGGAUGAAGGGGGGUCGAGGAAGGAUAAGAAAGAAAAGGAGAAGAACGGAGAUGCAAAGGGUACAAAAAGUAAAAAGAAGGGUGAAGAGGAAGAUGCUUUUCAAGGCAGAGAACUAAAAGAUGUGAAGAACGAGAAGGAUGAAGACGCAAAGCAUAAAAAAAGCAAGAAGGGUAAAGACGAAGAUGUUUAUGAAGGCGGAGAAUUAAAGGAGGUGAAGAAAGAGAAGAAAGAUGAAGACGGAGAUCCUAAGAAAAAAGAGAAAGAUAAGAAGAAAAAGAAGAAGAAAAGUGAAGAGGGAACGGCUAUAACUAAGGAAGAUGAUGUUGAGGAAGAGAUUGUUGAAAAACAAAAAAAGGAAAAGAAUAAAGGUGAGGACGAAAAGAAAAAGGAUAAACAUAGAGUCCCUAGUGCCGAAGAGAAUGAAGACAAGGGAAAGGAGAGAAACGAGGAAAGUGAGAAAGGUGGAGACAAAAAAGAAAGGAAGACGAAGAAAAAGAGCCAGAAGAAAGAUGACGAAUCAAAAGCAAUUGAAGAUGAAAAUGAAGAUCAUGAGAAAGGUAAAGACAAGGAAAAGAAAAAGAAGAAGAAGAAGAAAGAUGAUGAACUGGAAUCAAAGGUUGAGAGCGACGAUCAUGGAAAAGAAAAGGACAAGGAAAAGGAAAAGAAGAAGAAAGACGGUGAAUUGGAAGUUAAGGAAAAGAAAAAGAAGGACAAGAAAAAAGAUGGCGAACCGGACGCAAUUAAGGAUGAGGAUAAAGAUCACAAAAAAGACAAAGACAAGGAAAAGAAGGAGAAGAAGGACGGAGAGGAGGGCGACAAAGAAAAGAGUAGAGAGCUCCAUCAAGAUGGGAAAAACAACCAAGUAGAGGAAGACAAGGAACAGAGGUCUCUUUCAUUUGGAGAAAACAAGGUUGAGGAGAUUAAAAUUGAAGAUCCUAACACAAGAGAAAUCACUAUUGAGGAGGAUCCAGAGGAGAAAGAAAAAGAGGACAAGCCAAAGGACAAAAAGGAAAAGAAGAAAAAGGGCGAGGAAAAGAAGGUAAAAUCUGAAGAAUCAGCAGAAGGCGAAGCAACGGAAGAGAAAGAUAAGAAGAAGAAGAAAGAUAAAGAUAAGAAGGAUAAGGGCGAGAAGAAGUCUUCGGACGUGGGUAAGCUGAAAAAGAAGCUGGAGAAGAUUAAUGCCAAAAUAGACGCGCUGCAAGUUAAAAAAGAAGAGAUCAUGAAACAGAUCAAGGAGUUAGAAGAGGUUAAAGUAGAAAUACCUGCAGAAGAGAAUCAUGCUGCUGUUGUCUGAAAGUUGGUGUUACUGUAAACUGGUGUCUGUCAACUAGUGUGAGAACUAAUAAGGAGAAUGCAUGAGUGUGUUGAGUUUGUUUGUUCAUGUUUACAUAUAGUUUCCUUCAUUUCUGGUUGUAUCUUUAUCGAAGUUGUAUUUCAUAUUAUGUUGCAGGGAGAUCUUUUUUGUCAAUGAAGCAUACAUUUGUUAACUGGAACCUCAUAUUCUGAUCUUAGAUAUGUCGGGUGAAACUUUCAGAAGAUUACGUUGCUGCUGAUUUUGGUGUUUGAUGCAAAAAAAAUUGGUUCUUUUUGGUUCGUCAUGCGAGAUAAAUGGUAGCUGAUAAUUUUAACCUUUGUUUCUCAAAUGUUCAUUUGGGCACCACUCAAAAGUCUUUUUCUCCACAACCUUACAUUGUUAACCACUCCUGAAAAGAUACAUGAAGCUUCAUCAAAUUGGACCUAAGAAGACAAGCUCCAUCAGCAUAAGAACCUAAUAACCCUAGCACUUUACACUAAUAGCAAGUUCAUGUAUUAUUUCAUCUCUAUAGGAAUUAAAUGAUAAGGCUACGUGAUGCAUAACUUUUUCCUUUUCCUGUCUUUGUUUUUCUCUUCUUUCUACUUUUGGUUUUACUACCUAAGAAAAAUUAAUCGAGGAUAUAAGAAACAUAAUGGCAUGCAUUUACUCUAAAAAUGAUCUUAAUAACUGCAAAAUUUCAGAUGGAAUCACAACAACAAUGCUCUUUAUCGAGGAAAGCAAAUCCAGAAAGAUAUGUGCAAAAGAUGGAAAAAGAAAAUAAGGUUCAGCAAUGGAACAAAUUAAGAUUAUAAUCUCGGCUAUUUACUUCAAUAUGAAUCAGCCAAAAGGAAACUUUUCUUAUUUGACGAAUUAAGAUUCAAAAAUACAAAACUUACAGUGCGAAGGAACCAAAUUGGUUUUUAGGUAUUCGCCAAUUUACAAGCAUACGCCAAAUACUUAUCCACAUUCUUGAGCCCGCAUAGCUCCUUGACCACGGGCAUUGUAGCCGGGACCGCCAAAUCGAACGCGAGAGGAGAUUCUUCAGAUCCGAUGAGUGACAAAAGUUGUGCCCUAGCGGCUCGAAUGGCUUCUCUUGUCGCGCAAUGAACCGAAGCUGCAAGAAGCAAUGGCGGCUCCCCAGAUGCUGCAAGGAAGAGUUGCGGUUAGUAGCAGAAUAAUAACACUUAAAAGCAUCUCAGAAAAUAUUUCCCGUGAUUUACUUGGAUGAAAUUGCAAUAUAUGUGCAAGUUCAGGGACCAAACUGUUUGAGUAAAAAGUUCAGGGCUAGGUUGCAAUAUCAGUUCUUUACAAUUUUUUUUUUCCAGUGUAACCACAGCAAAAAUUUACGGGAUUUUAAUACAUCAUUGCAAUACACAAAAAUUGAAAGAUUUUAAGAUAAUAAGCAGCAUAUAAGAGUGACUACUUAUGUUGCGAUGUUAUUUGGAGCCGGAAGCAGAACUUGGAAAAUGAUGCCAUUACCUUUCGAAGAGAGCACACGCCUUUUAUGAUAUCCGCUGUUAAUUAACUCAACAUUGAACUGUUUCGGAAUGGUGUCCACAGUCGGUACUUUGUAUGUCCAAGUACCAUCAGAAACAACCAACCCAUCGGAAUUGCUCAAAUAUUCCUCAUACAUAAAGAAGCCAAUCCCUUGAACAAAAGCUCCUUCAACCUGCAUAGAAAAGAUUGUAAACAUUUUUGUCCUAAUAAGCAAAGCAUAUGCCAUGACAUAUAAAAAAGAAGAGUUGGUACUUAGAACAGAAUCAUCAUUGGAACGGGAUUGAUAAUGAACCUGACCCAAAUCCACAGCAGGGUUUAAGCUCUGGCCGCAGUCGUAAGUUAGGUCACUCCGCAAAAUCGUGGUAGUUCCUGUGAGAAGAUCUACCUCCACCUGUAACAACAAAUAAAAUCAGUUCAUUUUGUUUAAAUAUCAAUUUUUUGAAAGAACUUGCUGAAAAAGUUUGGCUACAGUGAGCAGAUGCAUUGAAGUACCUCGCUUACAGCAGCUCCAAAAUUCAGAUAGCUUGCAGAACUCCCGUCAGGGACCCAGUAAGCAGUUGCCGAUAAAUUCACGCUUUCCAGAUUCGCCUGCAGGUGUGGAAGAAAAGGCACGAAAUCUAAGGCAAGUAUUAUUCAGACAAUCUCUUGGGCACUGAAACACAUUAUGUAUAAACAUCUAUGCAUAUUGUAUAUCUCCAUAAUGAGCUUGCAAAAUCUGAAUGUUCAUACAUAUCAAAGUGUUCCACUAAAAAUAACAAUUUCAAACACCGAACCAACAGCUCCCCUGGAGUUGGACAACCAGAGAUUAAGGAUAUUUCUGUAGGAAACUGCACUUUCGAGAGGUAUUAAGAAGAUAUAGAUUUAAAAGGGGUUUACACGUAAAUAAAUGAUUAUGCAGUAAUAUGUAUAUAUUUAGAAGCUCCAAACUGUAAAAUGGAAUAAUUACCUGCAUAAUUAAAGAAUCCCACGAAACCGUGCCCUGCUGUAUUUCCAGCCUCUCCUUAAGAGAUUUUAGUCUCUCAACAAGAACAUUACAAGAUACACGAACUGCCUCGCAGCUAGAUUCUGAUGUAGUACUCCCAGCCGUCCAUCCUCCUUGUAUCAAACUCAAAGUAUCAGCCUGAACAACCCUUAUCCUCUCCAGAAGGCUUUGAUUUUGCUCACCCAACAACUUCCCAAGAGCAAAAGCCGCCAUCUGCUUCACUUUUGUCCACAACCCUUGCCCCAGUUCAAUCCCUCCAACUUCAACGACAAUCGAACCAUCGUUAAGAACCGAUACUUUGCCCGGAGUGGGCCUAAGAAUCACUUUGUGCACAAUGGGUACGCAGGAAAUUCCCCUUUUCUUCCACUGGUUGCUACUAUUGAAUCGCUUGAUCAUUUCAACACGGUGCCGAUAGCUCGAAGAAAAGGCCAAUUUAUCAAAAAUAGUGGGGAGUGUAUAUUCAAGAGCUUCGUCCUCGCAACCUUCAUAAAACAAUUUAAGGCUCUCAAAAGUGUGAAGAUUCUUUUGCCUGAUAGAAUUGGGUUCAACACCGAGGGCUGAUGCGACAUGUUCGAUGACGGCCUCGGCAAUGUACGAGCCCUGAACCUCUCCUGGGGCCCGCAUUGCCGACCUGGUUGGAGUAUUGGUUUUGCAGACCUUCACAUCGAAUGAAAGAGAACCCCAAUUGUAUUUCUUGAGUGCUUCGAUAAUGUUAUGUGGCAUUAUGGGGCUCACAUCUUUUGUUCUUCCUGCAUUAAUCAAUAGAUCUAUAUGCAAGGCAGUAAUUUUUCCAUCGGACUUGAAGCCCACUGAAUAGUAUACUUUCAUUGGAUGUCGGCCUCCCACCAUUAUCAUGUCAGUUUUGCGAUCGAGAUACAUACGAACCGGGCGCCGCAACUUAUAUGCAGCUAGUGCACAUGCAGUUGCAACCUAACACAGCAACACAAUUAGCCAUAAGCUCUCUCUCCUUUUUCCAGAAAAAUUUGAUUUACAGAAUAGAAUGUUAGGUUCAAAUUCAAGCACCACGAAGGGAAUUCUCGAUGCAACGAUUUUAAUCUGCCUAUAAGUACUCGAUGCACAUACUAUGCCUGUUUGGCCUAACUUUUGAAGCAGCUUCUCUAUUCCAACCGGCAGAAUUUUUUUAGAAAACAGACGCUCAUGGGAUCAUCACUAUCCCGCAAUUUAGAAGGCAAAUACAAAGACAAAUAUAACUAUCUUGCUUAACACAGAUGUAUCUACAUGUAUGAAUACUCGCAUCUAUAAGGAACCUACAUGCCAAAUUAAUCAGACUUGAAGGUCAUUGAUUUUAGGACUAAACAGAAAAAUAAGAAGAAAAAUCAAAUGACUCUUGCACAUAGUUUUUUAUAUACUGAAAAUCAUCUCAUAUGCAAAAUUUUGAAGUUAAUAAUACUUACAGGUAAUGAUCUAAGUGCUUUCCCUCCAAAACCACCUCCAACUCUUCGGGUAAUUACACGGACAUUGUGGAAAGGGAUACCGAGGCAUUUUGCAAUGACACCCUGUGCUGUCUCAGGACACUGACUCGAACUAUAUACUACCAUGCAAUUAUCUUCAUCUGGAAUAGCUAGUGCUGUUUGAGUCUCCAUAUAAAAAUAAUACUGUGAACCAAGUGUAACCUGGAUAUAGAAGUUAAGAUCAGUUUGUCAUGCUUAUAAUGUUAGAGCAAAACAAAAUCUUAACCAUAAAAGAUACUAUAUAACAUCUCUGGAAGGGCAGUGAAUUCACUAUAUCGUAACCCAGUUUAUUAUGAAAAGUCCAACAAAUAAGAAAAAAACGCGCAAGUCAGUAGCAGUGCGAUCUAUACAUGAACACACGCCAUUUCAGUUGAAUGAGAGGGACAUUCUGAAAAAUGCACCCAAAUGAACGGCAAAACCAAUGAGUAUAGAAAGUUACCUUGGCUGAUAGAAUCGUGUGAUCAGCUUCUGCCAUUCCCUUGGAGUAAUCACCAACCUCUUUAGGAUAGACAAAUGAGGGGACUUCAAAAUAACUGCUUCUUUUGACAGCAUCUUCUACUGAUAAAAUUGGCGGCUCCAGAUUUUCUGUGCUAUAGGCAACCACAGCAUGCUUCGCUGCCAAGUUAGCAAAUCGCUGUGUUUCUGCAAUCUAAAUUAGUACUCCAUCAGAUUUAUUUAAUGUACUAUUCAGAACACAAGACAAAAAUUGUUAUCAUCUUCAUUUAAUUGGAUUCGCGUAAUUUGAUAGUUAGAAAUGAUAUUUUAACACAAGCAGAGGAAAGGAAGUUUGGAGAUGAUAGCAGCAAUCAAAAUAAUGAGAACAAGAAAAAUACCACAACGCUAAGUGGUUGGCCGGCAUACUCUGUAAGUGAAUCAGCAAACAAUGGAUCGGACCCAAACAUACUGCUUGCCCCGAUGUUACUUCCUCCUUUUGGAAUGUCAUCAACGGAAACAAUUUUAAUGAUUUUCUGCUGUGCCAGAGAAGAAUGGAACUCGAUGCUCUUCACAUGUGCGAAAGGCCUUGUGCUAUAUACAAAUGCUCCAUAAAGACAGUCGUUCGGAGAAGGGAUGUCAUCCACAUAUACAGCUUCACCUGCAUUUUGUGGAUCAAAAGAUUAUUGAAAAGAAAGAUGUCAUAGAUGAAUCUGCCUGUUACUAGGCGAGAAGAUGCAUAGGCGCUACUAGUUAGUUCAGAAAAUAUGAAAGAUGAGGAACGUUGGCACUUAUGAAUAUGACUGCCAUUAGUUAAUUGCAAGAGACUAAGAUAUAGAUCUGAAAUCUCAUAUCACAACUCAAUACAAGUAUUUUCUCUCAGUUUAUCAAGCGAAAGACACAAACAGAAAUAACAGAAGUGACUGAGAAAAAUUAACAGCAUAUCACAAAUAAUUCCUCAUGGCGAUGAUCUUACUUUGUCAAACCUAAAUUAACAAAUAUAUGGCAAUAAACAAGAACAAAAAUAGAAGAGCUCAUCUAGAACGAUUGAUAUGCACGUACGUACCCGAAGCUUGGAUUUCAGCUCCAGCUUUCUUAGUUGGCUCGCCAACUGGAUGAUACUCUUUGUUCAGUUCCAUAAUCUGCUCUGAGGAAGAAAGCAUGCGAUUACAAUGGUUACCAUGCUCAGAUGCACUAUCAAGCGUAAUAUUGGCAUGCCCAUUAAGACUACCGUUUGGACAUUCAGCACUAACAGAUACAUUUUCUAAUACAUUACGAUUGUUCUUCAUAGGCUUUUCCAAGCCUGCAGUUACUGGAUGAAGGAAACUAAACAGAAAUGCAACAGCCAAACUUAUUCUAUAGGCAGCGUGCGGCGUGCCUUGUUCUGGUAUAAUUGUUUCUCUCAGCAAUCUAAUUCCUUCAAGUAGAACAGAUGAUCUGAUAGCUUUACCAAGUAAAAAUUUCUCAACCUUUCGAGCUCUAAUGGCAUGUGGGCACCCAUAAGCACCGAAAGCCAAGCGUAAAUUCUCUAUAACAACAUCACCUGAUUCUUUAUCUAAGGAAGUCUCAGCCAAAAAGGCAGAAUUAAGAUAAGCUAAAGCAUUCCCAAGAGGGCGUGGAGCAGCUCGGUAUGUUUCAAACAAAAGAUCAGUUCUUGAAAUCCAAGAGGGAAUAUAUAUGCUAACUAAAAGAGUUUUAUGAUCACAUGGAGGCAUUUCUAGAAAUUCCUCCAAUGUGAGACUUAAUCUUUCUGAGGAGAGCUGAAGACAAACAGUUGAAUCAGCAGCAAGAAGUAUCGUAGCGAUGUCUGAGGGAAAAUGAUUUCUCUGUGCCAUGACCAAGUUUCCUCCCAUGCUAGCUGUGUUUCGAACAAAUUGUGAAGCCACUUUUUCCAUGUGAUCAGCAAUUUUACUAAACACUAAGCUUUGAUUUUCUUCCCUUAAUGCUUCAACUGUCCUAGAGAUUGAAACAGCUGCUCCGAUUUCAAGGCCUUCAUGGUUAUUUUUUAUCAUUGUUAGCUCGGGAAUCUCUCUGAGGUCAAUAUACUUAUCAAAUAGGUCCAAUUCUUUGUAAACACCCGAAGCAGUGUUGCCAACAACCAUUUUAACAUGGCUUUUACUAAAUUCUUCCGAAUCUAACAGUUUAUAAAGUUCUUUGAUACUUUUAGGACGGCACCAAUAACCUCCUCCAAAGGAACUAAUCUCAGCAACAUUCGAAUAAGCCGAAAAGGAUUUGACCUCAGAUUUCAAGAACUCAGGAAACGUACAGAUCCCACCACGUUUAUAGUACGGCAAUUUGUCAGCAUUCGCAUUUUUACCCCCUCUCUUCCAAAAUGAAUUAAGGCCCAAAUCUUCCAAGUCAACAUCAGCUGCAAAGCUCUUACACGUAUCUAAUAUUGGCCGGUACCCAGUGCAUCGACACAAAUUGCCUAAGACAGCCUUCUCUGCCUCAGAAACUAAGAGCUUUGAAAACCCCUCUGGAGGGUCGGGCUGAUUAGUUUUAUCCGCAUUAACUAAGGAGGAUAAAAGAGACAUGCACAUGCCGGGAGUACAAAACCCGCACUGAGAGGCAUGAAAGCCUGAGAGCCUUCGGUGAAUUGAAUGGAAACCAUCCUUGCUGUUUCCGAGCCCCUCUGUGGUUGUGAUUGAGCAGAGAUUUAUACUGCAAAGAAGUGUUAGGCAAGAGCUGACGGUAAAAUCAUUCACUUGGUCAGUAACAGGAUCGUAUGUUGACAGAAGAACGGCGCAAGCGCCACAGCCACCUGAAACAACAGAGCUCAUGUAAAGUACUGUUUUCAAUAUAUAAAUGCAGAAAACGAAUGUAGAGAAAAUCAUCUACAAUAUAUUGGUUUAUGCUUCCUUGAUCCAUUUUCAAAUUGUUGUGUGAAUAACUUGACUGCAACGACGAUCCAAAUAAUUCAAGUUUGACAACGGCAGCCAAAUUUCUCAGGUUCGGUAUACACCAACAAAUUUCAAUUCCUAAACCAUAUCUCAUAUCCUAGCUUUCUAAUUUGACUCUGGCCAAUUUACUGGGACUGAAAUGUAGGAGCUCAUCAAAACACCAAAAAGUAAUAGCAAUGCCCAUUAAGGAAUCAAACACUCACAAAAAAAGUUCUAUUGCAGAUAAUAGUUCGAACAGCUUCUCCAUUACAAUUGCCCCUGUAACUUCUUACUUUUGGGCUUCAAAAAACUCAUUUUUUGCUUUCCGCUGCAGCCAGAAGCUCAAUUUCCCUCUUAAUUACAUUUUUUAAUUGUCGAGACAUAGGACUUCACUUCUGCUUCGCAAGUAGAAAAGAUAUUCUAAAAACAUUGUAGCAUAGAAUAAUCUAUCAAAUAUUCAAAUAGCAGUUCCCAAUAACUGCAAAUCAUGAUCCAUCUCCCCCUAACUUUACUACUUUAUUGCAAAAAAAAAAAAAAAACAAUUUUUAAUAAUAAUUACCGCAAAAAAAAAGGAGAAAAAGUAACUACCAAUCUAAAAUGAACACCUUAAAUCAACUAAACCAAUCAAACAAAGCUUUUCUUUUGUUUUAAAUAAAAAAUAAUCAUCCUCUCGGCACCCGAGCUUCGCCCCUUUAUACACCAAUCAAAUAAUUUUUUGCAAAAAAGAAAAGAAAAGAAAAGAAAAACACAUCUCCGUUUUUCCUCAAUCAAAUAAAGUUUUUAAAGAUUUUUUUUUUAAAAAAAAACGAUCACCAUCUCCGCACCAGAGCUUCGCCCCCCUUCAUAAACCAAUCAAACAAAGUUUAUUUUUUUUAUUUUAGAAAAAAAAAAACUAUCAUCACCUUAUCCGCACCUGAGCUUCUUCGCACCAUUAUAAACCAAUCACACAAUUUUUUAAUUUUUUUUUUUAAAAAGACGACGACAACAAGAACAACAUCAAAUCACCUUCUCCGCACCCGAGUUUCGCCCCUUUAAACCGCGUCCGCGUCCUCAAAAACUCGAGCAAAGUGAUCGAAGGCUCCGGCACCUCCGCCUCCGACACCUCGCGCCUCUCCCCGUUCACCGCGAACACCAAUUUCCCCAUCAUCGCCCACCCCCUCUCCUCCUCCUCCUCCUCCUCCCCCCCUUCUCCUCCUCGCCCAUGCGAGUAACCUAAUCCGAACAGCGCGACGCGGACAACUCCUCCUCGUACACAGCAACAGCGGUGAUAAGGAGCAGGGGAGGAGCAUGCGCAUAUCCCGAUCCCGCGCACUCUCUCGCACGCCACAAAGAGAGGAAAUUACCUAAUAAGAGAAUAAAGAAAAAGGAAAAGGAAAUGUGAAAAGGAAGAGAGAGAGAGAGAGAGAGAGAGAGAGGAGUCAACGGAGGGGGUAGGGGCAUCGACAUGAGAGCGAUUUCGGCGCUUCUCCCUCUCACUUGUGUGUGUGUGUGUGUGUGUGUGUGUGUGGGUGUGCGCGCGUGUGGUGCAGUGAAGUAACUUCUCGUAGCCACGUUGCUGGGAUUCGGUGAUGCGAUGGAGACGCUACUUGGACUGCGAAUUAAGUUUCGAACUUUGCAUCCCAGAUAUUAUCAAACUCUUUGCUAUUUAAACUAUAAACAAUCGGCAUAUAUUUUUUACAAGUUUAAGUCGUAUAUAUUUUUAUCCUAAUUCUAUUUUGCCUAAAUGAUCAUGUAUUAGUAUUAGAUGAUUCAGUGCAUGAAGUAAUCAAAACUUUUAUGUCAUGUAUGUCAAUACUUGAAUAGAAUAAUGCUGUUGCUGCAUAUGGAUUUUUACAACAAUUUACUAAUAUUUUUACAAUAUUUUACCUGCGUAUUGAUAUGCGCAGUUUUAAUUUGAUAGUAGUUAAUACAAUUCAUGAGAAGAGAUUUUUUUUACAAGUGGAUAAAGAAAAUAAGUACAAAACUGUUACUGUAUAUGUUAACACAUUACCAAUUUAGCAAUAGUCCCAACACCCCCCUCCAGAGAGUGAAACUCGAAAACUAAACACUACCCUAAUAGGUGUAAUAGUAAUAUAUUUAUAUCAAAAGAUAUAUAGUUUAUUAUAUUUAAUACCUGAUCAAACGAUAUGCAAGAAUUUUUUAUACGCUGAAGAGUAUAUGCUGCUCUUCUGAAUCACACAGCUAUGCAGAAGUUGACAGAUCCUUCAAACAAUAUAAGCUUAAAUCACAUAGCCCUAAAAGUAUACUCCAAAAAGAAGGAAGAAGCACAGCAAAUAGAAGCUAUUCCAGAACAUUUAUACAAUGGAUACAAACAGAACAAGUAACCAACCGUAUCAGAUUUUAUUCAUGCUACAAAACCCACUAUCCAGCCUUUUAUAACUCGUAGCGCUACACGACAUGAACUUAUUUCUAGUCUUAGCACACAAAAUGUUCGAAAAAGCGCUCUAAAAAAGGCUGUAUUUAGUAUAACGCUGCAAGGACUCGCGACGACGAAUCACACUUUGACUGACUGAUGAGCAGAAAUGCUUUCCAAGUACUUCUCAAUGUUGUCGAGCCCGCACAUCUCCUUGACCACAGGCAUUGUGGCGGGAACCGGCAAUUCGAAUACAGAGGAAGACUUCUCGGACCCAGUUAUCGAAAAGUGCUCUUUUCUAGCUGCCCUGACGGCUUCUCUUAUCGCACAGUGAACUGAAGCUGCAAGAAGUAAAGGCGGCUCCCCAGAAGCUGCAUAAGAUACAUUAUAAUAGCAUGUUUUAAUAAACAUUAUGAGAAAGAAAACGAAGAAACUGCAAAAGUGAUUCUAUAUAAUUAUAUAAACUUGGUUAUAACUGUUGUUUUUCGGUUUCUUGGAAUCAUCUGUUUAUGGCUGUUGUAAAAAUAUAUAACAGUCGAUUAUAACUCAUAACUUCAACAGAUUUGCAACUACAGAGGUCCAAUUUUAACAAUUUAGUAUCUUAAGUGUCAGUCCAUUAGUAUACCGACAUAAAAGGAGUCGCCACAUCAGUCAAACCUAACCAAACUCAUUACGUAGUAAAUUUGACAUGACAUUUUCUUAGCACAAUUACAGAGGAAAAUUUAUUUGGUAUGCAAAUUUUUGAAGCCAAAUGAAAAGGCCUAAACUGGCAAACAAGCAAUACCUUUAGAAGAGAGCAAAUGCUUUUGGUGAUAUCCGCUACUAAAUAAUUCAACAUUCAAUUCUCUCGGAAUGGUAUCGACAGUAGGGGGUUUGUAGGUCCAAGUGCCAUCCGUGACCACCAAACCAUCUGAGUUUGACAAGUGCUCCUCGUUCACGAAGAAACCAAUUCCCUGAACAAAAGCACCCUCAACCUGCAGAACAGGGGAAGAGUGGCCGAUAAGGUGCAUUACAGAAAUUACUAGGAAUAGUAGCAAAUUUUAAUGGAGAGAGAAAGAAGCACCAUUAUUUAUGAUGCUAUCAGAAUUUUUCCAUUUGUCAAUUAAACGGCAGGUACCGUCUUUUGAAAACCUAAUGGUGUAUGAACAGGAAGCAGACCAAACCAUUUGCACCGUUAUUUACUUUACAUUAGUGUAUAUAAUCACCAGUUGAAAACAUACUCAGCACUCAAGGCCCUGUUUGGCCCAGUUAGAGCUUCUAAAAAGUGCAGCUUGAGCAGAGCUAUUUGUAAAAGCAUUAAAAGCUUUUCACGAUAAUAGCUUUCAACUAUGGCAGAAAAAGCUUCAGGACGUCAGGUUAAGCAGAAUUGAGGCUUCCGCUUACCAGACACAAGUUCAUGGAAGACUACAAAAAAAUCAACGAUAUUUGGAAGCACUUUGUGGUAUAUAAUGAAUUAAGCCAAUAGGAUGUGUAUUGUGUAACAAACCUGUCCCACAUCCACAGCAGGGUUCAAACUUUUGCCACAGUCAUAUGAAAUGUCACUCCUUAGAACCGUGGUAGCUCCGGUGAGAAGAUCAAUCUCCACCUGAAAAUGCAUAAAAUUACCAUGGUGAGGUUGAUAUUGUAAGCAGAAGAGAUAAAUAAUGAGCGUUUCUAAAGGAGGGAAAAAAAAAAGAAAAAUAGGAAGAGAAUAUGUGCACAUCAGUGAAGAAUGUCUAUAAUACACACACACACACACACACACACACACGGAUGUAUGAAUGUGCGUCCAUGUUACACCAAAUUCCAUAAAUGUACCUCGCUUAUAGCAGCUCCGUAAUUUAAAUAGCUUGAAGAAGUUUGGUCAGGAGUCCAGAAUUCACUUGCCGAUAAAUUAAUAUUUUCCAUAGUUGCCUGCAAUGAGAGAAUAGAAAUUCACUUUACAAAUUCAUAAACUUCCAAUGGUCCUAUACUACCAUAGUCUAAUGAAAACAACCUUCCAAGACCUAUGACUAAAACUGCUAAAGAAAAUAAUAAACACAUAAAAGGGUUCACAAAAGAGUGAUAAGAAGACCGACACUCAAAAGAAGACGGAUGAUGAAUGCAAAAUAUAUAUCCAUAUGAAGCUUAAACCUAGAAACAUCUUUGAUAAAAUACCAUUGUAAAUAUGCAAAUAUGCAAAAAGUACCCCUGCAUCGUUGGUUUAGCAUGUGUACCCGUCAAAACCUUGCUUGCACGUGCACCUCUGCCAGGGUGCAAAAACAAUAUUUUGAAAUAUAACUAGGCAGGGUCAUGAAACUAUGAAUCCAAAUAAACAUGAUCUACAAGGCACGUGCGCAAAUACCAACUUCUGCGGGUCAUUUGUACAAUUUCGCAUAUUACAGGUAUUUUUAUGAAGAAAACCCAAAAGAAACUAUGAAGUCAAAAUGAUACCUGAGCUAUUAAAGCACCCCAAGAAACAAAGCCUGCUUGUUCUUGCAGCCUAUCCUUGAUUGGCUUUAAUCUCUCAACCAAAAUAUCACAAGACAAACUAACCGCUUCGCAACUUGAUUCAGAUGUGGUGCUCCCACCAGUUACUCCUCCUUGAAUUAAGCUUAAAGUAUCAGCCUGAACAACUCGCACCUUCUCCAACAGGUUCACGCCCCCAUCCUCCCACAACUUCCCUAGACCAAAUGCCGCCAUCUGCUUCACUUUUGUCCACAACCCUUGCCCUAUUUCGAUUCCUCCAACCUCAACAACAACCGAGCCAUCAUUUAAAACUGAAACUUUCCCAGGUGUUGGUCUUAGUCUCACUUGAUAUAUACUGGGUACACAAGAAAUACCCCGUUUUUUCCAUUUGUUGGCGCUAUUGAAAUUUUUAAUCAUUUCAACGCGUUGCUGAUAGGUUGGAGAUAAUGCCAAUUUAUCAAACAUAGAAGGUAAAGAAUAUGAAGAAGCUUCUCCAAAGUUACCUUCACAAUACAACAUAAUACUCUCAAAGGUGUGAAGAUUCUUUCUCCUAACAUAAUUGGUAUCAAGAGAGAGAACUGAAGCGACAUGCUCAAUAAUAGCUUCGGCAAUAUAAGACCCUUGUAAAUCUCCAGGAGCACGCAUUGCUGACUUGGAUGGGAGAUUUGUUUUACAGACCUUUACGUCGCAAGAAAAAGCACCCCAAUUGUAUUUCUUUAGUGCACCUACGACUGCCCCGGGUAUUAGUGGGCUCACAUCUUCUGAUAUUCCUGCAUUAAUUCGUAGAUCAAUGUGCAAAGCGGUAAGUUUCCCAUCAGAUUUGAAUCCAACAGAGUACUUAACAUUCAUCGGAUGCCGCCCUGCUGCCAUGAUCAUGUCAGUUUUGCGAUCCACGUACAUUCGAACUGGGCGGCGCAAUUUAUGUGCUGCAAGUGCACAUGCUGUGGCAACCUAACAGAAGUAAUAAUCCGAAUCAGUAGUUGCUGGUUUUUUUAAUUUCUUUAGCUGAUUCAAUCAAAACUUUCUGCCCAUACUCAGAAUACAGUGCCAAGUCCAAUAUCAAACACCAUAGUUAAAGAGUUAAUCAUCUAUAUUCAUCAGGCACCUGGGGCCUGUUUGGCCUGGGAGGAAUAAAAUCCACCCCUACAGCUCAGAAACUUCAAGUUAGAGUUUCUGUUUUUGGGUAUUAGAAACUCAUUUCAGCUUCUCGCCGCAGUGAAAGCUCCAAACAUUUUGUUUGUCGGCCACCUCAUUGCAACUUCUUUGCAUUAGAGAAGCUCAGUCAGAACAAGGGCCAAAAGGUAGGUAGUAAAGAAAUUUCACAAAUUUUGGGAAUUCUAGCUGAACCAUCAAAAAUAUGAACAGUCAUGCAUGCAAGUCAAAGGAGAAUGUUCGUGCAAUAUAUUGCAAUUUGCUUCUUUUGCUAUCAUUCUAAAUGUUAAAAGAAGCUUGCAUGGACAUAUUAGUUUCCCACAGAAAAGUCUUUAGUCUGUUCUUUUAAAAUCAAAUUAGAUCCCAAAACAAUAAACUGAAAAGCAUACGCUGGUGUUGAGUCAAAAAACUACUGUAAAGUUAAUCUAACUGAUAAUUGGCAUAAGAAAAGCUACAAUAUACAACAAUUUUCCAAAAAAUUCACAAAUUGAUGAACUUUUAGUUGGCCACAUAAUUUAUCAAGUUAUUUGGUAGUGCACCAAUGUUUAUUGAAAACAAUCAAAAGCUAUAAAUGACCAGUUCAAGAAUUCAUUGCUGGAUAUAUUAUUCAUUAUCUCUUUUAUUCUUAUUCUUUUAAGAAGGGAUAAAAGAUAAUUAAAAAAUGGAAUUUGUUUCCCAUUUCCUCUUCUUUUUUUUUUUACUUUUUUGUAUUUAUAACCAAACAAGUUCCAAAUUUCUUUCAAGCUCACUGAAUUGUUUAACUAAUUCUGAACUUCCCAACUUUACUGAAUUGAUCCCAAAUGCUGAACAUGUGACUACAGCCCAUAAGGAUAUUUCAAAAACAAUCUUGACUCGUGAAUUCCCUGCUUGCCUAGCUGUCACGAUAUCUGAUUGCAUAAAUUCCCUCAUAGGCAUUUCUACUAUGGGGAAUUUUUAUCCUCAAAAGGUAACCAGUCAUAGCCGUCACAUGCUGUAAAAAUAGGAGGUCUAUAUGCAACUGAAUUUUCGUGGUAACAAAUUUAUUUGUUCAGAGAGAGAGAGGGAGAAAGGGAGAGAUGCUCACAGCGAUUGCUUUGAAUGCCUUCCCACCAAAACCCCCUCCAACUCUUCUUGUAAUAACACGGACAUUGUGGAAGGGGAUGCCCAGGCACUUCGCAAUCACACUCUGUGUAAGCUCAGGGCAUUGACUUGAAGAGUAAACCACCAGGCAAUUAUCUUCAUCUGGAAGAGCUAGAGCUGUUUGCGUCUCCAUGUAAAAAUAAUACUGUGAACCAAGAUUUACCUGGCAAAAGCAACAUAAUAAUAAUUGUUGACACGAUGGGUGCGUGAGAUAAACAGAACAAAACAAGUUGGUCAGAAUAAAAUCAAUUAUUUUUAGUGAAAUUUGCCGGGGCCAUUUCAUAAUGAUAAACAAGAAACAACAAAAUGUAAGAGAGUCAAAUACUCAUAAAAGUGCAACUAGUAUCAUUGACUCAUUAAUAAGACUAAUGCUGCAUUAUUUGUUUGAACUUCCCAUUGUAAUUGAAUUUGUUUAAAAAAAAUUUAAAAAUUAUUUUUUUGUAUUUUAUAAGAGAAAAACUGUAAUACGGUUAAAAGAAAGAAAGAAAGAUGUCUUUGCAUUUUUUAAAUUCUAACAUGUAAAAAUUCUUAUUCUGCAUCAGGUGUAGUUGUACUUUAUAUACAAAAAAGCUUAUAAGUAUGUUAAUUGAUGAGUAUAGUAAGUUAUACAUAGCAAAUAUUCAUAAUUAUUUGAUUAAAUCUUUCAAAAUAAUAUUAUUAGAGCUUAUUGGAACCAAAAAAAUUAAAAUAAGUACGUGCCAGAACGUGCCAAUAGGAGGUCAUCUGUAUCCAUCGGCACGUAAGCGUGCCAUGUGUCGGCACACAAGCGUGCCGGUGCCGUACCGUACCAUGCCAGACAGACAGCGACACGCUUCUGUACCACGGCACUUUAAACCUUGAUUAUCAAUACACUGGAGGGGUCUUUUCGCAAUAAAUACAACCUUUGAGCCAUAAAAUUCCUGUUAGAUGUAAAGGAAAAUGGAUAUAGAAAAGCACCUCGCCAGAUUGAAUUGUUUGAUCAGCUUCUGCCAUUCCUUUGGAGAAAUCACCUAUUGAUUUAGGAUCAAAAGGGGGUGGAAUUUGGAAAUAACUUUGUCUCUUAAUUGCAUCUUCUACCGUUAAAAUUGGUGGUUCCAAAUUUUCCAUGCCAUAGUCAACAGUAGCUUGUUUAGCAGCCAUGUUGGCAUAUCUCUGAGUUUCUGCAAUCUGAAAAGACAUGGUCCAUCUCAGUCAUAACAGCAGAAGUCACAUUUAACCAGAAAGAAAUAUUCAGGUCACAAAAAGAAAAGGUUAACCCACUUGUGCAUUGGCAUAUGAAGUAGAAACAUAACUAGAUAAGGGCCUCUGUUUAAUCAUCUAGUCAUGUAUACGCCUCUGUAGAAUCUUAAUUUCAUACAUACCCCUCAAAACUGCAGUUUUUCACAAAGAUACCCUUAAAUUGGGGAGUCAUCCAAUUCACAUGGAUGACUUGGUUUCCUAUUGGAAAAUGGUUUUUAAGAGGAGCAUUUUCUUAAGUACAAGGAUACAUGUACGAAUUAGGGUUUUGAAGGCCAUCUAUGAUGAUUCAGAUUUUGCAGGAACACUUAGGUUAUUAGAUAACGUUGUAAGGGUAUAUGCCUGAAUAUGUUGAAAAAAAAAAUUGCGAGAGCAAGAGAGGUACCAAAAUGCCUAGUGGUUGUCCAGCAUACUCGGUAAGCGAAUCAGCAAAUAAUGGUUCCGUCCCAAACACAAAGGACACUCCGAUAUUUUGCCCACCGCUUGGAAUGUCCUUCACAGUAAGAACAGAGACAAUUUUCUGUGCUGCAAGAGAAUUGUUAAAGUUGAUUCCUCUAACGUGAGCAAGGGGUCUGGUGCUGUAGAUAAAAGCUCCAUAGAGACAGUCCUUUGGAGCAGGAAUGUCAUCCACAUAUACAGCUUCACCUGCAUAAGUUAAGCAUGUAAUUAGUGCUAAAGAAGAAACAUUUAACUUCAACGAGUUGUGAAGGUGUCAGAUAGAAACAUUUAUGCACUAAAAUAUGCUUGGCAAGUGAUAUGACCGAGCAACGCAUGAUGCUGAGAUUUCAAACCAGGCCAAUAUUUGAUUGGAUGUUAAUGGUCAGUUCGAUAUGUUUGGACAACAUCAUGCAGGUUUCAUAUCCAAAUUCAGCCUGAUAACAUAAUCAUCUCAUUACCCUACUAAAGCUCAAGGAUUAAAUCAAUAAUGAAGAGACAAUAUGAGGGUUAUCAUGUAAAUAACAAGAAUUGCAGGAUUUAUAGGCAAUAUUCAAAGAUUUAAAGAACUAAUAAGCAAGAAAGAUAAAUGAAGUAAAGCUCCUCAAGGAUGCAAGUAGGUACCAGAAGCUUGGAUAUCCGCUCCAGCUUUAUUAGUUGGCGCCCCAACUGGGAAAUAGUCUUUGCUGAACUCCACUUCUUGCUGUGAAGAAAAAUGUAAAUCACUGUCAUCAUGAUAUACAUGAUUUAAGGCCAUAUUGUUUUCGUAUCCAUUGAGACAGCCAUGUGGAUAUUUAGCAGUAUCACUAUUAGAUAUAAGAGUCUUCCCAGGCUCUGUCAAAUCUUUAGCAAGUGGGUGGAGAAAACUGAAUAGGAAACUAACAGACAAACUUGUUCUAUAUUCAGGAUGCGACGUGCCUUUGGAAGCAACAACUGUUUCUCUAAGCAACCCGAAUGCUUCAAGUAGAACAGACGUGGUAACGGCUUUACCCACUAGAAACUCCUCAACUUUCCUUGCCCUAAUGGCAUGCUGUGUUCCAUACGCACCAAAAGCCAACUGUACUUUAUCCAAGAUAAAAGCGCCUGAUUCUUUACAUGGAGAAAUCUGUGCUAGAAAUGCAGAAUUGAGAUAAGCCACGGCAUUGCCGAGAGGACGAGGGGCAGCUCUGUAUGUGUUAAAAAGCAGUUCAGUCCCUGCUAUACUCCAAGAAGGAAUAAAUAUGCUCAAUAGUAUGGUUUUACAAUCGAAUGGAGGCCUCUCCAAAAAUUCCUCCAGCGUCAGAGUUAACCUUUCUGAAGGUGUUUGGAUACAAAUAGUGGAACCGGCAGCAAGAAGUAUUGUGGCUAUGUCUGAGGCAAAUUCAGAUCUUUGAGCCAUCAUUAUAUUUCCUCCUAAGCUAGCUGUAUUUCGAACAAAUGGCGAGGCUACCUUAUUCAUGUGAUCAGCGAUUUUCUUGAAGACUGCAGCACCAUCAUUCUCUUCUCUAAGCACUUCGAUAGCUCUAGAAAUCGUCACCGCUGCUCCAAAUUCAAUGCCUUUGUUAUCCUUUUUAAUCACCGAAAGCUCAGGGAUUGCUCGGAGGUCAACAUACUUAUCAUACAAGUCCAUAUCUUUAUAAACGCCAGAGCCAGUGUUUCCCACUACCAAUUUGACUUUUCUUUCAUCAAAUGCAUUAGAAUUCAGUAACUUGUAAAGUUCUUCAAUACUAUCAGGGCGAUACCAACCCUCUUCGACAGAAGUAAGCGUAGUUCCAUUCAGAACACUAGAUGAGGAUUGGAUUUCAGUUUUUAGGAAUUCCGGGAAAGUGCAGACUCUGCCACUAGAAUAGGAGGGCAACUUGGUAGUUUUCAAAUCCUUAUCCCCCUUUUUCCAAAAAGUAUUCAACCCCAAAUCUUCCAAAUCUACGUCAGCUGCGAAGCUCUUGCAAGCAUCUAGAAUGGGUCGGUAACCAGUGCAUCGACACAAAUUACCUUGAAUAGCCUUCGCCGCCUCGGAGACCGUAAGCUUGGAGAACCCAUUUGGCGGCUCAGGUCUAUCAGUCUUUUUGUCUGCAUUAACAACGGCAGAGAAAAGGGACAUGCACAUUCCGGGGGUACAAAAACCACACUGCGAGGCAUGAAAGCCGGCCAUCCUUUGGUGAAUUGAAUGGAAACCAUCCUUAGCAUUUCCAAGACCCUCGGUGGUUGUAACUGAGUAGAAAUUUAUACUGCAAAGGAGUGUAAGGCACGAACUCGCAGAAAAUUCUUCGACUUGGUCUGUGGUGGGAUCGUAUUUUGAUAGAAGAACAACACAAGCUCCACAGCCACCUGCAGCAGGGUCAACAACUGAUGAAUUUAAAAGAAUUUCUACAUAGAAAGUAUUGCUAGUUUCAAAAUUCUAUAACAAUAGACAUAUAUACGUGGACAAGAAAGAGAGGGCUGAAUUGAUUGGAAAUAAUGCUUAGCCAUCAAAAUUAGAAUUUAGAGAGAAUCAGAAUAUUUUAAGUAAAACAAGCAAAACAAUCUAAUAGGUCGACGAAAUGUUGAUCAAAGGUAGAUGGCUAGAAGCAUAGGAGAAAAAGGGAGGGUGGAACGAAACAUGAUUAGGAGUACGCAGCCUAUGGGCUUUUAAUGUUAGAAACAUAGAAAGAGAACCUCCCCCUUACCAUCUCAAGAGACCAUUUCAAGAGAAGGGGAAACAGAUUUCCCUGGUUAAACCUCCCCCUUACCCAUUUCAAGAAGAAAAAAUUGUUACAGGCAUCCUAAAACUCCAUUUAGACCCAAUAUAUUGGCAUUAGGGUGCACAGAAAAGAUGUUCAGUCUUUAUUCAAGUGUAACAUUCACUCCCAUCUAUGAGUCUGGCUUGACUCAUGACUUGCUUUGUAUUUGGCCAUGAUAAGUUUACAGCACAAACAUACUCAUAUAUAUAUAUACAAUUUAGUUACAAGUCAAAAAAGAUAAGGCAUAAAUUGAAAGCAUAUAAACAAUUGUAUAGUCAUGUAUAGGGUUGUUGAACGGGCUGUGGGUCGUGCUGGGACAUACCCAGCCAAUCCAUAGCCUGGCAACACCCGACUCGCACCCAUGGUGUGGGCCAUGCUAGGCUGUAGCCUCAUGACCUGUGGCCUGGCAUGGCUCGGCCUGCAUCCAAAUGCCGCAAUGUCGGGCUACAAGGCUAGGCGUGGCUCGGUAUGGCCCGGUCCAUUUAUGACUGGACUUUAGUACCAGGCGGGUCUAUUUUUUUUUUCCUUUUUCUAAUAUAUUUUUUAUUUUUAUUCAUUAUUCAAAAAUUAAUUUAUCAUACUCAAAUUUUAAAUAAUUUUAAAAAAAAUUCAUCUAAAACUUAUUUAUUCAAUAAAAAACUAAAUAUAUUUUAUAAAAUCAAUUGAAAAGGAUUUUAAAAAUAAAAUUAAAAUAUAUAAAAAAAAAUAUUGUAGUAAAAUAGCCCGGCCCGGUUUAGGCCGUAGGCUAUGCUGGGCCAUCACCAUCCAAAGAAAGGUGGCCCGACCCGGCCCUGCUCAGAUUUAAAUCCAUGUAGUGCUGGGCCACCUUGUGGCUCGUUUUGGCCCAAAAAUCUGGACCGUCCAGCCCAGCACGGCCCAGAUUACAUUCCUAAUCAUGUAGUAUGUAAAUGUAAAUAAAGAGACAGACGUACGCACGCAUGGAGAGAGCGUUUCACAUAUUAAUAGUACUGCUGUUUAGUCAUUUUCAUAUGUAAAUAGUACGAUUGUUGACACCUAAACUAACAUGAGGCAAAGAAAAAUAUAUUGAAAAACGACACACAACAACCAAAAAGGACUUCGACAUAGCACUCGAGUUAUGAUAGAUAACUACAGCAAAGGCCAUUUUAGGGUGAAAGGGCUCUAGCAGAGAGAUUUGGCUUCAGUAUCGCCUAACAAAAGGGAGUUUCAGGCCUUUUGGCAAUCCAUGUUCGACGAAGAAUAAGAUACUGAGGCCGAGAUGAAGAAGCUUCAUAUUCUGAAGUUCCGGCUUCUACUCUAGAGAGAAAAUGCCAGGACGAUUUCACUACAAUAUUUUCUGUAACACUCCAAAUAGUUUCACAUCGGAUGGAAAAAGAGUUGUGAUUGGGACUAUAAGAGUUUAAUUAUGGGUCUUAAUAAUAAUAACCGGGCUUCAAAAUUUUGGGGUGGUAGUUCUGGGCUCGACAAAUUAUUAUUGCUAGUAGGUCGACCCACCGAAAGUGUGAAAGCUAAGUACUAUGCAGAACAAAGUGUUGCACCAUGGGUUUGGCGGGAACUACCUUUUGAACUCGCAGGAGCCACUUCUAAAAUCUCACAGCGCAUGAUAAUUCUGGUCGGACGGAAAAUAAGUUGAUUGGGAAUAUAAAAGAUCAUGGACGCUAAUAAUAAUAACCCGGCAAAAGUAUUUUGGGUCGGUGGUUUUGGGUCCAAUGAGUUAUUACAGGUUUGGGCUGUUAUAUUUUUCCUAAGAACGUUGAUAGGGGCCAAAGCCUUAUUGCUUACAUUAAAUAAGGUCCCAAUAACACUACAAGGAAAGAAAUAAAAGAACAAGCACUGGAGGGCCCACAAGGAAGUGUAUCCACUCAGAGAAGCAACAAAACAAAGGCAACAAAGAAGCAGGGCUAAACAUGAAGGUUAAUGGCUAAGUAAACUGCCAAAACAACAAGAACUAAGAGGAAAAGAGAAGAUGCUUCCAGAUAGUAACUACAGAACAAAUACCUAACACCAUAUUAAUUUACUAAAACCCACACAAAACAACAAAAAGAAAACCAGUAACAUAAAUGAACCAUCAACAGAGAAAUAUGCCUAAGUAUUUGUCAAUACGGGAACUAAAACCAACACAAAGAAAAAAAAAAAACAACUUAAAUAAAUGAGCAAUCUAAGGCUCUUUCGGUAUCGUUGCCAAUUUUUUUAUUUUUUCAACACUAGUUCUAUGUAAUUUGAUGUGUCGAAAAAAGGAUUUUUUUUUUUUCGUUGUUAUAGUUAGUUAGCUGAUUAUGCAUCCGAUCAAAUGGUAGAUAACUUAUUUUUAAAAAAAUCGAUAGCAAAAAAAAAAAUUUUAUUUUAAAAUUUUUAUUUUUGUUGUCUUGUAAAUAAUUCAUUGUCCACUCCUACAGCUUUUAAUAUACAAAAUUCUAUUUAUUGAAAAUAAAAAAAAAAAACAAACAUGACACAAAACGAGCCCUAAAUUCCACAGUUAAGAAAACAAGAAGAUGCGUAACGGCAUAACAUCUACACCACUAAUUUACUAAAACCAACAAAAAAAAAACAACUAAAAAGAAAAUCACUAGCAUAAAUGAAUGAUCUAAAUUCCUCAAUUAAGACAAAGAGAAGAUCUCUAAUAAUGCAGCAACUAUCUACACUAAACUAAUUUACUAAAACUAACACAAUUUUUUUUAAAAAAAAAAAGAUAAGAGGUUGUUUGGUUCCCCAGAAAAGUCCACGUGGUUUCCAGGGAAAAAAAAUUAUUCAAAAAAGUUUUUUUUUCCGAAUUUCAUAACAAUUUCUCCUUUUCGUUUUCUGAAUCUUUCAUCUGAAACACAAAAUCACUAUUUCUCCAUAAAGUUUGGAAAAGAAAAAAAAAUUCAACAAAAUUAUUACUCUCGGAACCAAUCAGAUAGAUGGAAAAAAAAUAUAUUUUUUAAAUUAUUUUUCGGAGUUUCUUAGAAAAGUAAAAAAAAAAACUAUUUCCUAAAUAAAGAAAAAGAUAAUAGAAAACAAAAUUACUAUUUUUUUAUAAAAUCUGAAAAAGAAAAAAAUUAUUGGAAGAACUAAUUUUUUUAAGAAAAAGACAAACGGAAAAUACUUUUUCCAUCCAGAAAAUUAUUUUUUGAAAAAAUUUCCUAAUUACGAAAUCCCUGAAUUAACAAUCUAAAUUCAUUUAUUAAGGGGAAAAAAAAAGGAAAAACGUGUUAAAACCACAAAACAACUAUCUAAACCACUAAUAAAACAACGACAAAACACCGACACGAUCAAUAAAUGAGCAAAACCCUAAACCCCUCAUCACCUUCUCCGCAUCCGAGCUUGGGCCCUCUGUAGCGCGUCCGCGUGCGUAUAAACUCCAGCAGCGUCGUCGACGGAUCCACCCCCGACACCUCGUACCUCUCCCCAUUAAUGGCGAACACCAGCCUCUCCACCCUCCUCCCCAUCUCCUCCUCCUCCUCCUCCUCCUCAAACAAACCCUAACAGACCCCGAAUCCCCAGCACCUGGGAUCUCCUCCUCCUCCUCCUCCUCCCCCAUUUUUAUACACGCACAAAGCGAUUCCAAUGUAGUGGGGGGUGGUGCGAUAGCGACAGGGUUAUUGUGGAUUCCCUUACCUCACCCUAUACCCUAAAAAAAUAAAAAAUAAAAUUAAAUAAAAAAAAAGGGAGAGGGGGAGGGGGGAGGGGCCUCGGGGGUCUCGGAGUACGACCCGCCACUGGAGAUGGAAAAAGGCGUCGUAUUUGAUCGGUAAAUUAUUAUUUUUAUUAUUUUUAUUAUUAUUAUUAUUUUUAUUAUUUUUAUCAAAUUAUAUUUUUAAAAUUUAAAUUUUAUUUAAUAUUUGGCCGAUCCAAAAAAUUCGAAUUACUAUUCAUUUUAAGUUAUUAGUAAAGAUCGCGUAACUUCUCUAUCCUAACUCGUUUUUUCCUGAAACUUAACGAAUACUUAUGUAAUUAAAUUACACAUAAAAAUAUCGUCAACAAAGAGUCUAGCUACACAGUCUAAUUCUUAGUCUUCACAGAUAAGAAUGAAGGACAACUUGCCAUAGGAAAUAAAAAGGUUACACACUGAUGAGAAUGCAUGACAACUUGUCACGUGGCAAAAAAAUAUUAGAAAUUUAUUUAUAUUAAUUAAUAAUAAUUAUCUUAUUAUUUGUUUUCUGUUUCCGUAGCGGUGGGAUGCGUGCGGCGUUGGGCGGCGAGAGUUUCCGCAUGAAAAUUCUUUGAAACGGUAAAUUACACUUUUGGUCCCCAAACUAUGAGUGCGUGACAAUGUGGUCCUCAUACUUUACUUUAUUUAUUUAUUUAUAAAUGAUUUAAAUCGAAUCUUAUAAAUUAUUGCGAGCGUGCCACGUUUGAAGCAGAAGAUUCGGUAGAAAAAUUUUCGAAAGAAUAUAAAUUUUACGUUCUCUAAUAUUUAAUUUACAGAAAAAAAAAGUGUUUUAUUAUAGAUAUUUGGUUUAAAAAAAAGACAAAUAAAUAUCUAUCAUAUGUAUUUUUUAUUUUAUAUAUUGUAUAUUAUUAAUUUAUAAUAAUUCUCCUACUACAUAUAUUACUAUUAUAAUUUAUAUUUGUAAAUUAAAUAUAUAAUUAUAUAAUAAAUUAAUAAAUAUAUAAAUAUAAUAUAUAUAAUAAUAGUAUGGAGUGGGGCGGUAUGUUUGUGUAAACAUGGAGCUUUCCGUGUUUUCAGGUCGCUUUCAAUAUUGGGAUUUUAAAAUCGAUUAUUAACUCCGUUAGACUUGAUUUAGGGUAUUUGAAGUACCUAAAAAAUAAAUUUCGUAAGUUUUCGAUAUCAUUUGUCUAAUAAUCGAAGGGGCUCAAAGUUAAUAAUUUUAAUAGUCAUUGUGUGUUUACAAGUUUAACAGUGUAAAAAUAUUCAAAUCAUAUGAAAUUUUGAUAGAAAAUUUUUAUACUAUAUAAAACAAAAUUAAUAUUUUUGAUCUAAAAUGUUAAUGUCAUAUUAUCAUAUUUUGUAAGAUUUUUAUUUUCAGUCGUUGAUUUUGAACCCGUUCGUUCACUAGACAAAUGAUAUGAAAAAAAUACGAAAUUUAUUUUCUAGGUACUUUAAAUACCCUAGAUCAAGUAUAACCGAACUGAUCGUCGAUUCGAAAGUUCCAACAUCGAAAACGACUAGAAAGCACAGAAGACUCUGUACUUUCAGAAACAUACCAGCUUCACUCAAUAGUAUAUAUAUAAUAUUAUAUAAUAAAAAUAUAAAAUAUAUAUAUAAUAAUUUUAAUAUAUAAAAUAUAUCAAGGCUAAUGCUACUAGACUAGCUCUUAUGAAUAUAGAUUACUUUGUACUCAUAAAUUUUCGACCGUUGGAUAAAAGAAUAUGCAGUUAGAAUGACAGUAAUCCUUAAUUAGGAUGAUAAUUGUCUCUUAGAGUUGAGUGGGUCGUUGGUUGAAUAGUAUAAUAUAAUAAUUUAAAAUAAUCAAAAAGAUAAACUUAAUAACCUAAAAUUUAUAAGUACUGUACUCAUAAAAAAUAUAGUAACUGCACUCAUACAUCAAAACAUAAAAUAAAUAUAAUAUAGUCCAGUGUGGACCACUCACGCGGUCCAAUAACUCACACGUAAGCUCGUGGACCGCGCGAUGUGUGAGCACUUUUCCUCUUCACUUUUCGUUUUCCGCCAAAAAAACGAAAACUUUUUUUUUCCUUCAAAUUUGUUAAAAACAAAUUUGUAAAUAUUAUUUUACGCGAAACCAAACUCUAGGCUACCGUUUGGUUCGGGAUUAAGAAAAAGCUAGUUAUUUUAGGGAUAAAAUUAAAUUCAGAGUUAAUGUAGAAUUAGAGUAAUUUUUAGGUCCAUUUUUUUUUUCAACAAGCUUUAUGUGAAAUCAAAUACAUCCUUAGGUAAAUUACAUUUUUGGUCCACUAAGUAUGAGUGACUCAUAUUUUGACUCUCAAAAUUUUAACUUAUAAUAAUUUUAUUUUCGAAUAUUUUAAAUUAUUACAAUUAAGUCACUCAAUUUAAUUUUGGCCGAUUAAAAUCCUAUUUUGAUGUAUGAAUAUCUUAUUUAGUAUAUUUUUUAUUACAAAUAAUAUUUAAUAAAUAAGAAUUUAGAAUUAAAUAGCAAACUCGGCUUUCAAAUUAUUUUUUCGAAUAAAAUAAAUCAUCUCGUAUGUGAAAUAUAUUAUUCUAUUAAAUCAAGAAUAACAAAAUCUUUAAGAAAGAAAAUAAAAAUCAAACUUUCUAAUUACUAUUGUACUAUAGGAAUUUUUAUACCGUUGCGUCGCUAAUGUGAAAAUGGUGUAGCAGUAUUAUAACUGAUGACAUAAUAAAGAUUAAGAUAUGAAGUUAGUUUUAUGUAGACCUGACAAUUUUUAUCCAUACGCAAGUACCUACGGGUUAUUCGUAAAUUUGCGGGCAUAGGUAUUAGUUUUUUUUAUCCAAAAAAUUAUGGUUAAAACGGGUGAGUAUCCUUGAGUGGUAGGUAUUUUUGUACAACCCGCGGGUACCCACAGGUAACCGCAUAUAUAUUUUUUAAAUUUAAAAAAAAAUGUAAUUUUUAUAAUAUUGACUCUAUAAUGACAAACAUUUUAUUAACUUUGUAUCAUGAAAAUUUGGAAUGUUAAAAUAAUUUUAUAUUAUGUAAUGUAUAUAUCUUUAAGAUUUUAUAUUGUUUAUUAUAUGCUAUGAUAUUUCAAAUAAAAAAUUAUGUUAUGUUUUUAAAAAUUUUAUAUAUAUGUUUUGCAUUUGAAAAAGGAGUCCGGCUACUAUACUAUUGGUAGCACGGGGCCUCCCGUGCUACCAAGUUGUUUUCGAUGAUGCGCCUUCCAAAUCGACGAUCGGCUCCGUUAGACUUGAUCUGCACUAUUAAAAGUAUUUGGAAACUAAAUUUCAUAAUUUUUCGAUAUCAUUUACUUAUCAAACAAAUAGUCUAAAAUUGAACGGCUGAAAAUAAAAAUCUCAUAAAAAAUGAUGAUAAAAAAUUUAAAUUCAAGAUCAGAUAUACUGAUCUUACUCUAAAUAGUGAAAAGAAUUUUCUAUAAAAUUUUCAUCGGAUUUGGAUUGUUUUACACCGUUAAACUCACAAACACGCCACAUCGGCCAUUAAAAUGGUCAAUUUUGAGAUCUUUUGAUCACUAAAUGAUGUCCGAAAAAUUAUGAAAUUUAAUUUCCAAAUACUUUUAAUAGUGUAGAUCAAGUCUAACGGAGCUGAUCGUCAAUUUGGAAGCCGCAUCAUCGAAAACAACUUGGUAGCACGGGAGGUCCCGUGCUACUGAUAGUAUAGCAGCUGGACUCUUUGAAAAAGUACAUGAGUAAUAAUAAUAAAAAAAAAAU